rnacentral:lncRNA from 1 species
UGAAUUGAAGAAUCUGAAGCAAUUAGAUCUCUCUGGAAAUAAUUUUGGAGGUUCGCUCCCAGAUUGUUUGGGGAACUUGUCAUCUCUACAACUAUUAGAUGUUUCUGAAAACCAGUUUACUGGAAAUAUUGCCUCUGGUCCUCUUUCCAACCUCAUAUCCCUUAAAUUCCUCUCAUUAUCAAAUAACCUCUUUGAAGUUUCCACUUCAAUGAAGCCUUUUAUGAAUCACUCAAGCCUCAAGUUCUUCUCCAGUAAGAACAACAGACUAGUAACGGAACCUGCUGCCUUUGAUAAUUUGAUUCCAAAGUUCCAACUAGCUUUUUUUAGCUUGUCGAAAACAUCGGAAGCACUCAACAUAGAAAUUCCCGACUUCCUCUAUUACCAAUACGACUUAAGAUUCCUUGAUCUCUCCCAUAACAACAUCACCGGAAUGUUUCCAUCGUGGUUGCUUAAGAACAAUACACGAUUGGAGGAACUAUAUCUGAGCGAAAACUCCUUUGUUGGUACUUUGCAGUUGCAAGAUCAUCCAUAUCCGAAUAUGAUCCAAUUAGAUAUAUCCAACAACAACAUAAAUGGGCAAAUUCCAAAAGACAUUUGUUUGAUCUUUCCAAAUCUAUACACCUUAAUGAUGGCUAAGAAUGGAUUCACAGGUUGUAUUCCUUCUUGUUUAGGAAAUAUUAGCUCUUUUUCAGUUUUGGAUUUAUCCAACAAUCAAUUGUCUACGGUAAAACUAGAACAACUAACAACAAUAUGGUUUCUCAAGCUGUCAAACAACAAUUUGGGUGGGCAAGUACCAACCUCGGUGUUCAAUUCUUCUACCUUAAAAUAUCUCUACCUAGGUGGUAACAACUUUUGGGGCCAGAUAUCAGAUUUUUCAUUAUAUGGGGGGAAAGUGUGGAGGUAUUGGAUUUGAGUAACAAUCAGUUUUCAGGCAUGCUUCCAAGGUGGUUCGUCAAUUCUACUUAUCUUACCGCAAUUGAUAUGUCCAAAAACCAUUUUAGGGGUUCGAUUCCAAGAGACUUUUGUAAGCUUGACCAGCUUGAAUAUUUGGACCUUUCUAAGAAUAGCUUGUCUGGAUAUAUACCAUCUUGUUUUAAUCCACCGUCUCUAACCCAUUUGCAUCUAUCCGAAAAUAGAUUGAGUGGUCCAUUAACAUAUGGAUUUUAUAACAACUCUUCCAUGUCUUCCCUGGUUACGAUGGAUUUUCGAGGUAACAGCUUCAUCGGCUCCAUUCCAAAUUGGAUUGGCAAUCUUUCAUCAUUGAGUGUUCUUCUUCUGAGGGCUAAUCACUUUGAUGGUGAGCUCCCUGUUCAGUUAUGCUUGUUAGAACAAUUAAGCAUUUUGGAUGUUUCACAAAACCAGCUCUAUGGUCCACUACCCUCCUGUUUGGGCAAUCUUACUUUCAAGGAAAGUUCCCAGAAAGCGUUGGCGUAUCACACAGUUUAUUUUCAACUAGGGUCCAUAGAAAAAGCUUAUUAUGAAAAAUUGGGUCCACCACUAGUGGAUAGUAUUUCCAACUUGGAAAAUGAUGUUUGGCUUAACUUUACAGAAGAAGUGAUAGAAUUUACAACUAAAAAUAUGCAUUAUGGUUACAAGGGGAAAGUUCUCAGCUACAUGUCUGGUAUUGAUCUCUCCAAUAACAACUUUAGGAGCAAUCCCACCAGAAUUUGGAAACUUAAGUGAGAUACUGUCAUUAAACUUAUCACACAACAAUCUCACUGGAUCUAUCCCUGCAACAUUCUCAAACCUAAAGCAAUUGAGAGUUUGGAUCUUUCUUACCAACAACUUGAAUGGUGCCAUCCACCAACUUAUUGAAAUUACCACACUGGAAGUUUUUAGUGUGGCGCACAAUAAUUUGUCAAGCAAGACACCCGAGAGAAAAUUUCAGUUUGGGACCUUCGAUGAAAGCUGUUACGAAGAAAAUCCUUUCUUGUGUGGACCUCCAUUGCGAAAGAAUUGUAGUGAGGAAACAGUGUCGUCGCAGCCAGUGCCUAAUGAUGAACAAGGAGAUUAUGGUUUCAUAGACAUGGACUUUUUCUAUAUCAGUUUUGGUGUAUGUUAUAUAGUUGUGGUGAUGACAAUUGCAACAGUUCUCUACAUCAAUCUAUAUUGGCGACGCAGGUGGUUGCACUUCAUCGAAGAGUGUAUAGAUACUUGCUACUAUUUUGUGGUGGCUAGUUUUCACAAGUUCUCCAACUUCACAAGGUGAAUUUGUUACUGGGGAGACGGUCGUUCCUAGUUUGUGAUCAUUGUUUGUCUAGCUAUUGGGUGCUUAAUUUGUACUGUACUGUCUCUAAGCUUAGCCUUUUUAUUUGAUUAGUUAAUUGGGUUAAAUAUAUAAGCUGGACUUGUCAUUCCUGAACCAUUAGAAAGGGAACUGUUUUGGAUUGGUCAUUGACUCGGGUGUGAUUACUCUUUGAACUCUCAAGACUUGUCUAAAAAUAAAUUGCCAAAACCACUACUAAGUAGAAACUAAAUAAUCUAUGCAUGUGUGACAGCACUUAAAUCUGCCUCUGUUUCAAGGGCGACCCCACCUCAGUUAUUCAAUCAAAGCAUUGAAAUCGGAACAAGAAGAUCCACCUUCUUCAACAUCCUUCCUGGCCGUUUCUCCUAGCUUCUUGAUUCUUUUUGUUUCUUCUAACUACCCAGAUAAAUUGAUGCCCCAGUUUCUCCUAUCUUUUUUUUAAAUCUCUCGUCCCGCAUCAUCGUGUUUGGCUGUGACAUAGAAACCCUCGAUGAAAGAGAACCAUGCUGCAAGCUUGACAUAUUGUUCUGCUGCAUUGUUGGUAUAGAGCCGUGCACAUUCAUUGAUUGCAACUGGGGAUUCAGUUGAUUUUGUUGGGACUGCAAUUGAGGAACUGGAGGGUGGGGAAGUUGUCCUAGCUGUAGAUUAGGAAUAGGCCUCCUGAAUCUGCUUGGGAAGUUGUCCCAAUUUCUACUUGAAACUAGGUGUGAUGUUGUUUUCAGAGACCUGUAAGAAUGUUAUCAAGCGCUCUAACAUGGCCUUGAAUACCUCCAGCUUUUCAAGCUGUUCUGACUUCGGUUGUUGCGGAUGAGAGUCAAGCUGGAAAGCAAAGUUAACAUACACGAGAAUUAAAAACUUGCGUUGAUUCUUUGUAGCAAAAUAUUAGUGAAAAAAAAUGUUUCUAUUCCAAUUCUUCCGUGUCGAUGCAUGAUUAGUGCAGAUGAUACAGUGACAGGCAAUGCUGAUGAGGAAAACAAAUGAAUACAGAAGCUCAACGUGGGGAAAUUGCAGAUAAUCAUGCAUGGGCAGAUAAUCCGGAAGAAAUUGCAGAGACAAUGUACCUGCUGUAACUUGGCAGCAAUUCUCUGAUAUAUUUCAUUUAUUUCAGGGAAAUAAGUCUCCUUAAUAACUUUGAUCUAGGAAGUACAAAUAACCAGCAAAACAUUAUCGGUCACAUGCUUGAUUUCUUCAGGUGCCAGUCAGAAAGAAAGUAACACAAACAAACUUAAGGGAAUUGAUAAAAAUAAAAUAACAAAAAAAGGGCAGAGGACAGCAUAAAUUAGUUGAGAUAAAAAUAGCAGAGUGGAAUUAAUGCUGGAAACUCAAGAGGAUGUCGAUAUUGAUGGAAUGGAAAGAUGCAAAGGGCUGUGUAAGUACACCUUUAGACAAGAUUCAGGGGUUGGUUAAGUUCAGUUACUUUGUCUCCCUGCAAACUAAUCAUCAUUGUUUUAUGUUGUCAUAGCUCAAGACAAUGGAUGUCACAACUUUAGCAACGCUUCUUAGCCUUAUAGAUCCUAAGCAUGACCCCAUGUAUCAUCAACAACCAUUCCCGUUUUAAUACUCUCCUAAGCACAAAAAAAAUAGUCCUUAUCAACCUCAUUUUCUAUAAAAUUCAACAAUACUGGAUAUGGUCAUGAUUCAAUGGAAUAAGUCCCACUUAUUUUCUUUUUCUUCCAUAGUCACAUGUUUCAGAACAAGUUGAUUGCAAUCGUGCAAAUAACUCUUCACUUAACCAAAGAUAAACUGUAAGUCAUUCAGAAAUAGUGCACUCUUAUUUCUAAUUCUGUCUAAUGCAGUAAGAAGUAUGGACAAUAGGACUCGUUGGAAAUAAAUAAUAAUUCACCACAAAACAAAUAUAGGGGGAAAAAUCGAAAGGGAGAGGUUUGCAAUAAAAAACUGCCGUGCCAGAACCAAGAAAGCAAUCCUCUUGACCUACAAAUCUGAAUAUUUUUACCUUCAUUCAUCUAAUCAAUGAUUAAUCAUUUCUUAGUUGCUGCAAUCAUGGAACAAUGCUUCCUAACUAAUCCCAACCAUAGCUGAAUAAAAUUACUUGGACCAAUCCCAGGAGACCUUUUUUCCAUUGAAAUUUUGCAAGACUAUGGCAUACAUGAACUCCAUCUAAUGAACAGUAAAUCACAGAAAUUACCUUCUGAUAGAACUCCUGUUGCCAAUCAGCGCCUUUUGCAUGUCCAGUCUGUGCUGUAGAAUCUAGGGAUGCUACAAAAAUUUCAAUGCGGGCAACAAAAGAAUAGAAUUCAUGUAUUUUUGUGUGUUUUCCAUAUACAAGGGUAUUUCUGUAAUUUUCACACUUGCUGAAAAUUAUGGAAUAUUGCAAGUCUCAGUUUUAUUUUCCAUCUAUUAUUUUAUUAUCCCAAAGUAUAGAGAGCUUCAUUAGGUUUUCCUAUUCUAGAUAGAACUGUCGCACCCCAAAAAAAAUCAAAUUUCAAUUGCGGGUUCGACUGGCGAAUUUUUUUUAUUUUGGUUUGAUUUGGUUCUUUGGAGUCGCCACCUAGUAUUUUGGUCACUAGGAACCAUAACUGGUCUCAGAGAUCGGGUACGGAGACUAGUUGCGUAAAGGGAAGGUAUUAGCACCCCAAAUACGCCUUACCUAAGGUAAGCUGCAUUGUUUUAUUGUCUGAUAAAAAAAAAAACUAAGCUAAGGUGUUAUUGUGUUUUCCUAGUUGUUGGUCUGUCUAUAGUUCAAGAAAAAUCCUCCUCGGUAAGGAGAUCUUUAUCUUAUCGAGCAAAAAUCCUAACCGUUCUAACGUCCGUACCAAAAUUUUAUUAAUAAUAUUUUCAGAAUAAAAAAUGAAUAACACUUUCAAUAAAACAAUGCAGCUUACCUUAGGUAGGGCGUAUUUGGGGUGCUAAUACCUUCCCUUUACGCAACCAGUCUCCGUACCCGAUCUCUGAGACCAGUUAGGGUUCCUAGUGACCAAAAUACUAGGUGGCGACUCCAAAGAACCAAAUCAAACCAAAAUAAAAAAAAUUCGCCAGUCGAACCCGCAAUUGAAAUUUGAUUUUUUUUGGGGUGCGACAAGGACUAUCAGUAUGUUCCUACAGAGAAAUACAAGUCUUUUUUGGACUAGGAGUACUAGGAACUCCAUCUAAAGAAAGCCAGGAACGGCAAGAAGAGUAAAAGCACAUCAAGAACAUGAAAAACGGAAUAUCAGUUUAUUCAGACUUGAAUAGACUUAAAAAGAACUUCCGUCUAAUAUCAUGUACUUUAUUAAAUAAUUCAGCCAAAUAUGGAUGCAUAACAAAUAUACACAACCAUUCAGGACAAGGUGCUAGGAUCCUGGGUAUUCGGCCAUUCAAAGCAAAGAUUUGGGCCUGAAUCUUCAUGGUGCUUCUAAACCAAAGAAGCAUUCCCUGCUAAGCAAACAAUCUUUCUUUGAAUAGACAGCACAAUAACCCUGACCAUACUAAAUGCUCCAACCACAGUAGAAUCGGCUGAUUGCGCCUUUCUUCAAGUUGCGUUCACGAGCAGCGAUUUCAUCGGAUCCGAUUAUAUUUUUUUUUAAUUUACUUAUUAAAAUCGAAUUUCUCUCUCUGGAUAGUAAUUUCAAUUAAAUAAAUGAAAACGCAGACGUAAAUUUAAAAAAACAAAAACAUAAUAGAAGCACCUGGGUAAGAUUUGAAGCAUUAUUGGUUGAGGCGGCGGCGGUUUCUGAAAGCGGAGGAGGGAAAGAGAGAGAGCUCAGGUGGGGAGAGGUGAGGAAUGUCGGACCAAAGUGAACAGAGCUUGACAGAUGACUUUUUUCUUUUCCAGAUUCGCUAACAAACUAAAAAAUUGUAUUCUGGUGCUGCUUCUUUCUCUAAAUGUUAAAUGCUUUUUUUGUGAUUUUGUGUCCUUUGGUAUCAUCUUCUUUUACCAUUAGUUAAUGGAUAUUCUACCUCUUAUUCGUUUUUAAUAUUGUUGUUUGGCUCCCUUUUAUAUUCUUUUUAUAGAUUUUUUGCCUGACUUAAUAUUCAAUAAGUAUGUUAAUUAAGUAUGCAUCCAAUUUGCAAAAAUAGAUAAAUACAUGACUUUUAUUAAUUAAUAAGAUUGAUCUACAUUAAUUCUUGAACUUGUUUUAUUUAAAUAAAUAUAUAGAAUUAUUAUAAUUCAUAAUUUGAUGAUUAGAUAAUAUUCAUGAUAAUUAGAAUACACGAUGUAUGUAUUAAGUUCAAUGUUUUUGAAAAAUAAAUUUUUUUAUUGAUUAAUAUAUAAGUGUAUAAAUUUAUUUACCAAAUAAUAUAUUGAUUAAUUAAUAAAUUUCAUGUUCUCAAUGAUAUUAAUUUAUAGAUGUUUAAUUAACUGUAUAUUGUAUUAAUUUUUUUAAAAAAUAUAUAAAUUUUACAUGAUAAAAUUAAAAACACUUAACUUCAUAUAAGGAAAAUAUUUAUUUUUUUAAACAAGAAUACAAAAUAUAUGAUAAAACUAAUAUGUAAAUUCAAAUCUAUCUCUAACUAGGCAAGAUGCUAACAAGUUAAUAUAAUCCCUAAAAUAUGAUCUAAUUCCUUUUUCCAACAUAUGUCAAUUUAUAAAUGUAAUUGUCAUUUUGUUGGCUUAAUCAGUGAAAAUCUUUUUACAGUUGGCAAAAAAUUAAUUUGGUUAACAUUAUAGUUUAUGUAAUUAUCUUAUUAGUUUAUAUUAUUUAAAAGAUAAGUUCAGAUAUAGUAGAAAAAGUUAUCUAAAAAUAACUUUAUUAGUGUUUUUGUAAAACACGUUAGCAAUUUGUUACGAACAUGACCAACAAAGAAACUCAAAUAUUAAUUUUAUCUUUAUUAUAUAAGACAUGUAUAUAAGAAAGAUUAAGUCUGAAAAAAGUAGGUCGUAUGCUUAAAAGAAGAGUUUUAGUGAAGUUUGAAUCCAAAAUAUGCAACCAAAUAACAGUCAGAUAAAGGAUGGUGGAGAAACAAUCAAACAAGCAUAGAGUUUUAGAAUGUAAAAGCAUCAAUUACAUUGAAUCAAGUGUGUCAACUAGCUAAGGGAUUUACAUAGAGUUGCACAUCAUAUACUCUUGACACACGAGGAGUGUGUAGGAAAUGCUCGAGGAGAAUUAAUCUCUGAAGAGUCGAAGAGCUUGCAAACUUCUCGGGGGAGUUCUUAUAUGAACUGUUAGCAACUAGAGGUUCCAGGUCUCCAAGGGGUGUAGCAUGGUGGCAAAGGGCUUAAGAUCUGCACAGCAGGUCUCAAGUUCGAGUCAGGGCGUGCACCUCUUGUAAGAGCCUGAGACAGCUGGGGUUUUACUCACUUACCUGGGCCUACAAAUUGCGCUUUCCGGAGAGUGGGGUUUCCUCGAAUCCAAAAAAAAAAAACUAGAGGUUCCAGUUAGAAUGACAAAAGUUUAAAGAUCAUUAGAUAUACCGAAAAACUAUUACGGUAAGUGACAUAACAUGGUUCAUUGUCUUAUCAAGUAAUAAGGUAGUAUAGAUAAAAAAAUAUUAUGUUAAGAGAUACUUCAAUUAUAAUAAUAAAAAAAAAAAAAAAAAAAGCUUCUCCUCUCCCUCAUGCUAUAAAAGCUAAAGUGUUUUAGAAAUUAGAUCUUUUAUUUUGCUACACUAAUAAUAUCAGGCUUAACUUACUGACCCUAUAGCUUAUGUUUCAUCAAAGCAGACUAAAUAAGGUUCUAGAUAGCAGGAUUGAAAAAUAAAGUGCCUUUGUUAACUCUCCUCAGCCUCAAGCACCAGCUGAUUCGCCUCCAGCUGUAAAAAAAAAUAGCGCACCUCAGCCUCCUUCCACUCAUAUGUCAUUGCGGCAACAAUAUCUUCAUGGGAACAAGUAGGAAUCAUUGCCAACUCAGAUUCCUUGGAUGAUUCCUGUUUGAGAGAUAAGAUAUUGGUGAUGUUACUUCUACACAUGUCUUUUAUGGCUUUAUCCAGGGAAAAAAAACAACAGUCUCGACCACCCCAUAAUUCACUGUGACUAUCGGUUUAGAUUAAAAAGAACUGUACUGGAUGUCUUUUUCGAAAUUCUCAACUGAACGAAGAACAAAUAAUUGGUUUGGUUUAAUUCGGUUUUGUUUUUGUUAAAACUGAGUAAGUUCAACGGGUCAAAAAAAAAAAAAAAACAAUUGGGUUAUUUCAUCAAAGCUGUUCUUUUAGACAAAAAAUUACGUUCUUUUGUUCAGUUUGAUCAUGUAUAGUCUUAGUUUUUUACAGUUUGAUUUCUUGGUUUUUUUGUUUUAAGAAAAAGGGCUUUUGAUGGGUUGAAAUUUAUCUCUUAGUCUUAGUGCCUUCUCUAACCUUCAAGCGUCUCUUUUUUCUUUUUUCUUUUUCUCUAGCUAGGCAUAUGUCAUUGCGGCAACAAUUGCUUACUAGGGACAAUAUUAGCUUUUUAGCUUCCAUUGGUUUAUCCAUGCAUUGCCUCUUUCAUUUCUUAACUGACCGAUCGUUUUUAACAUUCCAUGUUAAUUUUAUUUAUAGAUGAAGCUCUCAAAUGUACUUGGAAUCAACAACUUAGGUUACAUGAACAUCACCCUUUUUCUCACACGUACAUAUAAAAGAACUUUGACAUGCUUAACUUUCUUACUAUGGCUUUGUCUAAAAUAUGAUUGUUGUAACCCAUUUUUGGGUCCCCAUGAAAAAUAAAAUAAAUAGCCAAAAGAGUUUAGAAAAAAUAACAGAAGGCAGAAGCGCUCAGAAAACAGUCAGAAAAUUGGUCAAGGAAUUUUAAAAAUACAAGGAUGGAAUUUUUGACAAAUAUUCUUGAAGGAUGAAAGCCCUAUUGAGAAGCAAAAUUUAAAUUUUGAGGAGAAAAGCCCAAAUUUGGAUAUUUAUGGACUUAAUUGGAUUUUUAUUUGAAUUUAUAGAAGAUUUGAUUGCAAGAAAAAUUGAUUUUUAAGUCAAUUUGGGCUUUAAUUAGAAGAAAUUUAAGUUCUAGGGCCAAAAUAUAUUUUUUAGGAAUUUAUUAGGUCAAAUCAGGGGCUUAAUUGCAUAAAUAUUGAAGUUUAAUGGCCAAUUAGGGACUUAAUUGUGAAAAUCAGAGGUCAAGGACCAAAGUGAAAAACGCGGCCAACUAUAGGGUAGGGACCGAAUUUGGCAGGGACGCAAUUGAAUUUUAUUCUUAAAAUUGGAAGUCGCUGUGCAUGCACCAUUUCCUUGCAUUUCACUGUUCAAGUGAAAUAUAAUUCACUUGAACAGUGAAAUGCUAAUUCACUGUCCACAUAAAUAUAAUUCACGUGAACAGUGAAAUGCUAAUUCACUGUGCAUAUCAAAUAUAAUUCACGUGAAUAGUGAAAUGCUAUUCACUGUUCACAUCAGACAUAUGCACUGUUCACAUGAGGCCCGCCUGGACAGCCGCUCCCCGACCCGCUCCUUGGCUCCACGGUGAAGCCACGCCCACUGGCUCUAUAAAUAGCGCCCAACCCAGCACACUGAAAAAAAAAAGGCAGAGAAGAAGAGGGAGAGAGACAAACACACCAACACUGCCAACACCAUUGAUUUGUUACCUUCACCUUCCCACCUUCCCUGAACCGCUGCUGCAGAGAGGAAAGAACAGCUGCUGUCACCGGGAUCCCACAGUCACCGACCACCGUCCAAGUCACUCCCCGGCCACCACUACCAGCGCCUCCACAAAGCUGCCAUAGAGAGGGAAGAACAUUGCUGACUGAAGGAAACUAAGAGAAGAAGCAACGCCUCUGUAAAGGGGAAGAAGAAGAGAAAACAGCUGCUGUCAUCGAGCUUCCCAACCAUUGCCACCGUCAGAACCACCGUGAGCCCCCAUUAGCUUCCUGUCCACCACCACCAGCAUCACUGGGAGUGUUCGCCAUCGACUUCAGCAUCGUUUCUGCCACCAGGUUUGCACCCCUUCGUCGCUGUGCAUGCACUGCAUUUUUACUGUUCAAGUGAAAUAUAAUUCACUUGAACAGUGAAAUGCUAAUUACUGCUCACCUUCACGUGAACAGUGAACUUCACUGUUCGUAUUAAAUAUAAUUCACGUAAACAGUGAAAUGCUAUUCACUGUUCACAUCAGACAUAUGCACUGUUCACAUGAGGCCUGCUGGGCUCAGCCCAGCCACGUGGGCCCCGCCCUAAAAAAAAAUAUAAAAAAUAAAAAAAAUUUCAAAAAAUUAUUUCAAAGAAUUUAUGAUUUUUCUGUAAUUUUAUUACUGUAUUUUGGUCAAUAUCGGUUUGUAUUUUUAUACUGUAAAGAUACAAAUCCAGUAUUAAAAUACCCGGUUUUUGUCAAAACAUCAAAGAUUUUCAGAAUAAAAAAUGUUUUUGCUUUCAAAAAAAUUCUAAAAAGUCCCUAAAAAAUGUUGUUGAUUUUUCUGCAUAUUUUUAUCAAAGUGGAUUAAUAUUGGGUUGUAUUUUUAUACCGUAAGGAUACAAACCCAGUAUUAAAAUACCCAAUUUUCGUCAAAACAUCAAAGAUUUUCAGAAUAAAAAAUGUUUUUGCUUUCAAAAAAAUUCUAAAAAGUCCCUAAAAAAUGUUGUUGAUUUUUCUGCAUAUUUUUAUCAAAGUGGAUUAAUAUUGGGUUGUAUUUUUAUACCGUAAGGAUACAAACCCAGUAUUAAAAUACCCAAUUUUUUGUCAAAGCAUAAAAAAUAAUAUUUUCCAAAAAAAUUGUUUUUGUUUUAAAAUACGGCCUAGUCUCUCCAAUAUAUAUAUAUAUAUAUAUAUAAAUAUUAUAACAUCAUAUUUUCGCACAACAAAGAAAAUUUUCAAAACAAUAUAUGUAUUAACAUGCAUUUUGGCUUUAAUAACCAGUUUAUUCAAGCCAUGAGAACUAGGCCAAUAUUUCAAAAAUUCUAAAAAAAUCUUUUUGUUUUCUUUUAGUAUUUGGGAUUACGAAUUUAUACGUAAAACGUAUUCCUAAAUAUUAUUAAUAAAGUUUUGGUAUAGACGUUAGAACGGUUAGGAUUUUACCCGAUAAGAUAAAAGAACUUCUUACCGAGGAGGAUUUUUCUUGAACCAUAGACAGAUCAACAACUAGGAAAACACAAUAACACUUUAGUUUUUAUCAGACAAUAAAACAAUGCAGCUUACCUUAGGUAGGGCGUAUUUGGGGUGCUAAUACCUUCCUUUUACGCAACCAGUCUCCAUACCCGAUCUCUGAGACCAGUUAGGGUUCCUAGUGACCAAAAUACUAGGUGGCGACUCCAAAGAACCAAAUCAAACCAAAAUAAAAAAAAUUCGCCAGUCGAACCCGCAAUUGGAAAUUUUUUGGGGUGCGACAAUGAUGAUUGAUCUUUGGCUUAAGAGUUACUUUUCAUGCUACUUUUCAUUCUUCUCCCUUUCAAUUUGCCUUAGCAUUUGUUGUUUCCCUUUCAAUUCUUCUACUUUUUAUGAUGUGAAAAGAAAAUUUACCACCAACUACUUUAAAUCUUAUGUUCAAAGGACAAUAGUACAGCUUUUACUUUUAGCCUGGAGUUCACGAGGAAGCAAUGAGAAACUAGAUUUGCCUUUCCUGCCUUUCCAACUUCCAUUAACAAUUUGAGUGGCUUACACAUUGGUUGCUUAUGUUUAUUGAUGAUAGCUUUUAUUGUCUUUUUUUAUUAUUAUUUUUGUUUGUAAUUCAUAACAAUAGAUUGGGUCUGAUUAUCUUGGUCUGGAAUUGACACGAAAAAAAGAAAAGAAACUUGCAUUCUCUACUUUAGAUGGGUUGAGCAUUGUUCGCUAGAACAACAGAUUGGGUUUGACAAUCUUGGUCCCGAAUUGGCGGGGGAAAAAAAAAAAACAGAAACUUGCAUUGUCUGCUUUAGAUGGCUUGAGCAGUGUUUGCUAGAUGUUCAUUAAUUUUUCAUUUUUUGCAAUGGACUGGUCCUUAUAUUUUUUCGGUUCUUGAUUUAGUGUUUUUUUUUCUUCUUUUUUUUCCUUUCAUAUUUUUGCAAAUUGGUCUUUAGAAAUUUUCUUCUCUUUUUGGGUCUCAUUGUAUGAGAUAAAGAUUUUAAUUAAAUUAAAAAUUAUUUAUUAUACUAUAAAAGUUAGGUUUUUCCCUCCUAUUUUGCUAUUCAUAUCCUCCCUUAAAAAAAAAAACAUUAUCUUCUAAUUUUUUCUUCUUUUAAUUGAAUGAUUUUUGUAGUUUUUUUCCUUUCAAUUUCACUUGAAUAUUUUGUUGAUUUUGAAUUGGGCAUCAUAAUUUGUUUUUGUUUUCGUUAUAUGUAGUUAUCACAGUCUCAACACAAACGUCACUAAAUUUAUUUAAUUCUCAAUUUUGUAAGUGUCUAUAUUAGUUAUUGUAUCAUUAUAUAUAAAAAUGGUUUUUAAAUCUAGUAGAGUUCAUCAUCUAAAUUACGAAUUUAACAAAUUAAAUCAAGGAGCUCAAGUUAAUCUAGUAUAUCUUCGUCUCAAUACUUUUUUUUAAAAAAGUCAUCUUGAUUUUGUUUCUUAAAAUUCAAACCAUGUUUUUAUUGGUCAUUUGGGUUGCCUUAAUUUGCACAUGUCAAAUCAACUAGGUUAUGUACAAAAAACUCCAUUACAAAUUAAAUUUAAAUAUAUGCUAGGCAAGAAGUCAAGUCGAGAGAUCAAGAUCAAGUUUAAUAACAAAGUCAUAUUAUUCCUUAGUUUUUAAACUCCACCUUCCAAUUUUUUUUUUCUUUCAAUUGAAUCCUUUUUGGCUUUUCUCUAAUUUCAUCCUUUAAUAUUUGUUUAAUAUCUGUUUGAUUUUUAAUUGAUUAUGUUUCAGUUUGCUUUCAAUGAUGUUAUUAAUUACAAUUUCAAACAAAUAUUUUGGCAUUUGAUUUAUACUUGAUUUUACGAGCUUUUAUUUUUGUUAUUAUAUCAUUAAAUAAAAAAUAUAUUUUUUUUUAAAAUUAAACUGGAUGGAGUUCAUUAUUCAAAUUAUAGGUUUAAAGAGUUACGUUAUAAAACUAGAAUCAAUCUAAGAUGUUGUAUCAAUGUUAAAAAAAUAUAUUAUCUUUAAAUUUUUUUAAAGCUAAAUUAUGUUUUUUUACCGGUUAUUCAUUUGUUUUAAUUUUAAACGUGAUAUAGAUAAGAAGCCAGAUGAGAGGAAUUUGGAUUAGAGUUUUAAUUAUGAUGCCAAAUAAUUCUUUAAGCCUAGAUGAUUUUUUUAUGGUGCGCAAAACAUAAACUAUUUCAUUCCAAAAUAUUUACAAGUAAACACUCACGAAUAUGAUGAUAAAAAUUGGAGUAAAAUUUUACAUUACCAGUGUCUGUUUUUUGUGAAACAAACAAAUUAAUCCCUCAAGUUUUUUAAAUAAUUAAUUGAUUCUUUGAUCACAUUUUAACGUCAUGUAAGUGGAACAAAUUGAGGAAUUAUUGCUGACUGCUCUACAUUUGACUAACGAAAAAACUAAUGAGGGGACCAGUUUAUUAACUUAAUGUAAAAGUAUAGGGAUUAGUACAUACAUAGCAAAAUGCAGCAAUAAAAUGUAAAAGGGUCUGAUAACAAUGCGAAAUGUAAAACAAAAGGUAAGGAUGUUUAGAAAUUCAAAGCUUGGAUCUUGCACACUUCCCUCCUGGAUACAGGGGUUUGUUACCAUUGCCAGUGGGUAUGGCGUUUUGAGACUUGGUCUCCAUUGUAAGCAUCUUCAGAGAUAUUUUACGCAGAUAAUCAGACUGAAAUCAGAUAUCAAUAACAAAAUAUUAGAUCUCGGAGCAGUCCAUGUUACAAGAGAAGGGGGGAAAGGGAUAUAUGCUCUUUCUAAUAUGCUAGGAUUUUUAUAUUUGAGUCUUCUGUGAGGAUAUAGGAUAUGCUUCUGUAUCCUAUCUUUUUAUUUAAUUAUUUAUGUAUUGAUUCGUUAUUUGCAUUUUGCACACUUCCCUUGUACUAGAAAAGAACCUUGGUCACUCUAAAUAAAACACUUGUCAAGAGAAUUAACAACAGAUGAGAACUUCUACAGAAUGACCAAUGAGGAAGUGUGGACACACUACACACACGUGUACCAGCAUGAAUCCACAAACUUAUGCAUGUGUAUUCAUGUCUAGAGAAUAUCCAAAUUAUUGAACCUAGCAUUAGCCGAAUACCUGAUUGGUGGCGGAAGUAUAAAUCUUUUCCUCAAACCGUACGGCAAUUUUCUUGAGUUCUUGUAAUCCCUCCUGACCAGAAAACGGAAGAUGCCUCUUUAAUGUCUCCAUUCUGCACAUGUAAAACACUGCAUUUAAUUUUUAAUGACAAGGCAGGUAUAGAGAAGUUAGCAGUAGUGAGAAAGAACCGUGAACUCAUACACCACACCAAUAUCAGAAAUAUAUACAACAGAAUCAUUAGCAAAAAGUAAAACAAAUAACGAUAUAGCUGAGUGUCAGUCAAGUAAUAUAUGGCAUCAAAAUACAGACAUCUAUUUUUACUUCCUUUCCCCGUAUUAUUCCAGAGGUAUAGGGCAAUGGAGUUUACUUAGCCACCCUUCUGUCUAAAAUUCUAGUUACGAGCUUCAUGGUUAAUUUUCUUGAACUGGAAGAACCUUCCAUUUAUGGCUAUGGCUAUGUUCCAAGAUAUAUAAGUGAAUUAGUUGCAAACCAGGGGAACUCUGUGAAAACAUUACAAUAGCAUUUACUCUGAGUAAGAAAACUUUUAUACAUGCACCGUAAUUGACAAAGAAAAGAAGAGAAAACCUUUUAAUUUAUGAAAAUGCAUUGAGUUAACCUUAUCUCACGCCGCAAUAUAUACUUUACAGUGCUCAUUGGCUACUGCAAGUGCCAACAGUAGCUGUCUAUAUGAUUUUGGAUGUAGAGAUAUCACCAAAACAUUCAACUUUAUACUGAGAAACUAGGAAACCAUACACUAUUGUGGCUAAUUGAUUUUUGUCUGCUGCUUUUGUACUUUAAGAUCACUAUCAUUUCAAUCCUGUAGAAGUAAAGCAAAUAGAAGGCCCAAAUCCAACACUAUUCAUUUAAGUUCAGUUGCAACUCAAGGUUGAAAUUGAAACACCAAUGCUCAUAGCAAUAGAUUAACCUUGAAAUUUAAAGCGGAACAAGCUUCAUGCAGCCAUCCAAGAGGUCAUCAUCAAAAGAAGAUGUUACACAAGAAGUUCCAACAAAAAUUACUUUCCAGCACUUUUUAUUCCCUCAAGUUCACUUCUUGUGAGAAACAAGUGAAAAAUGAAAAAGACAAAAACAGAGGUGUAUGAUACUUGAGGUUGCCUCAUGGCAGUCCUGCUGAUUUUAAUUAACCUUUUGCCCUUCUCUUUUUCUUUCAUUUAAAUACAAGAUUUACUAUUUUGCAGCACUUGCACAUAUUAGGAAACAGAUACUUACAUUUUGUUGACUAUUCUUUGCCGUGAGCCAGGCUGCAAUUGAGUUCUCCAAUCACCUGUGUCCAUCACAGGUUCUCCGCCUAAUCAAAGUCAUGAAAAUUGGAAUAUCAGUUUAUUCAGACUUGAAUAGAUUUAAAGAGAACUUCCAUCUAAUAGCAUGUACUUUAUUAAAGAAUUCUACCAAACAUGGAUGCAUAAAAUCUGAACAGCCAUAACAAAUAUACACGACCAUUCAGGGCAAGGUGCUAGGAUCUUGGGUAUUCGAGUAUUGUAAGCAAGAUUUGGGCCUGAAUCUUCAUGGUGCUUCUAAAACCAAGGAAGCAAAAAACUAGCCAGCUAGUUCAUAACUUGCCGCACCAACAGAUGGUGAGUGUUGGUAAACCAAGCCAUAGAGAAACUCAUGGUGCUUCAAUUUUAACUUGAUGUUUUCUAGCAACACUUGUGAUGCAUCAUCGAUGCAAUGUUUACAAUGACAAACUUGCAUUUCUAUUCAUUGUGGUUUUAGGUUCACAGAUUCUGAUCAAAUAGAUAUUUAAUGUUCCAAAAACAUUGUAUACACAUUUAAAUGCUUUACUUCAAUAGAUAGAUUAAGGUAUCUUUCUAGAUAUCAGCAAAUCACAUCUUACCAAUUUAGAUUCAGCACAGGACCUUUUUCAGGUGCUUGCCACUUUUUACUCGCAAGCAAAUACAUACAGUCAAACCCCCUCCCCCUCCCCUCCUGUUCUUGUUAUUUAUGCAUGUAUUAACUUUUCUGAAAGAAUAAAUGUUGUAGGGAGCAAAUAGUGUAAAUAGAACAUGAAGAGGCCACAAACAAUAACCCAUCCCAAAGAGAUUGUCUAGGAUGUUUUAAGCUAGGAAAAUGAAGAAGAAAACGACGAGAAUUAACAAUGAAUAUUACAUGUUAUCAUCAACUCUAAUGAGCAGACUGAUAAGAAUCAACUUAACAACUCUUGUUGAAAUAAGAUUAAAUUUACAGGCACAUCUUUCUCGGAAUAGACAACACAAUAACCCUGACCAUGCUCGACCUUGAGGUGUGUUAUAAAAUGUUCUUCCUAACUAGAUGCACUUUGGGGUGAAGUGAACUAAGUCAUUUGUUUUACACUUCCACAUGCUCUCAAGCUUUCACCUCAUACUCAAGACCAGCUGAGCAGUCCUAAAAAGAAAGAUAUAUCAUGUAGGGGUUAUCAAGGCAGACCUGUUAUUUUUAUUUUUUUCGCGUUAACAUGACCAAAUUAUAAAAUUUAAAGUUAUUUUCUUUCUUUCUUUUUUCCAUGUGUGAGCGACCAUAAAACCCAAGGAAAUCAAUUUGUUGUUAAAAACACAAUAAUUUUGAAGAAUUCGGUAAAUUCCAAAAAAGAAGAAUCAACCGAACAGCUCAUUUUUCGGCCAUUCCAGCAGUAAUAUCUCUUCCACUCCAGCUGCUGCAUAAACUAAUUAACAAAUAUCGAUCGAGCCUAAAAGAUUUGAAUUGAUUUCUAUUCUCAACUUUAAAAUAAAACUAAAAAAUAAAAUAAAAUAAAUUUGGGUUCAAGAAUUCACGGCUUGAUUAUUACAACAAUAACUGUGAAAAAUCGGAUAAUAUCAUGUAAAUUGGGGGGGGGGGGGUUGAAAAAGAAAAUAUUAGAAUCGACUGAUUGUGCGUUUCUUCGAGCAGCGAUUUCAUCGGAUCCGAUUAUAUAUUUUUUUAAUUUACUUAUUAAAAUCGAAUUGCGUUCACUAGCAGAGAUUUCAUCGGAUCGAUUUUUUUUUUAAUUUACUAAUUAAAAUGGAUUUCUGUCUCUGAAUAAUAAUAACAAUAAAAUAAAUGAAAACACCCAUAAAUUUUAUAAACAAAAGCAUGAUAGAAAAGGAAGCACCUGGCAGAAAUCUGAAGCCUUAUUGGAUGCGGCGGUUUCCGGGAGGCGGAAGAGGGAGGGAGGGAGGGAGCUCCGGCGGGGAGAGGUGAGGAAUGGCUUGUCGAAGCUUUAUGUAAUGGCCAAUACCCAUCAUCAGAACAACCUCAGGAUCGUAUAUUCUUCGAUGCAAGAGUGCCCCACACUCUAUAAUGGGUGGCAAGCUCCUUGCUUUUCACGUGAUGAUGUGCUAAAAAGAAUCCUUUUUAUUCUUAAAAUCCACCCACUAAUGGGUCGAUGAAGUGGCCACUAACAACAACGCAGAUAAGAUGUUGCUUGUUCUUACAGGGAGAGGAAGCCCAGCUCCAGACAGCAGAAGGGAGAUCGUUUUCCUACAUCUUCAUCAUUAGAACACAGCAAUAACUCAAAGCUCUACCAUGUCACCAUCGCUUUUGAUUGUUAUCUUCAGUUGUUAUACCUACAAAUCCAAGAACAAUGAAUAACUCAAACGUUAAUCUUUCUUUUCUUUUCUUUUUUUCAAAAUAGCACGUAGAACAAAAAAUAACACAAUUCAAAAUUUAUUUAAAGAAAUAAUAUAAUUCUAACAUGGUUUUAAUUUAAAAUUCUUCUCUUUUACAUUUCUACAGUUAAAUUUUUUACAAAGAGUAACAUAUAAAUUUUGGUUCACUAUUUGUUCUUGAUUAUGCCAUCAAGAAUAAAAGAUUGAGUAAACUUGAAAAAUAGUACUAUAAUCACAUUACUAUCACCAAAAAGCAAGUAAUAAAUUGUUUUAUAAUAAUUUAUUGUCAAUUUAUUGAUUUUAAUUUAUGGCUAUCUACACAAAAUAGAUCUGCUAGAUCUAUCAAAAUUGAAAAUAAUAUUGAAAUUUUUAAAACUAAAAGUUAAUAUACAAGAGAGAGCUCAGCUUGACAGAUGACUUUAUUCUUUUCCAAAUUCACUAAACAAACUUAAAGAAUUGUAUUCUGGUGCUGCUUCACUGUUCAUAACUAACAAACUAAAACAAAACUAAAAGAAUUAUAUAUAUAUAUAAAAACUAAGAGUGCUCAUUAAAACACGGUGCACUGUGUGUGAAUCCUGUGGCUUCACAGUCUGUACCGCGCUCCGUCCCUGUUUUUCGCGUUUUUUCUCGCGCGGUGGGUGUUCCCGCACUUUCUUCUCGGCUGCUGAGGCUCCCUGGCGUCUUUUCAUCGACUUUUGUCUGGUGCAUGUUCAGAUUGAGGCGGUUUGGCUGGUGCUAGGCGCGCGAGGAGAUGUCAGCCGACGGGUAAUCACCUGCCUUGGCUUCAUUGAAGCUGUCCUCUUGGUUCACUAAAACAAAUAUGAAAAACCAAAAAAAACUUCACUAAUAAUAUCAGGCUUGACCCUAUAGCUUAUGUUUCAUCACAGCAGAUUAAAUAAGGUUCUAGAUAACAUUAUAUAGGAGUUUACUUAGCCAUUCUAGUUACUAGCUUCAUGGUUAAUUUUCUUGAACCAGAAGAACCUUCCAUUUAUGGCUAUGGCUAUGCUCCAAGAUAUAUAAGUCAAUUAGUUGCAAACCAGGGGAACUCUGAAAACAUUACAAUAGCAUUUACUCUGAGUAAGAAAACUUUUAUGCAUGCACUGUAAUUGACAAAGAAAAGAAGAGAAAUCCCUUUAAUUUAUGAAAAUGCAACGAGUUAACCUUAUCUCACUCUGCAAUAUAUAUCAGUGCUCAUUGGCUACUGCAAGUGCCAGCAGUAGCUGUCUAUAUGAUUUUGGAUGUAGAGAGGUCAACAAAACAUUCAACUUUAUACUGAGAAACUAGGAAACCAUACACUAUAUAUUGUGGCUAAUUGAUUUUUGUCUAAUGCUUUUGUACUUUUAAUAAGAUCACUAUCACCUCAACCCUGUACAAGUUAAAACAAAUAGAAGGCCCCAAAUCCAACACCAUUCAUUUAAGUUCAGUUGCAACUCAAGUUUCAAAUUGAAACACCAGUGUUCAUAGCAAUAGAUUAACCUUGAAAUUUAAAGCGGAACAAGCUUCAUGCAGCCAUCCAAGAGGUCAUCAUCGAAAGAAGAUGUUACACAAGAAGUUCCAACAAAAAUUACUUCCCAGCACUUUUUAUUCCCUUGAGUUCCCAUCUUGUGAGAAACACGUGAAAAAUAAAAAAGACAAAAACGAAAGAAGAUGACAUCCUGUCAUUGCUACCAAAUCCUCACCAGCUGCAGCUCUAGAUCCAUUACCAGCUGCAGAAUCAGCAAUACUGUCAAUCAUACUGACAACGGAGCCAAUGUCACCGACAGAUGCACUAAGUGCUUUGGGAGACAGAGAUUUCACCUGGGAAAAAAAAUUACAGCAUCACCAUCUCAUUAACAAAGAAGUUUUCUUUUUCAGAAAUGUUAGUUUUAAAGAAAGAAAGGAGUAUAACAGAGGUAGAAGUUUAUGGAUAUGGAGAAGGGAGAAAGAUAGAAAUAGUAGAUAAGGGAAUACAAACUGGGAAUUCAAAUAUUAUUAUGCACCAAGCUUACAUUAAAUAGAAACAGAGAAAAAAAUUGAAACCGAGAAUUAAGCCAUGAACAUCAACGUGUGCCAUGAACAGCAACGUGUGCCAACAAACUAACCACUUCCUAAAGACUAGGACAAACUAAAAACAGAAUGAAAGCAUAAAAUAAUUUCUGAUACUUAGACACGUUGCAGUCCUAAAACAAUCAACUAACACUCCUCCAUGAUUUAGGAGCUGCAAACUCCAAGUCUUUGCCUAAGAGGUUCAAACUUGUUUGCUGGCAAAGGUUUUGUAAAAAUGUCUGCAAGCUGAUCUUCAGAUUUGCAAUAAAUGAGGCUCACUUCUCCUUCCUUCUGCACUUCCCUUAAAAAGAAAAAUUUGAUCUUGAAAUGCUUGGUUUUUCCAUGAAAAACAGGAUUGUGGGAGAUUGCAAUUGCUGCCUGAUUGUCCACAAACACCUCUGUAUCAUUUUGUUGCUUCAAAUGUAAAUCACAGAACAACUUCCUCAGCCACAAAGCUUGAUUCACUGCUGCUGUAGCAGCAAUAAAUUCAGCCUCGGCAGUAGACUGUGCUACAGUCUCUUGCUUCUUGGAACUCCAUGAGAAAACUCCUGAUCCUAGGCUAAAACAGUACCCAGAUGUACUCUUCAUGUCAUCCACUGAUCCACCCCAAUCACUGUCAGAAAAUCCCAGCAACUUGAAGUUUUGACAGUACUUGAAUUUUACACCAAAAUCAAUAGUUCCUUUGAUGUAUCUAAUGACUCUUUUUGCAGCUUUAAGAUGCACUUCACUAGCACAAUGCAUGUAACGAGAGAGAAUGCUUACAGCAAAAAGAAUAUCUGGUCUGGUUGCUGUUAGGUACAUUAGGCAACCAAUCAUGCUUCUGAAACAGCCUUCUUCAACUUUGUCUGUGUCGUCCUCUUUACUUAAGCUCUCCUUUGGAUUCAUUGGAGUAGCCAUUGCCUUACAGUCCUCCAUAUGAAACUUCUUGAGAAUUUCCUUGGCAUAUUUCUUUUGACAGAUGAAAACUUCAUUUUCUAACUGUUUGAUCUCCAUUCCCAGAAAGUAUGCCAUGAGUCCAAGGUCUGUCAUUUCAAAAAUUUUCAUCAUUUCCCUUUUGAACUCUUCAACAAGCUUGGCAUUGUCACCUGUGAUCAAAAGAUCAUCAACGUAAAGAGAGACUAUAAGCAGAUUGUCUCCUUUACAUUUCACAUAAAGAGUAGCCUCUGACAAACUUUUCUGAAAUCCUAGGCUUGACAGAUGCUCAUCUAUCUUGCUAUACCAUGCUCUAGGUGCUUGUUUCAAGCCAUAUAGAGCCUUCUUGAGCAAGUAGACCUUCUCCUCUUCACCUUGUUCCAUGAAUCCCUCGGGCUGUUCAACAUAGAUUUCCUCCUGCAAAAUACCAUUUAAAAAGCAGAUUUCACAUCUAGUUGAAACACCUUCCACCCAUUUUGAGCUGCUAUAGCUAGCACAAGCCGAAUAGUAUCCAAUCUAGCAACAGGGGCAAAUGUAUCCGAGUAAUCAACUCCAAAGACUUGAGCAUAUCCCUUAACAACAAGCCUGGCUUUGUGUUUGUUGAUGGAACCAUCAGCAUUGAGCUUGGUUCUAAACACCCAUUUUACUCCAAUAAUCUUUCUAUCCUUUGACCUAUCAACUAGCUCCCAAGUCUUGUUCUUUUUUAUCAUUGACAGCUCCUCCUCCAUCGCCUUCUGCCAUUUUGGAUCUUUAAUAGCCUCUUCAUAACCAGCAGGUUCACAAAUGGCCACAUUGCAUCGCUGAUAGAUAUCAUGGAGCGGUCUUGUUCCACGAAUUGGAAGAUCAUCUUCCAAUUCUUCUUGCCACUGUUCUGAUGCUUGCUCUUCUCUUGUUUGGGAGGUUAGACUUGAUUUUUGCUUGCUUGUGGAUGUCUCUUUUGUCUGUUCCCAAUUCCAUUUCUCUUCUUCAUUGAAGAACACAUCUCUACUGACAAUUAUCUUCCCUGUUUGAGGUUGAUAAACCUUAUAUGCCUUUGAGAAAGAGCUGUACCCAACAAAGAUGCCUGGUUCUGACUUUUUAUCAAGUUUAUCCCGCUUGACCUGUGGAAUGUGAGAGAAACACAAGCAACCAAACACUCUAAGAAAAUUGAGUGAAGGUUUAUAGUCAUACCAUGCCUCAAAUGGAGUUUUAUCCUUUAAUGCUUUGGUGGAUAAUCUGUUCUGUAAGAAAACAGCAGUACUGGCCGCUUCAGCCCAAAAAUAUUUGGGUAACUCCUUGUCAUGUAGCAUGCAUCUGGCCAUCUCCAUUAUGUAUCUAUUUCUCCUUUCACUUACUCCGUUUUGCUGCGGAGUGUAAGGAGUAGUAAGCUGGUGUUCAAUGCCAGCUUCUUCACAAAACAUAUCAAAUUCUGCUGAAGUGUACUCCUUUCCAUUAUCUGACCUUACAGCUUGAAUUUUGCAGUCACUUUGAUUUUCUACCAUCUUCUUGAACUUCCAGAAGACUCCAGCUACUUCUGACUUGAAUUUCAAGAAAAAAAUCCAGCACAUUCUUGAAAAAUCAUCAAUAAAAGCAAUGUAAUAUCGACUACCUACUAAUGAUUCAGUUCUUUGAGGACCUGAUACAUCUGUGUGGAUUAGCUACAACUUGUGAGUGGCUCUCCAGGAUGACUUUGGGAAUGGUCUCCUAUUUUGUUUACCGUAUUGACAAGCAUGACAAUUCGGUAAGUGAUCUCCAAAGGUUGGUAAGCCAACUGUGAGUUCCCUUUCCUGCAUAAGUUGCAUCCUUUGUAAGUGACAAUGACCAAGUCGCUUGUGCCAUAUCUCUGUGUUGCAAGCUUUCAUGGAGAAUGCAGCAAGUUCUUCUUUGAUAGGAUCAAACGAAAAACUUUUUCCUUUCAUUCUCACUUUGAGAAUUUCCUCACUAUUAGCAUCCAGUAUGUGACAGAAACCAUCUUCAAAGAUCACUUUAAAGCCUUUUUCAAUCAAUUGGCCUACGCUCAACAAAUUUUGAUUAAUUUCUGGUACGUAGAGAACAUCAGAAAUUGUUUUUGUGCCUGCUGUGCUGGUUAUGGUGAUUGUCCCUCUUCCUUUGACAGAGAUGUGAUCACCAUUGCCAAUUUUGACUUUAGUAAUAUCAGUUGGCCUCAAAUCUCUGAAGAGUUUCUUGUCAUUGGUCAUGUGAUUGGUACAACCACUGUCAAUUAACCAACUUUCAGUCGAACUACUACUUGCAAAGCAGGAUGCUACAAAAAGCUGAUCUUCAUCCUCUUGUUCUGCAACUUGGGCAUCAACUUCAUGCUGCUGAGCACUUCCCUUACAAAUUACUGCUUCAUGUCCCAUUUGAUUGCAUUUUGAACAUUUUGCAUCAGGUCUCCUCCAACAUUUGAAUGGAGGGUGACCUUCCUUUUUAUAGUGAUGGCAAGGAGGAUAUUUACCCUUGAAGCUUCCUUUUUUGCUUCUGUUGUUGUUCAAAACAGGAGCAAAAGAAUUUCCCUCUUGGCCUUUCUUCUCUUUCCUUUUGUUUCUGUAAGCUCCAUGAUGUUUUGCAAAUAAGGCUCCUUCAGUGUUGACCUCUUGCCUCAUAUGUCAUCUCUGCUCUUGCGCCUGUAGGGAAUUAAGUAAUUCUGCCAAGGAAAUUUUUGACAGAUCCUUGGUAUUUUCCAAGGUGGUAACUGUCGCUUCAUACCUUUCAGGUACUGUGACAAGGAUUUUUUCCACAAUCCUUGAAUCACUGAAUUCAGACCCGAGUAGCUUGAUUUUAUUUGCAAUUCCAAGAAGUCUAUCUGAAUACUCUUUAAUUGUUUCAGAUUCCUUCAUCUUUUGCAACUUGAAAUCCCGUAUCAAAUUUAAAACCUGCAUUCCUCUUAUCCUUUCAUCUCCUGCAUAUUCUUCCUUAAGGUAAUCCCAUAUAGACUUGGCUGUCUUACGGGACAUUAUUCUUGUAAAGAUUGUUGUUGACACCGCAGCAAACAAGCAUGCUUUGGCCUUUGACUUCUUCGUCUUCAUCUCCUUGUGAGUUUUGAUCUGCGUCAUGGUGGGAUUGUUUGGAAGUACAGGAACAUCAUAGUCUUCAUCCACUGCUUCCCAAAGAUCCAAAGCUUCCAAAUAUAUCUCCAUGCGUACUGCCCAAAUUUGGUAGUUGUCACCAUUGAACACUGGCGGAGCAAUUGAGGAGAAACUUGUUUCAGCUUCCAUGAUACGUCAAAGUCACACACAGAUCCCUUAAGAACAAUAAAAGCUCUGAUACCAAUUUGUUAGUUUUAAAGAAAGAAAGGAGUAUAACAGAGGUAGAAGUUUAUGGAUAUGGAGAAGGGAGAAAGAUAGAAAUAGUAGAUAAGGAAAUACAAACUGGGAAUUCAAAUAUUAUUAUGCAGCAAGCUUACAUUAAAUAGAAACAGAGAAAAAAACUGAAACCGAGAAUUAAGCCAUGAACAUCAACGUGUGCCAUGAACAGCAACGUGUGCCAACAAACUAACCACUUCCUAAAGACUAGGACAAACUAAAAACAGAAUGAAAGCAUAAAAUAAUUUCUGAUACUUAGACACGUUGCAGUCCUAAAACAAUCAACUAACAAGAAACCUCCAAAAUAAGGGUGGGGUGGAGUAAAACCAAAAGGAGAGCAUCACUAACCGCUUCAAUCAAGUACUCAAGUGGUUGCUCUGUAACAUUUGACUUGCCAGAAACAGUUGUCAAAGCACUGCCAUGAGAACCAUCAGGACUGGUAAAGUCUGCAAGCAAAGGUGAUGCAGAUAUCCCAGGAGUGCCAAUUGCAAGGGAGGGAGCCAGUGCUUGUGCAACAGAUGGUUGGUGUACAAUAGGAGAUGGAGCUUGCUGGUGUAAUUGCUGCUGCUGCUGCAUCUGUCGAUUCUGCAUUAAAUUCUGGUGUUGCUGCAAUCGUUUAAGCUGUUGUGUUUGUAGCAUCUGUUGUUCAUGCUGCUGCUGCUGCUGUUUUAGAUGCUGGUGUUGAAUCAUAUUGGAAUUCGACUGAAGGGGAAUAUUUGACUGCAGCAUACUCGCCCCACUUUGUGUUGACAAUGUGUUAACAUUGGUUGGUUGGGAAAUGCUCACGAGAUUCUGUUGGACAGAUCCUACAGGUGUCUGCUGCAAUGAGCUCAGUGCAUUUCCUUGUCCAGAAUCUAAAUUGGAGCCUGGUUGUAUUGGAUUCAUCAUGUUUGAUUGUGACAUCGAAUCCCCAGAUAAAGUUCAAAGACAAUUAUGCAGCAAGCUUGACAUAUUGUUCUGCUGCAUCUUUGGUACAGAACCUUGCAUAUUCAUUGAUUGCAACUGGGGAUUCAGUUGAUUUUCAUGGGACUGCAAUUGAGGAACUUGAGAUUGGGGUUGCUGCAUAGGUUGAAUAUGAGGUUGGGGAAGUUGUCCUUGCUGUAGAUUAGGAAUAGGCUUCCUGUAUCUGCUUGGGUUUAGAAAACCUACAAUCUGCUUCUCAUAGAAACCCAAUUUCUCCUUGAAAGUAGGUGUGAUGUUGUUUUUAGAGACCUGUAAGAAUGCUAUCAAGCGCUCCAACAUGACCUUGAAUACCUUCAGCUUUUCAAGCUGUUCUGACUUCGGUUGUUGCGGAAGAGGGUCAUGCUGGAAAGCAAAGUUAACAUACACGAGAAUUAAAAAUUGCAUUGACCCUUCGUAGCAAAACUAGUAAAACAUAAGUGAAAAAAAUGUUUCUAUUCCAAUUCUUCUGUGUCAAUGCAUGGUUGUGGGGUGGUUGGGGGUGAGGGGGGGGGAAUUAGUACAGAUGAUACAGUGACAAGCAUUGCUGAUGGGGAAAACAAAUUAAUCAAAAGCUCAACUGUGGGGGUUUAUGAAUCAUGUGUGAGCAAAUAAAUCAGAAAAAAUUACAAAGACAAUUUACCUGCUGUAACUUGGUAGCAAUUCUCUGGUACAUUUCAUUUAUUUCAGGCAAAUACGUUUCCUUCAUAACUUUGAUCUAGGAAGUACAUAUAACCAGCAAAACAUUAUCAAUCAUAUGCUUGAUUUCUUUAGGUGGCAGAGUCAGAAAGCAACAUAAGCAUGUUGGAAUAUUGCCAAUUAUGUUGCCAUUGUCAAAGAAGAUGGCUGCCAUAUGAGAGUCAAAGAGGGCUGCUGGUAUAGCAUUUGCAGCCCCUUGACAUUGUCAAAGAAGGAAGCUGCAAUGGUGGGUUGUUGGUGGCAGCCAACAACCAUUGUCUAAUGUCAAAGUUUGGUAAGUUUGGCAGCCACCAUUGUUGACAAAGAAGUAAGAGGAGCUGUCAUUGAAGCCUACAAAUAGACACCAAGAGUGCAGCACAAAAUGAGAGAGAGAGCCUUGUAGGAGAGUUACAAAAGAGAGAAGAAGAGAGAAAGAAAGAGAAGGGCUGCCACCAGCAGCCCUGCUGCCUUAUGCAGCUGCUGCCCUAUGUAGCAAAGAGAGAUGGGAGUUGAGUGGAUGUGAUCCUCCUCCAUGUGUUGUAUUCUUUCUCUAUCCCUAAUAAUAUCGAUCUCUCCCGUGGAUGUAGGCAAUUUGCCGAACCACGUUAAAUAUUGUGUGCUAGUGUGCUUACCCUCCUAUGAGCAAUUAUCAGUACAUCACCGGUCCGGAAUUCCCAACAAAGCAAACUUGAGAGAAUUGAUAGAUAAAUAAAUAAAAUGGCAGAGGACAGCAUAUAUUGUUUGAGAUUAAAAUAGCAAAGUGGAAUCAAUGCUGGAAACUCAAUAGAGAAUAUAGUUAUUGAUUGCAUGCAAAGAUGCAAAGGAGUGUGUAGUUACCCCUUCAGACAAGAUUCAGGGGUUGGUUAAGUUCAGUUACUUUUUCUCACGGCAACCUACUCACCAUUGUUUUCUAUUGUUCUCACUCAAGUCAAUGGAUGUCACGACUUUGGUAAACACUUCUUAGCUUUAUAACUUUAGAUUUAUAACCCUUAUAUCCUAAUUACAACCACUCCUAUUCCCGUUUUAGUACUCUCCCAGGCACAAAAAAAUUGACCUCAUCAAAUAUGCAAUUAUGAGUUGCAACUACAGCCAUUAAACGAUUCAGAAUUUCAACCUCGUUUUCUAUAAAAUUCAACAAUACUGGACAUGGUCAUGAUUCAAUGGAUUAGGUCCACUUAUUUUCCUUUCUUCCAUUGUCACAUGUUUCAGAACAAAUUUGAUUGUAAUCUUGAAAAUAACUGUUCACUUAACCAAAUAUAACGAUGACUAUUCAGAAACAGUUCACUCUUGUUUUCAAGUCUGUCUAUUAUAGUAAGAAGUAUUGUCAAUUGGACUUAUUGGAAAUAAUAAAAUAAUAAUUCACCACACAAUAAAUGUACGGAAAUACAUGGAAAAAAUUGAAAGGGAGAGAUUUGCAAUAGAAAAAAUUGUCGUGUCAGUACCAAGAAAAUAACCCUCUUGACCUAGAAAUAUGAAUAUUUACCUUUAAUCAUCUUAUCAGUAAUUUAUCGUUUCUUAGUUGCUGCAAUCAUGGAACUUACAAUGCUUCCUAACUAAUCACAACCAUAGCUGAAUAAAACUCCCUCGUACCAAAUUCCAGGAGACCUUUUCCAUUGAAAUCUUGCAAGACAAUGACAUACAUGAACAGUAAACUACAGAAAUUACCUUUUGGUAGAUCUCCUCUUGCCAAUCAGCACCAUUUGCAUGUCCAGUCUCUGCUGUAGAAUCUAGGGAUGCUACAAAAAUUUUGAUACAGCCAACAAAAGAUUAGAAUUCAUGUAAUUUUUGAAUGUUUUCUGCACACAAGGUUAUUUCUGUAAUUUUCACACUUGUUGAAAAUUAUGCAAUAUUGUAGGUCUUGGUUUUAUAUCUAUUUAGUAUUUUAUUGUUCCUAAAGAAUAAGGAGCUUUAAUAGGUUUUCCCUAUCCUAGAUAGGACCAUUAGUAUUUUCUUACAUAGGAAUACAAGUCCUUUUUGGACUUGGAGUACUAGGAACUCCAUCUCAACGUUAUGUAACCAUUCAAACAGACAGAGAGACCCCCCUCCAACAAGUGAUCAUUAUAUAUUAAAAAAAAAAGGCUCAAACAAUUUAUCAUGGAAGAAAAGCACAAAAGUGACGCUUUACCUCCUAACCAGGAAAAUCUUUAAAAUAAACCAUCUCAAUCAUAAAAUAUAGAUAGCCAUGCAUCACAGUCCUUGUUCCUUGACAAGUUAUGGAUGAAACACUUCACAUGCCUUACAGAAUUAGCAUCGAGGAGGUGAUCAUGAGAUUUUCCAGCAAGGUGAUGAUUUAUCAGCACACCAAACCUUAAGUGCCUCAGAGUUAGUCCACUUGCUAAUUUCUUUCUUCCCAUAAAAAUCAAUUGGCUGAUGAUUAGUUACCCUAGUGUCAAAUGCAUUGUCCAGUUAUACAUAUAUUUUUAAAAUUCAUGUCCGUUAAAUUCAAAAUGAGAGGUGAACAAUUGGUGCGAUGAGCUGGAGGGCAUGAUGUGGUAACAAACGAGUGUGAUUGCAAUGGUUUCAAUAGCAGUGGCAUCAGUAGCACAUAAAGCUACCAAAAGAGCAUUGCUGACUUGAACCAUUAUGAGAGGUGAAUAGUUGGUGCAAUGCACUGGAUGGCAUUAUGUCGUAACAAAUGUAUGUGUGAUUGCAAUGGCUCCAAUAGCAGUGGCAUUUCUGAUGCCAUAAGUGGCAGCCAUAGCUCAUAAAGCUACCAAAAAGAGCAUUACUGACUUGUACCAUUAUUGUAUUUUCAAGAAAUUUAAAUAAAUACGUUAUAAUCUAACAUGAAAGCACAAAGCUGCAAAAUUAAAGUUGGAGCAAGGCUAGAGAGCUGCAAGGAUGAGAAAAACUUACUUAAGGACGUUUCUGGAAGGGCUCGUUGAGGUUGAUAUAACUGCUUUUGCUGAUCAAUCACAUUCAGCUGUUGAAGCAAGGAGCCUGAUGCUUGAAGCCUUUGCUGCAGAUCACGUUGUAAUGGAUUUGAUUGCUGUUGCUGCUGUCCAUGUUGAAUAUUAAACUCAACAUCCAGAAGGUCAAGGAAGGCAACCACCGCCUCACCGGCCACCAGCUGUCACCGACCAGCCGCCAGCCACCAGCUGCCACCGCCUAGCCGCAUUCACACCAUUGGCCGCCAACCAUUUUUCACACCAUGACGGUUGAAUUUUGAGCCGACUGAAUUUGUGUAUAAAUAAGCAUCUAAGCUAAGGUUAUUAUAAGUGUGAAGAGAAGAGAAAAACAAUAGAUAGAGAGAGAGAGAGGGUGUGUAUUGUAAAGCUUUAUUGUUAUUGUUAAGCUUCUGUUUUUUGUAAUAAAACUUCGUGUUUUAUCCCCUCUUAGUGUUUUAAAGCCACCACCAGUGGUUUCUCCCACCAACAAUUGGUAUCAGAGCCCCGUUCGUCGGAAAACAGAAGAGUUGUGGGGUAUAUCCGAAAUUUCAAAGUUGUCAAAAACAAGUUUUGAUCAUUCCAUAGUGUAGAGCUCAUCAAGACGAACUCAACGCCGCAAAAAUCAGCCUCAUCGGAGUCCGGGGUAGCCCACACGCGCCGUCUGAUUCAGCCAGAUCGCCCACGCGCAUCCCACGCGCCCCAGGUUGAAGACGACUGAGCCACACGCGCGCCAUAUUCGAGCCGUGUAAGCCGCCUAAGCCGAGUCCAGCCAAGCCACAAGCCGAGCCGUACCCCGAGCCGAGCCGAGCCGAAGGAAUAUUCCCCAGAAUAUUCCACGAAUAUUCCCCAGCAUAUUCCCAAGAAUAUUCCCGCGAAUAUUCCCGAAUAUUCCCCGAAUAUUCCCAGAAUAUUCCCCAGAAUAUUCCACAGAAUAUUCCCGGUUCAACCCAGCGAACCGCCCCCGUACAGAAUUGGUUUUUUGACCGGUUCACCCAUUUUUUGACCCGAUUUCAACAAAGUAAGACCGGUUCCCUACUAUUUGGACCAUUCCGGAUCGAUCUACAGUGUCCGUUUGGCCAAAUUCGGCUCCCAGAAAGGUGAUAUAGUCAUUCAAAGAGCAAAAUGACUACAGAAGGUACACAUACACUCAUCCCGAAGCUGACCAAAGACAACUAUGAUAGUUGGUGCAUCAGAUUGAAGGCAUUCCUUGGGUCACAAGAGUGUUUGGAUAUUGUACAAACUGGUUAUGAUGAACCAGAAUCCAAAGAAAGAGAAGAUGUUUUACAAGAGGCACAGAAGCAAGCUUUGAAAGUCAACAGAAAGAAGGACAACAAGGCAAAGACCAUCAUCUAUCAAGGUCUUGAUGAAGAUACAUUCGAGAUAAUAGCUUCCGCUGAAACGUCACAUGAUAUAUGGGAGGCUCUCCAACAGAAAUACAAAGGUGCUGACAGAAUCAAGAAGAUUCGUCUUCAAUCUUUGAGAGGAGAAUUCGAAUUAUUACGAAUGAAGUCCUCAGAAUCUAUUUCUGAUUAUCAUACAAGGAUUAUGGUGAUAGUCAAUCAGAUGAGGAGAAAUGGAGAAGCCAUCAUAGAUACUCGAAUUAUUGAGAAAAUUUUGAGAUCCAUAGAUCCAAAAUUUGAUCAUGUUGUUGUCGCAAUUGAAGAGUCCAAGGAAGUGGACAAGUUGACAGUGGAUGAGCUUAUGAGUUCUUUGCAAGCUCAUGAGCAGAAGAUUGUAAUGCGAAAUGAAGAUAAGGCCAUUGAGCAUGCCUUACAAGCAAAGCUGUCUUUCAAAGACAGAUAUGAGCAAGGGGAGACUUCAUCAAGUGGCUACACCACUCAAGGAGGAAGUCAGCAAUCCAGAGGAGGAUUUCAUAGAUUCCAAGGAAGAGGAAGAGGAUCUUGGAAUACAAGCUUCAGAGGAAAAGGUGGCAGAAACACCACCAGAGGAGGCCGAGGACAACAAGCAUUCACUCCUAGAGGAAGAGGAGGCGGUUACAAUAACCGUGACAAGAGAAUAUCAAAUGUUAUAGCUGCAAUCAAUUUGGGCACUAUAGCACUGAAUGCGAUGGAAAGCUCCGUUGGAGAUACGUGAGCAAGCCAACUAUGUAGAGAAGAUGAUGGAGAAGCAUCUGCAUUUCUUGUCCAACAAGGACAUGGCGAGAAACAGAGGAGAUAUGGUAUCUAGAUACUGGAGCCAGCAAUCACAUGUGCGGCUACCGAGAGUUAUUUGGUGAUCUAGAUGAGACCAAGCAAGGUCUAGUUACUUUUGGAGAUACCACAAAGGUUCCAUUCAAAGGUAAAGGCACAUCCCAGUAAGUUGAAGAAUGGCGAUUCCAGCUACAUCGCCGAUGUCUAUUAUGUCCCAGCCAUAAAGCAGAACCUGAUCAGCUUAGGUCAACUGUUGGAGAGAGGAUAUAUCUUUUACUCGAAGAAUUGUCAUCUGGCAAUUAGAGACAACAAUGGGAGAUUAAUGGCCUACGUGAAAAUGUCCAAGAAUAGGAUGUUUCCUUUGAACAUCCAGUAUGAUGCAACAAGGUGUUUGAGCGCCAUCACCAACAGUGAAGAAUGGCUUUGGCACCUAAGGCUUGGACAUCUGAAUUUCACAAGUCUGAAGAUGCUAGCAAGCAAGAAGAUGGUCAAAGGUUUGCCUCACAUUGAUCAUCCAGAUGAAGUCUGUGAGAGUUGUGUCCUCAGCAAACAUCACAGAUCCAGUUUUGCCAAAGAAGUCAACUGGAGAGCAAAGAGGCCACUGGAGUUAGUACACACAGAUGUGUGUGGCCCAAUUACGCCUAUGUCGACUGGACAAAAUAGGUACUUCCUCACUUUUACUGAUGAUUGUAGUAGAAAGACAUGGAUAUACUUUCUGAAGAGGAAGUCAGAAGUAUUCAAUUGUUUUAAAGAUUUUAAAGCAAUUGUGGAGAAGCAAACUGGUUACACGAUCAGAACCGUAAGAUCUGAUCAAGGUGGAGAAUAUACAGCCAACGACUUUGAAGCCUUUGUACACAACAAGGCAUCAACAUCAACGACGCCAGCUUAUACACCACAGCUGAAUGGUGUAGCAGAAAGGAAGAAUCGCACGAUUCUUGACAUGGCAGAAGUUUGCUCAAAGCAAAGAAGCUGCCCAAGCAAUACUGGGCUGAAGCUGUAUCAUGUGCAGUGUAUACUGAAUCGCUGCCCAACCAGAAGUUUGCAAGGAUCACUCCAGAAGAAGCAUGGAGUGGUCACAAACCAAGUGUUACUCAUCUACGAGUCUUUGGUUGUGUGGCAUAUGCAAAGAUCCCAGAUGCAAGAAGGAGAAAGCUCGAUGAUAAGAGCGAGAAAUGCAUCUUUGUCGGAUAUGGUGAAAGAAGGAUGGGAUACAGGCUGUAUAAUCCCAUCACGAAGAAGGUGAUUACGAGUAGAGAUGUUAUCUUUGAAGAAGAUAAAUCUUGGGCAUGGAAUGAUGAUCAAGAAGCAGUCAGAUGGAUCAACACUGAUUUGAUCCUUGAAGGUGAAGAAGUACCAACAGUACUUAUAGAAGAACCGAUUGUGCCAGCAGCUGAACCACAAAGUCCGGUGAUUAUGCCAGCAGCUGAACCACAAAGUCCGGUGCACAGAUUCCCUGUAUUCAACAGGAGGAAUACACCAGGAGCAUCAUCAUCAACACCACCAUCAGCAUCCUCAUCAGAAGAACCAAGAAGGAUGCGGAAUCUUGAAGAGCUGUAUGAUGCCACUCAAGUUAUGGAAGAUACAAAUUUAUUUUGUUUCUUUGCAGAUAGUGACCCAUUAAGCUUCAAUGAAGCUGUCACAGAAGAGAAAUGGAUAACAGCAAUGGAUGAAGAAAUACAUGCCAUUGAGAAGAAUGAUACCUGGAAGCUGACUUAUCUACCAGAAAACAAGAAAGCAAUAGGUGUCAAAUGGGUCUACAAGACGAAGAAGAAUGCCAAAGGAGAAGUGCAAAGAUACAAAGCCAGAUUAGUGGCUAAAGGCUACAAACAGAGAGAAGGCAUUGACUAUGGAGAAAUAUUUGCUCCAGUAGCCCGGCUAGAGACAAUCAGACUGAUGAUCUCACUAGCUGCACAACAUAGAUGGAAGAUCUAUCAACUCGAUGUGAAGUCAGCAUUUCUGAAUGGCUUCCUAGAAGAAGAAAUCUAUGUUGAACAACCACUUGGAUACAUUGAUGCUGAAAAUGAAGGCAAAGUAUACAAGUUGAAGAAGGCUCUCUAUGGUUUGAAGCAAGCUCCGCGUGCUUGGAAUACCAGAAUUGACAGGUAUUUUCAAGAUAAUGGAUUUGAAAAUGUCCAUAUGAACACGCUAUAUAUGUGAAGAAAGGAGCAGAUGGCAGCAUCUUAUUUGCGUGCCUGUAUGUUGAUGAUUUGAUAUUCACCGGCAACAACCCUACCAUGUUUGACGACUUCAAACAAAGCAUGGUACAGGAGUUUGAAAUGACUGACAUUGGUCUAAUGUCACAUUUUCUUGGCUUAGAAGUAACGCAGAAGGAAGAAGGGAUUUUUGUAUCCCAAAGCGGUUACGCCAAAGAUAUUCUUGAAAGGUUCAAGAUGGAAAGCUGCAAUCCGGUAUCAACUCCAGUUGAGAAUGGAGUGGAAUUGAGGAAGAGUAAGGUUGGAAAUGUUGAUCCAACUUACUUCAAAAGCUUAGUAGGAAGCUUAAGGUACUUGACAUGUACCAGACCAGAUAUACUCUACGGAGUCGGACUCGUCAGCAGAUACAUGGAGACACCAGACCAGUCUCAUUUGAAUGCAGCCAAGAGAAUUCUUCGCUACAUCAAAGGCACAAUGAAUGAAGGUAUGUUUUAUACCUCAAGUAAAGACUUUAAUCUUGUAGGCUACUCGGAUAGUGAUUGGGGUAGAGAUUUGGAUGAAAGGAAAAGCACAACAGGGUUUGUCUUUUUCAUGGGAGACACAUCUUUCACAUGGUCAUCCAAGAAGCAAUCGAUUGUCACGUUAUCAAGCUGUGAAGCUGAAUAUGUAGCUGCCAACUCAGCCGUAUGCCACUCAAUAUGGUUAAGGAAUAUGCUGAAGUUUUUGGGAUUUCCUCAAGAAAAUCCUACGGAGAUUUAUAUUGACAAUCGAUCAGCAAUCGCAUUGGCAAAGAAUCCAGUGUAUCAUGAGAGGAGCAAACAUAUUGAUACACGUCAUCACUUUAUCCGGGAACAUGUGAAGAAUGAAGAAGUUCAACUGAUAUCUUGAACACAAAUGAUCAAGUUGCAGACAUCUUCACAAAGCCAUUGAAAAGAGAAGUAUUUAUCAGAUUAAAGUACAUGCUAGGCAUGACAUCCCUCGAUUGAGUUUAAGGGGGAGAUUUGUUGAAUAUUAAACUCAACAUCCAGAAGGUCAAGGAAGGCAACCACCGCCUCACCGGCCACCAGCUGUCACCGACCAGCCGCCAGCCACCAGCUGCCACCGCCUAGCCGCAUUCACACCAUUGGCCGCCAACCAUUUUUCACACCAUGACGGUUGAAUUUUGAGCCGACUGAAUUUGUGUAUAAAUAAGCAUCUAAGCUAAGGUUAUUAUAAGUGUGGAGAGAAGAGAAAAACAAUAGAUAGAGAGAGAGAGAGGGUGUGUAUUGUAAAGCUUUAUUGUUAUUGUUAAGCUUCUGUUUUUUGUAAUAAAACUUCGUGUUUUAUCCCCUCUUAGUGUUUUAAAGCCACCACCAGUGGUUCCUCCCACCAACAGUCCAGGCUGUGAUUGAAUCUGUGCCAUCAAUUGCUGCUGUGGCAGCUGUGAGUGUGACUGCUGCAGUGUAACCUUGGGCUGUUGCAGCAUGUGUGUUGAAUAUUAAACUCAACAUCCAGAAGGUCAAGGAAGGCAACCACCCACCAGCCGCAGCCGCCAGCCGCCUUCACACCACCGGCCGCCAGCCGCCUUCACACUUGGAACAGUUGAUUUUUUGUAUUUUGAUUUCGUGUAUAAAUAGAGUGCCCAGCUUCUAUUAAUGUGUGUGGAGAGAAUUGAGAGAAACAUUAGAGAGAAAGAGAGGGUGUGUAUUGUGAGUUUUGUGUUAUUGUAAGCUUCGGUUUUUUGUAAUAAAACAGUGUGUUUUAUCCCCUCUGAGUGUUUCAAAGCCACCACCAGUGGUUUCUCCCACCAAUAAUGUGUAGACAAUGCUGAUUAGAUUGCAUGCUUGAGUUACCAGGCUGAGGCUGUUGUUGUAAACCAGUGACAUUACUUUGAGGGCCCAACUGUUGCUGAUGCAUGCUUGAGAGGUUAUUUUGUUGAGCCAUUAACUGCUGCUGCUGCUGCAGAUUUUGAAGGUUAUUCUGCUGAACUAGCAAUCUCUGCUGCUGCUGCUGCAAGUCCCCAACAAUGUUUUGUUGUCCAAUUAACUGAUUUUGCGACAUGUUAGUGGUAUUUGAUUGUUGCCCCAUUAGCUGCUGUUGUGGAGGCAAUAGUGGCUGCUGCAUCAUUGGUGUUUGCUGCUGAUGAAUACCAGCAGACUGUUGAGGCUGCUGCUGCUGCUGCCUAAGGACUGAUUGUGGAUGUUGCUGGUGCAUUGGUUGUGUUGACUGUUGAACAGAAGAUGGUUGGUUCUGUUGAAGGCCAGAGACAGUUUGCAUCAUUGAAGGCUGCAUAACAGUUGAUGUUUGCAAACCAGAUUGCUGAGAAGAUUGCAACUGAUUUGGCUGUAACAAAUUUUGCUGCUGCUGCUGUUGCUGCUGGUGGAUGUGAGAUUGCACAAGUGAGUGUGGAUGAUUUCCCUGUUGAAGCUUCUGCUUUAAAAGCUGUUGUUGUAUCUGCUGCUGAUAAAGAUACUGCUGAGGAUUUUGGGACUGCUGCUGUUGCUGUGGAGGAACAACUUGUUGCCUGCCUGGCAUUUGUCUCUGAGAAUUGACAAACAUAUUGGAGGGAAUCCCUUGUCCCAUUGAAUUCCCCACUGGGUUCUGUGAAACACCAGAGAUACUCUGCAUGUUAGCAUUCUGUCCAACAGUGUUUGAGAUAGUCUGGGUUAAACCGGAGACAGAAGGCAUUGCUGAUUGUAAACCAGCAGAACUUUGAACUCCAUUAAAUGACAUAAUAUUCCGCAUGUUCUGUGAUAACUGCUGACGUGCUUGAGACUGAUUGGUGGGCAAUGAGAUAGGGAGCGACUGCCCUUGGUUGUGAACUUGAGGCGGCAUACUAUGAGAUGCUGUUCAAGAUAAAAGGCAAAAAGGAAAACCAUGUCUAAGGAAAAAAAGAAGGCAUUGAGCAAGAAAAACAAAUGAAACAAUGACAGUUCACACGUAAAGUUAUGAGGUAAAUAAUUAAGAUGGUUUUACCUCAAAGCAUAAAAGUACAAAAAUAAUCUGUAAUUUUUUUGAACAUUCAUCAAUUACUCAACUAUUUUAUUAAAGCAUGGUAUAUACAUAGCAAUAUGCAGCAAUAAAAUGUAAAAGAGUUUGAUAACAAUGCGAAUUAUAAAACAAAAGGUAAGGAUGUUUAGAAAUUCAAUGCUUGGCUGCAUUAUUACCUCCUGGAUCCAGGGGUUUGUUACCAUUGCCAGUGGGUAUGGUAUUUUGAGACUUGGUCUCCAUUGUAAGCAUCUUCAGAGAUAUUUUACGUAGAUAAUCAGACUGAAAUCAGAUAUCAAUAACAAAAGAUUAGAUCUCUGCACAAUCCAUGUUACAAGAGAAGGGGGCAAAGGGAUUUAUGCUCUUUCUAAUCUGCUAGGCUCUUUGUAUUUGCAUCUUCUGUGAGGAUAUACUUCUGUGUCCUCUCUUUUUAUUUAAUUAUUUAUGUAUUGAUUCGUUAUUUGCAUUUUGCACACUUCCCUUGUACUUGAAAAGGACCUUGGUCACUCUAAAUAAAACACUUGCCAAGAGAAUUAACGAAAAGAUGAGAACUUCUACAAAAUGACCAGUGAGGAAGUGUGGACACACUAUAAUGCAGAACGAUAUCAAGACAGACACAAUAUUCACUAAAGUUGGUUCCAGAAGAAGAGAAUCGAAGAAGAAUUAACAAAUGGAAAGAAAGCUAAUGUUUUAUUGUAGAGAAUAAAGAUUACAAAGAAGAUAAAACAAGUAGCCUCACACCACUCAAGAGAAUCACUCUCAUUUUGGAAUCACACCCCAAGCAACUUGUACUUGCAUCAGUUUCCUCACUCCCCAAGCAACUUGCCUCAGGCAAGUAUUGUUGAAUAUAAUCUUGAAGUAACUGAGGAUUCAAACGUUGAAUUUCCUUCUCAUGUACCCAUGUGGCUUCGGAUUGUGGUUUGGAUGCCCAUUGAACUAAGAAUUUAUUAUAGCCUCCCCUUCUGUUGGACACGUACUGAUGUGCUAAAAUAGAAUUCACGAGUUCUGGUGUAGGAACAACUUGAGGGAUUGUUGAUGGUGCAGGUUGGUCUUCCAGAAUUGAUGGAGGGCCAUGGUAGGCUGUUAGAUCUGCAACAUUGAAAAUGGGACUAAAUUGAAACUCUGGUGGUAAAUCAACCAAAUAAGCAUUGUCUCCCAAUUUCUUCAAGAUGUGAAAUGGGCCACCCCUACGAGCAUGUAAUUUGUUGUAAGUUCCAGGGGGAAACCUCUCUGGCCUCAAUCUUAUCAAUACAAGAUCUCCUUCUGCAAACUGCACUUCUCUUCUGUGACGAUUUGCAUGUUCAGCAUACUUAGCCACUUGUUCUGCCAUUUUACACCUGACGCUGCUAUGUAAUGAGGACAUAAAUGUUGCAAAAUCUAGGCCGCCUUCACUAGUCUUCUGAGGUAAUGGUAGAGGAAUGGUGUCAAUAGGUACUUUGGGGUGCAAUCCAUAUACCAACUCAAAAGGUGUAUGCCCUAUAGUCCGAUUUACAGAGUUAUUGUAGGCAAAUUCUGCUUGAGGCAGAACCAAAUCCCAACUGACUCCAUGCUCAUUUGUUAAACACCGUACAAGAUUACCAAGACUUCUGUUAAUUACUGCAGUUUGGUUGUCGGUUUGAGGGUGAAAAGCACUAGAGAAAAGGAGUUUUGUCCCUAAUUUAGCCCAAAAUGUCUUCCAAAAAUAGCUGACGAAUUUAACAUCCUUGUCUGAGACAAUAGAUAGUGGAAUGCCAUGCAAUCUUAUAAUCUCUUUCACAAAAAAAGAUGCAAUAUGGGAAGCAUCAAAAGUCUUCUUACAAGGAACAAAAUGUGCCAUUUUUGAGAACCGAUCCACCACCACCAUAAUGGAAUCAUGCCCCCGAACUGUCCUGGGAAGUCCCAAGACAAAAUCCAUGCUCAAUUCCAGCCAUGGUUGAUACGGAAUUGGUAAGGGAGUAUAAAGACCAGCAUUAGUCUUGUUUCCCUUAUUCAGUUGACAGAUCUUGCAUCUAUUCACAAUAGUAUGAACAUCCUUUCUCAUACCUGGCCAGAAAAAUCGAUCAACAACCAGUGAAUAUGUCUUGUCCUGACCAAAGUGUCCUGCUAGUCCUCCACAAUGUAAUUCUUGAAUGAUGAACUCACGCAUGGAUCCUGAUGUGAUGCAGAUACAGCCUCCUUUAGUUAAAUACCCAUCCAAGAUAAGGUAAUCUGCUAUGAAAGUGGGAGGGUUGCUGUUGAUAGAUGCCCAAAUCUUUUGGAAAUCAGGAUCUGUAGAAUAAGAGGUCUUCAUUGAAGCAAAACCUGAUGGGUUAAUUGACAGAAUAGUGGAAGAAUGAGAUCGUCGACUAAAUGCAUCAGCCACUUUAUUCUCACAACCAGUUUUGUGUCUGAUAACAAAACUAAAUUGUUGCAAGAAACUGAUCCAUCUAGCAUGUCUGGGACUCAACUUGUUCUGUGAAUGUAAAUACUUCAAUGAAUCAUGAUCUGUAAAUAAAAUGAACUCACGGUGGAUAAGAUAUGGUCGCUAGUGCUUCAAUGUCUGAAUUAGAGCAUAAAACUCUAAAUCAUAGGCUGAGUAUCUCCUUCUGGUGUCGUUUAACUUUUCACUGUAAAAGGCAAUAGGGUGUCCAGCCUGACUUAAUACUCCGCCUAUGCCCACUUGAGAGGCAUCACAAGAAAUCUCAAAAAUCUGGGAGAAAUCUGGAAGUUUCAGAACGGGUGCCUCUGUCAUCUUCUGUUUGAUAAGCUGGAAUGUUGCCUUUGCUGCUGGAGUCCAUUUAAAAACCUUGGCCUUGAGACAUUCUGUAAUUGGAGCCAUAAUGGUGCUAAAAGCAUGAAUGAAUCGGCGAUAGAAAGUGGCCAAGCCAUGGAAACUUCGAACCUCAAAAAAUGACUGUGGUUCGGGCCAUUCCAAGAUUGCUCUCACCUUCUCUGGAUCAACUUCUACACCUUGCUGUGAUAUAAUAAACCCCAGGAAGUAUGUCUUUGAUUGAAGAAAAGAGCAUUAGUUGAAAUUUGCAUAGAACUUUUCUUGUCGUAACACUUGCAGGAUUUGUUUCAGAUGUUGAAGAUGCUCCUCCCUGUGCUGGCUGAAGACAAGUAUGUCAUCAAAAUAGACAACAACACACUUGCCUAAAUAUGGCUUCAACGUCUGAGUCAUCACCCUCAUAAACGUGCUUGGUGCAUUGGUGAGGCCAAAGGGCAUCACUAACCAUUCAUACAACCCUUCUUUUGUCUUGAAAGCUGUCUUCCAUUCAUCUCCAGGUCUAAGACGAAUCUGAUGGUAACCACUUCGCAAAUCCAGUUUGGAGAAGAUGUUGGCUUGUCCCAUUGAUCCAACAGAUCAUCCAAUCGGGGGAUUGGAAAGCAAUAUUUGACAGUUAUCUUGUUCACUGCUCUGCUAUCAAUACACAUUCUCCAGCUGCCAUCUUUUUUUGGAAUGAGAAGGGCUGGUACAGCACAAGGACUAAGGCUUUCUCUAAUAAAACCCUUUUGCUCCAAUUCCUGCACUUGACGCUGUAACUCCUUAUGCUCUGCUGGACUCAUACGGUAAUGUGGCAGGUUUGGCAAGGAGGAACCCAGUACCAGGUCAAUUGCAUGUUGGACAUCACGCAAAGGAGGUAGUUGGGAGGGAAGUUCUUUGGGAAAAACAUCUUUAAACUGGUGCAGCAGAUGUUGAAGAGUUGUUGGUAAGCAUUCCCUUUCAGUCUUCAGUCCUUCAUCUACGAUCCUGCUCACCAGCAUAAACACAACUUGACUCUCAAGUAGUGCUCAUUGAAAUUUUUGAUGGGAUAAAAUCAUAGCUGGCUUGUGUGGGAACUCCAUGAUAGGAAGCGGUUCCAAAAUCAACUUCUUAUUCUUGAAUAUCAAUGAAUAAGUGUUGUGAAACCCAUCAUAACUUACUUUUCUGUCAUACAUCCAUGGUCGGCCUAGAAGAACAUGACAGACUGUCAUGGGGAGUAUAUCACACCAGACUUCAUCUUGAAAAUGAUCCCCUAGAGAAAAUGAUAGUAGGCAGCGAUGUUGGACCUUAACUGGAUUUUUAUCAUGGAUCCAACUAACACUGUAUGGGGUAGGGUGUUCUUCUGUUGGUAGGUGUAAUUUCUCCACAGCCUCAGUGGAAAUUACAUUAAGGCCACUUCCGUUGUCAAGAAUCAUGUUCAGUGCCUUGCCCUUGCAUGCUACCCUGGUGUGAAAUAUAUUUGUCCUCCUCCAUUCGUCUUCUAAGUGUGCUGCAGGUGUCGCCUGACUGGAUAACAUCCGGUGGACUACACACAAAGGUAGUUCAGAAGCUUGCAACCUUUCUUCUCCAAACUCUUCAAUUUCGGUUUCUCCAAUUUCUUGAUCUCCAGUUGAGGACUCAGGCAUGGCUUCAGAGUUCAUUUCAGAAGUAAGCAUUACCUUUCUUUCUUUUGUCGGACAUACUGCUACAAAAUGUCUAUGGCCCUUGCAUUUGUAGCACUGUGGUCCUGUUGCAUUGGUACUAGGCUUCCUUUGAUCUCCAUAUGGAAGUGCAUUCUUGACAGCAUUCACCAUUCCGCGAUCGUUGGUCUGCAAGGAUGUUGUUUUGGAAGUGCCCCACCAAUCUCUUGUCAACUGGCCUUUAGAAAUUGUUUGUUGUUUCUCCAACUGUAGAGCCAGCUGGUAUGCUUCAUCUACAGAGAACAAUCUUGUUGUAAACAUAUCUCUUCUAAUAUCAACACGUAGUCCUCUCAAAUACCGGGCAAGGGUUUGUUGAUCGGUUUCCAUGACUUGACUUCUUACAGAUAAAUCAUGGAAUUUUUCAGUAUACUGGUCAACUGUCAUAUGCAUACCCUGCAUCCAGCGAAGCAUGGCUUCAUAUACCAAUUGUUCAUAAUUGGCAGGGAGAUAUUUAGUCUCUAGACGAGCUUUCAUCUCUACCCAAUCCUGAAUAGGAGGUUGGCGUGUCCGGCUAAGUUGUUCUUCUACAUUUCCCCACCAUGCACGAGCAGCCCCUUUUAAUUUUAAUUUAACAAAUCUGACCUUCCGAUUUUCAGGUACUGAAAACCAUUCAAAAUAGUCUUCUAACGAUACCAACCAAUCUUGAAAUACAUCAGGAUCUUGUCUCCCAGAAAAAUCAGAUACGUCCACUCUUAUUCCUCUAGAAAUUUCAUCAAAGACCCUGCCAUCUCUGUUUCUAUAAUCGCCCACAUGUUCUCCUACUUCUUCCGCAUCUAUUGCUACAUUGCCUCCUUGAUUCACUCUACCCCUUCUGUGAUCAACAGUAUUACUCCUCUCUUCAAUAUGCUCCAGACAUCCAACAAUAGUUCCCAAAGUACUGGUAACUAACUCCAUUUGAUGUUGUAACUGGUGUAACAGAGAAACAGGUUCAUUUUGUAAAGGUGUUGGAUGGGGGUGGGGGUUCUGUGUAGAAGUCUGGGAAAUAUUUGGAGGAAAAGGUAUUGGAGGAGGAGAAUUUAACGGGUUCUGUGGGUUUGUUUGUUGUAGGGGUUCAGUGUGUGGGAGUGUAUGUUGAGAGGGAUGAGGUUGGGAAGGACCAGGUUCCCGUAAUCCCUGAUUGGGAUUAUAGGAAUUGCCACUUCGGGUUCCUGGCAUGGGAGAACAAAAAUCGAAACCUGCUCUGAUACCAAAUAAUGCAGAACGAUAUCAAGACAGACACAAUAUUCACUAAAGUUGGUUCCAGCAGAAGAGAACCGAAGAAGAAUUAACAAAUGGAAAGAAAGCUGAUGUUUUAUUGCAGAGAAUAAAGAUUACAAAGAAGAUAGAACAAGUAGCCUCACACCACUCAAGAGAAUCACUCUCAUUUUGGAAUCACACCAAAGAAAAGAACUGUAUUACAAUCUACUAAAUCAUACAAACAUUCUACAUUAAAUAGAAAUACAUAUUACAGUUAAUACUAAUUAACUACUUAAGAUAAGAACAAUGACAGUUAUAGUAACUGCUUCUGCCACUUGGAAGUAUGAGAUGAUCUUCAGUUAUUUGUUUAUAACUUCCACUUUUGUCAACGUGUAAUCUGGAUGUAUUCCUUUACUUGAAUUGGUUGAUCCCUGUCAGCAGUUGUUAUGGCCUUCUGCUGGUUUGGAUUAGAGUGCUAUCACUUGGAAUACCUGUACUUGCAUCACACUACACACACAUGUGUACAUGCGUAAAUCCACAAACUUAUGCAUGUGUAUAUUCAUGUCUAGAGAAUAUCCAAAUUAUUGAACCUAGCAUUAGCCGAAUACCUGAUUGGUAGCAGCAGUAUAAAUCUUUUCCUCAAACCGUACGGCAAUUUUCUUGAGUUCUUGUAAUCCCUCUUGACCAGAAAACGGAAGAUGCCUCUUUAAUGUCUCCAUUCUACACAUGUAAAACAUUACAUUUAGUUUUUAAUGACAAGGCAGGUAUAGAGAAGUUAGCAGCAGUGACAAAGAACCGUGAACUCAUACACCACACCAAUAUCAGAAAUGUAUACAACGGAAUCAUUAGCAAAAAGUAAAAACAAAUAAUGAUAUAGCCGAGUGUCGAUCAAGUAAUAUAUGGCAUCAACAUACAGACAUCUAUUUUUACUUCCUUUCCCCGUGUUAUUGCAGAGGUACAGGGUAUAGGAGUUCACUUGGCCACCCUUCUGUCUAAAAUUCUAGUUACAAGCUUCAUGGUUAAUUUUCUUGAACUGGAAGAACCUUCCAUUUAUGGCUAUGGCUAUGCUCCACGGUAUAUAAGUGCAUUAGCUGCAAACCAGGGGAACUCUAUGAAAACAUUACAAUAGCAUUUAGUCUGAGUAAGAAAACUUUUAUACAUGCACUGUAAUUGACAAUGAAAAGAAGAGAAAUCCUUUUAAUUUAUGAAAAUGCAAUGAGUUAAUCUUAUCUCACGCUGCAACAUAUACUCUACAGUGCUCAUUGGCUACUGCAAGUGCCAACAGUAGCUGUCUAUAUGAUUUUGGAUGUAGAGAUAUCGCCAAAACAUUCAACUUUAUACUGAGAAACUAGGAAACCAUACACUAUUGUGGCUAAUUGAUUUUUGUCUGCUGCUUUUGUACUUUAAGAUCACUAUCAUUUCAAUCCUGUAGAAGGAAAGCAAAUAGAAGGUCCAAAUCCAACACUAUUCAUUUAAGUUCAGUUGCAACUCAAGGUUGAAAUUGAAACACCAAUGCUCAUAGCAAUAGAUUAACCUUGAAAUUUAAAGCGGAACAAGCUUCAUGCAGCCAUCCAAGAGGUCAUCAUCAAAAGAAGAUGUUACACAAGAAGUUCCAACAAAAAUUACUUCCCAGCACUUUUUAUUCCCUCAAGUUCACUUCUUGUGAGAAACAAGUGAAAAAUGAAAAAGACAAAAACAGAGGUGUAUGAUACUAUUGUUUAACUGCCUUAGAAAGCUGCAAAAGACCAGGAAGCUGAGCUGCUGCAUGUUGAUCAAAUCUAGUCAAUAAGGAUCUCUGCUGAAGACCAAGAUUCUAGGAAUAAAUAACUGAUCAUAUCUGAUCAGUAGUUAUGCAUUUGAAUUUUGAAUUGUUUUUGUUUCCAUGUAAAACUCUAACUCUAUUUAAAGAGUAUUCAAUGAUCAAUGAAAGUAAUCUUCUUCUACAAAUUCUAUUCUGCUGUUGAGUUGCACUAACGAUUGUCCUGCAACUAAAGAAUAUAACCAACAAAUUGGUAUCAGAGCAAUAUAUCUUUCUUGAGGGACUUGUGAGUUGAGAGAAACAAAAACACAAAACCAAAUCAAACCACAAACACAACCAAAAAACACAAAAUGGAUUCUGAAACAAUUAUCUCGCAUGGCUCACCGCCAAUGUUCAAUGGUGAAAACUAUGAAACAUGGGCCAUCAGAAUGACAGUGCAUCUGGAGGCGCUAGAUCUCUGGGAAGCUGUGGAAGAAAACUAUGUUGUUCCUGACUUGCCUGCAAAUCCAACAAUAGCUCAGCUAAAGAUUAACAAGGAGAAGAAGACAAGAAAAUCCAAGGCCAAAGCUUGCUUAUAUGCUGCUGUAUCGAAUACAGUAUUCACAAGAAUCAUGAAUGUGGAUUCGGCAAAAGGUAUUUGGGAUUAUCUUAAAAAGGAAUAUCAAGGAAAUGAAAGAACCAAAAAUAUGCAGGUUCUUAAUUUAAUUAGAGAGUUUGAAAUGCAAAAGAUGAAGGAAACUGAAAACAUCAAAGAUUAUGCUGACAGAUUGCUAAGCAUAAUAAACAAAGUAAGAUUGCUUGGAAAAGAAUUUUCUGAUGAUAGAAUUGUGCAGAAAAUACUGGUUACUAUGCCAGAAAAAUAUGAGUCUAAGAUCUCUUCAUUAGAAGAGUCUAAAGACUUAACCAGCAUCUCUCUUGGAGAGUUGACAAAUGCAUUGCAGGCACAAGAACAGAGAAGAUCAAUGAGACUUGAAGAAUCAGUGCAGGGAGCUUUUCAAGCAAGAACUCAAUAUCAAGGAGGAAGCAGAAACAAGAGAUUCAUCAAGAAGAACAAAUUUCAAACUUACAGAAACAAGGUGGAAACAUUUCCACCAUGUACCUACUGUAAAAAGACAAAUCAUCAGCCGAUCAAAUGCUGGUGGAGACCAGAUAUCAAAUGCAGAAAGUGUGGGCAGACUGGACAUGUUGAACGAAUCUGCAGGACACAACAUCUUGAAGAAAAGGCAAAUCCUGUUGCACAACAAUCUGAAGAGGAGCAGCUGUUUGUUGCAUCAUGUUUUUCAACAGGAAAUAGUUCGAAUGAUUCCUGGUUGAUUGAUAGUGGAUGCACAAACCACAUGACAAACAAUCAGGAUUUGUUCAAAGAGCUUGACAGAACAGCUAUUUCCAAAGUUAAAAUUGGAAAUGGUGAUCACAUUGAUGUCAGAGGCAAAGGAACUGUUGUCUAAAUAGUCUGUCAGGUUUGAAGUAUAUUUCAGAUGUUUUAUAUGUGCCUGACAUUGAUCAAAACUUGCUUAGUGUUGGACAGCUCAUUGAGAAAGGAUUCAAAGUAAUGUUUGAAGAUCAAUGGUGUCUGAUCAAAGACAACUUGGGCAACAAUGUGUUCAGGGUAAAAAUGAAAUCAAAAGGUUUUAUUUUAAACCUUAUGGAGAAGGAGCAGAGUGUGUUUUCUGCAAAAAUAUGCAGUGAUGAACUAUGGCAUAAAAGGGUUGGACACUUUCAUCAUGCAGGGCUUAUCUACAUGCAAACACAUACUCUUGUAAAAGGAGUACCACAACUGGAGAAUGGAUCAAUAAACUGUGCAGCAUGUCAAUAUGGAAAGCAGGCCAGAAAACCUUUCCUCAUGCAACCUGGAGAGCAACACGAAAACUUCAGCUGAUACAUACAGAUGUUGGAGGUCCUCUGAGUACAGCUUCACUGAAUGGCAGCAAAUAUUAUAUCAUCUUCAUUGAUGAUUAUUCCAGGUUCUGUUGGAUUUACUUUCUUAAAUUCAAGUCAGAAGUUGCUAAUGUUCUGGAAAUAUAAAACAUGGGUAGAGAAUCAAAGUGGGUGCAGGAUUCAAACAUUAAGAUCAGACAAUGGAAAGGAGUAUACCUGUGGAAGAUUCCAACAAUUCUGUGAUGAAUCCGGAAUUGAACAUCAGCUUACUGCACCUUACACACCUCAACAGAAUGGUGUGAGUGAAAGAAAAAACAGGAGUAUCAUGGAAAUGGCCAGAUGUAUGCUGCACGAAAAAGAAUUGCCAAAGAAAUUGUGGGCUGAAGCUGCAAAUACCUCAGUAUAUCUGCUGAACAGAAUGCCAACCAGAGCUUUGCAGAAAAAAACUCCUUUUGAAGCUUGGUUUGGAUACAAACCAGACCUGCAACAUUUGAAAAUUUUUGGUUGUAUUUGUUUCAGUCAUGUACCACAGGUGAAAAGAGAUAAGCUGGACAAGAAGUCAGAACCAGGAGUCUUCAUUGGAUACAGCAGUCCAUCAAAAGCUUACAGAAUUUUCCAACCUCAAAAUGGAAAAAUUCUGGUAAGUAGAGAUGUCAAUUUUAUGGAAGAUAAGCAAUGGAAGUGGGAGCAACCAGAAGAACAGCUGGGAUCAUCAACAGAGCAGCAAGAGCAGCAAGAAUCUCCAGUCUUGGAGAUUGUUGAUGACAACAUUGAUGAUGAACCAGUAAGAGGUACAAGAACAUUAACUGAAAUUUAUGAAAGAAGCAAUAUUGCUAUCUAUGAACCUGCAGAAUUUGAAGAAGCAGUAAAGAAGAAUGAAUGGAAUGCUGCAAUGCAAGAAGAGCUUAGAAUGAUUGAAAAGAAUGAUACCUGGGUGCUGAUGGACAAGCCUUUGCACAAGAAGGCCAUAGGAGUAAAAUGGGUUUAUAGAACCAAACAAAAUGCAGAUGGUUCUAUAAACAAAUACAAAGCCAGAUUAGUUGUGAAGGGUUAUGCUCAAGUGUUCGGUGUGGAUUUUUCAGAAACCUUUGCACCAGUAGCACGCUUGGACACAAUCAGAUUGCUACUUGCAGUUGCUGCACAAAAGAAUUGGAAGGUUUAUCAGCUGGAUGUAAAGUCUGCGUUUUUAAAUGGAUAUCUGCAGGAGGAGAUUUACAUAGAGCAACCAAGAGGCUUUGAAGUCAGGGGACAAGAGGAGAAGGUUUACCUGCUGAAAAAGGCUUUGUAUGGCCUCAAACAAGCUCCUAGAGCAUGGUAUAGCAGAAUUGAUGAUCAUCUACACAAACUUGGCUUUGUUAAAAGUUUAAGUGAGGCAACUUUGUAUGUAAAAGGAGCUGAUGCAAACUUAAUUAUUGUAUCUGUUUAUGUUGAUGACUUACUUGUAACAGGGAGUAAUAAGACACAAAUUGAAGCAUUCAAGGCUGAGAUGCUUGAUGUAUUUGAGAUGACAGAUCUCGGGUUGAUGUCUUACUUCCUUGGAAUGGAGGUGAAACAAAGUGAUGAUGGAAUCUUCAUAUGUCAACAGAAAUAUGCUAAAGAGAUACUGAAGAAGUUUCGCAUGGAGAGCUGCAAGAGCACAAGCACACCUAUGAAUUUGAAAGAAAAAUUCAGCAAGAAUGAUGGAACAAACAAAGCAGAUGAAGGUCAGUACAGGAGUUUGAUUGGGUGUUUAAUGUAUCUAACAGCUACAAGAUCAGACAUUACAUUUGUUGUGAGCUUGCUGUCACGUUUUAUGCAUUGUGCAUCUGAAAUGCAUCUACAAGCUGCAAAAAGGAUACUAAGAUACAUUAAAGGUACAUUAAGCUAUGGAAUAAAGUAUUCUCAUCUUCAAAAACUUAUGCUGCAUGGAUACUCUGAUAGUGACUGGGCAGGUUCUGUAGACGACAUGAAGAGCACUUCAGGUUACUGUUUCAGCUUUGGAUCAUGUAUGUUUUCUUGGUGUUCAAAGAAGCAAGAAAAUGUAGCUCAAAGCACAGCUGAAGCUGAAUAUGCAGCAGCUACUGCUGCUGUCAAUCAAGCUAUUUGGAUAAGGAAAAUUCUUGCUAAUCUGCAUAUGAAUCAACUGGAACCAACAAAGAUUUAUGUUGACAAUCAAGCUGCAAUAUCUAUUGCAAACAAUCCAGUGUUUCAUGGCAGAACUAAGCAUUUUAAAAUUAAGUUAUAUUUCCUAAGAGAAGCUUAGAAGGAAGAAGAAGUUACUCUGCUGUAUUGCAGAACUAAUGAUCAGAUUGCAGAUGUUCUAACAAAAGCACUUCCAAAAGCAAGUUUUGAAGAUUUACGAGGAAAGCUUGGUAUCUGCUGCUGUUAAGACAAAGAGGAGUAUUGUUUAACUGCCUUAGAAAGCUGCAGAAGACCAGGAAGCUGAGCUGCUGCAUGUUGAUCAAAUCUAGUCAAUAAGGAUCUCUGCUGAAGACCAAGAUUCUAGGAAUAAAUAACUGAUCAUAUCUGAUCAGUAGUUAUGCAUUUGAAUUUUGAAUUGUUUUUGUUUCCAUGUAAAACUCUAACUCUAUUUAAAGAGUAUUCAAUGAUCAAUGAAAGUAAUCUUCUUCUACAAAUUCUAUUCUUCUGUUGAGUUGCACUAACGAUUGUUCUGCAACUAAAGAAUAUAACCAACAGAUACUUGAGGUUGCCUCAUGGCAGUCCUGCUGAUUUUAAUUAACCUUUUGCCCUUCUCUUUUUCUUUCAUUUAAAUACAAGAUAUACUAUUUUUCAGCACUUGCACAUGUUAGCAAACAGAUACUUACAUUUUGUUGACUAUUCUUUGCCGUGAGUCAGGCUGCAAUUGAGUUCUCCAAUCACCUGUGUCCAUCACAGGUUCUCCGCCUGGGGCAGUGGGCCUCCAAUUAUUGGCAUCCAUGGGGUUUUGGCCAACCAAAAAAAAUCACUUCUAUCACCACAAAAAAAAUUAAUUAUAUUGCACGUUAGAAUAGACCCUAAAAAGAAAGUCAGGAACAGCAGAAGAGUAAGAGCACAUCAAAGUCAUGAAAAUUAGAAUAUCAGUUUAUUCAGACUUGAAUAGAUUUAAAAAGAACUUCCAUCUAAUAGCAUGUACUUUAUUAAAGAAUUCUGCCAAAUAUGGAUGCAUAAAAUCUGAACAGCCAUAACAAAUAUACACGACCAUUCAGGGCAAGGUGCUAGGAUCUUGGGUAUUUGGGUAUUUGGGUAUUCAGGUAUUAUAAGCAAGAUUUGGGCCUGAAUCUUCAUGGUGCUUCUAAAACCAACGAAGCAAAAAAUUAGCCAGCUAGUUCAUAACUUGCCGCACCAACAGAUGGUGGGUGUUGGUAAACCAAGUCAUAGAGAAACUCAUGGUGCUUCAAUUUUAACUUGAUGUUUUCUAGCAACAGUUGUGAUACAUCAUCGAUGCAAUGUUUACAAUGACAAACUUGCAUUGUGGUUUUAGGUUCACAGAUUCUGAUCAAAUAGAUAUUUAAUGUUCCAAAAACAUUGUAUACACAUUUAAAUGCUUUACUUCAAUAGAUAGAUUAAGUUAUCUCUCUAGAUAUCAGUAUAUCACAUCUUACGAAUUUAGAUUCAGCACAGGACCUUUUUCAGGUGCUUCACUGUUUUUACUCGCAAGCAAAUACAUACAGUCAAACCCCCUCCCCCUCCCCUGCUGUUCUUGUUAUUUAUGUAUGUAUUAACUUUUCUGAAAGAAUAAAUGUUGUGUGGAGAAAAUAGUGUAAAUAGAAAGAGGAGAACACCCCAUCCACAAAAGAAUAAAGAAAGAAGAAGAAAACAAAACAAAGUCAUAAAACAAGGCUUUUCAAUCCCCGAUGAAUAUCAGCAGUCUAAAUACCCCAGCAAAUAGAACAUGAAGAGGCCACAAACAAUAACCCAUCCCAAAGAGAUUGUCUAGGAUGUUUUAAUCCUGGAAAAUGAAGAAGAAAACGACGAGCAUUAACAAUGAAUAUUUCGUGUUAUCAUCAACUGUAAUGAGCAGACUGAUAAGAAUCAACUUAACAACUCUUGUUGAAAUAAGAUUAAAUUUACACAAUAACUAGAUGUUCUUCCUAACUAGAUGCACAGCUACGCCUUUGGGGUGAAGUGAACUAAGUCAUUUGUUUUACACUUCCACAUGCUCUCAAGCUUUCACCUCAUACUCAAGACCGGCUGAGCAGUCAUAAAAAGAAAGAUAUAUCAUGUAGGGUUAUCAAGGCAGACCUGUUAUUUUUAUUUUUUUCGCGUUAACAUGACCAAAUUAUAAAAUUUAAAGUUCUUUUCUUUCUUUCUUUUUUCCAUGUGUGAGCGAGCAUAAAACCCAAGGAAAUCGAUUUGUUGUUAAAAACACAAUAAUUUUGAAGAAUUCGGUAAAUUCCAAAAAAGAAGAAUCAACCAAACAGCUCAUUUUUCGGCCAUUCCGGCAGUAAUAUCUCUUCCACUCCAGCUGCUGCAUAAACUAAUUAACAAAUAUCGAUCGAGCCUAAAAGAUUUGAAUUGAUUUCUAUUCUCAACUUUAAAAUAAAACUAAAAAAUAAAAUAAAAUAAAUUUGGGUUCAAGAAUUCAGGGCUUGAUUAUUACAACAAUAACUGUGAGAAAAAUCGGAUAAUAUCAUGUAAAUUGAGGGGUUUGAAAAAGAAAAUAUUAGAAUCGGCUGAUUGUGCGUUUCUUCGAGUUGCGUUCACGAGCAGCGAUUUCAUCGGAUCCGAUUAUAUAUUUUUUUAAUUUACUUAUUAAAAUCGAAUUGCGUUCACUAGCAGAGAUUUCAUCGGAUCGAUUUUUAUUUUUUUUAAUUUACUAAUUAAAAUGGAUUUCUGUCUCUGAAUAACAAUUACAAUAAAAUAAAUGAAGACACCCAUAAAUUUUAUAAACAAAAGCAUGAUAGAAAAGGAAGCACCUGGCAGAAAUCUGAAGCCUUAUUGGAUGCGGCGGUUUCCGAGAGGCGGAAGAGGGAGGGAGGGAGGGAUGGCGGGGAGAGGUGAGGAAUGGUGUCCCAAAGUGAAAUAGAUGACUUUAUUCUUUUCCAGAUUCCUUCUAAAAAAAUUAACAAGUAAACACUCGCUCGUCAAGCAUCCGCGUUCACGACCUUUUAAUGCUUUAACUCAUAUUGGCCAGUAGUGCUACAAAGAAGACAAAGUGGUAUAUCCACUUUUUCAUUAAUUACUUUAAGAUUUUUGGAAGAUAUGACACAAGAUACAGAGAAAAUGAUUGCUAUUAUCGACAAUUUCUCUGUUACACACACACACUUUGUCUUUAGCUGUAUUUUCUUACAAAGGAUCUUUAGCUAUGCAUUAGAGAUGAACACCUCCAACUUCUUGAUUUUCAGUCGUUUUCAUCCCAUUUAAAGAAGUUUAAGUUUGAAUGCUCAUUAUACAAAUUCUAAUAACAGGCAGCUAAAAGGGCUUGUCGAAGCUUUAUGUAAUGGCCAAUACCCAUCACCAGAACAACCUCAGGAUCAUAUAUUCUUAGAUGCAAGAGUGCCCCACACUCUAUAAUGGGUGGCAAGCUCCUUGCUUUUCACGUGAUGAUGCCCCUCCCUCUUUCUUUCUUCCUUUUUUUAAAAAAAAAAUAAUAAUAAUCCUUUUUAUGCUUAAAAUCCACCCACUCAUGGGUCGAUGAAGUGGCCACUAACAACAACGCAGAUAAGAUGUUGGUUGUUCUUACAGGGAGAGGAAGCCCAGCUCCAGACAGCAGAAAGGAGAUCGUUUUCCUACAUCUUCAUCAUUAGAACACAGCAAUAACUCAAAGCUCUACCAUGUCACCAUCGCUUUUUUUCUUUUUUUUUGAUUAACAUGGGUGUCCGGGCCAACUUGUGCGCACCUCGACUAAUCACACGGGCCUUGAAGUUAACAACCAUGUAAGCCUUCAGUGACCAUCAUAUGAGCAAUCUAGGGUUCGAACCUGAGACCACAGAGGGAGCAAACCUCUUGAUCCCAAGCUUUUUAUCACUAGGCCACCACCUAGAUGGUUAUGUCACCAUCGCUUUUGAUUGCUAUCUUCAAUUGUUAUAUCUACAAAUCCAAGAACAAUGAAUAACUCAAACGUUAAUCUUUUUUUUUUUUGCAAAAUAGCACCUAGAACAAGAAAUAACACAAUUCAAAAUUUAUUUAAAGAAAUAAUAUAAUUUAACUAGUCACAGAUUGCGACUCUCUUAAGAUAAAUUGGCAUGGAUAAAUUUAAAAACUAUUUUUAAGUUUUGAAUAUUUAAGUUAAUUAAUAGUAAUAGAGUACUGUUAUUGUUGCCAAUUUUUUAAAAAGAUUUAUCAUCUGUGACUCGCUAACUGUAUAAUUUCUUGAAUAAGUUUUGAACAGUUAUUUUUUUUUUUUUUGCUACUUUGCAGAAAAAUCUACUUUUCAGAAACUAACAUUGUUGAGAAUCCUAAUAUGAUUGAGAGUAUGACCAAAGAAAAAAUCAACAAAAUUGUGAUGGAAAUAGAUUUUUUAAUGCAAAACUCGGGUCAAAAUCCUUCUCGCGGCGAAAUUCUCUACUUUUAUAUUAGAUAUUCAAACAGGAAUAUCUUGAGCUUCUGAUAUUGAAAUCAAGCGAUUAGAAAGCCCAAAUUUAUCUACACGUCUAGGACUACAACUUUGAAGUAGUCGAAGUGAGAUAAAAUGGUUUUAGAGAACAAAAUCUGGUAGUAAUGUAGAUGGUCAAAAAGGUUCUUGAUUUGACAAUGCCGAGCAUCAAAAUGUGACUGAGAGUCUGCCCUAAGAACAGUGAUCCCUAGGAACCAAUAAAGGUAGGUCAAUUUUUCAAUAUGUCGUGAGUGACAGAAUAUAGCUAGAAUGAUCAGAUAUCGUAUGAAACCAAGUCAGAAUCAGAGCCUAAGUUUGAAUAAAAAAUUAUGACAGCAACAGAACCAGUUUUUUUUUAGUGCAAAUUCUAAUGGAUUUAUCCAACCUUAAAGACCAGAUAAGAAGGAACAAAUUUAGCAUUAUAAAGACUCCUGAUCAAUCUAAGAAAACAUGAUGAUUUUGGCAGCAAAGGGGAAGGAUAAAGAAAGCAGAAAACAACUCAAAUAGGGUUUCGAAAAAAUAUUUCUUUCUCUGUUUUUGUCAAUCUUCUAGCAAACAUGAGUUAAACUCCUACACUUAGUUCAAAAGAAGUAUACACCAUCUCUAGCACGUGGGGGCCAAAAAUGAGUAACAACAAAAAAUAUGUAAAUUUAACAACAAUACAUAUUAAAAGUAAAAUAUUUUUUAUAUAUUUUUUAUUCUUUCUCGUCUAUCAUAACUAAACAUGAUACAAAGACAAUCACUUUGUCUUGUACAUCACUAGUGGACACAAUUCUAUCUCAUUCUUCUUUUAUGUCUUGUCUUCUCUGUCUCCAUUGUCUCUGUCUCUAUUAUCUCGAACAGUAACUAAACGUUGCUUUAAAAAUAUACAAGUUUGCAUGCUAGUGCUAUGUUGUGGAGAUCAAAAAAACUUUAAAUAUAAAAUAAAAUAUCCAAGUCUAAAGAAACUCCUUGGCAUUGUUAUUAAACUUGAAAAUACAGUCGUUUUGAGUUUUUCUUCAUCAAGAUAAAUUUUCUUAUUAACAUAUUUAUUGUUUAUAUUGGUGAAUGCAAGUUUUUUUUUCUUAACUAGAAUCAUUGUUUCUGUUAAAAGAAUAUUGUAUAAUUUUCACAAAAAAUUAAAAAAAAUAUCAAAAUAGUAUGUUCAUAUUUUUAUGUGUGAUUGAAAAUUAAAAAAAUUCAUAAAUAUGAUAAAAUCAUGCUCAAAAUAUAUUUAAAAAUUCUAAGAUUAAAAAAGUGAUUUAAAUUAAACUUUCAUGAACAAAUGUUUAUGUCAUAUACAUAAUAAUUGAAAACAAUUAUUAAAAUUCAAAUAAAAAUUUAUAAAACAAGGCUCACGCAUCUGACCUUGCUUUAUAAUUUUUAUUAAACUCUGCUCGAAUGCUGGAGCUCUAUCAGUUGUUCCUCUAUUUUUGUUGUCUCAGCAGUAGUUGUUGAAAAAAAAACUGGAAACAUCCUCUUGUGGUUGCUAGGAGGUUGGGAGUCACAAAAAUUUACAUGACUGGAUGAUAUAACAACAACAUCCUUGUAGAAGAGUUGCCGAUGCAUUGCGGUUGCUGCUCAUUGCGAUGUCUUUGCAGAUGAAACCCACUAGCUGCUGAUACAAAGCUUGUUGAAUUUGCCACAUGUUGAGUUUGAGCUUGCAUAAAAGCAUUAGUGUAGAUUAGUUGAGUCUGUUGCAGUGCAUACCUUGUUAACUGCUGCUGCUACUGCCGCUUUGAACAAGAUUUUGAGGAAAUGCAAAAGUGCAUUAGGUAACUUGGUGCCCAUAGAUGAUGAUGAUGAGAUGUGGUCCGAAUAAACACUUCCAUUACUAGUUGUUGGUGUUUCACUAUGAGUGGAAGCUGCAGCUGCAAAUUGUUGAUGCUUCUGAAGUUGAUGGAUUUGCUGACUUCGUUGCUGCUGCUGAUUCCGCUGCAUCUGUUGUUGUAUACUUGGUGCAUUUACACUGCCAAUAGUAGCUGACAUAGCAGGGCUUGAGGUCCGAGCAGGAGUGUACCCAAGGUUAAGAGUUCGGACUGAGCUAUCAACAACAUUGUUCACAGGCAUUGUUGAAACAGAGGAGUCUGUUAAAUCUAGCCGAGAGAACACAAUUGACUGCCCACCAGUUAAUGGGGUCUGUCCUCCAACCAUAUCGGCCUUCCUCUCUCCUUCCAUAUUUGAAGUGUCACUUCCUCCAUUUUUCCCUUCUUCAGGCACACGGUAAUUCGUCUGCUGUGUUGCUUGGGCCGCAGUGAUGAAGUGAUAGCCAUGACUUGAUGCCUCUGGAGGGCUUUGGAGAAGAGCAUGAUUCUGUACCAGCAAUCAAACAUCAAGACCUGGGAAAGUUGUGGUUCCGUUGAUGGAGCAAAUGACAUUGCAAAAGGAAGAGAUGUCUGAGAUCUUAAGAGUUGGUGUUUGUGAUUAACAUUCUGAUUUUGCAUCAGCUACCGCUGCUAGUUCGGCAGGGAAUGAUUCUGCUGAUGAUUUUGCAAAUGGUUGGAUCUUGAUGACCGCUGCUGAUUCCACCUAAUUCACUCCCAUGUGGUUUAUGCUGCUGAUUCUGCAAAUGCUUCUGGGAUGACGAGGAGCCACUAGAAAUACUUGGAUUUUGAUGACCCUAUUGGCUUUGCUGUGUCUGUAUGAAUGGUUGUUGCUGUCGCUGAAGCUGUGAAGGAUGAAGCAUUCAAGAAGAAUAAAAUUGAUCCAUUGAAGAAAGACAUAGCCUGAGGAUGGGUUCCUUUGUAAGCUGUUGUGGCCCCCAACAUGUUCAGGGAUUGGAAUCUCGUACGCACCAUUCUGCAAAAUUGCCAGGGAAGUUUGGGUAGUUGAAGCUCAUUGUUGUAGCACCAGUUACUGCCGAUGUCGUGGCAUUUAUUGAAGCAGAACUUUAGCUACUUGAAGAAGCUACAUUGCUAGCAAAAGGGGAAGGCCUCACACUGGCUGGUUGGAUAGAAGCUUUUACUGCUGCAGUAGCUAUAGAGGAGACUUGAUCUUCAGGUAGACUCUAUAAAGUGUAGGAAAUUGAAUCUAUCAGCCAGACAUCAUUCCAUAAGCUAAUAUCUCUACCAUUGCCAACCAAACCACAAACUUCUUUCUUUGCAAAAUAUUUUGAAGUCCCUCGUCCUUAUAAAAAGUAAUGACAUUCCUGGACCAUGUACUGCCCUUUAAAUUAACACAAACUAAAGGCAUGUUCAAAUAUGCUUUUUGGUUGUGGAUGUUGUAGAUAACAUCUUUUCAUAGUCUUGUAUGAGUCCCCUCUUCGCAAUCCCUUUUCCAUAAAGAACUCUACAAGAAUUGAAAGUUUUGUUGUCGAAAUACAUUAUUGUAUCCAUCAUCUCCAUCGUGAACCAAAACCCACACAAGCCAUAACUGUCGAAAUACCUGGGCAGUAAUUGUUGUGCGUGGUCUAGGAUCGUGUGUGAUGCCACCGGAAGGCGAGUGAUCCAACUCUCUCUUGGGGGUGCUGGGGUUAAGAAGCAGAAUGAUAGCAGCAGAGGAGAGUAAGAGACUUGAGAAAUGAGAUCGAAAUUAGACUGCAAUCUAUCAAUUAACUCUAACUGAUUAACAAACUUUGCUAACCGAAUGUACUCCAACUAACUAACAUAAUAUUAACAACUAAACAACAGGUUGCGUGCUCCUGACGUCUCUACUUCCCGCUCUUUUUUGCCUCCCUAAGGUAGUCUUCUUCUUGUUGCAACUUCUCUGACUAUUCUGUCAUCCAGGUACGUAACAAUACCUUUCCUCAGAAAGAUUCACCUUAGUGAUAAUGCAUAAUGCUGUUAUCUAGUUGUUCCACUUCUUGGGACAAUGCAUAAUGAUGCACCUUAAGUAAGUCUCCAGGCAUCGAUUCACUCUCUCGCUCUGGCCAUCCGUUUGAGGAUGAUAGGAGGUGCUUAGUAACAACUUUACUCCCAGAUGUCUAAACAAUUCUCUCCAGAACAGGCUUGUGAAAAUUUUAUCUCUGUCAGUUAAUAUCAUGGCAGGCAGCCAUGGAACUUAUAAAUGUGAUCCAAGAAAAACUUAGCCACCUCUUGAGCUGUGAAGGGAUGGGCUAAUGUGAUAAAAUGCCCAUACUUUGUAAAUCGAUCAACAAUGGCCAUAAUGGUAUCCUUGCCUCCUGACCUUGGAAGUCCUUCUAUGAAAUCCAUGGUUAUAUCCUGCAAAAGACCACGUGGAACUGGAACAGCAUGUAACAAUUCAGGAUAAGGAACUAUUUCUUGCACUAAUUUCUUCAUAGAAGGCCAGUAGGAAUCAUUGGUAGACUUGAUGAGCUCUUCCCUGAAUUACCCUGCAGAUCCUAUAACAACUCUCCCCUUAUACUUAACCACACCAUCAGCAUAUGUAAAGCUGGGAGAUUGUGCAGCAUCUACCAGUUUACUUCUCAUUAUAUCCUGCAACAUGACAUCAUCUUUAUAAGAGGCAUAAAUCUUGUCAUACCAGGAGGGAGUUAUUUGUGUUAUGGCGGUGAACCUUCCCCCUUCCAUUUGAUUCCCUUGACAACCUUAUUCUCCUUCCCUUUUCUGUACCUGAUCCGAUGGUUCAACCCCAACAACUUAGUUAGUCCCUUCUUUUGAAUAGGAGUGUGAAUCUUCUAAUCAAGUAGAUACGUUAGACUUUCAUGAUUAGUUUGAAUGACAAACUGAUCUUGUUCCAAAUAAUGCCUCCACUUGUCGACUGCCAUUAGAAUAGCAAGGUAUUCCUUCUCGUAAAUGGAUAACCCCAAAUGUUUGACUCCCAAGGCCUUGCUAAAAAAUGCUAAUGGUCUUCCUUCCUGGCUGAGUACUGCUCCAAUUCCAGUAUCACAAGCGUGUGUUUCCAGCACAAACGGUUUGGUAAAGUCAGGCAGGGCCAGAAUUGAAGCCUCACACAAUGCUUGUUUCAGGUUGCGGAAAGCCUUCAGUGCUCCUUCAUGCCAAAGGAAGUUAUUCUUCUUGAGCAUCUCUGUCAAAGGCUAGCUGAUAAUACCAAAUUUCCUAAUGAAUUUUUUAUAAUAACCAGCUAGGCCAAGGAAUCCCCAUAGCUCCUUAAUGGAUUUUGGAACUAGCCACUCCUGUACUGCUUGUGUCUUCUUAGGAUCAGUGGCUACCCGGCCCCUUCAGUUGAAAUUAUAUGCCCCAAAUACUCCACCUGUGGCUCUACAAAUGUGCACUUGGAUCUCUUCACAUAUAGUUGGUUAGUUUUAAGCAUUUCCAAGACUUGCUUCAAAUGAAUAAUGUGUGCUUCUAGAGAGGAAUUAUAAAUUAGAAUAUUGUCAAAAAAUACUAAGACAAAUUUUCUCAAGAAUGGCUCUAGGAUAUCAUUCAUCAAGGCUUGGAAGGUUGUAGGAGCAUUCAUGAGACCAAAAAGCAUUACCUAGAAUUCAUAGUGCCCUUGAUGAGUGCAAAAUGCUAUCUUCUCUAUAUCUCCCCUUCACGCAUAUGAACUUGAUGGUAUCCUGACCUUAGAUCCAGUUUUGAAAAGAUGAUGGAUCCUUGUAUCUCAUCUAAUAAGUCGUCAAUAAGAAGAAUGAGAAAACUUGUUCUUAAUAGUGACUUCAUUUAGCUGUCGAAAGUUUACAUAAAAACACCAUUUGUUGUCCUUCUUCUUCACCAAAAAAACAAUAAAGGCAAAGGGACUAACACUUGGUUGUAUUAUGCUGUUGUGUAGCAUCACCUUGACCAUCCUUUCGAUCUCCUCCUUUUAAAAGAAAGAGCUCUUAUAUGGUCUACACUUGACUUGACUUGACUUGGAAAUAAUAAUAAUAAUAAUAAAAUAAAUAAAUAAAUAAUAUAUGUUGUAGUGAGAAAAGCUAUUGGACCACCCAAAAUGGUCAAAAAUUGGUCGAGGAGGUUAAAAAAUGCAAAGAUUGAAAUUUGAUAGUAUAUCGUUGACUGACGAGAGUCCUGUUAACAAAGAAAAUUUAAUUUUUAAAAAAUAUAUCCAAAAUCAGAUGUUUAUGGACUCAAUUAAAUUUUAUUGAGGGUUUAAUUGAAUUUAUGGAGGGUUUGAUUGAAAUAAAAACUGAAUUUUAUGUCGAUUUAGGCUUUUAUUGGAAGAAAUUAAAGUUCAAGGGUCCAAUUAUAAUUUUGAAGAGUUGAUUUGGUCAAAUCAGGGGUUUAAUUGCAUAAUUAUUAAAUUUUUAUGGGCAAUUAGGGACUUGAUUGAAAAAAUACAAAACCAAGGACCAAACCGGAAAUGAGCGUAAAUAGAGAGGUUGCAAUUAACCAAGUCAGGGGUAAAUUGAAAAAAUUAAAAGUUUAUUGAUCAAUUGAGGGUCAAAUCGCAUGAAUCCAUAACCAAAGAGGCUAAAAUCCAGGGAUCCAAUUACAAUUUAUUCGGGGGCUUGAUUACAAAAUUGCAAAACAUCCGAUGACCAAAUCGGAAAUAUUCAUUUUGAAUUUUAAAAUGGUACCGUUUCCUUGACAAUUGUUCAUUACCUUACUUCAUCAACAACGGUUUCUACAGUAAAAGGCAGUGAAGACGUUAGCGGUGGAGCUGCUUCAAUCAGGGGAGCACGUCUCACGGCUGAUAUCCCUCUCCACCAUGAUGCACUUCGGCCGUUACAACCUUCCUGCAAUAAAUCCCGAAAAGCAUGCAUCCUUUGGCUAUAAAAAGCCAGAGGAGAGACGGACAUAAAAAAAAAAAAAAAAGAGGAGGAGACAGGGAGGGGGAGCGAGCAGGACAAGAGAGAAAGUGGGGAGCAACACGAGAGGGAGACAGAAACGAGUAGAAGGAAAGAAUGUAUGAAGAGGAAAACGUUGAGACCAGAACCAGCGUUGCCAUUGUCUUCGUCAUUUCAAAAACCAGAGACGAAGAAGAAGAAGAGUGCAAAUAAGAAUUAAAUGAAAGGAGAAUCAGAAACGAAAAUAGUAGCAGAAGAAAAGAAAGAAACGUUGCUCGAUUAGAGCACUGAUCACCCUCAACUUCAUCUUCAUCUGCAGGCAGCAGCUCCAGGGGACGUUUGAGAGGACUAGAGAGGGAGAAAAAGAAUAAAACAGGGAACAAGAGGAAGAACAGAGCAGAAGAGAAAAAAAGCAGAAGGGAAACGCAGAGAAAGAAAGAAGAACCACCAGCCAGUUAGCACCAAGAUCUACAACCGCAACACCGUCCACCGCCACCGGCAGCACUGCUAGGCCGCAGGUCUGCUUCUUCCUCCUAUUCUUCUUCAUCUUCUCCAGCCCGCUCCACUGUUCACAUUGCAUGUGAAUAAUGGAGAGUCUCUCCGCUGUUUGUUUUAGUUUUCUGGGUUGGACAAUGCUGACCCAGCCUAAAAUGAUUGAUGGGGCUCGGCCCAAUAAAAAAAAACAAUUUUUUAAAAAAAAUCAUAGCUUUUUAUAGCCUAAGCGUACAUCCUCAUCUCGUGGGAAAAAUUGCAUGAUAACAAUGGUAUCACUAACCCAUCUCGUGGUGGAUAAUUUGUUGCAAUGUCCAUCUCCAUCAAAAUCCUUUUUGUUUUGAAAAGGAUUAUAUAUACACCCACUCAAUGAUCACUUAAUAUUUUUAUAUUAUUUUUCAAGUUUUGAGAUAUAAGUUCAUAGCUUUUAAAGACAACAAAUAUACCACAAGAUUUUAAACUAUUUCAUAUUUCAUUAAAAUAAAUAAAUAAAUUACUUAAAUGGUUACAAUAUUUUUUUUCUUAAGAAAAUAAUUUGAUUUCAUGUGUUAAUAACAUUUAAGGAUUUCUUCCAAUCAAAUAAUCAAAUUUAUUUUAAUUAAAAAGUUUCUAAUCAACAACAACAUUCCCUAUUAAACCAAAGUAUUUCCACAAACCCAUCUCGUGAAAAAAAUGCAUGAUGGCAACGGUUUCAGGGAUCAAUAUGCAGAUGAAAUUGGUCUCAUGAACUCAUAAAUGCUUACGGGGCAAUGGUCUUAGAGACCAUCUCACUAGAGUGGAAAAAAUGCAGAUGACAAAAGUCUCACAUACCCAUCUCACACUAUAAAUUCCCAUCCAUCUUACUUGUUGGUUGUAUUACAAAAAUUAAACUCUCUAGAAAGAAAAAGAAGAAGACUUUUUGUCAUGAUAAUGACAAGUAUUUUAGAAAUAAUUCAAUAUAUAAAAAGACACUAGAAAUGACAUUUUGUAUGAAAUUAUGAAUUUGAAUAAAAUUAUGAAAAUAUCAUUGGUAAUUUCGCAAAGUUUUAUAAACUCUGAUUGCAUUAGAAUUUUAGUUUGUGAUAUAAAUACAUGUUAUAAAGACUUCUCAUAAAAUUAAGAAAUAUAAUUGAUACUGUAAAAUUAAAAAUAAAAUAUUAUUUGAUUAUAAUAAAAUGGCUGGAAUACUAGUGAGAAUUUAGGUGAAGUUCAUAAAACAAAAUAAGAUUUCGAAGAUGAAAUAUCUUCUAAUUAUUCUAUUUUUUAAAUUGAAAUAAAAUGUACCUGUCAUACGCGCCCCAUCUCGUGGAAAAAAACAAUAGCUUUUACAGCCCCAAGCAUACGGCUCCAUCUCGUGGAAAAAAUUGAAUGAUGACAAUGGUGUCACGUGGAUAAUUUGUUGCAAUGUCCUCUCCAUCAAAAUCCUUUGAAAAGUUAUAUAUAUAUAUCAUGGCCGUGUUCGAAAAAUCACAUGAGAAUCGCACAGUUUCGUUGAUUAAUCAAACAAUUAAUUAAUAAAUAAAUAGUAAAAUGGUAAGACCAAGACUUGUGACUAUGACUGGCAAUGACAGGUUUGGCCCUUCACAUGACAGGAUAAAUUAAAUUAAUAAAAAGCUUGUUGACCAGUAAUCACUCUUUGACAAAUCUCGAAAUUAACAAAUCAAAUGCAAACACACCACUCAAACUGGCAAUGACAUUAAAUUAAUAAGUGCUUAAUUGAUAUGACCUGAUCAAUUUGAUGAAUCCAAAGAUAGUUUAGAUAACUGGUAAAAAUAUAAUUUUACUUAAAAAAGUUUAAGAUAACAUAUUUUUUUAAAACAUUAUUGAGACAACAACAUAUUGGGAUCGACCCGGGUCAAUUUGGGUUAAUCUUUUAAAUCCAUGACCCAGGUUAUGAGACCAUAAUAACCUCAAAUAAAAUAAAUCAAAACAAAUUAUGAAUCUUAAUUUUCAAUGAACUUAUUGUUGAAUUAUGAAAUUGAAAAAAAACAAUCAAUCUAAAAAAAGAUAUAAAAAAUGACAUUUCGAAACAAAAUUAUGAAUUUGAAUAAAAUUAUGAAAAUAUCAUCGGCAAUCUUGCAAAGUCUUUCUAAACUCUGAUUGCAUUAAAAGUUUAACUUGCGAUAUAAAUAUAUGUUAGGAAAUUCCUUAUAAAAUUUUAGUCUAAUUCAAUAGUCGCAUUGAGAGAUAUGAUUGAUACUAUAAAAAUAGAUUAUAUAUUUUUUUUUUAUAAAAGCAAAACAAAAUAUUAUUUGAUCAUAAUAAAAUGAUUGGAAUAUAACUAAAAUAUUUUAGUCAAAUUUGGGUGAAAUUCAUAAAACAAAAUAAGAUUUUGAACAUGAAAUAUCUUUUAAUUUAUUCUAUUUUUUAAAUUGAAAUAAAAUGGACUUAUCAUUCUAGACGUGACAUAAUAAAAUUAAAAACUAUAGCUUUUAGAGCUCCAAGCAUUCGGCCCCAUCUCUUGAAAAAAUUGAAUGAUGACAAUGGUAUCACGUGGAUAAUUUGUUGCAAUGUCCUCUCCAUCAAAAUCCUUUUUGUGUUGAAAAGUUGUAUAUAUAUAUAUCAUUCAUGGCCGUCUUCGAGAAAUCACAUGAGAAACGCACAGUUUCGUUGAUUAAUCAAACAAUUAAUUAAUAAAUAAAUAGUAAAAUGGUAAGACCAAGACUUGUGACUAUGACUGGCAAUGACAGGUUUGGCCCUUCACAUGACAGGAUAAAUUAAAUUAAUAAAAAGCUUGUUGACCAGUAAUCAUUUUUGACAAAACUCGAAAUUAACAAAUCAAAUGCAAACACACCACUCAAACGGGCAAUGACAUUUUCCCUUUUCUAUGUGCACUGCCAAACAGUCCCUUUACAUGUCAUUUUCACCAUCCCUCUCUUUUCCACGUGCUUUUCAGGAUUCAAAAUACGUGUUUAGGAAUAUUGAUGAAAAAUUAAAUACAACUAGAAAACAAAUACAGUAAAGCAUUCCCAAUUAAACCAAGUAUUUCCACGAACCCAUCUCGUGGUUGGAAGAGGAUGUCUCACAGCCUCUCCUCGAGAAAAAAUGCAUAAUGGCAAAGGUCUCAGCGACCAAUGUGCGAAAUGUUUUCAUGGAUCCAUCUUGUAGAAAAAUUGCUUGAUAGGACCAUCUCACUGCCUUUAUCAUGGAAAAAAUGCAUGAUGGCAAAGGUCGGAAAUGUUCUUAUAGACCCAUCUCGUAGAAAAAUUGCUUGAUAGGACCAUCUCACUGGCUUUUAUCAUGGAAAAAAUAUAGAUAGCAAUAUAUAGUUUUAUAGACGCAUCUCACACUGCAAAUUUCUAUAUAUCUUACUUGUUAAUUAUGUAAUAAAAAAUAGACUUUCUAGAGAAAAAGAAAAAGAAAAAAAGGAGAAGACUUAAUGUCUUGACAAUGACAAGAAGUUUUUUUAAAAUAAUAUCAUUUGUGGUUCAUUUUAUCAACGAUAGUGGUUUGAUUUUGCCAUCGCUAUCAAAAUUAAAGCAUGAUUUUCCACACGUUAUUUUCAUAAAAAAAAAUAGCAAGUCUUCUAUAUCCGUCAUUGUCAUGCAAAGUGAGCUACAUAGUGUUAACCUUUGAUUCAUAUUUUUCCUUAAAAAAAACUGACAUGGGUACAACUUUAUAAGAAGGAAUGCAAGUUUUUGGUUAAUUACUUUUAUGCAAUUCAAUUUUUUUUUUCUACAAUGUGGUUUUAAUUAGUGUUGUUAAAUUUAAUUCAAACCUAAUAUUUUAAUCUGGAAUCUAAACCGAUUUAGGUUUAGAAAAAAUCAAGUGAGAGUUGACCCAAUAAAGCGUAAUCGACUAGAUAAAUCAACUCACAACCUAGUCAACUCAAUCAAAAACUAAUUUUACUUUUUUUAACUACGUGAUUUUGAUUUUUCUAAAAUAAUCUUAAAAUGAUAAUAUCUUUUAUUAACAUUAGUCAAUAAGCUAACUUGUUAUCUAUAACCCAAAUCUUGAUCCGAGUAUUAAGCCAAUCUAUGGCCUAAACCCUCAUCUAGGUAUUAAAUCUAACCAUGUUUAAUAACUUUGGUUUCUUAAGAAAAAUGUCAUGUAUAAAACAUCUAUUUGCAUCCAAAUUGAAACAUUCACAAAUUCAUAUAAUAGUUAUUAAUAUUUAUUUUUAAUAUAUAUAAAAUAAAAAAUUUUAAUAAUUGAUUAAUAUUGUUAAACCAUGAAUAUAUGUUUUUAUAGUUUUUUUUUUCAAUUUUAUUUUUUAAUAUUGAGUUUGCUUAUCCCGAUCUCAUGAUGCAGGUCAUAGUUUGGAUGAGUUAACUAUAUAUGUGUGUGUGUGUUAUUACUUCCUCUCUUGUCUGUUUUUCUUUUUAUGCUAGAUAACCUCUAAUUUUGGAUAUAACACCUUUCUAUAAUAAUACUCGACUAUUAUAUAUAUAUAAAAAGAACCAGAAGCAGAAAUAACAUAGCGGAUUGAUUGUUAUAGGUAAUGAGUUAUUUAGUUAAUUUUUAAAAAAAUUAGGUAAAAAUAAUAAUUGUAAAUUAUAGUUUGUUUAAAUGAUGAAUUUGAGUUAGAAAUCUUGAUACAUCAGUAGGUGAUUUGUGAAAAAUUUGGGUUUGAGGUUGAAGAUGAUAAAAUUCAGUUUCGUCUCUCAAUUUGUGAAAAUUUAAGUUAAUCCCUAAACUUUAAAAAAAUUACAAAUUGGUCCCAUGCUGACAAUAAAUGCCAUAGCUUCUGGUGUUGCCUUUGACGCUGCCAUUAAAAGGCCUAAGCAUACCAGCUAGACCCAGAAAAUUAAAUAACAACAAGAGGGUGAGCCUUUCCUUGACGAAUAUCCUCAAUGGCCUCUGGGAUCGAAGCAAAUACGGUGGCCACAAUUUAUUGUUAGCACGUGUUUGCAAUUUGCAACAUAUAUUUUGAUGAGCUACUUGUAGAGUAAGGCGCUGUUUGUGUUUCUAGCUUUAGGUGAUUGCACCAAACAUAGACUGAACAAAACGGACAGACAGUGGUGGAAAAAUGCAUGAUGGUUGGAAGAGGUCUCACGGCCUCUCCUCGAGGAAAAAUGCAUGAUGGCAACGAUCUCAGGACCAAUGUGCAGAUGAAAAUGAUCUCGAGUAAAAGCAACGCUACAGGGAACCAAUGGGCAGAUGACAAUUAAUGGUCUCAUGGACUCAUAAAUACAUGAUGGUAAUUGUCUGUUGAACCCAUCUUGAGGGAAAAAAUGCAUGACAGCAAUAUACCACAAGAUUUAAAAUUAUUUUAUAUUUCAAUAAAAUAAAUAAAUAAAUUACAUAUAUGGUUACGAUAUUUUUUCUUAAGAAAAUAAAUUGAUUUCAUGUGUUAAUAACAUUUAAGGAUUUUUUCCAAUUAAAUAAUCAAAUUUAUUUUAAUUAAAAAGUUUCCUAUCAAUAACAGAAUUCCCAAUUAAAUAAAAGUUUUUCCACGAACCCAUUUCAUAGAAAAAAUGCAUGACAACGGUCUUAGGGAUCAAUGUACAGAUAAAAAUGAUCUCUCGGACUCAUAAAUGCAUGAAGAUAAUGGUCUCCAAUGAGCAGAUGGAAAUCAUCUCACGAACUCAUAAAUGCAUUUGAAAAAAAAAACCUCAUUUUGCGUAACUGUUCCAAUGUCUUUUUAUUAUUGAUGUAUGUUUGACAUUUUUAAUAUCUAAGAAGAGCACACAUAAAGGUUUAUGAGGAUGCCUUGGGAGGAGCAUCAUGCAACUUCUAACUGAGCAUUGAAUGUCAUAAUGAGAAAGAUUGGCGGUCAUUGCACACCCAGGAGAAUGCUUUAUUUAUUUAUUAUUAUUAUCUUUCUUUCAAAAGAUAAGGUAAUUGGUUGUCGUGUGAUUUUUAUAUGGCUUGUGUGUUUUGACUUUUAGCAUUCUUUUAGAUUGGCUUGUGGUGCUCCUCCAAGAUUCUGCAUAAGGAAAUCACAAGGAUAUCACUGCAUGGUUGUGUUUAAAAAUCAAAAUGACACACAGCAAGUCAAGCAUCCGUGUUCACGACCUUUCUUGGCAAUAUCCAUUGUCUCAUCAAUUACUUAAGAUUUGUGGAAGAUAUGAUACAAAAGAUAAGAAAAUAAUUGCUAUUAUCGACAAUUUCUCUAUUAUAUAUAUAUAUAUAUAUAUAUAUAUAUAUAUAUAUAUAGGCGGAGUUUCAUGAAUCUUUUCAUUAGAUAAUCAAUAAUAUUUUAUAUAUUAUUUUUGGAGAAGUAACUCAUUUUCACACCCCAUUUGCCACCCUGCUUUUUGGAGAAGUAACUCAUUAGAUAAUCAAUAAAGUUUCUUUUUGUUCAUUUACCACUAGUUUACACUUCAAUCAAAAACUAAAUUUACUUUUACUACUAUUUUAAUUUUUUAAAAAUAUUUUAUAUUGUUUAAUGCAUUAAUUUCAAGAAAUAAAUUCCUUUUAUCUUAAAAUCUGGAAUUGAAAAACCAGAUUUAUUUUAUAAUUAGGGAGAAAACUAGAAAAAUUGACUAGUCUUUUCAUUCUAAUAAUAUAAAUGGUAUGUCUUUGACUCAAUUGAAAAAAAAAAUUUAAUAUUGAAAUGUAAUAAAAACAAGUCAAUAAUACCUUACCGAACAUAAAAACAAAAGUGUGUGUGAAUAUAUUAUGUAUUUGAAGUUUUUGUGUAUAAUAUUAUAGCCACACAAUCCACAGGGAUAAGAUUUAUAAUUAUUCCAUGUUUAUUAUUAUUGAUAAUUUAUGUAUUUAAUUAUAUAUAUGAUAGUGAGAUGACACUAUGUAAGUAGGCUUCUAAAUGAUUCUAAAUUAUGACGAGAAAAAUAUAAUUAUAAAGUUAAAAAGAUUUUACGUGGAAUUACACACGAAUGUUCAAUAACAAUGAUUAAGUACUGCAACAAUUAUUAUUUUUAUUUUUUUAUAUAAAUUGGAUAAUUAGUAAGCAAAAGGUAAUUAAAUGCAAAUAGACUAAGUGCUUAACAAUAAAAUAAAAUAAUAUUCAAAUACAAGAAUAUUCCAAAAAAAAAUUAAUAAUAAAGAAAACAUCUCAAAACGUAGAAUCUGCACAGGAUAUGCAGAUAAAGUCAUGGAAAUGGCCAGAGCGUAGUAGAAAUAGGACCUCCAUGGUUGCCCAAAGGCACAUAACAAACAGCAAUAUUCUACGUAGUAGUUCAUAGAAUUAUCUAAGAUGAUGAUGAAAAUAAUGGGGGCUUGGAUGUUGCUAGCAUUAUUGACUUUGGUUGGCGAAUGGUCUGGUCGUUGUUAUGGGUGUUUGGAGGAAGAGAGGAUUGGUCUCUUGGAGAUCCACUCUUUGAUCCACUCUUUGAUCGACCUAGAUGGCUUUUCCUUGAGAGAUUGGGUGGACAGUAGUAAUUGUUGUGAGUGGCGUGGGAUCAAGUGUGAUAACACUACAAGGCAAGUGAUCCAACUCUCUCUUUAUGGAGUAAGGGGUUUCCGCAGUCAAGUUGUGGUCAAAUAUCUAGUCUAUGUACUAAAAUAAGUGGCACUCAAAGGUUCACAUAACAUUUUCAUUUUGGUCCUUCGUUAAUUUAAUGGCAUUGCAAAGGGUUGAGAAUUCACAUAUCUCCUGAUGGAAGAGGUCCUUGCUGCUAAGACAUUGUCUUUUAACUCUAAACAUUAUUUUUCUGGUGUUGGAAUUUGCUUCGCAUAACGGAUCGUUUGUAGAAAAAAGAACAACAUUCACAAUCUAUGAAGAUAAGUAUCGUAUCAUCCUCGGAUUUCAUAAGCUGACUAGCAUUUCUAUCCUGCGUGGCAUGUGUCCGGCGUUGUACCAACAGGAACCGCUCCAUCAAACUGCCGCCCACUCCCUCAAAAUUAUUCUGCAAGUCUUCCUCUCCAACAAACUCAGACGCAUCUAAUCCAUUCCAUUUGGCUUCUCACAAUCUGUCAAGGACACAAUUAAUGCUGGAGUCGCCGAAUGUGCAGAUGUCAUCACUUCUGAUUGAUCAACUGAACUAUAAGUCCACGGGACAGUGUAGACAUCUUUGAUUUCAGGAAACCGGACCUCAUCUGGGACAGAAUCUGCAAUUAAAUUAGCACUUUAAAAUCAAACCAAGAUAAAGGUUUCUUGAAAAGAUCAUAUCCAUUAGAUAAUAUAAAUGGAGAAGUUAGUGACGUACCACUGAUACAGUGAACGCAGUGCACAGUUUUCCUCAUUCUUCUUAUGAGUUACCAUUAAUGGAAGCUCACACACACUAUACCAGUCCCAUGCUUGACAAUAAAUGCCAUAGCUUCUGGUGUUGCCUUUGACGCUGCCAUUAUAAAGCCCCCCUCAUUUUCUCUUAAUUUCUUCAUCAUCAACAACAAUUACUAACUGCAGAGUAUCAUCACACAUUCGUAACAUAAAGCCUUUGAAGUAAUGAUGUAAGGCCUAAGCAUACUAGCUAGACCCAGAAAAUUAAAUAAUAAAUCAAGAGGGUGAGCCUUUCCUUGACGAAUAUCCUCAAUGGCCUCUGGGAUCGAAGCAAAUCCUCUGGCCACAAUUUAUUGUUAGCACGUGUUUGCAAUUUACAAUAUAUAUUUUGAUGAGCUACUUGUAGAGUAACCAGUUUUGUAUUCUUGCUCAUUUUCAAUUUGGUUUCGGUAUCGUGUUUUGUAAUUAUUACUUACUGCUGGUGUUUUGAAUUAACUAAUCAUUUUUUCCCUCCAACUUCCCAUAUCUUUUUGUUGGAAGCUCCAUCUGUAUAGCAUUCUAUUUUUUUUUUUUUUGCAAAGAAAAACCUCGUUUUGCAUAACUGUUCCUAUGUCUUUUUAUUAUUGAUGUAUGUUUGAAAUUUUUAAUAUCUUAAAAGAGCAUAGAGAAAGCAGGUUUAUGAGGAUUCCAUGGGAGGCUACUGAUUUUUGCUCCCCAAGAGCAUCAUGCAACUUCUAACUGAGCAUUGAAUGUUAUAAUGAGAAAGAUUGGCGGCUAUUGCACACCCAAUAUAAUGCUUUUUUAAAAAAAAAUCUUUUUUUCACAAGAUGAGGUAAUUGGCUGUUGUGUGAUUUUUAUAUGACUUGUGUGUUUUCUUUUUUUUUUUAGUUUAACGUGGGUGUCCGGCCCAGCUUGCGCACACCUCGACUAAUCCCACGGGCCUUGAAGUUAUCGAUCAUGUAAGUCUCCAGUGGCCAUCAUAUGAGCAACUCAGGACUCGAACCUGAGACCACAGAGGAAGCAAACCUCUUGCUCCUAAGCUCUUACCACUAGGCCACCACCUAUAUGGUUUACUUGUGUGUUUUAGAUGGGCUUGUGGUGGUCACCCUAGAGAGAAUGUCACUUUUAGCAUUCUUUUAUAUAAGGUAAUUGGUUAUGUUUAAAAAUCAAAAUGCCACACACCAGAAAAGUCAAUUACUUAAGAUUUGUGGAAGAUAUGAAUGAUACAAGAGAUAAGAAAAUGAUUGCUAUUAUCAACAAUUUCUCUAUUAUUAUAUAUAUAUAUAUAUAUAUAUAUAUAUAUAUAUAUAUAUAUUUGGAGAAGUAACUCAUUAGAUAAUCAAUAAAAUUUCUUUUUGUUCAUGUACCACUAGUUUACACUUAAGUCAAAAACUAAAUUUACUUUUACUACUAUUUUAAUUUUUAAAAAAUAUUUUUAUAUUGUUUAAUGCAUUUAUUUCAAGAAAUAAAUUCCUUUUAUCUUAAAAUCUAGACUUGAAAACUAGUCUUCUCAUUCUAAUAAUAUAUAUGGUAUAUCUUUGACUCGAUUGAAUUGAAAUGUAAUAAAAAUAAAUCAAGAAUACCUUUCCUAACAUAAAAACAAAAGAGUGUGUGUGUAUGUUAUGUAUUUGAAGUUUUUGUAUAUAAUAUUAUAGCCACACAAUCCAGAGAUAAGAUUUACAAUUAUUCUGUGUUUAUUAUUAUUAAUAAUUUAUGUAUAUAUAUAUAUAUAUAUAUAUAUAUGAUAGUGAGAUGACACCAUGCAAGUAGGCUCCUAAAUAAUUAUAAAUUAUGACGAGAGAAGUAUAAUUAUAAAAUUAAAAAGAUCUUACACGGAAUCACAUACGAAUGUUUGGUAACAAUGUUAAAGUAUUGCAACAAUUUUUUUAUUUUAUUUUUUUAUAAAUUGGAUAAUUAGUAAGCAAAAUGUAAUUAAAUGCAAAUAGACUAAGUGCUUAACAAUAAAAUAAAAUAAUAUUUAAAUCCAAGAAUAUUCCAAAAAAAAAUGAAAUAAAGAAAACAUCGCAAAACAUAGAAUCUGCACAAGAUAUGCAGAUAAAGUCAUGGAAAUGGCCAGAGCGUAGUAUAAAUAGGACCUCCAUGGUUGCCCAAAGGCACAUAACAAACAGCAAUAUUCUACGUAGUAGUUCAUAAAAUUAUCUACGAUGAUGAUGAAAAUAAUGGGGGCUUUGAUGUUGCUAGCAUUGCUGACUUUGGUUGGCGAAUGGUCUGGUCGUUGUUAUGGAUGUUUGGAGGAAGAGAGAAUUGGUCUCUUGGAGAUCCAGUCUUUGAUCGACCCAAAUCACCUUUCCUUGGGAGAUUGGGUGGACAACAAUAGUAAUUGUUGUGAGUGGUAUGGAAUCGAGUGUGAUAACACUACAAGGCAAGUGAUCCAACUCUCUCUUAGUGAAGCAAGGGAUUUCAGCUUGGGCGAUUGGGUUCUCAACGCAUCUUUGUUUCUGCCUUUCAAAGAAUUGCAAAGUCUUGAAUUGGUAUAUACUGGAUUGGUUGGCUGCUUGGAGAAUGAAGGUUAGUUCAAUGUUUCUGCACUUAAUUAUAAUCAUAAAAUAAAUGAAGGUUGGUUGGUGUUUAAUGUCAAUUAUCUUGCUUUGAUGAUUCUCUUCCAGGCUUCCAAGUCCUAUCAUCAAAACUGAGGGAACUUGACCUAAGUUUUAACCGAUUUAAUAAUGAUAAAAGCAUUUUGUCAUGUUUCAAUGGUAACCUUUCCACUCUCAAGUCUUUGGAUCUAUCAGACAAUGGGUUGACAGCUGGAUCAGGUAGCUUCUUUGGUAACCUUUUAAUUAUUUAGCUUUUAUGGUAACCUUCUAUGUUUCAACGGUAACCUUUCCACUCUCAUAUCAUUUAUAUGCUUUUGAGGAACAUCAUGCAGGUUUCAAAGUCUUGUCAUCAAGGUUGAAAAAGCUGGAGAACCUUCAUCUAAGUUGGAAUCAAUGCAACGAUAGUAUUUUUUCAUCUCUAACUGGAUUUUCAUCUCUCAAGUCUUUAGGUCUUUCACACAAUCAGUUGACAGGAUCUGCUAGUAUCAUUAGUAAGUUACAUAUAAUUUCUACCUGACUGCUUUACGUGACAUUCUUUUACACGGUUUCUUAAUCAAGAAAAUUGAGGACUUUAUAUUUAUUUAAUAAUUAAUCAACGAUAGCAUUUCAUCAUGUUUGAUUGCGCUAGCUUUCAUCCAUGAAGAUUUAUAUCUAUAGAGCUUAAUUUUAUCUUAUCCAUAAAUUGUUUUUCUAAUAAGACAUGAAGAGAUUAAAGUGAGCUAGCUGGAUCAAUACUAGCGAGGAUGAUUAAAAAAUACAUGUAUAGAAUGGAUACCAAGUUAUCAAUUCUAAGUGGGCUUUCAUCCCUCAGGGCUUUUAAAAGAUGAGGACUUUAUAUCCAUGAUCUAUUUUAUCACAACUCGAGCUCUAGUUUCAUAAUCGGCAACGUAGUAGUAGUGUUGAAAGGACAUUCUAUCUAUGCUAAGCCCCAUAACAAACAUAUUAAAAGAAUAAAUUAUUUUAAAAUACAUAGUAUUUCAUAAUCUUUAAAAAUAUUAUAUUAUUUAAAACAAAUAAAACCAAAUGAUUGUUCAAAACUUCUAAUUAAUAAUUAACACAAAACACUCAUUAUAUUAUCAUGAAAAAUGAGGACUUUAUAUCCAUGUGAUGAUCAAUUUAAUGAUAGCAUUGUAUCAUGUUUUUUCCCCCAAUAAGAUCAAAAUUAUAUAAUUAAAUAUGUGUUCGUGAGCUCAUUAUAAUUAAAUAUAGCAUUUUAUCAUUUUUUUUAUGUAUAAUUUGAGAAUCAUAUAUCAAUUGAACAACAAUAUCUCAUCAAUUCUAAUUAUCUGUAGUUUCUAUCUAUUAUGCAUAUCAUGAUUAUGACUUACUCUUAGAAACAACUCUCUUGAAGGUUCUGAGAUCAUAUCAUCACAUUUGUGGAAACUCGAGUCAUUAGAUUUAUCACGCAAUCAGCUGACAGGAUCUAUCACUAGUAAGUUACAUUCUCUUUAUCAAGAAAAUUGAGGACUUUAUAUCUAUUUAAUAAUCAAUUUAAUUAUAGCAUUUUAUCAUGUUUGACUGAGCUUUCAUCUCUAGGAAUUUAUAUUUAUAUGCUUUCGUGUAUCAUUUUAAUAUCUAAAAGAUACUUUCAUCAUUAUUUUGACUAUUUCGAGAUAAAUUGUACAGGUUUGUGUGAAUUGAAGAAUCUGAAGCAGUUAGAUCUUGCUAGAAAUAAUUUUGGAGGUUCACUCCCAAAUUGUUUGGGGAACUUGUCUUCUCUACAACUAUUAGAUAUUUCUAAAAACCAGUUUACUGGAAAUAUUGCCUUUAGUCCUCUUACUAACCUCAUAUCCCUUAAAUUUCUCUCACUAUCAAAUAACCUCUUUGAAGUUCCCACUUCGAUGAAGCCUUUUAUGAACCACUCAAGCCUCAAGUUCUUCUCCAAUGAGAACAAUAAACUAGUAACAGAACCUGCUGUCUUUGAUAAUUUGAUUCCAAAGUUCCAACUAGUCUUUUUUAGCUUGUCAAAAACAACGGAAGCACUCCAUGUAGAAAUUCCUGACUUCCUCUAUUACCAAUACGACUUAAGAAUCCUUCAUCUCUCCCACAACAACAUCACCGGAAUGUUUCCAUCGUGGUUGCUUAAGAACAAUACACGAUUGGAGCAACUAUAUCUGAGCAACAACUCCUUUGUUGGUGCUUUGCAGUUGCAAGAUCAUCCUUAUCCGAAUAUGACCGCCUUAGAUAUAUCCAACAACAACAUGAACGGUCAUAUUCCAAAAGAUAUUUGUUUAAUCUUUCCAAAUCUAGGGACCUUAAGGAUGGCUAAGAAUGGAUUCACAGGGUGUAUUCCUUCAUGUUUAGGAAAUAUGAGCUCUUUGGAAAUUUUAGAUUUAUCCAACAAUCAAUUGUCCACAAUAAAACUAGAACAACUAAAAACAAUAUUGUUUCUCAAGCUGUCAAACAACAAUUUAGGUGGGCAAUUACCGACCUCAGUGUUCAAUUCUUCUAGCCUGGCUUAUCUCUACCUAAGUGGUAACAACUUUUGGGGUCGGAUAUCAGAUUUUUCAUUAUAUGGGUGGAAAAUUUGGAAGGUAUUGGAUUUGAGUAACAAUCAAUUUUCAGGCAUGCUUCCAAGGUGGUUCAUCAAUUCUACACGCCUUACAGCAAUUGAUUUGUCCAAAAACCAUUUUAAGGGUUCGAUCGACUUUUGUAAGCUGGACCAGCUUGAUUAUUUGGACCUUUCUGAGAACAACUUGUCUGGAAAUAUACCAUCUUGUUUUAGUCCACCAAAAAUAACCCAUGUGCAUCUAUCCAAAAAUAGAUUGAGUGGUCCAUUAACAUAUGGAUUUUAUAACAACUCUUCUCUGGUUACGAUGGAUCUUCGAGAUAACAGCUUCACCGGCUCCAUUCCAAAUUGGAUUGGCAAUCUUUCAUCAUUGAGUGUUCUUCUUCUGAGGGAUAAUCACUUUGAUGGUGAGCUCCCUGUUCAGUUAUGCUUGUUAGAAGAAUUAAGCAUUUUGGAUGUUUCACAAAACCAGCUCUCUGGUCCACUACCCUCUUGUUUGGGCAAUCUUACUUUCAAGGAAAGUUCCCGGAAAGCAUUAGUGGUUCUCGGAUUUCUUUUAGUAUCCAUAGAAAAAGCUUAUUAUGAAAUAAUGGGUCCACCACUAGUGGAUAGUAUGUACACAUUGGCAAACAGUUUGUGGGCUAACUUUACAGAAGAAGCGAUAGAAUUUACAACUAAAAAUAUGUAUUAUGGUUACAAGGGGAAAGUUCUCAGCUACAUGUCUGGUAUUGAUCUCUCCAAUAACAACUUCAUAGGAGCGAUUCCACCUGAAUUUGGGAACUUAAGUGAGAUACGAUCAUUAAACUUAUCACACAACAAUCUCACUGGAUCUAUCCCUGCAACAUUCUCAAACCUAAAGCAGAUUGAGAGUUUGGAUAUUUCUUACAACAACUUGAAUGGUGUUAUCCCUCCACAACUUAUUGAAAUUACCACACUGGAAGUUUUUAGUGUGGCGCACAAUAACUUGUCAGGUAAGACACCCGAGAGAAAAUAUCAGUUUGGGACCUUUGAUGAAAGCUGUUACGAAGGAAAUCCUUUCUUGUGUGGACCUCCAUUGCAAAACAAUUGUAGCGAGGAAGUAGUGCCAUCGCAGCUAGUGCCUAAUGAUGAACAAGGAGAUGAUGGUUUCAUAGACAUGGAGUUUUCUACAUCAGUUUCGGUGAUUUACACAGUUGUGGUGAUGACGAUUGCAGCAGUUCUCUACAUCAAUCCAUAUUGGCGACGUAGGUGGUUGUACUUCAUCGAAGACUGCAUAGAUACUUGCUACUAUUUUGUGGUGGCUAGUUUUCGCAAGUUCUCCAACUUCAGAAGGUGAAUUUGUUAUUGGGGAGACGGUCGUUCCUAGUUUGUGAUGAUUGUUUGUCUAGCUAUUGGGUGCUUAAUCUGUAGUGUACUGUCUCUAAGCUCAGUCUUUUUAUUUGAUUAGUUAUUUGGGCUAAAUAUAUAAGCUGGACUUGGGUGUGAUUACUCUUUCAACUCUCAAGACUUGUCUGAAAAUAAAUUGCCAAAACCACUACUAAGUAGAAACAAAUUAUUCUAUGCAUGUGUGACAGCACUUACAUCUGCCUCUGUUUCAAGGGCGACAACAGUUAUUCAUUCAAAGCAUUGAAAUCGUAGCAAGAAGAUCCACCUUCUUCAACAGCCUUCAUCAUUCUCUCUUCCCCCCGAUAAAAUCUCUCGUCCCGUGUUUACCCAUGUUUGAUUUUAUCUUUUUUUUAAAUCUCUCCUCCCGUGUUUACCCAUGUUUGAUUUUAUCUAUAUAUUAUAUAUUCAUAAAAAGCUUAAAGUAGAUAAACAUCAAACAUUGAUUAAACAUCUAACAAUGCAAAGCUGAAGUUUGAUUGCGCAAACAUAAAUGGUAGUCAUUAGAAGGUUAUGUUUGAUGUCCCAGACGGUAAAAAGAUGAUUCAACAUGACAGCCUCAAACCCAUGUUUACCCAUGUUUUAAGAAGAUCGUAAGACAGUAAUCUAGUCAAAUAUUUUGGCUUGGAUUUGUAGUAAAUCCUCUGAAAUUUUUGCUACAAUAUCCUCAUCAUUCUCUCUGUCGCACCCCUAAAAAAAAAUAAUUUUCAAUUGCGGGUUCGACUGGCGAAAUUUUUUAUUUUUUUUAUUUGAUUUGGUUCUUUGGAGUCGCCACCUAGUAUUUUGGUCACUAGGAACCCUAACUGGUCUCAGAGAUCGGGUACGGAGACUGGUUGCGUAAAGGGAAGGUAUUAGCACCCCAAAUACGCCUUACCUAAGGUAAGCUGCAUUGUUUUAUUGUCUGAUAAAAAUAAUAAUAAAAAAAAUAAGGUGUUAUUGUGUUUUCCUAGUUGUUGGUCUGUCUAUGGUUCAAGAAAAAUCCUCCUCGGUAAGGAGAUCUUUAUCUUAUCGGGUAAAAAAAAUCCUAACCGUUCUAACGUCCAUACCAAAAUUUUAUUAAUAAUAUUUAGGAAUACGUUUUACGUAUAAAUUUGUAAUCCCAAAUAUUAAAAGAAAACAAAAAGAUUUUUUUAGAAUUUUUGAAAUAUUGGCCUAGUUCUCAUGGCUUGAAUAAACUGGUUAUUAAAGCCAAAAUGCAUGUUAAUACAUAUAUUGUUUUGAAAAUUUUCUUUGUUGUGUGAAAAUAUGAUGUUAUAAUAUUUAUGUAUAUAUAUUGGAGAGACUAGGCCAUAUUUUAAAACAAAAACAAUUUUUAGAAAAUAUUAUUUUUUUUAUGCUUUGACGAAAAUCGGGUAUUUUAAUACUGAGCUUGUAUCCUUACGGUAUAAAAAUACAACCCAAUAUUAAUCCGCUUUUAAAAAAAUAUGCAGAAAAAUCAAUAACAUUUUUAGGGAAUUUUUAGAAAUUUUUUGAAAGCAAAAACAUUUUUUAUUCUGAAAAUCUUUGAUUUUGACGAAAACCGGGUAUUUAUAACACUGGUUUUAUAUCUUUACGGUAUAAAAAUACCAACCAAAAUUAAACCAUUUUGAUAAAAAUAUGCAGAAAAAUCAACAACAUUUUUAGGGACUUUUUAGAAUUUUUUUGAAAGCAAAAACAUUUUUUAUUCUGAAAAUCUUUGAUGUUUUGACGAAAACCGGGUAUUUAUAACACUGGUUUUGUAUCUUUCAGUAUAAAAAUACAAACCAAAAUUAAAACAUUUUUGACAAAAAUAUGCAGAAAAAUCAACAAUAUUUUUUUAAGAUUUUUUCAAAAAUAUUUUUUUUUAUUAUUAUAUUUAUAUAUAUACAUAUAUACACACAUAUAAUAUAAUAAUAUAAUAUAUAAUAUAAAAAUAAUUCGGGCUGGGCCGGCCCAAAUAUCUGGGCCGGACUUGGCCCAGAGAGCUGGUAUGGGCCAGACCUGGUCUGGCCCGUCAGAUACAAGGCCGGGCCAGACAGUCUGGCCCAAAAAAAUGAUGCUGGGCCAGGAUCCACCUGGCCCAGCUACAUCAACAAGGGGGGAAUUAAUUCCCCCUCCUCCCUGCAUGCAGAAUGUUCAUUCUGCAUGCAGGGAAAAAAAUAAAAAACUAACGACAGGGGGGAGAAGAGGUGACCUGGCGUGGAGGAGGCGGUGCUGCGGUGGCGUGGCUUCCCGGGCGGCGCUGCGGCUCCUUCUCUCUUCGGUGUUCGGUUCUCUCUCUCUCUUCGGCCUCCUCUCUCUCUCUCCUCUUCGGUUUUUUUUCUUCUCUCUUUCUUCGGUUUUCUUCUUAUUUAUAGGGGCAGAACCGUGGGGGACCAUCAUUAGUGCGGUGCAACGGCUGGUCGGCCAAUGCUAAAGGUGGUGGGGGCGAGGAGAGAGAGAGGCGCGGGAAGAAUUUUCGAAUUUUUUGUCUUCUGUUCUGUUAAAACGGGGGGAAGGAGGAAGAUGAACAGUGUCGUUCAAAAACACCGUUCUGAUUUUCCUUUUUUUUUUUUUUUUUUUAUGAAACGGCGUCGUUUUGGGUAAAACGCGCCGUUUCAUUUAAAUGGUUAAACUUCAAAUCAGUCCCCAAAUUCGGUCCCGCCCCUCUUGUUGGCCGCCUUUUUCACUUUGGUCCUUGGCCUCUGAUUUAUGCAAUUGAGCCCCUAAUUGAUCAAUAAACUUCCAAUUUCUUCAAUUAAACCCCUGAAACAAAUCCAAACAGCCCCCUCUAUCUUUGCGCCUUCUCCAAAUUGGUCCCUGGUUUCGGAUUUUCACAAUUAAGUCCCUAAUUGGCCCUUAAACUUCAAUAUUUAUGCAAUUGAGCCCCUGAUUUGACCCAAUAAAUUCCUAAAAAAUAUAUUUUGGCCCCAGAACUUAAAUUUCUCCAAAUUAAAGCCCAAAUUGACUUAAAAUCAAUUUUUCUUGCAAUCAAAUCUUCUAUAAAUUCAAAUAAAAAUCCAAUUAAUCCAUAAAAAUCCAAUUAAGUCCAUAAAAAUCCAAUUAAGUCCAUAAACAUCCAAAUUUAGGCUUUUCUCCUCAAAAUUCAAAUUUUCCUUCUCAAUAGGGCUUUCAUCCUUCAAGAAUAUACUUUCAAAAAUUUAAUCCUUGUAUUUUUGAAUUUCUUGACCAAUUUUCUGACUGUUUCCUGAGCGCUUCUGCCUUCUGUUAUUUUUUCUAAACUCUUUUGGCUAUUUAUUUUAUUUUUCAUGGGGACCCAAAAAUGGGUUACAACACUCUCUUCCCCCUCUUUAUAAUACUUACGGAGCAUGGGUUUUGCGCAGUAAGUGUUAUAAAGAUAAACCCAAAACGGAACUCCCGAAACUGAUAUGGUCGAAGCUUGAUUUAUCUGAAACUUUGUCCUUUACAACAAUCCUCCUUAGCCCAAAAACUAUGAUCAAAACUUAGCCAUCUCGAGAUCCUUAUCCAGCAAUCCUCUGAAUUCUUACUUUAGUUUGAUCAAUAUGGAAAUCCAUCCGAGAUCCCAUCUGGUGAUCUCCUUUAACCUGGAAUCCCAUCUGGUGAUUCCUUUACCCAAUACAAAAAAAAUGUGUGUGUGGUCUCAUUUUGAUGGGUGACCUGCCCCGAAAAAAUAUGGUCUCAUUGUGAUGGGUGACCUACCCAAGAAAAAAAAGGAAUGGUCUCAUUGUAUGGGUGACCUACCCAGAAAAAUAAUGGUCUCAUUGUAUGGGUGACCUACCCAGAAAAAUGAUGGUCUCAUUGUAUGGGUGACCUACCCCAGAAAAAAUGAUGGUCUCAUUGUAUGGGUGACCUACCCAGGAAAAAAUGAUGGUCUCAUUGUAUGGGUGACCUACCCAGGAAAAAUGAUGGUCUCAUUGUAUGGGUGACCUACCCAGGAAAAAUGAUGGAGAAUGGUCUCAUUGUAUGGGUGACCUACCCAGAAAAAUAAUGGUCUCAUUGUACGGGUGACCUACCCAAAAAUGAUGGUCUCAUUGUAUGGGUGACUAACCCAAGGGGAAUAAUUCUUAGUAAACUCCAUGCUUUUCUAAGAAAUGGUUUCAAUAUAAGGUCCCUUCUGGCGACCUUCCUUGAUGAAUGUCGAAGUACGAGAUCCCUUCUGGCGAUCUCAAAUAACUUGGAAUCCCAUCUGGCGAUUCCUUUUAUUCAAAGCUGAAAUAUUAGGUCCCUUCUGGCGACCCUUAUCGAAAUAUGAGAUCCCUUCUGGCGAUCUCCUUUAGCCAAACAACUUGGAAUCCCAUCUGGCGAUUCCUUUUAUACCAAAGCUGAAAUUUGAGGUCCCUUCUGGCGACCUUCAUUGGUGAAUAAAACGAGACCCCUUCUGGCGAUCUCAAACUACUUGGAAUCCCAUCUUGUGAUUCCUUUUAUUCAAAACUGAAAUAUGAGGUCCCUUCUGGCGACCUCCAUCGAAAUACGAGAUCCCUUCUGGCGAUCUCAACAACUUGGAAUCACAUCUGGCGAUUCCUUUUUACCGAAUGCUAUCGAUGUCGUUCUUCCUGCUGGCAGGGUUUGAAAACCAUUAUCUUCUCUUCUUGUUGUUCUAGAAUCAACUCAAUGAUUUUCUUCGUCCAUAAUCUUGUUGGAAUGCGCUAAGAUCUCCUCCUGUAACGAUCCAAAAAAAACAUAUAUGCAAUGAUUUAUGAUUAGAUGCAAUGCAUGCAUUCGUACCUGGUUUUGAAACAUAGGCCCCAUCCUCUUCUUCUAGUUCAUGGGACUCCCUCUUAACAUGAACUUGCUUUUGAAGUCGUAUGCUGGAUUCAUCUCUCGUGUUGCCUAUCAUAUUCUUGGAGAAAAGGUCUUUGACUUUCUUCAAGUAGUCCUUUUCUCAAAAUGUAUGACUUGUAUUUGCCUCUUUGUCAUGCUUUUGUCAAAUGCUUUAGCUUGGUUUUCAAAUCGUAAAACUUUUCAUAAAACAUCUCGUCUUGCCCCCUAGUAUAGGGGUGCGAUAUUAGUCUGGGUUUUUAUAUAGAGAAGCAAUUCAUUCAGCCGGUGAUAAACUUUUUUAGUGAGUGAAUAGAUAAUGAUUUUUUUUAUUUCAAAAUGCCAUUGUUAUGGUUGAUAAACUCUAUUCUUUAAAAGACAAUUACAAAGUGACCACUUAAACAUUUAUCCAUGCUAUCAGAGAUAGGGUUGUACUUUAGCUUUUCUUAAAUUUCAUAUUAAACCAUUUUAUUGAUACUUUAUUUGUAACCACUCAAACUUGUUAAAAAAAUGCAUGAACUCAUCAUUUAUUUAAAGGUAAGCUCAAAGACAAACACAAAAAUCUGGCUGACAAUAUGAGCUCUGAAUGCUCACUAGAGAAAAUAAAAGCAAAGACAAAAGCAAAUGACAAAAACAUGCUAAGGCAAAUAAAGUUGUUUUACAUUUUGAAAACUACGAGAAGUUCUUGGGUCAACCCGUUCUGAAACUUCUUCUAGUGUGUGGAAAGUCAACCGAGGCAAUGCUUCAUCUUCCUUCCCCACUUGCAUUUCCUUGUCUUCUCCUUCGAUCUCGCCUUCUUCAUUAUUGACGACUCUUGACCAAGGUUUUCCAACCUUUAUCCCCUAUCACUUUUGUCAUGACCAGGCAAUGGAUUUAAACUGAUAUUGGGUGCAUCUUCAAAUGACACCCAUCCUAUCUUGAUGAGCUUCAACAACUUGUUCUUGAAACCGUAGCACGUUUCAAGACAAUGCCCGGGAAUACCAGCAUGGUACUCGCAAGUCAACUCGGGCUUAUACCAGAUGGGGAAUGGUGGCUGUAGUGGUAAUGUAGGGAUAGGAGCUAUUUGUCCAAUGCUUAGUAAUUUGGCAUAUAUAUCCUUUAGAGGCAUGGGUAAUGGCGGUAGUUGUUCUGAAAUGUAUCUUGUGUUUGGUCUUUGGUGGGUGUUUUGGGUGUCUGACUGGCCAUUUGCUCGAUUAGGGGAAAAAGGUUUGUUAAAGUUUAUGUGGGCCACAUGAGAGGUAGGUAUUUGUGGGUUAUAUGAAUCUGUUAUCUUGUCAUUGGACCCACCUUCGAAGUUGUUAACGGGACCUUUCAUUUUUCUUCCGAAAAAACCCUUUGUCUCCAAUGGCUCAAUUAUGCGUCCAGCUUUAAUCCCUUGCUCGAUUCUUUCCGCUAUGCGUACAACAUCAUAGAAAUGUUGAGAUGAGCUACCCAUUAAAUGCUCAUAGUAGGGUGCCUUGAAUGUAUUGGCGAACAAAGUCACCAUCUCCGUUUCUAUCAAAGGGGGUUGCACAUGCAUGGCCUCGUCCCUCCACCUUUGCGCAUAAGCCCUUACUGAUUCUUGGCUUCUUUUCCAUUGACAUAAGGCUCGUUCGAUCUGGAGCAAUUUCCAAAUUGAACUUGUAUUGCUUAAGGAAAGCCUCAACUAAAUCCUUCCAUUUCUUGAUCUUGGCAUUAUCCAACCUCAUGUACCAACUUAGCGCCGACCCCGAUAGACUAUCUUGGAAAAAGUAGAUCAGUAACUUAUCGUCAUGAAUCACCUCAGCCAUCUUAUUGCAAUAAGAUCGAAGGUGAGUGUUUGGGCAUUCCAACCCAGUGUACUUUAUAAACUCCGGUAUCCUAAAUUUUUUUGGUAUCGUGAUGUUUGGUACCAAGCAUAUUUCAGAUGCUCGCAUGGGGUCAAACCAGUCAUUUCCCUCGACUGCUCUUAACCUUUCUUCCAAGGCUGAUAUCUUGUCAUCGUUCAUAAAUCCGGUGGACCUAUUAUCGGGAGGCCCUUCACAGUGAUGUGAGCUUGAGGGGGCUGAAUGGGAAUGGUAGGUGCAAAGUGCUGCCCCGUCACUGAAUCUGCCCCCAAGUUCUGAGAUAUCCCCGGACAUGAACUGACGGUGCUCCUAUAGGUGGUUGGGUAGAUGUUCCCUCCCCAUUCUUGGCUCUUAAAAGUUGCUCAAGCAGAUUGGUCAGUCGAGAAACUUCAUUUUUCACAGAUUCCAACUCGGUCUGGUAGUGCGACUCUAAUUGAGCUCUUUCUUCGUUUUCCAUUCUUGAUCUGGACCGGGUUUGGUGGACUCUGGAUGUAGGACCUAUGUUUCACGAUCUGUAAUGCAUAUGAUAACAAAAAUGCGUGAUGAAAAUGUGAUGCACAAGUGAUGUGCGAUGAGUAUCCAUUAUUAAUCUUGAUGCAAAUAAGAUACAUAACCUAAGGACAAGCUCUAUUUAUUAAGUGAGAGUGGGUAGUUUUUCUAUCUAGUCUUGAAGGUUCUCAUAUCUGCCCAGUGACGUUCUUCGUAAAGAAGUAUGGGGGCGUUGCAAGGAACAGUUAAGACACGUAUGUCCACCAUUACCAAGCAGGCACUCAGAUAUGAGUUGGGUGUUUCACGCAUUUAAACCCUGACCAAUAGUCUUAGGGUAAAUCGCUAAUUCCCCACUUAACUUAAGGCUUGUGUGUGCUUUUCAAAAUUAAGGCAAGUGAUGCAUGAGACAAUUUUAUACAAUGCAUAAAUAAUACGCGUAAAAUAAAAAACCAAUAUGUAAAUAAAAGGAAAGGCAUAUUAACAAUAAACACAUGAAAACACAAACAAAUCAGACAAAAACAAAGCUUAGUCUACAAGGUCCCCAGUGGAGUCGCCAUUCUGUCGCACCCCUAAAAAAAAAAAAUUUUCAAUUGCGGGUUCGACUGGCGAAAUUUUUUAUUUUUUUUAUUUGAUUUGGUUCUUUGGAGUCGCCACCUAGUAUUUUGGUCACUAGGAACCCUAACUGGUCUCAGAGAUCGGGUACGGAGACUGGUUGCGUAAAGGGAAGGUAUUAGCACCCCAAAUACGCCUUACCUAAGGUAAGCUGCAUUGUUUUAUUGUCUGAUAAAAAUAAUAAAAAAAAACUAAGGUGUUAUUGUGUUUUCCUAGUUGUUGGUCUGUCUAUGGUUCAAGAAAAAUCCUCCUCGGUAAGGAGAUCUUUAUCUUAUCGGGUAAAAAAAAUCCUAACCGUUCUAACGUCCAUACCAAAAUUUUAUUAAUAAUAUUUAGGAAUACGUUUUACGUAUAAAUUCGUAAUCCCAAAUAUUAAAAGAAAACAAAAAGAUUUUUUUAGAAUUUUUGAAAUAUUGGCCUAGUUCUCAUGGCUUGAAUAAACUGGUUAUUAAAGCCAAAAUGCAUGUUAAUACAUAUAUUGUUUUGAAAAUUUUCUUUGUUGUGUGAAAAUAUGAUGUUAUAAUAUUUAUGUAUAUAUAUUGGAGAGACUAGGCCGUAUUUUAAAACAAAAACAAUUUUUAGAAAAUAUUAUUUUUUUUAUGCUUUGACGAAAAUCGGGUAUUUUAAUACUGAGCUUGUAUCCUUACGGUAUAAAAAUACAACCCAAUAUUAAUCCGCUUUUAAAAAAAUAUGCAGAAAAAUCAAUAACAUUUUUAGGGAAUUUUUAGAAAUUUUUUUGAAAGCAAAAACAUUUUUUAUUCUGAAAAUCUUUGAUAUUUUGACGAAAACCGGGUAUUUAUAACACUGGUUUUAUAUCUUUACGGUAUAAAAAUACCAACCAAAAUUAAACCAUUUUGAUAAAAAUAUGCAGAAAAAUCAACAACAUUUUUAGGGACUUUUUAGAAUUUUUUUGAAAGCAAAAACAUUUUUUAUUCUGAAAAUCUUUGAUGUUUUGACGAAAACCGGGUAUUUAUAACACUGGUUUUGUAUCUUUUCAGUAUAAAAAUACAAACCAAAAUUAAAACAUUUUUGACAAAAAUAUGCAGAAAAAUCAACAAUAUUUUUUUAAGAUUUUUCAAAAUAUUUAUUUUUUUUAUUAUUAUAUUUUAUAUAUAUAUACAUAUAUACACACAUAUAAUAUAAUAUAUAAUAUAUAAUAUAAAAAUAAUUCGGGCUGGGCCGGCCCAAAUAUCUGGGCCGGACUUGGCCUAGAGAGCUGGUAUGGGCCAGACCUGGUCUGGCCCGUCAGAUACAAGGCCGGGCCAGACUCAGUCUGGCCCAAAACAAAUGAUGCUGGGCCAGGAUCCACCUGGCCCAGCUACGGAUCAACAAGGGGGGAAUUAAUUCCCCCCUCCUCCCUGCAUGCAGAAUGUUCAUUCUGCAUGCAGGGAAAACAAAUACAAAAACUAACGACAGGGGGGGGAAGAGGUGACCUGGCGUGGAGGAGGCGGUGCUGCGGUGGCGUGGCUUCCCGGGCGGCGCUGCGGCUCCUUCUCUCUUCGGUGUUCGGUUCUCUCUCUCUCUUCGGCCUCCUCUCUCUCUCUCCUCCCUUCGGUUUUUUUUCUUCUCUCCCUCCCCUUGCAGCUUCGGUUUUCUUCUCUAUUUAUAGGGGCCGAACCGUGGGGGACCAUCGUUAGUGCGGUGCAACGGCUGGUCGGCCAAUGCUAAAGGUGGUGGGGGCGAGGAGAGAGAGAGGCGCGGGAAGAUUUUCGAAUUUUUUUGUCUUCUGUUCUGUUAAAACGGGGGGAAGGAGGAAGAUGAACAGUGUCGUUCAAAAUGACACCGUUCUGAUUUUCCUUGUUUUUUUUUUUUAUUAUUUUUAUGAAACGGCGUCGUUUUGGGUAAAACGCGCCGUUUCAUUUAAAUGGUUAAACUUCAAAUCAGUCCCCCAAAUUCGGUCCCCGCCCCUCUUGUUGGCCGCCUUUUUCACUUUGGUCCUUGGCCUCUGAUUUAUGCAAUUGAGCCCCUAAUUGAUCAAUAAACUUCCAAUUUCUUCAAUUAAACCCCUGAAACAAAUCCAAACAGCCCCCUCUAUCUUUGCGCCUUCUCCAAAUUGGUCCCUGGUUUCGGAUUUUCACAAUUAAGUCCCUAAUUGGCCCUUAAACUUCAAUAUUUAUGCAAUUGAGCCCCUGAUUUGACCCAAUAAAUUCCUAAAAAAUAUAUUUUGGCCCAGAACUUAAAUUUCUCCAAAUUAAAGCCCAAAUUGACUUAAAAUCAAUUUUUCUUGCAAUCAAAUCUUCUAUAAAUUCAAAUAAAAAUCCAAUUAAAUCCAUAAAAAUCCAAUUAAGUCCAUAAAAAUCCAAUUAAGUCCAUAAACAUCCAAAUUUGGGCUUUUCUCCUCAAAAUUCAAAUUUUCCUUCUCAAUAGGGCUUUCAUCCUUCAAGAAUAUACUUUCAAAAAUUUAAUCCUUGUAUUUUUGAAUUUCUUGACCAAUUUUCUGACUGUUUCCUGAGCGCUUCUGCCUUCUGUUAUUUUUUCUAAACUCUUUUGGCUAUUUAUUUUAUUUUUCAUGGGGACCCAAAAAUGGGUUACAACACUCUCUUCCCCCUGAUAAAAUCUCUCGUCCCGUGUUUACCCAUGUUUGAUUUUAUAUUUUUUUAAAAUCUCUCGUCCCGCAUCAUCGUGUUUGGCUGUGACAUAGAAACCCCAGAUAAAGAUGAAAGAGAACCAUGCUGCAAGCUUGACAUAUUGUUCUGCUGCAUUGUUGGUAUAGAGCCGUGCAAAUUCAUUGAUUGCAACUGGGGAUUCAGUUGAUUUUGUUGGGACUGCAAUUGAGGAACUGUAGAUUAGGAAUAGGCCUCCUGAAUCUGCUUGGGAAGUUGUCCCAAUUUCUCCUUGAAACUAGGUAUGAUGUUGUUUUCAGAGACCUGUAAGAAUGUUAUCAAGCGCUCCAACAUGGCCUUGAAUACCUCCAGCUUUUCAAGCUGUUCUGACGUCGGUUGUUGCGGAUGAGAGUCAAUCUGGAAAGCAAAGUUAACAUACACGAGAAUUAAAAAUUUGCGUUGAUUCUUUGUAGCAAAAUAUUAGUGAAAAAAAAUGUUUCUAUUCCAAUUCUUCCGUGUCGAUGAAUGGUCGUGGGGCGGUUGGGAGAAGAAAAAAAAUGGCUUUGGGGUGGAGUUGGGGGUUGCUGGCGGCUCCGGAUGGGUGAGGGAGAAGCUGUGCUUGCUGGCGAGAAAAAGGAAAAAAAAACCUGAUGAGGGGGGCUGCUCUCGGUGAUCGGCCGGGAAGAGGAAGAAAAAAGAAUCAGAAGAAGGGGGCGUGUCCGGCGGCUUGGUUUUGGUGAGGGGAGAAAAAUUAGGACUUAGGGUUUCUGGUUUGUGUUCCCUCUUCAAAAUUACCAAAUGACCCCCCUCAUUUUUUUUGAGUUUUCAACCUAUAUUUAUAGGUAAAAGUUUGUUCAAACCUCCAAAUUGGUCCCUCAACUUUCUUUUUUUGUAAAUUUUGAUUUUUUUUGUUUUUUUUUCUUGUAUUUUUAAAAACGAGCAAAAUCAACGUCAAUUCUAUAGAAAAUUACGAUUUUAAAAUGACGCGUGAAAAGUCGAACGCGUUCGAAAAAAAAUUGAAAAUUAAAAUUCUUUUUAAAAGACGUUGAAAAUGCUAAAAACAUUGCAAAUAUAAUAAAACAUAUAUUUUUUUUGGAUUUUUGUUGUUUUUCACUAUUUUUGGAUUUUUUUGAAAAAUUUUAAAAGGUGGGUCAAAAAUUGGUAACAACAGAUGCCCUCUUUACAAUGCUUAUGAAGCAAAACUCCUCAAUGUUUUGCAUAGUAAGCUUUGUAAAGAAUAGAAAAAGAAAAUGAUCUUAUUAUCUUGGGCGACAUGCCCCUUUUGAAGAAAAGUGGUCUAUUUUCAGGGGCGACCGGCCCAAACAAUCACACUGGUCUACUUUCACGGGCGACCUGCCCACACAUACUGAAAGUGGUCUAUUUUCAGGGGCGACCGGCCCACACACUCACAUUGGUCUACUUUCACGGGCGACCUGCCCACAUAUACUCACUCUGGUCUAUUUUCAAGGGCGACCUGCCCACACACUCACACUGGUCUAUUUUCAGGGGCGACCGACCCACACUCUCACACUGGUCUGUUUUCAGGGGCGACCUGCCCACACACUCACACUGGUCUAUUUUCACGGGCGACCUUCCCUUUUGAUUGGGUUUACCUGAGAUCCCAUCUGGCGAUCUAACAAGAACAAAAAUCGGUGUGUAGCUCGAUCAACCUGAAAUUCCAUCUAGUGAUUCUGCGUGAUUAGGCUAAACUGAGAUCCCUUCGCCGAUUCCCUUCAACCAGAACCAAAAUCCUUUCCAAUUAUGUUAAACUGAGAUCCCUUUGCCGAUCCCCUUUAACCAUAACCAAGGUCUGUGUGGUUAGACUGAACUGAGAUCCCUUUGUCGAUCCCCUUCAACCAGAACCAAAAUCCUUUCCAAUUAGGUUAAACUGAGAUCCCUUUGCCGAUCCCCUUUAACCAUAACCAAGGUCUUGUGUAGUUAGACUGAACUGAGAUCCCUUCGGCAAUCCCCUCUAACCAGAACCAAAAUCCUUUCCAAUUAGGUUAAACUGAGAUCCCUUCGUCGAUCCCCUUCAACCAUAACCAAGGAAUGUGUAGGGUUGGGCUAGACUGAGAUUCCUUUCGGCAAUCCCCUCUAACCAGAACCAAAAUCCUUUCCAAUUAGGUUAAACUGAGAUCCCUUCGUCGAUCCCCUUCAACCAUAACCAAGGAAUGUGUAGGGUUGGGCUAGACUGAGAUUCCUUUCGGCAAUCCCCUCUAACCAGAACCAAAAUCCUUUCCAAUUAGGUUAAACUGAGAUCCCUUCGUCGAUCCCCUUCAACCAUAACCAAGGAAUGUGUAGGGUUGGGCUAGACUGAGAUUCCUUUCGGCAAUCCCCUCUAACCAGAACCAAAAUCCUGUGUGUGGUUGGGCUAGACUGAGAUUCCUUUCGGCAAUCCCCUCUAACCAGAACCAAAAUCCUGUGUGGUUGGGAUAGACUGAGAUUCCUUUCGGCAAUCCCCUCUAACCAGAACCAAAAUCCUGUGUGGUUGGGAUAGACUGAGAUUCCUUUCGGCAAUCUCCUCUAACCAGAACCAAAAAUCCUUUGUGGUUGGGAUAGACUGAGAUUCCUUUCGGCCAUCCCCUCUAACCAGAACCAAAAAUCUUGUGUGGUUGGGAUAGACUGAGAUUCCUUUCGGCAAUCUCCUCUAACCAGAACCAAAAUCCUGUGUGUGGUUGGGAUAGACUGAGAUUCCUUUCGGCAAUCCCCUCUAACCAGAACCAAAAUUCCUGUGUGGUUAGGAUAGACUGAGAUUCCUUUCGGCAAUCCCCUCUAACCAGAACAAAAUCCUGUGUGGUUGGGAUAAACUGAGAUUCCUUUCGGCCAUCCCCUCUAACCAGAACCAAAAAUCUUGUGUAAUUGGGAUAGACUGAGAUUCCUUUCGGCAAUCCCCUCUAACCAGAACCAAAAUCCUGUGUGUGGUUGGGAUAGACUGAGAUUCCUUUCGGCAAUCCCCUCUAACCAGAACCAAAAUCCUGUGUGUAGCUCGGUUAACCUAAAUCCCAUCUGGCGAUUCCCUUUAACCAAAGCUAUAUGAGAUCCCAUCUGGCGACCUCAUCCAACUGGAACUAAAAGAAUGUGUAAAAAGUGGUCUCAUUAUAAUGGGUGACCUACCCAAAUGGACAGGAGGAAGAGUGGUCUCAUUCUUAUGGGUCACCUACCCAGGGGGAAAAAAUAUGAAGUGUGGUCUCAUUGUAAUGGGUGACCUACCCAGAUGGACAAAAUAUGAUGAAGUGGUCUCGUUGUGAUGGGCGACCUACCCAAAUAGAAAGAAUGUGAAGUGCGGUCUCAUUGUAAUGGGUGACCUACCCAAAAAUGGAAAAAGUAUGAAGUGUGGUCUCAUUAUAAUGGGUGACCUACUCAGAUGGAAAAAAUAUGAUGAGUGUGAAAAAUAGGACUUACCUGGCGAAGUCCUGAGGGGAUGACAGGAGAAGGGCUGGAAAACUUGGUGCUUCCUGCUAAUUCCAUAUCAUAGGUUUUGAAAACUCAAGGCUUCCCGAUUGCAAAGUUGAUCUUUUCAUUUCUUUGGGAUUUCCCUAAUGGUAGGGUUCAUCCCAUCUUCCCUUUUAUUCCAUGAUCAAAAUUGAUUCUUUAUUAUCAUCACCACAAUGCUUCUUUCUUUUUCCACUAUGUUGCUGGACCUCAUUAAGGAUUUUCCUGUAACAAUUCAAAAAUAUGUGCAAAUGUUUUUUGUUUUUUUUUUUUAGGUUAGAUGACAUGCAUGCAUCCUUACCUGAUUUGAAAUAUAGGUCCCCCCCUCUUUGAUGCUCCAUCGUAAUAGGGUGCCUUUGUUUGCAUUCCAAAGCUUUUCUUGUUCUUUCGAUGUAUUGGCUCAUUCAUGUGCUAGCCAUCCACUCAGCUGUAAAUGCAGUGCCCAUCCCGGGUUGUCUUCGACAAUUACUGCUUGCAUCGUUCAUCAAGCUUGACCCUGCCCCCAAGUGUGGUACUGCUUGAUUCAUCAUGAAGGAUUUUCUCUCCUGGCUUCUUCUGAGAAUUAUCCUCUGAUUGAUUGUGUGCAUCAUGCCAAUACCCAUCAAGAUUGUUAAUCAGUCAUGAACUUGACUCUAGUUGAAACAGUACUCUUCAAGUACAUGUUAUCAUCAGCCUUCUUGGAACUCAUCUAGUCAUCCCGACAUGCAUCUCAUAGCUUGCAGUACAAAGGCUUAUGGUUGUAUGCUCAGUGCUCUUCUCAUAGAUUCCUUUCAACUCUUCUAAUCAGAUUGUGAAAAGAAAUGUCUCAGCCUCAUCAAUGAUGCUGCUUUUUAUCCCCCAUACUCAUGCGGUGAAGCGUUCAUCUGGCUUUAGAACAAGUUGUCCCACAAUCAGUCUUCGAGGUGGGUGCCUUUCCGACAUUCAUUCAGUGCAGUUGUGUGAUAACAUCUAUCUAUAACCAUGUUUCAAAGAAUGACAAUAUGAGAUUGUCCUUUAAGUGCAGCAUGUUCCACGGUCAGUCUUGGUGGUGUGCAUCUUUUCACCAUUCAAUUACAUUCAUAUGUGUAUCUUCAUCGAUUGCUAGCCAUGUUUCAAAAGAUGAUGAUAUGAAAGUGUCCUUCAAGUACAUCCUUGUUUCUCCAUUGCCGACAAGGUUCACUGGAGCAUGGGCCAUUUUGGAAUGACAUUGCCCCCAGUAUGAUCUGAAUGUGCUCGUUCAUUGAUUAUCUGUCUUUGAACAUCAUUGUCUUCAGUUCACUGAUUCAUCAUUUAAUCAUUGCCUCAUAGUUGAUCUAAGCACUGCUUGUUUUUCCUUUUCAAGGUCUACUGUAUUGCCCCAGCUGCUCAACUUUUCAAGGAGUGUCGAGGACUUCAAUGUCAUUUCUAUCAACGAUUUUGCAUACUCAAUGUUCUUCUGUGUUUGAUAAUCUUCCUUGUUCUGGAAUCAACUCUCAUAUUUCAAAGAUCAUGUCUAUUCAAAGUCUAGUUUGUUGAAAUGAAAUCAGAGAUGUCCUUUUUGAAAAUCUUUUGAAAAUCAAGCUUUUUGAUCAAAGACCCAACACACGUUAUUCGAAAUACACAGUCCUUUGAUUGUCUGUAUUUUGAAAAGAAAUUGACCCGUUGUAAGAUUAAAAUGGUUUUUCCAUGGUUCUUUCUAUCCACUUUAAACUCUGAUUUUGGGUAUAUCUUUUGAUGGUCUGUGAUGAGGUGACAUUUUUAUGAAUUUCAAAAAGAUGCUCAGGCUUUAUCAAGAAAGGUUGUUUCUUUUCUUAGCAUUUAUUUUAUCAGCAUGCAUAAUAACCAGUAGCUUAAUUCAUGAAGUCACGACCCUUAUGGAAAAGCUCUUCAAGUUUUGAGAGCGCCAUUUAUCGAUUCAAAUUGCUUGCUUGAUUAAAAAGGGCUUUUAAAAAGCACGUAAUGCAGGCUAUGGUUCAUGGCUAUGAAAGAAAGGAAUUUCACAGGCUCAAAAGGUGUUUGAGGGUUUCAAAGACCUAGGAUCAACAUCAACUAUUCAUCAACUCUUUUCUAUUGUUGUCUUUGUAGAGGAAACGACAUAUAACCUUGUUAACCUCAAAGUUCAGACUUUUCUUAACAUAAGUCAUAAUGCAAAUCCCCCUUUCCUUGAUGAAUAACCAACCUUAAUCAUCUGAUAACAUCAGAGGCUUUAUAAUGGACACCAAAAGUCACGUUUAUAGCUUAGUCUUUUUUUUUUCUGGUAUUAACUUUUGUUGUGCCUUUCCUUGAUUGAAAUUUCUUUUGCUCUUCAUAGACUUGGUAAGCAUUCUCCUUCCUUUAUAUUUGACUUGUCUUUAAGUGAAGGCAAUUUCAACUUCCUCUUUUUUUUCUUUUUCAUAGCCUUCCGCCAAAUUUUCUUAUAUGCCUCCACUCUGUGUUUUCUUCUAGCGCUCUUUCGAUCAAUGGACUUUUAUUCUAAGCCUUUCGUUUUAUCCAUUAAUUAUAUCAAUGUCUCCAACAUAUCUCUCGUCUGCCCCCCAGUGUGGGGUGUGAUCCUAGUCAGGGUUUUUAUGAAAAGAAUAUUCUAUCCAGCUCAAAAUGGGACUACAAGGGAUAUAAUUUUUUAGAAAGUGAAGGGAUAUCAAAGAUGGCCUUUUCUCAUUUCAAGCAAGGUCAGUUAGAACCGAUAAAUUUUGACCCCAUCGAGUGUAAUGAUUUGGACUUGUAAGAAACAUGAUUCACGAGUCCAUAACUACCGAAUCCACUACAUGUCAUUAUGCAUACUGCUAAAACUUAGUUAUAUGAUGUGCGGUUCAAUUUUAUGUGUGAGCUCAAAAUUUGUUCGGUCACCUCCUGUCAUUUCAACAAGAAUCGAGUCAUUUCUGUAAUCAAAACACUUUUAAUCUUCAGGAUUGAUUAACCUUUAUCGCAUGUUGGAGUUUGAUCAAAAAAUUUGUCAGAAUAAAAUGUUAAACAUCUGUUGAUUUCAAAACAACAAAAAGACAAAAGCAAGGCAUGUUUCGUUGAAGGAUGAGAUGUGAUCCCAAAACAAAAUGCAAAAUUCCAAAACAAUAUGAUUGAUUGUUCAUCACCAUUCUUGAAUCAGCUUUUCUGGCAAUAUUUGCGUUUUGCCAAGCACUUUCGAUCAACAUGUCAUUCUGAAGAUGUUCGGGGGGCAAUAUAGCCAAUGACACCCUCCUUCACCGACUCCUACUUGUCUCUUGCUCUCCAACUUCAGGACUCGCUUCUUGAAAUGGUUGAGGACCUCAUCAUGACAUCACAUCUCUUGUCUGGAUUAAACCACCCAGAAAAUGGUGGUUGCAUGGGAUUUGUCGGAGUCAGGUAAAAGUCUGGAAUCUAGCAGAUGCUGGGAAAUAAACUCACAUGAUAACUAUUCAAUUGAAAUUCUUGCAACUAUUCCAUUGAAAUGGCCGAGGACCCCACCAUGACAUCACAUUUCUUGUCUGGAUUAUACCACCUAGAAAAUGGUGGCUGCAUGGGAUUUGUCGACGUCUAGCAAAAAUCUAGAAUCAUGCAGAUUCUGGUCGACAAACUUAAGUGGCAGAGGAAUGUCAAUCUUGGUAAAGACAUUUGAGCAAUUGAUGCUACCGUGAGACCUGGCUAGACCACAUAAUUAAGGUUUCACACUGUCAAAGUCAUCUCCUGAUUCACCUCUCAUCGUUUCUCUGGAAUCCUUGGCAGAACCUUCAAUCUUUCCCAUCUUGAUAGCUUGUUCAAUUUUUGGCAAUCCACACAGCUUCAUUUCAACCUUCCAAUGUUGUUGUUGUUGUUGUUUUAGGACUGUUGGAAACCUCUCAAUAUCUAGGUAAUCCUGGCAGUGCGCAAAAACAAAAAUGUAUGGAAUCUUAUAUUGUCAAAAUUGGAAGAGAAACUGAUGAAUCCACAACUCCUCUAUUUCCUCUUUGAUUCCUCUCGAACGGUGCAGCAAACAAGCACCAAUAGAGGAAGUUCUGCUCUGUUGAAGUUUCAGUCUUCUUCAUGUUUUUUAGUCUAGGCAUGUCUCUUCUUUCUACUUUUGCAUUUUAAAUAUUGGCACUGUUGGAGGAAAAUCAUAGAUGAUCUGAAACUACUGUAUUCCUUCUUGGAUUUCCCAUUUACAGGUCCACAAAUAGAUUCCUGCCGAGAGAUCUCUGCAAUGUUGAAGUUUGAUGUCUGCUCAAUGUUUUUCAAACCAAAUCUGGCUCUUUAACCUGCUACAGUUUCUUCGUGCUGAAACUGAUGAGAGAAAUAUUUGUAGCAUAUGCAAUUAGUAAAUCCCCUCUUGCACUCUCAACUUGCAGCAUCAUAAACAGAUUUUUAUAGAAAGAGCUCUCCCACGUUGAAGUUCGACGACUGCUCAUAUUUUCAUACUAGGCCUGACUCCUCUGCCUAGUACAAUGUUUUGCUCGUGCCACUGGUGGGAAAAAGCUUCAAAGCAUAUGAAAUUAAUACAUUCCCUUUUGCAUUUCCCAUUGGCAGAUCCACAAAUAAAUCUCUACAGGGAGAGCUUUACCACGUAGAAGUUCAGUGUCUAAUCAUGGUUUUUCAAACCAACAUCUUGUGCUGCUGAACUGGAAUUGAGCUCAUAAUUGGGGUAACUUCAAAGCAGACUAACGCACCAUGUACAGGAGGCUAGUAGUUGUUUGGUUCCAUUAGAUGAUGUGGAGGCGAUGAACACUUAACAGUGCAACUGGACAAGAACCAGAGUUGUCAUUAGUUGAUGACUGAAAGCAUUGUUGCUGUUGUUCAUGACUGAAAAGGAGAGCAACUUCAAUUGGACGUGACAAGCAGUGUUCCCACAGAAGACUGUGCAGACAUUCUCUUUCCAUUUGAUGCUCAACACUUGUUCGAGCAAUCUGAGUCUAGCUUUCACCUUUGAUGCUCUCAACCUUAAUCUGAUAAUGAGCCUCUAUCUGACUCUUUCUUCACUUCCUCAUCUUUUCAAUCACUUGCAGCACAGCUUGUGCGGGGGAACCUACCUUUCAACCCGGUACAUGCAUGAUAAAUGUAUGAAUAUGUAAUCUAUAUGACGAACUCGCCCUUCGAGGGGUGACAUAUGGUCGCAACUCUUGUAUGAUGAAACAAGAAUCUUGAUUCUUGCACAAACUCUACAAUGAAAAUUUUCUGAGCGACGGUCAUUAUGUCACCCAUAAGUCUGGAGUUCAAGAUGCUUCAAAAAGGGCUUACUCGGAUGCAAAACAAUGUCUACGGAGCAUACAUCCUAAAGACAGGUUCUAAUCUUUUUAAGUGAGACAAAAGGUAGGUUUAUUAUUUGGUCUCUAAAAAGGGACUCUCGUUGUCCCAGUGAUCGCCCUCGUGGAGGCAAUAUGGGGGCUUGUAGGCAACAAGAUGGCACGUGUCCAACUAUUACCAGUCUAAGCACUCAACAAAGAGUUGGGGUUUACACAAACUUAAACCUUGACUAAAAGUCGUAAGGUAAGCUGCUAGUCCCCCUCCUAACCUGAAGCUUGUGUGUGCUUUAAAAAAUUAACUAUGUGAUGCAUGAGAUAAUUCUACAAAAUGCAUGGACAAAACAAAAAUAAAAUAAGACAAAAAUGCAAAAACAUAAACACAUCAAAUAUACAAAGCUUAGUCCAAUAAUGUUGAAAACAAUACCGUCCCCAGUGGAGUCGCCAUUCUGUCGCACCCCAAAAAAAAUCCUGGCGCGCGGCAUCGGCUGGCGAUUAUUCGUUAUGUUUUGUUGAUUUGGUUCUUUAGAGUCGCCACUAGUAAUUCAUUGAGGGCUACUAGGAAACCUGAUGUACUGGUCUUGUCAGAGAUCGCGGGUAAGCGACUGGUUGUGGUUAGGGAAGGUAUUAGCACCCUAACGCACCCUACCUGAGGUAAGCUGCUUUGUGGACUUGAUGUGUUAAAGAAGUUUUAAAAAUUCUGUUUUUUCAUCGAAUUUUAGAAAAUACAACUUACAUGUAAGUUCAUGAUUCUUUAUCUGUGAUUAAAUCGGAAUAUUAAAUCCUUCUUUAUUCCUGCAAUUUUAUCAUAAUAAAAAAAAAAACAUUCAUAAUAAAAAUACACACCACAUUCACUUUCAAGCUUCGUGGACUUGAUGUGAUACUAAAAAUAAAAUUUUAGCCCAAUUCUAAGGCUUUGAUAAAUCAGUUAUUACUUUUCCAGACUAUAUGUAGAUACAUGUUCUACAUUUCCAUGGAAAAUUCAACAUGAUUUUUAUCUGUCCUUUAGAUAUUUGUGACUAUAAAUUAAAUUCCUUUUUUAUUCAAUAACAUACAUAAAAAAUAAACAUACAAGCCCACACAAACAUUUCUUCUUCUUUUUUUACCGUUCUCUUUCUUUUCUUUUCCUUUUUUUUUUUACAUACACAUUUACAUAAAAUACAAACUAUAUAAAAAAAAAACUCAAAAUUACACAAAUAUUACAUUAAACAAUUUUACAAUUACAAAAUAAUCCAACACUAUUCAGAACAGUGCAAAUGGACUUCUGGAGUUGCCGGAACAGUGUUCAACAGAGCUUUGAGAGCUGGAACAGUGGUGGCGCGUGGAUCUCACGCACCACUGCCACUGGCGGCGCGUGGGUCCACGCGCCGCCGCGAAAAAAAUAGAAACAGGGGGGGUCUGCAACGACCUCCUCCCCCCUUCACUUCCUUGCCGGCGGUGAGAACGGCGUCACCUGCAAAGCCAAACAAAACCCAACAUCCAGUCGAUUUUAAUUUUUCUUUACUUUUCCGAUCUGAUUAUCCCUUCCUUUUUUCGGUGUGUUCUCCUCUGCUGGUGACAGAUCCAGCUUCUGUGGCCGCUGUUGGGAUGUUCUGGCGGCGGGGAUGCUGCUGCGGUGGAGAUGUUUCCUCGGUGGUGAGCAGAUCGGGUCUGUGGGGAGGAGCUGCUGCGGUUGGUGGACGGCGUUGAUGGUCCGGAGGAGGAGGAGACACUGCUGAGAAGGGGAGGGUCUGGUACUGGUCGCUGCGUUCGGGUCGGUUGAAGGCAGUGGAGUGGGCGGUCCGUUCACGGUGGCUGAGAGGGAGGAUCAGCGCUGCUGGUUUGGCCGGUUGGAGAAGAAACAGGGGCCGGCGUGCAGGGGAGGUUGGUGUCGGCUGGGAGAAGAAAAAAAAUGGCUUUGGGGUGGAGCUGGGGGUUGCUGGCGGCUCCGGAUGGGUGAGGGAGAAGCUGUGCUUGCUGGCGAGAAAAAGGAAAAAAAAAUAUGAUGAGGGGGGCUGCUCUCGGUGAUCGGCCGGGAAGAGGAAGAAAAAAGAAUCAGAAGAAGGGGGGGUGUCCGGCGGCUUGGUUUUGGUGAGGGGAGAAAAAAUUAGGAACUUAGGGUUUCUGGUUUGUGUUCCCUCUCCUCAAAAUUACCAAAUGACCCCCCCCUCAUUUUUUUUGAGUUUUCAACCUAUAUUUAUAGGUAAAAGUUUGUUCAAACCUCCAAAUUGGUCCCUCAACUUUCUUUUUUUGUAAAUUUUGAUUUUUUCUUGUUUUUUUUCUUGUAUUUUUAAAAACGAGCAAAAUCAACGUCAAUUCUAUGAGAAAAAUUACGAUUUUAAAAUGACGCGUGAAAAGUCGAACGCGUUCGAAAAAACAAUUGAAAAUUAAAAUUCUUUUUAAAAGACGUUGAAAAUGCUAAAAACAUUGCAAAUAUAAUAAAAACAUAUAUUUUUUUGGAUUUUUGUUGUUUUUCACUAUUUUUGGAUUUUUUGAAAAAUUUAUUAAAAAGGUGGGUCAAAAAUUGGGUAACAACAAAAAUUAUUAUAGAGAGUAAUAUAAAAAUUUUAGUUCACCAUUUGUUCUUAGUAGUGCUAUCAAAAAUCAGAGAUUGAGUAAGCUUGAAAAAUAAAAUUACAGUUACUUUGCUAGCACCAAAGAGCAGGUAAUAAAUUGUUUUAUAAUAAUUUUUAGUCAAUAUUUUAAUUUGCGGCUAUCCGUACAAAAUAAAUCUGAUAGACUUAUCAAAAUUAAAAAUGGUAUUGAGAUUUCUAAAACUAUAAGUGACUAUGCGGAAAAUGAUAAAAAAAUUACUUUUUAUGGAUAUUAAAGCCAUGGAUAUUUUAUAUUAUACAUCGGGCAAAAGUGAAUUUGAUAGAAUUAUAUUAUAUAAAAAUACUUAGAGAUAUAUAGCAUGCUUUACAAGUAAUUCAUAAAGGAACUAACAAGUUAAAAAAUCUAAAAUUAAUAUGCUAAUUUAUCAUUAUGAAUUGUUCAAAAUGUUUGGUGACUUCGUAACUAAAAUUUUAAAAUGACUAAAAUAAUUAAUAGUUUAUUAGUUUGGAUGUUUUUAGUAAUGUUGAAAUUAUAGAGAAGUGAUCAUUAAGUUGAUUUUUUUAUAUGAGUAGAAAUCAGGUCAUUAUAAAUUUAAUAAACUAUUUAAAGUGUUCCAUUGGAAAGAAAAUAGGUGUUGUGAAUUUGAGUCUGUAUUUUUCUCUAUUUUCUUUUUGUUUUUUUUUGUUCGUCCCUUCCUCAAAAUUUAGGGUAUUAAAUUUCUUUGUUUCUUCGGAAGAUGCCUUACUCUUUGUUGAUUGUCUCUCUGUUUUUAGUUGCACUGUUAGGCUAUAUGUGUGUUUAUUGAGGCUUUGGCUGUCUUUUUUGCUACAGUUAUGAGGUUUCUUGGGCAUAGUGUUUUAGUUAGCUUCAGCCCUCUAUUAUCCAUUCUUUAUAGAGGUGGUGUUGUCUUUGUUUCGCACAAGGCGGCAUGUGUCUUGAAAGGAAGUUUACUUGGUUUUCUUUACAUGUGUUUCUUGCAUGCUACUUGUUUGGCAAAAGUCUUCUGAGAGAUCGACCUUUUUUCUUCGAUUGUUUUGGUUAGGCUGGGUGCUUGAUUUGUGUUAGGCUGUUAAAGUUUUUUCCCUUUCUUUAUAAGAAAAAAAUAUUUCUUUUGUGCUUGGGAACACACCUUUGUAGCUUUAGAGAUGAUAGAAAGCUUUGCUUUUAAAGGCAACAUUGUUCUUUAUGGUUUUUUCAACAUGGGUUUCCUUAACAAAAAUUAAGUUUUGCAUGUUUAUUUAUGUUGCUCAUCCAUAUAUAUUGCAACAGGUCUUUCUAGAGGUAACUUGGGUGAGGAAAAAACUUUGUGCCACGAAAAUAAGAGGCUGGAGUUUUAUUUUGCUUUAGAUUCUUCCCUUAAUUCCAACCUUGGUUUGUUUUCAAUUCUUUGGUCUUUCUUUUCAUUAGUCUAUGAUUUUUGUUGGCUUCUUGCUUUGUGUUAGGUUGUACGAGGAUUUUCCUUUUUUUAAAAAAAAAUCAUCUUGUGUUUGGGAACAAGCUUUGUACCUUUGAUGAUAGAAAGCUUUGAUUUUGAAGACAACACUUUUUCUUUAAGUUUUUUCGACUUGGGUUUCCCUGAAAAAUGUCUUCUUUUUGCUUGUUUGUUUGUGUUGGUCAUACAUAUAACAGAUCUUGUUUGUGGCUUGCACAUUGGUUGCUCAUGUUUAUUGAUGAUAGCUUUUAUUAUCUUUUUUCUUUUCUUUUGUAAUUCACAAUAAUAGAGUGGGUCUGAUUAUCUUGGUCUGGAAUUGACAUGAAAAAAAAGAGAAAGAAACUUACAUUCUCUACUUUAGAUGGCUUGAGCAUUGUUCGCUAGAACAACAGAUUGGGUUUGAUUAUCUUGGUCUGAAAUUGGCAGGAAAAAAAGAAAAGGAACUUGCAUUGUCUACUUUAGAUGGCUUGAGCAUUGUUCACUAGAACAACGGAUUAGGCCUGAUUAUCUUAGUCUGGAAUUGGCAGGAGAAAAAAACAGAAACUUGCAUUGUCUGCUUUAGAUGGCUUGAACAUUGCUUGCUAGAUGUUCAUUAAUUUCUCUUUUUGCAAUGAACUCUUGCAUAGUUGACAGAUCAUGCUACAUUAUUCACGCUAUUAUUGUUCUUUAUUGAACAACCAAGAUUAUUGGUUGGAUAAUAGCCACUGUGAUUAGAGAAACUGAAAUAAUUUAUAGUCUGCAAGUCUAUAUAUUCAUUACGGCAGUCAUGUUUUUAUCCAAACAUUGCCAAGAGUCAAGACCAAAGUUAAUCAAUAACAAAAAGAUGAAAAAAAACCCGAAGAUAAAAGUGACAAAAUUCAUAAAACUCAAACGCCAAUAAUGUAAUUAAUGCCAAAUGAUAAGAUUAAAAAAAUCAAUUAAAGAAAAAAUUGAAUCAACUAGUUAACUUAACUUAUCCACGACCUGAGAUAUGAAAUAGAAAUAAUAUACAAAAAAAAAAACCAGAACAAAUAACAAAGUUUAAGCCUAAUAACUCAAGGUUGAUGAUAAAAAAAAAUUAAUUUUCAAAAAGAACUUAAAAAAAAUACCAAACUUAAAACGAGUUGAUAUUCAAAAUUGGUAGAGUGAGUUAUGAGACAGGAUUAGUGUAUUCAUACAGUUUUGACCUGUUUUUUUAUUGUUUUUUUUUUAUUUUUUCAUUCAUGUGGAUAUGACUUUUUUGUUACUUUUUAUCGCAUAUGGUUGUUUCAUAAAAAAAAAAAAAACUCUAGGAAACAUAGUUGUUAAAACACAACGAAGCACAUGACCUAUGUAUGAUAUCAAAUAUCUUAAUCUUAGUUAUCUAUUUAUCAAAUAUUGAUCUAGUUACUAAAUACAUGUAUAGGCAUUUUGAUUUGUGAUUAAAAAAAAACUUAUAUUAAAAAGCACAUUAUAAGAGCCUGCUUAUUUUUUUACUUAAAAAAAUAAUCACCCCGCGGAGCGCCAAUAAAACUAGUUACUUAUAAUAUAAAUAUGUGGGGUGAACACUGUGUAGCCACGCACUUCACCUCCUCCUGUUUUAUAGUGGACACAAUGUUCACUGGUUUUUUAUUAGGUUUUGCUAUAAAUUUAAAGGAAAAUAUGUAAGGUGAACACUAUACAACCAUAUUGUUCAUCCCCUCAUGUUUGAUGUGCUAAGGAUAUAAACCAAGUAAUUGUUUCUUCCUUGAGACUAAGAGUCAUGCGUAGCAGAAUGAGCCUUCCUUCUCUCAUUCUGAUCAAUCAUCUUGGAGAGCCUAUGUUCUUGCCUUGAUCAAGAUCCUAUCUUAGUUAUUCAACACAAUGAAGAAAUUUUCCAAAAUCAUUUCUUGACAUAACAUCUUAGUUAUUCAACCGGUUUAGUGGGUUAAUCCAGUUGAAUUAUUUAUUUUUUAAUUGAUUUUUUUAUUAUUAUUCAAUUAGAUUGAUUAAGAAUUAUAUUUCAUAAUUUUUUUAUUUGCUUUCUAUCAAGAUUCUCCUAAUAUAUUGUUAUAUCUCAGUUAAAAUUAUGGGGCAAUUGGAGUUUAGAAAGGCCUUGCAAGACUGCUAGUGACAUUUUCAUAAUUUUGUUUUGAAAGGUUAUUUUUUGUGUUUUUUUUAGAUUUUUUUUUCAAUUUAACCAUUCAAUAAUAGGUUUAUUAAGAAUUGAGAUUUAGAAUUUGUUUUGAUUUGCUUUAUUUUGGGUUAUUAUGGUCUCAUAACCUGGAUUAUGGAUUUAGAAGUUAACUGAGUUGAUCCGGGUCGAUCCAAUAAGUUGUAUCUCAGUAUUGUUUUUGAAAAUAUCAUUUUAAACUUUUUUGAGUCAAACUCUAUUCUUACUAGUUGUUGUCUUUGGACCCAUAAGUCGAUCGGGUCAUAUUGGUUCAACUCUCACUUUUUUACUUGUGUUUGAAAUUUAAAUUGCAUAAUUUCAAGUUAGUUUAUAUUUAAAUUUGAAUUGAACUUAUGUUUAUUGAGUUUAAUCUUGAAUAUAUAUAUAUAUAUAUAGUAUAAUCUUGAAAUAGCAUGCUGAAAUGCUCUGAAACCAAAAUAUACAGUUUGAAUUAAAAAAUAAAACACUAUCCGGAACGAGAUUGAUAACCUGACGUGAUAUGUUUAAAAUGAGAAUCAUUUAGAGCAACCGUGUACAUAACAAGGGCGUCCCCUUCUCCGUCCAGAGAUUAGGCACUGAAUCUUUCGUUACAGUUAGAGUAGGCGAAGCUUGUCAAUCUUACAAAGGUGGUAGAAUUUGAGGAUUUUUAUUGUUCUUUCUCAUUUUUUGAAUGAAACUGUACUAUCUUACAUAAAAUUUAAAACAACACUGAGAUUUAUACAUAUUCCCUGUUAUUAUUACUUGCUUAAAUGGAAGGAGUAUGGAGAUUUGAAAUUACAAUGAUUGUUACAAACCAAACUUUUAAAACCGACAAUUGUUCGUUCCUUCCAUUAAGCCCACGUGAUUCAGAUGGAAUGCAAUCAAUCCAGUUUAUACCCAAAGGUGGAGCUUUUCUCUUUCAAUGGUAGUCUUCAGAGGGUGGAGGAUGAACGUGAGGUGGAAUCACCAGGUUCACAGGAUUCUAGAAUCAGAAAAGGGAAUCUUCGUUAUAUCAUAACUUACAGUUCUGCUGCAACUGCAGGAUGUAUUGUUGAAGAUGAGGUGCAGAGGAUGUUGUUUGCUGGGUAGGCUUUGGGAAUGCUGAGGACUUGACAGCUUUGACAGCAGACAUUAGAAGCCAGGUGGAUAAAUAGGAAGAUUGCAGAUCGGAAUGCAGCCCAAUAAUUCCAAUUUGCAGUAUAACUUGGUAAGGUUUAAAAUAAUUUAUCAAUGAAGAUUUUAUUCUGGAAUAGUUGUGGGUUGGGUAUGUCUACUAGGAGGGCAUCUAUUAGAAAUACAGUAACGCAUAGUGAUAUUGAAGUGUGUUUCUUGCUUGAAACCAAGAGGUAACUAGGGAUGAAAUAUUACGUGUUGAAUGCCACGUAUAAUGGGGUAAGGAAUUAUGAACCUUGAGAGGAAAAGCCUCUUGAAAUUCUUUCAAAACCACACUUAUUUCUUCAAGUACUUUCUUUAAAAUCAUUUGGGCUUAUAAGAUUAAGUCGUUUUCCUUUCAUAUAUUGGAGUCACAUCACACUCUCAUCAUGGUAAAUUGAGAAAUUAAUAGGAAAAUAUAUAUCUUUUUUUGAUUGCUAUGAAAGUGUUAUUAACCCAUGAUUUUUAUCAAUAAUGUAGUCUAUACCCAGCCUUUUUGUUUUUUUUAGAGGAAUCACCGAUGACCAAACGGUCACGGGUUUGAAUUUUACCAUUCUUAUUUAUUAGUUCUUUAAGAAUAUUAGAUUUAUCCAACAAUCAAUUGUCCACCAUAAAACUAGAACAACUAAAAACAAUAUGGUUUCUCAAGCUGUCAAACAACAAUGUGGGUGGGCAUUUACCGGUGUUCAAUUCUUCUAUAUAUCUUAGAAUAUCUCUACCUAGGUGGUAACAAUCUUUGGGUCAGAUAUCAGCUUUUCCAUUAAAUGAGUGGAAAGUGUGUACUGUAUUGGAUUUGAGCAACAAUCACUUUCCAGGCAUGCUUCCAAGGUGGAUAUAUAAGAAGAUUGCAGAUCGGAAUGCAGCCCAAUAAUUCCAUUUUGCAGUAUAACUUGGUAAGGUUUAAAAUCAUUUUGUGGGUUGGGUAUGUCUGCUAGCAGGGCAUCUACUAGGAAUACAGUAAUGCAUAAUGAUAUUGAAGUGUGUUUCUUGCUUGAAACCAAGAGGUAACUAGGGAUAAAAUAUUAAGUGUUGAAUGUCACGUAUAAUGGGGUAAGGAAUUAUGAACCUUGAGAGGAAAAACAUCUUGAAAUUCUUUCAAAACCACACUUAUUUCUUCAAGUGCUUUCUCUAAAACUUUCUUAGCCACUAAAGCAAAUACAACAAACUUUUCAUGAAUCUCAUUCUCAAAAUCAUUUGGGCUUAUAAGAUUAAGUCCUUUUCCUUUCACAUGCUUAUUUUUUCAUUAAUGUUGUUAAGCCUUGGUGGUAGUCCAACGAACUAGAUCUUUCUACUCUUAAGAGUGAAAUAGUAAGAAUUUGACAUACCAAAAAUGAUUAUGUCCAUAUUACAGAGACAUUGUAUACCUAACAUAUUCUACAUUUAUUGGAGUCACAUCACACUCUCAUCAUGGUAUAAAACUUGAGAAAUUAAUAGGGAAAAUAAAUCUCUUUAACUGCUAUGGAAGUGUUAUAUAUUAACCCAUGAUUUUUAUCAAUAAUGUAGUCUAUAUCCAUUUAACUUAUCUUUUUUUUUUUUAUUGGAGGAACCACUAAUGCCCAUUUAACAUUGCAUAGUUUUUUCCCUCCUUAGAACCAAAGAAAGAUAUGAUAUGUUUCUCAAUUUUGGUAGCAACAGUGGAUGGGAUAGGAAAUAAAGAAAGAUUAUUUAUAAUUGAGUUAAUCAAGCAAUAGUUUUCCACGGAUGUAUGAGAUGAAGAUGCAUGAAUAGGCAGACCCAAAUACUUAAAUGGCAUCCCUUCCAUCCUUCAUAUUAGAUUGCUAGCAGUUGAAGAAAUAACAACAUCAUCAAUUCUAGUUCUAGUGAUUGAACUCUUGUGGAAAUUAACCUUCAGCCUAGAAAUCAACUCAAAACAUCACAUAGUUCUUUUGAUGUUUGAAGAGAUGGAAAAUCAUAUGAACUGAAGAUGAGAGUAUCAUCUACAAACUGAAAGUGAGUAGUUUUCAGUUGAUCAUGACCAAAACAAAUACCUUUUAUGAGUCCCAAAUCACAUCUCUUUUUAGCAUUCUACUAAGACCCUCAGUCGCUAUAUUGAAAAGAGAUGUUGAUAAAGAGUCCCCUCUUCGCAAUCCCUUUUCCAUAAAGAACUCUACAAGAAUUGAAAGUUUUGUUGUCGAAAUACAUUAUUGUAUCCAUCAUCUCCAUCGUGAACCAAAACCCACACAAGCCAUAACUGUCGAAAUACCUGGUCAGUAAUUGUUGUGCGUGGUCUAGGAUCGUGUGUGAUCUCCAACUCUCUCUUGGGGGUGCUGGGGUUAAGAAGCAGAAUGAUAACAGCAGAGGAGAGUAAGAGACGAGAGAAAUGAGAUCGAAAUUAGACUGCAAUCUAUCAAUUAACUCUAACUGAUUAACAAACUUUGCUAACCGAAUGUACUCCAACUAACUAACAUAAUAUUAACAACUAAACAACAGGUUGCGUGCUCCUGACGUCUCUACUUCCCGCUCUUUUUUGCCUCCCUAAGGUAGUCUUCUUCUUGUUGCAACUUCUCUGACUAUUCUGUCAUCCAGGUACGUAACAAUACCCUUCCUCAGAAAGAUUCACCUUAAUGAUAAUGCAUAAUGCUGUUAUCUAGUUGUUCCACUUCUUGGGACAAUGCAUAAUGAUGCACCUUAAGUAAGUCUCCAGGCAUUGAUUCACUCUCUCGGUCUGGCCAUCCGUUUGAGGAUGAUAGAAGGUGCUUAGUAACAACUUUACGCCCAGAUGUCUAAACAAUUCUCUCCAGAACAGGCUUGUGAAAACUCUAUCUCUGUCAGUUAAUAUCAUGGCAGGCAAGCCAUGGAACUUAUAAAUGUGAUCCAAGAAAAACUUAGCCACCUCUUGAGCUGUGAAGGGAUGGGCUAAUGUGAUAAAAUGCCCAUACUUUGUAAAUCGAUCAACAAUGGCAUAGUGGUUGCACCCACCAUUGACAAAUAUAUUAACUCCCAUGUGCAGCUGCUGGAAAGAAAAAGAGAAGCUACCAUUUGCCUAUAAAUAGGCACUACGAAAGAGAGCAAAAUGAGAGAGAACGUGAGAGUGCAAACAAGAGGAAGAGAGAAAGAGGAGCUGCUGCCAUGGCAGCAAUGAGAGAUGGGAGUUGAGUGAAUGUGAUCCUCCUCCAUGUAUUUAUUGUAUCCUUUCUCUAAUCUCUAAAUAAUAUUAUCUCUCCCGUGGAUGUAGGCGGUUUUGUCGAACCACGUUAAAAAUUGUGUCUCAGUGUGCUUACCCCUCCUAUGAGCAAAUAUCAAUUCAUCACCGGUCGUCGGUUUCCGCCCAACAAUUGGUAUCAGAGCAUUUGGUUUAAAGUGGUGUUUGAUUUUUGCUCAAAAAUAAAAGUUGUUAAAAUUGUGUUUUGACCAUACCACCGUGUAGAGGAGGAAGAUACAAUGCCACUGUUGAAAACCAUGUCAAAAUCGGACGUCGGAAUAGCCUUCACGCGCCGACGAGGAGGCUGGCCACGCGUCACACGCGUCUUCGUUAUUUGCAUUUUGCACACUUCCCUUGUACUUGAAAAGAACCUUGGUCACUCUAAAUAAAACACUUGUCAAGAGAAUUAACAACAGAUGAGAACUUCUACAGAAUGACCAAUGAGGAAGUGUGGACACACUACACACACGUGUACUAGCAUGAAUCCACAAACUUAUGCAUGUGUAUAUUCAUGUCUAGAGAAUAUCCAAAUUAUUGAACCUAGCAUUAGCCGAAUACCGUACGGCAAUUUUCUUGAGUUCUUGUAAUCCCUCCUGACCAGAAAACGGAAGAUGCCUCUUUAAUGUCUCCAUUCUGCACAUGUAAAACAUUGCAUUUAAUUUUUAAUGACAAGGCAGGUAGAGAAGUUAGCAGUAGUGAGAAAGAACCGUGAACUCAUACACCACACCAAUAUCAGAAAUAUAUACAACAGAAUCAUUAGCAAAAAGUAAAAACAAAUAACGAUAUAGCUGAGUGUCAGUCAAGUAAUAUAUGGCAUCAAAAUACAGACAUCUAUUUUUACUUCCUUUCCCCGUAUUAUUCCAGAGGUAGGAGUUUACUUGGCCACCCUUCUGUCUAAAAUUUUAGUUACGAGCUUCAUGGUUAAUUUUCUUGAACUGGAAGAACCUUCCAUUUAUGGCUAUGGCUAUGCUCCAAGAUAUAUAAGUGCAUUAGUUGCAAACCAGAGGAACUCUGUAAAAACAUUACAAUAGCAUUUACACUGAGUAAGAAAACUUUUAUACGUGCACUGUAAUUGACAAAGAAAAGAAGAGAAAUCCUUUUAAUUUAUGAAAAUGCAAUGAGUUCACCUUAUCUCACGCGGCAAUAUAUACUCUACAGUGCUCAUUGGAUACUGCAAGUGCCAACAGUAGCUGUCUAUAUGAUUUUGGAUGUAGAGAUAUCACCAAAACAUUCAACUUUAUGCUGAGAAACUAGGAAACCAUACACUAUUGUGGCUAAUUGAUUUUUGUAUGCUGCUUUUGUACUUUAAUAUCACUAUCAUUUCAAUCCUGUAGAAGUUAAAGCAAAUAGAGCCCAAAUCCAACACUAUUCAUUUAAGUUCAGUUGCAACUCAAGGUUGACAUUGAAACACCAAUGCUCAUGGCAAUAGAUUAACCUUGAAAUUUAAAGCGGAACAAGCUUCAUGCAGCCAUCCAAGAGGUCAUCAUCAAAAGAAGAUGUUACACAAGAAGUUCCAACAAAAAUUACUUCCCAGCACUUUUUAUUCCCUCCAUUCACUUCUUGUGAGAAACAAGUGAAAAAUGAAAAAGACAAAAACAGAGGUGUAUGAUACUUGAGGUUGCCUCAUGGCAGUCCUGCUGAUUUUAAUUAACCUUUUGCCCUUCUCUUUUUCUUUCAUUUAAAUACAAGAUAUACUAUUUUGCAGCACUUGCACAUAUUAGCAAACAGAUAUUUACAUUUUGUUGACUAUUCUUUGCCGUGAGUCAGGCUGCAAUUGAGUUCUCCAAUCACCUGUGUCCAUCACAGGUUCUCCGCCUGGGGCAGUGGGCCUCCAAUUAUUGGCAUCCAUGGGGUUUUGGCCAACCAAAAAACUAGCCAGCUAGUUCAUAACUUGCCGCACCAACAGAUGGUGACUGUUGGUAAACCAAGCCAUAGAGAAACUCACGGUGCUUCAAUUUUAACUUGAUGUUUUCUAGCAACACUUGUGAUACAUCAUCGAUGCAAUGUUUACAAUGACAAACUUGCAUUUGUAUUCAUUGUGGUUUUAGGUUCACAGAUUCUGAUCAAAUAGAUAUUUAAUGUUCCAAAAAGAGAUUGUCUGGGAUGUUUUAAGCUAGGAAAAACAAGAAGAAAAGGACGAGCAUUAACCAUGAAUAUUUCAUGUUAUCAUCAACUCUAAUGAGCAGACUGAUAAGAAUCAACUUAACAACUCUUGUUGAAAUAAGAUUAAAUUUACAGGCACAUCUUUCUCGGAAUAGACAACACAAUAAUCCUGACCAUGCUCGACCUUGAGGUAAGUUAUAAAAUGUUCUUCCUAACUAGAUUUGUUGUUAAAAACACAAUAAUUUUGAAGAAUUCAGUAAAUUCCAAAAAAGAAGAAUCAACCAAACAGCUCAUUUUUCGGCCAUUCCGGCAGUAAUAUCUCUUCCACUCCAGCUGCUGCAUAAACUAAUUAACAAAUUAUCGAUCGAGCCUAAAAGAUUUGAAUUGAGUUCUAUUCUCAACUUAAAAAUAAAAUAAAUAAAAUAAAUUUGGGUUCAGAUCAGGGCUGAUUUUACAACAAAAACUGUGAGAAAAAUCGGAUAAUAUCAUGUAAAUUAAGGGGGAAUUGAAAAAUAAAUAUUAGAAUCGGUGAUGUGCGUUUCUUUGAUUGCGUUCACGAGCAGCGAUUUUCAUCGGAUCCUUUUAUAUUUUUUUAAUUUACUUAUUAAAAUCGAAUUGCGUUACUAGCAGAGACUUAUCGGAUCGAUAUUUGUUUUUUUAUUUAAUUAUUAAAAUAGAAUUUCUGUCUCUGAAUAAUAAUUACAAUAAAUAAAUGAAAACACCCAUAAAUUUUAAAAACAAAGCAUGAUAGAAAAGGAAGCACCUGGCAGAAAUCUGAAGCCUUAUUGGAUGCGGUGGUUUCCGAGAGGCGGAAGAGGGAGGGAGAGAGCUCGGGCGGGGAGAGGUGAGGAAUGGUGUCCCAAAGUGAAAUAGAUGACUUUAUUCUUUUCCAGAUUCCUUCUAAAAAAAUUAACAAGUAAACACUCAUAUUGGCCAGUAGUGCUAUAAAGAAGACAAAGUGGUAUAUCCACUUUUUCAUCAAUUACUUUAAGAUUUUUGGAAGAUAUGACACGAGACAAAGAAAAUGAUUGCUAUUAUCGACAAUUUAUCUGUUACACACCACACACACUUUGUCUUUAGCUAUAUUUUUUUACAAGGAUCUUUAGCUAUGCAUUAGAGAUGAACCUCAACUUCUUGAUUUUCACUCGUUUUCAUCCCAUUUAAAGAAGUUUAAGUUUGAAUGCUCAUUAUACAAAUUCUAAUAACAGGCAGCUAAAAGGGCUUGUCGAAGCUUUAUGUAAUGGCCACUACCCAUCACCAGAACAACCUCAGGAUCAUAUAUUCUUAGGUGCAAGAGUGCCCCACACUCUAUAAUGGGUGGCAAGCUCCUUCCUUUUCACGUGAUGAUGCCCCCCCCCCCCUUUCUUUCUUCCUUUUUUUUUUAAAAAAAAAAUUCCUUUUUAUGCUUAAAAUCCACCCACUAAUGGGUCGAUGAAGUGACCACUAACAACAACGCAGAUAAGAUGUUGCUUGUUCUUACAGGGAGAGGAAGUCCAGCUCCAGACAGCAGAAGGGAGAUCGUUUUCCUACAUCUUCAUCAUUAGAACACAGCAAUAACUCAAAGCUCUACCAUGUCACCAUCGCUUUUGAUUGCUAUCUUCAGUUGUUAUACCUACAAAUCCAAGAACAAUGAAUAACUCAAACGUUCAUUUUUUUAUUUUUUUUUGCAAAAUAGCACCUAGAACAAGAAAUAACACAAUUCAAAAUUUAUUUAAAGAAAUAAUAUAUUUUAACUAGUCACAGAUUGCGACUCUCUUAAGAUAAAUUGUCCUGGAUAAAUUGAAAAACUACUUUUAAGUUUUGAAUAAUUAAGUUAAUUAAUAGUAAUAGAGUACUGUUAUUAUUGCCAAAUAAUAGUAAUAGAAACAGAGGAGUCUGUUAAAUAUAGCCGAGAGAACACAAUUGACUGCCCACCAGUUAAUGGGGUCUGUCCUCCAACCAUAUCGGCCUUCCUCUCUCCUUCCAUAUUUGAAGUGUCAUUUCCUCCAUCUUUCCCUUCUUCAGGCACACGGUAAUUCGUCUGCUGUGUUGCUUGGGCCGCAGUGAUGAAGUGAUAGCCAUGACUUGAUGCCUCUGGAGGGCUUUGGAGAAGAGCAUGAUUCUGUACCAGCAAUCAAACAUCAAGACCUGAGAAAGUUGUGGUUCCGUUGAUGGAGCAAAUGACAUUGCAAAAGGAAGAGAUGUCUGAGAUCUUAAGAGUUGGUGUUUGUGAUUAUUCUGAUUUUGCAUCAGCUGCCGCUGCUAGUUCCGCAGGGAAUGAUUCUGCUGAUGAUUUUGCAAAUGGUUGGAUCUUGAUGACAGCUGCUGAUUCCACCUAAUUCACUCCCAUGUGGUUUAUGCUGCUGAUUCUGCAAAUGCUUCUGGGAUGACGAGGAGCCACUAGAAAUACUUGGAUUUUGAUAACCCUAUUUGCUUUGCUGUGUCUGUACGAAUGGUUGUUGCUGUCGCUGAAGCUGUGAAGGAUGAAGCAUUCAAGAAGAAUAAAAUUGAUCCAUUGAAGAAAGGCAUAGCCUGAGGAUGGGUUCCUUUGUAAGCUGUUGUGGCCCCCAUUCUGCAAAUUAGCCAGGGAAGUUUGGGUAGUUGAAGCUCAUUGCUGUAGCACCAGUUACUGCCGAUGUCGUGGCAUUUAUUGAAGCAGAACUUUAGAAGCUUUUACUGCUGCAGUAGCUAUAGAGGAGACUUGAUCUUCAGGUAGACUCUAUAAAGUGUAGGAAAUUGAAUCUAUCAGCCAGACAUCAUUCCAUAAGCUAAUAUCUCUACCAUUGCCAACCAAACCACAAACUUCUUUCUUUGCAAAAUAUUUUGAAGUCCCUCGUCCUUAUAAAAAGUAAUGACAUUCCUGGACCAUGUACUGCCCUUUAAAUUAACACAAACUAAAGGCAUGUUCAAAUAUGCUUUUUUUUUUUUUUUUUUUUUUGGUAAUCGGGGUGUCCGGGCCAGCUUGCGCGCACCACAACUAAUCCCCGGGUUCACUGAACAUCCUGCAAGCCCAAUGAGCAUGUAAGGCACCACGGGGGUGACAGACGUACACAUAGAGGGUCGAACCCGGGAUGGGGGCGGAACAAGUCACACGAUUGACCACAACAGCUGGACCCUCAAGUGUAACAUCUUUUCAUAGUCUUGUAUGAGACCUCCCAAACCUCCAUAGCCAUUUGAAAAAUUAACAAGGCUUUAUUUUUAUCAAUAAUGUAUUCUAUACCCACUUUUUUUGUUUUUUUUGGGAGGAACCACUAAUGCCCAUUUAACAUUGCAUAGUUUUUUCCCUCCUUCCUCCUGAGAACCAAAGAAAGAUAUGAUAUGUUUCUCAAUUUUGGUAGCAACAGUGGAUGGGAUAGGAAAUAAAGAAAGAUUAUUUAUAAUUGAGUUAAUCAAGCAAUAGUUUUCCAAACGGAUGUAUGAGAUGAAGAUGCAUGAAUAGGCAGACCCAAAUACUUAAAUGGCAUCCCCUCCAUCCUACAUAUUAGAUUGCUAGCAGUUGAAGAAAUAACAACAUCAUCAAUUCUAGUUCUAGUGAUUGAACUCUUGUGGAAAUUAACCUUCAGCCUAGAAAUCAACUCAAAACAUCACAUAGUUCUUUUUGAUGUUUGAAGAGAUGGAAAAUCAUAUGAACUGAAGAUGAGAGUAUCAUCUACAAACUGAAAGUGAGUAGUUUUCAGUUGAUCAUGACCAAAACAAAUACCUUUUAUAAGUCCCAAAUCACAUCUCUUUCUAGCAUUCUACGAAGACCCUCAGUCGCUAUAUUGAAAAGAGAUGUUGAUAAAGAGUCCCCUCUUCGCAAUCCCUUUUUCCAUAAAGAACUCUACAAGAAUUGAAAGAGACGAGAGAAAUGAGAUCGAAAUUAGACUGCAAUCUAAUUGAUUAACAAACUUUGCUAACCGAAUGUACUCCAACUAACAAACAUAAUAUUAACAACUAAACAACAGGUUGCGUGGUCCUGACGUCUCUACUUCCCGCUCUUUUUUGCCUCCCUAAGGUAGUCUUCUUCUUGUUGCAACUUCUCUGACUAUUCUGUCAUCCAGGUACGUAACAAUACCCUUCCUCAGAAAGAUUCACCUUAGUGAUAAUGCAUAAUGCUGUUAUCUAGCUAGUUGUUCCACUUCUUGGGACAAUGCAUAAUGAUGCACCUUAAGUAAGUCUCCAGGCAAUGAUUCACUCUCUCGGUCUGGCCAUCCGUUUGAGGAUGAUAGGAGGUGCUUAGUAACAACUUUACGCCCAGAUGUCUAAACAAUUCUCUCCAGAACAAGCUUGACAUAUUGUUCUGCUGCAUCUUUGGUACAGAACCUUGCAUAUUCAUUGAUUGCAACUGGGGAUUCAGUUGAUUUUCAUGGGACUGCAAUUGAGGAACUUGAGAUUGGGGUUGCUGCAUAGGUUGAAUAUGAGGUUGGGGAAGUUGUCCUUGCUGUAGAUUAGGAAUAGGCUUCCUGUAUCUGCUUGAGUUUAGAAAACCUACAAUCUGCUUCAGGGAAAAAAUGUAUGGAAAUACAGGGAAAAAAUUGAAAGGGAGAGAUUUGCAAAAGAAAAAAAUGUCGUGUCAGUACCAAGAAAAUAACCCUCUUGACCUAGAAAUCUGAAUAUUUACCUUUAAUCAUCUUAUCAGUAAUUUAUCGUUUCUUAGUUGCUGUAAUCAUGGAACUUACAAUGCUUCCUAACUAAUCACAACCAUAGCUGAAUAAAAUUCCCUUGUACCAAAUUCCAGGAGACCUUUUCCAUUGACAUCUUGCAAGACAAUGACAUACAUGAACAGUAAGCUAAAGAAAUUACCUUUUGAUAGAUCUCCUCUUGCCAAUCAGCACCAUUUGCAUGUCCAGUCUCUGCUGUAGAAUGUAGGGAUGCUACAAAAAUUUUGAUACAGCCAACAAAAGAUUAGAAUGCAUGUAUGUUUUGAAUGUUUUCUGCACACAAGGGUAUUUCUGUAAUUUUCACACUUGCUGAAAAUUAUGGAAUAUUGUAGGUCUUGGUUUUAUUUCUAUUUAGUAUUUUAUUGUUCCUAAAGAAUAAGGAGCUUUAAUAGGUUUUCCCUAUCCUAGAUAGAACCAUUAGUGUUUUCUUACAUAGGAAUACAAGUCCUUUUUGGACUUGGAGUACUAGGGACACUAUCUCAACGUUAUGUAAUCAUUCAAACAGACAGAGAGACCCCCCUCCAACAAGUGAUCAUUAUAUAUUAAAAAAAAAAGGCUCAAACAAUUUAUCAUGGAAGAAAAGCACAAAAGUGACACUUUACCUCCUAACCAGGAAAAUCUUUAAAAUAAACCAUCUCUAAUUUCAAACUCAAACAAAUCGAGAAAAAGACGUAGUAUACUUCCUUAGGUAUGAGGACAAAGCUAUGAUAAUAUUUAAAUAUUAUUUAGUCAUUGCAUUGCAUUGAUAAUAUAAAUAUUUUUUUCUUUCUUUUCUAGAAACAGACAACCUAAAGAUCAAUAAAUCCGAGAAACGAACGACGAACCAACAAACUGACGUUACAACUAUCGACUAGUGGCUCAACGUCGCAUCACUUUAGCUUUACCUUUCGAUCAUUUUUCUCUUAUAUGUUAUUUAAUUUAAUUGUAUAUAUUUAUAUACUUAUUCACUAUGAGCUUGAUUGAUUAGAUAACAAAAGAAAUUAGCAAAAUGUCCUAAAACAAUCUUUUAUCCCGAGGAUCCAUCAAAUUAUUUUAUAUCUAUUUAUUUUACUAUACUGUGUUAUUAUGCGAGUUGAAUUAAAAAAGAAUUGAGUAAAAAAGAAAUAUUCAGAUUUUUAGUAUUUAUUAAAUCCGAUUCAACAAAUCAAUAUUAAAAAAUUUCUGAUCUAAUUUCUUAUCUUGGUUGAGUUUUAAAUUUAACUAUAUGGAUGUUGUUUUAAUAUGAUUUAGUCAAAUUAACAAGUCUGAAAACAACCCAAAUAAUAAAUAGAAACAUGGUCUAACUUAAAUUUUUUGUUAAAUAUAUAUGUUUUUAUUGAAACGACGACAUAUUAGAUUGAUCAUGGCUUCGUGGCUUAACUUGCUGAACUCGUUAUCCUGGUUAUGAACUCCAUUAAAUUUAAUAAAUCUAUUUAUGCUUACUUUCUAUAAAAUUAUUGUAAUUUCAAACAAACAUCCUGGUACUUAGUUCAUAUUUGAUUUUACAAAAAUCUAUUUCAAAAUUAAAUUUUCCAUUGAGUUUUUGCUAAUCAAUAAGGUUUAAGUUUCUAAUAUUAUAUUUCUAGGUCAGAACCAAUUUUUUUAUUAAAAAAGAAUGGCAUUGUUUUGUUUAAAAAAUUUAUCUAAGUUAACCCAAUAACUCACAAAUUGACCAACAGUUCAACAAAAUAGAUUUUUAACAUGAUCAAAACCAGAACCAGGUUGGACGACCACGCCAUAAGUUGCAUCUUAUUUUUGUCUUUGCAUUACAAUAAUACUUACAAACAAGAAAUAAACUAAUUUGACAAGUCUUGCGAUUCACAUGUAUUAAAACCCACAUUACACACGGAAUAGACAGCACAAUAUAACCCUGACCAUGCUCGACCUUGAGGUAUGUUAUAAAUUGUUCUUCCUAACUAGAUGCACAGCUACGCCUUUGGGAGGGAGGGAGGGAGAGAGAGAGCUCGGGCGGGGAGAGGUGAGGAAUGUUGGACCAAAGUGAAAUACAUGACUUUAUUCUUUUCCAGAUUCCUUCUAAAAAUAUUAACGAGUGAACGCUCGCUCGCUCGCACGCAUAUCAUAAUUUUAAAACUCGGAUCGAACCAGCUGGUCAACCCGGGACCCGGCUGACCCGGGCAUGGAACCGGUCCGGGUGAAGGCCAAAACUCGCUUGGAAAUUGGCCCGGCCAGACCCGGGCCCAAACCCGUUGACUUUUAUUUUUUUUUGUUUUUUUUUUGCUAAAACGACGUCGUUUUGAUUUUUUUUAAAAAAAUAAAAAAUAAAUUUUGACCCGGCCGACCUGGCAACCCGGUCGAGACCCGGUGACCCGGUCAAAACCCGGAACCCGGGCCUUGGACCGGGCCGACCACCGGGCCGGGUCUUAAAACUAUGACGCAUAUGCGUUAAAUUCUAUUUAACUAGUAUCUGUAUUUUUGUUAAACAAACAGAUUAAUCCCUCAAGUUGAUUUAAAUAAUUAACUGAUCCUUUAAUCACAUUUUACCGUCAAGUUAAUUAGCGGCACAAACUAAGGAAAUAUUGCUGACAGCUCAACAUUUUACUAACGAAAAGUUAAUGAAGGGACCGAAUUGUAGACAUUUAAAAGUAUAGGGAUUAGUUAGAACAACUAGUUAUCACUGCCUCUGAGAAUUAAUAUACAGCUCAGCAUUUUGUUGAAGGGACGGGCAAAGGUACAUUUAUUUCCGUUAACUUUCUAAUAUUAGAUCUUGCUUCUGUACAAUUUAUUUUAAUAUAUUAAAUAAUAUAAAGCACAAAACAGAUCAUAAUAAAAUACAAGUUGUGAUAUAUUUAUUGCACAUGACAGUCUAUAAAUGAAGUGUUUGGAUCGAGGUAUAACAUGUGUUUUUUUAAUUUUUAAUUUUUAUUUUACUUAAAAUUAAUAUUUUUUAUGUUUUUAAAUCAUUUUAAUGCACUGAUAUUAAAAAUAAUUUUUUUAAAAAAUAAUUAUUUUAAUACAUUUCUGAGUAAAAAACAAUAAUUACAAUUAUAUGUACUAUCAACCACUCUCAAAAUAUUUGAUAUACACUUUGAACAUGACAAGGAUUGAUCAUUGUCUUGUCCAAAGUUUCAAAUUAAAGUUUUAUGGUCAAAUUACAAUUUUUAAAAAUUAAUUUAGUCAGAUCAUGGGUUUAAUUACAUAAUUACAAUUAAAGUAUAGGGAUUAGUUAGAACAACUAGUUAUCACUGCCUCUGAGAAUUAAUAUACAGCUCAGCAUUUUGUUGAAGGGACGGGCAAAGGUACAUUUAUUUCCGUUAACUUUCUAAUAUUAGAUCUUGCUUCUGUACAAUUUGUUUUAAUAUAUUAAAUAAUAUAAAGCACAAAACAGAUCAUAAUAAAAUACAAGUUGUGAUAUAUUUAUUGCACAUGACAAUCUAUAAAUAAAGUGUUUGGAUUGAGGUAUAAACCGUGUUUUUUUAAUUUUUAUUUUUUAUAUUUUACUUAAAACUAAAAAUUUUUAUGUUUUUAAAUUAUUUUGAUGUGCUGAUAUUAAAAAAAAAAAUUUAAAAAUAAUUAUUUUAAUAUAUUUCUGGAGAGAAAGAUUAUAGAGGACGAACAGAAGGAAUAGAAAAACAGAAACGAGACCCACAAAAACAAAACACAGAAAUAAAAUAAAAUAAAAUAAAAAAACACAAAGGGAUGAAGGGAAAGAUGGAGAGGAGGAGAACACAGGGGCUUCGUCAUUUCGAAAACCAGAGACGAAGAAGAAGAAAAAGAGUGCAGACAAGAAUUUGUACUGAAAAGGAGAAUCAGAAACGAAAACAGCAGCAGAGGGAAAGAAAGAAACGUCGCCUGAUCAGAGCACUGAUCACCCUCAUCUUCGUCUUCAUCUUUAGACACCAGCUCCAGGUACUCUCUUCUUCCUUUUCCCCCGCUUUGCAAAUUCAGCUGUUAGAAAGGCAAAUAAUUACCCUGUCAUUGUCUAAAGCAUGCGUAAGUAAUUCACGCACGCAUGCACAAUGACCAGCCGGAUCACUAGUUUGACCUAGUGACGGGCUAGGCUGAUGGGUCUAGCCCAGCCCAUACGGGUUGAGUUAGACCUAGCUUAAAAAAAGUAUAAUUUUUUUUAAAAAAAAAUUUAUGAUUCAUAUAUAUAUAUAUAUAUAUAUAUAUAUAUAUAUAUAUAUAUAUAUAUAUAUAUAUUACACAAUAUUGAUUUGUGUUUUUAUACUAUAAAGAUACGUAUCCGGUAUAAAAAUAUCCGAUUUUUAUCAAGACAUUAAGAAAUAAAAAUAAAAUAAAUAUUUUAUUUUCAUGGAUACAGCAGUUUCUCAAAAAUAAAAAUAAAAAAUUUGUAUCUUCAUACAACAAAGAAAAAAUUCAAAAAAUAUUUAACAUGUACUUUGGCUUUAAUAACCAGUUUAUUAAAGUAACGAGAACUAGGCCACUAUUUCAAAAAUUUUAAAUAAAUUAUUUUUUUUCUUUUAAUAUCUGGGUGCGACCUUAUACGUAACUCGUAUUCCAGAUAUUAAAUUCUUUUGUUGACAUUAAAACAGUUAAGUUUUACGCGAUAAGAUAAGGAUCUCUUUACCGAAGAGAACUUUUGUUCAACCGUAGACAGAUCAACAACUAGAAAACACAACAAGAUCUUAGAUUUUAUCAUACAAUAAAACAAUGCAGCUUACCUUAGGUAGGGUGUAUUUGGGGUCCUAAUAUCUUCCUUUUACGCAACCAGUCCUCGUACCCGAUCUUUGAAACCAGUUAGGGUUCCUAGUGACCAAAACACUUGGUGGCGACUCCCAUUCCAGCUUUCCACACAUAAGAGACAAGAAUUCCUUGUCUCCACAUAUUUUCUCAUUUGUAGAUAGGAUCGAUAGAACAUCAAAUAAGAUUUUGAGGGUGGAUGUAUUCGUCGCGACGUCGCACAUGUGCGACAAGGGUUAACCUUUAAAAUCCAUGACUCGGGUCAUCAGACCAUAAUAAACCCAAAUAAAAUAAUUCAAAACAAAUUAUGAAUCUUAAUUUUCAAUAAACCUAUUGUUGAAUUAUGAAAUUAAAAAAAAGAUGAUCUAAAAAAAGCAUAAAAAAUGUCUUUUCAAAACAAAAUUAUGAAUUUGAAUAAAAUUAUAAAAAUAUCAUUGACAAUCUCGCAAAGUCUUUCUAAACUUUGAUUGCCUUGAAUAUAUGUUAGGAGAUUUCUUGUUAAAUUUCAAUCUAAUUUAACAAUCAGAUUUAAAAAAAUAUGAUUGUUACAGUAAAAUUAGACUAUUUUUUUUAUAAAAAAAAUAAAAUAUUAUUUAACUAUAACAAAAUGCCUGGAAUAGACCGAAACAUUCCAGCCAGAAUUUAGGUGAAAUUCAUGGAACGAGAUAAGUUUCUAACCGAGGUGAAAUAUCUUCAAAUUUAUUCCAUUUUUUAAAUUGAAAUAAAAUAUACCUAUCAUUCUAGAUGUGACAUAGUGAAAUUAAAAACCAGUACGGCUCUAUUUCGUGGGAAAAAUUGCAUGAUAACAAUGGUAUCACUGACCCAUCUCGUGGUGGAUAAUUUAUUGCAAUGUUCUCUCCAUCAAAAUCCCUUUUGUUUUGAAAAGGAUUAUAUAUAUAUAUAUAUAUAUAUAUAUAUAUAUAUAUAUAUAUAUAUAUAUAGAUGCACACACUCAAUGAUUACUUAAUAUCUUUAUAUUAGUUUUCAAGUUUUGAGAUAUAGCUCUUAAAAACAAGAAAUAUACCACAAGAUUUUAUAAAAUUCAAAAUAUUAAUUUAACAAACAUAAUUUCAAUUUAAAUUUAAACAUAAACUAACUUGAAAUUAUGCACUUUAAAUUUUAAAUAUAAGUAAAAAAAUAAGAGCUGAAUCGAUAUGAGUCGAUCAAUUCAAUAAGCUCAAAGAUAGUCUAGAUGACUAAUAAAAAUAUAGUUUUACUUAAAAAAGUUCAAGAUGACAUAUUUUUUAAAAAACAAUAUUGAGAUAAUAACAUAUUGGAUCGAUUUUGGUCAAUAUGGGUUAACAUUUAAAAUCCAUGACUCGGGUCAUGAGACUAUAAUAACCCAAAAUAAAAUAAAUCAAAAUAAAUUAUGAAUCUUAAUUUUCAAUAAAUCUAUUGUUGAAUUAUGAAAUUGAAAAAAAAAAUUAUCUAAAAAAAAACAUAAAAAAUGUCUUUUCGAAACAAAAUUAUGAAUUUGAAUAAAAUUAUAAAAAUAUCAUUGACAAUCUUGCAAAGUCUUUCUAAACUUUGAUUGCCUUAAAUAUAUGUUAGGAGAUUUCUUGUAAAAUUUCAAUCUAAUUUAACAAUCAGAUUAAAAAAAUAUGAUUGAUACAGUAAAAUUAAACUAUUUUUUUUUAUAAAAAAAUAAAAUAUUAUUUAACUAUAACAAAAUGCCUAGAAUAGACCGAAACAUUCCAGCCAGAAUUUAGGUGAAAUUCAUGGAACGAGAUAAGUUUCUAACCGAGAUGAAAUAUCUUCAAAUUUAUUCCAUUUUUUUCAAUUGAAAUAAAAUAUACCUAUCAUUCUACAUUAUUUGUUCAUAAUAGAAUGGCUGGAAUAUAACCAAAAUAUUCCAGCCAGAAUUUAGGUGAAAUUCAUGGAAUUAGAUAAGAUUCUAAACGAGAUCAAAUAUCUUAUAAUUUCUUACAUUGUUUAAAUUGAGAUAAAAUACACCUGUCAUUCUAGAUGUGACAUAAUAAAAUUAAAAUACAUAGCUUUUAAAGCUUGUACGACCCCAUCUCGUGGGAAAAAAUAAAGAUGACAAUGGUCUCACAAACCCAUCUCUUGCUUGGUGGAUAAUUUGUUGCAAUGUCCUCUCCAUCAAAAUCCUUUUUUUUUUGAAAAGGAUUAUAUAUACACACACACACUCAAUGAUCACUUAAUAUCUUUAUAUUAAUUUUUCAAGUUUUGAGAUAUAAGUUCAUAGCUCUUAAAAGACAAUAAAUAUACCACAAGAUUUAAAACUAUUUUAUAUUUCAUUAAAAUAAAUAAAUAAAUUACUUAUAUGGUUACAAUAUUUUUUUCUUAAGAAAAUAUAUUUAUUUCAUGUGUUAAUAACAUUUAAGGAUAUUUUCCAAUCAAAUAAUCAAAUUUAUUUUAAUUAAAAAGAUUUCAAUCAAUAACAACAUUCCCAAUUAAACCAAUUUUUUUCCACGAACCCAACUUGUGGAAAAAAUGCAUUAUGGUUGGAAGAGGAAAAAUGCAUGACGGCAAAGUAGGAUUGCCUAUCCUAGAAAAAAAUGCUUGAUAGCAAGAGAAAAAACGCUUGAUAUAUAGCAAUGGUCUUAUGGACCAUCCCACUAACCUAUAUCUUGCAUCUCACACUGCAAAUUCCUAUCCAUCUUACUUGUUAAUUGUGUUAAAAAAAAGAUUGAUAAGUACUUUAGAAAGAAAAAAAGAGGACUUAUUGUCAUGAUAAUGACAAGAAGUAUUUUAGAAAUGAUAUUAUUUGUUGUUCAUUUUAUCAACGAUACUGUUUGAUUUUGCAAUCACCAUAAAAAUUAAGACAUGAUUUUUCACAUGUUAUUUCCAAAAAAAAAAUAGCAAGUCUUCUAUAUCCGUCAUCAUCAUACAAAUUGAGCUGCCUAGCAUUAACCUUUGGUUCAUAAUUUUCAUAAAAAAAAGCUGACAUGGGUUCAACUUUAUAAGAAGGAAUACAAGUUUUUAGUUAAUUACUUUUAUGCAAUUUAUUUUGUUUGUUUUUUUACAAUGUGGUUUUAAUCAGCGUUAUUAAAUUUAAUUCAAGUCUAACAUUUUAAUCUGGAACCUAACUCAAUUCAGGUUUAGAAAAAACUGAGUGAGAGUUGACCCAAUCAAGCCUAAUCGACAAGAUAAAUCAAUCCAGAAUCUAUUCAACUCAGUUAAAAACUAGUUUUACUUUUUUUAACUAUGUAGUUUUGAUUUUUUCUAAAACAAAUCUUAAAAUGAUACAAUUUUAGAGUAACACCAGUCAACAUAAGCUAACUUAUCCGAUCUAUGACCCAAAUUUUAAUCUGAGUAUUAGGCCAAUUUAUAACCUAAACUCUCAUCUGGGUAUUAAAUAUAAUCAUGUUUAAUAAUUUUGGUUGUAAUUAAUGAACAAGACAUUCUUAAAAAAAAUGUCAUAUAUAAAACAUUUAUUUGCAUCUAAAUUGAAACAUUCACAAAUUGAUAUAAUAGUUAUUAAUAUUUAUUUUUAAUAUAUAUAAAAUAAAAGAUUUUAAUAAUUGAUUAAUAUUGUUAAACAUGUAUUUUUUUAUGGUUUUUUUUUAAAAUUUCAUCUUUUAAUAUUGAAUUUGCUUAUCUAGAUCUUAUUAUCUAGGUCGACGAACUGAGGAUAGCAUUGCAUCACCACCAUGGCAAACUCGAUAUUACCGAGGAGUGCAGCAAUGUGCAAAGGAAUGUUUCAUGUGCUAAGGAUAUAGAGCCAAGUAAUUGUUUCUUCUUUGAGACUAAGACUAAGAGUCAUGUUGCAAAUGCAUGAUGGUUGGAAGAGGACGUCUCAUGGCCUCUCCUCGAGGAAAAAUGCAUGAUGGCAACGGUCUGAGGAACCAAUAUGCAGAUGGAAAUGUUCUCAUGAACUCAUCUCGUAGAAAAAACGCAUCCGAGUAUAUAAAUAGAAUUUUUUUUCUUUUUUUCCGAUAAACAUGACUUUCUUAAGCUUGUUGUAGUAUAUAGAAUUUUUUUAAAAUAAAAAAAUAGAAAUAUAAUUCGUAUCCGAGUAAAUACCUCCACAAAUAUAAUUUCAUUGAAAGCUGCGUCAUGUAUUAAUCUAAGGUUCAUUGUCCAUUAAUUAAUCGGUGGUUGCAUUUUAACACUUGAGAUUUAUUUUUCAUGCAUAAACAUUUAAUUUUUUUUCGCAAACUAAAUUGAAAUUAAAGCAUAUUAAUUAUCAAUUCCCAAGCUUACAGGGCAAUGGUCUCAUGGACCCAUCUUGUAGAAAAAACGCUUGAUAGCAAUGGUUUCAUGGACCAUCCCACCGGCCUAUAUCGUGGAAAAAAUAUAGAUGGCAAUACAUAGUCUCAAAGACAGACCCAUUUCGCAUUGCAAAUUCCUAUCCAUCUUGCUUGUUGAUAGUGUUACAUAAAAAUAAACUGACAAGUACUUUAAAAAGAAAAAGAAGAAGACUUGUUGUCAUGACAAUGACAAGAAGUAUUUUAAAAAUAAUAUCAUUUGUGGUUCAUUUUAUCAACGAUACUCUUUGAUUUUGUCACCAUCAUCAAAAUUAAGGUAUGAUUUUUGCAGAUUUUAGGUAAAAAUGAUGAUUUUAAGUUAUGGUUUGUUUAAAUAAUGAAUUUGAGUUAGAAAUCUUUAUAUAUUAAUAGGUGAUCUGAGUGUAAUUUAAUUAAAGUACAUAAAUUUAAUAUUGAAAUUUAAUUAAAGCCUCUCUUACAAUCCAAAAUUUAUUUUUAAUUAAAGUGCAUAAAAUUAACAUAGUUAAAGUUAUCUCUCUCUUUCUCUGUGUAUGUUAGACGGAGUUUGCAUUAGAUAAUUAAUUUUUUUUCAAGGUCUAAAUUUUAUACAUGUAAUUUCUAUAAAGAAAAUAGCAAGUCUUCUAUAUCCAUCGUCGUCCUAUGCCUAGCAUUAACUUUUAUUCAUGUUUUUUCAAAAAAUAAAAAUAAAAAUAAACUUGACUUGGGGUCAACGUUUUAAGAAGGAAUAUAAAUUUCGGUUAGUUACUUAAUUUUAUGCAAUUCAUUUUUUUUCUGUACUCUAUGGUUUUGAUGAACAGUUUCUUAAGCUAGUUGUCAUAUAUAGAAAUUUCUUAUAACAUUUUAGAAAUAUAAUUCACAUCUGAAUUGAUAAAUUCAAAAAUUAAUAUAAUAAGUUUUAAUAUUUAUUUUUAAUAUAUAUUUCGAAUUUAAUAUUAAUAUUUAUAAACUUUAUUUAGUUCAUAAAAAUUGUUCCACUUUUGUUAUAUCACUUUCCUUUUAAAGGGGUUAGGUGCAGCCUUGCAAAUUAUUUUAAAGUUUAUUUAUUUUGAAUUUAAUAUAUAAUUUUUUUAAAAGAUAAAUUUUAUUUAAAAAAAAAAUAUUUUCAAUAUAUGAAGGCUGGCAUAUUAUUUUUUUAUUUUAUUCAAAUAAUUUAUAAUAUAUGUGUCUAUUUUUAUUAUCGUUUGAUCGAAUUAAAAAAUAUUUUAAUUAGAAAAUUUACAAAACACAAUUGCAUUAAUAUUACGUCUUAUGAAAUUAAAUAUUUUGAUCUAUAUUUAUCAAUUGAUUUUUCUAGUUUUUAUUUUGAGUCAUCAUUUAUGGUUUUUUUCACUUAUUAACACACAUAAUUUUUGAUUUAUUUAACUAUAUUUGUGUAUAAGUUUUUUAAUUUUCACUUAAAAUUUAUAAAUAAAAAAUUUAUUGAAGAAAUCUAUAUAUACAAAUUUUAAAUUAAAACAAUUUAACUUGAAGCUGUAGUCAAAUAACUAAGUCUAUGUACUAAAAUGAGUGGCACUCAAAGGUUCACAUACCUUAUCUUCCAAGAAAGAAGAGACAAGAAAAGUAGUGGGUGAUGUUAUUUUCUCCAGCUGUAAAUAAAUAAAGAGAUUAAUACCAAAAACAUGGACAAAAAUUGAUGUGGACCCGCACCACUUUGAUUAUUCUUCACUUUUUUCGCUUUUCCUGUGUUUCACUACUUGAUGAUUCAAAAGUUAUCUAUUUAAAACAAUUUAAUUUUUUUAAAAUAUUUUUAAAAUACAAAAAUAAAUGGUUAUUAUUAUGUCAUGUAGCUAAAUUUAUUCUAACGUUAUUCAUACGAGAAUUAUAUAUUCAAUUUGUUAAGUGUUAGCAAUGCAAAAGAGACAAUAAGAAGUACAAAUUAUAUGUAUUUUAUAACUUUUUUUUAUUUAAAAGCUUGUAUCAAUGUUUUUUUUUUCAAUUUGAAUACUUAUAUUCACGGAAUUUAAUCAAUAAAAUAUCUUCAUUAGUUUUACUAUCAAAAUGAUGAUGUCAUAGUUAACUCUUUUUAGAUUAGCCUGGAUUGAUUUCAUUUUAUUUUUAAUUUAUGAACAAUAAAGAUAUAUAAAAUGCUUAUAAUUUAUAUUUUUUUUAUUCAAGUACUCUAAUUGAUUUUAUUUUUCUAUUUAAGUACGUGAUAAACUAAUGUUUGUCCAUAAAUUUGUUUACGUUGAUUUCUCUAAUAAAAGUAUAUAGAACAAAUUCAAUAAAACUAUAUUUUGAUUAAUAGAUUUGAACUUAAGUGUUGUUAUCCAUUUUUGGGACCCCACACAAAAAAGAGAAAAUACAAAAAGUAAGAGUUGAAGAAAAAUUAAUUAAAUAAUAAUAAUAAUAAUAAUAAAUAAAUAAAUAAUAUAUGUUGUAGUGAGAAAAGAUGUCGGACCGCCCAAAAUGGUCAAAAAUUUAUUGAGGUUAAAAAAUGCAAAAAUUGAAAUUUAACAGUAUAUCGUUGACUAAUGAGAGCCCUGUUGACAAAGAAAAUUCAUUUUUUAAAAAAUAUAUUCAAAAUCAGAUGUUUAUGGACUCAAUUAAAUUUUAUUGAGGGUUUAAUUGAAUUUAUGGAGGGUUUGAUUGAAAGAAAAUUGAGUUUUAUGUCGAUUUAGGCUUUUAUUGGAAGAAAUUAAAGUUCUAGGCUCCAAUUACAAUUUUGAAGAGUUGACUUGGUCAAAUUAGGAGCUUAUUGCAUAAUUAUUAAAGUUUUAUGAACAAUUAGAGACUUGAAUGCAAAGAUUGUCUUGUAAAUGGGGUUCAAAUCUAGGGAUCCAAUUAAAAUUUAUUCGGGGGCUUGAUUAUAAAAUUGCAAAACAUCCAAUGACCAAAUCAGAAAUAUUUAUUUUGAAUUUUAAAACGGUACCGUUUCCUUGACAAUUGUUCAUUACCUUCUUCAUUAACAACGGUUUCUACAGUAAAAGGCAGUGAAGACGUUAACGGUGCUGCUGCUUCAAUCAGGGGAGCACGUCUCACGGUUGAUAUCCCUCUCCACCAUGAUGCACUCCGCCCGUUACAAUCUUCCUGCAAUAAAUCCUGAAAAGCAUGCAUCCUCUGGCUAUAAAAAGCCAGAGGAGAGAUGGACAGGAAAAGAAAAAAAAAAGAAAAAAAGGAGACUGGGAAGCAGCACGAGAGGGAGAAAGAAACGAGCAAAAGGAAAGAAUGUAAGCAGAGGAAAUCGUUGAGACCAGAACCAGCGUUGCCAUCAUCUUUGUCAUUUCAAAAAUCAGAGAGGAAGAAGAAGAAGAGUGCAAAUAAGAAUUUAACGAAAAGGAGAAUAAAAAACGAGAACAGUAGUAGAAGGAAAGAAAGAAACGUUGCUCGAUCAGAGCACUGAUCGCCCUCAACUUCAUCUUCAUCGUCAGGCAGCAACUCCAGGGGACGUUUGAGAGGACCAGAGAGGGAGAGAAAGAAUAAAACAGGGAACAAGAGGAAGAACAGAGCAGAAGAGAAAAAAAGCAGAAGGGAAAUGCAGAGAAAGAAAGAAGAACCACCAGCCCGUCAGCGCCACGGUACUCAACCGCAACACCGUCCACCAACAGCACCGCUAGGCUGCAGGUCUGCUUCUUCCUCUUCCUCCUCCUCUUCUUCGCCUUCACCAGGUCUGCACCACUGUUCUUUGUUUUAGUUUUUUGGGCUAGACAGUGCCGGCCCAGCCCAAAAUGAAUGGGUCGGGUCCGGCCUAGUCAAAAACAUUUCUUUAAAAAAAAUCAUUUUAAAAAAUUUAGAUUUUCCCUCGUAUUUUUCUAUUAAAUUUUUCUUAGUAUUGGUUUGUAUUUUUAUACCGUAAAGAUACAAAUCUGGAAUUAAAAUACUCAGUUGUCAUCAAAACAUUGAAAAAUUAAAAAAAAAACAUAUUUUUAUUUUCAUGCAUACGGCUAAGUAUCUCAAAGAAAAAAAAUCAUAUCAUAUUUUCAUACAACAAAAAUUCAAAAAUAUAUAUUAACAUGCAUUUUAAUUUUAAUAACCAAUUUAUUAAAGUCUCGAGAACUAAGUCAAUAUUUUAAAAAUUCUGAUUUUUUUUUUUAGUAUCUAGGGUUACGACCUUAUAUUUAAGAUGUAUUCCGGAUGUUAAAUUCUUUUAUUGAUAUUAGAAUGAUUAGGUUUUACCCGAUAAUAUAAGAAUCUCUUUAUCGAGAAGGAUAUUAAAUUUUGACCAAUCAUUACUAAAUUGCUACUGGUAUAACUAUCUCUUGCAAAUGGCAGCGAGGAGUUUAGGCUUCAAUCAAGCAAGGUUGUCAAUUCCAUUUUAAUUGGUUUUUUAUUUUUUUAAUUGUAACAAUAUAUUUUGGUUUUUGAGUAUUUUGACGUGUCAUUUUGGAUUGUUCUAUAUAUACUUUGAAGUCAUCAAAUCGAUUGGGUCAUAUUGAUUUAACUCUUUAUUUUUACUUAUAUUUGAAAUUUAAAUUGUAUAAUUUAAAGUUAGUUUAUUUUUAAAUGUCAAUUAAAAUUAUGUUUGUUAAAAAUAUUGAGAUAACAAUAUAUUGUAUUGACCUAGGUUAAUCUUUUAAAUUCGUGACCCAGAUCAUGAGACUAUAAUAAGCUCAAAUAUAAAAAAAAUUAUGAAUCUCAUUUUUAAAUAAAUCUAUUGUUGAAUUAUGAAAUUGAAAAAAAAAUCAAUCUAAAAAAAGACAAAAAAUCACCUUAUGAAACAAAAUUAUGAAUUUAAAUAAAAUUAUGAAAAUUUCAUCGGCAAUCUCACAAAGUCUUUCUAAACUCUAAUUGUUCUAAAAUUUUAACUUGCGAUAUAAAUAUAUGUUAUGAGAUUCCUCAUAAUAUUUUAGUCUAAUCCAAUAGUUGAAUUGAGAUAUAUAAUUAAUACUAUAAAACUAGACUAUAUUUUUUUUUUAUAAAAGCAAAACAAAACAUUAUUUGAUCAUAAUAGAAUGGCUGGAAUAAAACAAAAAUAUUCCGGCCAGGAUUUAGGUGAAGUUCAUUAAAUUAGAUAAGAUUCUAAACGAGAUGAAAUAUCUUCCAAUUUAUUCAAUUGUUUAAAUUGAAAUAAAAUAUACCUUCCAUUCUAGAUGUGACAUAAUGAAAUUAAAAACCAUAGCUUUUUAGAGCCCCAAGCGUACGGCCCCAUCUCGUGGGAAAAAUUGCAUGAUGACAAUGGUAUCACUGACCUAUCUCGUGGUGGAUAAUUUGUUGCAAUGUCCUGAUCUUCAUCAAAAUCCUUUUUGUUUUGAAAAGGAUUACACACACACACACACACACACAAAGAUCACUUAAUAUCUUUAUAUUAGUUUUCAAGUUUUGAGAUAUAAGUUCAUAACUCUUAAAGACAAGAAAUAUACCACAAGAUUUAAAACUAUUUCAUAUUUCAUUGAAAUAAAUAAAUAAAUUACUUAUGUGGUUACAAUAUUUUUUCUUAAGAAAAAAAUAUUGAUUUCUUGAGUUAAUAACAUUUUAGGAUUUCUUCAAUCAAAUAAUCAAAUUUAUUUUUAAUAAACCUAUUGUUGAAUUAUGAAAUUGAAAAAAAAAAUCAAUCUAAAAGAAAACACAAAAAAUGACCUUACGAAACAAAAUUAUGAAUUUAAAUAAAAUUAUAAAAAUUUCAUCGGCAAUCUCACAAAGUCUUUCUAAACUCUAAUUGUUCUAAAAUUUUAACUUGCGAUAUAAAUAUAUUUUAGGAGAUUUCUCAUAAAAUUUUAGUCUAACCAACAGUUGAAUUGAGAGAUAUAAUAAUACCGUAAAACUAGACUAUAUAUAUAUAUAUAUAAGCAAAACAAAACAUUAUUUGAUCAUAAUUGAAUGGCUGGAAUAGAACCAAAAUAUUCCGACCAGGAUUUAGGUGAAAUUCAUGAAAUGAGAUAAGAUUAUAAACGAGAUGAAAUAUCUUCUAAUUUAUUCAAUUGUUUAAAUUGAAAUAAAAUAUACCUGCCAUUCUAGAUGUGACAUAAUAAAAUUAAAAACCAUAGCUUUUUAGAGCCCUAAGCGUACGGCCCCAUCUCGUGGGAAAAAUUGCAUGAUGACAAUCGUAUCACUGACCCAUCUCGUGGUGGAUAAUUUGUUGCAAUGUCUUGAUCUUCAUCAAAAUCCUUUAUGUUUUGAAAAGGAUCACACACACACACACUUAAUGAUCACUUAAUAUCUUUAUAUUAGUUUUCAUGUUUUGAGAUAUAAGUUCAUAGCUCUUAAUAUCUUUAAUCCUUAGUGGUUGCAUUUUAACACUUGAGAUUAAAUUUUUAUGCAUAAGCAUUUUUUUUGUUUGCAAACUAAAUUGAAAUUAAAGCAUAUUAAUUAUCAACUCCCAAGCUUACAGGGCAAUGGUCUCAUGGACCCAUCUCGUAGAAAAAAUGCUCGAUAGCAAUGGUCUCAUGGACCAUCCCUUCGGCCUAUAUCAUGGAAAAAAUGCAAAUGACAAUACAUAGUCUCACAGAUCCAUUUCGUAAUGCAAAUUCCUAUUCAUCUUACUUGUUGAUUGUGUUACAUAAAAAUAGAUUGAGAAGUACUUUAGAAAGAAAAAGAAGAAGACUUGUUGUCACGACAAUGACAAGAAGUAUUUUAAAAAUAAUAUCAUUUAUGGUUCAUUUUAUCAACGAUACUCUUUGAUUUUGUCAUCACCAUCAAAAUUAAGGCAUGAUUUUUGAAGAUUUUAGGUGAAGAUUAUGAUUUUGAGUUAUGGUUUGUUUAAAUAAUGAAUUUGAGUUAGAAAUCUUGAUAUAUUAGUAGGUGAUCAUUUGUGUGUAUGUUAAUUAAAGUGCAUAAAUUUAAUAUUGAAAUUUAAUUAAAGUCUCUCUUACAAUCCAAAAUUUAUUUUUAAUUAGAGUUCAUAAAAUAAACACAGCUAAAGUUUUCGCUGUCUCUGUGUAUGUUAGACGGAGUUUGCAUUAGAUAAUCAAUAAUAUUAUAUAUAUUUUUUUGGAGAAAGUAACUCAUUAAUUUCCACUUUGUUUUUAGAACACGAAAAAUUUUACUGAGUCUUAUUUAAAUAUGUAUUUGAUAUUAUAGUAGUUUAUAUGAUUGUAAUUUGAAAAAAUAAAUUUAAAAAAGCUAUAAGUUGUAGCUUUUUCUUAACUAAUAUUUCAAGAGAGAGUUUGUGGUAGGACCCAUACAAAGUUAUGAUAUACGUUAAUCAACCAAACACUUUAACAUGUAUGAUUAGAACAAAAUGCAUAAGAUAUCAUACUAUAGAAACUAAUAAAGAAUCAUCUAGAUCUAACAAAAUAAUUUUUUAUAAGUAUUUUAAAAAAUUAAAUCUACUCGAGUGAGAUACCAAGUGGUUUCCAAACCAAUGCAAUUUUAUAACCAUGGUAAAAACCCGAAAAGAAGUGAAAGAAAAUUAAGAAAAAAUUUCAUCAAGCAUUUGAGUUUUUUACUUUGGUUUUAUGUUUUAGAAAAUAACGCUUUUUAGUUAAUGAAAAUUUUUAAUUUGAACAAAAUAAUUAAAAUACCUUCCUAUAUAAUAUGUCAAAAAUUCACAAACAAUAGAUCGCGCGAGUUCUCUUUUCCCUUCUUUCCAUUCCCUCCUCUCUCUUCAUCUUUUUUUUUGUUUCAACCCUAUAUCGAUUCAAUUGAAGCUUAUGAAGAACUCCUAAAUUCUUAGUGAGUUAGUCUAUUCACCCCCCCAUUGUUAGUGAAGUAUCUUUUUUUUGUUUCUUGUAUAUGUCUUCGUCGUGGUACAACAAUUUUAAUAGAAGAAUUACUGACGCCUUUUAUAAGCAUCCAUUUUCCUUCUUGUUGUUUUCUAUUCAUUUUCACACCCCAGUUGCCACCCUGCUUUUCUUUCCAUUCACGCACACAGAUAGUGCAUAAAAGCACUGCGACAAUAGUUGAUUCCCAGUCAAUACGGUCAAGAUAAGGUAACUGGCUGUUGUGUGAUUUUUAUAUGGCUUGUGUGUUUUAGAUGGGUGUGUGGUAGUCACCCAAGAGAAAUUCAAUUUUAGCAUUCUUUUAGAUAAGAUAAUUGGUUGUGUUUAAAAAUCAAAAUGCCACACACCAGAAAAGUCAAUUACUUAAGAUUUGCGGAAGAUAUGAUACAAGAGAUAAGAAAAUGAUGGUGAUAAGUUAUUGUAUAUACUAUAGCCACAAAUUCCACAUGGAUAAGAUUUAUAAUUAUUCUGUGUUUAUUAUUAUUGAUAAUUUAUGUAUUUAAUUAUAUAUGUGAUAGUGAUGACACCAUGCAAGUAGGGUCCUAAAUAAUUCUAAAUUAUGAUGAGAGCAGUACACUUAUUAAAUCAAAAAGAUCUUACGACGGAAUCACACACGAAUAUUGAUAACAAUGUUGAAAUAUUGUAACAAUUUUUUUAUUUUAAUUUUUUAUAAAUUGGAUAAUUAGUAACCAAAAUAUAAUUAAAUGCAAAUAGAAUAAGUGCUAAACAAUAAAAUAAAAUAACAUUCAAAUCCAAGAUUAAUAUUCCAAAAAGAAAUGAAAUAAUAUUCAAAUCUCAAAACAUAGAACCUGCAUAAGAUAUGCAGAUAAAAUCAUGGAAAUGGCCAAAAUUGUAGUAUAAAUUGGAUCUCUAUGGUUGCCCAAAGACACAUAACAAACAACAAUAUUCUACGUAGAUGAUGAUGAAAAGAAUAGGGGCUUGUAUAUUAUUGACUCAACCAAGUGGGAGUUGACUCAAUCAAGCCUAAUCAACUUGAUAAAUUAAUUCACAAUCUAGUUAAUUCAAUAAAAAACUAAUUUUAUUUUAUUUAACUACAUGAUUUUGAUUUUUUCUAAAUAAAACUCUUAAAAUGAUACAAUUUUUUAUUAACAUUAGUCAAUAAGCUAACUUGUUUGAUCUAUAACUCAAAUCUUGAUCCGAGUAUUAAGCCAAUCUAUGACCUAAACCCUUGUAUUAAAUCUAACCAUCUUUAAUAACUUUGGUUUCUUAAGUAAAACAUCAUAUAUAAUUAAACAUCUAAUUGCAUCCAAAUUGAACAUUCACAAAUUGAUAUAAUAGUUAUUAAUAUUUAUUUUUAAUAUAUAUAAAAUGAAAGAUUUUAAUAAUUGAUUAAUAUUGUUAAACCACAUAUGUUUUUAUAGUUUUUUUCUUUAAUUUUAUUUUUUAAUAUUGAGUUUGUUUAUCCUAAUAUCAUGAUCCAGGUAAUAGAUUUGACGAGUUAACUUAAGUCUUUUUUUAAUAUAUAUAUAUAUAUAUAUAUAUAUAUAUAUAUAUAUAUUAUGUUAUUACUUGUCCUGCUAGACAGCCUCUAAUUUUGGCGCUAAUAUCUUUCUAUAAUAAUACUUGACUAUUAUAAAAAAGAAGAAGCAGCAGAAGUAGAAAUAACUUAGCGGAUUGACUAUUAUAGAUAAUGAGUUAUUUAGUUGAUUUUUGAAGAUUUUAGGUAAAAAUAAUAAUUUUGAGUUAAAUGAUGAAUUUGAGUUAGAAAUUUUGAUAUAUCAGUAGGUGAUUUGUAAAAAUCUAGGUUUGAUGUUGAAGAUGAUAAAAUUUCAUUUUGGUCCCUCAAUUCGUGAAAAUUUAAGUUAAUCCCCAAACUUUAGAAAAAUUACAGAUUGGUCCCUGAAGCAUAAUCCUAGAUUCUGUACCAAACUAGAGAUGAUUUAUGAGCAACAUUCCAAUAUAGUUAUGAAUUUAUGAUAUUUUUAUUUUGGUCCUUCAAUUUGAUAAAAUGACAAUUUGACCCUUAAAAAUUUGCUAAAAUUCCAGAUUGAUCCUUGGAGCAUAAUCCGAGAUUCUGGAUAGAAUUAAAGAAGAAUUAUGGGCAAAAUUUCAGUAUAGUUAUGAACAUAACAUUUUCAUUUUGGUCCUUCGUUAAUUUAAUAGCAUUGCAAAGGCUUGAGAAUUCACAUAUCUCCUGAUGGAAUAGGUACUUGCUGCUAAGACAUUGUCUUUUAACUCUAAACAUUAUUUUUCUGGUCUUGGAAUAUGCUUUGCAUAACGGAUCGUUAGUAGAAAAAAGAACAACAUUUACAAUCUAUGAAGAUAAGUAUCGUAUCAUCCUCGGAUUUCAUAAGCUGACUAGCAUUUCUAUCCUGCGUGGCAUGUGUCCGGCGUUGUACCAACAGGAACCGCUCCAUCAAACUGCCGCCCACUCCCUCAAAAUGAUUCUGCAAGUCUUCCUGUCCAACAAACUCAGACGCAUCUAAUCCAUCCCAUUUGGCCUCUCACAAUCUGUCAAAGCCGCAAUUAAUGCUGGAGUCGCCGAAUGUGCAGAUGUCCUCACUUCUGAUUGAUCGACUGAACUAUAAGUCCACGGGACAGUGUAGACAUCUUUGAUUUCAGGAAACCGGACCUCAUCUGGGACAGAAUCUGCAAUUAAGUUAGCACUUUAAAAUCAAACCAAGAUAAAGGUUUCUUGAAAAGAUCAUAUCCAUUAGAUAAUAUAAAUGGAGAAGUUAGUGACGUAUCACUGAUACAGUGAAUGCAGUGCACAGUUUUCCUCAUUCUCCUUGUGAGUUACCAUUAAUGGAAGCUCACACACACUAUACCAGUCCCAUGCUUGACAAUAAAUGCCAUAGCUUCUGGUGUUGCCUUUGACGCAGACAUUAUAACGCCCCCCUCAUUUUCUCUUAAUUUCUUCAUCAUCAACAACAAUUACUAACUGCAGAGAAUCAUCACACAUUCGUAACAUAAAGCCUUUCCUUGACGAAUAUCCUCAAUGGCCUCUGGGAUCGAAGCAAAUCCUCUGGCCACAAUUUAUUGUUAGCACGUGUUUGCAAUUAACAAUAUAUAUUUUGAUGAGCUACUUGUAGAGUAACCAGUUUUGUAUUUUGCUCACUUUUCAGUUUGGUUUCGGUAUCGUGUUUUGUAAUUAUUACUUACUGCUGGUGUUUUGAAUUAACUAAUCAUUUUUUCCCUCCAACUUCCCAUAUCUUUUUGUUGGAAGCUCCAUCUGUAUAGCAUUCUAUUUUUAUUUUUAUUUUGCAAAGAAAAACCUCGUUUUGCAUAACUGUUCCUAUGUCUUUUUAUUAUUGAUGUAUGUUUGACAUUUUUAAUAUCUUAAAAGAGCAUAGAGAAAGGUUUACGAGGAUUCCAAGGCGAGUGAUCCUACUCUCUGUUCGUGGAGCAAGGGAUUUCCGCAGUGAAGUUGUGGUCAAAUAUCCGGUCUAUAUACUAAAAUGAAGAAUGGCACUCGAAGGUUCACAUACCUUAUCUUCUAGGCAAAAACAGCCAAGGAAAGCAGUAAAUGAUGUUCUUUCUCCGGCUGUAAAUGGAGGAAGAGAUUAAUACCAAAAAUAUGGACAAAAAUUGAUAUGGACCCACACCACUUUGGUUAUUCUUCUCUUUCUUCACCCUUCUUGUGUUUCACUACUUGAUGAUUCAAAAGUUAUCUAUUUAAAAAAAAAAAUUAUUCAGUUUUUAAAAUUAAAAUAAAAUAUACCUACCAUUCUUAGACGUGACAUAAUGAAAUUAAAAACCAUAGUUUUUAGAGUCCCAAGUGCUCGGCCCCAUCUCGUGGAAAAAAUUGCUUGAUGACAGUGGUAUCACUGACCCAUCUAGUGGUGGAUAAUUUGUUGCAAUGUCCUCUCCAUCAAAAUCCUUUUUGUUUUGAAAAGGAAUAUAUAUAUAUAUUUUAGUUUCAAGUUUUGAGAUAUAAGUUCAUAGCUCUUAAGACAAGAAAUAUACCACAAGAUUUAAAACUAUUUUAUAUUUCAUUAAAAUGAAUAAAUAAAUUACUUAUAUGGUUACAAUAUUUUUUUUUUAAGAAAAUAAAUUGAUUUCAUGUGUUAAUAACAUUUAAAGAUUUUUUCCAAUCAAAUUUAUUUUAAUUAAAAAGUUUUCAAUCAAUAACAACAUUCCCAAUUAAACCAAAGUUUUUCCACGAACCCAUCUCAUGAAAAAAAUGCAUGAGGGUUGGAAGAGGACGCCUCACAGCCUCUCCACGAGGAAAAAUGCAUGAUGGCAACGAUCUCAGGAUCCCAAUGGGCAGAUGAAAAUGGUCUCACGAACUCAUAAAUGCAUUUAUAGUGAUAUUUUCACUGUUAGAGGCAUACAAUAGUUUAAGGAACGAAGAUAUUUUCAAAGAAUAACAUUUAUAAUGAUACUUUUAUGCGAUUCAAUUUUAUCUUCUUUUUAGUCUAUGAUCCUGAUGAACAUGACUUUUUUAAGCUAGUUGUAGUAUAUAGAACUUUUUUUAAUAAAAAAAUAGAAAUAUAAUUCGCGAGUAAAUACCUUCACAAAUUAAUAUAAUAGGUUUUAAUAUUUACUUUUAAUUAAUAUUUAUAAAAUGAAAGAUAUUAAGAGUUGAUUAAUUUGUAUAGGUCCAUUUGUAUAGCAUUCUAUUUUUAUUUUUUUUGCAAAGAAAAACUCGUUUUGCGUAAACUGUUCUAUGUCUUUUUAUUAUUGAUGUAUGUUUGACAUUUUUAAUAUCUUAGAAGAGCACACAUAAAGGUUUACGAGGAUUCCAUGGGAGGCUACUGAUUUUUGCUCUCCAUGAGAAGAGCAUCAUGGAACUUCUAACUGAGCAUUGAAUGUCAUAAUGAGAAAGAUGGCAGUUGCACACCCAAGAGAAUGCUUUUUUUAUCUUUCUUUUUUUUCACAAGAUAAGGUAAUUGGCUGUUAUGUGUUUUGACUUUUAGCAUUCUUUUUAUUAUUAUUAUUAACGUGAGUGUCUGGGCCAGCUUGCGCGCAACUCGACCAAUCUCACGGAUCCUAAAGUUAACGACCAUGUAAGCAUCCAAUGACCCUGAGGUUUAUGAGACUCAAACUGGUAACUUCUAAAAAGCAAACCUAGAACCUGACUAAUUGAGUUACACCUCUCAGAAUUACUUUUAACGUUCUUUUUUUUUAUCUUGCGGUGGUCCUCCAAGAUCAUGGAGGACCACCGGUAUGCAUAAGGAAAUCACUGCAUAGUUAUGUUUAAAAAUCAAAAUGACACACAGCAAGUCAAGCAUCAAUUACUUAAGAUUUGUGGAAGAUAUGAUACAAGAGAUAAGAAAAUGAUUGCUAUUAUCCACAAUUUCUCUGCGAAGUUUCCAUUAGAUAAUCAAUAAUGUAUACAUUCUUUUUCGAGAAGUAACUCAUUUUCACACCCCGAGUUGCUACCCUGCUUUUUUGAGAAGUAACUCCUUAGAUAAUCAAUAAAGUUUUUUUUUUGUUCAUUUACCACUGAUUUACACUUCAAUCAAAAACUAAAUUUACUUUCACUACUAUUUUAAUUUUUUAAAAUUAUUUUUAUAUUGUUUAAUGCAUUAAUUUCAAGAAAUAAAUUCCUUUUAUUUUCUCUUUCUUUCACUAUUAUUCUUUUUUCUUCUUCUUUUGAAUUGCCUUGUCUCUCUUUCUUUUCUGUUUUCCAUCUUUCAAUCCUUCAAGAUUUAAAUUAUGUAGCAAUUACAUUAGGAAUAUUGAUGACAAAUUAAAUAUAACCAAAAACAAAUGCAAAAAAAAAAAAAUUGAUAUUCUAAUAAAGCAUUUACAUUUCCAUUGAAAGAUGCGUCAUAUAUUAAUUAAUGGUCCGUUGUCCAUUAAUUAAUCGGUGGUUGCAAUACUCUAACACUUGAGAUUUAUUUUUUAUGCUUAAGCAUUUAUUUAUUUAUUGUAAACUAAAUUGAAAUUAAAGCAUAUUAUUCACCCCAAGCUUACAGGGCAAUGGUCUCAAGGACCCAUCUCGUAGAAAAAAUGCUUGAUAGUAAUGGUCUCAUGGACUAUAUCGUGGAAAAAAUGAGAUGGCAAUAGUCUCACAAACCUAUCUCACACUGCAAAUUCUUAUCCAUUUUACUUGUUGAUUGUGUUACAAAAAAUAGACUUUUUAAAAAGAAAAAGAAGAAGACUUAUUGUCAUGACAAUGAAAAGAAGUAUUUUAGAAAUAAUAUCAUUUAUGGUUCAUUUUAUCAACGAUACUCUUUGAUUUUGCCAUCACCAUCAAAAUUAAGGCAUGAUUUUCCACACGUUAUUUCCAUAAAGAAAGUAGCAAGUCUUCUAUAUUCGUCAUUGUCAUGCAAAGUGAGCUGCCUAGCUUUAACCUUUGAUUCAUAUUUUUCCUUUCUUUAUGAAAUUACAAUUAGUUUUUGGUUAAUUAUUUUAUGCAAUUCAAUUUUUUUUUUCUACAAUGUGGUUCUAAUCAGCGUUAUAAAAUUUAAUUCAAGCCUAACAUUUUAAUCUAGAACCUAACCCAAUUCAGGUUUAGAAAAAACCAAGUGAGAAUUGACUUAAUCAAGCCUAGUCGACCAGAUAAAUCAACCCACAACCUAGUCAACUCAGUCAAAAACUUGCAAUGAGAUUUUCCACACGUUUGUUUAACUAUGCAGUUUUGAUUUUUUCUAAAAUAAUCUUAAAAUAAUACAAUUUUAGAUUAACACUAGUCAACAUAAGCUAACUUGUCCAAUCUACGACCCAAAUCUUGAUCCAAGUAUUUGGCCAAUCUAUGACCUAAAUCCUCGUCUGGGUAUUAAAUCUAAUCAUGUUUAAUAACUUUGGUUUUAAUAAACAUAAGAUUUGAUCUAAGACCCAAAUCUAGAUCCAAGUAUUAGGCCAAUCUAUGACCCAAAUCUGGAAUUGUUCCCUUCUUAAUUGCAUUGUUAAUUACUUUUUUUAACAAAUGAAAUCACCACCAGAUUAAAAAGUCAUUAAUGUUAUUUGACGGGUUUUUUAUUUUUUUUAUUAUAUUGAAUAUUUAAAUUAAAUAUUACAGAUGAAAUCACCGACGGAUUGAAAAGUCGUCGGUGAUAUUUGGUGGUUUCUGAAAAAUUUUUAUUAUAUUAAAUAUUACAGAUGGAAGCACCGACAAAAUGGUUAAAAAUAUUAAUAUUUAAUUAUCUAUUGGUAUAACCGUCAGUAAAAUACCCCAAUAAAAAGAUUAGAAUCUCUCAUUUCACAAUAGACAUGCCUCUUUUUCUUCUUUUUCUUCUUCUUCCCCUUAUGUAAAAAAAAACAUUAACAUCCCUUUCUCUUCUCUUUUCUUCUUUUCUUUUCUUGUUUUUUUAAUUAACAUAUUUUAUGAAUUUUUUUAUCUUCUCAGCUUCACUCGCAACUACAUUAAAGUAAGAUUUUUCUUUUUUCUUCUUUUUGUGUUCUUUUUCAUUAUAUUUGUUCUUUUAUUUAUUUUUUUAAUUUUUUAUGUUCUUAAUAAUUUUAUGAAUGAUGAUGUAGGAUUUGUUUUUCAUGUGAGAUCAAUUUUUAGUUGAUUUAUUUAUAGGAUUUUUAAAUAGAUUUUAAUUAUUUAAUUAUUUUUCUAGUUUUGUUAAAUAGAUUUUUUUAAAAAAUAUAUUUUUUUAAAUAUUCACUGAUAAAAUUGCAUAUAGUAUGCUUGUCGGUUACAUGACAAACUUCUCGAGGAAAUUACCGACGAAAUGAAGCAGGUAAAUUUUUUUAGCAUGUUUUACUUAUCAAUAAAUCUAUCAGUAAUAAUAUUUUAUUAUUAUUAACAAAUAAAAAAUUACCAAAAAAAAAUUCACGAACAAAAAAUUUUUAUUUGUGAUCUCGUCGGUAAUUAAUUUACCUAGAAAAUGAAAUAAUAAAUCAAGAGAGUGAGCCAUUCCUUGACGAAUAUCCUCAAUGGCCUCUGGGAUUGAAGCAAAUCCUGUGGCCACAAUUUAUUGUUAGCACGUGUUUGCAAUUUGUAACAUAUAUUUUGAUGAGCUACUUGUAGAGCAAUGCGCUGUUUUUGUUUCUAGCUUUAGGUGAUUGCACCAAACAUAGACUGAACAAUAGGGACAUACAUAAAGAUUUAUAAUUAUCCCAUGUUUAUUAUUAUUGAUAAAUAUUUAUGUAUUUAAUUAUAUAUAUCAUAGUGAGAUGACACCAUGCAAGUAAACUCCUAAAUAAUUCUAAAUUAUAACCAGAGAAGUACACUUAUAAAGUUAAAAAAAAUCUUAAUGUAACAAUGCUAAAGUAUUACAACAAUAUUUUUUAUUUUAUUUAUAUAAAUUGGAUAAUUAAUAACCAAAAUAUAAUUUAAUGUAAAUAGACUAAGUGCUAAACAAUAAAUUAAAAUAAUAUUCAAAUCCUAGAAUAUUCCAAAAAAAAAAUAAUGUUCAAAUCUCAUAACAUGAAAUCUUAAAUUAUGACGAGAGAAGUAUAAUUAUAAAGUCAAAAAGAUUUUAUACGGAAUCACACACGAAUAUUGAUAACAAUGAUAAAGUACUAUAAUAAUUUAUUUUAUUUUAUUUUAUUUAUAUAAAUUGGAUAAUUAGUAACCAAAAUAUAAUUAAAUGCAAAUAGACUAAGUGCUAAACAAUAAAAUAAAAUAAUAUUCAAGUCCAAGAAUAUUUCAAAAAAAAAAAAAUUCAAAUCUCAAAACAUGGAACCCUGAAUUAUUGAAGGAUAAUUAUAAAGUCAUGAAAACAAUCUUACGAAUGUGUAUAAUAUUUUUAUUUAUUUAUUUAUUUUUAUAAAUUGAAUAGUUAGUAACCAAAAUAUAAUUAAAUACAAAUAGACUAAAGGCGGAACUUAACAAUAAAAUAAAGGCCGAACUGCACAAGAGAAUAUUCAAAUCUAUAUUAUCGACAAACACACCAUAAAGGCCGAAGUGUCAGACUUUGGCACUUCUAGGUUAAUUCCGUUGGAUCAUGUUGAAUUGUCAACAAUGGUGCGAGGUACUCUAGGAUACUUAGACCUGAGUACUUGCACACAAGCCAGCUGACGGACAAAAGUGAUGUUUACAGUUUUGGAGUGGUUCUUGUGCAACUACUAACUGGGAUGAAGGCAAUUUCCUACGAUAAGCCUGAGGGCCUUUAAGUGCUAAAUAAUAAAAUAAAAUAAUAUUCAAAUCCAAGAAUAUUCCAAAAAAAAAAAAAAUUCAAAUCUCCAGAACCUGCACACAAGAUAAGCAGAUAAAGUCAAGGAAAUUAAAUGGUCAAAGUGUAGUAUAAAUAGGACCUCUAUGGUUGCCCAAAGGCACAUAACAAACAACAAUAUUCUACGUAGUAGUAAUUCAUAGAAUUAUCUAAGAUGAUGAUGAAAAGAAUUGGGGCUUGGAUGUUGCUAGCGUUAUUGGCUUUGGUUGGCGAAUGGCAUGGUCGUUGUUAUGGGUGUGUGGAGGAAGAGAGGGUUGGUCUCUUGGAGAUCAAAGCUUUGGAUGGCAUUUACUUGAUGGAUUGGGUGGACGACAAUAGUAAUUGUUGUGAGUGGGAUGGGAUCGAGUGUGAUAACACUACAAGGCGAGUGAUCCAACUCUCUCUUGCAAGAGAUGACACCUUGGGCGAUUGGGUUCUCAACGCAUCUUUGUUUCUGCCUUUUAAAGAAUUGCAAAGUCUUCAUUUGGAAUGGACUGGAUUGGUUGGUUGCAUGGAGAAUGAAGGUUAGUUCAAUGUUUCUGCACUUAAUUAUAAUCAUAAAAUAAAUGAAGGUUGGUUGGUGUUUAAUGUCAAUUAUCUUGCUUUGAUGAUUCUCUUCCAGGCUUCCAAGUCCUAUCCACUCUCAAGUAUUUAUAUCUAAGUGAAAACCGAUUUAAUAAUGAUAAAAGCAUUUUGUCAUGUUUCAAUGGGCUUUCCACUCUCGAGUCUUUGGAUCUAUCAUAUAAUAAGUUGACAGCUGGAUCAGGAGGUAGCUUCUAUGGUAACCUUUUAAUUAUUUAGCUUCGAAACCUUUUCUUUUCUUCUUCCAAUAUGCUUUUGAGGAACAUCAUGCAGGUUUCAAAGUCUUGUCAUCAAGGUUGAAAAAGCUGGAGAACCUUCUUCUAAGUGGGAAUCAAUGCAACGAUAGCAUUUUUUCAACUCUAACUGGAUUUUCAUCUCUCAAGUCAUUAGGUCUUUCACGCAAUCAGUUGACAGGAUCUGCUAGUAUCAUUAGUAAGUUAUAUAUAAUUUCUACCUAACUGCUUUACGUGACAUUCUUUUAUACGGUUUCGUAAUCAAGAAAAUUGAGGACUUUAUAUUUAUUUAAUAAUUAAUCAACGAUAGCAUUUCAUCAUGUUUGAUUGCGCUAGCUUUCAUCUAUGAAGAUUUAUAGCUAUGGAGCUUUGAUCUUAUCCAUAAAUUAUUUUUCUAACAAGACAGGAAGAUAAUAAAGUGAGCUAGCUGGAUCAAAACUAGGAUGAUAAAAAAUUACAUGUAUAGAUCAAUGGAUACUUGCAAUCUAUCUUCUUCCUUAAUCUAUGCACAGUAGCAUCUUAUCAAUUCUGAGUGGGCUUUCAUCCCUCUAUAGAUCGUCUUUGGAUCUAUCGUAUAAUACAUAGUUUCUACCUAAAUGCUUCACAUGACAUUCUCUUAAUUAUAUUGUUUCUUUAUCAAGAAAAAUGAGGACUUUAUAUCGGCAAUGUAGGAGUGGUGUUUAAAGGACACUUUAUAUAUAUGCAAAGCUCCAUGACAAACAUAUUAAAAGAACAAAUUAUUUAAAAAUACAUAACAUUUUAUAAUUUUAAAAAAUAUUAUAUUAUUCAAAAUUAAUAAAUCCAAAUGAUUGUUCAAAACUUCUCAUUGAUAAUUAAAACAAGAACAAUAAUAAAUAACACUCAUUAUAUUAUCAUGAAAAAUGAGGACUUUAUAUCUAUGUGAUGAUCAAUUUAAUGAUAGCAUUGUAUCAUGUUUGACCAUCUUUAACAACUUUAUAUCCUUAAAUUGUUUUUUUUUUCCAAUAAGAUCAAAAUUAGAAUGAUUAAAAAUAUUUCUUAAUCUUUGAAGUGUACACAACCUAUUAUAUAAUUAAAUAUGCGUUCGUGAGCUCAUUAUAAUUAAAUAUAGCAUUUUAUCAUUCUUUUUAUGUGUAAUUCGAGAAUCAUAUAUCAAUUGAACAACAACAUCUCAUCAAUUCUAAUUAUUUUUAGUUUCUAUCUAUUAUGCAUAUCGUGAUUAUGACUUACUCUUAGAAACAAUUCUCUUGCAGGUUUUGAGAUCAUAUCAUCACAUUUGUGGAAACUCGAGUCAUUAGAUUUAUCACACAAUCAGCUGACAGGAUCUAUCACUAGUAAGUUACAUUCUUUUAUCAAGAAAAUUGAGGAAUUUAUAUCUAUAUGCUUUCAUGUAUCAUUUUAAUAUCUAAAAGAUACUUUCAUCACUAUUCUGACUGUUUUGAGAUAAAUUGUAUAGGUUGGUGUGAAUUGAAGAAUCUGAAACAGUUGGAUCUUUCUGGAAAUAAUUUAGGAGGUUCACUCCCAGAUUGUUUGGGAAACUUGUCAUCUUUACAACUAUUAGAUGUUUCUGAAAACCAGUUUACUGGAAAUAUUGCCUCUGGUCCUCUUACCAACCUUAAAUCCCUUAAAUUCCUCUCACUAUCUAAUAACCUCUUUGAGGUUUCCACUUCAAUGAAGCCUUUUAUGAAUCACUCAAGCCUCAAGUUCUUCUCUAGUGAGAACAAUAGACUUGUAACAGAACCUGCUGCCUUUGAUAAUUUGAUUCCAAAGUUCCAACUAGUUUUUUUUAGCUUGUCGAAAACAUCGGAAGCACUCAACGUAGAAAUUCCCGACUUCCUCUAUUACCAAUACGACUUAAGAGUCCUUGAUCUCUCCCACAACAACAUCACCGGAAUGUUUCCAUCGUGGUUGCUUAAGAACAAUACACGAUUGGAGCAACUAUCUUUAAGCGAGAACUCCUUUGUUGGUGCUUUACAAUUGCAAGAUCAUCCAUAUCCGAAUAUGACCGAAUUAGAUAUAUCCAACAACAACAUGAACGGUCAAAUUCCAAAAGAUAUUUGUUUAAUCUUUCCAAAUCUGAAGAGCUUAAGGAUGGCUAAGAAUGGAUUUAAAGGUUGUAUUCCUUCUUGUUUGGGAAAUAUUAGCUCUCUUUUAAUUUUAGAUUUAUCCAACAAUCAAUUUUCCACAGUAAAACUAGAACAACUAGCAACAAUAAGUUUUCUCAAGCUAUCAAACAACAUUUUGGGUGGGAAAAUACCGACCUCGGUGUUCAAUUCUUCUACCUUAGAAUUUCUCUAUCUAGGUGGUAACAACUUUUGGGGUCAGAUAUUAGAUUUUCCAUUAUAUACGAGGAAAAGCUGGAUUGUAUUGGAUUUGAGUAACAAUCAUUUUUCAGGCAUGCUUCCAAGGUGGUUUUUCAAUACUACAGGCCUUAACAUAGUUGAUUUGUCCAAAAAUCAUUUUAAGGGUUCGAUUCCAAGAGACUUUUGUAAGCUUGACUCGCUUGUAUAUUUGGACUUUUCUGAGAACAACUUGUCUGGAUAUAUACCGUCUUGUUUCAGUCCACCACCUCUAACCCAUCUGCAUCUAUCCAAAAAUAGAUUGAGCGGUCCAUUAACAUAUGGAUUUUAUAACAGCUCUUCUUUGGUUACGAUGGAUCUUCGAGAUAACAGCUUCAUCGGUUCCAUUCCAAAUUGGAUUGGCAAUCUUUCAUCGUUGAGUGUUCUUCUUCUGAGGGCUAAUCACUUUGAUGGUGAGCUCCAUAUUCAGUUAUGCUUGUUAGAACAAUUAAGCAUUUUGGAUGUUUCACAAAACCAGCUCUCUGGUCCACUACCCUCCUGUUUAGGCAAUCUUACUUUCAAGGAAAGUUCCCAGAAAAUGUUUACGGAUUUCUGGGGUCAUUUUCCAUCAUCGUCCGCAUACAAAGCUUAUGUUGAAACCAUGGGUACACCACUGGUGGAUAGUGUGUACAGCUUGGAAAAGGAAUUUUGGCCUAACAUUACAGAAGAAGUGAUAGAAUUUACAACUAAAAAUAUGUAUUAUGGUUACAAGGGGAAAGUUCUCAGCUACAUGUCUGGUAUUGAUCUCUCCAAUAACAACUUCAUAGGAGCAAUCCCACCAGAAUUUGGAAACUUAAGUGAGAUACUAUCAUUAAACUUAUCACACAACAAUCUCACUGGAUCUAUCCCUGCAACAUUCUCAAACCUAAAGCAUAUUGAGAGUUUGGAUCUUUCUUACAAUAAUUUGAAUGGUGCCAUCCCUCCACAACUUACUGAAGUUACCACACUGGAAGUUUUUAGCGUGGCGCACAAUAACUUGUCAGGUAGGACACCCGAGAGAAAAUAUCAGUUUGGGACCUUCGAUGAAAGCUGUUACGAAGAAAAUCCUUUCUUGUGUGGGCCUCCAUUGCAAAACAAUUGUAGUGAAGAAGCAGUGUCGUCCCAGCCAGUGCCUAAUGAUGAACAAGGAGAUGAUGGUUUCAUAGACAUGGAGUUUUUCUACAUCAGUUUCGGUGUAUGUUACACAGUUGUGGUGAUGACGAUUGCAGCAGUUCUCUACAUCAAUCCAUAUUGGCGACGCAGGUGGUUGUACUUCAUUGAAGACUGCAUAGAUACUUGCUACUAUUUUGUGGUGGCUAGUUUUCGCAAGUUCUCCAACUUCAGAAGGUGAAAUUGGGGAGACGGCCCGUUCCUAGUUUGUGAUGAUUGUUUGUCUAGCUAUUGGUAAUUUGUAGUGUACUGUCUCUAAGCUCAGUCUUUCUAUUUUAUUAGUUAUUUGGGCUAAAUAUAUAAGCUGGACUUCUCAUUCAUGAAUCAUUAGGAAGGAAACUGAUUUGGAUCGGUCAUUGACUCGGGUGUGAUUACUCUUUCAACUCUCAAGACUUGUCUGAAAAUAAAUUGCCAAAACCACUACUAAAGUAUAAACAAAAUAUUCUAUGCCUUUGUUUCAAGGGCGACCCCACCUCAGUUAUUCAAUCAAAGCAUUGAAAUCGGAGCAAGAAGAUCCACCUUCUUCAACAUCCUUCCUGGCCGUUUCUUUGCUCUGCUUCUCAUUUCCUCUGCUUCUUCACCCAUCAUAAUUUGAGUGAUUGCCUUCUCUACAGCUUCACUUUUAACAUGAUCUCCAUGCACUCUAAGCCAUUCCUUAACUCCAGUUUUUAAAACAUCAGUCACCAACUUUUCAUUAUAGAAUUGCUCAGCAAAUAUUGGUCUCCUAAGCACAAAAAAAUAAUUGUCCUUCUCAAACAUGCAGCUGUGACUUGAGACAUUCAGAAUUUCAACCUCAUUUUCUAUAAAAUUCAACAAUACUGGAUAUGGUCAUGAUUAUACUGGAUAUGGUCAUGAUUCAAUGGAAUAAUCCCCACUUAUUUUCUUGAGACCUUUUUCCAUUGAAAUCUUGCAAGACUAUGGCAUAAUGAACUCCAUCUAAUGAACAGUAAAUCAAAGAAAUUACCUUCUGAUAGAUCUCCUCUUGCCAAUCAGCGCCUUUUGCAUGUCCAGUCUGUGCUGUAGAAUCUAGGGAUGCUACAAAAAUUUCAAUGCAGACAACAAAAUGUUAGAAUUCAUGUAUUUUUGUGUGUUUUCCAUCUACAAGGGUAUUUCUGUAAUUUUAACACUUGCUGAAAAUUAUGAAAUAUUGCAAGUCUCAGUUUUAUUUUCCAUUUAGUAUUUAAUUAUUCCCAAAGUAUAGCGAGCUUCAUUAGGUUUUUCCUAUUCUAGAUAGGUCUAUUAGUAUUUUCCUAUAUAGGAAUACAAGUCCUUUUUGUAUUAGGAACUUCAUCUAAAUGUUAUGUAAUCAUAUAAAUGCAGAAUCAGAGGGUGAACAGCUGGUGCAAUGCACUGGAGGGUAUGAUGUGGUAACAAAUGCGUGUGUGAUUGCAAUGGUUUCAAUAGCAGUGGCAUUACUAAUGCCACAAGUGGCAGCAGUGGCACAUAAAGCUACCUAAAAGAGUAUUGCUGACUUGAACCAUUAUGAGAGGUGAACAGUUGGUGCACCGCACUGUAGGGCAUCGUGUGGUUACAAAUGCAUGUGUGAUUGCAAUAGUUCCAAUACCAGUGGCAUUUCUAAUGCCAUAAGGGGAAGCAGUGGCACAUAAAGCUACCAAAAAGAGCAUUACCUGGCAUUUGUCUCUGAGAAUUGACAAACAUAGUGGAGGGAAUCCCUUGUCCCAUUGAAUUCCCCACUGAGUUCUGUGAAACACCAGGGAUACUCUGCAUGUUAGGAUUCUGGACAACAGUGUUGGGGAUAGUCUGGGUUACACCAGAGACAGGAGGCAGUGCCGCUUGUAAACCAGCAUAACUUUGAACUCCAUUAGAUGCCAUGCAAUUCUGCAUGUUCUGUGAUACCAACUGCUGACGUGCUUGAGACUGAUCAGUGGACAAUAGGAUAGGGAGAAACAGCCCUUGAUUCUGAACUUCAGGGGACAUACUAUGGGAUGCUGUUCAAGAUAAAAGGCAAAAGGGAAAACCAUGUCACAGAAAAAAAGAAGGCACUGAACAAGGAAGACAAAUGAAACAUCGGCAGUCCACACAUAAAGUUAUGAGCGAAAGAAUUGGGAUGGAUUUGAUUCAAAGCAUAAAAGUGUCCUCUGACAAUUUUCGGGGAUGGGGGAAGAAGAGGCGGCUGAAAACAAAAAUAAUAUGACAAUUUUCAGGGUGGGGGAAAGAAAAGGAGGAGGCAGAAAACAAAAACAAUCUGUAAUAUUCUUGCAUAACAUUCAUCAAUUACUCAACUUUUUGAUUAAAGCAUGCCAUACACAUAGCAAUAUGUUGCAAUAAAAUGCAAAAGAGUUUGAUAACAAUGUGACAAACAAAACAAAAGGUAAGAUGUUUAGAAAUUCAAUGCUCGGCAGCAUUAUUAUAUAUGAAAAAAGGAUCAAAUGCUUUUCUCUCGGAAGAAAGCAAGAAAGUGACGUCUUACCUCCUAAACAGGAAAAUCUUUAAAAUCUACCAUCUCAAUCAUAAAAUAUAAAAUACCAUGCAUCACAGUCCUUGUUGCUUAACAAGUUAAGGAUGGAACACUUCACAUGCAUUAUAGAAUUAGCAUCGUGGAGGUGAUCAUGAGAUUUUUCCAGCAAGGCGAUAUACAUAGCAAUAUGCAGCAAUAAAAUGUAAAAGAGUUUGAUAACAAUGUGAGAAGAAAAACAAAAGGUAAGAUGUUUAGAAAUUCAAUGAUCGGCUGCAUUAUAACCUGCUGGAUCCAUGGGGGCAGUGGGCAUGGUGUUUUGAGACCUGAUCUCCAUUGAAAGCAUCUCCAGAGAUAUUUUACGCAGAUAAUCAUACUGAAAUCAGAUAUUAAUAACAAAACAUUAGAUCUCAGAGCAAUCCAUGUUACAAGAGGAGGAAAAUGGAUAAAUGCUCUAUCAUUUCAUCUUUUGUGAGGAUAUACUUCUGUUUCCUCUCUUUUUAUUUAAUUAUUUAGGUAUUGAUUUGCUAUUUUCUUUUUGCACACUUCCCUUGUACUUGAACUUGUUCACUCUAAAUAAAACACUUGUCAAGAGAAUUAACAAAAAGAUGCGAACUCCCAAUCAGCCUUGCAUACAGAGUGAACGGUGAGGAAGUGUAAGCACACUACACACACAUUUGUACAUGCAUAAAUGCAUGUGUAUAUUCAUGUCAAGAGAAUAUCAUAAUUAUUGAACCUCGCAUUAGGCAAAUACCUGAUUGGUGGCGGUAGUAUAAAUCUUUUCCUCAAAACGUAUGGCCAAUUUCUUGAGUUCUUGUAAUCCCUCCUGACCAGAAACAAAAGAUGCCCCUUUAUUGUCUCCAUUCUGCACAUGCAAAUCAUUACGUUUCAUUUUUAAUGACCAGGCAAGUAUAGAGAAGUUAGCAACAGCGAGCAAAUAAUGAGAUAAGCAAGAGUUGGUCAAGUAUUAUAAGACAUCAAAAUACAUAGACAUCCUUUCCCUGUAUUAUUCCAGAGGUACAGAUUAUAGGAGUUUACUUGGCCACCCUUCUGUCUAAAAUUCUAGCUACGAGCUUCAUUUAUUAGUGACUUAGUUGCAAAGCAGGGGAGUCUGUGAAAACAUUACAAUAGCAUUUACUCUGAGUAACUUCUAUGCAUGUGCUGUAAUUGACAAAGAAAAGAAGAGAAAUCCUUUCAAUAUAUGAAAAUGCAACGAGUUAACCUUAUCUCACACUGCAAUAUAUACUCUACAGUAUUCAAUGACCAAUGCAAGUGCCAGCAGAAGCUGUCUAUAUGAUUUUGGAUGUAGAGAGGUCAACAAAACAUUCAACUUUAUGCUGAGAAUCUAGGAAACCAUGCACCAUUGUGGCUAAUUGAUUUUUGUCUACUGCUUUUCAACUUUAAGAUCACUAUCAUUUCAACCCUGUAGAAGUUAAAACAAAUAGAAGGCCCAAAUCCAACACCAUUCAUUUAAGUUCAGUUGCAACUCGAGUUUUAAAUUGAAACACGUAUGCUCAUAGCAAUAGAUUAACCUUGAAAUUAAAAGCAGAACAAGCUUCAUGCAGCCAUCCAAGAGGUCAUCAUCAAAAGAAGAGAUUACACAAGAAAUUCCAACAAAAAUUACUUCCCAGCACUUUAUGUUCCCUCAAGUUUGCUUCUCGUGAGAAACACAUGAAAAGAUGAAACAAACAAAAACAAAAAAAAGAGGUGUGUGAUACUUGAUGUUGCCUCAUGGCAAUCCUGCUGAUUUUAAUUAACCCUUUGUCGUUCUCCUUUUCUUUCAUAUAAAUAAAAAAUUUACUAUUUUGCAGCACUUGCACAUACAUUUUGUCGACUAUUCUUUUCCGUGAGUCAGGCCGCAAUUGAAUUCUCCAAUCACCCGUGUCCAUGACAGGUUCUCCGCCUGGGACAGUGGGCCAACCAAAAAGAAAAAAAAAAUCAUAUUGCAUGUUAGAAUAGACCCUAAAAAGAAAGUCAGGAACGGCAAGAAGAGCAAAAGCACAUCAAGAACAUGAAAAAUGGAAUAUCAGUUGAUUCAGACUUGAAUAGAUUUAAAAAGAACUUCCGUCUAAUAUCAUGUACUUUAUUAAAGAAUUCAGCCAAAUAUGGAUGCAUAACAAAUAUACACAACCAUUCAGGUCAAGGUGCUAGGAUCCUGGGUAUUCGGCCAUUCAAAGCAAAGAAUCUUCAUGGUGCUUCUAAACCAAAGAAGCAUUCCCAUCUAAGCAAAUACUUACUGUCAAACCCCACUCCACUUUCCCUCCUGUUCUUGUUAUUUAUGCAUAUAUUUACUUCUCUGAAAGAAUAAAUAUUGUAGGGAGCAAAUAGUGUAAAUAGAAAGAGGAAAAUACCACAUCCCCAAAAGAAUAAAGAAAUAAGAAGAAGGCAAAACAAAGUCAUAAAACGAGGCCUUUCAAUCCCCAAUGAAUAUCAGCAGACUAAAUACCACAGCACAAAUAGAAGAUGAAGAGGCCAGAAACACUAAUCCAUCCCGAAGAGAUUGUCUAGGAUGUUUUAGUCUAGGAAAAAGACAAAGAAAAAAACGAGCAUUAACAAUGAAUAUUUCAUGUUAUCAUCAACUCUAAAGAGCAGACUGAUAAGAAUCAACUUAACAAAUUUACAGGCACAUCUUUCUUUGAACAGACAACACAAUAACCCUGACCAUACUAAAUGCUCCACCCACAGUAGAAUCGGCUGAUUGCGCCUUUCUUCGAGUUGCGUUCACGAGCAGCGAUUUCAUCGGGUCCGAUUAUAUAUCUUUUUUAAUUUACUUAUUAAAAUUGAAUUUUUCUCUCUGGAUAGUAAUUUCAAUUAAAUAAAUGGAAACGCAGACGUAAAUCUUUUUUUUUUUAAAAAAAAAAAACAUAAUAGAAAAUGAAGCACCUGGUGGAGAUUUGAAGCCUUAUUGGUUGAGGGGGCGGCGGUUUCCUAGAGCGGAGGAGGGAAAGAGAGCUCAGGUGGAAAGAGGUGAAGAAUGUCGGACCAAAGUGAACAGAGCUUGACAGAUGACUCUUUUUUUUUAAUAUGAAUAUUCUAGUUAACUUAGUAUACCUCUAAUAAAAUUCACAAUCAUAUAAAUAUUUAUAUAAAUAUCUAAAAAAAUUUAAUACUCAAAUUAGUGAUAUGCAGGUAGCAAUAUUUUAUUCUUUCCAGAUUUGCUAACAAACUAAAAGAAAUGUAUUCACUGUGCUGCUUUACUGUUCAUAACUAACAAACUAAAACUAAAAUUAUUAAGGCGGGGUGCUAUGCGCGCGAGGAGAUGUCAGCCGACGGGAAAUCACCUGCAUCGGCUGGGAUGGCUUCAUUGAAGCUGUCCUCUUGGUCUGUGGCGGGCCUACUCAUUAAUGAAAAAAUUAUUCUAACAGAGACAUUGUUUUUGUUUUUGUAAAAUCUUUUCUAUUAUAUUUUUUUUAAUCCAAAUUUUUAUAGAAAACAUCAUAUAAAUUCUGGUGUGAUAUUUAUUCUUGGUUGUGCUGAUAAUAAAUUGUUUUAAAACUACAGAAUUAAUCAUUAUCUCAAUUUAAUUUUUAUUUUGAUUAUUGAUUUAUGUGCAUGUUUUAUAUUAGGUGGAAACUUGAUCAUUGUAGUAAAAAGGAACAAUAAUUUUAUGAAUUAUUCAAAACAAUUUAUUUGUUCUAUGCAUAUGUAUGAUGAUCUGGUUAUACAUGAAAUAGAUAAUUUGUCAAGAACAAAUUGAUUAUAUGUUGACAUAGAUUAAAAAAAAGUUUAAUUUUAACAGGAAAAGUAAAGUGUAUAUAUCUUUUGUUAUCUAUGUACUUAUAUAUUGCCUUGAUUCUAUGGGGAAAUAAAUUUUAUGUUGCAUGGUAUUUUCCUUUGUUGUUGCGUUGAUAGAAAAAAACAAAGAAAACAGAAGAUGGGAAAAAAAGUUGCAUAUCUGGAUAAUAAUUAUCGGUGAAAUAAUAUAUGUAAAGUGAAAUUCUAUUUAAUUGGAAUUAUUUUGUUUAUGUUGCAUAUAUAGCUAUAUAUGAUUAAAGAGUGAUUAACAACUAAUACUCCUAGCAUUGAUGAUGCAUUAUUACCAAGAAAAAAAAAAUUUAGUGUAGGAUUCAUCAAAGGCAUUCUAUUUUUCACUUGGAUUGGUAAAAGACUAAAAGACUCAAAUAUAGUUAUUACUUAAGAUGUGGUUGUAGACUUACCAAACCACAUUAGAAAAUGAGUUUGCAAUCUUUAAUUAUGUUAUAUAUGUUUAGAGUGUUUAUUUUCAUUAUUUUGAUAUAAUUACCAUGUCAGAAUUACCUAUAAAAAGAGACAAUUCUGACAUGGUUUUGACAAUAAAAAAAACUUCUAAUCUUUUUAAAACUCUUCUCUUUAUAUCUUUUUAAUUAAAAUUCUUAUAAAGAGUAACAUAAAAAUUUUAGUUCACCAUUUAUUCUUGGUUGUGCUAUAAAAAAUCAGAGAUUGAGUAAGCUUGAAAAAUAAUAUUACAAUUAUAUUGCUAGCACUAAAGAGCAUGUAAUAAAUUGUUUUAUGAUAAUUUAUAGUCAAUAUUUUAAUUUGUGGCUAUCCGUACAAAAUAUUUUAAAAUGACUAAAAUAAUUAAUAGUUUAUUAGUUUGGAUGUUUUUAGUAAUGUUGAAAUUAUAGAGAAGUGAUCAUUAAGUUGAUUUUUUUAUAUGCGUAGAAAUCAGGUCAUUAUAAAUUUAAUAAACUAUUUAAAGUGUUCCAAUGAAAAGAAAAUGGUGUUGUGAAUUUGAGUCUGCAUUUUUCUCUUUCUUUUUGGUUUUUUUUGUUCGUCCCUUCCUCAAAAUUUAGGGUAUUAAAUUUCUUUGUUUCUUCGGAAGAUGCCUUACUCUUUGUUGAUCGUCUUUCUGUUUUUAGUUGCAUUGUUAGGCUAUAUGUGUGUUUAUUGAGGCUUUGGCUGCCUUUUUUGCUACAGUUAUGAGGUUUCUUGGAGUGUUUUAGUUAACUUCAGCCCUCUAUUAUCCAUUCUUUAUAGAGGUGGUGUUGUCUUUGUUUCGCACAAGGCGGCAUGUGUCUUGAAAGGAAGUUUACUUGGUUUUCUUUACAUGUGUUUCUUGCAUGCUACUUGUUUGGCAAAAGUCUCCUGAGAGAUCGACCUUUUUUCUUUGUUUUGGUUAGGCUGGGUGCUUGAUUUGUGUUAGGCUGUUAAAGUUUUUUCCCUUUCUUUAUAAGAAAAAAAUAUUUCUUUUGUGCUUGGGAACACACCUUUGUAGCUUUAGAGAUGAUAGAAAGCUUUGCUUUUAAAGGCAACAUUGUUCUUUAUGGUUUUUUCAACAUGGGUUUCCUUAACAAAAAUUAAGUUUUGCAUGUUUAUUUAUGUUGCUCAUCCACAUGUAUUGCAACAGGUCUUUCUAGAGGUAACUUGGGUGAGGAAAAAACUUUGUGCCACGAAAAUAAGAGGCUGGAGUUUUAUUUUGCUUUAGAUUCUUCCCUUAAUUCCAACCUUGGUUUGUUUUCAAUUCUUUGGUCUUUCUUUUCAUUAGUCUAUGAUUUUUGUUGGCUUCUUGCUUUGUGUAAGGUUGUACGAGGAUUUUCCUUUUUUAAAAAAAAAUCAUCUUGUGUUUGGGAACACAGCUUUGUACCUUUGGAGAUGAUAGAAAGCUUUGAUUUUGAAGACAACACUUUUUCUUUAAGUUUUUUGGACUUGGGUUUCCCUGAAAAAUGUCUUCUUUUUGCUUGUUUGUUUGUUUUGGUCAUACAUAUAUGUUACAGCAGGUCUUGUUUGUGGCUUGCACAUUGGUUGCUUAUGUUUAUUGAUGAUAGCUUUUAUUGUCUUUUUUCUUUUCAUUUGUAAUUCACAACAAUAGAGUGGGUUUGAUUAUCUUGGUUUGGAAUUGACAUGAAAAAAAGAGAGAAACUUACAUUCUCUACUUUAGAUGGCUUGAGCAUUGUUCGCUAGAAUAAUAGAAUGGGUUUAAUUAUCUUGGUCUGAAAUUGGCAGGAAAAAAAGAAAAGGAACUUGCAUUGUUUGCUUUAGAUGGCUUGAUUAUUGUUCGCUAGAACAACAGAUUGGGUCUGAUUAUCUUGGUCUGGAAUUGGCAGGAGAAAAAAACAGAAACUUGCAUUGUCUGCUUUAGAUGGCUUGAACAUUGCUUGCUAGAUGUUCAUUAAUUUCUCUUUUUGCAAUGAACUCUUGCAUAGUUGACAGAUCAUGCUACAUUAUUCACGCUAUUAUUGUUCUUUAUUGAACUACCAAGAUUAUUGGUUGGAUAAUAGCCACUGUGAUUAGAGAAACUGAAAUAAUUUAUAGUCUGCAAGUCUAUAUAUUCAUUACGGCAGUCAUGUUUUUAUCCAAACAUUGCCAAGAGUCAAGACCAAAGUUAAUCAAUAACAAAAAGAUGGAAAAAAACCCCGAAGAUAAAAGUGACAAAAUUCAUAAAACUCAAACGCCAAUAAUAUAAUUAAUGUCAAAUGAUAAGAUUACAAAAAUCAAUUAAAGAAAAAAAUAAAUCAACCUAUGUUAACUUAACUUAUCCACGACCUGAGAUAUGAAGUAGAAAUAAUCAUACAAAAAAAAAAAACCAGAACAAAUAACAAAGUUUAAAGCCUCAAGGUUGAUGAUAAAAAAAAAAUUUAAUUUUAAAAAAGAACUUAAAAAAAAAUACCAAACUUAAAACGAGUUGAUAUUCAAAAUUGGUAUGGUGAGUUAUGAGACCAGGAUUAGUGUAUUCAUACAGUUUUGACCUGUCUUUUUUUAUUGUUUUUUUUGUUUAUUUUUUUAUUCAAUGUUGGAUAUGACUUUUUUGUUAUUUUUUAUCGAAGCAUAUGGUUGUUUCAUAAAAAAAAAAAAAAACUAUAGGAAACAUAGUUGUUAAAACACAACGAAGCACAUGACCUAUGUCAUGAUAUCAAAUAUCUUAAUCUUAGUUAUCUAUUUAUCAAAUAUUGAUCUAGUUACUAAAUACAUGUAUAGGCAUUUUGAUUUGUGAUUGAAAAAAAAAACUUAUAUUAAAAAGCACAUUAUAAGAGUCUGCUUAUUUUUUUUACUUAAAAAAAUAAUCACCCUGCUGCAAACCGCCAAUAUGAAACUAGUUACUUAUAAUAUAAAAUAUGUGGGGUGAACAUUGUGUAGCCACUCACUUCACCACCUCCUGUUUUAUAGUGGACACAAUGGUCACUGGUUUUUUAUUAGGUUUUGCUAUAAAUUUAAAGGGAAAAUAUGUAAGGUGAACAAUAUACAACCAUAUUGUUCAUCCCCUCAUGUUUGAUGUGCUAAGGAUAUAAAACCAAGUAAUUGUUUCUUCCUUUAGACUAAGAGUCAAUGCGUAGCAGAAUGAGCCUUCCUUCUCUCAUUCUGAUCAAUCAUCUUAGAGAGCCUAUGUUCUUGCCUUGAUCAAGAAUCCUAUCUUAGUUAUUCAACACGUAUAAAGAAAUUUUCCAAAAUCAUUUCUUGACAUACACAUCUUAGUUAUUCAACAGGUUUAGUGGGUUAAUCCAGUUGAAUUAUUUUUAUUUUUUAAUUAAUUUCUUAUUAUUAUUCAAUAUUAGAUUGAUUAAGAAUUAGAUUUCAUAAUUUUUUUAAUUUGCUUUCUAUCAAGAUUCUCCUAAUAUAUUGUUAUAUCUCAAGUUAAAAUUAUGGGGCAAUUGGAGUUUAGAAAGGCCUUACAAGACUGCUAGUGACAUUUUCAUAAUUUUGUUUUGAAAGGUUAUUUUUUGUGUUUUUUUUAGAUUUUUUUCUUCAAUUUAACCAUUCAAUAAUAGGUUUAUUAAGAAUUGAGAUUUAGAAUUUGUUUUGAUUUGCUUUAUUUUGAGUUAUUAUGGUCUCAUAACCUAGAUUAUGGAUUUAGAACGUUAACUUGAGUUGAUCCGGGUCGAUCCAAUAAGUUGUCAUCUCAGUAUUGUUUUUGAAAAUAUGUCAUUUUAAAAUUUUUUUAGUCAAACUCUAUUCUUACUAGUUGUUGUCUUUGGACCCAUAAGUCGAUCGGGUCAUAUCGGUUCAACUCUCACUUUUUUACUUGUGUUUGAAAUUUAAAUUGCAUAAUUUCAAGUUAGUUUAUAUUUAAAUUUGAAUUGAACUUAUGUUUAUUGAGUUUAAUCUUGAAUAUAUAUAUAUAUAUAUAUAUAUAUAUAUAUAUAUAUAGUAUAAUCUUGAAAUAGCACGCUGAAAUGCUCUGAAACCAAAAUAUACAGUUUGAAUUAAAAAAUAAAACACUAUCCGGAACGAGAUUGAUAACCUGACGUGAUAUGUUUAAAAUGAGCAUCAUCGAAUCAUCUAGAGCAACCGUGUACAUAACAAGGGCGUCCCCUUCUCCGUCCAGAGAUUAGGCACUGAAUCUUUCGUUACAGUUAGAGUAGGCGAAGCUUGUCAAUCUUACAAAGGUGGUAGAAUUUGAGGAUUUUUAUUGUUCUGUCUCAUUUUUUGAAUGAAACUGUACUAUCUUACAUAAAAUUUAAAACAACGCUGAGAAUUCUCUGUUAUUAUUACUUGCUUAAAUGGAAGGAGUAUGGAGAUUUGAAAUUACAAUGAUUGUUACAAACCAAACUUUUAAAACCGACAAUUGUUCGUUCCUUCCAUUAAGCCCACGUGAUUCAGAUGGGAUGCAAUCAAUCCAGUUUACACCCAAAGGUGGAGCCUUUCUCUUUCAAUGGUAUAAGUCUUCAGCGGGUGGAGGAUGAACGUGAGGUGGAAUCACCAGGUUCACUGGAUUCAGAAAAGGGAAUCUUCGUUAUAUCAUAACUUACAGUUCUGCUGCAACUGCAGAAUGUAUUGUUGAAGAUGAGGUGCAGAGGAUGUUGUUUGCUGGGCAGGCUUUGGGAAUGCUGAGGACUAGACAGUUUUGACAGCAGACAUUAGAAGCCAGGUGGAUAUAUAAGAAGAUUGCAGAUCGGAAUGCAGCCCAAUAAUUCCAUUUUGCAGUAUAACUUGGUAAGGUUUAAAAUCAUUUAUCAAUGAAGAUUUUAUUCUGGAAUAGUUGUGGGUUGGGUAUGUCUGCUAAGAGGGCCUCUGUUAGGAAUACAAUAACGCAUAGUGAUAUUGAAGUGUGUUUUUUGGAUAAAAUAUUACGUGUUGAAUGUCACGUAUAAUGGGGCAAGGAAUUAUGAACCUGGAGAGGAAAAACAUCUUGAAAUUCUUUCAAAACCACACUUAUUUCUUCAAGUGCUUUCUCUGAAACUUUCUUAGCCACUAAAGCAAAUGAAACAAACUGUUCAUGAACCUGAUUCUCAAAAUCAUUUGGGCUUAUAAGAUUAAGUCCUUUUCCUUUCAUUUAUUGGAGUUACAUCACACUCUCAUCAUGGUAAAUUGAGAAAUUAAUAGGAAAAAUAUAUAUCUUUUUUUGACCCAUGAUUUUUAUCAAUAAUGUAGUCUAUACCCAGCACUUUCUGUUUUUUUUUGGAGGAACCACCGAUGACCAAGCGGUUACAAGUUUAAAUUUCACCAUCCUUAUUUAUUAGCUCUUUGAGAAUUUUAGAGUUAUCCAACAAUCAAUUGUCCACAAUAAAACUAGAACAACUAAAAACAAUAUGGUUUCUCAAGCUGUCAAACAACAAUUUGGAUGGGCAUUUACCGACCUCGGUGUUCAAUUCUUCUAUCUUAGAAUAUCUCUACCUAGGUGGUAACAAUCUUUGGGGUCAGAUAUCAUAUUUUCCAUUAAAUGAGUGGAAAGUGUGUACUGUAUUGGAUUUGAGCAACAAUCAAUUUUCAGGCAUGCUUCCAAGGUGGUUUGUCAAUUCUACAAGCCUUGGCGCAAUUGAUUUGUCCAAAAACUAUUUUAAGGGUAUGAUCCCAAGAGACUUUUAUAAGCUUGACCAACUUUUAUAUUUCAACCUUUCUGAGAACAACUUGUUUGGAUAUAUAUCAUCUUGUUUCAGUUCACCAUCUCUAAUCCAUGUGCAUCUAUCCAAAAAUAGAUUGAGCGGUCCAUUAACAUAUGGAUUUUAUAACAACUCUUUCCUAGUUAUGAUGGAUCUUCAAAAUAAUAGCUUCAUUGACUCCAUUCCAAAUUGGUUUGGCAAUCUUUGAUGGUGAGCUACUUGUUCAGUUAUGCGUGUUAGAAGAAUUAAGCAUUUUGGAUGUUUCACAAAACCAGCUCUCUAGCCUACCACCCUCUUGUUUGGGCAAUCUUACUUUUAAGGAAAGUUUCUGGAAAACGUUCACGCUUCUCGGAGUUCUUUCUCUAUCAAGGUCCAUAGAAAAAGCUUAUUAUGAAACAAUGGAUCCACCACUAGUGGAUAGUAUUUACAGCUUGGAAGAGGGUUUUCUGCUUGACUUCACAAAAAAGUGAUAGAAUUUACAACUAAAAAUAUGUAUUAUGGUUACAAGAGGAAAACUCUCAGCUACAUGUCUAGUAUUGAUCUCUCCAUUAACAACUUUGUAGGAGCAAUCCCACCAGAAUUUGAAAACUUAAGUGAGAUAGUAUCAUUAAACUUAUCACACAAUAAUUUCACUAGAUCUAUCCCUGCAACAUUCUCAAACGUAAAGCAGAUUGAGAGUUUGGAUCUUUCGUAUAACAACUUGAAUGGUAUCAUCCCUCCACAACUUACUGAAAUUACCACACUUGAAGUUUUUAGUGUGGCGUACAAUAACUUGUCAAGUAAGCACCUAAGAGAAAAAAUCAGUUUGGGACCUUCGAUGAUGAAAAUUGUUACGAAGGAAAUCCUUUCUUGUAUGGACCUCCAUUGCGAAACAACUGUAGUGAGGAAGCAGUGCCGUCACAACUAGUGCCUAAUGAUGAACAAGGAGAUGAUGGUUUCAUAGACAUGGACUUUUUCUACAUCAGUUUCGGUGUAUGUUACACAAUUAUGGUGAUGACAAUUGCAACACUUCUUUACAUCAAUCCAUAUUGGCGAUGUAGAUGGUUGUACUUCAUCGAUACUUCCUACUAUUUUGUGGUGGCUAGUUUUCGCAAAUUCUCCAACUUCAGAAGGUGAAUUUGUUACUGGGGAGAUGGUCGUUCCUACUUGCUAUUGGGUGCUUAAUUUGUACUGUACUGUCUCUAAGCUCAGCCUUUCUAUUUGAUUAGUUACUUGGGUUAAAUAUAUAAAGCUUGACUUCUCAUUCCUGAACCAUUAGGAAGGGAACUGAUUUCCUCUGCUUCUUCACCCAUCUCAUUCUAUUUGAUUAGUUACUUGGGUUAAAUAUAUAAAGCUUGACCUCAGCCUUCCUGGCCGUUUCUUUGCUCUGCUACUCAUUUCCUCUGCUUCUUCACCCAUCAUAAUUUUAACAUGAUCUCAAUGCACUCUAAGCCAUUCCUUUAACUCCAGUUUCCUUUUCACCAACUUUUUAAAACAAUCUUCCUCGUCUUCUUGACUCUUUUUGUUUCUUCUAACUACCUGCUGCAAUCUCCUUAAGCUGAGAGGCAGUGAGGUUUGCCAUGCUUCCAAAGCAAAUAUAAACAACUGAAUUUUGGUUUCUUUGAGUCGAGCCACUUCAAACACUCAUGUUGAGCGAUUGAGGCUUCUUUUCUCUUCGUACUUUAUCUUCAAUGUCUCUACUGCAUAGUGAAACCGGGCCUACGUUAAUUCACACCCUCUUUAAUUGACCCAACAAGACUAUAUCCUAACCAUACAGCUUCUUCUUCUACAGAUUCAUGGAUCACUUUAUGCAAAGCAGAGGAAUGAUUUUCUGGAAAAAGAGUGUCUUGGGAACUUACAGUAGAGUUUAUUCGAACUCUUGUCUCAGGACAGUAGCAUAGCUUCUUGAAUCUCUGUUUCUAAUCGAACAGGGGAGCCACGAGAAGCUUGGAGUGUAUAUAUCUUCUGUUAAAUUCCAUGACUAUGUUAAAUUCCUUAUCGUUUGUUAUUUGUGUACUUGUUGCAUUGAUUGUACAGGGAAAUAAAUUUUACGUUGCAUGGUAUUUUCCUUUGUUGUUGUGUUGAUAUGAAAAAAAAUAGAAGAUUGGGAAAAAAAGAAGUUGCAUUAAUAUAAAUAUAAUCCCAAGGAUACAGUUAAAUUUUUAAAGACGCAGCGUGAAUACUAAAACAUAAGAGAGAAGAUGGGGAGGGAAAAAAUACUUUGUCGCCACUGAACCAACGCGAAUAUGGCAACACACGCCAUACCAUCAACUACACCUUCACAUUACACGUUGAACUAUCACACGUCUCCUUGAUAACGUGGUGGCCUAUCAUGCACUGACAUGUGCUAUGCACAUGUCAAUCUUUUUUAUUGAUUUAUUAAUAUUUUAAUACUUUAAAUUACUAAAUCGCUUUUAAAAGCGUAUAAAUAUUACAAAAAAAAGCCAUAUUGCAAGGAUGAAAAUGUUAUCCCAAGCCAACUUUAGAUUUUUUUUAUUCCAAGGUUAACAUGAAAACAUGAAAAAGACUAAAAAAAUACCUCUUGUCAAGGUCAAUAUUUUUGAACUCUCAAUGGUAUUGACGUCAUUUUUCUAUCUAAAUAAAAUAAAAUAGACAAAAAUAAACCCUAACCAAAAGGUCAAAUGUUUUUUUGAUUGCAAGGGCAAUGAUGUAGUUUUAGUGUGCGAAAAAGGAGUAAACCUAUUAAAUUAUCCCCAAUCAAUUUACAAAUAACCUUUAGAUCACUUGAAAAAGAUAAUUUUACCUCGUUAGCAAGUCAAUUGUUUUGUGUAGAGAAGGGCAAAAGAUAAAUAUAUUGUACUAAUCCACGAUAUUUUACCUCACAGUCUAUAAUGAAUCACUUGAAUCAUUGAUCUCUUUUAAGGGGUUUUUUUUUGUAUAUAAUUCUACUUUUUUUUAGUUUAUGUUUAGAUCUUUAGCAUGCAUUUUCAAAUCAAAUCUCUAUUCUCUUGCACAUGUAUAAUUGUUUUUAAAAUAUAUUUUUUUCACAUUUGACAAUGCUUUUGCACUAAAAAAUUUAGGAUUGCCGGUAAUGUGAGCCACUUAUCUAGUUAGGUACUAUAAUAGUGUUUCAUUUUUAUAUGAAUAGUGAAACACUUUAUUUUAAAAAAAAUUCUUUCUUUUUUAUUUGGUUUUGUUUUGUUUUCUUUUUUACAAAUUAGUCCUUAUUUUUUAUUUAAUUCUUUUUUUGGCCUCAUUAUAUAUGAUAAAGCUUUCAAUUUAAUUAGAAAUAAACUACUAUACUAAAAAAUUAUGCUUCUCUUUAUAUAUAUUUUUUGUUUUUUUAAGUAGUCCUUAUAUUUUUUUUGCUUCUUGAUUUAGUGUUUUUUUCAUUUUAUUUCCUUUCUUAUUUUUACAAAUCGGUCUUUAGACAUUUUCUUCCCUUUUUUAUUUAACUUUUUUUGGGUCUAAUUGUAUAUGAGAUAAAGAUUUUAAUUUAAUUAAAAAAUUAUUUAUUAUACUAAAAAAGUUAGGGUUUUCCCUCCUACUUCACUAUUCAUAUCCUCUUUUUUUUUUAAAAAAAUAAUAAUCUAUCUUCUAAUUUUUUUCUUCUUUUGAUUGAAUGAUUUUUGUUGUUUUUUCUUUCAAUUUCACUUUAAUAUUUUGUUGAUUUUGAAUUGCUCAUCUUAAUUUUUUUUUGUUUCCUUUAUAUGUAAUUAUCGCGGUCUCAAAUAGACAUCUUUAAAUUUGUUUAGUGCUUAAUUUUGUAAGUGUCUAUUUUAAUUCUCACAUCAUUAUAUUAAAAAUAGUUUUUAAAUCCAAUAGAGUUCAUGAUCUACGUUGUGCAUUUGACGAGUUAAACUGCGAAGCUCGAGUUGAUCUAGUAUAUCAUCAUAUCAAUAUUAAAAAAAAAAAAGAUAUCAUCUUGAUUUUCUUUCUUAAAAUUCAAACCAUGUUUGUAUUGAUCAUUUGAGUUGCCUUAAUUUGCACAUGUCAAGCCAACUAGGUCAUGUACAGACAACUCCCUUGCGAAUUAAUUUUAAACCUAUGUUAGAUAAGAAGUCAAGUCGAGAGGUUUCAAGGUUGUCAAUGAGAUCACGUUUAAUAACAAUGUCAUAUUGUUCCUUUGUUUUUAAACUCUACCUUCCAUUUUUUUUAUUUCUUUCAAUUGAAUCCUUUUUGACUUUUUUUUAUUCCAUCCUUUAAUAUUUUUUUGAUUUUGAAUUAGUCUUGUUUCGGUUUGCUUUCUAUGAUAUUAUUGCAGCCUCAAACAAAUGUCAUAACAUUUGGUUGGUAUUUAAUUUUAUGAGCAUCUAUUUUUGUUAUCAUAUCAUUAAGCAAAAAAUAAUUAAAAAAAUUAAAGUUGUUAAACUAGGUGGAGUCCAUUAUUUAGGCCGUGGGUUUGGAGAGUUAAGUCACGAAACUAGAAUCAAUUUAGUGGGUUUGGAGAGUUAAGUCACGAAACUAGAAUCAAUUUAAUAUGUCAUCAUAUCAAUGUUAAAAAAAGAUGUCAUUUUAAAAUUUUAGUUUGGACCUACCAUGUUGACUUGAUCGUAUUAAAAUAACUUUCACAUUAGUUAAUUUUAAACUUGAUAUAGAUAAAGAAUUAAAUCAGAAGAAUUUAAAAUUAAUCCACUAGAUCCAGUUAGUUUCUUAAGCCUAGAUGAUUUUUUCAUGUUGGGCAAAACAUAAACUAGUUCCUUCCAAAAUAAACACUCACGCAUAUGAUUAUAAAAAUUUGAGUAAAAUUUUAUAUAACCAAUGUCUGUUUUUCGUGAAACAAACAAGUUAAUCCUUCAAGUUUUUUAAAUAAUUAAUUGAUUCUUUAAUCACAUUUUACCGUCAAGUUAAUUAGUGGAACAAGCUAUGGGUGUUGUAUAUCACUACUAAUUUUCUUUCCCUUAAUUUUCUCUUUUCCUUAAUGGGUGUUGCAGGCUUCUUUCUCUGAAUGUUAAAUGCUUUCUCUAAUCAUCUAUAUUCUACAGCCCAGCAUUUUGUUAUAGUUGUUGUUGCUGUGGAUAAAAGUGCAUUUAUUUUCUUUUAACUUUUUAAACAAUUCAGUUAGUUUUUUGUUAUAGUUGUUGUUGCUGUGUAGUUUCAUGAAUUUUUGUCGUUUGGUAUCAUCUUUCUAAUUUUACUAUUAGUUAAUGGAUAUUAAUUCGACCUCUUGUUCGUUUUUAAUAUUGUUGUUUGGCUCACUUGUAUAUUCUUUUUAUAGAUUUUUUGCUUGACUUAAUAUUAAUUAAGUAUGCAUCCAAUUUGCAAAAAUAGAUACAUACACCACUUUUAUUAAUUAAUAAGACUGAUUACAUUAAUUCUUGAACUUGUUUUAUUUAAAUAAAUAAAUAGAAUUAUGAUAGUUCAUAAUUUGAUGAUUAGAUAAUAUUCAUAUAUUCAGAAUACACGACGCAUGUAUUGAGUUUAAUGUUUUUGAAAAAGAAAUUUUUUAAUUGAUUAAUGUAUAAGUAUAUAAAUUUAUUUACUAAAUAAUAUUUUGAUUAAUUAAUAAAUUUCAUGGUCUAAAUGAUAUUAAUUAAAAAAAAAAAACUAAGAGCGCUCAUUAAAACACGGUGCUCUGUAUGUGAAUCCUAUGGAUUCACAGUGGCCCCUCUUCUGUUUUUCGCGUUUCUUCUGCCAGUGGAUGUUCCCUUGCGCGCUUUCUUCCUCCAUUUUUCUAGAAGCACUUUAUUUUUUAAAAAUUAAAUUGUUUUUCUUUUUAAUUUGUUCCUGUUCUUUAUUUUAUUUUCUCUUACAAAUAAGUCCUUAUUUUUUCAUUUAAUUCUUUUUUGGCCUAAUUAUAUGGGAUAAAGUUUUCAAUUUAAAUAGAAAUAAACUACUAUUUAAAAAAAAGUUAUGCUUCCCAACCUCCUCCACUCUCUCUUUUUUCACCAUCCAUAUCCUCUCUUUUUUAAAAAAUAAAUAAAUUAUAUCUUCUAAUAUUUUCUUCUUUUAAUCUAAUUUCUCUCAUUGGAUAAGAAUUUCAGUUAAAUAAAUGAAAGCGCAGACGUAAAUUUUAAAAUAAAAACACGAUAGAAAGGAAGCACCUGUGGAGAUUUGAAGCCUUAUUGGUUGAGGUGGCGGCGGAGGCGGGCGGUUUCGAGAGCGGAGGAAGGAAAGAGAAAGAUCUCAGGUGGGGAGAGGUAAGGAAUGUCGGACCAAAGUGAACAGUGCUUGACAGAUGACUUUAUUCUUUUCCAGAUUCGGUAACAAACUAAAAGAAGUGUUUUAUAGUGCUGCUUCACUGUUCAUAACUGACAAACUAAAACUGAAAGAAAUAUAUAUAUAUAUAUAUAUAAAACUAAGAGUGCUCAUUAAAACACGGUGCACUGUGUGUGAGUCCUGUGGCUUCACCGUCUUUACAGCGCUCCCUCUCUGUUUUUCGCGUUUCUUUUCGCGCGGUGGGUGUUCCCGCGCUUUCUUUUAGUUAGGUGAAUUCAUAACUAAAACGUUUAUUAAAAUCACUAAAAUAACUAAUAGUUUAUUAGUUUGGAUGUUUUUAGUAAUGCUGAAAUUAUAGAGAAUUGAUCAUUAAGUUGAUUUUUUAAUAUGCGUAGAAAUCAAAUCAUUAUAAAUUUAAUAAAUUAUUUAAAGUGUUCCAAUGGAAAGAAAAUGGGUGUUGUGAAUUUGAGUCUGCAUUUUUCUCUACUUUUUUUUGGUUUUUUUCGUUUGUCCCUUCCUGAAAAUUUACGCUCAGUUUUUGCCUUCUACCUGCUGCUUAGUUUAGGGUAUAAAAUUUCCUUGUCUCUUCGGAAGAUGCCUUACUCUUUGUUGACUGUCUUUCUGUUUUUAGUUGCAUCGUUAGGCUAUGUGUGUGUUUAUUGAGGCUUUGGCUGCCUUUUUUGCUAUAGUUAUGAGGUUUCUUGGGCAUAGUCUUUUGGUUAGCUUCAGCCCUCUAUUAUCCAUUCUUUAUAGAGGUGGUGUUGUCUUUGUUUCGCACAGGGUGGCAUGUGUCUUGCAAGGAAGUUUACUUGGUUUUCUUUACAUGUGUUUCUUGCAUGCUACGUGUUGGCAGAAGUCUUCUGAGAGAUCGACCUUUUUUCUUCAAUUGUUUUGGUUAGGCUGGGUGCUUGAUUUGUGUUAGGGUGUUAAAGUAUUUUCCCUUUCUUUAUAAGAAAAAUAUAUUUCUUUUGUGCUUGGGAACACAUCUUUGUAGCUGUAGAGAUGAUAGGAAAGCUUUGCUUUUAAAGGCAACAUUGUCUUUAUGGUUUUUUCGACAUGGGUUUCCUUAAAAAAGUUUUAGUUUUUGCAUGUUUAUUUAUGUUGCUUAUCCAUAUAUAUAUAUAUACUACAACAAGUUUUUAUGGAGGUAACUUGGGGGAAGAAAAUACUUUGUGCCACGAAAAUAAGAGGUUGGAGUUUUAUUUUGCUUUAGAUUCUUCCCUUAAUUCCAGCCUUUGGGCCUGAAUCUUCAUGGUGCUUCUAAAACCAAGGAAGCAAAAAACUAGCCAGCUAGUUCACAACUUGCACUACUAAAAACAGGGGUCAUUUGCAUCAGAAUUUAGCAACGGAUAAUUCCGUUGCUAAAUUCAGUAACGGAUUUGCAACGGAUUACACAUGUAUUAUUUUUUUAAUAUUAGCAACGGACUUUAGCAACGGAUAAUCCGUUGCAAAAUUUACGUUGAAUUUAGCAACGGAUUUUCCGUUGCUAAUUGAAAAAAAAAAGUUAAUAUAAAAUUAAAAUUAUAUAGACCGUUGAUUACAUUAAAUCCGGACCGUUUAUUUCAAUAUCUCGAUCCCCGCCCCACACCGAAAUACAAAUCCAAUUAACAAAACCAAAAUGUACAUUCACUCUUACUCUUCCAACAGAUCCUUCGUUCGAACAAAAUCAUCGAUCCAUCACCCUCAUCAAAAAUCACCAUAACUGUUCAACAGAUCCGAAACUGUUCAUCAUCUUCUCCUUCGUGUUCAUCAUCUCCUUCGUGUUCAUCAUCUUCUUCUCCUUCAUUUUAAACCAACAAAAACAGAGACCCAUGACAACAUCGCACCAGACCCAUCAUCAUCACCAUCGAACAUCCUGUUUUGCCCCUUCUCUGUAAACGGGUUAGGUUUUGCACUGUUUUCUUCAAUAGCUCAGGUAAUUAAUUUAUGGUUUUUGUUUUCUUUGUUGCAAUUUAAGUUACACUAAACAGUUCUAACCUAACUUUCCCAAUCUCAGGUGUGAUUCUGUUGUGUUGAUCCAUCUCCCUCACCCAUCUCCCUCACCUGUAACCGAAGAACACAGGUAAGAAUUUUUUUUCCCGAAACUUUGAAUAAUGGUUUUAGGCUAUUAAUUCGAUAAUAUAAUGUUUAUGAUAUGUUUUUACCAUGAUUUAUAACAUAAUGAUGCACGUUUAAAUGUAAAUUUAUGAAAACCCCCAAAUUAAUUUUUAGGGUUACGGUUCAUAAAUUGAAUGAUUUUAUUCAACCUGACCAAUGCUGGCAAUUCUUGUGUCUGGAAGAGAGUGAUUGAUGGAAAUUAUGCAUGUUUAAUUGAAAAUUUAUCAAAACCCCCAAUUUAAUUUUUAACAAUUAGUAUUAUUGAUGCUGUGUGUUCUUUGAUGUCUGCAAAUUGUCCUCCUGUGCACCGAAACCUAGGUGUUUUGAAUGUAUUAUAUGCUUAUAUAUAUAUAAGGAAACUUGAUUGUUGUUGUUGUGUUUCGUUAAUAAGAUUGCUGUUUUAUUUUUGUUUCUUCAUUAAUUAUUUUUUUUCUUGCUGUUUUACUUGUUAUAUAUAUAAUUAGCAGAAUUGUGUAGUGAAAGAGGUUAGAAUUCAUGGUUGCCUCCUCCUUGCAUGGUGAUAAGUUAAUUUCCCACAUUAGCUAUAUAUGUUGUCUGUUUUCAUUUGAUUGUCCUGUCUUGAGGUCAGCAUGCAUGAUUUGGAAAUUAACUAUUAGUCUCUUGGAUGAGGAUUUGUUUUUGUAUUAAAGAGUUCUACAGCUCUUUUGGCUUUUUUUAUAGUUACUAUGUUGCAUGAACUAAGUAGCAAAUUUUUUGGAGCCAACUUGUGUAAUUGCAGAAACAAUCGCAUGUUUUUAGCAUGUUUGUAUGUAAUGAUACAUGUAAAAUGCACCAGCAUUGUGCAAUGGUUCAUUUUUUAGUCAUUUCUGUGUGAAUUAAGCAAAUUGAUGCUGAAAAUCUUUGCUUGCUUAGCCAUUAUCAGUGGAUAUAGGAUCAGUUAACAAACUACAAGCAAUCGCAUGGGCUUGUUAGAAUUAUUUGUGGAAAAGGCUAGGGUCAAGUGCUGUGAGGUCACUGGACUUGACCCUUUAAAUUGUGAAAUUGGAAAUAUUAGACACUCUUUUGCUGUUUUCGGUUCACAAGGUUGAUGUUUACACUGUGAAGUCAGUUCUAGCAAAGCACUAAUUAGUAUAGAUCCAUUUCCAAUCACACAAAGGAUAAAGGAUUAGAGAGCAAAGCACUAAUUUGUUUUAAAGACUAGCAAUUGUUAUAACUUGAUGGGUGUAACAUACUGUUUAUGUUUUUUAUUUUUCCAGCAAUAUGAAUGGCUUAUUGGAUCACAACAUAAUCAAAUAGAGUUGGCUAAAUCUGAUUGGGUUGCAAUAAGAAAACCUCCACCUUGUGCCAUUGAUUUUUGGGGCUUUGGUAAGUCUAUUUUGCUCCAUUUUUACAUGGUUGCUUAAUUAUAUGGUGCGUAUUUUUUCUGUUGGGCAUGCAUAUUGUAAUCCUUUGAAGUAGUUGGAACUUUGCCUUUCAUUGGGAUAAUAUUGACAGUUUGUAUAAGAAAACUAAUGGAAUGAUUUUCUUUCAUUAAAUGUGAUCUUGAGUACACAUUUAGGUUACAUUACAAUGAUGGACAAGUUGAUUCCUUUUACUAUAUGCACAACAUAAUUGAUAAAAUAAGAAAAAGAAACCCCAGCAGUAAAAAGAGCUUGAAAUCUAUUGAAUUUGAUAUUGAAUUCUGUUGAUCGGAUUUUGAGGGAGAGAUGGGAGAAAUGGGUGAGAGAUAUUGAUGUUUGAAAGAAAUGUUUAAAUUGUUAUUCAACACUUUGGAAAAUGCAAAACCACUUUUAGGUGUUUUAUGGAAAAGUAAGUAUUCUUUAAAUUCGGUGAUUGCAAUUAUAAUUACGCGUGGAAAACAUGUAUACACACGCAAAUUAAAUAAUGUCGUGUAAUUUUUUAUUGAAAUUAUAUUAAAAUAAAUUUUUUAAUUUUUUUAACAUUGUUAUAUUAAAAUUAUUUAAAAAUAUAAAAAAAUUAAUUUGAUAUUUUUUAAAAAAUAUGUCAUAAUACAAAAACAAAUUCUCAUCCAAGAGACUAAUAGUUAAUAUACAUGUUUAACUAUAAACUUUGAUUACACAACAAAAUAUAAAUAAUAAGUAUUUCAUAGAAAGAGGUUUAACAUAAAUAUAUUAACACCUCCAUUACCUUAACCAUAAAUAUUAACAAUAAUUAUUGCUCGUCCGUGUAGAACUUGUAAUCAACUAAAUUGGAUUGUGCCUAAAGAAUUUAUAAAACAAAUGUAUUUAUAUUUUCAUCCACCAAUAUUAUAAUUAUUAUUUAACUACGACAUAAAAGAUAUAUACAAUGUAUAUGACAAGAGACAAAGAUACAAAUGUGAGUAACUAUUGUAACCCAUAAUAAAUUAUGUUUUUUUUUAUAUUGCAUUUUAAUCUUUUUUUAAGAAAAUUAAAAAAAUUCUUUAAUCUUGUAUUACCUCGCAUGUUUAUGAUUUCAUUUACCAUUUCUUAGUUGAGCAAAAAAAUAUCCGAAUAAAAAAGAAAAAGUUUGAUGAAUCCAAUAAAAAUAAAAGGAUCCAAAUUAAAAAAAAAAAAAAAACUAUUUGAGGUGGUAACAAAAGUUAGAAGGACCAAUAAAAAAAAUGAACUCUAAAACUAUUAUAAAGAUAAAUUUAUUUAAAAUUUGUUCAACUAAAUAUUUUUUUUUCUUUAUCCAUUUAUUCUGUAUAAAAUAUUAACCGAACAUAAUCUAAAAGUCUACUUUUGUCACUAGUUAGAAAAUAUAAAUGAAAAUAUAAAAUACUAACCGAACAUAUUUUAUUUUAAAAGAUUGUUUAAGUUUUAGUAGUUAAAGAAGUAUGCUUAUUUCAAAAAAUGCUUAUUGGUGUUGUCAUGUUAAUUAGAUUAAUAUGGAUGAUCGAUCGUGGAUGUAUCGUCGUCUUAUGGAUGGUCGCCUUCGUCCUGAAUACAUUACGGGUGUUAGAAGAUUUAUCAAUUUUGCAUUUUCAAUUGAUAAAAAUAUAUCUGGGGGGAAAAUUAGAUGUCCUUGUGUGAGGUGCAAAAAUCAAAAGUUUUUAAAGGAAGAUGAUGUUUGUAAACAUCUAUUGACAAAAGGUUUUUUACCUUGUUAUGAAAAUUGGACUGUACAUGGGGAGCCUUAUGUCGCAGAACCAAUAUUGGCUGGACCUUCAUCGAUUGGAAUGAGUCAUGUUGUGAAUGAUGUUUGUCUAGAGAAUCCAUAUAGGAAUCUGGUUAUGGAUGCAAUGGGGGUUGGUGAUGCAUUCUACAAUGAUAAUGUGUCUAGUCCUGUGGUAGCAGGGGAAAUUCCAAACCCGGAGGCAACUAAAUUUUUUAAGCUUUUGAAAGCUGCGGAGGAGCCGUUGUGGGAUGGGUGUACCAAGCAAUCCAAAUUAUCUGCUUGUGUACAAUUGCUUAAUAUGAAGUCAACUUUAAAUUUGACUCAGAAUGCCUUCAACAAUUUUAUUGACUUUACAAAAAGUUGCAUGCCUAAUGAUGAAAAUUUGGUUUCAAAUUUUUAUGAUGCCAAGAAAUUUAUGCGGCCACUUGGACUUGGUUAUGAGAAAUAUGAUGUGUGUCCUAAUUACUGUAUGUUGUACUAUGGGGCAGAUGCAAUGAAAAUAAAUUGUGAUUUUUGUGGAAGUUCACGAUACAAACCUAGAAAUCCAACUAGUAAAGGUUCCAAUAAGGCGGAGAAGCAACUCCGAUACUUUCCCUUGACACCAAGGCUUCAGAGACUGUUCAUGUCUCCAUAUCAUGCCAAAGAUAUGACAUGGCAUCAUUUUCAUAAUUCUGAUAAUGGGGUUAUGGUGCACCCAUCUGAUGGGGAGGCAUGGAAGGAGUUUAAUCGUGUCCACUUAAGCUUUGCAUCAGAUCCGAGAAAUAUUCGGUUAGGGUUGUGCACUGAUGGGUUUUGUCCAUUUGACAUGUCUUCAAAUACAUACUCUUGUUGGCCAGUAAUUGUGACUGUUUAUAAUUUGCCUCCGUGGAAGUGCAUGACUAGACCAUUCAUGUUUUUGACAAUGAUGAUUCCUGGGCCAAAGAAUCCGGGUAAAAAGCUUGAUGUUUUCCUAAGACCUUUGAUUGAUGAGUUAAAGAAUUUGUGGUAUGUUGGUGUUGAAACAUAUGAUGUAUAUAGAAAGGAAAAUUUUCAAUUAAGGGCAGCUUUAAUGUGGACCAUUAGUGACUUUCCAGCAUAUGGCAUGUUAUCGGGGUGGAGUACUCAUGGAAAUCUGUCUUGUCCUUAUUGUAUGGAGCAUAGCAAGGCUUUUAGAUUAAAAAAUGGAGGGAAAACUACAUUUUUUGAUUGUCAUCGACGAUUCCUACCCAUGAACCACCCAUAUAGAUUUCAAUCUGAUAAGUUUUUGAAAGGAGUAAUUGAAAGGCUCCCUCCUUUACCUCGUCCAUCUGGUUUGGAAAUGUUGAACGAAGUGUUGAAGUAUACUGAGGGACAUAAUGGAGGGUCAUCAUAUAAUGAUAAAAUUCCUGGCUUUGGUGUUAAGCACAAUUGGGUGAAAAAGAGCAUUUUCUGGGAGCUUCCAUAUUGGCAUACAAAUUUGAUUCGUCAUAAUCUUGAUGUCAUGCAUGUUGAGAAAAAUGUCUUUGACAAUAUUUUUUAUACAGUUAUGGAUUGUCCGAAUAGAAGCAAGGACAAUUUAAAGGCUAGGUUGGAUAUUCAAUUGUAUUGUCAGAAGCCAAAUUUGCAUUUGCAACAAGAUAUGAGUGGUCGGGUUUACAAACCUAAAGGCACUUAUUGUCUACACAAGAAACAACAACAAGAAGUCUUGUCAUGGAUGAAGGAAUUAUCAUUUCCUGAUGGUUAUGCUUCAAGCAUUUCAAGAUGUGUGAAAGAGGCACAAUGUAAGGUUUCGGGGAUGAAGAGCCAUGAUUGCCAUGUCUUCAUUCAAAGACUUCUUCCAACCGCUUUCCGACCUUACUUACCUAGGCCACUGUGGGAGGCAUUAACUGAACUGUCCGUAUUUUUUCGAGAUAUUUGUUCAACAAAUUUAAAUGCCCAGCACAUGGAGUUAAUGCAGAUGAAUAUAAUUGAAAUAAUUUGCAAACUUGAAAGGAUUUUUCCUCCAUCAUUCUUUGACUCCAUGGAACACUUGACGAUACAUCUACCUUACGAGGCAAAAGUUGGUGGACCAGUUCAAUAUCGAUGGAUGUAUCCAUUUGAACGGUAUGUUUUCAUACUAUGUUAAUUUUAUUAACUUUUGAUUUUUAAAAUAAACUAAUUGACAUAAAUGAUAUAGGUAUAUGUUUUAUUUGAAGAAGAAAGUGACCAAUAAAGCUAAAGUUGAGGGUUCCAUAUGUGAAGCAUACUUGAUUGAUGAAAUUACCAAUUUUGCAUCUCAUUAUUUUGGUGAUGACGUGCAAACAAUUUGGAAUCGAGUUCCACGGAAUGAUGAUGGUGGCCUUAGAAGUGUAGAUGGAUGUCUCUCUAUUUUUUCCUAUCCAGGGAAAAAAUUAUCCAAAAGAUUUUAUAAAAGGCAGUUGUCACAUGCUGAAAUGCAAAUUGCGCAUAACUAUGUGAUAUUCAAUUGUCAAGAACUGAAGCCUUAUUUAGUGUAAGUAUGAAAUAUUAUUUUAUACUAAAUUUAUAAUAAUUUGUUAUUAACUUUAACAUUUUAAAAUUUUAGGCAAUGUCGACAAGAGCUAAAGUCACAACAACCACAUGCGAGUGAUGGUGAAAUUGAAAAAUUAUGCGAAACGAUCUUUCCAAAUUGGUUAAAAAAUAAUGUAAGUAUUUUAAUAAAAUCAAUUUAUAUUUUAUGUCAAUUAGCUACUUUAAAAAUAUUAUUAGGGGCUUUUAAAUUAUUAUUUCUUAUGGAGUUAACUAUUAUGCUAGGUGGAAUACCAAUCUAACGGAAUUGAAAAUCAGCUCUUUGGACUUGCUAUGGGCCCUUCAACUUCAGUGAAAUGUUAUAAUGGGUAUUAUGUCAAUGGUUUUAAAUUUCAUACUCAACGUUAUGAUGAUGAUGAACGUGAUUAUUAUGGAAUGCUUAAAGAAGUUGUUCGGCUAAAAUACUUGGGGAGUAAGUGCAAGUUAUUUAUGUUUAAAUGUAGUUGGUAUGAUACAAGACGAGGGAUUAGAGUGCAUCCUUCGAAUGGUUUGGUUGAAAUCAAGCAUACAUCUCGACUACACGGAAAUGAAGAUUUUGUGUUAGCACAACAAUGUCAACAAGUCUACUAUACAUAUCCACCUGGUAAUAAAUCAUCUGAAUGGUGGACGGUUAUUAAGACAACUGCUAGAAGUCGUUAUAAUGUUGAUAUGGGUGAAUUUAUUGAAGAUGCAAACAAUGUGAGAUCAUUUGAUGUCGAUCAAUCAGAUGAGAUUUCUCAACCAUCUCUUGUCCUUCCUACUCAAACACUUGAUGAUCCAAAUAUACUUGUUGAAUCAUCUUAUUAUGAAGAAAUCGGGCAACAUGAAUUGAUUCAACUUGACAUAAAUUGGGGAAACAAAGAUGAUGAAGCAGAAGAAGAAGAAGAAGAAGAUGGUGAUGGUGAUGCUGAAGAAGAAGAAGAAGAAGAAGAAGAAGAAGAUGAUGAUGAUGAGGAUGAUUGUUAUGGUGGUGAUGGUUAGGAGUGAUAAUAAUAAUGAGUAGCACAAGUUAAUUAUAUUUCGUAGUAUAUGUAAUGAAUUAUCUUUAUUAUAUGUAUGGAUGAUUUCAUAUUAUUUGACAAUUUUUAGGCUUUCAAUGUUUUUUUAUUUAUUUAUUUUAUUCAAGUGUGUUAUGCAUCACAUUACAUAAAUCAUUUUCAUUGACCUUUGAAACCAUUUAUAACCUUUCAAGUAUCAAUCUUUAAAUUGUGAUUCUGAUGUUAUAUUUUAUUUUGUGAUUUGUUUUCUUGCUUAUAGGUGCUGAAGCGUGAAAGAAAGGGUUUUUCCUACUAAUUGUUUUGAUUUAUAGGACCAGACAUUAAGGUAAGCAUACUCAUAAAUUUUGAUUAUUGCUUAAUUAAUUAUUUAGAAUUUUUUUUUUAUUGUUUGUGUUAAUUGGCUUAUUACAAUUUAAACUUCAUAGCUGAUUUUUGCAUUGCAAGGAAUGCUUAAUGAAAUUGUCUUGAUGUUAUUUACAUAUUUGGUUUUGUUGCAGUAAUUAUUUUAUUUGAAUUAUAAUAUUUUUCGGAGUGAUGGCUAUUAUUGUUAUGUUGUAUAUAUUCAUAUGAUAAUGUAUAUAUUUUUUCUGGUUUUUAGCAUGCCUCGACGAGGAUCCAUAUUAGAUUCUAGGAGUGACAGGUCCACAUCAAGGAGUGAAAGGUCCACUUCAUCCAAAUCAUUUCAAACUACAUCAAGGCAUAAUAACAAAGGAUCCACAGUUCAUCAACCUGUGUAUCAGAACACAAAUGAGUAUUAUAUACCUACUUUGGGGAGUACACAUCCUCCUCAACAUGAUUAUGGGAGGGUUGAUGGAUAUCAAUAUUGUGAGGGAUUUCGUUUUCAGGAUUUGCUUCAAACUCAAGGAGGUUUCUCUCGAGAAAACCAACUUGUUUAUGGAGGACAUAAUUUAUAUGGGAGUCAUGGGAGAGUUGGUGAUGAUGAUGAUGUGAACAUUAGAGAUGAAGAUGAGGGAGACGGUAGUAAUGUGAGAGGUGUAUGUGAUGAGGAUCAAGAUGGUGUUCCAUCAUAUCACGGUUCAACAUCUUCUCCAUACAAUUAUGAUCACAUUGUUAAAAGGAAGGGUUUUGACACGCCAAUGGAUCCAAUAACAAGAAAAAAAGAGCUUUGUUUGUAUGGAACAACAGAGUAAGUUCAACUUUUUAAUAACUAACUGAUUAAGGUUAUAUUUUUAGGUAUGAAAAAAAUUAUUUAUUAUUGUAUAAUUAUUUGUUUAAUAUAAGUUUAUUAUUAUGUAUUUUCAGGUUCAAUAACGCAUCAUGUGGACGUGUAAUUGGAGAUAUUUUGAGGUCCAAUUUUAAGGGAGCAUGGCAUUUCUUGGGAAAAAGUAGAUUCAAUGUGCAGGGAUGAACUUUUUAGAGAGUUUAAGGUAAGAACCAACACUAAUUGCCAUAAUAUUCUUUUUAAUUUUGAUCGCUUUAAUGUAGCAUUAUGAAAAUUAUCAACUGAAUAGCUAUGACUGAUUUGUGUUAUAAUUUGUUUUUAUUUCUUGUUUACUCUUUAAUAUCAUUUAAUUUCUUUAGUUAUUACAUUAUCUUGCAAAUUAUGAACAAGAUAACACAAUAUGAUUAAUUAUUUAUAUAAUUUGAAAUUUUGUGCACUCUUUUUACUUGAUAUAUAUAUUAUUUGGUAGAAAAAAUAUUCCUUUCCUGAGGAAGAUGAGUCAAUUGUUCGUAAUAUUUGGGAAGAUAAGGCUAGAAUAGCUUUGAAUCAACAAUUGACACGAGCUCGCAAGAAUGCCAUGUCAAAAGAAAACACGACAAAUAUUCUAGAUUGCCUUGAUAAAGGUCCUGCCUGGAUAAACAAUGAUGAUUGGAAUCAAAUGAUCAAAGAUGUUUGGUCCACCCCUGAAUUUCAAAGGAGGUCUGAAUCUGCCAGGAGGAAUCGAUUAUCCCAAACAGAUGGCAAAAUAAGCACUCAUUCUGGAGGAACAGUGUCAUUUGCUUCAUAUCGAGCUAACAUGGUAAGGAUAUUUUUUUUUAUGCUUAAGAUUAUGAAUUAAAAUUUGUAUAUUUAUCUUUUAUAAUAUUUAUUAAUCUUGAAAGCAAGAGGAAGCUGGUGGAAAAGAACCUCCAUGGGAUGAUGUCUUUUCAGCUUUGCAUCAAAGUACGAAGCAGUCUGGUAGCUUUGUCGACAACAAGUCAAAAAAAGUGGUUGUAUGUAUUUUUAUUUGAUUAUUUUUUAAUAUAACUCAAGUAUUAUUUAACAUUCAAAUUAAUUUAUUGUUGCAUGUAUUUUAUUUGUAGGAAAAUUAUAAAAUGGAGAUGAUUUCAAAGUAUGGAACUGAUCGGGAAAAUCAUCCUUCAUUUGAUGGAGCAGCUUGGUGUGUCGCUUCAGGAGGAGUUACAAAGGGUAGGGUAUAUGGUGCACCUCGUAUGCCAAAAUCUAUAGUUAGUACAAGCUCUUCAUCACAUUCCUACUCGGUGGAGUCAUCAUAUCCAAGUUCAUCAUAUCGAGCAUUGCAAGAGGAGAAAAGGAAAAAAGAUGAAGUGAUUUUUGAAAUGAAACGGCAGAUGGAUUCCAUGAAAGAUUAUCUUGUGAACAAUCUUGGAUAUCAUGGCGGGACAUCAAAUAUUGAUCAAGGUAUGCCACCACCUUUGACUCCAUCAAUACCGCCACAUAUGGCUCCUCAGAUAAUGACACCUAUGGGUCCCACAUCUCAACCAAUUUAUCGACCUAUACCCCGACCUUUAUAUCCUGAUCAAUCUUGUGACGAUCCACAAUAUCAUGGUUCGUCUUCGCAACCAGCACCAUGAUUGUAUCUUUUGUUGUUGUUUUUUUUUUGUAUUUGAACUUAAUUGUAUUAAUGCAUGUUUAUUUAAAUUUUUAUAAUAUGAAUAUUAUUUUUAUUCUAUUUUUUAUUAAUUAUAUAAUUAUUGUUAAUAUUAAUUUAUGCUGGUUAUAUAUAUUCUGCAACUUUUAAAAUAUCCAUAAAUUAAUUAAUUAAUUAAAAAUCAUUUUAAUAAAUAAAUAAAACGUAAUUUAAUAAAAAUUUAAUAAUACAAUCACCAACGGAUUCUCCGUUGGUGAUUGUAUCUGAUGCAGGCAUCAGCAACGGAGAAUCCGUUGCUGAUGCAGCGAACCAGCAACGGAUUCUCCGUUGCUGAUUCAGCGAACCAGCAACGGAUAAUCCGUUGCUAGUUUUGCAACGGAUUAUCCGUUGCUAUUUGUAAGCAACGGAUUUAUCCGUUGCAAACAAAUCAGCAACGACAAAUCUGCAUCCGAUUUGUGCCGUUGCUGAUUCCGUUGCUAAAUUACUUUAGCAACGGAUUUUAAUGGUUUUUGCAACGGAAUAGUCCGUUGCUAAUUGCUAUAUUUUUUAGUAGUGUUGCCGCACCAACAGAUGGUGAGUGUUGGUAAACCAAGCCAUAGAGAAACUCAUGGUGCUUCAAUUUUAACUUUUGGGUCAUGUUAGUUUUUAGGAAUUCACUUUUCUAAAAACCAUUUUCCUCACUUUUCUAUGUUUGACAAAUACAUGGAAAGUUAGUCAAUGAAAUUUAAAUUCUGGUCAAAGGAAAAUAUUAACUUAAUAUGAGGAAAGUGUUUUCCCCUUUUUAUUCUUGGAAAACACUUUCCUUUCCUUUUUAAUUUACGGAAACAAAUCACUCCUUCUCUUUUACAAUUGAUCUCUUAAAAAAAUUAGCGUGGCUGUUAAAUCUUCCUUUCUCAUAUCUCAGUGUUGGAAAAAGAAUCAUCUUCAUCUUCAGGUAAUUAUUUUCCUCAAAUAUUUCUAUUAUUAUCUAUCUUUUUUUUUCCCUGUUCUAUAUUAAUUGUGAUUGUGAAAUGUUGUGAGCUUGUUAAUUCUUGGAAAAAAAUCAAAGCAAUUCCAUGCUCUGUUUUGCAUAGGAUCUCAGAUCUUGCGUGUGUUUGAUAAUCUCAUAUCAAUCUUUUAACACUUGUGAUGCAUCAUCGAUGCAAUGUUUACAAUGACAAACUUGCAUUUCUAUUCAUUGUGGUUUUUUUUUGGAAUAAGUCGAUAUAUUGAAAGGGCUAACCAGAAAAUAGCCAAAAAAAAGAUACAUGGAAAAAAAAAAAAAAAGAAUCACAAUAACAAAAAGCAAACACAAAAAGAAAAGAAAAGAAACUCAACAGAUACAUAACCGAAAAAGCAAACACAAACAUGAUAUAUUCAUUGUGGUUUUAGGUUCACAGAUUCUGAUCAAAUAGAUAUUUAAUGUUCCAAAAACAUUGUAUACACAUUUAAAUGCUUUACUUCAAUAGAUAGAUUAGGUUAUCUCUCUACACAUAUUACCAAUUUAGAUUCAGCACAGGACCUUUUUCAGGUGCUUACCACUUUGUACUCGCAAGCAAAUACAUACUCCCCCCUCCCCCCUCCCCCCCUCCCUUCCUGUUCUUGUUAUUUAUGCAUGUAUUAACUUUUCUGAAAGAAUAAAUGUUGAAGGGAGCAAAUAGUGUAAAUAGAACGAGGAGAAUACAGAAAGAAUAAAGAAAAAGAAGAAAACAAAACAAAGUCAUAAAAAAAGGCUUUUCAAUCCCCGAUGAAUAUCAGCAGUCUAAAUACCCCAGCAAAUAGAACAUGAAGAGGCCACAAACAAUAACCCAUCCCAAAGAGAUUGUCUAGGAUGUUUUAAGCUAGGAAAAUGAAGAAGAAAACGACGAGCAUUAACAAUGAAUAUUUCAUGUUAUCAUCAACUCUAAAGAGCAGACUGAUAAAAAUCAACUUAACAACUCUUGUUGAAAUAAGAUUAAAUUUACAGGCUGACCAUGCUCGACCUUGAGGUGAGUUAUAAAAUGUUCUUCCUAACUAGAUGCACAGCUACGCCUUUGGGGUGAAGUGAACUAAGUCAUUUGUUUUACACUUCCACAUGCUCUCAAGCUUUCACCUCAUACUCAAGACCAGCUGAGCAGUCCUAAAAAGAAAGAUAUAUCAUGUAGGGUCAUCAAGGCAGACCUGUUAUUUUUAUUUUUUUCGCGUUAACGUCAUGACCAAAUUAUAAAAUUUAAACUUCUUUUCUUUCUUUCUUUUUUCCAUGUGUGAGCGAGCAUAAAACCCAAGGAAAUCGAUUUGUUGUUAAAAACACAAUAAUUUUGAAGAAUUUGGUAAAUUCCAAAAAAGAAGAAUCAACCAAACAGCUCAUUUUUCGGCCAUUCCGGCAGUAAUAUCUCUCCCACUCCAGCUGCUGCAUAAACUAAUUAACAAAUUAUCGAUCGAGCCUAAAAGAUUUGAAUUGAUUUCUAUUCUCAACUUUAAAAUAAAACUAAAAAAUAAAAUAAAAUAAAUUUGGGUUCAAGAAUUCACGGCUUGAUUAUUACAACAAUAACUGUGUGAAAAAUCGGAUAAUAUCAUGUAAAUUGGGGGGGGGGGGUUGAAAAAGAAAUAUUAGAAUCGGCUGAUUGUGCGUUUCUUCGAGCAGCGAUUUCAUCGGAUCCGAUUAUAUAUUUUUUUAAUUUACUUAUUAAAAUCGAAUUGCGUUCACUAGCAGAGAUUUCAUCGGAUCGAUUAUUUGUUUUUUUUUUAAUUUAAUUAUUAAAAUAGAAUUUCUGUCUCUCAAUAAUAAUUACAAUAAAAUAAAUGAAAACACCCAUAAAUUUUAAAAACAAAAGCAUGAUAGAAAAGGAAGCACCUGGCAGAAAUCUGAAGCCUUAUUGGAUGUGGCGGUUUCCGAGAGGCGGAAGAGGGAGGGAGGAAUGUUGUCCCAAAGUGAAAUAGAUGACUUUGGCCUUAUUUGUUUGUUAGAAAGUAGUUUCUUUUUAGAAAGUGAAUUUUAGGGAAAGUGAAUUCCAGGAAAGUUUUUUUCGAUGUUUGGUAGUAUAAUAAAAAAUAAAUUGGAAAACACUUUUCAGUUUUAGGUUAUGUCAUGGAAAAUAAGCUGGAAAAUUGCUUAUUAAUAUUUUAUUUUUCUCAAGUUUAUUAAAAUAAUGAGGAACAAAUUGCAAUCUAAAUAUAUAUAGAAAAAUAAUAAGAAAAAAGCAAAUAGAAUUAUAAAAAUAAGGACCAAAGUUAAUAUAAAAAUAAAAUUUUAAGAGAUGAAAUUGAAAAAUAAAUAUUCAAAACAAAAUAUAUAUAGCAAUCAAAAGUUUGAGGAUCAAAUUUGAUAUAAUCAGCAAAUAAUAACAUUUUUAAAUUUUUCACAACUUCCGAAAAAUGUUUUUCCUCCAAAUUUUUUAGGAAAACACUUUCUUGAAAACCAAGACAAAUUUUCCUUUUACUAGAAAGUGUUUUUCAUUGACCAACUUUCCUAAUGGCAAACAAACACAAGAAAGUUUGGAAAGUAAUUUCCCGAAAACCAUUUUCCGGAAAACAAACACAGCUAAAGAGAAAACACUUUCCUGAAAACCAAGUUAAAUUUUUCUUUAACUGAAAAGUGUUUUUCGUUAACCAGAAGUGUUUUCUGUUGACCAACUUUUCUAAUAACAAACAAUCACAAAAAAAUUUAAAAAAUGAUUUUCCAAAAUCUAAUUUUCAAAAUACAAACAUAGCCUUUAUUCUUUUCCAGAUUCCUUCUAAAAAAAAUUAACAAGUAAACACUCGCUCGUCAAGCAUCCGCGUUCACGACCUUUUAAUUAUGCCUUAACUCAUAUUGGCCAGUAGUGCUAUAAAGAAGACAAAGUGGUAUAUCCACUUUUUCAUCAAUUACUUACACGAGACAAAGAAAAUGAUUGCUAUUAUCGACAAUUUCUCUGUUACACACACACACAAUUUGUCUUUAGCUGUAUUUUCUUACAAAGGAUCUUUAGCCAUGCAUUAGAGAUGAACACCUCCAACUUCUUGAUUUUCACUCGUUUUCAUCCCAUUUAAAAAAGUUUUAAGUUUGAAUGCUCAUUAUACAAAUUCUAAUAACAGGCAGCUAAAAGGGCUUGUCGAAGAGCUCAUCUUUAACGACUACUCUUGCAGGUUUUGAGAUCAUAUCAUCACAUUUGGGAAAACUCAAGAACCUUGACCUGAGCUAUAAUAUAUUCAACGACAGCACCAACUUUUAAAACAUCAGUCACCAACUUUUCAUUAUAGAAUUGCUCAGCAAAUAUUGGCCUUAUGCCUUCAAGAGUUGAGUUCCAUCCUCAAUGAGUCACAAAUGCACCUAUUGCUUUAUGAUCAAGAAUCAAAACUUGGAGUGUCCAUCCUCUGAUAAUAGUCCUUUGCCUUCCAUUCUUUCCUCAAAUCCUUCGGGUAAACAAUCUUUCUUGUCUUCUUGACGCUUUGUUUCUUCUAACUACCCGGAUAAGGAUGAAACACUUCACACGCAUUACAGAAUUAGCAUUGUGGAGGUGAUCAUGACAUUUUGCCAGCAAGGCGAUAUACAUAGCAAUUUGCAGCAAUAGAAUGUAAAAGAGUUUGAUAACAAUGCGAGAAGAAAAACAAAAGGUAAGAUGUUUAGAAAUUCAAUGCUCGGAUGCAUUAUUACCUGCUGGAUCCAUGGGGGCAGUGGGCAUGGCAUUUUGAGACCUGAUCUUCAUCAAAAGCAUCACCAGAGAUAUUUUAUGCAGAUAAUCAGACUAAAAUCAGAUAUUAAUAACAAAACAUUAGAUCUCAGAGCAAUCCAUGUUACAAGAGGAGGAAAAUGGAUAUAUGCUCUAUCAUUUCAUCUUUUGUGAGGAUAGACUUCUGUUUCCUCUCUUUUUAUUUACUUAUUUAUGUAUUGAUUCGCAAUUUGCUUUUUGCACACUUCCCAUGUACUUGAACUUGGUCACUCUAAAUAAAACACUUGUCAAGAGAAUUAACAAAAAGAUGCAAACUCUCAAUCAGCCUUGCAUUCAGAAUGAACGGUGUGGAAGUGUAGGCACACUACACACACAUUUGUACAAGCAUAAAUGCGUGUGUAUAUUCAUGUCUAGAUAAUAUCGUAAUUAUUGAACCUCGCAUUAGGCAAAUACCUGAUUGGUAGCGGUGGUAUAAAUCUUUUCCUCAAAACGUACGGCAAAUUUCUUGAGUUCUGGUAAUCCCUCCUAACCAGAAAACAGAAGAUGCCUCUUUAAUGUCUCCAUUCUGCAUAUGCAAAUCAUCACGUUUCAUUUUUAAUGACCAAGCAAGUAUAGAGAAGUUGCAGUAGCGAGUAAGAACCCUGAACUCAUAAACCACACCAAUAUAAAAAAUGUGUGGAAUCAUUAGCAAAAAGUAAAAACAAAUAAUGAGAUAAGCAAGAGAUGGUCAAGUAAUAUAAGACAUCAAAAUACAUAGACAUCCUUUCCCUGCAUUAUUCCAGAGGUACAGAGUAUAGGAGUUUACUUGGCCACCCUUCUGUCUAAAAAUUCUAGCUACUAGCUUCAUGGUUAAUUUUCUUGAAAUGGAAGAACCUUUCAUUUAUGGCUAUGUUCCAAGAUAAUUAGUGACUUAGUUGCAAAGCAAGAGAGUCCGUGAAAACAUUACAAUAGCAUUUACUCGAGUAAGAACACUUCUAUGCAUGUGCUGUAACUGACAAAAGAAAGAAGAGAAAUCCUUUCAAUAUAUGAAAAUGCAACGAGUUAACCUUAUCUCAAACUGCAAUAUAUACUCUACAGUAUUUAUUGACCACUGCAAGUGCCAGCAGUAGCUGUCUAUAUGAUUUUUGAUGUAGAAAGGUCAACAAAACAUUCAACUUUAUGCUGAGAAACUAGGAAACCUUACACCAUUCAACAUUAACUGCUUUUCUACUUUAAGAUCACUAUCAUUUCAACUUUGUAGAAGUUAAAACAAAUGGAAGGCCCAUAUCCAACACCAUUCAAUUUAAGUUCAGUUGCAACUAGACGUAUGCUCACAACAAUAGAUUAACCUUGAAAUUUAAAGCGGAACAAGCUUCAUGCAGCCAUCCAAGAGGUCAUCAUCAAAAGAAGAGAUUACAAAAGAAAUUCCAACAAAAAUUACUUCCCAGCGCUUUAUGUUCCCUCAAGUUUGCUUCUCGUGAGAAACACAUGAAAAGAUGAAAAAAAAAACAAAAAAAAAGAGGUGUGAUAUAUUUAUUUCGGGCAUUCUAAGCAAAGAUUUGGGCCUGAAUCUUCAUGGUGAUUCUAAACCAAGCAUUCCCUUCUAAGCAAAUACUUGCUGUCAAAACCCCCUCUCCUUCCCCUCCUGUUCUUGUUAUUUAUGUAUAUAUUUAUUUCUCUGAAAGAGGAAAAUGCCACAAAAGAAUAAAGAAAUAAGAAGAAAACAAAACAAAGUCAUAAAACGAGGCCUUUCAAUCCGCAAUGAAUAUCAGCAGACUAAAUACCACAGCACAAAUAGAAGAUUAAGAGGCCAGAAACACUAAAGCAUCCCAAGAGAUUGUCUAGGAUGUUUUAAUCUAGGAAAAAGUAGAAGAAAACAACGAGCAUUAACAAUAUUAAUCUUUUUAAAAACAACAAACAGAACCUAAAAAUGCUGAUUAAAAAACGGUGAACUGUAAGUGCCAGCAAAAGGUAAGGAUGUUUAGAAAUUCAAUGCUCUUUCUAAUACGCACACAUGUGUACAUGCAUAAAUCCACACACUUAUGCAUGUGUAUAUUCAUGUCUAGAGAAUAUCGAAAUUAUUGAACCUGGCAUUAGCCGAAUACCUGAUUGGUGGCGGCCGUAUAAAUCUUUUUCUCAAACCGUAUGGCAAUUUUCUUGAGUUCUUGUAAUCCCUCUUGACCAGAAAACGGAAGAUGCCUCCUCUCUUUUCAUUUAACUAUGUAUGCAUUGAUUCAUUAUUUGCAUUUUGCACACUUCCCUUAUUCUUGAAAAGGACCUUGGUUACUCUAAAUAAAACACUUGUCAAGAGAAUUAACGAAAAGAUGUGAACUUCUACAAAAUGACCAGUGAGGAAGUGUGGACACACUACGCACACAUGCAUAAAACCACACACUUAUGCAUAAAUCCACACAUUAGCCGAAUACCUGAUCGGUGACGGCAGUAUAAAUCUUUUCCUCAAACUGUUUGGUAAUUUUCUUGAGUUCUUGACCAGAAAACGGAAGAUGCCUCUUUAAUGUCUCGAUUCUGCACAUGUAAAACAUUACAUUUAAUUUUUUAAUGACAAGGCAGGUAUAGAGAAGUUAGCAGCAGUGAAAAAGAGUCGUGAACUCAUACACCACACUAAUAUCAGAAAUGUAUACAACGGGAUCAUUGGCUAUGGCUAUGCUCUGUCUGAAAUUCCAGAGGUACAGGGUAUAGGAGUUUACUUGGCCACCCUUCUGUCUGAAAUUCUAGUUACGAGCUUCAUGGUUAAUUUUCUUGAACCGGAAGAACCUUCCAUUUAUGGCUAUGGCUAUGCUCCAAGAUAUACAAGUGAAUUGGAUGCAAACCAGGGGAACUCUGUGAAAACAUUACAAUAGCAUUUACUCUGAGUAAGAAAACUUUUAUACAUGCAUGGACUGUAAUUAGCAAAGAAAAGAAGAGAAAUCCUUUUAAUUUAUGAAAAUGAAAUGAGUUAACCUUAUCUCACGCCGCAACAAAAAAUUACUUCCCAGGCACUUUAUGUUCGCUACUUGUGAGAAACACGCGAAAAAUGAAAAAGACAGAAACAGAGGUGUGAGGUGUAUGAUACUUGAGGUUGGUUGCCUCAUGUCAGUCCUGCUGAUUUUAAUUAACCUUUUGCCCUUCUCUUUUUCUUUUUCUUUGUUUACUAUUCUUUGAACACAUGGUGCUUCUAAAACCAAGGAAGCAAAAAACAAGCCAGCUAGUUCAUAACUUGCAGCACCAGCAGAUGGUGAACCAAGCCAUAGAGAAACUCAUGGUGCUUCAAUUUUAACUAGUUCGUGCUUGGACCCCUCAAAGAACAUUAGCACUUAUUCAAGAAAAAACAUAUAAAGUUGUGAGACACGAGAGACUAUAAUUAUUAUUAUUAUAUAUGGAAAGCAAUGCAAUGCAAUUUAUUUUUUAAUUUUUGUUAUGAUUUUUUUUCAAAUCUAUUUUUACAAUGGUUGAGAAUCUUGGUAAAACAAUUAGUCUUAAUCGUUGUUGAUACUUAAUUUAUAAUGAUAGAUGUUGGAAAGUCACGGUAACUCCUAAUUUUACUCUUGUCGACAAUAAUUUAUAAUGGGUGAUGGUUGAGGAUCAUCUGAUAAGUACGCUAACUUAGCAAAUAAGUGAUAAGUGCCUCUCUUUUUUUUUUUGGCAACUCUCUGUGGCCGCAUGACCAUUUUUAUAAGGGAAAAAGAAAGAAAAAAAACCCAUGACCUUUAUUUGCUCAGCAAGAAACAAAACACAAAGCAGAAUUGGACCUUUAUUUGCUCAGGUGUAACCUUGCAGAGAUUACAAUAAACAAAACACAUAAGAAAAACAAGAGGUUUAAUUGACUUAUAAAAUGUAUGUUUGUGAGCUAUGAUGUAGUGUUUUUUGUUCAAUUGUUGAGAGAAUUUCAUGAAACCAAUGGAAAAACAAAAUAAUAAGGAUUUAUGUAAGAAAUACACCUGUUUAUUUUCGUGUUGUGUUCGUUAACCAUUUUAUAACCAAUUUCUUUUUAAUUUAUAAUUUAAGAAAAAGUAUGGAAUAAUUCUGUAGAGUGUUCUCCUUCUGGGGUUUGGAAAGCGUAGAGGCUUUCCAUUGGAACUGCCAUUCUAUAUUUUGAGAGUUUCUUUGCGAAUAGCUUUUUUGGCAUUUUGACAGAUAUGAGAGAUUCUAAGAUGGAAACUACUUUAGUUGCUGAUAAACGUGCAGCUAGCAUCAUUCUCUUCAUUUUAUUUAUAAUUAAACGAAUAACGAUAAUUGAUGGUGGAUCCGUUUCCCUUUAAAUGUUUUUUUUUUAUCUGGUAUCUUUAAAUUAAUUUCUCCAUCAAUUAUUAAGUUUCACUAUAACGUGUAUUAUUUUUCACUAUGAGUGAAUUUACUGUGGAUGCAUUGUAAGUCCUGGCUUUACGCGGGGCGGGCUCGAGCGCCAAGUGGUGCUGGGUGGCUACAUGGAGCGGGGCAGAACCCUGGCACUUGGGUCUUGGCAAAGGCCUGAUUGGAUUGGGUAUAGCAGCACAGCGCUGCAUGUCGCUGGGGAACCCCGAGCGCCACCUGGCGUUAGAGCACCACCUCGUGCUGGGGCGGAUCCAAUUCUCUGGGUAAACCCCAGCGCUAGGUGGCGCUAGGGUCUUGUCAAAAGGCAUUUUUGGUUAUGAUAGCCCCAAUGUCACGUGGCACUCGAGUCCGGACGCGUUUUGCCCAAUCACAUGUGUGUUUAAUAAUGUGUGUUAUAAAUAUUAUUUUUUCUUUUAUAAUUCAAAGUGUUCAUAACAAAAAUAUUAGUAUUUGUGUUAUAAAUAUUAUUAUUUUUAUUAUAACUCAAGUAUUGAUAUAAAAAAAAAUAUUAUUAUGCAUUAUAAUCAUCCUUGAAAUUCUUAAUAUAAUUAUUUCUGUUAUUUCUUAAUUCUAAAUAUUCAUAUCAAAAAUAGUAUUAUUUGUGUUAUAAAUAUUAUUAUUUUUAUUAUAAUUCUAAAUAUUCAUAUAAAAAAUAGUAUUAUUUAUGUUAUAAAUAUUAUUAUUUUUAUUAUAAUUAAUAUUAUUAAUAUUAAAAAUCUUAUUAUUUAUGUUUUAAAUACUAUUUUUUUAUUAUAAUUCAUAUAAUUAAGAAAUCUGAAAAAACAAAUUCUUAUUAAUAUUUUAAAAAAUAUUAUUUGUGUUAUAAUUAUUUUUAAUUUAUUAUGAUUUGUAUUAUAAUUCAUAUUAUUAAUAAAAUAAUUAAUAAAUUUGCAAAAAAAAACAUUCUUAUUAAUAUUUUAAAAAAUAUUAUUAUUUUAUAAUUAUUUUUAUUUGUAUUAUGAUUAAGAGUAUUAAUAUUACAAAUAGUAUUAUUUGUGUUAUAAUUAUUUUUAGUUUUUAUUAUGCUUAAGAGUAUGAAUAUUAAAAAUAGUAUUAUUGAUUUAUUAUUAUAAUUAGAACUAUUAAUAUUAAAAAUAGUAUUAUUUGUGUUAUAAUUAUUUUUAUUUUUAUUAUAAUUAAAAGUCUGGGCGCAUCUACGCCCAUCCCAACGUUGGGCCUGGAGGCGUCCACGUUCAUCCCCAAAUAGGGUUCGCCCAGCCAUGCCCACCCCUAAGAUGGGUCUGGACGCGUCCACGCCCAACCACAUUUGUUAAUAUAAUAAUGUGUGUCAUAAAUAUAUAUUUUUUCUCUUAUAAUCCAAAGUGUUCAUAUCAAAAAUAUUAUUAUUAGUGUUCUAAAUAUUAUAACUUUUAUUAUAACUCAAAGUAUUGAUAUAAAAUAUAUUAUUAUUUGUGUUGCAAUCAUUCUUGAAAUUCUUAAUAUAAUUAUUUAUGUUAUAAAUAUUAUGAUUUUAUUAAUGAAUUUGAAAAAUAAUUAUUGUUAAUAUUUUAAAAAAUAUAUUAUUUGUGUUGUAAUUAUUUUUAUUUUUGUUAUGAUUAAAAGUAUGGGUGCGUCCAUACCCAACCCAAAGUAGGGCUGGCUAAGAGUAUUAAUAUUACAAAUAGUAUUAUUUGUGUUUUAAUUAUUUUUAUUUUUAUAAUGAUUAAGAAUAUUAAUAUUAAAACUAGUAUUAUUUGUGUUAUCAUUAUUUUUAUUAUAAUCAAAAGUAUGGGCAUGUCCACACCCAUCCCCAAGGGGGGCUGGGUGCGUCCACGCCCAACCCCCCGGCAGGCGUUGACGUGUCCUUGCCCACACCCAAGUGGGGCGUGGAUGCGGCCACGCUCGACUCCAAGUGGGGUCUGGACGCAUCCUCGCCCAACCGCUUGUUAAGCGUGGAGGCGUCCACGCCCAAACCCAAGUUGGGUCGGAUGUGUCCAGACCCAACUUGGAGUAAAAAAUAUUAUUAUGUGUUGUAAUUAUCCUUGAAAUUUUUAAUAUAAUUAUUUAUGUUAUAAAUAUUAUUACUUUUUAUUAUAAUUCUAAAUAUUCAUAUAAAAAUUAAUAAUAUUGGUGUUAUAAAUAUUAUUAUUUUUAUUGGAUGGAUCUAUCGAGCAUGCCCCAGCGCCAGGUGGCGCUCGGGGUUCCCAAUCAGCUAAGUGGCACUCGGUUGUUCCAAAGUGCUAGGUGGCGCUUAGGUUUUCCAUUGAGUUUCUAAUAUUAUAUUUCUACGUCAAAACCAAUUUUUUUUAAAAAAAAAAAUGGCAUUGUUUUGCUUACAAAAUUGAUCAAGUUAACCAAUAACUCACCAGUUGAUCAACAAUUCAACAAAAUAGGUUUUUAACAGGAUCAAAACCUGAACCAGGCUGGAUGACCACGCCAUAAGUUGCAUCUUAUUUUUGUCUUUGCAAUACAAUAAUACUUACAAAUAAUAAAUAACUAAUUUGUAUACAUCUUUUUGUCACAUCUUUAUAGUUUUUGUAGAAUAAAUUGGAACUUAAGAUUUUGUCACAUCUUUAUAUAUAGUUUUUGUAGAAUAAAUUGGAACUUAUUAAGAUAAUAUUCUUUAAUUCUCAAUGCUAUUUGUAAUCAAUAAGAAAGAUAUGGACAAGUCGAUCGUGCGAUUCACAUGGAUUGAACCCCACAUUACACACGGAAUAGACAACACAAUAACCCUGACCAUGCUCGAUCUUGAGGUAAGUUGUAAAAUGUUCUUCCUAACUAGAUGCACAGCUACGCCUUUGGGAGGGAGGGAGGGAGGGAGAGAGAGAGAGAGCAAAGUGAAAUAGAUGACUUUAUUCUUUUCCAGAUUCCUUCUGAAAAUAUUAACGAGUAAACACUCACACUCACGCACGCAUAUGAUGAUUAAAAUUUGAGUUAAAUUCUAUUUAACUAGUAUCUGUAUUUUUGUUAAACAAACAGAUUAAUCCCUCAAGUUGAUUUCAAUAAUUAAUUGAUCAUUUAAUCACAUUUUACUGUUAAGUUUUUCCAUUAGCAACGUCGCUGCUUUAUCUUGUUGCCUGGCAGAGUUCCUUGAUGAAAAAGAGCCUAAUGCUUCUACUUCUUUCCAAGUUUUUGAAGACAUGCUUGAAGAUAAUAUCUCAUCAAGGUAUAUUUAUUAUAACAAAGAAGCAUACUCAAGGAUGAUACUUCAACUCUAAGAGUUGAUAUAGCAAGUAAGAGUAAGGAUAUAGAGCAAAAUGAGCCUCCCUUCUCUCCUUCUAGUCAAUCAUCUUGAAGAGCCUAUGUUCUUGCCUUGAUAAAGACUCCUAUCUUAUAUUUAUUGAAGAAAUAUCAAGAAAGUUUCCAAAUUCAUCUCUUGACAAAAACAUCUCACCCACCUUAGCACAUGUCAAAUCCUUCAUCCCCUUAUGCCAUUGCACAGACUUGCCCUCGGGGUAAAUUCUAAAACUUCAGGCAUUUUUUAUAUGGAAAUUUAUAAUCAUAACUUGGUGUUUGUCCAUUUAUAUACAUGUUUAAUGCUUAUAAUUCAUUGUAAAAUAACUUCAAAACGGUUAAGGAGCACUUUUAUUACCAAAAAGAAAUGGCCCAGUAUAUAUUAUUAAAGGAUCUCAAAUCUUACAUUGUAAAAAUAAAAUAUUCUUCUAAUAUUUAUAUAGUGAACUUUGAAAAUGGUUAAUAACUAACCAAAAAUAUAUAUAAAAAAAGGAGUUUCUGACUACGAGAAAAAAAAUAUUUGAAAAAAAAAAUGGAUCUCAACUGCAUUUUGCUGGAUUGUUUUCGUCACGGAUUAACCUAAUGAGUUAAAAAAAUAUAUAUAAAAAAAAGAGAGGUAUCUGAAUAAAAUAAAAACAUUUUCAAUUUUUUUAUAUGUCAUGUAUAGCUAAGGGACCCAUUCCUUUGUAUAAAAAAUGAUUUGACGGUGCUUGGAUUGGGUGUAUGCCUACGUACUUGGUUUUUUAAACAGACCUUGAGCUUUAUUUUUUAUUUUUUCUAUGUAGUAUUAGUUUUUAAAAGAAUUAUUUUUUAAAAUCUUAGUAUAUUAUACAAUUGGAUUUAUUAUGAUGUUUCUCACACGUGUAUUAAUUAUAUAUUCAAUUCUUUAAUAGUUAGAAAAUACAAAGAGUUAGUGACACUUACAGAGCAUUUUGUAUCUUGUUUUUUCUAAUUAAAAACUUGUAUGGAUUUAUUUAUUUAUUUGAAUACUUGCUUUUAAUUAUGAUAUUUUUAUCAAUCAAGUCUCUAUAUUAGUUUUGUUGUCAGAAUGCAAAUAACACGAUUAAUAGUAUUUUAUUUUCAAUUUUUUUUCAAGGCCUAAAUUUUCCACACGUAAUUUCCAUUAAAAAAAAGUAGCCAGUCUUCUUUAUCCAUCAUCGUCAUGUGCAUAGCAUUAACCUUUUAUUCAUAUUUUUUUCAUAAAUAAAUAAACUUAACUUGGGGUCAACGUUUCAAGAAGGAAUAUAAGUUUCGGUUAAUUACAUAGUUUUUUCCAAAAUGUUCCGCUUUUGUUAUCUCUCUAUUACUUUUCCUUUUAAAGGGGUUAUGUACAGCCCUUGUAUAUUAUUUUGAAUUUAAUAUAUAAAAAUCUUUAGUAUAGAUGAAUUUUGUUUUUUAAAAAAAAAAAAAAAUUAUUUUCAAAUAAUAUUUCUAAUAUGUACAACAUUGCAUAUUAUUAUUUUUUCUUUUAUUUUGUUCAAUUAAUUUAUGAUAUGUAUGUUCUUUUUAUUAUCGUUUAAUUGAAUAAAUAAUUUGAAUUUUUAGAAAAUACAAUUGCAUAAAUGUCAUGUCUUGUGAAAUUAAAUAUUUUGAUCUACAUCUGUCUCUCGAUUUUUUUAGUUUUUAUUUUGAGUUAUCAUUUAUGUUUUUUUUUUUCAUUUAUUGACACACAUAAUUCUCAAUUUAUUUGACAAUAUUAUUUGUAUAUAAUUUUUUUAAUAUCCACUUAAUUUUUUUAAAAAUAAAAAAUAUAUUAAAAAAAUCUAUAUAUAAUUUUUUUAAUUAAACAAAUUUAACUUGCAAUGAAGCUUUAAUCGAAUAACUAAGUCCAUGUACUCAAAUGAGUGGCACUCGAAACUUUACAUACCUUAUCUUCCAAGCAAGAAGAGACAAGAAAAGCAGUAGGUGAUGUUCUUUUCCCCGGUUGUAAAUGAAUGAAGGGGUUAAUACCAAAAACAUGGACAAAAAUUGACAUGGACCCGCACCACUUUGAUUAUUCUUCACUCUUCCUAUGUUUCACUACUUGUUGAUUCAAAAGUUAUCUAUUUAAAAAAAUUUAAAAUAUUUUAAAAUAUGGUUACAAUAUUUUUUCUUAAGAAAAUAAAUUGAUGUCAUGUGUUAAUAACAAAUAAGGAUUUUUUGCAAUCAAAAAAUCAAAUUUAUUUUAAUUAAAAAGUUUCCUAUCAAUAGCAGCAUUCCCAAUUAAACCAAAGUUUUUCCACGAACCCAUCUUGUGGAAAAAAUGCAUGGUGGUUGGAAGAGGACGUCUCAUGGCCUCUCCUCUGGAAAAAUGCAUGAUGGCAACGGUCUCAGAGACCGAUGUCGCACCCCAAAAACAACAAUUUUCAAUUGCAAGUUCAACUGGCGAAAUUUUUUUUAUUUUUGGUUCUUUGGAGUCGCCACCUAGUAUUUUGGUCACUAGGAACCUAACUGGUCUCAGAGAUCGGGUACGGAGACUGGUUGCGUAAAGGGAAGGUAUUAGCACCCCAAAUACACCUUACCUAAGGUAAGCUGCAUUGUUUAAUUGUCUGAUAAAAAUAAUAAUAAAAAAAAAAAAACUAAGGUGUUAUUGUGUUUUCCUAGUUGUUGGUCUGUCUAUGGUUCAAGAAAAAUCCUCCUCGGUAAGGAGAUCUUUAUCUUAUCGGGUAAAAAAAAAUCCUAACCGUUCUAACGUCCAUACCAAAAUUUUAUUAAUAAUAUUUGGGAAUACGUUUUACGUAUAAAUUCGUAAUCCCAAAUACUAAAAUAAAACAAAAAAAGAUUUUUUAGAAUUUUUGAAAUAUUGGCCUAGUUCUCAUGGCUUGAAUAAACUGGUUAUUAAAGCCAAAAUGCAUGUUAAUACAUAUAUUGUUUUGAAAAUUUCUUUGUUGCGUGAAAAUAUGAUGUUAUAAUAUUUAUAUAUAUAUUGGAGAGACUAGGCCGUAUUUUAAAACAAAAAAAAAACAAUUUUUGGAAAAUAUUAUUUUUUUUAUGCUUUGACGAAAAUCGGGUAUUUUAAUACUGAGCUUGUAUCCUUACGGUAUAAAAAUACAACCCAAUAUUAAUCCACUUUGAUAAAAAUAUGCAGAAAAAUCAACAACAUUUUUUAGGGACUUUUUAGAAUUUUUUUUUUUAAAAGCAAAAACAUUUUUUAUUCUGAAAAUCUUUGAUAUUUUGACGAAAACCGGGUAUUUUUAACACUGGUUUUGUAUCUUUACAGUAUAAAAAUACAAAACCAAAAUGUAUAAAACAAACAAUAUAUUUAUAUGAAAAGAAAAUAACAACCAGAUUUUUUUAGAUUUUUUUUCAAAGAAAAAAAACGUAUAUAUGUAUAUACACAUAUAAUAAUAAUAUAUUUAUAUAUUAAAAAGGGGCUGGGCCGGCCCAAACCAAACUGGGCCGGACCCAGCCCUAACAGUCGUUGGGCCGAACUCGGCCCAGCAGGUACUGGGCAGAACUCGGCCCAGAAACUAAUUAACCUCGGUCUGGGCCGGACCCGGCCCAGACCGCCGGACUGGGCUAGAUCCCUCUGGCCCGUCCCACAUAACUCUGGGCCAGACACAAUCUGGCCCAGAAAAAAAAUAAAAAAAACACGGGGGGGGGGGAAUUAAUUUCCCCCCCCCCCGCCUCCUGCAUGCAGAACGAUUCUGCAUGCAGGAGGCAAAACAUAUAUAUAUUAACAAAAAAAAUGCAGGGGGAGGAAAGGAGGCGUACCUGGUGCGGUGGAGGAGGUGGUUUGCUGGCGGGGCUGCGGUGGUGGUGGCAGUGUCUUAGCUUCACAGACGACGGCUUCUCUCUCCUAUGUUACAGUGUUUCUCUCUCUUCCUCUCUCUCUUCGUUUUUUUUUUCUUUGUUUCGGGGUUCCUCCCUUUCUCUCUUUUUUUUCGUCCCCCGUUUUCCCUUUUGGUUCUCUAUUUAUAGAACCAUGGCGCGACUUCGACGUGGAGCCCCGAAGUGGGUCGAGGAGCGUCUGUCGGGGAGCGGCGGGCCUCCCUCGGCUUCGGCCACGAGGAGGGUUGUCGACCAUUGUUUCUGUCGGUGGCCCACCGGCGUGGGGUCUCUGUCGGUGGUAAGGGGGACCUGCAAAAAGAAUAAAAAAUACAAAGUUUUUCUUCUUCCCCGCUGUAAUGUUCGGGGGGGAAGAAGACAGUGAACAGUGUCGUUCAAAACGGCACCGUUCGGUUCCCCCCCCCUUUUUUUUUUUUUUUUAAUUUAUUUAUGCAUGAAACGGCGUCGUUUUGGACAAAACGCGCCGUUUCAUUUAAAAAAACGCCAGAAACUUUGUUUUUAAAUCAGUCCCUAAUUUGUCAUUUGUUCUAUCAAGUCCUUCAAUCGAGUCCUUUAAUCAAGAAUAAAAUUCAAUUGCGUCCCUGCCAAAUUCGGUCCCUACCCCUAUAAUUGGCCGCGUUUUUCACUUUGAUCCUUGACCUCUGAUUUUCACAAUUAAGCCCUUAAUUGAUCAAUAAACUUCCAAUUUCUUCAAUUAAGCCCCUGAAACAAUUCCAAACAGCCCCCUCUAUCUUUGCGCCUUCUCCAAAUUGGUCCCUGGUUUCGGAUUUUUCACAAUUAAGUCCCUAAUUGGCCAUUAAACUUCAAUAUUUAUGCAAUUAAGCCCCUGAUUUGACCCAAUAAAUUCCUAAAAAAUAUAUUUUGACCCCAGAACUUAAAUUUCUUCAAAUUAAAGCCCAAAUUGACUUAAAAAUCAAUUUUUCUUGCAAUCAAAUCUUCCAUAAAUUCAAAUAAAAAUCCAAUUAAGUCCAUAAAAAUCCAAAUUUGGGUUUUUCUCCUCAAAAUUCAAAUUUUCCUUCUCAAUAGGGCUUUCAUCCUUCAAGAAUAUACUGUCAAAAAUUCAAUCCUUGUAUUUUUAAAUUCCUUGACCAAUUUUCUGACUGUUUUCCGAGCGCUUCUACCUCCUGUUAUUUUUCUAACCUCUUUUGGCUAUUUAUUUUAUUUUUCAUGGGGACCCAAAAAUGGGUUACAACAACCGAUAUGCAGAUGUAAAUGUUCUCAUGUACCCAUCUCGUAGAAAAAACGCAUCCGAGUAAAUAGAAUUUUUUUUUCUUUUUUUUUAGAUGAACAUGACUUUCUUAAGCUCAUUGUAGUAUAUAGGAUUUUUUUUAAAAUGAAAAAAUAGAAAUAUUAUUCGCAUCCGAUUAAAUAUCUCCACCGAUAUAAUUCCAUUGAAAGUUGCGUCAUGUAUUAAUCUAAGGUCCAUUGUUCAUUAAUUAAUCGGUGGUUGCGUUUUAACACUUGAGAUUUAUUUUUUAUGCAUAAACAUUUAAUUUAUUUUUUUGCAAACUAAAUUGAAAUUAAAGCAUAUUAAUUAUCCAUUCCCAAGCUUACAGGGCAAUGGUCUCAUGGACCCAUCUCGUAGAAAAAACGCUUGAUAGCAAUGGUUUCGUGGACCAUCCCACCAGCCUAUAUCGUGGAAAAAAAUGCAGAUGGCAAUACAUGGUCUCACAGUCCCAUUUCACACUGCAAAUUGCUAUUCAUCUUACUUGUUGAUUGUGUUACAUAAAAAUAGACUGACAAGUACUUUAAAAAAAAAAAAAAAGACUUGUUGUCAUGACAAUGACAAGAAGAAUUUUAAAAAUAAUAUUAUUUGAGGUUCAUUUUAUCAACGAUACUCUUUGAUUUUGUCAUCACAAUCAAAAUUAAGGCAUGAUUUUUGAAGAUUUUAGAUAAAGAUGAUAAUUUUGAGUUAUGGUUUGUUUAAAUAAUGAAUUUGAGUUAUAAAUCUUGAUAUAUUAAUAAGUGAUCUGUGUGUAUUUAAAAUUAAAGUGCAUAAAUUUAAUAUUGAAAUUUAAUUAAAGUCUCUCUUACAAUCCAAAAUUUAUUUUUAAUUAAAGUGCAUAAAAUAAACAUGGUUAAAGUUCUUUCUUUCUCUUUCUCUUUCUCUCUGUCUCUGUGUAUGUUAGAUGGAGUUUGCAUUAGAUAAUCAAUAAUAUUGUAUAUAUUGUUUUUGGAGAAGUAACUCAUUUUCACACCCUUGGUGUAGUUUUCCAUUCAUUUUCACACCCCAGUUGCCACCCUGCUUUUCUUUUCAUUCACGCACACAGAUAGUGCAUCAAAGCACUACGACAAUAGUUGACUCCCAGUCAAUACGGUCAAGAUAAGGUAAUCAAAAACUAAAUUUACUUUUACUACUAUUUCAAUUUUAAAAAAAUAUUUUUCUUUUGUUUAAUGCAUUAAUUUCAAGAAAUAUUUUUAUUUUUUUGUAAUUUGAAUACUUGCUCUUAUGAUUUUUUAUCAAUAAAGUCUCUAUAUUAGUUUUGUUGCUAGAAUACAAAGAACACAAUUAAUAGUAUUUUAUUUUUAAUUUUUUUCAAGGCCUAAAUUGUACACACGUAAUUUCUAUAAAGAAAGUAGCAAGUCUUCUAUAUCCAUCAUCGUCAUGUACCUAGCAUUAACUUUUAUUCAUGUCUUUUCCAAAAAAAAAAAACUUGACUUUGGAUCAAUGUUUUAAGAAGGAAUAUAAGUUUCGGUUAAUUACUUAAUUUCAAAUUUUUUUUGUACUCUAUGUUUUCGAUGAACAUCACUUUCUUAAGCCAGUUGUAGUAUAUAGAAAUUUCUUCUAACAUUUUAGAAAUAUAAUUCACAUCUGAAUUGAUAAAUUCACAAAUUAAUAUAAUAGGUUUUAAUAUUUAUUUUUAAUAUAUAUUUCGAAUUUAAUAUUAAUAGUUAUAAAGUUUAUUUAGUUAAUAAAAAUUGUUCCACUUUUGUUAUAUCACAUUCCUUUUAAAUUAUUGUAAAGUUUAUUUAUUUUGAAUUUAAUAUAUAAUUUUUUUUGGAAUAAAUAAACUUUAUUUUUUAAAAUAAAAAAACUAUUUUCAAAUAAUAUUUCAAAUAUAUGAAGCUUGUCAUAUUAUUACUAUUUUUUAUUUUAUUCAAUCAAUUUAUAAUAUGUGUCUAUUUUUAUUAUUGUUUGAUCGAAUUAAAAAAUUAUUUUAAUUAGAAAAUUUAAAAAAUGCAAUUGCGUAAAUGUCAUGUCUUGUAAAAUUAAAUAUUUUGAUCUACACAUGUCUCUUGAUUUUUUUACUUUUUAUUUUGAGUCAUCGUUUAUGGUUUUUUUUUUUCACUUAUUAACACACAUAAUUCUCGAUUUAUUUAACAAUAUUUGUGUAUAAGUUUUUUAAUUUUCACUUAAAAUUUUUUUAAAUAAAAACUUUAUUGAAGAAAUCAAUAUAUAAUUUUUUUUAAUUAAAAUAAUUGAACUUGUGGUGAAGGUGUGGUCAAAUAACUAAAAAUAGGUGGCACUCAAAGGUUCAUAUACCUUAUCUUCCAAGCAAGAAGAGACAAGAAAAGCAGUAGAUGAUGUUCUUUUCUCCGACAAUAAAUGGAUGAAGAGAUAAAUAUCAAAGACUAUUAUAUUAAUCGUUCAUACCCCCCCCCACCCCCACCCCACGAUCUCUUAAAUGCAAAACAAUUUGGAAUAGUUGAUAAAUCACUUUUGGUAAUUUCACAUCAAAAACAUCUCACCCACCUUAGCCCAUGUCAAAUCCUUCAUCCCAUUAUGCCCUUGCCCAGACUUGCCCUCGGGGUAAAUUCUAAAACUUGGGGCAUCUUUUAUAUGGAAAUUUAGAAUUAUAACUUGGUGUUUGUCCAUGUAUAUACAUUUUUAAACGUUAAGGAGCACUUUUAUUACGAAAAAGAAAUGGCCCAGUAUAUAUUACUAAAAAAACUCAAAUUUCACAUUGAAAAAAUAAAAUAUUCUUUUAAUGUUUAUAUAAUAAACUUUAAAAAUAAUUAAUAACCAACCAAAAACAUAUAUAAAAAAGAGAGGUUGGAAAAAAAAAACAUUUAACAAAAAAAAUGAGUCUCAACUAGGUUUUCUUGAAUUGUUUGGAUUACGGGUUAACGAGUCAAAAAUAUAUAUAUAUAAAAUGAGAGGUUUCAAUAAAAUAAAAACAUUUUCAAGUCUUUUAUAUGUCAUGUGUAGCUAAGGGACCCAUCCUUUGUAUAAAAAAUGAUUUGACGGUGCUUGGAUUGGGUGUAUGCCUACGAACUUGGUUUUCUAAACAGACCAUGAGCUUUAUUUUUUAUUUUUUCUAUGUAGUGUUAGUUUUUAAAAUCUUAGUAUAUUAUACAAUUGGAUUUAUUUUGAUGUUUCUCACACGUGUAUUAAUUAUUUAUUAAAUUCUUUAAUAGUUAGAAAAUACAAAGAGUUAGUGACACUUACAGAGCAUUUUGUAUCUUGUUUUUUCUAAUUAAAAACUUGUGUGGAUUUAUUUAUUUAUUUAUUAAUUUGAAUACUUGCUUUUAAUUAUGAUUUUUUUUAUCAAUCAAGUUUCUAUAUUAGUUUUGUUGUCAGAAUGCAAAUAACACGGUUAAUAGUAUUUUAUUUUUAAUUUUUUCAAGGCCUAAAUUUUCCACACGUAAUUUCCAUUAAAAAACGUAGCCAGUCUUCUUUAUCCAUCAUCGUCAUGUGCAUAUCAUUAACCUUUUAUUCAUAUUUUUUCCAUAAAUAAAUAAACUUAACUUGGGGUCAACGUUUCAAGAAGGAAUAUAAGUUUCGGUUAAUUACUUAGUUUUUUCCAAAAUGUUCCACUUUUGUUAUAUCUCUAUUACUUUUCCUUUUAAAGAGGUUAUGUACAGCCCUUGUAUAUAAAAGUCUUUAGUAUAGAUGAAUUUUAUUUUUAAAAAUAAAAAAAAAAUUAUUUUAAAAAAUUAUUUUUAAUAUGUUCAACAUUGCAUAUUAUUUUUUCUCCUUUUAUUUUGUUCAAUUAAUUUAUAACGUGUAUGUUGUUUUUAUUAUCAUUUAAUCGAAUAAAAAAAUUAUUUUAAUUUGAAUUUUUAGAAAAUACAAUUGCGUAAAUGUCAUGUCUUGUGAAAUUAAAUAUUUUGAUCUACACAUGUCUCUCGAUUUUUUUAGUUUUUAUUUUGAGUCAUCAUUUAUGUUUUUUAUUUAUUUAUUAACACACAUAAUUCUCGAUUUAUUUGACAAUAUUUGUAUAUAAAUUUUUUAAUAUCCACUUAAUUUUUUUCAAAUUAAAAAUAUAUUAAAGAAAUCUAUAUAUAAUUUUUUUAAUUAAACAAAUUUAACUUGCGAUGAAGCUUUGAUCGAAUAACUAAGUCCAUGUACUCAAAUGAGUGGCACUCGAAAGUUCACAUACCUUAUCUUCCAAGCAAGAAGAGACAAGAAAAGCAGUAGGUGAUGUUCUUUUCUCUGGCUGUAAAUGGAUGAAGGGAUUAAUACCAAAAACAUGGACAAAAUUUGAUGUGGACCCGCACCACUUUGAUUAUUCUUCAUUUUCUUCACUCUUCGUGUGUUUCAUUACUUGAUGAUUCAAAAGUUAUCUAUUUAAAAAAAUUAAAAUUUUUAAAAUAUUUUACAAUAUGGUUACAAUAUUUUUUUCUUAAGAAAAUAAAUUGAUGUCAUGUGUUAAUAACAUUUAUGGAUUUUUUCCAAUCAAAUUUAUUUUAAUUAAAAGGCUUCCUAUCAAGAACAUCAUUCCUAGUUAAAACAAAGUUUUUCCACGAACCCAUCUUGUGGAAAAAAUGCAUGAUGGUUGGAAGAGGAUGUCUCAUGGCCUCUCCUCAAGGAACAAUGCUUGAUGGCAACGGUCUCAGGGACCAAUAUGUAGAUGGAAAUGUUCUCAUGGACCCAUCUCGUAUAAAAAACGCAUCCGACUAAUUAGAAUUUUUUCCGUUUUUUAGAUGAACAUGACUUUCUUAAGCUCAUUGUAGUAUAUAUAACUUUUUUAAAAUAAAAAAAUAGAAAUAUUCGCAUCCGAUUAAAUACCUCCACAUAUAUAAUUCCAUUAAAAGUCAUGUCAUGUAUUAAUCUAAGUUUCAUUAUCCAUUAAUUAAUCGGUGGUUGCAUUUUAACACUUGAGAUUUAUUUUUUAUGCAUAAGCAUUUAAUUUAUUUUUUUGCAAAUUAAAUUGAAAUUAAAGCAUAUUAAUUAUCCAUUCCCAAGCUUACGGGGCAAUGGUCUCAUGGACCGAUCUCGUAGAAAAAACGCUUGAUAGUAAUGGUCUCGUGGACUAUCCCACCGGCCUAUAUCAUGGAAAAAAAUGCAGAUGGCAAUACAUAGUCUCACAGACCCGUGCAAAUUGUUAUCCAUCUUACUUGUUGAUUGUGUUACAUAAAAAUAGACUGACAAGUACUUUAGAAAGAAAAAGAAGAAGAUUUGUUGUCAUGACAAUAACAAGAAGUAUUUUAAAAAUAAUAUUAUAUGUGGUUCAUUUUAUCAACGAUACUCUUUGAUUUUGUCAUCACAAUCAAAAUUAAGGCAUGAUUUUUGAAGAUUUUAGGUAAAGAUGAUAAUUUUGAGUUAUGGUUUGUUUAAAUAAUGAAUUUGAGUUAUAAAUCUUGAUAUAUUAAUAAGUGAUAUGUGUGUAUUUAAAAUUAAAGUGCAUAAAUUUAAUAUUAAAAUUUAUUUAAAGUCUCUCUUACAAUCCAAAAUUUAUUUUUAAUUAAAGUGCAUAAAAUAAACAUAGUUAAAGUUCUUUCUUUCUCUUCCUCUCUGUCUCUGUGUAUGUUAGACGGAGUUUGCAUUAGAUAAUCAGUAAUAUUGUAUAUAUUCUUUUUGGAGAAGUAACUCAUUUUCACACCCUUGUUGUAGUUUUCCAUUCAUUUUCACACCCCAGUUGCCACCUGCUUUUCUUUCCAUUCACGCACACAGAUAGUGCAUCAAAGCACUACGACAAUAGUUGACUCCCAGUCAAUACGAUCAAGAUAAGGUAAUCAAAAACUAAUUUUACUUUUACUACUAUUUUAAUUUUUAAAAAAUAUUUUUAUAUUGUUUAAUGCAUUAAUUUCAAGAAAUAAAUUCCUUUUAUCUUAAAAUAUGAACUUGAAAAACCAAAUGUAUUUUAUAAUGAGGGAGAAAACUAGAAAAAAUGAUUAGCCUUCUCAUUGUAGUAAUAUAAAUCGUAUAUCUUUGACUCGAUUGAGUUGAAAUGUAAUAAAAACAAGUCAAGAAUACCUUUCCUAACAUAAAAACAAAAGUGUGUGUGUUUUUUAUUUGAAGUUUUUGUAUAUAAUACUAUAGCCACACAAUCCACAGGGAUAAGAUUUAUAAUUAUUCCGUGUUUAUUAUUAUUGAUAAUUUAUGUAUUUAAUUAUAUAUAUAUAUAUAUAUAUAUAUAUAUAUGAUAGUGAGAUGACACCAUGCAAGUAGGCUGCAAGUAGGCUACUAAAUGAUUCUAAAUUAUGACAAGAUAAGUACAAUUAUAAAGCUAAAAAGAUCUUACGCGGAAUCAUACACGAAUGUUCGAUAAUACUACAACAAUUUUUAUUUUUUAUUUUUUCAUAAAUUAGAUAAUUAGUAUGCAAAAUAUAAUUAAAUGCAAAUAGACUAAGUGCUAAACAAUAAAAUAAAAUAAUAUUCAAAGGUUUCCGUAGUGAAGUUGUGGUCAAAUAUCUAGUCUAUGUACUAAAAUGAGUGGCACUCAAAGAUUCAUAUACCUUAUUUUCUAGGCAAAAAGAGCUAAGGAAAGCAGUAAGUGAUGUUCUUUUCUUUGGUUGUAAAUGGAUGAAGAGAUUAAUACCAAAAACAUGGACAAAAAUUUAUGUGGACCCACACCAGUUUGAUUAUUCUUCUCUUUCUUCACUUUUUCUGUGUUUCACUACUUGAUGAUUCAUAAGUUAUCUAUUUAAAAAAAAAUUAAUUUAUUCAGUUUUUUAAAUUAAAAUAAAAUAUACCUACCAUUCUUAGAUGUGACAUAAUGAAAUUAAAAACCAUAGCUUUUAGAGCCCCAAGUGCACAGCCCCAUCUCGUGGAAAAAAUUGCUUGAUGACAAUGGUAUCACUAACCCAUCAUCUAGUGGUGGAUAAUUUGUUUCAUGUCCUCUCCAUCAAAAUCCUUUUUGUUUUGAAAAGGAAUAUAUAUAUAUAUAUUAGUUUUCAAGAAACAUACCACAAGAUUUAAAAAUAUUUUAUAUUUCAUUAAAAUGAAUAAAUAAAUUACUUAUAUGGUUACAAUAUUUUUUUUCUUAAGAAAAUAAAUUGAUUUCAUGUGUUAAUAACAUUUAAGGAUAUUUUCCAAUCAAAUUUAUUUUAAUUAAAACGUUUGCAAUCAAUAACAACAUUCCCAAUUAAACCAAAGUUUUUCCACGAACCCAUCUCGUGGAAACAAUGCAUGAUGGUUGGAAGAGGAUGUCUCACAGCCUCUCUUCGAGGAAAAAUACAUGAUGGCAACGGUCUCAAGGAAAUGGUCUCACGAACUCAUUAAUGCAUUUAUAGUGAUAUUUUUAUUGUUAGAAACAUACAAUAGCUUAGGGAAUUUUAUCAAGGAACAAAGAUAUUUUCAGAGAAUAACAUUUAUAAUGAUACUUUUAUGCCAUUCAAUUUUUUCUUCUUUUUAGUCUAUGAUCCUGAUAAACAUGACUUUCUUAAGUUAGUUGUAGCAUAUAGAAUUUUUUUUAAUAAAAAAAAUAGAAAUAUAAUUCGCAUAUGAGUAAAUACCUUCACAAAUUAAUAUAAUAGGUUUUAAUAUUUACUUUUAAUAUUUAUAAAAUGAAAAAUAUUAAGAGUUGAUUAAUUUGUAUAGCUCCAUUUGUAUAUCAUUCUAUUUUUAUUUUCUUGCAAAGAAAAACCUCGUUUUGCGUAACUGUUCCUAUGUCUUUUUAUUAUUGAUGUAUGUUUGACAUUUUUAAUAUCUUAGAAGAGCACACAUAAACGUUUACGAGGAUUCCAUGGGAGGCUACUGAUUUUUGCUCUCCAUGAGAAGAGCAUCAUGGAACUUCUAACUGAGCAUUGAAUGUCAUAAUGAGAAAGAUUGGCAGUUGCACACCCAAGAGAAUGCUUUUUUUAUCUUUCUUUUUUUUCCCAAGAUAAGGUAAUUAGCUGUUGUGUGUUUUUACUUUUAGCAUUCUUUUUAUUAUUAUUAUUAACGUGAGUGUCUGGACAGCUUGCGCGCAACUUGACUAAUCCCACAAGCUCUAAAGUUAACGAUUAUGUAAGUUUCUAGUGGCUUUGAGGUUUAUAAAACUUGAACCGGUAACUUUUAGAAAGCAAAUCUAGAACUUGAUUAAUUGAGUACACCCUCAGAAUUGCUUUUAACAAUUUUUUAGAUUGUCUUGUGGUGGUACUCCAAGAUUCCGGAGGACCACCUGUAUGGAUAAGGAAAUCACUGCAUGGUUGUGUUUAAAAAUCAAAAUGGCAUACAACAAGUCAAGCAUCAAUUACUCAAGAUUUGUGGAAGAUAUGAUACAAGAGAUAAGAAAAUGAUUGCUAUUAUCCACAAUUUCUUUGCGGAGUUUCCAUUAGAUAAUCAAUAAUGUAUACAUAUUUUUUUGGAGAAGUAACUCAUUUUCACACCCUCAGAUGCCAAACAUUAACAUCCCUUUCUCUUCUCUUCUCUUCUCCUCUUUUCUUCUUUUCUUUUCUUGUUUUUUUAAUUAACAUAUUUUUAUGAAUUUGUUUAUCUUCUUAGCUUCACUAGCAACUACAUUAAGAUAAAAUUUUUAUUUUUUCUUCUUUUUUGUGUUCUUUUUCAUUAUAUUUGUUCUUUUAUUUAUUUAUUUUUUAUUUUUUUCUGUUCUUAAUAAUUUUAUAAAUGUUGAUGUAGGAUUUGUUUUUCACGUGAGAUCAAUUUUUAGUUGAUUUAUUUAUAGGAUUUUUAAAUAAAUUUUAAUUAUUUAAUUAUUUUUCUAGUUUUGUUAAAUAGAUUUUUUUUUUAAAUUUUUUUUUUAAAUAGUCACUGACAGAAUUGCAUACGGUAUGUUUGUCGAUUACAUGACAAGCUUCCCGAGGAAAUUACCAAUGAAAUGAAGUAAAUAAAUUUUUUUUAGCCUGUUUUACUUAUUAGUAAAUCUAUCAGUGAUAAUAUUUUUUUAUUGCUAACAAACAAAAAAUUACCAAUAAAAAAUUCAUGAAUGGAACAUUUCUGUUUGUGAUCCCAUCAAUAAUUAAUUUACCUAGAAAAUUAAAUAAUAAAUCAAGAGGGUGAGCCUUUCCUUAACGAAUAUCCUCAAUGGCCUCUGGGGUCGAACCAAAUCCUGUGGCCACGAUUUAUUGUUAGCACGUGUUUGCAAUUUGCAACAUAUAUUUUGAUGAGCUACUUGUAGAGUAAGGUGCUGUUUUUGUUUCUAGCUUUAGGUGAUUGCACCAAACAUGGACUGAACAAAAGGGACAUCCAUUGGUGGAGAAAUUGGUUCCAGUUCCUUUUGAUACAUUUAACCAGUUUUGUAUUCUUGCUCACUUUUCAAUUUGGUUUCGGUAUCGUGUUUUGUUAUUAUUACUUACUGCUGCUGUUUUGAAUUUACUACAACAAUUUUUUUAUUUUAUUUUAUUUAUAUAAAUUGGAUAAUUAGUAACCAAAAUAUAAUUAAAUGCAAAUAUACUAAGUGCUAAACAAUAAAUUAAAAUAGUAUUCAAAUCCUAGAAUAUUCCAAAAAAAAUAUAUAUAUAUUCAAAUCUCAAAACAUGAAACCCUAAAUUAUUACGAGAGAAGUAUAAUUAUAAAGUCAUGAAAACAAUCUUACGAAUGUCUACAAUAUUUUUAUUUAUUUAUUUAUUUUAUAAAUUGAAUAAUUAGUAACCAAAAUAUAAUUAAAUACAAAUAGACUAAAGGUUGAACUGAACAAUAAAAUAAAAGCCGAACUGCACAAGAUAAUAUUCAAAUCUAUAUUAUCAACAAACACACCAUAAAGGCCGAAGUGUCAGACUUUGUCACUUUUAGGUUAAUUCCGUUGGAUCAUGUUGAAUUGUCAACAAUGGUGCGAGGUACUCUAGGAUACUUAAACUUUAGUACUUGCACACAAGCCAACUGACGGACAAAAGUGAUGUUUACAGUUUUGGAGUGGUUCUUGUGGAACUACUAACUGGGAUCGAUGAAGGCAAUUUCCUUCGAUAAGCUUGAGGGCCUUUAAGUGCUAAAUAAUAAAAUAAAAUAAUAUUCAAAUCCAAGAAUAUUCCAAAAAAAUAAUAUUCAAAUCCAAGAAUAUUCCAAAAAGAAAUAAAAUAUAUAUUCAAAUCUCCAAACAUGAACCUGCACACAAGAUAUGCAGAUAAAGUCAAGGAAAUUAAAUGGCCAAAGUGUAGUAUAAAUAGGACCUCUAUGGUUGCCCAAAGGCACAUAACAAACAACAAUAUUCUACGUAGUAGUUCAUAGAAUAUUAUCUAAGAUGAUGAUGAAAAGAAUUGGGGCUUGGAUGCUGCUAGCAUUAUUGACUCUGGUUGGCGAAUGGGCUGGUCGUUGUUAUGGAUGUUUGGAGGAGGAGAGGGUUGGUCUCUUGGAGAUCCAAUCUUUGAUCGACCCAGAUGGCCUUUACUCGAGAGAUUGGGUGGACGGUAGUAAUUGUUGUGAGUGGGGGUGGAUCGAGUGUGAUAACACUACAAGGCGAGUGAUCCAACUCUCUCUUGGCGAAGUAAGGGAUUUCCGCUUGGGCGAUUGGGUUCUCAACGCAUCGUUGUUUCAGCCUUUUAAAGAAUUGCAAAGUCUUGAAUUGGAAGAUACUGGAUUGGUUGGUUGCAUGGAGAAUGAAGGUUAGUUCAAUGUUUCUGCACUUAAUUAUAAUCAUAAAAUAAAUGAAGGUUGGUUGGUGUUUAAUGUCAAUUAUCUUGCUUUGAUGAUUCUCUUCCAGGCUUCGAAGUCCUAUCAUCAAAACUGAGGGAACUUGACCUAUAUUAUAACCGAUUUAAUAAUGAUAAAAGCAUUUUGUCAUGUUUCAAUGGUAACCUUUCCACUCUCAAGUCUUUGGAUCUAUCAUAUAAUCAGUUGACAGAUGGAUCAGGUAGCUUCUAUGGUAACCUUUUAAUUAUUUAGCUUCGAAACCUUUUCUGUUCUUCUUCCAAUAUGCUUUUGAGGAACAUCAUGCAGGUCUAAAAGUCUUGUCAUCAAGGUUGAAAAAGCUGGAGAACCUUGAUCUAAGUGACAAUCAAUACAACGAUAGCAUUUUUCCAUCUCUUACUGGAUUUUCAUCCCUCAAGUCUUUGGAUCUAUCGGCUAAUGAGUUGACAGGAUCAGGUAUAACACACAGUUUCUACCUAAAUGCUUCACAUGACAUUCUCUUAAUUAUAUUGUUUCCUUAUCAACAAAAAUGAGGACUUUAUAUCUAUUUAAUAAAAACUAUCAACAAAACUCUCUAAUACAAAUCACUAGACAGCCAACGAGAGACUGCCAAUUUCUUUAUUAGAAAAACUCUUGAACUGUUUUAUCAAUGAAGACCACAACAUAAAACCCACAUAUUUGAUAUUUAAUUCUUGUUUGUAGCCAUUUAUUAUUUCCUCUCUUUUUAAUUAUGGUUUUAUAUUAUUUUGGACCUUUUUUAAAUCACAAUAUUAUUCAGUAGUGGAGGAUAUAUUGCCUUAUGGUCGUGGUGAAUGGUGAAAUAUUUGGACUUUGAAAAAUAAAACGUGAAAAAGUUUAUAGUUCUUUAAUGCCAUGGAUAAAAUUGGGAAACUUGCUAGAAAACAGAGGCAGUUAGGAAAAAAUUAUAAUGACUAAAUUAGUAACAGCUAAGCAUCUUACUAACUAAAUAGAUAGAGGAAUUAAGUUAUGAUUAUUAUUCUUGUUUAACUAUUAUUAUUCUUGUUUUAAUUACCGAUGAGGUCUUAAUUACAAGUUUCUUUAUCAUAACUUAGCUUCCAUCUUUUUAUGUAUAAUUUGAGAAUCAUAUAUCAAUUGAACAACAGCAUCUCAUCAAUUCUAAUUAUCUUUAGUUUCUAUAUAUUAUGCAUAUCGUGAGCUCAUAAUUAUGACUUACUCUUAGAAACAACUCUCUUGCAGGUUUUGAGAUCAUAUCAUCACAUUUGGAGAAACUCGAGAACCUGGACCUCAGCUAUAAUAUAUUCAACGACAGCAUUUUCUCACAUCUGCGUGGACUUUCUUCUCUCAAGUCUUUACAUUUAUCAGGCAAUAUGUUGCUAGGAUCAACAACUGUAAAUGGUAAAGUUGUGAAAUCUCUGGAUUUUUCAGGCAAUUUGUAGUUUAUAUCCAAAAAUCAUCUCACUAUAAAAGUACCAGUUCUUUAUCAUAGAUUUAAGAACUCGACCAAGAUAACACUUAAUUUCACUACUUACUUGAUUGCAUGUUUUCAAUUCUACACAUCAUAGGUUCAAGAAAGCUAGACUUCCUGCAGUCAUUGCCAUCCCUGAAGACCCUUUCUCUCAAGGAUACUAAUUUAAGUCAAGGUUAAUCAUAGUUUAGUUUCUUAAAAUCAUAAUUAAGAAUAUUGAAUGGAAUGGCCAUUCUGUACCACCACUAUUUUCAUCAUAUCUUUUUUCUUCUUCUUCUUCUUUUCACAGGGACUUUCUUCAAUUCUAGCACCCUUGAAGAAUUGCAUCUAGAUAAUACUUCUCUCCCAAUAAACUUUCUCCAGAACAUUGGAGCAUUGCCUACUCUUAAAGUUUUGUCUGUUGCUGAAUGUGACCUCCAUGGCACCUUACCCGCUCAAGGUAAAUUAACAACUCUCCAUUCGCCUAUAAUUACAUCAUUAAUAAAAGAUUCUUUCAACAUUGUUUUGACUGUUUCGAGAUAAAUUAUACAGGUUGGUGUGAAUUGAAGAAUCUGAAGCAGUUAGAUCUCGCUGAAAAUAAUUUAGGAGGUUCACUCCCAGAUUAUUUGGGGAACUUGUCAUCUCUACAACUAUUAGAUGUUUCUGGUAACCAGUUUACUGGAAAUAUUGCCUCUAGUCCUCUUACCAACCUCGUAUCCCUUGAAUUCCUCUCACUAUCAAAUAACCUCUUUGAAGUUCCCAUUUCAAUGAAGCCUUUUAUGAACCACUCAAGCCUCAAGUUCUUCACCAGUGAGAACAACAGACUUGUAACAGAACCUCCAACCUUUGAUAAUUUGAUUCCAAAGUUCCAACUAGUCUUUUUCCGCUUGUCAAAAACAACGGAAGCACUUAAUGUAGAAAUUCCUAACUUCCUCUAUAACCAAUACGACUUAAGAGUCCUUGAUCUCUCCCACAACAACAUCACCGGAAUGUUUCCAUCGUGGUUGCUUAAGAACAAUACACAAAUGGAGAAACUAUAUCUGAGCGAGAACUCCUUUGUUGGUACUUUGCAAUUGCUAGAUCACCCAUAUCCGAAUAUGACCGAAUUAGAUAUAUCCAACAACAACAUGAACGGUCAAAUUCCAAAAGAUAUUUGUUUGAUCUUUCCAAAUAUGUUGAUCUUAUGGAUGGCUAAGAAUAGAUUCACAGGUUAUAUUCCUUCUUGUUUAGAAAAUAUUAGCUCUCUUUCAUUUUUAGAUUUAUCCAACAAUCAAUUGUCUACAGUAAAACUAGAACAACUAAAAACAAUAGCGGUUCUCAAGCUAUCAAACAACAAUUUGGGUGGGCAAUUACCGACCUCGGUGUUCAAUUCUUCUAGCCUGGCUUUUCUUUACCUACGUGGUAACAACUUUUGGGGUCAGAUAUCAGAUUUUCCAUUAUAUGGGUGGAAACCAUGGAUUGUAUUGGAUUUGAGUAACAAUCAAUUUUCAGGCAUGCUUCCAAGGUGGUUCGCCAAUUAUACGAGCCUUAACUCAAUUGAUUUGUCCAAAAAUCAUUUUAAGGGUCCGAUCCCAAGAGACUUUUGUAGGCUUGACUGGCUUCAAUAUUUGGACUUUUCUGAGAACAACUUGUCUGGAAAUAUACCAUCUUGUUUCAGUUCACCAAUUCUAAUCCAUGUGCAUCUAUCCGAAAAUAGAUUGAGCGGUCCUUUAACAUAUGGAUUUUAUAACAGCUCUUUCCUGGUUACGAUGGAUCUUCGAGAUAACAGCUUCAUCGACUCCAUUCCAAAUUGGAUUGGCAAUCUUUCAUCAUUGAGUGUUCUUCUUCUAAGGGAUAAUCACUUUGAUGGUGAGCUCCCUGUUCAGUUAUGCUUGUUAGAGCAAUUAAGCAUUUUGGAUGUUUCACAAAACCAGCUCUUUGGCCCACUACCCUCAUGUUUGGGCAAUCUUACUUCCAAGGAAAGUUCCCAUAAAGCGUUGGCGUAUCAAAGAGCUUAUUUUCCACUAGGGUCCAUAGAAAAAGCUUAUUACAAAAAAUGGGUCCACCACUAGUGGAUAGUAUUUCCAACUUGGAAAAUUAUGUUUGGCUUAACUUUACAGAAGAAGUGAUAGCAUUUACAACUAAAAAUAUGCAUUAUGGUUACAAGGGGAAAAUUCUCAACUACAUGUCUGGUAUUGAUCUCUCCAAUAACAACUUUGGAGGAGCAAUCCCACCAGAAUUUGGAAACUUAAGUGAGAUACUGUCAUUAAACUUGUCACACAACAAUCUCACUGGAUCUAUCCCUGCAACAUUCUCAAACCUAAAGCAUAUUGAGAGUUUGGAUCUUUCUUACAACAACUUGAAUGGUGCCAUCCCUCCACAACUUACUGAAAUUACCACACUGGAAGUUUUUAGUGUGGCGCACAAUAACUUGUCAGGCAAGACACCCGAGAGAAAAUUUCAGUUUGGGACCUUCGAUGCAAGCUGUUACAAAGGAAAUCCUUUCUUGUGUGGACCUCCAUUGCAAAACAAUUGUAGCGAGGAAGUGGUGCCAUCGCAGCCAAUGCCUAAUGAUGAACAAGGAGAUGAUGGUUUCAUAGACAUGGAGUUCUUCUACAUCAGUUUCGGUGUAUGUUACACAGUUGUGGUGAUGACAAUUGCAGCAGUUCUCUACAUCAAUCCAUAUUGGCGACGCAGGUGGUUGUACUUCAUCGAAGACUGCAUAGAUACUUGCUACUAUUUUGUGGUGGCUAGUUUUCGCAAGUUCUCCAACUUCAUAAGGUGAAUUUGUUACUGGGGAGAUGGGGAGACGGUCGUUUCUGGUUUGUCAUGAUUGUUUGUUUAGCUAUUGGGUGCUUAAUUUUGUAAUGUAUUGUCUCUGCAUCAAAUAUAUAAGUCGGACUUCUCAUUCCUGAACCAUUAGGAAGGGAGCUGAUUUGGAUUUGCCAUUGACUAUUUGUCCUGUAUGUCUAGCUAUUGGGUUCUUCAUUUGUAGUGUACUGUCUCUAAGCUCAACCUUUCUAUUUGAAUAGUUAUUUGGGCUAAAUAUAUAAGCUGGACUUGUCAUUCAUAAAUCAUUAGGAAGGGAACUGAUUUGGAUUGGUCAUUGACUCGGCUGUGAUUACUCUUUCAACUCUCAAGACUUGUCUGAAAAUAAAUUGCCAAAACCACUACUAAAGUAUAAACAAAAUAUUCUAUGCCUUUGUUUCAAGGGCGACCCCACCUCAGUUAUUCAAUCAAAGCAUUGAAAUCGGAGCAAGAAGAUCCACCUUCUUCAACAGCCUUCCUGGCCGUUUCUCCUAGCUUCUUUGCUCUGCUCCUCAUUUCCUCUGUUUCUUCACCCAUCAUAAUUUGAGUGAUUGCCUUCUCUACAGCUUCACUUUUAACAUGAUCUCCAUGCACUCUAAGCCAUUCCUCAACUCCAGUUUUUAAAACAUCAGUCACCAACUUUUCAUUAUAGAAUUGCUCCGCAAAUAUUGGUCUCCUAAGCACAAAAAAAUAAAAUUGUCCUUGUCAAACAUGCAGCUGUGACUUGAGACAUUCAGAAUUUCAACCUCAUUUUCUAUAAAAUUCAACAAUACUGGAUAUGGUCAUGAUUCAAUGGAAUAAUCCCCACUUAUUUUCUUGAGACCUUUUUCCAUUGAAAUCUUGCAAGACUGUGGCAUACAUGAACUCCAUCUAAUGAACAGUAAAUCAAAGAAAUUACCUUCUGAUAGAUCUCCUCUUGCCAAUCAGCGCCUUUUGCAUGUCCAGUCUGUGCUGUAGAAUCUAGGGAUGCUACAAAAAUUUCAAUGCAGACAACAAAAUGUUAGAAUUCAUGUAUUUUUGUGUGUUUUCCAUAUACAAGGGUAUUUCUGUAAUUUUAACACUAGCUGAAAGUUAUGAAAUAUUGCAAGUCUCAGUUUUAUUUUCCAUUUAGUAUUUAAUUAUUCCCAAAGUAUAGCGAGCUUCAUUAGGUUUUUCCUAUUCUAGAUAGGCUAUUAGUAUUUUCCUAUAUAGGAAUACAAGUCCUUUUUGUAUUAGGAACUUCAUCUAAAUGUUACGUAAUCAUAUAAAUGCAGAAUCAGAGGGUGAACAGCUGGUGCAAUGCACUGGAGGGUAUGAUGUGGUAACAAAUGCGUGUGUGAUUGCAAUGGUUUCAAUAGCAGUGGCAUUACUAAUGCCACAAGUGGCAGCAGUAGCACAUAAAGCUACCUAAAAGAGUAUUGCUGACUUGAACCAUUAUGAGAGGUGAACAGUUGGUGCACCGCACUGUAGGGCAUCGUGUGGUUACAAAUGCAUAUGUGAUUGCAAUAGUUCCAAUACCAGUGGCAUUUCUAAUGCCAUAAGGGGAAGCAGUGGCACAUAAAGCUACGAAAAAGAGCAUUACCUGGCAUUUGUCUCUGAGAAUUGACAAACAUAGUGGAGGGAAUCCCUUGUCCCAUUGAAUUCCCCAAUGAGUUCUGUGAAACACCAGGGAUACUCUGCAUGUUAGGAUUCUGGACAACAGUGUUGGGGAUAGUCUGGGUUACACCAGAGACAGGAGGCAGUGCCGCUUGUAAACCAGCAUAACUUUGAACUCCAUUAGAUGCCAUGCAAUUCUGCAUGUUCUGUGAUACCAACUGCUGAUGUGCUUGAGACUGAUCAGUGGACAAUAGGAUAGGGAGAAACAGCCCUUGAUUCUGAACUUCAGGGGGCAUACUAUGGGAUGCUGUUCAAGAUAAAAGGCAAAAGGGAAAAACAUGUCACAGAAAAAAAGAAGGCACUGAACAAGGAAGACAAAUGAAACAUCGGCAGUCCACACAUAAAGUUAUGAGCGAAAGAAUUGGGAUGGAUUUGAGUCAACCUGACAAUUUUCAGGGAUGGGGGAAGAAGAGGCGGCUGAAAACAAAAAAAUAAUAUGACAAUUUUCAGGGUGGGCGAAAGAAAAGGAGGAGGCAGAAAACAAAAACAAUCUGUAAUAUUCUUGCAUAACAUUCAUCAAUUACUCAACUUUUUGAUUAAAGCAUGCCAUACACAUAGAAAUAUGUUGCAAUAAAACGCAAAAGAGUUUGAUAACAAUGCGACAAACAAAACAAAAGGUAAGAUGUUUAGAAAUUCAAUGCUCGGCAGCAUUAUUAUAUAUGAAAAAAGGAUCAAAUACUUUCUCUCGGAAGAAAAGCAAGAAAGUGACGUCUUACCUCCUCAACAGGAAAAUCUUUAAAAUCUACCAUCUCAAUCAUAAAAUUUAAAAUACCAUGUAUCACAGUCCUUGUUGCUGAACAAGUUAAGGAUGAAACACUUCACAUGCAUUAAAGAAUUAGCAUCAUGGAGGUGAUCAUGAGAUUUUUCCAGCAAGGUGAUAUACAUAGCAAUAUGCAGCAAUAAAAUGUAAACGAGUUUGAUAACAAUGUGAGAAGAAAAACAAAAGGUAAGAUUAGAAAUUCAAUGCUCGGCUGCAUUAUAACCUGCUGGAUCCAUGGGGGCAGUGGGCAUGGCGUUUUGAGACCUAAUCUCCAUUGAAAGCAUCUCCAGAGAUAUUUUACGCAGAUAAUCAUACUGAAAUCAGAUAUUAAUAACAAAACAUUAGAUCUCAGAUCAAUCCAUGUUACAAGAGGAGGAAAAUGGAUAUAUGCUCUAUCAUUUCAUCUUUUGUGAGGAUAUACUUCUGUUUCCUCUCUUUUUAUUUAAUUAUUUAUGUAUUGAUUUGCUAUUUUCUUUUUGCACACUUCCCUUGUACUUGAACUUGUUCACUCUAAAUAAAACACUUGUCAAGAGAAUUAACAAAAAGAUGCGAACUCCCAAUCAGCCUUGCAUACAGAGUGAACGGUGAGGAAGUGUAAGCACACUACACACACAUUUGUACAUGCAUAAAUGCAUGUGUAUAUUCAUGUCAAGAGAAUAUCAUAAUUAUUGAACCUCGCAUUAGGCAAAUACCUGAUUGGUGGCGUAGUAUAAAUCUUUUACUCAAAAUGUAUGGCAAAUUUCUUGAGUUCUUGUAAUCCCUCCUGACCAGAAAGAAAAAGCUGCCUCUUUAUUGUCUCCAUUCUGCACAUGCAAAUCAUUACGUUUCAUUUUUAAUGACCAGGCAAGUAUAGAGAAGUUAGCAACAGUGAGCAAGAACCCUGAAUUCAUAAACCACACCAAUAUCAGAAAUGUGUGGAAUCAUAGCAAAAAGUAAAAACAAAUAAUGAGAUAAGCAAGAGUUGGUCAAGUAUUAUAAGCCAUCAAAAUACAUAGACAUCCUUUCCCUGUAUUAUUCCAGAGGUACAGAUUAUAGGAGUUUACUUGGCCACCCUUCUGUCUAAAAAUUCUAGCUCCGAGCUUCAUAUAUUAGUGACUUGGUUGCAAAGCAGGGGAGACUGUGAAAACAUUACAAUAGCAUUUACUCUGAGUGACUUCUAUGCAUGUUAAUUGACAAAGAAAAGAAGAGAAAUCCUUUCAAUAUAUGAAAAUGCAAUGAGUUAACCUUAUCUCACACUGCAAUAUAUACUCUACAGUAUUCAUUGACCAAUGCAAGUGCCAGCAGAAGCUGUCUAUAUGAUUUUGGAUGUAGAGAGGUCAACAAAACAUUCAACUUUAUGCUGAGAAUCUAGGAAACCAUCCACCAUUGUGGCUAAUUGAUUUUUGUCUACUGCUUUUCAACUUUAAGAUCACUAUCAUUUCAACCCUGUAGAAGUUAAAACAAAUAGAAGGCCCAAAUCCAACACCAUUCAUUUAAGUUCAGUUGCAACUCGAGUUUUAAAUUGAAACACGUAUGCUCAUAGCAAUAGAUUAACCUUGAAAUUAAAAGCGGAUCAAGCUUCAUGCAGCCAUCCAAGAGGUCAUCAUCAAAAGAAGAGAUUACACAAGAAAUUCCAACAAAAAUUACUUCCCAGCACUUUAUGUUCCCUCAAGUUUGCUUCUCGUGAGAAACACAUGAAAAGAUGAAACAAAAAAAAAAAAAAAGAGGUGUGUGAUACUUGAUGUUGCCUCAUGGCAAUCCUGCCGAUUUUAAUUAACCCUUUGUCAUUCUCCUUUUCUUUCAUAUAAAUAAAAAAUUUACUAUUUUGCAGCACUUGCACAUACAUUUUGUCGACUAUUCUUUUCCGUGAGUCAGGCCGCAAUUGAAUUCUCCAAUCACCCGUGUCCAUGACAGGUUCUCCGCCUGGGACAGUGGGCCAACCAAAAAGAAAAAAAUAAUAAUAUUGCAUGUUAGAAUAGACCCUAAAAAGAAAGUCAGGAACGGCAAGAAGAGCAAAAGCACAUCAAGAACAUGAAAAAUGGAAUAUCAGUUUAUUCAGACUAGAAUAGAUUUAAAAAGAACUUCCGUCUAAUAUCAUGUACUUUAUUAAAGAAUUCAGCCAGAUAUGGAUGCAUAACAAAUAUACAAAACCAUUCAGGUCAAGGUGCUAGGAUCCUGGGUAUUCGGCCAUUCAAAGCAAAGAAUCUUCAUGGUGCUUCUAAACCAAAGAAGCAUUCCCUUCUAAGCAAAUACUUACUGUCAAACCCCACUCCCCUUCCCCUCCUGUUCUUGUUAUUUACUUCUCUGAAAGAAUAAAUAUUGUAGGGAGCAAAUAGUGUAAAUAGAAAGAGGAAAAUACCACAUCCCCAAAAGAAUAAAGAUAUAAGAAGAAGGCAAAACAAAGUCAUAAAACGAGGCCUUUCAAUUCCCAAUGAAUAUCAGCAGACUAAAUACCACAGCACAAAUAGAAGAUGAAGAGGCCAGAAACACUAAUCCAUCCCUAAGAGAUUGUCUAGGAUGUUUUAGUCUAGGAAAAAGACAAAGAAAACAACGAGCAUUAACAAUGAAUAUUUCAAGUUAUCAUCAACUCUAAAGAGCAGACUGAUAAGAAUCAACUUCACAAAUUUACAGGCACAUCUUUCUUUGAAUAGACAACACAAUAACCCUGACCAUACUAAAUGCUCCACCCACGAGCUGAUUGCACCUUUCUUCGAGUUGCGUUCACGAGCAGCGAUUUCAUCGAUCCGAUUAUAUAUCUUUUUAAUUUACUUAUUAAAAUCGAAUUUAUCUCUCUGGAUAAGAAUUUCAGUUAAAUAAAUGAAAACCCAGACAUAAAUUUUAAAAAUUAAAAACAUGAUAGAAAAGGAAGCACCUGGUGGAGAUUUGAAGCCUUAUUGGUUGAGGCGGCGGCUUCCUAGAGUGGAGGAGGGAAAGAGAGAGGGCUCAGGUGGGGAGAGGUGAAGAAUGUCGGACCAAAGUGAACAGAGCUUGACAGAUGACUUUAUUCUUUUCCAAAUUCACUAACAAACUUAAAUAAUUGUAUUCUGGUGUUGCUUCACUGUUCAUAACUAACAAACUAAAAGAAUUAUAUAUAUAUAUAUAUAUAUAAAAAAAAAAAAAACUAUGAGUGCUCAUUAAAACACGGUGCACUGUGUGUGAAUCCAGUGGCUUCACAGUCUUUACCGCGCUCCGUCCCUGUUUUUCGCGUUUCUUCUCGCGCGGUGGGUGUUCCCGCACUUUCUUCUCGGCUGCUGAGGCUCCCUGGCGUCUUUUCAUCGACUUUUGUCUGGUGCAUGUUCAGAUUGAGGCGGUUUGGCUGGUGCUAGGCGCGCGAGGAGAUGUCAGCCGACGGGUAAUCACCUGCAUCGGCUGGGAUGGCUUCAUUGAAGCUGUCCUCUUGGUCUGUGGCGGGCCUUCUCAUUAAUGAAAAAAUUAUUCUGAGACAUUGUUUUUGUUUUUAUAAACUCGUUUCUAUUUUAUUUUUUUUUAUCAAAAUUUUUAUAGGAAACACCAUAUAAAUUCUGGUUCGCUGUUUGUUGUUCUUGGUUAUGUUAUCAAAAAUACAAUAUUAAGUUAAUUAAAAAAUGAUGUUACAAUUACAUUACUAGCAUCAAAGAGGCGAUGAUAAAUUGUUUUAAAGCUAGAAAAUUGAUCAUUAUCUCUAUCUAUUUUUUAUUUUCGUUAUUGAUUUGUAUGUAUGUUUUAUAUGCUGACAUAGAUUGCAAAAAAGUUGUUUAAUUUUAGUAGGAAAAGUAAAGUAUAUAUAGUUUCUGUUAAAUUCCAUGACUUGUUAAAUUAUUUGUUGUGUGCUAUCUUUAUACUUGUUGCAUUGAUUCUACGGGGAAAGAAAUUUUAUGUUGCAUGGUAUUUUCUUUGUUGUUGGAUUGAUAUGAAAAAAUAAAUAAAACAAAAGAUUGGGAAAAAAAAGUUGCAUAUUUGGAUAAUAAUUACCGGUGAAAUAAUAUAUUAUUGGUUAGUAAAAGAAUACAAUACUCAAUUACGAUUAAUACUUGAGGUGUGAUGUAAAUUUAUUAAAUCACGUUAAAAAUCGAGUUUACAAUCUCUCUUUUCUUAUCUAUUUACUUUAAGCAUUUUAAUUAUAUUGUUUAUUAUUAUAUUAUAUGUGUUUAGUAUGUUUAUUUGUAUUAUUUGACAUAAUUAGUGUAACACCUAAUUCAUUUCCAUUAGAUGUUAUUGUUGUUUUAAUCCUAGAAUAUCAUAAGUAUCAAUUAGAUUUGUUUUUAUCAUAACUUUAGAAAAGUGCAUAAUGUUUUCUUAUGUUGAUGUCAAAAGAAAAAUAUUUAUAAUUAUUUGUAUUGUUAUAGUUUCUAUUGAAAAUUACAUUGUAUCUCGUAGAAAAACAAAUAAAUAAAUACAGAAUUGCAAAGUUAAAUUGUUUUUUCACAAAAUUAGUGUGUUAAAUUUUUGUGAUUAAUUAUAAUUAAUAUUAUUUGAGAUUAUAUAAGUAUGAUAUAUAAUUGCAAAGUUAAUUGAGAUAAUAGAUUGAUAAACCUAUUGAUAAUAAUUUCAAUAUACUUGUUAAUGUGGUAAUCUUUGUGGUUUAGAUGGCAAACCUAAUUCCUCAACAUUCUUCAUAUGGGGUAAAAACCAAAAUAAUUUGAGUGGUGUGAACUUAAAUAUAAAGCAUGAUGAAACAAUAAUCCUUCCAUCAUCAAGCCUUGUUAUGACAGCAAAGCUCCACAAAACCAUGAUUUCUUAGCAUAUAAUUGAGAAUGUUGAUAAGAAAGCUACUAAGCUUGUUGUAGUUGUGUUAGAAGUAAACUUCAUGGAAAAUCCUAAUAGUGGUGGAUUGUUAUUGGAGUUAUCUAUCAUGUAUGUUUUGAUAUUUUUUUUAUUUUAGUAUGCAACAACUACUAAUGGAGAAUAAUUAUUCUUGGAUAACUCCUUAGUGAUUGUUUGAGAGUGUGGUAACGAUUGCGUUACAAAGUUUUUUCGUUUGAAAAUACAUUAAAAUAAUUUUUUUAAUUUAUUUUUGACAUUAGUAUAUCAAAACUAUUCAAGAACACAAAAAAAUUAAUUUGAAGCAAAAAUAAAUUUUUAAAAAAUAGCAAAACAACAAUUUAACUAUAAUGGCAAACAAGCCUUUAAUAUGCAAAAUCCUAGACCACAAAAAAGGUGAUGUUAAGGAUGACAUAGGAAAGAGUGGACUCUGAACAAUAUAGUUAAUGCUUCUAAUAUUCAAAAGAGUAUUGUUUGUGGCUCACUAUUAAGCAAAUACAAGUUUAAGUUAGUUUUCUAAUCUAAUAAAUGUAUCCUCACCAAGAGUGGGAUGGUUGUGGGGAAGGUAUAUUCAUGUAAUGAGUUAUUUAAGCUCAAUGUGAUGACUAUUGUACUAAAAAGCCAAAAAAAAAUAUGAACAUUCCUUCUUCUUUUUUUAAUUGGUUAGAGCCUUCUAAUCUAUUCUAUAGAUAGAAGUAGCGAGCCUCUAGAGUUAAUUCACAUUAAUAUUUGUGAUUUAAAUUUAUACCAAUUAAAGGUAAUAAAAAUUAUGUUAUUAAAGUUAGAAGUUAUUCUACUUCUUUUCUUUAUUUAAAGUUGUGUUUGUUAAAACUCUACCUGAAAUAUAAUUGUUUACUUUUAAACUAUAAAGAUGUAACCUUUUGUCUUAAAAGUUAUGUUAAAAUUAAAUAUUAGAAUUACCUAUAAAAAGAGAUAAUUCUGACGUGAUUUUGAUAAUGAAGAAAACUUCUAGUCUUUUUAAAACUCUUCUCUUUUAUAUUUUUUCAACCAAAAUUCUUACAAAGAGUAACAUAAAAAUUUUAGUUCGCCGUUUAUUCUUGGUUAUGCUAUCAAGAAUAAGAGAUUGAAUAAGCUUGAAAAAUAAUAUUAUAAUUACAUUGCUAGCACCAAAGAGCAAGUAAUAAAUUGUUUUAUAAUAAUUUAUCGUCAAUCUAUUUAUUUUAAUUUGUAGCUAUCCGUACAAUAUAGAUCUCAUAGACCUAUAAAAAUUCAAAAUGGUAUUGAGAUUUCUAAAAUUAUAAGUGAAUAUGCGGACAAUGAUAAAAAAUUAUUUUUUAUGGAUGUUAAAGCCAUGAAUAUUUUAUAUUAUACAUUGGACAAAAGUAAGUUUGAUAGAAUUAUAUUAUAUAACAAUGCUUAGAGAUAUAUAGAUUGCGUUCCAAGUAACUCAUAAAGAAACUAAUAAGUUAAAAAAUCUGAAAUAUGAAUUGUUCAAAAUGUUUGGUGACUUCAUCGCUAAAAUGUUUAUUAUUAAUAGUUUAUUAGUUUGGAUGUUUUUAGUAAUGCUGAAAUUAUAGAGAAUUGAUCAUCAAGUUGAUUUUUAUAUAUGCAUAGAAAUCAGAUCAUUAUAAAUUUAAUAAACUAUUUAAAGUGUUCCAAUGGAAAGAAAAUGGGUGUUGUGAAUUUGAGUCUGCAUUUUUCUCUACCUUCUUUUUGGUGUUUUUUGUUCGUCCGUUCCUGAAAAUUUACGCUCAGUUUUUGCCUUCUACCUGCUGCUUAGUUUAGGGUAUUAAAUUUCUUUGUUUCUUCGGAAGAUGCCUUACUCUUGGUUGAUUGCCUUUCUGUUUCCAAGAUAAAUAAGUGAAUUAGUUGCAAAACAGGGGAAUCUCUGUAAGAACAUUACAAUAGCAUUUACUCUGAGUAAGAAAACUUUUAUACAUGCACUGUAAUUGACAAUGAGUUAACUUUGUGGAUUCCGUAGCACCGACUACAUCGCAGGCCAUGCCUGAUAAUCAAAUUCAAGCUGUUCUGACUUCGGUUGUUGGAAAGCAAAGUUAACAUAAGUGAAAAAAAAUGUUUCUAUUCCAAUUCUUCUGUGUCAAUGCAUGGCUGUGGGGUAGUUGGGGGUGGGGGGGGGGUAAUUAGUGCAGAUGAUACAGUGACAAGCAAUGCUGAUGGGGAAAACAAAUUAAUCAAAAGCUCAGCUGUGGGGGUUUAUGAAUCAUGUGUGAGCAAAUAAAUCAGAAAAAAAUUACAAAGACAACUUACCUGCUGUAACUUGGUAGCAAUUCUCUGGUACAUUUCAUUUAUUUCAGGCAAAUACGUUUCCUUCAUAACUUUGAUCUAGGAAGUACAUAUAACCAGCAAAACAUUAUCAAUCAUAUGCUUGAUUUCUUCAGGUGGCAGAGUCAGAAAGCAACUUAAGCAAACUUGAGAGAAUUGAUAGAUAAAUAAAUAAAAUGGCAGAGGACAGCAUAUAUUGUUUGAGAUAAAAAUAGCAGAGUGGAAUCAAUGCUGAAAACUCAAUAGAGAAUAUAGUUAUUGAUUGCAUGCAAAGAUGCAAAGGAUUGUGUAGUUACCCCUUCAGACAAGAUUCAGGGAUUGGUCAAGUUCAGUUACUUUGUCUCACGGCAAACUACUCACCAUUGUUUUCUAUUGUUCUCACUCAAGUCAAUGGAUGUCACGACUUUGGUAAACACUUCUUAGCUUUAUAACUUUAGAUUUAUAAUCCUUAUAUCCUAAUUACAACCACUCCUAUUCCCGUUUUAGUACCCUCCCAGGCACAAAAAAAUUGACCUCAUCAAAUAUGCAGUUAUGAGUUGCAACUACAGCCAUUAAACGAUUCAGAAUAUCAACCUCGUUUUCUAUAAAAUUCAACAAUGCUGGACAUGGUCAUGAUUCAAUGGAUUAGGUCCACUUAUUUUCCUUUCUUCGAUUGUCACAUGUUUCAGAACAAAUUUGAUUGUAAUCUUGAAAAUAACUGUUCACUUAACCAAAUAUAACGAUGACUAUUCAGAAACAGUUCACUCUUGUUUUCAAGUCUGUCUAUUAUUGUAAGAAGUAUUGUCAAUUGGACUUAUUGGAAAUAAUAAAAUAAUAAUUCACCACACAAUAAAUGUAUGGAAAUACAGGGAAAAAAUUGAAAGGGAGAGAUUUGCAAUAGAAAAAAUUGUCGUGUCAGUACCAAGAAAAUAACCCUCUUGACCUAGAAAUCUGAAUAUUUACCUUUAAUCAUCUUAUCAGUAAUUUAUCGUUUCUUAGUUGCUGCAAUCAUGGAACUUACAAUGCUUCCUAACUAAUCACAACCAUAGCUGAAUAAAACUCCCUUGUACCAAAUUCCAGGAGACCUUUUCCAUUGAAAUCUUGCAAGACGAUGACAUACAUGAACAGUAAACUACAGAAAUUACCUUUUGGUAGAUCUCCUCUUGCCAAUCAGCACCAUUUGCAUGUCCAGUUUCUGCUGUAGAAUCUACACACACAUGUGUACAUGCAUAAAUCCACAAACUUAUGCAUGUGUAUAUUCAUGUCUAGAGAAUAUCGAAAUUAUUGAACCUAGCAUUAGCCGAAUACCUGAUUGGUGGCGGCAGUAUAAAUCUUUUCCUCAAACCGUACGGCAAUUUUCUUGAGUUCUUGUAAUCCCUCUUGACCAGAAAACGGAAGAUGCCUCUUUAAUGUCUCCAUUCUACACAUGUAAAACAUUACAUUUAAUUUUUAAUGACAAGGCAGGUAUAGAGAAGUUAGCAGCAGUGAGAAAGAACCGUGAACUCAUACACCACACCAAUAUCAGAAAUGUAUACUACGGAAUCAUUAGCAAAAAGUAAAAACAAAUAAUGAUAUAGCCGAGUGUCGAUCAAGUAAUAUAUGGCAUCAACAUACAGACAUCUAUUUUUACUUCCUUUCCCCGUAUUAUUCCAGAGGUACAGGGUAUACGAGUUCACUUGGCCACCCUUCUGUCUAAAAUUCUAGUUACGAGCUUCAUGGUUAAUUUUCUUGAACCGGAAGAACCUUCCAUUUAUGGCUAUGGCUAUGCUCCAAGAUAUACAAAUGAAUUAGUUGCAAACCAGGGGAACUUUGUGAAAACAUUACAAUAGAAUUUACUCUGAAUAAGAAAACCUUUAUACAUGCACUGUAAUUGACAAAGAAAAGAAGAGAAAUCCUUUUAAUUUAUGAAAAUGCAAUGAGGUAACCUUAUCUCAUGCUGCAAUAUAUACUCUACAGUGCUCAUUGGCUACUUUAAGUGCCAACAGUAGCUGUCUAUACGAAUUUGGAUGUAGAGAUAUCACCAAAACAUUCAACUUUAUACUGAGAAACUAGGAAACCAUGCACUAUUGUAGCUAAAUGAUUUUUGUCAGCUGCUUUUGUACUUUAAGAUCACUAUCAUUUCAACCCUGUAGAAGUUAAAGCAUAUAGAAGGCUCAAAUCCAACACUAUUCAUUUAAGUUCAGUUGCAACUCAAGGUUGAAAUUGAAACACCAAUGCUCAUAGCAAUAGAUUAACCUUGAAAUUUAAAGCGGACAAGCUUCAUGCAGUCAUCCUAGAGGUCAUCAUCAAAAGAAUAUGUUACACAAGAAGUUACUUCCCAGCACUUUUUAUUCCCUCAAGUCACUUCUUGUGAGAAACACGUGAAAAAUGAAAAAGACAAAAACAGAGGUGUAUGAUACUUGAGGUUGCCUCAUGGCAGUCCUGCUGAUUUUAAAUAACCUUUUUCCCUUCUCUUUUUCUUUCAUUUAAAUACAAGAUUUACUAUUUUGCAGCACUUGCACAUAUUAGGAAACAGAUACUUACAUUUUGUUGACUAUUCUUUGCCGUGAGUCAGGCUGCAAUCAAGUUCUCCAAUCACCUGUGUCCCUCACAGGUUCUCCACCUGGGGCAGUGGACCUCCAAUUAUUGGCAUCCAUGGGGUUUUGGCCAACCAAAAAAAUCACUUCUAUCACCAAAUUUUUUUUUAAUUAUAUUGCAUGUUAGAAUAGACCCUAAAAAGAAAGUCAGGAACAACAGAAAAGUAAGAGCACAUCAAAGUCAUGAAACUUGGAACAUCAGUUUAUUCAGACUUGAAUAGAUUUAAAAAGAACUUCCAUCUAAUAGCAUGUACUUUAUUAAAGAAUUCUACCAAAUAUGGAUGCAUAAAAUCUGAACAGCCAUAACAAAUAUACACGACCAUUCAAGGCAAGGUGCUAGGAUCUUGGGUAUUCAGGUAUACGGGUAUUAUAAGAGAUUUGGGCCUGAAUCUUCAUGGUGCUUCUAAAACCAAGGAAGCAAAAAACUAGCCAGCCAGUUCAUAACUUGCCGCACCAACAGAUGGUGAGUGUUGGUAAACCAAGCCAUAGAGAAACUCAUGGUGCUUCAAUUUUAACUUGAUGUUUUCUAGCAACACUCGUGAUGCAUCAUUGAUGCAAUGUUACAAUGACAAACUUGCAUUUGUAUUCAUUGUGGUUUUAGGUUCACAGAUUCUGAUCAAAUAGAUAUUUAAUGUUCCAAAAACAUUGUAUACGCAUUUAAAUGCUUUACUUCAAUAGAUAGAUUAAGUUAUCUUUCUAGAUAUCAGUAUAUCACAUCUUACCAAUUUAGAUUCAGCACAGGACCUUUUUCAAGUGCUUACCAAUUUUUACUCGCAACCAAAUACAUACCGUCAAACCCCAACACCCCCCCCCCCGGUUCUUGUUAUUUAUGUAUGAAUUAACUUUUCUGAAAGAAUAAAUGUUGUGUGGAGGAAAUAGUGUAAAUAGAAAGAGGAGAAUACCACAUCCCCAAAAGAAUAAAGAAAGAAGAAGAAAACAAAACAAAGUCAUAAAACAAGGCUUUUCAAUCCCCGAUGAAUAUCAGCAGUCUAAAUACCCCAGCAAAUAGAACAUGAAGAGAUUGUCUAGGAUGUUUUAAGCUAGGAAAAUGAAGAAAACGACAAGCAUUAACCAUGAAUAUUUCAUGUUAUCAUCAACUCUAAAGAGCAGACUGAUAAGAAUCAACUUAAUAACUCUUGUUGAAAUAAGAUUAAAUUUGCAGGCACAUCUUUCUUGGAAUAGACAACACAAUAACCCUGACCAUGCUCGACCUUGAGGUAAGUUAUAAAAUGUUCUUCCUAACUAGAUGCACAGGUGCGCCUUUGGGGUGAAGUGAACUAGGUCAUUUGUUUUGCACUUUCACAUGCUCUUAACUUUCAACUCAAUCAAUCACAAUACAGUCCUUGGUUAGGACUAACUGUCCUACUCAAGCUUUCACCUCAUACUCAAGACCAGCUGAGCAGUCCUAAAAAGAAAGAUAUAUCAUGUAGGGUUAUCAAGGCAGACCUAUUGUUUUUAUUUUUUUUCGCGUUAACAUGACCAAAUUAUAAAAUUUAAAGUUCUUUUCUUUCUUUCUUUUUUCCAUGUGUGAGCGAGCAUAAAACCCAAGGAUAUCGUAUUGUUGUUAAGAACACAAUAAUUUUGAAGAAUUCAGUAAAUUCCAAAAAAGAAGAAUCCACCAAACAGCUCAUUUUUUGGUUAUUACAAAAUCUGAAGCCUUCUUGGCAGCGGCGGUUUCCGAGAGGCGGAGGAGGGAGGGAGGGAGUGAGAGCUCGGGUGGGGAGAGGUGAGGAAUGCUGGGCCCAAGUGAAAUGGAUGACUUUAUUCUUUUCCAGAUUCCUUCUAAAAAAAUUAACGAGUAAACACUAGCUUGCUCGCUCGCUCGCACGCACGCACGCAUAUGAUAAUUAAAAUUUGAGUUAAAUUCUAUUUAACUAGUGUCUGUAUUUGUGUUAAACAAACAGAUUAAUCCCUCAAGUUCAUUUAAAUAACUAAUUGAUCCUUGAAUCACAUUUUACCGUUAAGUUAGCGGCACAAACUAAGGAAAUAUUGCUGACAGCUCAACAUUUUACUAACGAAAAAUUUAUGAAGGGACCGCAUUGUAAACAUAUUUAAAAGUAUAGGGAUUAGUUAGAACAGCUAGUUAUCAGUUAUCACUGCCUCUGAGAAUUAAUAUACAGCUCAGCAUUUUGUUGAAGGGACGGGCAAAGGUACAUUUAUUUCCGUUAACUUUCUAAUAUUAGAUCUUGCUUCAGUACACUUUAUUAAAUUUAUUUUAAUAUAUUAAAUAAUAUAAAGCACAAAACAGAUCAUAAUAAAAUACAAUAAAAACAAGUUGUGAUAUAUUUGUUGCACAUGGCAAUCUAUAAAUGAAGUGGUUGGACCUCAAUUUUCAAUUUUUUUAUUUAAAAUUAAUUUUUAUUUUAGAUUAUUUUGAUGUAUUGAUAUUAAAAAUAAUUUUUAAAAAUAAAAAAAUUAUUUUAAUGUAUUUUCGAGUUAAAAACAUUUUAAAUACAAUCACACUUUCAACCACCCUCAAAUUGUUUGAUAUACACUUUCAACAUGACAAGGAUUGAUCAUUGUCUUAUCCAAAGUUUUUCUCCGGAUAAGAAAUUUGUAAAAAAAAAUAUUUUUUCUUAAUUUUGUAUUUUGUAUUUAUCGCUUAUUUAUCUUUUAAUUCGAAAAACUAAAAUUUGACCAAUUUUAUUGAAAUAGAUAUGUGCAUGUAAGAUUUUAAUUGCAAAAUCUUUUUGAUUUAAGAACUAGAUUGUUCUAGAUGACAGAAAUUCUAGUAAAGACUAAAAUAUCAUAAAAAUAAAAAUAAAACAAAUAAUUGAAAAAAUAUCAAUAAUAAAAACAAAAUUAUUUGAUCUUGUCUCGUGUGCAUCAAACAUAGAAUAAAAACAUAUAUUAUCUAGUUCAAUUCAAUUCAAUCUUAAAUAUUGUUUAGUAUUUAUAUUAUCAUUUUCAAACUAUAAUAACUAACGCAUUUUUAGUUUCAAUUUACAUACAAACUCAUCUAAUGAUAUUUUUAUUGUUAAAAAAAUAUCAUAAUUUGGAAUUCCAAAAAAAAAUUCUAUUGGAAAAAUGUUCUACAAAAAUAAAAAGAAAUGUGGAAAUAUACUUAUAUAUUAUAAAUUAAUGGAAAUACAUCAAAUUAUUGAUAAUGUCAAAAUGUUGCAUGGCACUUUAAUCACAUGUCUCCUUCUCCUCCUCCUCCUCCUCCUCCUCCUUACAAUUGUGUUUCAAAAUAUAUGAUAAGAGAAAGGCUUGAAUGACAACAUACACGUUUCUAUAUGCUAUCAAAAGGUAAUAUUUGAUUACAAUCCUGAACAAAAGAGACGAAAACCAUGAAAAUAAAGGAAACAAGAUAGAAAAGAAUUUGAAAAUAUAAUUAUGUCUAGUAGUAACUAUUUAUAUAUCUUAUUUGAUAAUGAUAAAUAAAUAAAAUAAAAUAUAAAAAAUUAUUUUAUCUUUAAUAUGUAUUAUUAUUAAACUUAUACAUUUAUACAAAUAAGUUUGUAUUAAGUGUUAAAAUUAAUAAUAUUAUGAUAACCCUAAUUAUAAAGCCUACACUGGCCUAGUGGAUCGAUUCGGGACUUAGUCGUCUCUAGACCUGGAUCAAUACAAGUUUAAGAAAAGAUAAGGUGAAUUAAAAAACCUUCUUGAUUCAGGAUAAAGCAUGGGUUGACUUAGGAUAAAACACGGGGCAAAACCCAUUGUUUUUUUUUUUUUUAAAAUGGUCAAAACAAGGUUGUGUUGAUUCUCAUUUAAAAAAAAAAAAUUUGGGUCAACUCGAGUUGACCCUCCCAACUCAUGACCCAAGCUUUGCCUCAGAUCGAAUCUUAGAUGAAGUUUCAAAACUAUGAUAAUAAUUAUUUUUAUCUAUGCAUUAAUCCUCCUGACCCAAGACUUGAGCUUAUAUCAGGUCAAUCCCUGAGUUGAGUUUUAAAAAUAUUGUAAUAACCAUUUUUAUCUUGACAUUGACCCCGUUCAACCAGAGUUGACCCUCCUGACUUGUGACUUGAGCCUUGCCCUAAGUCAACCUUCAAGUUAAGUUUUAAAAUUAUAAUAAUAACCAUUUUUAUUUUUUUAUUGACCUGGGUCAAUGGUCAACCUAAACAAUAACUCGAGCCUUGUUCCAGGUCGACUCUCGUGUUAGAUUUUACAACUAUAAUAAUAACUAUUUUUAUGCUUACCUUGAUUUGGGUCAACAAGGAUCACAUAUUUUACUCCAAGUCAACCCCCAAGUUGGGUUUUAAGACUACAAUAAUAACUAUUUUUAUUUUUACAUGUCUUAGUUAGGCAAUUUUGAAAUUGAAAGUUUUUUACAAUGAUAUUUUAUGAAUAAAAAAUAAUAAAUAUUGUUUAUAAAGAUAUGUCUUAUUUGUACUUUCUAUUUUGAAAGUCCAUAAAUUCACUGUAAAAUUAUCCUGUAAAAAUAUUAUUUUUAUAUCUAUUUUUAUUUUCAAUUAAACACAUUUUUGUCUCUACUAUUUUCAUUCUUUUUAUCCUAAGAUAAUAACUAAAUGCUACACUAGAGUUUAAUAAUGAUAUAAAUGCGAACAUCUUAACUUCGUAAAAUCAAAUGAGUAAAGAAGAAGACAUAAAAGGGAAGUUCAUGUUAAUUUUAUAAAAUCAUAGUUAUUAUAUCUUGCUUAAAGCUUGAUUCGGCUAAAAUCCUAGAUUAGCAAGUUAUAGGUCAACCUAUUAAGUUAAUGAGUUGACUAGUAUAUCAAUUAUGAUAAUAAAUUAUACAUAUAAUAUUAAAUCUAAAUGUUUCAUACAUGUUGGUUUUGGUGGGUUGGUAAUUUUUUUGUGUCAAUAAAAAAACACCAAGAUUCAAACAUUACUGUAUGAAUAUUUUUUUCAAAGUCAACCUUUAAAUCAACUAGGUUUUAAAAUUUAGUAGUUAAACUCACAAAUCAAUCAUUUGAUUUAUGUGAUAGGCCUAUAUUUAAGAUGAACAUUUACCAUAAAUGAAAUGUAUCUUACAGUAUCAGACUUGUUAUUAUAAAACAUGUUUUUGUUAAAGAGUUAUUGAUACUUCAAAUGCAAAAUGAUGAUAUAAAACCUUGAUAAAAAUACACUUUUAAGUAUUAAUCAAUGUUCUACUAGAAUGUAGGAGAAGCAUAGAGAGUGGGACCCGACUUCUCACGUGCAAGUACAACAGGAGUUCAAGGUAAGGGUUGCCCCCUUGCUUCUUUAAAAUGUUUAAAUUCUUGUAAAGCUAAUAUGUUAUAGACAUUAUAUGUAUCAUGUACUACUGUGUAUCAUGAGAAAUAUGUCCUAUAUGAACAUUGUCUACGGGUAGUAUAAAUAUUGUUGCGUGAAAGUUACCAACAAGUAGGAGAAAUAUUAUUAUUGUGUGAACGUUGCCAAUGAGCAAGAAAUGUUAUUACAAUGUGAAUGUUGCCUACGAGCAAGGAAAAAAAUAUUAAUUCUAUGUGAAUGUUGCCUACGGGUAGGGAAACAAAUACUAAUUCUAUGUGAAUAUUACCUACAAAACAGAGAAAUAAUAUUAUUAUAUGAAUAUGUCCACCUAGUGAAUAUGACUAAAGAAAGGAAAGAUACAAUGAAACAAACAUGGAUUUGAAAUUUGAAUUUUGUUCGUAGUCUCUAGGAUUUGGAGUUUGGAUAUGGGUCUAUAUUAUGUUUAUAUAUAUAAAAAAAAGAAAAAGAAAAGAUUGCCUAUGGACUUAAUUACCGACCUCGAAUAGGGGUAGCUAAUGAUGUUAACAAAUAUUGUUAACAUUGGCAUGAUCUUGAUGGAAAUAUAAUGAAUAUUGAACUUGAUUAACUAUUUGUAUCACUAAUAGUUAAUGAUAUUGAUGAAUAAUGUUUGUAUCGACAAGCCCAUACUAACUAACUUGAUUAACUUUAUAAGGUUGAAGUUAAUGGUGUCAUGAGAACUUGGCAUCGGCAUUUCUGGAAAUAUCUCCAAUUGUGAUGGAGAGUAAUUGAUUGACUAUUUCGGGUUGGAAAUAGCUCAAUGGCAUCGAUCGAUUAAGUUGGUGUCGGCAUUGCUAAGGAAUUGAUUAGUUUAUCUAGGUAAGGGUGACUAAUGACACUAAUAGGAGUUAUUAGUGUUGGCAGUGACUGCCUUAGAAUUUGGGGCGGAAGAAAAAGGGUAAAUCAUACAAAAGUUAAUGUGUGAUAAUCGAAAAGAAAACCAUAAGUAGGUUGUGGAAGGAUAGGUGUUAGAUGUAGUAAAUGAUCUUCUUUUACGGAUCAACUAUGAUUAUGCCCUAUCAAGUGGGUACACAUAUGCGUAGUUACAUGUAGUAGUGACCCUCCAUUAUCUGGUUGUAUUUUAUUUAUUUAAUAUAAUUAUUCUCUUAUUUUGAUGUUUUAGGUCUUUCUCAUUCCCAUCAGGAGUAGUGUCCUAGGUGUCUAGUUCUUUUGUAUGAAUUAGGGAAUUAUCAUUUCCAAUUCUUUUGUAUAACUUAGGGUUAGCAUCUUUAUUUCUUCUGUGUGAACCUGGGAUGAAAUGGAUGUUGUAUUUUCUUUAGAUAAUUAUAUGACAGGAACGAUGUUAAUGUUCCUUUAUCUUAAUCUUAGAGACCUUUAGAAUUUUAUGCUUGUAAUAUUAAUGUUAUUAAUCAAGUUUAUUACUAUUAGUUUGUGUUGUAAAUUAUAUGUUCGAAAUGAAUCCUUGGAUUUGCAAUAUAUUAUGAUUAAUAAUAAUUUUAUGCUUGUAAUAUUAAUGUUGUAGGAAUUAAUUUUAAAUGCUUACGAAAUCGCCGGGCAUUACAUUACUAAUAAGGCUAGCUACCAAAUCCUCACCCACCGAUGUAGGAUAUUACAAUCCACCUCCCUUAUGGAGCCCGACGACCUCGUCGGCACAACUGGAUAUCCAGUGAGGUUGGCUCCGAUACCAAAUAUCACAACCCGCCCCAACUUGGAAAAUAUUAUUGGUUUUGGGCCUUACCGCCAUCACAAAUUUGUUUUUAGAAGCCACGCAUAGCUCCAAAACGUAUCUGACAAGUCAACAACCAACAAUACUAAUAAGGCUAACUAUCAAAUCCUCACCCGCCGAUGUGAGAUAUCACAAUGCACCCUUCUUAAGGAGCCCGACGAUCCCAUCGGCACAACCGAACAACCAGUGAGGCCGACUCUGAUACCAAAUGUCACAGCCCGAUCCAACCUGCUAAAUAUUGUCCGCUUUAAGCCUUACCACUCUCACAGAUUUGUUCUUGGCAGCCACGCAUGGCUCCAAAACACGUUUGACAAGUUAGCAAUAGUUAGCUACUAAAUCCUCACUCAUUGAUGUGAGAUAUUAUAUUAAAAAUAUACAAGUUUGUAUACUAGUGUUAUGCUUUGGAGAUAAAAAACCCUUUAACUGUAAAACAAAAUAUCCAAGUCUAAGGGAACUCAUUAGCAUUAUUAUUAAACUUGAAAAUACAGUAGUUUUGAAUUUUUCUCCAUCAAGAUAAUUUUUCUUAUUAACAUAUUUUUUUUUGUUUAUCCUGGUGAAUGCAAGCUUUUUUUUCUUUACUAGAAUCAUUGUUUCUAUUAAAAGAAUAUUCUAUAAUUGUCACAACAAAUUAAAAAAAAAUAAUCAAAAUAGUAUGUUAAUAUUUUUAUGUGUGAUUGAAAGUUAAAAAAAUAAUAAAUAUGAUAAAAUCAUGCUCAAAAUAUAUUUAAAAAUUCUAAGAUUAAUUAAAAAAGUGAUUUAAAUUGAACUUUCAUGAACAAAUUUUUAUGGCAUAUAUAUAAUAAUUGAAAACAAUUAUUAAAAUUUAAAUAAAAAUUUAUAAAACAAGGCUUGCGCAUCUGACCUUGUUUUAUAUUUUUAUUAAACUCUACUCGAAUGCUGGAGCUCUAUCAGUUGUUCCUCUAUUUUUAUUAUCCCAGCAUUAGUUGUUGACAAAAAAAACUGGAAACAUCCUCUCGUGGUUGCUAGGAGUUGGGAGUCACAAAAAUUUACAUGACUAGAUGAGAUAAUAACAACAUCCUUGUAGAUGAGGUUGCCGAUGCGUUGCGGUUGCUGCACAUUGCGAUGUCUUUGCAGAUGAAACCCACUAGCUGCUGAUGCAAAGCUUGUUGAAUUUGCCACAUGUUGAGCUUGGGCUUGCAUAAAAGCAUUAGUGUAGAUUAGUUGAGUCUGUUGCAGUGCAUACUUUUUUAACUGCUACUGCUACUGCCGCUUUGAACAAGAUUUUGAGGAAAUGCAGAAGUGCAUUAGGUAACUUGGUACCCAUAGAUGAUGAUGAUGAGAUGUGGUCCGAAUAAACACUUCCAUUACUAGUUGUUGGUGUUUCACUAUGAAUGGAAGCUGCAGCUGCAAAUUGUCUCACAGGAAUUGUUGAAACAGAGGAGUCUGUUAAAUAUAGCCAAGAGAACACAAUUGACUGCCCAACAGUUAAUGGGGUCUGUCCUCCAACCAUAUCGGCCUUCCUCUCUCCUUCCAUAUUUGAAGUGUCAUUUCCUCCAUUUUCCCCUUCUUCAGGCACACGGUAAUUCAUCUGUUGUGUUGCUUGGGCCGCAGUGAUGAAGUGAUAGCCAUGCCUUGCUGCCGUUGGAGGGCUUUGGAGAAGAGCAUGAUUCUGAACCAGCAAUGAAACAUCAAGACCUAGGAAAGUUGUGGUUCCGUUGAUGGAGCAAAUGACAUUGCAAAAGGAGGAGGUGUUUGUGAGUAACAUUCUGAUUUUGCAUCAGCUGCCGCUACUAGUUCGGCAGGGAAUGAUUCUGUUGAUGAUUCUACAGAUAGUUGGAUCUUGAUGAUCGCUGCUGAUUCCACCUAAUUCACUCCCAUGUGGUUUAUGCUGCUGAUUCUGCAAAUGCUUCUGAUUCUGAUGACGAGGAGCCACUAGAAAUACUUGGAUUUUAAUGACCCUGUUGGCUUUGUUGUGUCUGUAUGAAUGGUUGUUGCUGUCGCUGAAGCUGUGAAGGAUGAAGCAUUCAAGAAGAAAAAAAUUGAUCCAUUGAAGAAAGACAGCCUGAGGAUGGGUUCCUUUGUAAGUUGUUGUGGCCCCCAACAUGUUCAGGGAUUGGAAUCUCGUACGCACCAUUUUGCAAAAUUGCCAGGGAAGUUUGGGUAGUUGAAGCUCAUUGUUGUAGCACCAGUUAUUGUUGAUGUCGUGGCAUUUAUUGAAGCAGAACUUUAGCUACUUGAAGAAGCUACAUUGCUAGCAACAGGGGAAGGCCUCACACUGGCUAGUUGAAUAGAAGCUUUUACUACUGCAGUAGCUUGUUAUUGAUCCAUUGGGAAGAUGAAAGCGAGCCCUUGCUUGAAAAAUCUUAUUAUGAGCCCUAGGGGGCAGAACUCGCUGAAGCAAAAUCUGCAAGGGCCUAAAUACAAAAAAAAAAAAAAAACGUUAUGUACAAGUUGAAUAAGAAAUUGGAUAGCUGAUAGAAUUGAUGCAGGCAACAAGGAAAAUAUGGGGAGUCGCUAGCAAGGUCAUUUAUGUUACAAUGAUAUGUUCUUAUUUAUUGCUUUUCUGAAUAAGAGAUCAUGUUCUUAUAUCAUAUACAAGGCUGCUAAGUAUGGAAAGUAAUAACUAUUUACACAUAAAUUGGCUGGGAUCAUGGUGAUACAUAUUUUGUGGAGCUAAUGGAUUCUAUCCUCGUGAUUUCAGCAAUUAAUCUCAAUGAUAGUUCAUGCCAACACUCUCCCUCGAGUUGGUGCACAGAUGCCUUUAAUGCCCAACUUGUCUAGCGAGUUAUAAAACAUCUUGCUUGAAACAACUUUUGUGAGAAUAUCCACUAGAUGGUCUUCUGAUAUUACAAAUGGGAAUUGAACUAUCUUGGCCUCAAGCUUUUCUUUGAUAAAAUAUUGAUCUAUUUCAACAUGUUUUAUCUUGUCAUGUUGAACUGGAUUUUGUGCAAUUUGUAUAUUUGCUUUAUUCUCACAAAACAACCUCAUGGUUGGCCAAGAUGAGUAGCCAAUUUCUUCCACCAACUCCCUUAACCAAAGAAGCUCGCAAAGUCCUUUGUCCAUGCCAAGAAACUCAGUCUCUGCACUAGAUAAUGCCUCAACUUUAUGUUUCUUACUUCUCCAAGUGACUAAGUUUUCUCCACAAAAGUGAAAUACCCAAAAAUAGACUUUCUAUCAACAAUGUUUCCGACUCAAUCUGCAUUUUUAUACCUAUCAAUGUUUAGGUGGUUAUACUUCAUGAACAUAAGCCCUUUUCCUAGAGAUGCCUUCAACUAUCAUAAGAUCCGGAUCAUAGCUUCCAUAUGCUCUUCACUUGAGCUAUGCAUAAACUAACUCACCAAGUUCACAACAUAGGUAAUGUCUAGUCGAGUAUGAGAUAAAUAAAUCAACUUCACAACUAACUGUUGAUACCUUUCUUUAUUAGUGGGUAUUUGAUUUGGAUGCUCUCCUAGUUUGUGGUUUUGGACUGUUGGUGUGUCUGCUGGUUUACAAUCAAGUAUACCUGUCUCAGCUAGUAGGUUAAGUACAUAUUUUCUUUGUGAGAGAAAUAUCCCUUUACUUGAUCGAGCCACUUUAAUCCCCAAAACAAAUUUUAGUCCUCCAAGGUUUUUCAUUUCAAACUCAUUCGUUAGAUGUUCUUACAAGCUCAAGAUCUCCUCCUCAUCAUUUCCUAUAAUUAUCAUAUUUUCGACAUAAAUUAAAAGGCAGUUACCAUUUUCCCUUGAUGUUUUAGGAAUAAAGUGUGAUAUGAAUUUCUUUGUUUGAAGCUGUACUUCUUCGUGGCUAAACUAAACCAUCCAAACCACAUCCUUGGUGACUAUUUUAGACCAUAUAGUGCCUUCUGCAACUUGCACACUACUCCAGCAUAUGAGGUAGCAAAGCCUGGUGGGACAUCCAUAUACACUUUUUCUUCAAGGUUCCCAUGAAGGAACACAUUUUUGACGUCGAACUAUUGGAGUGGCCAAUCUAAAUUCACAGAGAUUGACAGCAAUGCCCUGAUUGUAUUUAAUUUUUCCAUGGUGAAAACUUCCCCUGAUAGUCAAUGCCAUAUGAUUACGUAUAUCCUUUUGCGACAAGCCUUGCCUUGUAUCUAUCAGCCUUGUAUUUAAUAGAGAAUACCUAUUUACUUCCUAUUGCUUUCUUCCCUUUUGGUAGUGGCAUGAUCUUCCAUGUUUCAUUCUUUUGUAAAGUUGCCAUUUCUUCUAUUAUUACUUGAUUCCAUUUUGGAUUACUCAAGGCUUCUUGCACUGUGUUUGGGAUGUGUUCAGAAGACAGCUUUUGCACAAAGGUCUUGAGUGGCUGUGACAAUCUUUGGGUAGUGACAUGAUUAGCAAUUGGAUAUUUAAUUUUCUCCUCUCUAUGGUCUGGUGAGUAUCGACUUGGUGGCUUGCUGCGGUUGCACCUAUGAGGUAAUUUGUAGCCAACAAAACUAUCUUUAAUAUUAUUAAGAGAGAGAUUUGGGAACUGUACCUCAGGAUUAUUCUUAGGACAAUGGUUGUUUGAUACUGAACCGAGAGGGGGCUGUUCUUGUUCUUGUUCAUUCUCUGUCUUGUUAUUCUACCCAACUAUUGUGUUUGUGUCUCUAAACCAUGGCCAGUUCUCCCAAUUACAACCAUGGUCUAUAUUCUGCUCUUCACCAAUCAUCUCCCCCUGAAGAGAAUAAUGAGAACCUGGCUCUUGAAAGAAGUAUUUAGUUUCUAGAAAUGUAACAUCCAUUGUGAUGUAAAGGCGUCUUGUUAUAGGAUCAUAGCAUUGGUAGCCAUUCUUAUACUGUGUAUAGCCUAGGAAUAUACAGCGGACUGCACAUGGAUGAAGUUUGGUUCUUUGAUUUUUGUGAAGAUGGACAUAAGCUACGCAUCCAAAUAUCUUUGGUGGAAGCAUAAGUAUAGACGGGAGAGGCACAUGAUGGGCGAGAGCUUGUAAUGGAGUACUAAAGUUUAACACCCUAGACGACAUUCGGUUCAACAAGUAGACCGCAGUUGUGACUACAUCUGUCCAAAACCGUGGAGGUGCAUUUACUGCUGUUAAGAAGGCCCAAGUUGUUUCUAAGAUAUGUCUAUUCUUCUUCUCUGCAACAACAUUUUGCUGUGGUGUUUGGGAGCAUAUUGUCUCAUGGUAUAGCCCACAUGUUUGGAAGUACUCUUGUAACUCUUUAUUGUCAUACUCCCCACCAUUGUCAGAACGAAGGAUUUGAAGUUUGGUAGAGAAUUGGGUUUUGAUCAUAUUAUGGAAAGAGCGAAAAAUCCUUGCUACCUCAUUCUUACUUUUCAUCAAAUAUAACAAUGUCAUGCGUGUGCAGUCAUCCACAAAAAUCACAAAUCAUCUGAUGCCUCAAGAAACUGAAACGGGAGCUGGUCCACAUAUGUCCGAGUUAAUUUACAUAAAUGGUGUCUCACACUUUUUGAAUUUAUUGGAUAGGAAACUUGAUGGCUUUUAGCUAAAAUGUAGGUUUUACAUUUUAACAUUGUAUUGUCUGAGUUGCAAAACAAACUAGGAAAUAAAUGUUUUAAGUAGGAGAAUGACGGGUGUCCCAAGCAGUGAUGCCACAACCAGAUAUCAUGUUCUUUGUUACCAAGAUGACGAACAUUGUUCGCCUUGUUAGAAUUGAAAAUAACUUAAACAAUACAGUAAACUUAACAAUGCAGUUUACGUAAAGAAAAAGCAAUUUGAUUUUAAGAUGGCAGAGUUGAGUAGAAAGAUCAAUACUUUUCAUUAACUUCAAAUGCAUAUAAAUAGGAUUACAUAGAACUUGAAAUGAUGAACUCUCAACAAACUUGAGAGAUUAUUGGAAUUGAAAUAACAAACUCAGCAGAAAGUUUCUGCUGCAAUCUGAAGAAGCUAACGAAAAUUCAAAUAUUUAAAAACUACUCUUAACUCUAUCUUUCAAGGCAAAAACUCAUAAUUCUAACACUCCUCCUUGAGACUUGCCUUGACAAACCAAGUUUCAUCCUUAGAAAUUCCAGUCUUGAUCUAGGAAGAGCUUUAGUCAUUAUAUCAGCAAGUUGAACAUCUGUUGGACAAUAGAGUAUCUUUAUAAGCUUGUUCUUCUCGGCUUCUCUUAUAGAAUGAAACUUCACAUUGAUGUGCUUGGUUCUGCCAUGUUGAACCGGAUUUAGAGCAAUAGCAAUGGCAGAUUUGUUGUCACAAUAAAGCUCAGUUUGUGAGCUUUGUUCUUGACCCAAAUCAGCAAGCAAUUUGUUCAACCAAAUUGCUUGAUUUGCAGCAGCUGCCAUUGAGAUAUACUCUGCUUCAGCUGUUGAUUGUGCCACCACCUCCUGCUUCUUUGCAUUCCAACAAAUUGCACCUGAACCAAUAUUAAAAACAUAUCCAGAGGUGCUCUUCAUGUCAUCAACACUCCCUGCCCAGUCACUGUCUGCAUAACCAAUCAGAUUUACUCCUCCUGUCUUCAAGUACCAGAUGCCAAGAUCAGUUGUUCCUCUGAUGUACUUCAACACUCUUUUAGCAAUUCCCAUGUGAAUGUUGCUAGGUGAGCUCAUAAACCUUGACAGCAAACCAGCUGGAAACAUUAAGUCAGGUCUAGUUGCUGUCAAGUAUAGCAAACUGCCCACUAGGCUUCUAAAUCCAGAGGGAUCUUCAAGUUUCUCACCAUCAUUCUUUGAAACUUUCUCAUUUUGUGCUAAAGGAGUUGCUACUUCUUUGCAUGACUCAAGCUUGAACUUCUUGAGUAUAUCAACAACAUACUUCCUUUGUGAAACAAAAAUACCCGAACUACAUUGAUGUAUUUCCAUUCCAAGAAAGUAGUUCAUAAUGCCAAGAUCAGACAUUUCAAAAACAUCUUGCAUUUCAGUUUUGAACUCUUCCAGCAACUUUGCAUUGCUUCCAGUAACUAGCAUGUCAUCUACAUAGAGUGAUAUCACCAGCUGCAAACCAUCUUCAUCUUGUUUCAGAUAUAGGGUAGCUUCAUUUUCACUUCUUUUGAAUCCUAGUUGAAUCAAAUGAGUAUCAAUCCUGCUGUACCAAGCCCUUGGUGCUUGCUUCAAACCAUAAAGAGCUUUGUGUAGCUUGUAAACUUUGUGUUCAUCACCAGCAAAACAAAGCCUUCUGGUUGCUGAACAUAAAUUUCCUCAAGUAGUAUUCCAUUUAGAAAAGCAGACUUCACAUCUAAAUGAUAAACUUUCCAUCCUUUUUGUCCCGCAAGAGCAAGUAGGAGUCUUAUAGUGUCAUGCCUAGCUACUGGUGCGAAAGUAUCUCCAUAAUCCACUCCAGCAACUUGAGCAAAACCUUUAACAACCAAUCUAGCCUUGUGUUUGAAGAUUGAACCAUCUGGAUUGAAUUUGGUUCUGAAAACCCACUUCACUCCAAUUGCCUUUUUAUCUCCAGGAAUUUCAGUCAAUCUCCAAGUCCCAUUUCUUUCAAUGGAAUCAAUUUCUGAUUUCAUUGCUUCAAUCCAAGCUGGAUCUCCUGCAGCUUCAGAGUAAUUUGUAGGCUCAGCAUGUACAAGGUUACAUCUUUCAUACACAUCAGACAAUUGUCUAACCUUAAGUACUGUUGUAUCUGAAGUUGCUUCAAUGGCUUGUUGAUCUUCAUCAUCAAUACUUUGUACUGGUGAUUCAAGGCAGCUGUGAUAGUCUGUUGAACUUCUUUUAAGUCCCAAUUCCAGCAGGCAUUUUCAUCAAAUUGCACAUCUCUGCUGACCUGAAUUUUGGCUGAAUUCAGAUUGAAAACUCUGUAACCUUUUGAUUCUGUUGCAUAUCCCACAAGAAUCCCUUUUUCUGCUCUAGCAUCCAGUUUUCCUCUUUUGGCAGAUGGAACAUGAAAAUAGCACAAUGAUCCAAACACUUUUAAAUGUUUGGCAGUAGGCCGGACUCCAGACCAUGCCUCCAAUGGUGUUUUGUUUUGAACAGACUUGGUUGGAAGUCUAUUAAGCAAGUAUACUGAAGUAUUUACUGCUUCAGCCCAUAGAAACCUUGGCAACUUCUUUUCAAACAAUAUACAUCUGGACAUCUCCAUCACUGUUCUAUUCUUCCUUUCAGAAACUCCAUUCUGCUGUGGAGAGUAAGGAGUCGUCAGCUGGUGCACAAUUCCAGCUUCUGAACAAAAGGCAUUAAACUCCUUCGAAAUAUACUCUCCACCAUUAUCAGUUCUCAACACUUUGAUCUUCUGACCACUUUGAGUUUCAGCCAUGCUUUUGAAGUUUUUGAACAUAGAUAAAGCUUGUGACUUGUUUUUCAGAAAAUAAACCCAAGUCAUUCUGCUGUAGUCAUCAAUGAAUAAUAUAAAAUACACAUUAUUAUUCAAAGAAGCUGUGCUCAUAGGUCCACAUAUGUCUGAGUGAACCAGCUCCAGCAUGUGUGUUGCCCUUUUGGAUAUACCUUUAGGAAAUGGUUGUCGAUGCUGCUUUCCCAGUUCACAACUUCCACAUGUAUGAGCAGUAACAUGUAUUGCAGACAUGUUUUCUACCAUUCCAGUAUCAUACAGCAACUUUAAUGAAUUAAGAUUGUAAUGACCGAAUCUUUUGUGCCAAAGAAUGCUUUCAUCAAUCUUUGCACUAAACACAUGUCCAUUAACAGCAUCAAGCUUCAAAUAGAAGCUAUUACCAUCCAUUUUGAUUUUUGCUAUCUCUGAAUUAUGUGUAUCAGUGAUAAAGCAAAAUUUCUCUUUAAAAGAGACUUCAUAACCAUUCUUGAGCAUUUGUGCAACACUAAGGAGAUUCUGAUCUAGUUCAGGAAUGUAAAGAACAUUUGUGAUGGUUUUAAUACCUCUAUUUGUGCUGACUGCAACAGUUCCUUUCCCCUUAGCUUGCACAAUAUCUCCAUUUCCCAGCUUAAUCUUCGGUUGAACUGAUCUGUCAAUAGAGGAGAAAAUUGACAGAAAUUUGGACAUGUGACUUGUGCAGCCACUGUCUAUAAGCCAUGUAUUCAGUUCAGAGGUAUUGCUAGCUUGUGUUGCCAUAAACAAAUGCUCCUCCUCAUCUUUGCUUUCUUCAGAAACAUUUGCUUGUUGUUGUAUUUGUUGCUGAGGUUGCUUCUUCUUGAUUCUGCAAUAUUUCUCACUGUGACCGAGAUUAUUACAGAAUAAACAUUGAAGAGAAGGUUUCCCCUUAAACCAGCAAUCUUUCUCAGUAUGGUUAGUUCUUCUGCAAUAAGAACAUGGUGAGAAAGUCUGUCUUUUUGAAGGUAUACUUGAUUUCCUUUUAGCAUACUUGACAGGUUUGUUUCUUGGUAGAUUACCAGCACUCCUUUCCCUGUUGUUUGCUUGGAAAGCCCCUUCAACUGCCUCAUCAUCUCUCAUAUGAACUCUUUGCUCCUGAAUAUGAAGUUUGCUAAUUAACUCAGCAAUAGUCAGACUUUGCAGAUCGCAAGAUUCUUCUAUUGCUGAGAUUUUAGCUUCAAACUUUUGAGGAACAGACAUCAUAAGUUUUUCUACUACCUUAUGAUCUUCAAAUGUGUUUCCAAGAAGCCUCAUUUGAUUUACAACAUCCAUUAAUCUGCCAGAAUAAUCUUUGACAGAUUCAUUGUCUUUCAUCUUCAUCAACUCAAAUUCCCUCUUAAAUGCAAGAAGUUUAACUGCUUUGACUCUGCUGCUGCCUUCAAAUUCAACUUGAAGCUUAUCCCAUACCUGUUUUGGUGUUUCCAGAUUCAUUAUAUUUGUAAAAAUAUGAUCUGCAAGACCAGAAUGAAGACAUGUAAUAGCUUUGUCCUUCUUGAGCUUUUCUUCUUCAUGUGCUUUCAUUUGAGCAAUUGUUGGAUUUGCAUUCAAUGGUGGAGGAUCAGAAUCGGUUGCCACAACAUUCCAUAAGCCAUGAGACCUUAAAUAAAAUUUCAUUUUGACAGCCCAAAUAUGAUAGAGUUCUCCACUAAACAUUGGAAUUGCAGAUACAAUAUUAUUUGAAGAAGACAUUGACAAAAAACAGAAAGAAAAUAACUCUCAAGUGUUUCGCUCACCCUCUCUGUGUUUGCCUCACCUUCUCUUAUUAUUGUCACUCAAAAGAAAGAAAAAUUGUUUGCCCCACAGCCCGUAGGAUCUAAUGCUCUGAUACCACUGUUAGAAUUGAAAAUAACUUAAACAAUACAGUAAACUUAACAAUGCAGUUUACGUAAAGAAAAAGCAAUUUGAUUUUAAGAUGGCAGAGUUGAGUAGAAAGAUCAAUACUUUUCAUUAACUUCAAAUGCAUAUAAAUAGGAUUACAUAGAACUUGAACAUGACUGAAACUCUCAACAAACUUGAGAGAUUAUUGGAAUUGAAAAUAACAAACUCAGCAGAAAGUUUCUGCUGCUAAUCUUGAAGAAGCUAACCGAAAAUUCAAAUAUUUAAAACUACUCUUAACUCUAUCCUUAUCAAGGAAAAAACUCAUAAUUCUAACACGCCUGACAAUACUGAAGUCAUCAAUGCAGUACAACCCCCCUUGUUUAGUACUACAACCAAUAAUCUCCUUAGUUAGAAUAUCAUGAAACAAGCAAAUUUUAGGAUAGAUUAGUGGGCAGCAGUUCAAAUCCUCAGUAACUUGUCCUACCAAUAAUAAUUUAUUGGAAAGAGUUGGAACAAGUAGAGUGUUUGAUAAAGAAAAAGAGGAUGACAGUGCCACUUCUCCAGCCCCAGUAACUGGAUAUUUUUCACUGUUUGCAUUGGUUAUGCUUGUGAUCUGUUUUGGUUGAGUCGUUUCAAUAAAGUCUUGUGGAUUGAAUGUCAUGUGAUUAGUUGUCCCAGAAUCAAUAAUCCAACCGUGGUUCCUGAUUCAUUCUGGGCUAGGGAAUAAUUUGCUGCUGCUAGUGAAAAAUCCUCCUGAGAUAUAUGAGAAAGGUGAGGUUUGAUGGAAGAAAAAGAAGUGCUCUCAGCUCUGACAAGUGUAGCCCGACCUCUUUCACGCUUUUUCUUUGUCUUGAGUUCAUGCCACCAGCUUGAAACAGGUUUCCUUAGUAUGUUUCAUAUUCCCCCAGUGUACAACCACCUCCCCCAGCUUGUGUUUUUGAUUUCAUGCCUAGCUUCCCAUCUGUUACCAUCUGAAGAGAAGGUUGCUGUUGUGAUUUUUGUCCUCCUUUUGAUAUCAUGGCCAUGCUGGAAAUGGUAUCUGCUUUUGAUAGCAUCACCAUUUGUCUUAGAUCUUCUCAUCGGACAUGGGCAUAUGUCUGUUCGAUUGUUGGAAAAGGGUGAAGUUGAAGCACAUCAGCUUGAAUCUUGUCCGAGCGACCAUCAAGUCCGUCCAAGAAAGUAUAAACUCUAUCUUCCUGUAUAAUAGAGUUAUAUUUCUGUGUAUCAACUUCACACUUCAUGGGAUUUGGACGCCGAAAAUCAAUCUCUCUCCAAAGACCUUGAAGAGUGUUGUAAUAUGUCUCAAUUGAUCCUUCCCCCUGUUUGAAUCUUGUCACCCUUCUCUUCAGAUCAUAGACUUGUGAGGUGUCGGAGCCAUCAAAACACGUUGUGACAAUAGCAUCCCAUACUGCCUUAGCCAUUGGAAAUCUGAUGUAAUUUCCAAUUAGUUUUGGAUCCAUGGAGUUGAUUAGCCAUCCUUUACCAUUGCAUUUUCAAUUCUCCACUUUCUGAAAGUAGGAUCUGUCUCUGUAGGUUGUGGAAGAUCUCCAUUCAUGUAUCCCAACUUGUCUUUACCAGAGAUAUACAUCUCGACAACUUGGGACCAGAGUCCAUAGUUCGUGUCAUUUAACUUGAUACCGAUUGGUGCAGCAACAGAUUCAUGAGUUGCUGCAGUUGUUGUCUGACUCAACAUCUAUGAUAUUCUGGAUGUUAAGUCAGCAAGGGUUGAAGGAUCUGCUUGGGAGUUUUCUAUUGGGGGGGGGGGUAAGAUCUCUCAAAUUCUGUCUUCUUUCCCUUUCUUUCUAUUAGUUCACAGAAAGAAUCAGACAGGUCCUAGAGUUGACGCACUGAUAUCAUGUUACAAUGAUAUAUUCUUAUUUAUUACUUUUCUAAAUAUGAGAUCAUGUUCUAUAUCAUAUACAAGGCUGCUAAGUAUUGAAAGUAAUAACUAUUUACACAGAAUUUGGCUGGGAUCAUGGUGAUACAUAUUUUGUAGAGCUAAUGGAUUCUAUCCUCGUGAUUUCAGCAAUUAAUCUCAAUGACUGUUCAUUCCAACAAUUUUUGGAUGAAAGGCUGUUUGGCGAUGCUGCACUAUAGUAAAGAAAAAAAAAUAGAGCCCUCGAUCACCAUCGUCACAAAGACAAGCUGAGGAUUAGCAGAGUCACAAGACACGCUGAGAAUUAGCAGACUCCUUCUAUGAUUGCUAGUAGCAAACAAUAGUCGAAUGAGGCUGACAAUAGCUCGCAGCCCUACAAUAAGAGUAGUUGUUGAUUAAUUGAAUGGAAGCAGGCAAGAACUCACAAACAAUUCUAUCAAGUUUAGUCAAGUUUCUUUCAAUGGCAAGCUCGCACCAUCCAUCAUGCAGUUGCAGGAGCAGACAUGGGUUAACACACACAUAUAAUAUGCUUUCUAAGUCUCGGUCUUUGAAUUAGAAGCAAAAUCAGAAAACAACAAACCCCAACCAAAGCCAAAUCAAACUCAGCCGAUAUAAAUCCACUCCUCAAAACAGAGAAACCUCUAUAGGAUUCUUCCCCGCUCCCUUGGAUGACUGUGUCCCUGUCUUCUCUUCCACUACUGGUCUCUAUUUCUCUGCCCUUUUCUUUAUUCUAGGCCUUUCACAAUUUCACUUUUCUCCAUGCGGUCAAAAAUAGGAAGACGGUGCAAAUGCCUUUAUAAAAGAUCUAGAGAAGUUUAAGUUACUGUUAUCAUGAGCUUUGGUUAGAAGUUUAAAGAUUAUUUCACCUGCAUAAACUCAGAAUUGUGUCCAGCAUUCAUACAAAAACAAAAAAAAAAACUUGCAGUUGUAAAAUAAAUACUGAAGAGCCAUGCAUACCUGCUAAGACCGUCGGUGAUGCUGGCCUGCUAGGUGGAUGUUACACUGUUAGUGAAGGAGAAGAAGGACUGCUUAGUUGGUAACAAAAAAGAAAGGCAAUGUGGUGUUUUUUAUAACCCCACCAGGGAGCCUGUCCUGAUUACAAAAGAAAAAAAAAAAUCCUCCUAUUCUAUGAAAAUAAGGUCGGCCACGUGCACAAGCUUUUUUUCCUCUUCGGAAAUAACAUGGUAACACAAAAGAAAAGGAAACAACAAAUUUUCUAUAAAUAGCGUGCCUUAAUUGAGAGAAAAGGAGGAAAAGAUUCUUGGAGAUAUAAAUUUCCUUCAAAACAAGCUUUUUGGGCGGUCGUUGGAACCAUCAAAAUAUAAUUUUAACUUAACUAUCACAAACAAAAUAAAUUUGUAGUAAAUAUGAUCGUGAAAACCAGGUCGAACCUAAAGGAAAAUUCAUUUCAUCUUCCUACAAUAUACUAAAUAAGAAAGAACGGGGGGUUUGAAUGAAAAAAAAUCAAGAAACAAUAAUUCCAAAAAUAAUAAAUUGAUAUGUUGUUAAAUCAGUUCAAGGGUCCACACAUCCAUUCUUAUAAUUCUGUUGGUCAUCGAAGUAAAAUAAAUAUGCUUUCAUGUCAAGCAAAUAAAUUUGAUAUUCCUUAAAGCUGAGGGAAAUAAAUGAGAUUACAAGUACAUUAAUUAGAAAAAGCUUUCUAAUAAAUUUCUUACCAUCAAGUGAAUGUAAUAUUGAAAACAAUUUGCAUUUAUUCGGUAGUAGUCUAGGAAUAAAAUAUGUGCAUUUAUUCUAAGCAAACGUUCAAAAGCUUGACAAUUUAACUUAGUUUAUUCUUCCCUAAUAAAUCAAGAUGAGAGUUGCAACAAUCAAAUUAAUUCUUUUGCUUCUUACUCUAAUCCCUAAUAACAAUCAAUGAUUGAAGAAACUAGAAAGCAUACAUGUCAUCUCAAAACAAUUCAAUAAGCUUGAAUAACAAUCAAUAACAUGAUUCUGAACAAGGGAAAAUAAAUACUUGAAUCUAAAAAAAUUACAAUGAUAACGUUACUUCUGACAACUUGCUAAUGGAGAUGGUGUGUAUUCCUUUUGAACCAAAUUCAGGAGUUUAGUUCAUAGUUCUUGGAAAAUUGACAAAGCAGAGAAGAAAUGAAUGUUUUUCGAAUGUUGUUUCAUCUAUGUUCUGCUCUAUUUAUCCUCUUCCUUGGCUACAUAAUUUCUUUAGGAUUAUUAGGCUAAUUAGAAUUAUUCAUGAUACUUAAUGUGUUCAUUUUUUUAUUUGGUCCUUAAGGUUGGAUAAAUCUCUUAGAAUUUAUUUUGAAAACUAACUUUGUUGAUGUCAUAUCUCUGCCGUAAUUCCAACUUUGCUGCAACUUAAACUUUGUUUUUGACUUGGUUUCUUGCAAUAUCCGACUAUCACUGCUGUAUUCAUUCAUUCAUUGCAUGUUAGAGGCUUGAUCUAAAUCUUUUUUAGGUCCUAAGGCCCACCGUUUUUUAUCUCAGACUUUCAGUCGUAGUAGGAUGCUUGACACCGUUAGUUUCCUGAUCAGAUCAAGAGACCCAUCUCAUCCUUCAAAUUGCGUUCGGAUUUUGGCCUUCAAAAUGAUCUUAUUUGACUUGGAGUCCUUAUCAAAGUUAUAGUCCUAAAUGCGUAGAAGAAUUUGGGCUUUUUAAUCUCUUAAUUUUGAUAUUUGAAACUCAAGAUAUUCCUGUUUGAAUAUCUAGUGUGAAAGUAAAGAAUCUUGUUGUGAGUAGGAUUCUGACCCGAGUUUGCAGGUUUAAUUAGAAAUCCAAAAGAGAUUGGGUUGUUACCCAUAAUACCUUCCUGGAAAGCUUGACAUAUGUAAUUCAACUUAGAUUCAGCCCACGUUCUCAUUUGGGAACACUAACUUGACGAAAAACCUGUCAUAAGAAGCCAGGUCUAGAACAUAAAGUGCAUAAUUUCUUAUCUUAAGCAAUCAGUUCACAAUCUCUUAAACAUGCCAAAAUCAUAAAAAUAACUUUCAAUAAACUCAAAUAUUCUCAAAAUACAUUAAAAAUCAUAGUGUAAAAGGAGUAAAAACUUAUGUAUAUUUUUCACUUAUCACUCUUUAAGCAAGGAAGCUCUGUCAAAAGUUUUCAAGCCCCAUCUACGCUUGAAGUCUACAAAGAAUGAAGCUUUGCUGGAUCAAGCCUAAAACACCCCACUAGAGUUCUUCAACAAUACUUUGAAAACAAAUCAAAAGUACUCUUUAAAUCAUCAAAUCACCAAAUCUCGUUUUGCAAUACACGCCCAAAUUCCCAUUCUUGCAAAGUAUAAAUCUUGGCUUGAUUCGUCAAAUAAAUCAAGUCACCAUAUAUCAACUCCAAGGGAAGAAUCAUAGGAUUGUCUUAUUCUUUUGAAAAGAAUACUUAGAUAGAGAUUGUACAUGGUUAUAUAUUUAAUAAAAUCAUAUAUUUGUACACGUGUGCUUGUUUAAUUUCAGGUGCUCAAAAUUAUGUCUACAUAGAGAUGAUGACAAACUGGAUGUUGGGCUGGCUAAAUUUGUAGUGGGAUGUUGAUUUGUGAUAAAAUUUGGGAGGUUUGUGGUGUUUGUUGCAGAUAAAAAUAGAGAAAAAAGAAGAGAUGGGAGAGAGAGAGGAGGGUCCUUUCAUUCCUUUUCAAUGUAAUUCACUCGAUAUAUAUCGAGAAAAUAUUUGUGUUGGUGUUUACUGAUUGAUACUGCGAGGGUAUAUUCAAUCAGAAAAAUUUACUAUAAUUUACUAACAAAAAUAUUCUAUUAGUGUAUUCAUUUGUGUUUGUCAAUUUUCUGAUUGUGUUAAUAGUUAGGAGAUGAUAGAAGAAAACACAUAGAUUUAACUGAAUAAACCCUACUAAAGUUGGAUUUUCAAAUCAAUUUAUCCAAAACUUCACUUUAUAACACCGCUUUUGAUAUCUUAUCAAAUAGAGAAUCAAAAGAUCCUAUCUCUCUUAUUCUUAGAGCACUUCUCUAUUUGAAAUUCCAUAUCCAUAAAAAUCCAUCUCACACACCCAUAUUAGCUACAGAGGAAACUUGAUCUUCAGGUAGACUAUAUAGUCUAGGAAAUUGAACUACAAGACAAGAAUCUAUCAGCCAGACAUCAUGCCAGAAGUGUUGACCUCAUAGCUUAGCCUUAUUGUUGAUCGUUUUAAUAGAGAAGUGUAGUAACUAUAUUUAUCUGUGGAAGCCUAAGUCUGUCUUGUUUAAUUACUUUGUUUUCGCUAUUUUUUAAAAAAACUUUUAUGCACUUACCAUCAUGUUGGAGUCUUCUGAUCAAGAAGUUAAAAAUGAUAUAGUCCAUCUUCAAGUUUAGUUUCUCAUUGAUAUCUUCCUAAUUUAACAUAAAAAAUGAGAAAACUAUAAAGAAAACUCCAACUAAGCCUGUCAUGACUAACUCUUUCAACUUGUCUCAAGGUGUACACACCACAAAGAUAUCUUUUAAUGAUGAAGACUUGUUGCUUGGAUCAAAACUCGAUAAACAACUUUUUUUUUAUUAAAAGAUGUGUCAAUGAAAAGAUGGUGAAUUGUCUCUUGAUGGAUGAUGAUUCAACUAUUAAUAUACUACCUUUUAAGAUUAUAAAUGAGCUCAGGAUUCAUAUUUAUGUUUAUAUAUAAAAAAUAAUGUUGUUUUGACACACACACAUAAAAUUGAGGUUAAUCCAAGUUGAUCUAGGAUGGAUUAAAAAUUUUGACACAAAUUUUAUCCCGGGUUAACUCCUGAGCCGGGUCUAAUGAGUCUAAUGAGAAUUGUUUGAAAAAAGAUUAUGGAAAACCACCGGUAUAUAUAAGGAAAUCACUAGGAAAUUACUGAAUGGUUGUGUUUAAAAAUCAAAAUGGCACACAACAAGUCAAGCAUCCGCUUUCACGACCUUUCUUGGCCAGUAAUGCUAUAAUGAAGAGAGAGUGGUAUAUCCACUUUCUCAUUAAUUACAACAAAAAUAAACAACUAGUCAAUACGGUCCACGCAAAUUGUUUGGUAAGGUUACAUGCCAACAAAACUAAUUGGAAUAGGUAUAGAAGUAUUAGGUUAACAAUUAGAUAAUAAAGUUAGAAGUUGUUAGUUUAAGUAUUUUACAGGGGCUACUGUUUGAUCCAAAAAAUGAUUUGAAUAUAUACAGUUUUUUAUCCAAAUUUUAUACAUAGGAAAAGCUUGUUCUCUAUGGUUUUUAAUACCAUAAACGGUGCAUUAAUCCAGUUUUUAUAGAAAUAGCUAUGAUGAAAGUAGUAAAGAACACGUGGACUAUAUAUAUGUCAAUAAUGCCCAGAAAUGAUUUCGGGAAUUAUUAUAAAUUGCUAUCUGGAUUAUAUAUAUAUAUAUAUAUAUGUAUAUAUAUAUAUAUAUAUAUGUAUAUAUAAUAGAAUUCUGAAUGUUCUAAGCUAUGAUUAGUUUAUCAGGUAGCAUGCAGUUAACAAAUUAUUGUAGUUGAGUCAUGGAGGGAUUUUAACGGGUUAUAUGCUUGCGAAUAGGUUUUUUGAGCUAAGAUUUCAGACCUCAGCUAUUUAAGCAAAGAUAGUAAGUAAAUAUUCACACACUAUUAUUUUUAAAUAGAAUAGAUAUUUUUCUGAAUUGUGCAUUUUUCAUCUACUAAAUGUAUUACUUUCUAUCAAAAAAAAAAAAAAAAGAUCAAGCAAUGGCUGUGUUUAGAUUGAUUUGCUUAUAUGCGAUAUUUGUGAAUGUAUGGUAUAUAAUUUUUGUAAGAAUGUUUUAUAAUAGCAUUUACUCUGAAUAUGAACACCUCUAUGCAGGUGUUGUAAUUGACAAAGAAAAGAAGAGAAAUCCUUUCAAUUUAUGAAAAUGCAAUGAGUUAACCUUAUCUCAGACUGCAAUAUAUACUCUACAGUAUUCAUGUAUGAAAACAUUUGAAUGGUGAUAAAGAAAAUAAUUCAUCAAACAAUAUGAGGGUUGUUUGGAAAAAGAUUAUGGAAGACCACCAGUAUCAGUGUUGUUUGGAAAAAUAAUUCUGUAAUUGACUUUUGUAACUUGUCAGGUAACCACAGGUAACUUGUGUGGACCUCCAUUGCGAAACAAUUGUAGUGAGGAAGCAGUGCCAUCCCAGCCAGUGCCUAAUGAUGAACAAGGAGAUGAUGGUUUCAUAGACAUGGAGUUUUUCUACAUCGGUUUCGGUGUAUGUUAUACAAUUGUGGUGAUAAUGAUUGUAACAGUUCUCUAUAUAUCAAUCCAUUUUGGCGACGCAGGUGGUUCUACUUUAUCGAAGACUACAUAGAUACUUGCAGCUAUUUUGUGGCGGCUAGUUUUCGCAAGUUCUCCAACUUCAGAAGGUGAAUUUGUUACUAGGGAGACGGUCGUUCCUAGUUUGUGAUGAUUGUUUGUCCUGUAUGUCUAGCUAUUGGGUUCUUCAUUUGUAGUGUACUAUCUCUAAGCUCAACCUUUCUAUUUGAAUAGUUAUUUGGGCUAAAUAUAUAAGCUGGACUUGUCAUUCCUAAAUCAUUAGGAAGGGAACUGAUUUGGAUUGGUCAUUAACUCGGCUGUGAUUACUCUUUCAACUCUCAAGACUUGUCUGAAAAUAAAUUGCCAAAACCACUACUAAGUAGAAACAAAAUAUUCUAUGCAUUGUUUCAAGGGCGACCCCACCUCAGUUAUUCAAUCAAAGCAUUGAAAUCGGAGCAAGAUGAUGCACCUUAUUCAACAGCCUUCCUGGUCGUUUCUCCUAGCUUCUUUGCUCUGCUUCUCAUUUCCUCUGCUUCUUUACCCAUCAUAAUUUGAGUGAUUGCCUUCUCUACAGCUUCACUUUUAACAUGAUCUCCAUGCACUCUACGCCAUUCCCUUAACUCCAGUUUUUAAAACAUCAGUCACCAACUUUUCAUUAUAGAAUUGCUCGUCAAAUAUUGGCCUUUUGCCUUCAAGAGUUGAGUUCCAUCCUCAAUGAGUCACAAAGGCACCUAUUGCUUCAUGAUAAAGAAUCAAAACUUGGAGUACCCUUCCUCUGAUAAUUAGCCCUUUGCCUUCCAUUCUUUCCUCAAAUCCUUCAGGAAGACAAUCUUCCUUGUCUUAUUGACUCUUUUUGUUUCUUCUAACUACCCAGAUAAAUUGAUGCCCAGAAGCUUCGAGAUCUGUUGCAAUCUCCUUAAGCUGAGAGGCAAUGAAGUUUGCCAUGCUUCCAAAGCAAAUAUAAACAACUGAAUUUGGUUUCUUUGAGUCGAGCCACUUCAAACACUCAUGUUGAGCGAUUGAGGCUUCUUUUCCUCUUCCUGCUUUAUCUUCAAUGUCUCUAUUGCAUAGUGAAACCGGGCCUACGUUAAUCCACACCCUCUUUAAUUGACCCAACAAGACUAUAUCCUAACCAUACAGAUUCCUCUUCUACAGAUUAUUGGAUCACUUUAUGCAAAGCAGAGGAAUGAUUUUCUAGAAAAAGAGUGUCUUGGGAACUUACAGUAGAUUUCGUUGGAACUCUUGUCUCAGGACAGUGGCAUAGCUUCUUGAAUCUCUGUUUCUAAUCGGCCAUGGUUUUAUUUAAACGGUUAGUGUAAGCUAAGGGCAUUGGCAUUUUCGUGGUGGAUCAUUUGCCUCAGUGAUGGUUGAUGUAUCACGGUGAAGUGAUGCAAAUCCACCUCGAGGAUCAGCUGCAGCAGCUAUUGCAGAGCUGUGAAUCCAAAAUAAAUUAAUAAGCUAUGUAUUUGCUACUCAUCAAGCAAAAAGAAACAACUAACACUGCUGAAAUUGAAAGGCAACAACUUUUAAAUGAGAGAAAGGAGCAGCCUAUCACCUUUCAAUAGGCGUUUAAUCUUCAAACAACAGCUGUCUUUUGGUUUGUGAUUGCAAAGGACCAACCAUAUAUGGUUGCCUUGGAGACACUUGUUGCUGUUGUGAGAAAUUAGCAUUAGUUUUAGACGGUAGAACAGGUGAUGGUGUUGUUGGGUCCAAUGAAAAUGCAACUUUAGAGGAUGAUGAAGCUGCUUGAUCAUUAAGAGGAAUAUCAACAACAUGCAGCUCUGGUUCAGCAGGCAGGUGUGGAGCUUUAUCAGUUAUAAUGUGGUCACAGACAUUGGUAACAAUGAUGUCACAAAAGUUGACAGCAGAGCGAAAAGCUCCAAAUCUCAACUGGAAAAUCUUGUCAUUAUUUAAAUUUUCAAUCACGGGAGGUGGGAUGCAAUCAAUGAACCCCCUUGUCAUAGAGAUAGCGGUGGGCAGAGAAGCCAAAGAAGUUUUCAGUAGUUUUUCCAACCAUUAGAAAUGUUGCAACAUCAUUGCCAUCAGUCACAAUACAAUCUAGUUUCCCAAGAAAAAUAAUCAACCCUAAUCAGAAGAAAAUGUAUAAUCUAGUUUGGGACAUGAAAGAUAAAUGAACAUAACGCAUUAUUAGUUCAGGAAAAUCCAUAAAAUGUUUAGAAGUUAGAUAAAUAAACAUAAGGCAUUAUUAAAAAGAUGCAAAGAAAAUGUAUAAUCUAGCUUGGGACAUGAAAAGCAAUAGAAAAGAGCUCAUAACUGUGGAACCGCCAUUACUUCAUUGUGUCCAAUGCAUCUAAAAAUUAUGCCUUUGUUAGAAAAUGAUUUUGCGCCCAAGGGGCAACUUUGAUACCACCAUCCUCUAUGAAGGUCAUAUCAGCUAUCGAAGCUUUGCAUGUAAAUCUUUCGCUCUACAAAUUACUAUGAAAAAAUAUAGUUUGAUAUGUUUUUAUAAAGAGCAGAGUAAAUGUUGAAUAAAAGAUGAAGCAUUGAAAGAAUAGUUGAGAUUAUUGUUGACAUACUUUGUGCUGAUAUGGAUCUAGUCAAAGAAUUUCUUUGAUAGUCUACAUGUUUUUAUUUAUUUGUUGUUUGAUAAUUCUGAUGGCAUUCAUGGAAGUAGGGAGUUGAUGAACCUCAACUGGCAGAUGAUUAUAGUUGAGAAUAAAAGCAGUUUUAUGUUAAAAGAAAAUAAUAAUAAUUUAAUAACAUAAGCGAGACAAAAAAAAAAGAUAAAGAGCUAGCUUGCUAGUACAUAUACCUCAAGAAUUUCUGGGUUGAAAAACCAUAAGGAGGCAACAGUGCUAGCAAGGUUUGGUUUUCCUAGGAGUAAAAGGAUGUAAAUUGAUUAAAAUUAUUUGAAAAUAAGCUAAAUGAUAAUGGGAGAACGCAUGAUAGCUAGGUUAGAAAAAAAUAUAUAAAAACAUAAAAUUAAUUUUUUAGAUUAUGAAAAACUUUUUAUAGAAUCCACUGAUUUGAUAGUAAUCUCUUUCAAUGAUAAAAGUAGCAAACAACUACCUGCGUUUGAAGUGCGAAAUGCAUUGAGCCCCAUCAAGAAUAAAUUGCAUUUUUAAUUUUAUUAAAUAAUUUUUUGGCUGUGGUUGAUUCAAACACAUAAGUAACCAUGCAAACAAACGGAAAUAUGUCCUUGCCUUUAGUAUAGCUGAGCCCUGUAUUGUGUUACCUGAUGGAAUCAUGAUGAAAACUAUUAUAAAUGAGAUAACAUUAAAAUUGAGCGCAAAAAAAAAAAUAUAAAGCUAACAAAUGGUUUAUUAGCCACUGUCGGUAGUUUUAGAAAGUUUCACAGGGAAAAUUUUUUAUUUUACAAUUGAUUCAUUCCUAUAAAAUAUAAAUUAUUUUACAAUUUUUAGUUAUAUAUUUUAUUAUAUUAUAAAAUAUAAAAUAUAUUAUAACUAUAACGAUGAUAAUUAUAUUAUAAUUAAAAAUCUAAGUCAAUUCUUGGUUUAGCUAUAUCACACAUUGCUGUCAUCUUUGUAAUUAAUAAAAUAAAAUGAAGACAUUUUACAAAUAAUUCAUUCAACCAUGGCCUGUGUGUCAUGUUAUUUCUUAAACCUACACCACUGCUAUGUGUGUUACAAAGGGUUAAAAUAAAACAUGGACGUAGCAAAAGCUUUGUUUUCUCAAAAUAUUAAAAGGUUAUUUACUGGAAAAAGAAAAGGAAACAUUUGAUUAUACCAAAAGGAUAAUAAUUAAGUUUUUUUUUUUUCAGAUUCAAUUGUAAAAAUAGUUUUUCAAUUUUAGAUUAAAGCUUGUAAAAAUUAAAGGGUGAAGAUAAGGAAGUCUAUUGUUUUUUAUUUAGUACAUGGAACCUUGUGAUAUCCUUUUGAGAAUCUAAUUGAACAAAUUUAAGAAUUAAAAACUGAAAUCAAAAGGGGAAUAUAUGACCUAAUUUAGUUUAGGAUUAUCAAAAUAAUAUUAUUUUAUUUAAAUAAAAUAAUAUGUUUUUGACAAAAAUAGCAUGUUUUGAUUCAAUACAACAUUGUCCUCGUCAACACCAAGUUAAAAAAUAUAUAAAAAAAAACUAGAUAAUAUGUCGCUCAACAGUGAUCAUUGUCCUUUUUUCAGCCUUAUAAAAGCUGACCGAGAGAUCCCUUUUUCAAAGCCAUUUAAUGUAUCUCCCACUACUUUUUUAGAGCCAUAUGUGUGGACUUGGGCCUUUAAUCCAAUAAGCCUAACCUAUGUGAUCGGGCAACGCCUAGCCUAGCCCAACCCAACCUUAAAAGCAAGUUUGGCAUGCCUAAUUUUUACCAAAAAAGAAAUGUUUUUUUUCCCUAAAAGCAUGUUUAUCAAACACAAUCUUAAAACAUUUUUCAUGUCUCUGACUUUUAGAUAAAUGUGUGUUUGACAAACACGAUUAACUAUCCUCUUUUUAGCCUUAGUUUGUUCAUUAUUUUAGUUUCUAGCCAAACAUGCUCUACAUAAUCUCAAAAAAUUCUAAAAACAAAAGUUUGACCAUUUUAAAAUUAUUUGUGAGUUCCUUAGAUGUUCUCCCAACAAUUUCACUUAAUAUUGAGAUGUAAACUUACACUACAAAUACUGACUCGAUAUUAAAAAUACUUAUUUUUCUCUGAAAUUUCAAAAAAAACUAAAAAAAUAUUAUUUCAAAAAUACAAAUUUUUUUUUGUUUGCAUACAACUAGUUCCUAAUGUUUUUCAUGCAUUAUUUAUAAAAAGCAGAAAAAUUGCAUCAUUAUCAUAUUUUAAAAAAUACAAAAAUAAAUAUUGUAAUCAAUUUAUGAUUAUUCAUUGGGGUUUAACUAAAAUUUCAAAAAUACCACAUAAAUUAAAUUUUGUAAUUGAUAUUCAGGGUAUGAACUUUACACAUAAUGCGUACUUUUGAUAUUAAAUUAAAUGAAUUAAUAGCAAUAAAUGUUAUGAAUUACUUACAGACUUUAUUAUUUUGCGGUAUAAAAUUAUACUAUAAGAAUAGGUACGAGUGUCUGUAACAAUCCCAGUUAUUUUGUUCCAUCAAUGUAAAAAGAUCCUCUUAAAUUGAGGGUAAUGUUUUUUUAGGCCCCGCAAAGAUUGCCAUUUACUCGAAGAAUUAAAAUGGACUCCAUUUUAUGCUAAUAAAGGUAUAAUUAAAUCAUAUCAUUCAUGAAUUAACAAUUAGUAGAUGGUUAAAAGAAACUAUUCAUGUUUUAAAGGUAAAUCAAAUGGAAAUAAAUGCAAUAGUGUUUACACAAAAAUACCAUGCUUCAAGUCUAGCCGAGAGUUUUUAUACACAUCAAGUUUACACAAAAUAAUAUGCUUCCAGUCUCAGCUAAGAGUUUUUAUACACAUAGAAGAUUACACAAAAUAACUUAUAACAUGUACUAGUUAAUACUAAUAUGCUUAAGGUUAAUUUGUACAUAAGUUUAACAAAAAUAGAGUCCUAAAACUAAUAAGCUCCCUAGAUAUUAGAUAGACCUGUUACAAAAACUUCUUAUGGAUGCAAUUAUAUCGGUACAAGAAAUAUAAAUGAUCAUGCAACGAAUACAAAUGAGGCAUAAGUUUUCUAUUAGUUACAUGGGAAUCUUAGUAAUCAACUUAUAAAUUUAUUGGGAAUCAUUUUAAAACACUAUUUAACACCAUUUACAUAACUUUAAUGGGAUACUCUUAUCUUCUUACAUGAACUCAUAACUUUGUUUAAUUGGAUUCACUAAGUCUUCAGCUUUGCAUAGUCCGAUUUGAAUAAUUUUGAGCAAUUGUACUUAUCAAUUUCCGAGGUCAUCCAAACACAGUACCCUUUACAAAUUAAGUCUUAUUGAUCGUUCCUGAGCAUCCCAACAUGGACACCAUUAGCUCUAGUUACUCUUAUUGAUCAUUUCCCGGCAAUUCUAAUGCAAAUAUCAUUAGCCGAAGCUAAUUUUAUUAAUCGUUCCCGACAGUCCUAACACGAAUGUCAUUAGCCAAGGCUAAUAUUAUAAUUCUAUUAGCCAAGGCUAAUAUUAUAAUUCAUUUUCCAGCAAAUCCUACCACAAAUAUCAUUAGCCAAAACUAAUCUCAUAAUUCAUUUCUCAGCGAUCUUAUCAUGAAUGCCAUUAGCCGAAGCUAAUCUCAUAAUUACUUUCCCGGCAAAUCCUACCAUGAAUGUUGUUAGCCAAAGCUAAUGUCAUAAAUAUACCAGACUUUAUUUACAUUGAGCAUAAUAUAUAUAAUUGCAUUCCUCCUAAAGAAUUAAAUUUCAUCAAUGUAAAUGGAAGGGAAAACCACGCACCUGCUCUGUCUGUCUCAUAACUUCCUCCAACAAAAGAUCCAAUCAUGGUCGCUCCUCCUAAAUCAUAAGAAAAUCUUUGGUCAUGUUUCCUUCAAUGUUUUUAAACCCGGCCCAGGUCACUUGUUUUGCCCAAGUCACCGGGUCUUGAUCGGGUCAACCCAAACUUUUUUUUAUAAAUAAAAACAAUGUUGUUUUGGUAAAAAAAAUAAUUAACAGGUUAUUACCUUGUUUUUGACUGGGUUUUGUCUGGUUAGCCAGGUCACCCUGGGUUGUGACUUCCCCUAUUUUUUCUUAAACCUGGCUUGGUUCCAAUCUUGAGUCUCGGGUCGACCUACCAAGCCGGGUCAGGUUUCAAAACUUGGGUUUCCUUAAAGCCUUAUGUUAUAUUAACUCUAUAUUCAUUCAUUAUACAUAUUGUACUUUCCAUACAUGUUUAUUUUCUCAUCAUAUCAUAUACAUACAUAUCAAGUAUAAUUGGCUUGGAUUUGUAGUAAAUCCUGUGAAAUUUUUGCUACAAUAUCCUCAUCAUUCUCUCUUCCCCUCUUUUCUUUUCUUAAAACCUCUCGUCCCACAUCAUCAUGUAUGGUUGUGACAUCGAAAAUGGAGCAGUUUCUUGAUUACUAGUAGCAGGUUCGUGAUUGUUAUGAUAUAGAACUCACAUUAACGAUGGAAUUCGUAUGGAAGAAGUCGUAGAAGAAGAAGAAGAACAGGGCUCAAGAUAGUGAGAUGAAGAAGACUGUUGGAGCAGAGAAUGCGUGGGCAGAGUUUGUUGGAAGGAAAACUGAUUCAAUAUAUUCAUAUCCUCUGUUGUAACAGAAUGAUUAUUAUUUAUACAGCUGAGCCUAACAACCUAGCACAUGCAUCUUCUCUUUGCACGUGAUAGUAACUGAUUUGUAAUAGAAACAUAAACUUUCUAAACGCACCGUUUAGGACUUAGUGACUUACUCGUAACGCACCGUUUUACAAUCGAUUAAUUUGAAUUUCCCUCGUGUAAAACCUAUAGCUAAAUGUUGACCUGCAACAAUUGCCCCUUCUUCAAAUGGACCUUGUCCUCAAGGUCAAAUUGGGGAAAACGAAGGGCGAUUUCAUCAGCAAAUUCCCAGGUAGCUUCUGCAGGGGUGAGACCCGCCCAAUGAAUGAGGAGUUGAGUGGCGGCCUGUAGAUUUCGCUUGACCAUUCGACGUUCCAAAAUAGCUUGUGGAAGAAGAAGAGGUUCUGAUGGCAAGGCAGGCAGUGUGGUUUGGACAACCCGAUUGCCCACCUUAUUUUUCAGAAGCGACACAUGAAACAUAGGGUGGAUGGAGGCAGAGGUAGGUAACUGCAAUUUGUAAGCUACGGUACCGAUUCUUGCUAAGACUUUGUAUGGUCCAUAGUAUUUUGAAGCUAAUUUUUGAGAAUAUCUGUGGCCUAGAGUUUUCUGUCGAUAGGGUUGUAGUUUGAGGUAGACGAAAUCACCAGUAUUAAAUUGUCUUUCACUCCUGUGUUUGUUGGCAAGCUGAAUCAUCCUAUGCUGAGCAUGUUGUAAGUUGUGUUUAACUGCUUGUAGAAUCUGUUCUCUAUUGCAUAAGAAUUUAUCCACGGUAUCGACAGGGGAGUCUUUGGGGACAUAAGGAAUGUGUAAAGGGGGAGGGUAGCCAUAGAGAAUUUCAUAGGGGGUAGAUUUGGUGGCUGUAUGGUAGUUGGUGUUGUACCACCAUUCAGCAAGGGGAAGCCACUGAACCCAGUGUGUAGGAGAAGUACCUGUCAUGCAGCGGAGGUAAUUUUCGAGGCACUUAUUGACCACCUCUGUCUGGCCAUCGGAUUGGGGGUGAUAGGCUGUCGAGUAACACAAUUUGACGCCUUGUCGAGCAAAUAACUCCUUCCAGAAGAGACUGAGAAAGACAGUGUCUCUGUCACUAACAAUGGUGGCUGGAAAUCCAUGCAGCUUGUAGAUAUUAUCGAGGAACACUCUAGCUAUAGAACAAGCAGUGUAGGGGUGGGGAAUAGCCAUGAAGUGAGCAUAUUUGCUAAAUCUGUCCACUACCACAAAUAUCACCUCCUUGCCUUCAGAUUUAGGGAGCCCCUCUACGAAAUCCAUACUAAUAUCGAUGAAAGGAUGUGUAGGAAUAGGGAGAGGUUGUAGCAGUCCAGGAGUUCGUGUAUUUUCAGAUUUGUUUUGUUGGCAAGUGGUACAUUCUCUGAUGUAUUGGCGAACAUGCCUUUGCUGGCCCUUCCAAUAAAACCCAUUGGCCACUCGUUUGGCAGUAACAGUAGAGCCUGAAUGGCCACCAGUAGCUGAAUCAUGGUAAAUGGAAAUAAUCUGAGUCUGAAGAGAUUCAUUUUGGCCUACCACCAAUUUACCUUUCCUGAAUAGUGAAUAGUGAGGGUGAGAGGUAGGCUAUUGGGUAAGUUCCUGAAUGAGAAGCUGAACUGCCUUAUCAUCCUGCCAUGAUUGUUUGAUAGCCUCUAGGAGUGUAGUGGAAAGGGAAGAGACUGCCAGGGUGCUGAGAGUGCCACAUGACACUCUUGAGAGGGCAUCAGCAACCACAUUGUCUUUGCCCUUCUUGAAUUCGAUCUCAUAGUCGAAUCCCAAGAGUUUGGCGAGCCACACAUGUUGUGAUGGACAAGUCACCUUCUGUUCCAACAGGUAUUUGAGACUAAGAUGGUCAGUACGUAUAGUAAAGUGUUGUCCCCAUAAGUAAUGUCGCCAUUUAGUAACUGCUAGGAGGAUAGCAAGGAGUUCCCUUUCAUAGGUAGAAAGUGCUUGUUGUUUAACCCCAAAUGCUUUACUAAUGAAAGCAAUCGAGUGACCUGUUUGCAUGAGAACUGCCCCCAUGCCCUUGCUGCUAGCGUCUGUCUCAAUGAUAAAUUGUUGAGUGAGGUCUGGUAGGGCCAAAACUAGAGGUUGAGUCAUCAUGAAUUUCAAUUGAUUGAAGGCUGUGGUGGCUUCUUCAUUCCACUUGUAGGCAUCUUUUUUCAACAGCUGUGUCAAGGGUUUGCAAAUGAUGCCAUAACCCUUAACAAACCGCCUGUAGUAUCCAGUGAGACCCAAAAACCCUCUUAGCUGUUUAAUGUUGCCAGGGAGAGGCCAAUUCAGGAUGGCCUGGAUCUUAUGGGGAUCAGUCGAGACCCCUGCUGCUGAGAUGACAUGGCCUAGGUAUUCCACAUGAGAGCUGCAAAAUACACACUUGCUGGACUUGGCAUACAGCAGGUUAGUCUGUAGGAUGGUGAAGACAGUUCUGAGAUGGUCUAAGUGUUCUGGCAUGGAGUUACUGUAAACAAGAAUAUCAUAAAAAAAAAAGAGAAUUGCCUUAGUUGGUCCCUGAAUACUUCGUUCAUGAGACUUUGAAAUGUGGCAGGAGCAUUAGUCAAGCCAAAGGGCAUAACCAAAAAUUCAUAGUGUCCAUUGUGGGUCUUGAAUGCUGUCUUGUAGAUGUCAUCAGGGGUCAUUCGGAUUUGGUGGUAACCAGAUCGGAGAUCAAUUUUUGAGAAGACUGAGGCACCGACCAGUUCUUCUAAGAGUUCAUCUAUUAGAGGAAUAGGAAACUUAUCUUUGAUUGUAAGUUGGUUUAAGGCCCUGUAGUCAAUGCAUAACCUCCAUGAACCGUCCUUCUUCUUGACUAGGACAACAGGUGAAGAAAAUGGGCUAUGACUAUGCUGAAUGGUUCCUGAGGCCAGCAUUUCCUUAACCAUAAGUUCCACCACAUCCUUCUGUAGGCUGGAGUGUCGGUAGGGUCGAAGGUUGACUGGGUUAGAGCCUUCUUAAGAGGAAUACUGUGAUCAUGGCUGCGAGGAGGAGGCAAACCCCUAGGUUCUUCAAACAACUCUUGGUAUUCUGCUUGCAGAUUGAUAAAAGCUGUGUUUUCAGUGAGGUCAGGUUGGAACCCAGUGGUGUAGGGUGCUCCUUGGUCCUGACUGUUAAUGGAACGUAGACUGCAUACAUUAAUUUCAGAAACCAUAUUAGUACUACAUAGCAAGCCAUUAAGUUGCUUCAGUCUGAUGGUUUCCAUGGUUACUGGAUCAUUGCCCUUAAUGAAAACCUCUUGACCUCGCCAUGUAAAUGCCAUCCACAUUUCCUCAUAGUUGCAUACAAUGGUUUUCAGGGUAGCUAGCCAUUGAAUGCCCAGUAUCAUAUCACAGUUUUUUAGAUCCAAAGUAAACACAUCAGUCGCAAAAUCAACUCCCUGGAUAGACCAUUGGAAGUUGUUACACACUGAGGUGCAAGUCAUGAUUCCCCCAUCUGCUACCUGCACUGUUAGAGCCUUAAUACUUGUAAGGUGACAAUGCAAUUUGUCUACUAUGUGAUUGCUGAUGAAAUUGUGUGUACUGCCAGAAUCAACCAAGAUAAUCAGCGGCUGGUUCUCAACCCUGCCUGUGACCCUUAAAGUGUUUAGGCCCGUCACCCCUUCUAUUGCAUUGAGGGAAAUGUGAGGGUUGUAUGUUUCAGGGUCUCGGUCAAUAGUUCUUCAUCCUCACUACCCUCUCCAUUCUCCUCCAUGAUACAUAGAGAAUACAGCUUCUUAUUUUGGCACCUAUGUCCUGGUGUAAACUUCUCAUCACACCAAAAACAAAGGCCUUUAGCACGUCUCUCGUCCAAGUCCCUAUUUCUGACAGGUCUAGUGGUUCUUUGGGUGGUGUUGGGAUUGUAAUGUGGGGGGUUUGGUAACAGACCUGCUUGUGGCUGUUUAAGGUUAGUACUGGGAAACCCGAUGGGAAAGUUUUUGUUGUAAUUAGCAGAGGUUGCAGGUUUGUUUUGGUAAGACAAGGUUGUGGGUUGAUAAGUCUGUUUGGUAGGAUUAGAACCAUAACGUCUGUGGGUGAGGGUGUUGUCCUGUAAUCUAGCUAAUGUAUAUGCUUGUUUCAAUGACUUUGGCUCAAACAUUUUGAUCAUAUUUUUAACUUCUAUAUCCAGCCCUCCUAUGAAAAAAACCAAGGCGUUUUUCUCAGAAAUUUCAGAUCGAUUCCAGAGGAUAUCAAAAUCCUUGAUGUAGGUUUCUAAAUCAUUUCUCUGCUUGAGUUCAAUGAGCUUCUCAUAUAAUUUUGAUGCCAACAUAGGGCCAUACCAUCUAGAUAAUAGGAAGCUAAUUUGAGCUUGUCUUGCUCAGCAGUUUCUUCUACAUCAAAGUAUUGGUUACACUUAUAAAUCCAUUUAAGGACAUCCUCUCCUUUAAAAAUGGAAAACUCUCGUUUCGGCCUACGCAAUUGAUAUUGAGGGGAAGUACCUUCAUUAAUCCAGUUGAAACGAGCGGUUGAGUCUCUUGUGGGAGGAGGCUGAGGAGCCUUAGGUAGGCUGCAUUCCCCUGAAGAAAGUUGGGUCUUCUGUAAUGCUGUGUCUACCCGAGAAACAAGAGCAUCCAUGGCUUCUUUAAGUUCCCUGAAGCGUGUAUUAGCAUCAGCCCUGAUAUUAUUAAGUUGUUGUUGGAUGUGAUCAUAUGUUUGAGGUUGCUCCGGAUUGGUGGUUCCAUCCACCCUUCUGGCAUCUUGGGAUCUCGUUUCAGGAGGCAUUGUGAGUCUGGAGAUGCAGCUCUGAUACCACUUGGAGCAGUUUCUUGAUUACUGGUAGCAGGUUCGUGAUUGUUAUGAUAUAGAACUCACAUUAACAAUGGAAUUCGUAUGGAAGAAGUCGUAGAAGAAGAAGAAGAACAGGGCUCAAGAUAAUGAGAUGAAGAAGACUGUUGAAGCAGAGAAUGCGUGGGAAGAGUUUGUUGGAAGGAAAACUGAUUCAAUAUAUUCAUAUCCUCUGUUGUAACAGAAUGAUUAUUAUUUAUACAGCUGAGCCUAACAACCUAGCACAUGCAUCUUCUCUUUGCACGUGAUAGUAACUGAUUUGUAACAGAAACAUAAACUUUCUAAACGCACCGUUUAGGACUUAGUGACUUACUCGUAACGCACCGUUUUACAAUUGAUUAAUUUGAAUUUCCCCCGUGUAAAACCUAUAGCUAAAUGUUGACCUGCAACAGAAAACCAUGCUGCAAGCUUGACAUAUUGUUCUGCUGCAUCGUUGGUAUAGAACAUUGCACAUUCAAUGAUUGCAACUGGGGAUUUAGUUGAUUUUCAUGGGACUGCAAUUGAUGAACUGGAGGCUGGGGAAGUUGUCCUAGCUGUAGAUUAGGAAUAGGCCUCCUGAAUCUAACUAGGUGUGACGUUGUUUUUAGAGACCUGUAAGAACAGCAAAAAUUAGUUGAGAUAAAAAUAGCAGAGUGGAAUUAAUGUUGGAAACUCAAGAGGACGUCGAUAUUGAUGGAAUGGAAACAUGCAAAGGGCUGUGUAAGUACACCUUCAGACAAGAUUCAGGUUACUUUGUCGAUAUUGAUGGAAUGGAAAGAUGCAAAGGGUUGAGUUCAGUUACUUUGUCUCACUGCAUUAUAUUUUUAUAUAGGUGGUUAUGAACUAUCAAAAUUGAGCAAUUUGGAACACCUUGACUUGGAAUUAAAUCACUUUAAUAACAGUAUUUUAUCAUUAAUGGAGAGGCUUUCAUCUCUUAAAUUCUUAAAUUUGAUUGAGAUGGGGCUGUUCCUUCAGAUGUUAAUGGUGUUUGUAAUAAUGGUUUCCUUGCAAGGAUGGCUGCCUCUUGGUUGCUUGGAGGAAGAGAGAAUCGCUCUCUUGCUCCUCAAAGAUUCUCUUAACUAUCCCGAUGGCACAUCCCUACCCUUGUGGAUUUUUAGAAGGCCAAGCCCACUGUAGUUCCUGGGAAAGUAUUAUCUGCAACAGCAGUCACCAGACUCUAUCUUGAUGGCACAAGGUACUUAAAUUAAUGCCUUCCUUUUCAACAACUUUGAAGUCAGUGGCACUGUAUCUUCUCGAGGUAAAUUAACAAAUUUUAACUCCAUAUUACUUAUCUGUGACUGUGCCCUAUAAAGAAUUCCUCUUUUCCUCUUUUAAAUGUCCUCUUUUCCUAGAGAUAAUUGAACUGACAAAGAGAAACAAUGCGAAGUACUUUCUAACCAAGAAAUGAAAGAGGGAGCGUAGGCGAAGAUUAAUUCAAACAGUUCCAGGUUUUGACAUCUGGGAGACCAUAUCAUAUGCUGCUAGCCAUAGUUUAAAAUAUCCAAGCCCUGCACAGCACCGUGAACAAGCGAAGUUUUGGCCAGCCACCACACCUUCGUCAUCGUUCAGACCAGAAGUGGAGGGGAAGUUUUGGCCAGCCACCACCUUCGUCAUCGUCCAGACCAGAUCUGUCACUGUCUUCGGCCGAUCUCUCAUUCUUCUACCGUUGGAUCAACUUGAUUUUUGGGUAUGUUAUGUGUCUCCAUAGUUCCUACAUCCAGACCGGAGGGAUCGUUCAUAUCUGCUACCGUUUAAGAAAUCUAAUUGUUUGAAGAUUUCUGGACAAACCACUCUCGGAACAGUAAGCUCCGCUGGCCUUUUUCUCACUUUUCUACCGUUGGAUCAAUCUGAAUUUUGGAUAUGUUAUGCUUAUGGUUGUAUUAAACAUUCUGAACGGUGGAGAUGAGAUGAAACCUUUUCCAGCAAAGUGUUAUGAAUGUCUAAAUGGUGGCUCGUCAAUCUCAGGUCAGUUUUGUUCUAACUCCGAUCUAGAGAGAUCCAACCGUUAACUUGAGCUGAUAUUUGGAUAUAUGCUGCAUAAGAUGUGUGUUUAUCUUUGUACCGUUGGGAUUUGAUAUUGAUUGAAUUGUUAGUCAGUAAUUGAUGUUUGAAGCUCUGUCCGGAAUCUGUCAUGACUUUCAAACCGAAACCCAAAACACCCAAAGUUAACAUCACCCCCUCAACCACUAAACAUCCCACAAACCAACACCAAAACACCCAAAACACAGCCUUCCCAUCGCAGGUUUGAUUUCCAAAAUCCCACAAACCAACAAACAAUCAAAAAUCCCUUUCCAACAACCAUCUCUGCCCAAAACAGCAACCACUCUCUAAACACAAUUGCAGUUUCCUAGCACAAAGAACAACGAUACAAUAACAAGAUCUCCCAAAAUGCUCCCAACCAAAAAGCCUUCGCUCACCCCUGCAAACCAGACCGUAGCAACGUUACUCAAACCUCACCUGAAUAAUACAGCCUCUCAAACACCUUCAAACACAACCUUCCCUGUUACACUAAACCUACCGAGACCUGUGCACCACACAAUAAACGUCCAGAACGUUAAUAAGCCUUCUUCUAACACAACCUUCCCGACCUUUACCCCUUCUAAGUUCUUUAUUGAACGUUUCCCAUCAUGGUUAGAUUAUCAUGACCUCAAAAAGACGCUUGCAAAGAUUGGUCCUGUUACCAAUCUUUUUGUCUCCAGGAAAAAAACAUCACGAGGGAGACGGUUUGGGUUUGUUUCCUUCCUCUCCACCUUAAAAGAAUCAGACAUUUGUAACAGCUUGAACCUUAUCUGGUUCGAUUCAUACAAAAUUCGUGCAAACCCGGUCAGAUUUCAGAAACCUCUAGACAAAAAACCAGACCUUGUUAUAAAACCACAACCAAAAACCAUGCCCAAACUCACCUUCAGAGACACCCGGACCUUCGUUGAAGCUCUUUCUGUCACAAAGCAUCCAAAGAAAACGGUGAUGUAUGAGUCUAUCCCCGAUGACAAGGAAUGGCUUCAGAGAAGUUUAGUGGGAUUCAUAGCCACAGACGUGGACUAUGCUCAGCUUGAGCAUAUGGUGCUAAAAAAUGUCAAGCAGACAGUUGGGUUUCGUUUUUUGGGAGCAAGCCAAGCAGUCAUCACCUUUACAAAUAGAGAAUCUAUGGAGAAAGAGCUGGUAAAUGGAUCCUCUGUUUUGGAAACAUCAUUCUUUCAUUUGAAACCAUGGGAAAAAGGAGCUAAAGCCAUAGACAGAUUUGUGUGGGUGUCCAUAUUAGGAUUACCUUUGAUAGGAUGGAAUCGCAGAUGUAUUGAAUCCAUUAUUGAGAAAGCAGGGAAAAUGCUUGGAUAUGACAUUACCAGCGUGAGCCAAGGAUCUCUCACAGGAGUUAAAGUGCUGCUGAGCACAACCUCAUUUGAGACGCUAAAUGAACAUGUUUUGCUGGUUCUAGAUGGCGACGAAUUGAAAUCUCAAUCAUGGAAAUGAAACCGGAUUUUAGUCCCCUGCUGUCUACAAUCAAACAUUCAAUGGGUGCAACAGGUAUUCAAACAUCAGAUGAAGAGUUAUGCAGUGAAUUUGCAGCUUCAGAUGAGGUUACGGCAGCGGGCACAAAGAUUACUGACACUGAUGGUGAUCAUUGUGCAACAGACAUUAUUUUAACACAGCAACAAAAGGCGGAUACGGAUAGUGAUUUCUCUCUCAUUCUCUAUCAAGGGUACACUGGACCAACAAACAACUUGGAUCAUACUGACACAAGUUCAAAAUUGCCUACCUUUUUCCUGAAACAAAAGAAACACGUGAUGAAGGGGCAACCGACAGUGAUAGCAACACAGAUGUCUCAGCACAUUCAGUUACAAGAGUGGGCCUUGUAAAAAACAGAAUCACAGGCCAGGUGAAAGGAACAAGGCUAAUCAACAAGGCAAUAAACUCAUGUAACUCAUUCUCUGAUUUCAUACGUGACCUGGCAGAGCCUCAAGAAGUAGUGGAAAUGGAACUACAGGAAAAAAAAAAAAGCUUAGACGAACCAGAAGACUUGGCCCUAAAUAUACAUACGGAAAAGGGAAGAAGGGGAAGAAAAACAGGCAUGCUUUGGCUCUUAAUGACACAUCAGAUAUUGUUCCUGACUCAUUCAGAAACACAUCUCAAAAAGAAAACGGCUCCCCCUGCUAUUAAGUCAUCUACUGAUCAACAUGAAGAUAUUACCUCUAAUCAUGCAUCCAUGGAUACAGAGACCAGUGAUACACAGCUCAUCUACCAACCCUUUUGAACUCUCAGUGCAGCCAAGAGGCCUCCUCAGAAGCGAUCAACGAAAACAACAGGAAUGCUAGAAGCAAAUCCAGGAAAAUAAAAUUGUUGCAAGCUAAUGGUAGUGUAGCUAACACUACUGAGAAAUGUGUCUCUUCUGAUUCCCUCAAUUCGGGAAUUAAGCAAGGCAAUGUCCGGUUCCAGACAACCUGUGAGAAUAAUCAAGCUGAUGGUUUUGAUAUAGAUAAGGAAACCCAGGAAAUGUUACAUGAUGCAGCGGCUCUAGGCUUGGGACCAUUCCAAGAUCUUAUAGGGUAUGAAGAGGGAGUUCGGGGGAACAUUGACAGAGAAGUAGACGAGUGGAAAUCAGUCAAUCAGUUGUAAGUUUCUUAACUUGCUAAGUUUUGUUCUGUCAUGGUUUUGAUCUACCUAUGAAUAUUUUUGCUUGGAAUAGUUGUGGGUUGGGUAUGUUGAACAAACGUCAUUCCAUCCGGAAUAGGUUGCUCAACAGUAAUGUUGAUAUCUGCUUUCUAUUAGAAACAAAAAAAGAUAAUUGUUGCGAUUCAUACAUCAGGAAUUUGUGGAAUGUGGUAACUGUUAAAUGGGCUUUGCUAGAGUCUGUAGGCAAAUCAGGAGGGAUAAUUGUGAUGUGGGAUAGUUCUAUCUUUGAGGUUAAUUCCAUAGAAUUUGGGGGGCAAUGGAUCAGCCUAUGCGGUAAACAUGUUCAUUCUUCCUUUAACUGCAUGGUAGUUGGUGUUAUGCUGCAUCUUCUGUGCAAGAUCGUGCUAAGCUGUGGGAAGACAUCACUACUCUGAAGUUUGCCUUUGAAUUACCAAUGGUGGUGAUAGGUGAUUUCAAUGAAACUCUUCAAGCUAAUGAGAGAAGUAGCGGCUACAUUAAUCAUUCAGGGUCAGCUGCUCUCCGUAAUUUCCUGUCCGAUUGUGCUCUGAUUGAAUUCAAACUGCAGGGCAACCGUUUCACUUGGUUUAGGGGGGGUUCUAUGAGCUGUAUUGACAGGGCUUUCGCAUCUCCAGAGUUCCACCUCCAGUUUCCAUUCUUAUCACUCUACCGUUAUCCUAGGGGGAUGUCUGAUCACUGUCAAUUGCUUCUUCAGGCACCAAAGGUAGAUUGGGGAUGGAAGCCUUUCCGCUUCAUAAAUAGUUGGUUGUCACACCCUACAUUCUCAGCUGAUUUUGAGAUCUUCUGGUUUGAUAGUUGCAAGGAAUUUCCCGGUGACUAUAGAUUGGUAAAGAAACUAGGAACUUUGGGGAAAAGACUGAGACAAUGGAACAAAUCCACCUUCGGUAAUCAAAAUUCAAAACUUGCAGACAUUCAGAACUCCAUCACAACCAUCGAAGACUUAAGCGAGGUACGCCUCUUGUCUGAGACUGAAAAAACAAAGCUCAAGAAUCUGAACUCUGAACUUUGGGAGGUUAGUAGGAAUGUCGAGGGCAUUUGGAGGCAGAAAUCCCGCCAAAACUGGUGCAAAAUGGGGGAUAAAAACACUCGGUUCUUCCAUCUUUCGGCAAGUUUGAGGAAUGGUCGGAACCACAUUAGCAAGAUUGAGCAGAAUGGCAGAUUUUUGGACUCUCCAAAUGACAUCAAAGAGGGUGCUGUCAACUUCUUCUCAACUCUGUUUGCCAAGCCACAAUGCAGAAGAAUUGAAAUGGGAGACUCAGGGUUCUCUAAAAUUUCAGAAGAAAGUUCAGUUUGGUUAGAAAGACUACCUUCAUUGGAGGAAGUGAAGCAAGCCGUAUGGGAUUGUGAUGGUUCAAAAGCCCCCGGUCCUGACGGGUUCACCUUCUCCUUCUAUAAAAAGGAAUGGAAUCUUAUCAGCCCUGACAUCUUUGUGAUGGUCACAGAAUUUUUCAGAACAGGUAAAUUACCAAAGGGGAUCGGCUCGUCCUUCGUGACUUUGAUUCCAAAGACCAAGAGGCCGAGCACUUUCUCCCAAUUUCGACCAAUUAGUUUGAUUCAUGGGUUAUAUAAAAUAGUGGCAAAGCUCUUGUCCACUAGGCUCCGAAGCAUUCUACCAGAUGUGAUAAGUGUAAACCAGUCUGCUUUCAUUGCCGGGCGUCAGAUUCUAGAUGGGUUCAUGAUAGCAAACGAGGUUGUCCAUAGUAUUCGUAGCAAAAAGGACCACGGGUUUUUGCUAAAGGUAGAUUUUCAUAAAGCCUUCGACUCGAUUUUAUGGGAGCAUAUCGAUUCUACCAUGGGUUAUAUGGGUUUUGGAUCUCACUGGAGGAAACUGAUCUUUGAAUGCAUGUCCACUUCUAAAUUGGCCAUCCUGAUUAAUGGCUCACCAAGCAGAGAAUUCAGUAUGGAGAGGGGUCUCAGGCAAGGGGACCCCCUCUCUCCUUCCUUUUUGACAUAGCAGUUCAGGGGUUAACAGUUCUAUUCAACAGGGCAUCAGAUUCAGGUUACUUUAAAGGUUUACAGACUUCGCAAGGACAUCACAUAACCCAUUUGCAAUAUGCAGAUGACACUUGAUUUUCCUGCCGAAUGAUUAUAUCUCUCUAUUGCAUGUCAAGAGGAUCCUCCGCUGGUUUGAGAUCAUUUCAGGACUGAAAGUUAAUUUCUAUAAAAGCUCACUUAUAGGAAUUAAUUUGGAUAACGAAUACACUUCAGGUCUGGCUAACACAAUUUUCUGUCGCAGUGACUCUUCCCAGUCAGAUACCUUGGGUUGCCUCUUGGUGCUAACCCAAAUAGGCUCUCCACUUGGAAACCGGUAUUGUCCACAAUCAGAGCAAAGUUAAGCAAAUGGAAAGGGAAGUUUUUGAGCAUGGCCGGAAGGAUAUGUCUUAUUAAAUCUGUCUUAAACUCUCUACCUCUAUACUAUAUGUCGGUCUUUAUUAUGCCAAAGGGCAUUGCAAAAGCAAUAUCCUCAAUCAACCGAUGUUUUCUCUGGAAGGGCUCCUCAAAUUCACAUGGUAUUUGUAAGGUUGCUUGGCAUAAGGUAAUUAAGAGUAAGCCACUGGGAGGUCUCGGGCUUGGUUCUAUUCACAGUAAAAAUCUGGCUCUGAUGUUUAAAUGGCUUUGGAACCUUGACAAAGGAGUGGUAGGAGGUUGGCAAGAGCUCAUCUUACGAAAGUACCGGCCACAUUUUUCAAAUGGCCUUCCUGUGUUUGCAGGUUCUUUAUCUCCAACUUGGCGUGGCAUGGUAUCUGCAAUUUCCUUAAAUCACAGCAUAGCCGCUCCCAUCCAAUCCAAUGUUGGGUUUAAGGUGGGUGAUGGGAGAAACAUCAGGUUUUGGUCUGAUUCUUGGCUAGGCUAUGCAGCCCCUCUCCAGUUCAUGUUCCCUAGGCUCUACAACCUCUCCCUGCAGCAAUCUUUAAGCGUUGCAGAAGUUCAUAACCCAACAGAUAACUCAAUCAAUCUUUCUUGGAGAAGACCACUUCGAUCCCGAGAACUCUGCAUGUGUGAAAGCUUGAUAGCAGAAGUGGAACGUGGCCUAGUCUUCUCUGAUGGUGAAGACAACAAGAUUUGGAAACACCAUAGCUCCAACAAUUACACAGUCUCCUCUGGGUGCCAUCUCUUUGACGGUUUAAAUGUUUCAGGACAUCUGCACUCCCCUGCUUUGCUUUGGAAAGGGUUUGCGCCUCCAAAAAUAGAUGUGUUCAUAUGGCUUCUUUUCAAUGGCAGUGUCUGCACAAAGGGUUUCUUAGCUGAGAGGAGAAUCAUCAAUUACGAGGAAGCUCUUUGUCCUUUCUGCUGCAAGGAGAUUGAGACUACACAUCAUCUUUUCCAUCUUUGUCCAAAAUCAUGGUCUCUUUGGGGCAGACUAUUUAGUUGGUUUGGGUGUGUAGGUUGUCUGCCAAAAGAACCAUAUCAUAACCUUCAGGAAUGGUCUAACAUGGUAAAAGGAAAAUUCCAGCGUCAGGCAAUUUCCCUUCUCUGUAAAGGAUUAUACUGGUCAAUUUGGAUAGCGCGCAACCACAUGAUCUUUGACAACAAAACUCCAGACUGGGAUGUGAUUUUUGACCUCACCUUUCAUCGGUUGGCCUUUUGGUUGAAGUCCUUUGUUAAAAAUUUCAGCUAUACGGGCUCUGAUCUUUAUAGAAAUCCUGAAUGUAUUAUGAACUGGACUAACUAGUCAGGUCUUUAGAUUCCUUGUUUUCUUAAUGUAUUUUUAAUUUCCCAUGUAAUCUUCCUUAUCAGCCCUCAUCUCCUUAAUGGGGGCAUAUUAUUUAUAAUAUUCUCGAUUACUAUCAAAAAAAAAUGUCCUCUUUUCCUAUUAAACAAUUUGUCCAUCAAGUUUUUGCCCCACCAGUAAGAUGGUUCACUGAAAAGACAAAUUUUGGAAAUGCUUUUGUUUGAUCUAUUUUCUGUUAUUCUCCUAAAAUAUCUUCGUUCCUUGAUAGUAUUCUCUUGGAUAUGAUGAGGUACUACUCCAUUUUUUGAUCUUUGCUGGCCUAGCAUUCCGUGGGUCUAUUUUAUAGAUUGCCAAAUAGUAUAGUCUCCGAGAAUUCUCAAAUCUAUUAGUAUUUGAAUUCAUACAAACAGAGAAAUGGCCAAUUACCAACCGCCCAAGGUAAGGUUAAUGACUCUUAUUCUCUUUAAAUUAUAUAUUUUCCAUUAAACAGUAAGAGUUUAAAAUUUUCUAAAUUAUGAUGUCAGGCCUAUGUAACUUAAAUGAUCUCCAAGAACUAGAUAUGAGGUUAGUGGUGUCUUAUCUCCAUGUCUGGCAGAUGUUACUGGAAAAUCUCUAUAUCAUUGAACCCACUAUGCAAACUUUCAAAACUCAAGUCUUUUCAUGGUUUGGAAAAUGAAAUAUCCACAGAAGAAGAUGGUCAUAAUUAAUUAAGCCCAAAGUUCCGGUUAGAGUCUCUUGGUUUGAGGUGUCAUGGACAAGGUGGAGCAUUUUCCAAGUUCUUUACCAUCAGUUGAACCUACAAUCUUUGGAUCUUACAAACAUCCAAAUAAAGGGAGAGUUUCCAAAUUGGUUGACAGAGAACUAUUGUAAAACUGAUAUAUAAAGAACAUACUAUUGUUGAUGAAUUAAAAAAAAAAAAAAGAAGAAAGUCUUUACAGUUUAAAGAACAAGGAGCAGAAAAUGUUUCGAUAGGUUACUGCCGUCCCUAAUGUUUUAUUUAUAGAAGGAAACAAACAUUACAAAAUUAUAAAAAACUGAAGAAACGUACCAGUUAUGAUCUCCUUUAUCUAAGGAGUUGUAUAACAAGCUAGUCUAAUCCUAGAUAAACUUAAACAAACGAAUUGAAAGAAACAUCCUAAUCUAGAUAAUGUUAUAAGCUAACAGAUAGAUAGCAAUGUAGUAGAUUACUGCUAAGUAAUCCUGUUCCAGCUUUGGUACCAGACUUCAACAAGAAUAACACAUACGUACCUAGAAUAGUUGACCUUGGUGCAGAACUAAUGAGUGAUGUAAACUAUUCAUCAGAACCAGUGAAAUUGAAAGACUUGCAAAGAAUCCUGAGUAAUAUUGGUGAUGGAGGUAUGUUCUGCUCAGAUAGUGCAAUUGACCAUAUCUUUUGUUGUCUUAUGUGUUGCGAUUUCUUGUGUGUCUUACGUCGUUGUAUUCUAAGGUAAUUAUGAGGUUGCAAGGCCACUAAACUCCAGAGGAUAUUUUAGACUUUUUGCAGAGCCCUCCUUUCCGUCAACAAGUGGAUUCUUUUACUUAUGUAAGAAAUGCGAGGCUGAUCCUUCUUGUUCUGGUUCCUGUCCUUUUGAUGAUAGCCAAUUUUACAAGGUUUAGCUCUUCUUUUUGCUUGAAGGUUCUCCGAACUGGACAAAUAGAUUUGUCUGAAUUUGGGAUCAACCCCAAUAAAUAUGAGUGGUUUGUGGCUCUAGAACCUGUACCUUAGCAAUGGUUUUCUCUUUAGCAAAUCAUUUACUCGUGUUCAUUAGCAUUAACUAAAGUCUUUAGUUAAUUCUUUCUUGGGAAAUUCUUAUUAGGGUUGCUUAUAUAACUAAUGAUUAUAGAACCUUGUUCGAAGUAACCUGAACAGCCUCUUCCUCGGCAAUCCUGGCAUUUCUUGAUCUACCCAAUACUGGUUUGGGCACACACCUAUAUAUAUUUUUUGGAGUUUCAAGAAGCCAUGCUCUAUGUAGGCACACAUAGAAUUUCCCACACCAAAUCAUAAUCAAACUCGAUCCGCUUUAGUAAUCUAUUUUAUUUAAACAUGCAGUCUGCCAAACCCAAUCCAGAAUAACAAGGCAUCCUUUUAUUAAUUCACGUAGAAACUACUAGUCCUAAGUUUAUAAAUCCAAUCAUAGAGCAAUCAGUGAAGAAACUUCAUUAUUAUAUAUCACACAGAAACUAAAAACAAAAACAAAAACAAAAACAAAAACAAAAACAAAACUCAAAUGAAAAUCAAUAUAAACUUAUUUAAAUCUUGAAACUAAAACCCAAAACCAUGCACCAAGGCUUAGUACCAUCAAGAUAAAAGGCUAUGAAAAUCCAAACUUAGAUAAAAUGAGAAGAUUGUCCACCAGAAAAUAAUAGCAAUUGUUGAUGCUCACCUCAAUAAAGUGAAACCAAGAUUGUUGCCAAUUUGGAUUUAUGUACAAAAUUGCACCUAUCACCAAUAACACCAUAAUGUAUGCAACCCCAAGGCUCACAUAGAAAACCUCUAUAUCCAUGAAACCACCAUUAUCUUAUUAUUCGUUGAAGUUGGCAUUGGUGAUGGUGGCAUAGCCACACCACAUAUUUUGGGUAGCAGUUCUCCACAAAAAAAGGGUUGUCCUUGUAGUAGCUCUCUUCAAAUGUGAUAAACUAUGCAACUCUAACAAGAGUCUUGCUAAAUCUUUUAAAUCUAUCAACCUUUCCGGCCUAUUAUAAUCUAAAUAUAGUGAUUAAAGAGAUGAAAAUCCCUCCACAAAUGAUAGAAUAUUGUUAUCGAAACAAUUAAUUCUCAAGUCAAUAUACUCCAAAUUGUUCAAUUUAUGUAACUCAUAACUGUCGCAUGUCACCCGUGCGGCAUCAGCUUGGUGAUUUUUCAUUGUCGUUUGAUUUGAUUGGUUUAGAGUUGCCACCUAGUAUUUAAUUGAGGACUACUAGGAAACCUGAGUGUACUAGUCUUGUCAGAGAUUCACGGGUAAGGGACUACUAGGCGGUCAAGAGUGGCAGAGGGCCGUCGGCUGGCUUUUUGUUGGCUGGGAGUUGGGUUUUUCUAUUUUUGAUAAAGGGGGGCGUGACAGCUUCUCUUGGAGAAGAUAGAGUUAGGUCUUUUUUUUUAGGGUUUUCUCUCUUCUUUUUUUGUGUUACCUCCCCCUGAAUGUUCAAAAGUACCCCCCCCUUUGUUUUGAGUUACGGACCUAUAUUUAUAGGUAAAAUGUUGCUCGGGCUUCAAAAUUGGUCUCUCAACCUUUUUUUUUUGUAAAUUUUGAUUUUUCUUGUAUUUUUGAAAACAAGCAACAUCAACGCCAACUCAAUGAGAGAAAUCAAGGAUUUUAAAAACGACGCGUGAAAAGUCGAACGCGUUCGAAAGACCUUUGAAAAUUUAAAUUUGUUUUUAGAUGAUGUUGAAAAUGCUAAAAACAAUGCAAAUAUAUUAAAAACAUAUUUUUUGAAUUUUCGUUGUUUUCCGCUAUUUUUGGAUUUUUUGAAAAUUUUAUCAAAUAGGUGGGUCAAAAAUCGGGUAACAACAUAUGUCCCCUCUUUACAAUGCUUACGAAGCAAAACUCCUCAAUGUUUUGCAUAGUAAGCUUUGUAAAGAAAAGGAAAGGAAAAUGAUUUCAUUAUCUUGGGCAACCUGCCCCUUUUAAAGAAAAGUGAUCUAUUUUCAGGGGUGACCUGCUCAUACACUCACACUGGUCUAUUUUCAAGGGUGAUCUGCCCACACAUAUGUAAAGUGGCCUACUUUCAUGGGCGACCUGCCCUUUUGAUUGGGUUUAUCUAAGAUCCCAUCUGACAAAUUAACAAGAACCAAAAUCGGUGCGUAGCUCGGUCAAUUUGAAAUCACAUCUAGCGAUUCCCUUUAACCAAAGCUAAAUUCUGCAUGGUUAUGAUAAACUGAGAUCCCUAAACCAAUCCCCUUUAACCAGAACCAAAAUCCAUUGUAGUUAGGCUAAACUGAGAUCCCUUCGCCGAUCCCCUUUAACCAGAAUCCAAAGUUCUGUGUGUGGUUAUGAUAAACUGAGAUUCCUUCGCCGAUCCUCUUUAACCAGAACCAAAAUCCUUUGUAGUUAGGUGACAAGACCAAAAAAUUGAUGUCUUCUCCCAAGUGCAGGAGUAUCGAAGUAAUAAAUAACCCGGCAAGACCGGGGUCGAACCACAGAGAGGUAAUUGUAUAAAUUAUAAAUAACAAGACAACAACAACAACAACAACAACAACAAUAACAACAACAACAACAACAACAAUAACAAUAACAAUAAUAACAAUAAUAAUAAUACUCAGUACGUGGCGUUGUUAUACCUGAGAAUGAUCUAAAAGAUCGGGUCAUAGGUUUCCAACCUAUAUACUAAGUUUAUGAAAAGAUCAAAGAGAUAAAUUAUAUAAUAUAAACAAAAUGUAAAUAAUAAUAAUAAUAAAAAAAAAAAAGAAGAGGAGGAAGAAAUUAAUGAGAACUUUGAGAUGGAAGAUUAAUGUAAGGAUUAAACAAUGAUAAAAACAAAUGUCAAGGUUAGAGGAUCCACCAAUGGUAUUUCAAACAAGUAUAGUAUAAACUCUUAUUAUUCAACUGGAAACCACACACAAAGGAGGUUCCAAUCGGAUGAUUUCUCAUUAAUAGCUCAUUAUAAAUUAUUAACAUGAUCAUAUUAAUUAUCUUAAUUACAUAACACCAAACUUUUAAAUAUUGUCAGGAAUUCAUGAUAUUAACUGAUGUUAACAACAAAUCAAGUUCCUUUCAUAGCCCAGGUGUAGGUAAUACCAUACUGUUGGGCUAUGAGAGUGCCAAGCAUUUGUUGUACCAAGUGUUAUACAACACAAAUCUAGAUUAACCAUUUAACAAGCAAGGUAUUAAGAAUUAGUAAGAUAAAAAGAUAAGACAUGUUAAUAUUAAACAUUAAGAUCCAUGUUGAGUUUACACUAUAUUUAUUCUUACACCAUUAGUGUAACCUUUUCACCUUGACAUAAUAAACUUAGCUAAACAUAAUGAAGAAGAGAAACAUAAAUAAACAAAACAAGAACAUAAAGAAAAUACAAGUUAACUAAGUAAAGGAAAGGAAAUGAAAAGCAUAAACAAGAUAUUAAUGAAAGCAAAACUUAAAAAUUACAAAAAAAUAUAAAGAGAGAAAUAAAGAGCAUGAGCUUGAUCUGAACAACCAAGCCCAAAUACAUGGCAAAUGCCUCCUUUUAUAGGCCAAAAUUCGGAAUUAUUGAUUUGAUGACUAAUUGUUGAGUGGGUGGCCAACUUUUGACUUGGUGAAAAUCCUUAUCUUCUUGUCUGAAUAAAAAAAAUGCUACCAUCCGAACUGGGUCCACUGGAAAACAUGAAAGUUGUAGGAAAUUGACUCAGCUUUCCAGGAAAAAAAAAUGGAGGUCAUUUGGACUUCUAGAACUCCAGAUAUGGGCCAAACACUGAACAGUGUUCGGGCUGCAGGACAGAUUCGGACUUCUCCGUUGUUGCUAUAAUUUGGACUUGAAAACGGCCUUCUUAGAUCUUGAUGAAAACAUGAAAGUUGUAGGCCUAUGUCUUACUGAAUCUGUGUAAAAUUUGAGGUCAUUUGGACAUCUAGAACUCGAGAUAUGACCCAAUUACCGAACAGUGUUCCAGUUUGGACUGCACCAACAUCUCUUUUCUAAGUUUCACCCUCUCUUUAUCUUUGCAAAUUUCAGUAGUUGAAUUCAUCAAUCAAUCCUUUGAUUUAUGUGAUAGGCCUGCAUUUAAGAUGAACAUUUACCAUAUAUUAGGGCAUUUUAUAGUUUUAGACUUGUUAUUAUAAAACAUGCUUUAGUUAAGGAGUUAUUGAUACUUUAAGUGCAAAAUGAUGAUAUAAAACCUUGAUAAAUAUGCACUUUUAAGUACUAAUCAUUAGGCUAAACUGAGAUCCCUUCGCUGAUCCCCUUUAAUCAGAACCCAAAGUUAUGUGUGUGGUUAGGAUAAACUGAGAUCCCUUCGUCGAUCCCCUUUAACUAGAACCAAAAUCCUUUAUAGUUAGGCUAAACUGAGAUCCCUUCGCUGAUCCCCUUCAACUAGAACCAAAGUCUAUGUGUGGUUAGGAUAAACUAAGAUCCCUUUGCCGAUCCCCUUUAACCAUAACAAAAAUCCUUUAUAGUUAGGCUAAACUAAGAUCCUUUCGCCGAUCCCCUUUAACCAAAACCCAAAGUUCUAUGUGUGGUUUGGAUAAACUAAGAUCCCUUCACCGAUCCCCUUUAACCAGAACCAAAAUCCAUUGUAGUUAGGCUAAACUGAGAUCCCUUCGCCGAUCCCCUUUAACCAGAAUCCAAAGUUCUAUGUGUGGUUAGGAUAAACUAAGAUCCCUUCGUCGAUCCCCUUUAACCAGAACCAAAAUCCUUUGUAGUUAGGCUAAACUGAGAUCCCUUCGCCGAUCCCCUUUAAUCAGAACCCAAAGUUUUGUGUGUGGUUAGGAUAAACUGAGAUCCCUUCGUCGAUCCCCUUUAACCAGAACCAAAAUCCUUUGUAGUUAGGCUAAACUGAGAUCCCUUCACCGAUCCUCUUUAAUCAGAACCCAAAGUUCUAUGUGUGGUUAGGAUAAACUGAGAUCCCUUCGUCGAUCCCCUUUAACCAAAACCAAAAUCCUUUGUAGUUAGGAUAAGCUGAGAUCCCUUCGCCGAUCCCCUUUAACCAGAACCAAAAUCCUUUGUAGUUAAGCUAAACUAAGAUCCUUUCGUCGACCCCCUUUAACCAGAACCCAAAGUUUUGUGUGUGGUUAGGAUAAAUUGAGAUCCCUUCAUCGAUCCCUUUUAACCAGAACCAAAAUCCUUUAUAGUUAGGCUAAACUGAGAUCCCCUCGUCGAUCCCCUUUAACUAGAACCCAAAGUUCUGUGAGUGGUUAGGGUAAACUGAGAUCCCUUUGUCGAUCCCCUUUAACCAAAACCAAAAUCCUUUGUAGUUAGGCUAAAUUGAGAUCCCUUUGCCGAUCCCUUUUAACCAGAACCCAAAGUUCUGUGUGCUGCUCGGUCAACCUGGAAUCCCAUCUGGUGAAUCCCUUCAACCAAAGCUAAAACAUUCAUGGUGGUUAACCUGGGAUUCCUUCUGGCAAUCUCCUUUAACAAAAAAAAAUGUUUCUUCUUCAAGAUGAUUGGGUUAAAAUUAAAGACUCUUCUUCAUUGAUCUUCUUAUUUCUUUGAGAUUUCCUUAAUGUUAGGGUUUAUCUCAUCUUCCUCCCAUUUCGGGGUCAAAACCAUGAUUCUUUGUUGUUCAUCAACUCAAUGAUUCUUUCUUUGUGCCUAAUCUUGCUCGACUAUAUUGAGGAUUUUUCCUGCAACAAAUCAAAAAUAUAUGGAAUACUUCGACGUUAGAUGCAUGCAUCCUUACCUGAUUUGAAAUAUAGGUCCCCCCCUCUUCAAUGUUCCAUCAUCAUAGCACCUUUGUUUGUUAUUCAAAGCUUUCUUUAUUCUUUCAGUGCAAUGGUUCAUUCGUGUGCUAGCCUUCCACUCUAAUGUAAGUGUAGUGCCUAUCGUGGGUUGUCCAUGACAGUUACUACUCUUAUUGCUUCUCAAGCUUGACCAUGCUUCCAUGUGUGAUGUAGCUUGAUUCCAUAAAUUAUCUUAUCUCUUGGAUUCUUCCGAGAAUUGUUCUUUGUUUGAAUAUGUGCAUCGUGCCAAUGCCCAUUAAAAUUGUCAAUCAAUCAUGGACUUGCCCCCAGUUGAAACAAUACUCUUCAAGUAUAUGUUAUCAUCAGUAUUCUUGGAAACUAUCCAAUCAUCCAGACAUGCAUCUCAUAGCUUGCAGUAUAAAGGCUCAUGGUUGUAUGCUCAGUGUUCUUCUUAAUAGAUUCCUUUCAACUCUUCUAAUCAAAUUGUGAAAAGAAAUGUCUCGGCCUCAUUAAUGAUGUUGCUUUUAUCACCCAUAUUCAUGCGGUGAAGUGCUCAUUUGGCUUCAAAACAGAUGGUACCACAGUCAGUCUUAGUGGGUGCAUCCUUUCAACAUUCAUUCAAAUGCAAUUAUGCGAUAACAUCAUUCAAAAGUCAUAGCCAUGUUGGAGAUGAUAAACCAAGAUGAAGAUAUGAAAAUAUCCUUCAAGUGCAGCGUUGCUCAUCAAUUGUUGCUGAAAUGCACUAAAUCACAGACUAUCUUUAAACAACAUUGCCCCCAGUCGAUUUGAACAUGCUCAUUCUUCAGUCUAUAAUCAAAUGGCUUUUGUGAUUGCCAAGAAUGACUUUGAUGGACUUUGGUGACUCAUCAUCUGAUUCUUUCUUUGCCCCCAGCUGAUAUGAAUACUUUUUGUUUUUCUUCUCAAGGUCCACUAUAUUGCCCCUAGGUGAUCAACUUUUCAAGGAGUGUCGAGAAAUGUUGAUGUCAUUUUUGUCAAGGAUUUUGCCAAUUUGAUCGAUAUUCUUCUUGUUUGGCAAUCUUUCUUGUUUUGGAAUCAAAUCUCAGAUUUUGAAGAUCAUGUCUAUUCAAAGUCUAGUUGUUGAAAUGAAAUCAGAGAUGUUGGUUUUGGAAAAGAUUUUGAAAAUCAAACCUCUUUGAUCAAAGACCCAAUACGCCAUUCAAUGUAAUCAUUUGAUUGUCUUGUAAUUUGAAAGCAGAAAUUGACCCGUUGUGAGAUUAAAAUAGCUUUUUUGGUUCUUUAUAUCUAUUUUAAUAUUUGAUCUUGAGUGUAUCAUUUGAUGGUCUGUGAUGAGGUGACCUUUUGUGAAUUUCAAGGAAAACAAAAGACUCAAGUCAAAACUUAAGGAUUCAUCAAGAAAGAUUGUUUUCUUUUUUAACACCAAUUUUAUCAGAAUGCAUAAUAACAAGUAGCUUAAUCCAUGAAGCCACGACUCUUAUGGAAAGCUCUUCAAGUUUUGAGAUCGCCAUUUAUCGGUUCAGAUUGCUUCUUGAUUAAAAAGAGCUUUUUAAAGCACGUAAUGCAGGCUAUGGUUCAUGGUUAUGAAAGAAAGGAAUUUCACAAGCUCAAAAGUUGUUUUAGGGUUUCAACGACUAGGAUCAACAUUAACUAUUCAUAAACUCCUUUUCUCUUGUUGUUGUCGCACGUGUGCGGCGGCGCGGCGAUCGUCCACCCUCAAGAAAAAAAUCGGAAUAUUAUAUUCCUGGCAAAUAGGGAGAGACAAGAAAAUUCUUGUCUCUACAAGUGAAAAUAUGGACUGGGAGUCGCCACCUAGUAUUCUGGUUACUUGGAACCUUAACUGGUCUUCUUUAGCGAUCGGGUACGGAGACUGGUUGCGUAAAGGGAAGGUAUUAGCACCCCAACUACGCCCUACCUAAGGUAGGCUGCAUUGUUUUAAAGUCUGAUCAAAUCUAAAAUCGUGUUGUGGUUUUUUUAUUUGUUGGUUCGUUUACGGUUUAAGAAAAGUCCUCCUCUGUAAGGAGAUCCUUAUCUUUAUCGGGUAAAAAACUAACUAUUCGAAGUCGUCAAAAGAAAAUAUCUUUUUAAUAUCAGGAAUACGAUUUACGUAUAAAUUCAUAAUCCCUGAUACUAAAAUCAAACAAAAUAAAAUAUUUUGUUGUUUUUGAGAUUUUGGCCAAUGUUCUCUUGACUUUAAUAAACUGGUUAUUAAAGCCAAAAUGCAUGCUAAAAUAUUGUUUUUUGACAUAUGAAAAAUACGAUAUGAUUUUUUAGAUUUGAGACACUUGGCCGUAUGCACAAAAACAUUUUUUUUCUCUUUUUUUAAUUUUUUUUUUUGUAUUUUUGGAAGUUUUUGCCGAAAACCGGGUAUUUUAAUACCGGAUUUGUAUUUUACGAAUAAAAAUACUGCCCGAUAUUAAUCAAAAUGACGCGGAAAAAUUAUAAAAUGCUGAAACAAAUAUUUUUGAUUUUUUUUGUGUGAACAGUACCGUGUGAAAGAUAAGUGCGAAAACCGGGUAUUUUAAUACCGAAUUAUAUUUUUACGAUGUAAAAUACAUACCGAUAUUAAGCAAAAUUGAUAAAAAAAUGUGCUGGAAAAAUUGUAAAAAAAAAAUAAAAAAAAUAAAUGGGCCGGACCAUAUCAGUUGGGCUAAAUGGGCUGGUUACUGUGCAUAAGCACAGUAACCAGCCUCUCAUCAGUUGCAGAACGUGAAUUAAUUCACGUUCUGCAUGAAAAAAAAAGAAGGCAGAAAGGAGAAGGAGACGGGGCAGGGGUUACCUGCGGUGGCGUCGAGGCGGUGCUGCUGGUGGCAGCGGAGGCGAUGGUGGCGGAGGCACGGUGGUUCUGCGUUUUCUUCUCUCUCUCGUUUUCUCUCUCUUUUUUCUUCUUUUCUUUUCUUUUUUCUUCUUUCUUCUCUCUUUUCUUCUCCUCUUCUUCUUCCUCUCUCUCUCUUCUCCUUCUCUUCCCCUCUUCUUUUUUUUUUUCCUCUUCGGUCUCCCCUGUUUUUAUAGGCAAAAACAGGGGGGGACGUCAUGGUGGUGGCCGUUGUGCUGCCGCCCGUCCAACGCCCGUAACGUGGAAAGUGGUCGGCAAGUCGGCGUCUUUUUUCGCAAAAAACGGGAAAGAAAUUAGGCGAAAAGGGGAAGAAAAAAUCUUCUUCUUCCCCUGCCUCGCGCGUCCAGGGGAAGAAGAAGAGCUACAGUGCCGUCAAAACGGCACCGUUUUGCCCAGCUUCUUCUCCUCUUCUUUUCCCCGCCGGCGGUGACACUCACCGUCACUAGCAAAAGAAGAAAAAAUACAAGCAGUCGAUUUUCUAGGUCCACUCGAUUUUGGAUGGCGGCCGAACUAAUGGUUGUGGAAGGAGUGUUGGAUGGCCAGAGCAGCGGUGUCACCGUUGGGGAAAGGGACAACACUGGAUCUGUGGGCGUUACUGUUGAGGAAACCGAAGGGGAAGCAACCGUUGCUGAUGGGGAAGGAUACGCUGUUGUUGGAGGUUUAGGGUUCGGUGGAGGCCGGUUUGGCCGCUAGUCUGUGGGGGAUGAGAGAAGGAAGAGGGUGAGCGAUGGGGUUUUGUUUCUUUGCAAGGAAGAUGGAGAUUUUCGAGCAGCAACUCUUUUAGGGCAAAGAGAGAGGAAGUUCAAAAUGAGGGUGGUGGCUCUAGUGAGGCCAAGAGGGAAGAUGAUGGGGAGAUGGGGGCUCUGGUUUUCUUUGGCAAGGCCAAAGGGAAAAAAUGAGUGGCUGGCUGUGAGAGGGAGAACCGGUUUUGGUUUGGGUGAGCGACUGUAGAGGUAAAACGAAAUGGCCAAGGGAGAAGGUGGCCGAGAGUGGUAGAGGUCCACCGACUGGCUUUUUGUUGGUUGGGAGUUGGGUUUUUAUGUUUUUGAUAAAAGGGGGCGCGACGGCUUCUCUUGGAGAAGAUAGAGUUAGGUCUCUUUUCUUUUUAGGUUUUUUUUUUUUUGUGUUACCUCCCCCUGAAUGUUCAAAAUUACCCCCCCCCCUUUAUUUUGAGUUAUGCACCUAUACUUAUAGGUAAAAUGUUGCUCGGGCUUCAAAAUUGGUCUCUCAGCUCUCUUUUUUUUUUUUGUAAAUUUUGAUUUUUUUUGUAUUUUUGAAAACAAGCAACAUCAACGUCAACUCAAUGAGAUAAAUCAAGAAUUUUAAAAACGACGCGUGAAAAGUCAAACGCGUUCGAAAGAUCUUUGAAAAUUUAAAUUUUUUUUAGAUGAUGUUGAAAAUGCUAAAAAUGAUGCAAAUUUAUUAAAAAUAUAUUUUUUGAAAUUUUGUUGUUUUCCGCUAUUUUUGUAUUUUUUAAAAAUUUUAUCAAAUAGGUGGGUCAAAAAUCGGGUAACAACAAUAACCACCUACAUAAAUAAAUUAAGACUUCAUGUAAUGUUUUCUUAAAAAAAAGAUAUUGUUGGAUUUAUUUAAUUAUGAUCGAUUAAGAGGUAUGUUAUUGCUAUAGUGACGUCAUGUAAAGAGGUUGAGGCGGUGAAAGUAUAAGUAAAAGGACUAAUUGUUACAGUGAUGAUGUCAUGAUUAUAAAAUAUUAGUAAUGUAAUUAUAUAUGUGAAUAUAUGAUAUAAAUGUUAUAAAUAAUAAAGUUUAAAAGAUUAUUUAAAAAUAUUUUGUUUUUCACAUUGAAAAGAUAUUAUAUUAGUAUGUUAUCCUUUCAAGUUAAAGUAUUUAAACAAAAAAAAAAAUUAUUCUAUAUUGAAAAAACAUAAUUUUUUUUCUUGUUAAUAUAGAGUAUAUAUAUUAAAGGACUUCAAAUCCCACAUUGAAAAAAUAAUUUUUUUCCUGUGAACAUAGUAUAUAAACUAAAAAACUUCAAAUCCCAUAUUGAAAAAGUAAAAUAUUUUUCUAGUAUUUAUAUAGUGAACUUUGAAAAGGGUUAAUAACUAACUAAAAAAUAUAUAAAAAAGAGGUGUCUCUUACCAGGAGAAAAAAAAACAUUUAAAAAAAAAAAAUGGGGUCUCAACCGGGUUUUUCCAGGUCACUAGUCAACCCAGUGGGUCAACCCAGUUUUGCUUACCCCGAUCUUUUGCCUUAACCUACCGAUCCAGCCAUCGGGUCGACCGGGUCUCGGGUCAACCUCCUAGGCCGGUUCGGGUUUAAUAACUAUGAUAUAUAUAUUCUUUUUAUAAUGCUUUGAAUCUGAAUAUCUUUUAGAAAAAAUAUGGUUUUAUUUUGUUUUGAAUUUUUUUUUAAUUUUAUAUCUUAUAAUUUGAUUUUUAUAUUAAUUUUGGUCAUUAUUUAGUUUUUUCUUAAUUUUUUUUAAUUCAAUUUUUUUAUUUAUCAAAUUUCAUUCUUAUUCUUUUGAUCAAUAUUUAUUUUAUUUGAAAUAAUUUAUACGAUUACAAUUAUUUUUUAAAAUUUUAUCAUCUUUCAAUUAUUUUUUAUUUUACAUGCCAUGCACAGCUUAGGGACCCAUCCCUUUGUAUAAAAAAUGAUUUGACGGUCCUUGGGUUGGGUGUAUGCCUACGUACUUAGUUUUCUAAAUAGGCCUUGACUCUUUUUCUCUCUGUAUGUUGUGUUAGUGUUAAAAUCUUAGUAUAUUAUACAAUUGGAUUUAUUUUUAUGUUUCACAAACGAGUAUUAUACAUUUGUGUCUCGUUUUUUCUAAUUAAAAACUUGUAUUGAUUUAUUUAUUUUUUUGUAAUUUGAAUACUUGCUCUUAUGAAUUUUUAUCAAUCAAGUCUCUAAUAAUGUUUGUUUCCCAAAAAAUAGUUUCUGAAAAACCACUUUCCAAACUUUCCCGUGUUUAUUUGUAAUUUGGCUUCGUUUUCAACAAAGUGUUUUCCUGAAAAAUUUGAGCGGAAAACACUUUCCGGAAGUUAUGAAAAAUUUAGAAAUGUCAUAUUAUUUGUUGAUUAUAUCAAAUUUGAUCCUCAAACUUUUGAUUGUUAUAUAUAUUUUGUUUUGAAUAUUUAUUUUUCAAUUUCAUCUCUUAAAAUUUAAUUUUUAUAUUAACUUUGGUCCUCAUUUUUAUAAUUGUUAUUUGCUUUUUCCUUAUUAUUUUUUUAUUAAAAUUUUUUAUCUAUCAAAUUUGGUCCUCAUUCUUUUUUAUUGUUACUUAUUUUAAUUGAAAUAAUUUAUGAAAUGUUAAUUAUUAUUAUUUUAAUUUCUUCAUCUUUUUUUUUUUUAGAUUUGAUCUAUAUUAUUUUAAUCAUUAUUUAUUUUAUUUGAGAUAAUUUAUGAAAAAAACAUUUUCCAAUUUCAUUCUCAUUUAACCUUUAAUUUUGUAAGAUUUGUUCCUUAUUAUUUUAAUAAACUUGAGAAAAAUAAAACAUUAAUAAGUUAUUUUCCAGCUCAUUUUCCAUGACAUAACCAAACACUAGAAAGUGUUUUCAACUUAUUUUCCAUUAAACUACCAAACAUCAGAAAAUAAUUUACUUUCCCGGAAUUCACUUUCCAAAAAAAAACUAUUUUCCAACAAACAUACGGGGCCUCUGUAUUAGUUUUGUUGCCAGAAUGCAAAUAACAUGAUUAAUACUAUUUUAUUUUCAAUUUUUUCAAGGCCUAAAUUUUCCAAACCUAAUUUCCAUAAAAAUAAUAGCAAGUCUUAUAUAUCCACAAUCAUCAUGUGCCUAGCAUUAACCUUUUAUUCAUGUUUUUUCCAAAAACAAAACUUGACUUUCGGUCGACAACGUUUUAAGAUGGAAUAUAAGUUUCGGUUAAUUACUUAAUUUCAAUUUUUUUUUGUACUCUAUGCUUUCGAUGAACAUCACUUUCUUAAGCUAGUUGCAGUAUAUAGAAAUUUCUUCUAACAUUUUAGAAAUAUAAUUCACAUCUGAAUUGAUAAAUUCACAAAUUAAUAUAAUAGGUUUUACCAUUUAUUUUAAUAUAUUUUUGGAAUUUAAUAUUAAUAGUUAUAAAGUUUAUUUAGUUAAUAAAAAUUGUUCCACUUUUGUUAUAUCACUUUCCUUUUAAAUUAUUUUAAAGUUUAUUUAUUUUGAAUUUAAUAUAUCAUUUUUUUUUGGAAUAGAUAAAAUUUAUUUUUAAAAAUAAAAAAACUCUUUUCAAAUAAUAUUUCAAAUAUAUGAAGCCAGGCAUAUUAUUACUAUUUUUUAUUUUAUUCAAUCAAUUUAUAAUAUGUGUGUCUAUUAUUAUUAUUAUUUCAUCGAAUUUUUUUUUUAGAUGAAUAUCACUUUCUUAAGCUCAUUGUAGUAUAUAGAAUUUUUUUUAAAAUAAAAAUAAAAAUAUUAUUCACAUCCGAUUAAAUACCUCCACAAAUAUAAUUCCAUUCAAAGUUGCAUCAUGUAUUAAUCUAAGGUCCAUUGUCCAUUAAUUAAUCGGUGGUUGCGUUUUAACACUUGAGAUUUAUUUUUUAUGCAUAACCAUUUAAUUUAUUUUUUUGCAAACUAAAUUGAAAUUAAAGCAUAUUAAUUAUCCAUUCCCAAGCUUACGGGGCAAUGGUCUCAUGGACCCAUCUCGUAGAAAAAACGCUUGAUAGCAAUGGUCUCGUGGACCAUCCCACCGGCCUAUAUCGUGGAAAAAAAUACAGAUGGCAAUGCAUGGUCUCACAGACCCAUUUCGCACUGCAAAUUGCUAUCCAUCUUACUUGUUGAUUGUGUUAUAUAAAAAUAGACUGACAAGUACUUUAGAAAGAAAAAGAAGAAGACUUGUUGUCAUGACAAUGACAAGAAGUAUUUUUUAAAAAAAUAUUAUUUGUGGUUCAUUUUAUCAACGAUACUCUUUGAUUUUGUCAUCACAAUCAAAAUUAAGGCAUGAUUUUUGAAGAUUUUAGGUAAAGAUCAUAAUUUUGAGUUAUGGUUUGUUUAAAUAAUGAAUUUGAGUUAGAAAUCUUGAUAUAUUAAUAAGUGAUCUGUGUGUAUUUAAAAUUAAAGUGCAUAAAUUUAAUAUUGAAAUUUAAUUAAAGUCUCUCUUACAAUCCAAAAUUUAUUUUUAAUUAAAGCGCAUAAAAUAAACAUAGUUAAAGUUCUUUCUUUCUCUUCCUCUCUGUCUCUGUGUAUGUUAGACGGAGUUUGCAUUAGAUAAUCAAUAAUAGGAGGAGAGUCGUCCACAUUCCAUUUGAGGCUAUUAAUCAUAGGAGGAGACCAUAUAUUUUUAAUCCUGAAAGAGUGAGCAUUGGACCACCGAAGCAAGCCAUAUGCCGAUCUGAUCAGAUCUGUAGAGGAGUAUGGAAAAUCUGAAUGGAUAGCUUUUAGCCAAAGACAUAGACGGGUGAUAAUAAGAAAGAAAAUUGAGUCAUAAUCAGGUGUCUUCUGAUGGAAAAUGAGAUCAUUUCGAAGGAGCCAAAGAGACCAUGCCACUGAGAAGAACAACAUCAACCAUGCCUUCCUCUGAAAAUUACCAUGCACCAUGGAAGACCAUUGAGACCACAUAUCUGAGAAGCUCUUUGGGCAACACCAAACUAAACCCCACCACUUAAUGAUUUUGGACCAAAUGAGCCAAUGCUUAUGGCAGUGAAGCAGAAUAUGGUCCACCGAUUCUGCUUCAACAAGGCAGAUAGGGCAAUUUGAUUCCGAGCAACUCAAGAUACCUCUUCGAACCAACAUACAUCGGGUGUUGAGUCUGUUAAUGAUAGCCAUCCAGCAAAAGAUCUCUACUUUAGGUGGGACAAUACCUUUCCAAAAUCCAGCAAACGAGAAGGCACUUACAGAGAGUUAGUGACACUUACAGAGAGUUUAUACAAAGAGUUAGUGACACUUACAUAGCAUUUUGUAUCUUGUUUUUUCUAAUUAAAAACUUGUAUGGAUUUAUUUAUUUAUUUAUUAAUUUGAAUACUUGCUUUUAAUAAUGAUUUUUUUAUCAAUCAAGUCUCUAUAUUAGUUUUGUUGUCAGAAUGCAAAUAACACGAUUAAUAGUAUUUUAUUUUCAAUUUUUUUCAAGGCCUAAAUUUUCCACACGUAAUUUCCAUUAAAAAAAGUAGCCAGUCUUCUUUAUCCAUCAUCGUCAUGUGCAUAGCAUUAACCUUUUAUUCAUAUUUGUUUCAUAAAUAAAUAAACUUAACUUGGGGUCAACGUUUCAAGAAGGAAUAUAAGUUUCGGUUAAUUACUUAGUUUUUUCCCAAAUGUUCCACUUUUGUUAUCUCUCUAUUACUUUUCCUUUUAAAGGGGUUAUGUACAGCCCUUGUAUAUUAUUUUGAAUUUAAUAUAUAAAAAUCUUUAUUAUAGAUGAAUUUUAUUUUUAAAAAUAAAAAAAUAUAUAUUUUCAAAUAAUAUUUUUAAUAUGUGCAACAUUGCAUAUUAUUUUUUCUCCUUUUAUUUUGUUCAAGCAAUUUAUAACGUGUAUGUUGUUUUUAUUAUCGUUUAAUCGAAUAAAAAAAUUAUUUUAAUUUGAAUUUUUAGAAAAUACAAUUGUGUAAAUGUCAUGUCUUGUGAAAUUAAAUAUUUUGAUCUACACAACCAUCUAGGUGGUGGCCCAGUGGUAAAAGCUUGGGACCAAGAGGUUUGCUCCCUCUGUGGUCUCAGGUUCGAACCCUAGGUUGCUCAUAUGAUGGCCAUUGGAGGCUUACAUGGUCGUUAACUUCAGGACCCGUGGGAUUAGUCGAGGUGCGCACAACCUAGCCCGGACACCCAUGUUAAUCUAAAAAAAAAAAAAAUUGAUCUACACAUGUCUUUCGAUUUUUUUAGUUUUAAUUUUGAGUCAUCAUUUCUGUUUUUUUUUUCAUUUAUUAACAUACAUGAUUCUCGAUUUAUUUCACAAUAUUUGUAUAUAAAUUUUUUAACAUCCACUUAAUUUUUUUUAAAAUUAAAAAUUUAUUAAAGAAAUCUAUAUAUAUAUUUUUUAAUUAAACAAAUUUAACUUGCGAUGAAGCUUUGGUCGAAUAACUAAGUCUAUGUACUCAAAUGAGUGGCACUCGAAAGUUCACAUACCUUAUCUUCCAAGCAAGAAGAGACAAGAAAAGCAGUAGGUGAUGUUUUUUUCUCCGGCUGUAAAUGGAUGAAGGGAUUACUACCAAAAACAUGGACAAAAUUUGAUGUGGACCCGCACCACUUUGAUUAUUCUUCACUCUUCCUGUGUUUCACUACUUGAUGAUUCAAAAGUUAUCUAUUUAAAAAAAAAUUAAAAUUUUAAAAUAUUUUACAAUAUGGUUACAAUAUUUUUUUCUUAAGAAAAUAAAUUGAUGUCAUGUGUUAAUAACAUUUACGGAUUUUUUCCAAUAAAUUAAUCAAAUUUAUUUUAAUAAAAAAGUUUCCUAUCAAGAACAGCAUUCCUAGUUAAACCAAAGUUUUUCCACGAACCCAUCUUGUGGAAAAAAUGCAUGAUGGUUGGAAGAGGACGUCUCAUGGCCUCUCCUCAAGGAAAAAUGCAUGAUGGCAACGGUCUUAGGGACCAAUAUGUAGAUGGAAAUGUUCUCAUGGACCCAUCUCGUAGAAAAAAUGCAUCUGAGUAAGUAGAAUUUUUUCUUUUUCUUAGAUGAACAUGACUUUCUUAAGCUCAUUGUAGUAUAUAGGAUUUUUUAAAAAAUAAAAAAAUAGAAAUAUUAUUCGCAUCCGAUUAAAUACCUCCACAUAUAUAAUUCCAUUAAAAGUUGUGUCAUGUAUUAAUCUAAGUUUCAUUAUCCAUUAAUUAAUCGGUGGUUGCGUUUUAACACUUGAGAUUUAUUUUUUAUGCAUAAGCAUUUAAUUUAUUUUUUUGCAAACUAAAUUGAAAUUAAAGCAUAUUAAUUAUCCAUUCCCAAGCUUACGGGGCAAUGGUCUCAUGGACCCAUCUCGUAGAAAAAACGUUUGAUAGCAAUGGUCUCGUGGACCAUCCCACUGGCCUAUAUCGUGGAAAAAAAAUUAAGAUGGCAAUACAUGGUCUCAAAGACCCAUUUCGCACUGCAAAUUGCUAUCCAUCUUACUUGUUGAUUGUGUUACAUAAAAAUAGACUGACAAGUACUGUAGAAAGAAAAAGAAGAAGACUUGUUGUCAUGACAAUGACAAGAAGUAUUUUAAAAAUAAUAUCAUUUGUGGUUCAUUUUAUCAACCAUACUCUUUGAUUUUGUCAUCACAAUCAAAAUUAAGGCAUGAAUUUUGAAUAUUUUAGGUAAAGAUGAUGAUUUUGAGUUAUGGUUUGUUUAAAUAAUGAAUUUGAGUUAGAAAUCUUGAUAUAUUAAUAAGUGAUCGGUGUGUAUUUUAAUUAAAGGGCAUAAAUUUAAUAUUGAAAUUUAAUUAAAGUCUCUCUUACAAUCCAAAAUUUAUUUUUAAUUAAAGUGCAUAAAAUAAACAUAGUUAAAGUUCUUUCUUUCUCUUCCUCUCUGUCUCUGUGUAUGUUAGACGGAGUUUGCAUUAGAUAAUCAAUAAUAUUGUAUAUAUUCUUUUUGGAGAAGUAACUCAUUUUCACACCCUUGUUGUAGUUUUCCAUUCAUUUUCACACCCCAGUUGCCACCCUGCUUUUCUUUCCAUUCACGCACACAGAUAGUGCAUCAAAGCACUACGACAAGAGUUAGUGACACUUACAGAGCAUUUUGUAUCUUGUUUUUUCUAAUUAAAAACUUGUAUGGAUUUAUUUAUUUAUUUUUUAAUUUGAAUACUUGCUUUUAAUUAUGAUUUUUUUAUCAAUCAAGUCUCUAUAUUAGUUUUGUUGUCAGAAUGCAAAUAGCACGAUUAAUAGUAUUUUAUUUUCAAUUUUUUUCAAGGCCUAAAUUUUCCACACGUAAUUUCCAUUAAAAAAAGUAGCCAGUCUUCUUUAUCCAUCAUCGUCAUGUGCAUAGCAUUAACCUUUUAUUCAUAUUUUUUUCAUAAAUAAAUAAACUUAACUUGGGGUCAACGUUUCAAGAAGGAAUAUAAGUUUCGGAUAAUUACUUAGUUUUUUUCCAAAAUGUUCCACUUUUGUUAUCUCUCUAUUACUUUUCCUUUUAAAGGGGUUAUGUACAGCCCUUGCAUAUUAUUUUGAAUUUAAUAUAUAAAAAUCUUUAUUAUAGAUGAAUUUUAUUUAUUCAAAUAAAAAAAAAUUAUUUUCAAAUAAUAUUUUUAAUAUCUGCAACAUUGCAUAUUAUUUUUCCUCCUUUUGUUUUGUUCAAUCAAUUUAUAACCUGUAUGUUGUUUUUAUUAUCGUUUAAUCAAAUAAAAAAAUUAUUUUAAUUUGAAUUUUUAGAAAAUACAAUUGCGUAAAUGUCAUGUUUUGUGAAAUUAAAUAUUUUGAUCUACACAUGUGUCUCGAUUUUUUUAGUUUUUAUUUUGAGUCAUCAUUUUUUUUUCCAUUUAUUAACACACAUAAUUCUCGAUUUAUUUGACAAUAAUUGUAUAUAAAUUUUUUAAUAUCCACUUAAUUUUUUUAAAAUUUAAAAUAUAUUAAAGAAAUCUAUAUAUAAUUUUUUUAAUUAAACAAAUUUAACUUGCGAUGAAGCUUUGGUCGAAUAACUAAGUCCAUGUACUCAAAUGAGUGGCACUCGAAACUUUACAUACCUUAUCUUCCAAGCAAGAAGAGACAAGAAAAGCAGUGGGUGAUGUUCUUUUUUCCGGCUAUAAAUGAAUGAAGGGAUUAAUACCAAAAACAUGGACAAAAUUUGAUGUGGACCCGCACCACUUUGAUUAUUCUUCAUUUUCUUCACUCUUCCUGUGUUUCACUACUUGAUGAUUCAAAAGUUAUCUAUUUAAAAAAAUUUAAAAUUUUUAAAAUGUUUUACAAUAUGGUUACAAUAAUUUUUUCUUAAGAAAAUAAAUUGAUGUCAUGUGUUAAUAACAUUUACGGAUUUUUUCCAAUAAAAUAAUCAAAUUUAUUUUAAUUAAAAAGUUUCCUAUCAAGAACAACAUUCCCAGUUAAACCAAAGUUUUUCCACGAACCCAUCUGGUGGAAAAAAUGCAUGAUGGUUGGAAGAGGACGUCUCAUGACCUCUCCUCAAGGAAAAAUGCAUGAUGACUGUUGUAACCCAUUUUUGGGUCCCUAUAAAAAAAUAAAAUAAAUAGCCAAAAGAGUUUAGAAAAAAUAACAGAAGGCAGAAGCGCUCAGGAAACAGUCAGAAAAUUGGUCAAGAAAUUCAAAAUACAAGGAUUAAAUUUUUGACAGUAUAUUCUUGAAGGAUGAAAGCCCUAUUGAGAAGGAAAAUUUGAAUUUUAAGGAGAAAAGCCCAAAUUUGGAUGUUUAUGGACUUAAUUGGAUUUUUAUUUGAAUUUAUAGAAGAUUUGAUUGCAAGAAAAAUUGAUUUUUAAGUCAAUUUGGGCUUUAAUUUGGAGAAAUUUAAGUUCUGGGGCCAAAAUAUAUUUUUUAGGAAUUUAUUGGGUCAAAUCAGGGGCUCAAUUGCAUAAAUAUUGAAGUUUAAGGGCCAAUUAGGGACUUAAUUGUGAAAAUCCGAAACCAGGGACCAAUUUGGAGAAGGCGCAAAGAUAGAGGGGGCUGUUUGGAUUUGUUUCAGGGGCUUAAUUGAAGAAAUUGGAAGUUUAUUGAUCAAUUAGGGGCUCAAUUGCAUAAAUCAGAGGCCAAGGACCAAAGUGAAAAAGGCGGCCAACAAGAGGGGCGGGGACCGAAUUUGGGGGACUGAUUUGAAGUUUAGCCAUUUAAAUGAAACGGCGUGUUUUACCCAAAACGACGCCGUUUCAUAAAAUAAAAAAAAAAAUAAAAAAAUUCGAAAACGACGCCGUUUUGAAAGACACUGUUCAUCUUCCUCCUUCCCCCCGUUUUAACAGAAAGAAGAGAAAAAAUUCGAAAAUCUUCCCGCGCCUCUCUCUCUCCUCGCCCCCACCACCUUUAGCAUUGGCCGACCAGCCGUUGCACCGCACUAACGAUGGUCCCCCACGGUUCGGCCCCUAUAAAUAGAGAAGAAAACCGAAGCUGACGGAAGAAGAGAAAAAAAAAAACCGAAGGGAGGAGAGAGAGAGGAGGCCAAGAGAGAGAGAGAGAACCGAACACCGAAGAGAGAAGGAGCCGCGCGCCGCCCGGGAAGCCACGCCACCGCAGCACCGCCUCCUCCACGCCAGGUCACCUCUUCUCCCCCUUUCGUUAGUUUUUUAUUUUUUUCCCUGCAUGCAGAAUGAACAUUCUGCAUGCAGGGAGGAGGGGGGAAUUAAUUCCCCCCUCUCUGUUGAUGCGUAGCUGGGCCAGGUGGAUCCUGGCCCAGCACAUUUUUUUCUUUUUUUGGGCCAGACUAAGUCUGGCCCGGCCUUGUAUCUGACGGGCCAGACCAGGUCUGGCCCAUACCAGCUCUCUAGGCCAAGUCCGGCCCAGAUAUUUGGGCCAGCCCAGCCCGAAUUAUUUUUAUAUUAUAUAUUAUAUAUUAUAUAUUAUAUUAUAUAUGUGUAUAUAUGUAUAUAUAUAUAAAAUAUAAUAAUAAAAAAAUAAAUAUUUUGAAAAAAUCUUAAAAAAAUAUUGUUGAUUUUUCUGCAUAUUUUUAUCAAAAUGUUUUAAUUCUGGUUUGUAUUUUUAUACCGUAAAGAUACAAGCUCAGUGUUAUAAAUACCCGGUUUUCGUCAAAACAUCAAAGAUUUUGAGAAUAAAAAAUGUUUUUGCUUUCAAAAAAAUUCUAAAAAGUCCCUAAAAAUAUUGUUGAUUUUUCUGCAUAUUUUUAUCAAAAUGGUUUAAUUUUGGGUUGUAUUUUUAUACCGUAAGGAUACAAGCUCAGUAUUAAAAUACCCGAUUUUCGUCAAAGCAUAAAAAAAAUAAUACUUUCCAAAAAUUGUUUUUGUUUUAAAAUACGGCCUAGUCUCUUCAAAUAUAUAUAUAUAAAUAUUAUAACAUCGUAUUUUCACACAACAAAGAAAAUUUUCAAAAACAAUAUAUGUAUUAACAUGCAUUUUGGCUUUAAUAACCAGUUUAUUCAAGCCAUGAGAACUAGGCCAAUAUUUCAAAAAUUCUAAAAAAUCUUUUUGUUUUAUUUUAGUAUUUGGGAUUACGAAUUUAUACGUAAAACGUAUUCCUAAGUAUUAUUAAUAAAAUUUUGGUAUGGACGUUAGAACGGUUAGAAUUUUUUACCCGAUAAGAUAAAGACCUCCUUACCGAGGAGGAUUUUUCUUGAACCAUAGACAGACCAACAACUAGGAAAACACAAUAACACUUUAGUUUUUUUUAUCAGACAUUAAAACAAUGCAGCUUACCUUAGGUAGGGCGUAUUUGGGGUGCUAAUACCUUCCCUUUACGCAACCAGUCUCCGUACCCGAUCUCUGAGACCAGUUAGGUUCCUAGUGACCGAAAUACUAGGUGGCGACUCCAAACAAAAAAAUAAAAAAAAUUUCGCUAGUCGAACCCGCAAUUGAUGAAUUUGAAUUUUUUUUUGGGGUGCGACAAUGACAACGGUCUCAGGGACCAAUAUGUAGAUGGAAAUGUUCUCAUGGACCCAUCUUGUAGAAAAAACGCAUCCGAGUAAGUAGAAUUUUUUCCUUUUUUUAGAUGAACAUGACUUUCUUAAGCUCAUUGUAGUAUAUAGAAUUUUUUUUUAAAUAAAAAAAUAGAAAUAUUAUUCGCAUCCGAUUAAAUACCUCCACAUAUAUAAUUCCAUUAAAAGUUGUGUCAUGUAUUAAUCUAAGUUUCAUUAUCCAUUAAUUAAUCGGUGGUUGCGUUUUAACACUUGAGAUUUAUUUUUUAUGCAUAAACAUUUAAUUUAUUUUUUUGCAAACUAAAUUGAAAUUAAAGCAUAUUAAUUAUCCAUUCCCAAGCUUACGGGGCAAUGGUCUCAUGGUCCCAUCUCGUAGAAAAAACGCUUGAUAGCAAUGGUCUCAUGGACCAUCCCACCGGCCUAUAUCAUGAAAAAAAAUGCAGAUGGCAAUACAUCGUCUCACAGACCCAUUUCGCAAUGCAAAUUGCUAUCCAUCUUACUUGUUGAUUGUGUUACAUAAAAAUAGAAUGACAAGUACUUUAGAAAGAAAAAGAAGAAGACUUGUUGUCAUGAAAAAUAACAAGAAGUAUUUUAAAAAUAAUAUUAUUUGAGGUUCAUUUUAUCAACGAUACUCUUUGAUUUUGUCAUCACAAUCAAAAUUAAGGCAUGAUUUUUGAAGAUUUUAGGUAAAGAUAAUAAUUUUGAGUUAUGGUUUGUUUAAAUAAUGAAUUUGAGUUAGAAAUCUUGAUAUAUUAAUAAGUGAUCUGUGUGUAUUUAAAAUUAAAGUGCAUAAAUUUAAUAUUGAAAUUUAAUUAAAGUCUCUCUUACAAUCCAAAAUUUAUUUUUAAUUAAAGUGCAUAAAAUAAACAUAGUUAAAGUUCUUUCUUUCUCUUCCUCUCUGUCUCUGUGUAUGUUAGACGGAGUUCGCAUUAGAUAAUCAAUAAUAUUGUAUAUAUUCUUUUUGGAGAAGUAACUCAUUUUCACACCCUUGUUGUAGUUUUCCAUUCAUUUUCACACCCCAGUUGCCACCCUGCUUUUCUUUCCAUUCACGCACACAGAUAGUGCAUCAAAGCACUACUACAAUAGUUGACUCCCAGUCAAUACGGUCAAGAUAAGGUAAUCAAAAACUAAAUUUACUUUUACUACUAUUUUAAUUUUUAAAAAAUAUUUUUAUAUUGUUUAAUGCAUUAAUUUCAAGAAAUAAAUUCCUUUUAUCUUAAAAUAUGAACUUGAAAAACCAGAUGUAUUUUAUAAUUAGGGAGAAAACUAGAAAAAAUUAUUAGUCUUCUCAUUGUAGUAAUAUAAAUCGUAUAUCUUUGACUCGAUUGAAUUGAAAUGUAAUAAAAACAAGUCAAGAAUACCUUUCCUAACAUAAAAACAAAAUAGUGUGUGUGUUAUGUAUUUGAAGUUUUUGUAUAUAAUACUAUAGCCACACAAUCCACAGGGAUAAGAUCAUUUAUAAUUAUUCCGUGUUUAUUAUUAUUGAUAAUUUAUGUAUUUAAUUAUAUAUAUGAUAGUGAGAUGACACCAUGCAAGUAGGCUCCUAAAUGAUUCUAAAUUAUGACGAGAGAAGUACAAUUAUAAAGUUAAAAAGAUCUUACGCGGAAUCACACAUGAAUAUUCGAUAACAAUGUUUAAGUACUACAACAAUUUUUUUAUUUUAUUUUUUCAUAAAUUAGAUAAUUAGGAAGCAAAAUGUAAUUAAAUGCAAAUAGACUAAAUGCUUAACAAUAAAAUAAUAUUCAAAUCCAAGAAUAUUCCAAAAAGAAAUGAAAUAAAGAAAACAUCUCAUAACAUAGAAUCUGCACAAGAUAUGCAGAUAAAGUCAUGGAAACGGCCAGAGCAUAGUAUAAAUAGGACCUCCAUGGUUACCCAAAGGCAGAUAACAAACAGCAAUAGUUCAUAGAAUUAUCUAAGAUGAUGAUGAAAAUAAUGGGGGCUUGGAUGUUGCUAGCAUUAUUGACUUUGGUUGGCGAAUGGUAUGGUCGUUGUUAUGGGUGUUUGGAGGAAGAGAGGAUUGGUCUCUUGGAGAUCCACUCUUUGAUCGACCUAGAUGGCUUUUCCUUGAGAGAUUGGGUGGACAGUAGUAAUUGUUGUGAGUGGCGUGGGAUCAAGUGUGAUAACACUACAAGGCAAGUGAUCCAACUCUCUCUUCAUGGAGUAAAGGGUUUUCCGCAGUGAAGUUUAUGUACUAAAAUAAGUGGCACUCAAAGGUUCACAUACCUUAUCUUCUAAGUAAAAAGAGCCAAGGGAAGCAGUAAAUGAUGUUCUUUUCUCCGGCUGUAAAUGGAGGAAGAGAUUAAUACCAAAAAUAUGGACAAAAAUUGAUGUGGACCCACACCACUUUGAUUAUUCUUCUUUUUCUUCACUUUUUCUGUGUUUCACUACUUAAUGAUUCAAAAGUUAUCUAUUUAAAAAAAAUUAAUUUAUUCAGUUUUUUAAAUUAAAAUAAAAUAUACCUAUCAUUCUUAGACGUUACAUAAUGAAAUUAAAAACCAUAGCUUUUAGAGCCCCAAGCGCACGGCCCCAUCUCGUGGAAAAAAUUGCUUGAUGAUAAUGGUAUCACUGACCCAUCUAGUGGAUAAUUUGUUGCAAUGUUCUCUCCAUCAAAAUCCUUUUUGUUUUGAAAAGGAAAAUAUAUAUAUAUAUAUAUAUAUAUAUAUAUAUAUAUAUUAGUUUUCAAGUUUUGAGAUAUAAGUUCAUAGCUCUUAAGAUAAGAAAUAUACCACAAGAUUUAAAAAUAUUUUAUAUUUCAUUAAAAUGAAUAAAUAAAUUACUUAUAUGGUUGCAAUAUUUUUUUCUUAAGAAAAUAAAUUGAUUUCAUGUGUUAAUAACAUUUAAGGAUUUUUUUCCAAUCAAAUUUAUUUUAAUUAAAAAGUUUGCAAUCAAUAACAACAUUCCCAAUUAAACCAAAGUUUUUCCACGAACCCAUCUCAUGGAAAAAAUGCAUGAUGGUUGGAAGAAGACGUCUCACAGCCUUUCCUCAAGGAAAAAUGCAUGAUGGCAAUGGUCUCAGGAGCCAAUGGACAGAUAGAAAUGGUCUCACGAACUCAUAAAUGCAUUUAUAGUGAUAUUUUCAUUGUUAGAGACAUACAGUAGUUUAGGGAAUUUUAUCAAGGAACGAAGAUAUUUUCGGAGAAUAACAUUUAUAAUGAUACUUUUAUGCAAUUCAAUUUUUUCUUUUUUUUAGUCUAUGAUACUGAUGAACAUGACUUUCUUAAGCUAGUUGUAGUAUACAGAACUUUUUUAAUAAAAAAAUAGAAAUAUAAUUUGCAUAUGAGUAAAUAGCUUCACAAAUUAAUAUAAUAGGUUUUAAUAUUUACUUUUAAUAUUUAUAAAAUGAAAGAUAUUAAGAGUUGCUUAAUUUGUAGAGCUCCAUUUGUAUAUCAUUCUAUUUUUAUUUUUUUUUGCAAAGAAAAACCUCGUUUUGCAUAACUGUUCCUAUGUCUUUUUAUUAUUGAUGUAUGUUUGACAUUUUUAAUAUCUUAGAAGAGCACACAGAAAGGUUUACGAGGAUUCCAAGGGAGGCUACUGAUUUUUGCUCUCCAUGAGAAGAGCAUCAUGGAACUUCUAACUGAGCAUUGAAUGUCAUAAUGAGAAAGAUUGGCAGUUGCACACCCAAGAGAAUGCUUUUUUUUAUCUUUCUUUUUUUUCACAAGAUAAGGUAAUUGGCUGUUGUGUGUUUUGACUUUUAGCAUUCUUCUUCUUCUUAUUAUUAUUAUUAUUAUUAUUAUUAAGAUGAGUGUCCGGACCAAUUUGUACGCAACUCGACUUAUCCCAUGGGCUCUAAAGUUAACGAUCAUGUAAGCCUCUAGUGACUCUGAGAUUUAUGAGACUCGAACUAAUGAUUUUUAGGAAGCAAACCUAGAGCCUAGGUAAUUGAGCUACACCCUUAUUAGAAUUACUUUUAACAUUCUUUUAGAUUGUCUUGUGGCGGUCCUCCAAGAUUCCGGAGGACCACCUGUAUGCAUAAGGAAAUCACUGCAUGGUUGUGUUUAAAAAUCAAAAUGGCACACAGCAAGUCAAGCAUCAAUUACUUAAGAUUUGUGGAAGAUAUGAUACAAGAGAUAAGAAAAUGAUUGCUAUUAUCCACAAUUUCUUUGCGGAGUUUCCAUUAGAUAAUCAAUAAUGUAUACAUUUUUUUUUUGAGAACUCAUUUUCACACCCCCAGUUGCCACCCUGCUUUUUUGAGAAGUAACUCAUUAGAUAAUCAAUAAAGUUUUUUUUUUGUUCAUUUACCACUAAUUUACAUUUCAAUCAAAAACUAAAUUUACUUUUACUACUAUUUUAAUUUUAAAAAAUUAUUUUUAUAUUGUUUAAUGCAUUAAUUUCAAGAAAUAAAUUCCUUUUAUUUUCUCUUUCUUUUACUAAUAUUCUUUUUUCUUCUUUUUUUGAACUGCCUUAUCUCUCUUUCUUUUAUGUUUUUCAUCUUUCAAUCCUUCAAGAUUUAAAUUAUGUAGCAAUUUACAUUAGGAAUAUUGAUAACAAAUUAAAUAUAACCAGAAAAAAAAUGCAAAAAAAAAUAAUAAUGAUAUUCUAGUAAAACAUUUACAUUUCCAUUGAAAGAUGUGUCAUAUAUUAAUUAGUGGUAUGUUGUCCAUUAAUUAAUCGGUGGUUGCAAUACUCUAAAACUUGAGAUUUAUUUUUUAUGCUAGCUUAAGCAUUUAAUUUAUUUAUUUAUUGUAAACUAAAUUGAAAUUAAAGCAUAUUAUUCAUUCCCAAGCUUACAGGGCAAUGGUCUCAAGGACCCAUCUCGUAGAAAAAACGCUUGAUAGCAAUGGUCUCAUGGAUUCUAUUGUGGAAAAAAUGAGAUGGCAAUAGUCUCACAAACCAGUCUCAUGGACUCUAUCUUACUUGUUUAUUUUAUUUUUUUAAUUUUUUGUGUUCUUAAUAAUUUUAUAAAUGUUGUUGUAGGAUUUAUUUUUCAUGUGAGAUCAAUUUUUAGUUGAUUUACUUAUAGGAUUUUUAAAUAGAUUUUAAUUAUUUAAUUAUUUUUCUAGAUUUGUUAAAUAGAUUUUUUUAAAAAUAUAUUUUCUAAAUAGUCACUACAGAAUUGCAUUUGUUGGUUACAUGACAAGCUUCCCGAGAAAAAUACCGAUGAAAUGAAGGAGGUAAAUUUUUUUAGCGUGUUUUACUCAUUAGUAAAUCUAUCAGUAAUAAUAUAUUUUUAUUACUAACAAAUAAAAAAUUACCGAUAAAAAAUUCACAGACAGAACAUUUCUGUUUGUGAUCCCGUCAAUAAUUAAUUUACCUAGAAAAUUAAAUAAUAAAUCAAGAGGGGGGGCCUUUCCUUGACGAAUAUCCUCAAUGGCCUUUGGAAUCGAAGCAAAUCCUGUGGCCACAAUUUAUUGUUAGCACGUGUUUGCAAUUUACGACAUAUAUUUUGAUGAGCUACUUGUAGAGUAAGGCGCUGUUUUUGUUUCUACCUUUAGGUGAUUGCACCAAACAUAGACUAAACAAAAGGGACAUACAGUGGUGGAGAAAUUGGUUCCAGUUCCUUUUGAUACAUGUAACCAGUUUUGUAUUCUUGCUCACUUUUCAAUUUGGUUUCGGUAUCGUGUUUUGUAAUUAUUACUUACUGCUGCUGUUUUGAAUUUACUAAUCAUUUUUUUCCUUCAACUUCCCAUAUCUUUUUGUUGGAAGCUCCAUUUGUAUAGCAUCCUUUUUAGAGAAGUAACUCAUUAGAUAAUCAAUAAAGUUUCUUUUUAUUCAUUUACUAUUAGUUUACACUUCAAUCAAAAAGUAAAUUUGCUUUUACAACUAUUUUAAUUUUUAAAACAUAUUUUUAUAUUAUUUAAUGCAUUAAUUUCAAGAAAUAAAUUUCUUUUAUUUUAAAAUCUAGACAUGAAAAACCAGAUGUAUUUUAUAAUUAGGGAGAAAACUAGAGGAAUUGAAUAGUCUUCUCAUUCUAAUAAUAUAAAGAUAUAUCUUUGACUCGAUUGAAAAAAUAUAUAUUUAAUAUUGAAAUGUAAUAAAAACAAGUCAAGAAUACCUUUCCUAACAUAAAAACAAAAGAGUGUGUAUGUAUGUUAUGUAUUUGAAGUUUUUGUAUAUAAUACUAUAGCAAAUUACAAUUAUAAAGUUAAAAAGAUCUUAUACGGAAUCACACACGAAUGUCGAUAACAAUGCUAAAGUACUACAAUAAUUUUUUUAUUUUAUUUUAUUUAUAUAAAUUGGAUAAUUAGUAAUUAAAAUAUAAUUAAAUGCAAAUAGACUAAGUGCUAAACAAUAAAAUAAAAUAAUAUUCAAAUCCAAGAAUAUUCCAAAAAAAAAAAAAUCAAAUCUCAAACAUGAAACUCUAAAUUAUUACGAGAGAGAAGUAUAAUUAUAAAGUCAUGAAAACAAUCUUACGAAUGUCUACAAUAUUUUUAUUAUUUAUUAAUUUAUUUUAUACAUUGAAUAAUUAGUAACCAAAAUAUAAUUAAAUACAAAUAGACUAAAGACGGAACUGAACAAUAAAAUAAAGGCCGAACUGCACAAGAUAAUAUUCAAAUCUAUAUUAUCGACAAACACACCAUAAAGACCGAAGUGUCAGACUUUGGCACUUUCUAGGUUAAUUCCGUUGGAUUAUGUUGAAUAGUCAACAAUGGUGCGAGGUACUCUAGGAUACUUAAGGGCCAACUGACGGACAAAAGUGAUGUUUACAGUUAAAAAUUCAAGUGCCUAAGGGCCUUUAAGUGCCUUCGAUAAGCCUAAGGGCCUUUAAGUGCUGAACAAUAAAUAAAUAAAAAUAUUCAAAUCCAAGAAUAUUCCAAAAAGAAAUAAAAUAAUAUUCAAAUCUCCAAACAUGGAACCUGCACAAGAUAUAUAGAUAAAAUCAAGGAAAUUAAAUGGCCAAAGUGUAGUAUAAAUAGGACCUCUAUGGUUGCCCAAAGACACAUAACAAACAACAAUAUUCUACGUAGUAAUUCAUAGAAUUAUCUACGAUGAUGAUGAAAAGAAUGGGGGCUUUGAUGUUGCUAGCAUUAUUGACUCUGGUUGGCGAAUGGUAUGGUCGUUGUUAUGGUUGUUUGGAGGAAGAGAGGAUUGGUCUCUUGGAGAUCCAAUCUUUGAUCGACCCAGAUGGCAUUUACUUGAUGGAUUGGGUGGACGACAAUAGUAAUUGUUGUGAGUGGUAUGGGAUCGAGUGUGAUAACACUACAAGACGAGUGAUCCAACUCUCUCUUAGUCGGGAUUACAGCUUGGGCGAUUGGGUUCUCAACGCAUCUUUGUUUCAGCCUUUCAAAGAAUUGCAAAGUCUUGAUUUGGAAUGGACUAGAUUGGUUGGUUGCAUGGAGAAUGAAGGUUAGUUCAAUGUUUCUGCACUUAAUUAUAAUCAUAAAAUAAAUGAAGGUUGGUUGGUGUUUAAUGUCAAUUAUCUUGCUUUGAUGAUUCUCUUCCAGGCUUCCAAGUCCUAUCAUCAAAACUGAGGGAACUUGGCCUAAGUUUUAACCGAUUUAAUAAUGAUAAAAGCAUUUUGUCAUGCUUCAAUGAUAACCUUUCCACUCUCAAGUCUUUGGAUCUAUCAUAUAAUGGGUUGACAGUUGGAUCAGGAGGUAGCUUCUAUGGUAACCUUUUAGUUAUUUAUUUAGCUUUGAAACCUUUUCUUUUCUCCUCCUCAUAUCAUUUUUUUCUAUGCGUUUAAUUAUUUCCUUCCAAUAUGCUCUUGAGGAACAUCAUGCAGGUUUCAAAGUCUUGUCAUCAAGGUUGAAAAAGCUGGAGAACCUUUAUCUAAGUUAUAAUCAAUACAACGAUAGCAUUUUUCCAUCUCUUACUGGAUUUUCAUCCCUCAAGUCUUUGGAUCUAUCGACUAAUGAGUUGACAGGAUCAGGUAUAAUACACAGUUUCUACCUAAAUGCUUCACAUGACAUUCUCUUAAUUAUAUUGUUUCUUUAUCAACAAAAAUGAGGACUUUAUAUCUAUUUAAUAAAAACUAUCAACAAAACUCUCUAAUACAAAUCACUAGACAGCCAACAAGAGAUUGCCAAUUUCUUUAUUAGAAAAACUCUCGAACUGUUUUAUCAAUGAAGACCACAACAUAAAACCCACAUAUUUGAUAUUUGAUAUUUAAUUCUUGUUUGUAGCCAUUUAUUAUUUCCUCUCUUUUUAAUUAUGGUUUUAUAUUAUUUUGGACCUUUGUUUAAUCAAAAUAUUUUCUGCUGUGGAGGAUAUAUUGCCUUAUGGUCAUGGUGAAUGGUGAAAUAUUUGGACUGAAAUAAAAUGUGAAAAAGUUUAUAAUUCUUUAAUGCCUUGGAUAAAAUUAGGAAAGUACUUGCUAGAAAACAGAGGCAGUUAGGAACAAAUUAUAAUUACUAAAUUAGUGACAACUAAGCAUCUUACUAACUAAAUAGAUAGAGGAAUUAAGUUAUGAUUAUUAUUCUUGUUUAACAGUUAUUAUUCUUGUUUUAAUUACCGAUGAGGUCUUAAUUAUAAGUUUCUUUAUCUUGUUUUGUAAGUCUAUCAUAACUUAGCUUCCAUCUUUUUAUGUAUAAUUUGAGAAUCAUAUAUCAAUUGAACAACAUAUCUCAUCAAUUCUAAUUAUCUUUAGUUUCUAUCUAUUAUGCAUAUCAUGAGCUCAUAAUUAUGACUUACUUUUAGAAACAGGUUUUGAGAUCAUAUCAUCACAUUUGGGGAAUCUCGAGAACCUGAAACUGAACUAUAAUAUAUUCAACGACAGCAUUUUCUCACAUCUGCGUGGACUUUCAUCUCUCAAGUCUUUAGAUCUUUCACACAAUCAGUUGACAGGAUCUGCUGGUAUCAAUAGUAAGUUAUAUAUAAUUUCUACCUAACUACUUUACAUGACAUCUUAUCAAUUCUGAGUGGGCUUUCAUCCCUCAAGUCUUUGGAUCAAUCAAACAAUAUGUUGACAUGAUUAGGUAUAAUACACAGUUUCUACCUAAAUGCUUCACAUGACAUUCUCUUAAUUAUAUUGUUUCUUUAUCAACAAAAAUGAGAACUUUAUAUCUAUGGAAAGAUAAAUUGUGUCAUCUCCUGAGUCCAGAUCUAUUAUCGGCAAUGCAGGAGCGGUGUUGAGAGGACACUUCACUUAUGCUAAGCCUCAUAACAAACAUAUCAAAAAAACAAGUUAAAAAUACACAAUAAGUUUUGAGAUCAUAUCAUCACAUUUGUGAAAACUCGAGUAAUUAGAUUUUUCACAAAAUCAGCUGACAGGAUCUAUCACUAGUAAGUUGCAUUCUCUAUAUCAAGAAAAUUGAGGACUUUAUAUCUAUUUAAUAAUCAAUUUAAUUAUAGCAUUUUAUCAUUUUUUAUUGAGCUUUCAUCUCUAAGAAUUUAUAUCUAUAUGCUUUCAUGUAUCAUUUUAAUAUCUAAAAGAUACUUUCAUCACUAUUUUGACUAUUUCGAGAUAAAUUGUACAGGUUGGUGUGAAUUGAAGAAUUUGAAGCAGUUAGAUCUCUCUGGAAAUAAUUUUGGAGGUUCGCUCCCAGAUUGUUUGGGGAAUUUGUCAUCUCUACAACUAUUAGAUGUUUCUGAAAACCAGUUUACUGGAAAUAUUGCCUCUGGUCCUCUUUCCAACCUCAUAUCCCUUAAAUUCCUCUCACUAUCAAAUAACCUCUUUGAAGUUCCCAUUUCAAUGAAGCCUUUUAUGAACCACUCAAGCCUCAAGUUCUUCUCCAGUGAGAACAACAGACUAGUAAGGGAACCUGCUGCCUUUGAUAAUUUGAUUCCAAAGUUCCAACUAGUUUUUUUUAGCUUGUCGAAAACAUCGGAAGCACUCAACAUAGAAAUUCCCGACUUCCUCUAUUACCAAUACGACUUAAGAUUCCUUGAUCUCUCCCAUAACAACAUGACCGGAAUGUUUCCAUCGUGGUUGCUUAAGAACAAUACACGAUUAGAGGAACUAUAUCUGAGCGAGAACUCUUUUUUUGGUACUUUGCGGUUGCAAGACCACCCAUAUCCGAAAAUGAUCGAAUUACAUAUAUCCAACAACAACAUGAGUUGGUCAAAUUCCAAAAGAUAUUUGUUUGAUCUUUCCAAAUCUAUACACCUUAAUGAUGGCUAAGAAUGGAUUCACAGGUUGUAUUCCUUCUUGUUUAGGAAAUAUUAGCUCUUUUUCAGUUUUGGAUUUAUCCAACAAUCAAUUGUCUACGGUAAAACUAGAACAACUAACAACAAUAUGGUUUCUCAAGCUGUCAAACAACAAUUUGGGUGGGCAAGUACCAACCUCGGUGUUCAAUUCUUCUACCUUAGAAUAUCUCUACCUAGGUGGUAACAACUUUUGGGGCCAAAUAUCAGAUUUUUCAUUAUAUGGGGGGAAAGUGUGGAUGGUAUUGGAUUUGAGUAACAAUCAGUUUUCAGGCAUGCUUCCAAGGUGGUUCGUCAAUUCUACUUAUCUUACCGCAAUUGAUAUGUCCAAAAACCAUUUUAGGGGUUCGAUUCCAAGAGACUUUUGUAAGCUUGACCAGCUUGAAUAUUUGGACCUUUGUAAGAAUAGCUUGUCUGGAUAUAUACCAUCUUGUUUUAAUCCACCGUCUCUAACCCAUUUGCAUCUAUCCGAAAAUAGAUUGAGUGGUCCAUUAACAUAUGGAUUUUAUAACAACUCUUCCCUGUCUUCCCUAGUUACGAUGGAUUUUCGAGGUAACAACUUCAUCGGCUCCAUUCCAAAUUGGAUUGGCAAUCUUUCAUCAUUGAGUGUUCUUCUUCUGAGGGCUAAUCACUUUGAUGGUGAGCUCCUUGUUCAGUUGUGCUUGUUAGAACAAUUAAGCAUUUUGGAUGUUUCACAAAACCAGCUCUAUGGUCCACUACCCUCCUGUUUGGGCAAUCUUACUUUCAAGGAAAGUUCCCAGAAAGCGUUGGCGUAUCACACAAAUUAUUAUCAACUAGGGUCCAUAGAAAAAGCUUAUUAUGAAAAAUUGGGUCCACCACUAGUGGAAAGCAUGCACACAUUAGCAAACAGUUUGUUGGUUAACUUUACAGAAGAAGCGAUAGAAUUUACAACUAAAAAUAUGUAUUAUGGUUACAAGGGGAAAGUUCUUAGCUAUAUGUCUGGUAUUGAUCUCUCCAAUAACAACUUCAUAGGAGCGAUUCCACCUGAAUUUGGGAACUUAAGUGAGAUACGAUCAUUAAACUUAUCACACAACAAUCUCACUGGAUCUAUCCCUGCAACAAUCUCAAACCUAAAGCAGAUUGAGAGUUUGGAUAUUUCUUACAACAACUUGAAUGGUGUUAUCCCUCCACAACUUACUGAAAUUACCACACUGGAAGUUUUUAGUGUGGCGCACAAUAACUUGUCAGGUAAGACACCCGAGAGAAAAUAUCAGUUUGGGACCUUCGAUGAAAGCUGUUAUGAAGGAAAUCCUUUCUUGUGUGGACCUCCAUUGCAAAACAAUUGUAGCGAGGAAGUAGUGCCAUCGCAGCCAGUGCCUCAUGAUGAACAAGGAGAUGAUGAUUUCAUAGACAUGGAGUUUUUCUACAUCAGUUUCGGUGUAUGUUACACAGUUGUGGUGAUGACGAUUGCAGCAGUUCUCUACAUCAAUCCAUAUUGGCGACGCUGGUGGUUGUACUUCAUCGAAGACUGCAUAGAUACUUGCUACUAUUUUAUGGUGGCUAGUUUUCGCAAGUUCUCCAACUUCAGAAGGUGAAUUUGUUACUGGGGAGACGGUCGUUCUUAGUUUGUGAUGAUUGUUUGUCUAGCUAUUGGGUGCUUAAUCUGUAGUGUACUGUCUCUAAGCUCAGUCUUUUUAUAUGAUUAGUUAUUUGGGCUAAAUAUAUAAGCUGGACUUGGGUGUGAUUACUCUUUCAACUCUCAAGACUUGUCUGAAAAUAAAUUGCCAAAACCACUACUAAGUAGAAACAAAAUAUUCUAUGCAUGUGUGACAGCACUUACAUCUGCCUCUGUUUCAAGGGCGACAACAGUUGUUCAAUCAAAGCAUUGAAAUCAUAGCAAGAAGAUCCACCUUUUCAACAGCCUUCCUGGCCGUUUCUCCUAGCUUCUUGACUCUUUUUAUCUUCUACCUACCUGAUAAAUUGAUUCCCAGAAGCUUCGAGACCUGCUGCAAUCUCCUUAAUUAAGCCAAGAAAUAAGGCGCAUGGGGCUACAAGGUGUGAUAGUUAAUGGAAGUAGUUGAGACCAGCAAGAAAAAGCUAAACAAAAAGCAAAUAAAUAAAGGGAGUGAUCACUCUAAUUGCUUGCCCAGUACCAACAUAUAAUUCUCUGCCUCAAUGAUGCCUUCUACACUCACAGCCACACUGUCUGAUCGUGCCAUUCUUUUCUGCUCCUAAGGCAGUCAAAGCCAUUCAACCCACUCAAUACAGUCUUCACAUUGCUCACAGCUUCAACUUUGUAGAGUGGUGGGUGCGUCUUGUAAUGCAACUGAUCAUAAUGUAUACGAUGCUUCUUUUUAUUUUGCGCAUACACUGCAUGGCUUGCCUAAUAUUCCCCAGUAUUUACUGCCUAGCUUAUUAAUUAGUUUAAGUAAAUGCUAGCUUGCAAGAGAGAAAAGAUCAGGAGCCGAUCGAGUUAUCCUAGUCUUAUGAUCCUGAUCAUGAGUUUGACAUGUUAACUUGAGUUGAAUCAAGUUAUUUUUUUAUUUACUUUUUAUAAGAUUAUCUUUAUCUUAUGACUCGAAUCAUGGGUUUGACAAGUUAACUAAGGUCAAGUUGUUUUCUUAUUUCUUAAUUAUUAUUGUUUAAAUUUUAUUAUUAAACAUUGAAUUGAUUGGGAAUUAAGCUUCAUAAUUUAUUUUGAUUUGCUUUAUAUAAAGUUAUUAUGGUCUCAUGAUCUAAAUCGAAGGUUUAGCAAGUUAACUCGGGUUGAUCCGGAUCAAUCUAAUAUAUUGUUAUUUUAAUAUUAUUUAAAAAAAAAAGAUAUUAUCUUGAUUUUUUUAUGAAUCAAAUAAUGUUUUUCUUAGUCGUCCAAAUUAUUACUGAUUGAGGCAUUGAAACACAAGUAAGGUGUAAGCACUACUUAAGAUUUAGAUCUACAGCUGGUCUUGAUAAAGAUACGCACGGCGGUCUCCUUUUUACUCAGUGCAAUUCAUAACAGAGCAGCAUUAGAAGGACAUUUCGAUGACUUGGUGUUCAAGCAAGAGAGGACAUUCCUUACCUUUUGCACAGGUGUGGCUGUUGCAGAUCUGCUUGGACAUUCAAAUGACUGUACGGUACUCUAAAGUACCAAGGCAGUAAGGUGAUUCUUGGCCCAGAUAAUUAACAAUUCGAUCAAUCCUUGCCUGCCUAGGCAUUGGUCUUUUUUCUCAUCUUCAUAUAUUAUUUGGACUGAACCCUGAUUUUAACAAGGCAACCUGCCUCGUAAAUGGGUUUUCACAUUUAUUAAUCAAAUUCUCACUGUCGUUAAAAAAAAUAAUCCUUUUCUCAUUAUUACUUGUCAAUAAACUAUAGGAAUAAUUGAAGUUUGCCACUUCGAAUACUCAUGUUGAGCGAUUGACGCUUCUUUUCCUCUUUCUGCUUUAUCUUCAAUGUCUCUAUUGCAUGGUGAAACCGGGCCUACGUCAAUCCACACCCUCUUUAAUUGACCUAACCAUACAGAUUCCUCUUCUACAGAUUCAUGGAUCCCCUUAUUCAAAGCAGAGGAAUGAUUCAAAGCAGAAAAUACAAGAAGGAGAACAGAGUUGACGAUAGCAGAGGAGAGUAGAAAAGAAUGCAGAAGACAGAAACGAGACUGAAAUUGAGCUUCAAUUUAUUUCCACCAAUAUAAUCCCUACCAUGUGCUUUUAUAAGGAUCAGCAUCAGUUACUACCGGACUAACCAACUAACUGUAACUAACUAACAAACUCUGCGAACAGAAUCUUCUCUAACUAACUAACAGAAUCUUAACCACUAAACAGCAGCUUGCGUGUCCUAUGCGCUUUCGACCCUUAGCCCCUCUUGCCUUUCCACCAUAGUCUUUAUUCUGCCAUCCUGGGCGUAACAUAGCAUAGCUUCUUGAAUCUCUGUUUCUAAUCGGAACAGGGAAGCAACGAGAAGCUUGGAGUGGUCGCAGAUUGUCUUUCUUGUGCUCAUGAGGCUGCCUGUCGAAACGCUGAAGAUUUGCCCGCAGCUUGUAGGAAUCAAACCAAAGCCCCUUUUAAGAAAAUUUAAUGACCAAAAGGAAAAAAAUCAUAAAAAUCUGCCGUGUUUUUAAAAAAAUCUAGUUAGAUCAAAGGAGAAGAUAUAUUAUAGAUUCAUAAAAAGCUUAAAGUAGAUAAACAUCAAACAUUGAUUAAACAUCUAACAAUGCAAAGCUGAUGUUUGAUUGCAAAAACAUAAAUGGUAGUCAUUAGAAGGUUAUGUUUGAUGUCCCAGACGGUAAAAAGAUGAUUCAACAUGACAGCCUCAAACCCAUGUUUUAAGAAGAUCGUAAGCCAGUAAUCUAGUCAAAUAUUUUGGCUUGGAUUUGUAGUAAAUCCUGUGAAAUUUUUGCUACAAUAUCCUCAUCAUUCUCUCUUCCCCCUGAUAAAAUCUCUCGUCCCGUGUUUACCCAUGUUUGAUUUUUUUUUUUUUUUUAAAUCUCUCGUCCCGCAUCAUCGUGUUUUUGCUACAAUAUCCUCGUCAUUCUCUCUUCCCCCUUUUCUUUUCUUAAAAUCUCUCGUCCCGCAUCAUCAUAAUUGGUUGACAUGGAAACCCAGAUAAAGAUGAAAGAGAACCAUGCUGCAAGCUUGACAUAUUGUUCUGCUGCAUUGUUGGUAUAGAGCCGUGCACAUUCAUUGAUUGCAACUGGGGAUUCAGUUGAUUUUGUUGGGACUGCAAUUGAGGAAUUGGAGGGUGGGGAAGUUGUCCUAUUCUUCCGUGUCGAUGCAUGAUUAGUGCAGAUGAUACAGUGACAGGCAAUGCUGAUGAGGAAAACAAAUGAAUACAGAAGCUCAACGUGGGGAAAUUACAGAUAAUCAUGCAUGAACAGAUAAUCCGGAAGCAAUUGCAGAGACAAUGUACCUGCUGUAACUUGGCAGCAAUUCUCUGAUACAUUUCAUUUAUUUCAGGGAAAUAAGUCUCCUUCAUGACUUUGAUCUAGGAAGUACAAAUAACCAGCAAAACAUUAUCGGUCACAUGCUUGAUUUCUUCAGGUGCCAGUCAGAAAGAAAGUAACACAAACAAACUUAAGGGAAUUGAUAAAAAUAAAAUAACAAAAAAAGGGAAGAGGACAGCAUAUAUUAGUUGAGAUAAAAAUAGCAGAGUGGAAUUAAUGCUGGAAACUCAAGAGGAUGUCGAUAUAGAUGGAAUGGAAAGAUGCAAAGGGCUGUGUAAGUACACCUUUAGACAAGAUUCAGGGGUUGGUUAAGUUCAGUUACUUUGUCUCCCUGCAAACUACUCAUCAUUGUUUUCUGUUGUCAUAGCUCAAGACAAUGGAUGUCACAACUUUAGCAACGCUUCUUAGCCUUAUAGAUCCUAAGCAUGACCCCAUGUAUCAUCAACAGCCAUUCUUAUUCCCGUUUUAAUACUCUCCUAAGCACACAAAAAAAAUGUCCUUAUCAACCUCAUUUUCUAUAAAAUUCAACAAUACUGGAUAUGGUCAUGAUUCAAUGGAAUAAGUCCCACUUAUUUUCUUUUUCUUCCAUAGUCACAUUUUUCAGAACAAGUUGAUUGCAAUCGUGCAAAUAACUCUUCACUUAACCAAAGAUAAACUGUAAGUCAUUCAGAAAUAGUGCACUCUUAUUUUUAAGUCUGUCUAAUGCAGUAAGAAGAAAUGACAAUAGGACUCGUUGGAAAUAAAUAAUAAAAUAACAAUUCACCACACAACAAAUAUAGGGGGAAAAAUCGAAAGGGAGAGGUUUGCAAUAAAAGACUGCCGUGCCAGAACCAAGAAAGCAAUCCUCUUGACCUAGAAAUCUGAAUAUUUUUACCGUCAUUCAUCUAAUCAAUGAUUACUCAUUUCUUAGUUGCUGCAAUCAUGGAACUUACAAUGCUUCCUAACUAAUCCCAACCAUAGCUGAAUAAAAUUACUUGGACCAAUCCCAGGAGACCUUUUUCCAUUGAAAUUUUGCAAGACUAUGGCAUAAAUGAACUCCAUCUAAAGAGAGUCAGGAACGGCAAGAAGAGUAUAAGCACAUCAAGAACAUGAAAAAUGGAAUGUCAGUUUAUUCAGACUUGAAUAGACUUAAAAAGAACUUCCGUCUAAUAUCAUGUACUUUAUUAAAGAAUUCAGCCAAAUAUGGAUGCAUAAUAAAUAUACACCACCAAAUGAAUAUCAGCAGACUAAAUACCACAGCACAAAUAGAAGAUGAAGAGGCCAGAAACACUAACCCAUCCCAAAGAGAUUGUCUAGGAUGUUUUAAUCCAGGAAGAAGAAGAAGAAGAAGAAAACAACGAGCAUUAACAACGAAUAUUUCAUGUUAUCAUCAACUCUAAAGAGCAGACUGAAUAUUUCACGUAACAAAUUUACAGGCAGAUCUUUCUUUGAAUAGACAGCACAAUAACCCUGACCAUACUAAAUGCUCCACCCACAGUAGAGUCGGCUGAUUGCGCCUUUCUUCAAGUUGCGUUCACGAGCAGCGAUUUCAUCGGAGCAGAUGAGAGGAAUUUGGAUUAGAGUUUUAAUUAUGAUGCCAAAUAAUUCUUUAAGCCUAGAUGAUUUUUUUAUGGUGCGCAAAACAUAAACUAUUUCAUUCCAAAAUAUUUACAAGUAAACACUCACGAAUAUGAUGAUAAAAAUUGGAGUAAAAUUUUACAUUACCAGUGUCUGUUUUUUGUGAAACAAACAAAUUAAUCCCUCAAGUUUUUUAAAUAAUUGAUUGAUUCUUUGAUCACAUUUUAACGUCAUGUAAGUGGAACAAAUUGAGGAAUUAUUGCUGACAGCUCUACAUUUGACUAACGAAAAAACUAAUGAGGGGACCAGUUUAUUAACAUAAUGUAAAAGUAUAGGGAUUAGUACAUACAUAGCAAAAUGCAGCAAUAAAAUGUAAAAGGGUCUGAUAACAAUGCAAAAUAUAAAACAAAAGGUAAGGAUGUUUAGAAAUUCAAAGCUUGGAUCUUGCACACUUCCCUCCUGGAUACAGGGGUUUGUUACCAUUGCCAGUGGGUAUGGCGUUUAGAGACUUGGUCUCCAUUGUAAGCAUCUUCAGAGAUAUUUUACGCAGAUAAUCAGACUGAAAUCAGAUAUCAAUAACAAAAUAUUAGAUCUCGGAGCAGUCCAUGUUACAAGAGAAGGGGGGAAAGGGAUAUAUGCUCUUUCUAAUAUGCUAGGCUUUUUAUAUUUGCAUCUUCUGUGAGGAUAUAGGAUAUGCUUCUGUAUCCUAUCUUUUUAUUUAAUUAUUUAUGUAUUGAUUCGUUAUUUGCAUUUUGCACACUUCCCUUGUACUUGAAAAGAACCUUGGUCACUCUAAAUAAAACACUUGUCAAGAGAAUUAACAGAUGAGAACUUCUACAGAAUGACCAAUGAGGAAGUGUGGACACACUACACACACGUGUACCAGCAUGAAUCCACAAACUUAUGCAUGUGUAUAUUCAUGUCUAGAGAAUAUCCAAAUUAUUGAACCUAGCAUUAGCCGAAUACCUGAUUGGUGGCGGAAGUAUAAAUCUUUUCCUCAAACCGUACGGCAAUUUUCUUGAGUUCUUGUAAUCCCUCCUGACCAGAAAACGGAAGAUGCCUCUUUAAUGUCUCCAUUCUGCACAUGUAAAACACUGCAUUUAAUUUUUAAUGACAAGGCAGGUAUAGAGAAGUUAGCAGUAGUGAGAAAGAACCGUGAACUCAUACACCACACCAAUAUCAGAAAUAUAUACAACAGAAUCAUUAGCAAAAAGUAAAACAAAUAACGAUAUAGCUGAGUGUCAGUCAAGUAAUAUAUGGCAUCAAAAUACAGACAUCUAUUUUUACUUCCUUUCCCCGUAUUAUUCCAGAGGUAUAGGGCAAUGGAGUUUACUUAGCCACCCUUCUGUCUAAAAUUCUAGUUACGAGCUUCAUGGUUAAUUUUCUUGAACUGGAAGAACCUUCCAUUUAUGGCUAUGGCUAUUCUCCAAGAUAUAUAAGUGAAUUAGUUGCAAACCAGGGGAACUCUGUGAAAACAUUACAAUAGCAUUUACUCUGAGAAGAAAACUUUUAUACAUGCACCGUAAUUGACAAAGAAAAGAAAAGAAAACCUUUUAAUUUAUGAAAAUGCAUUGAGUUAACCUUAUCUCAUGCCGCAAUAUAUACUUUACAGUGCUCAUUGGCUACUGCAAGUGCCAACAGUAGCUGUCUAUAUGAUUUUGGAUGUAGAGAUAUCACCAAAACAUUCAACUUUAUACUGAGAAACUAGGAAACCAUACACUAUUGUGACUAAUUGAUUUGUGUCUGCUGCUUUUGUACUUUAAGAUCACUAUCAUUUCAAUCCUGUAGAAGUAAAGCAAAUAGAAGGCCCAAAUCCAACACUAUACAUUUAAGUUCAGUUGCAACUCAAGGUUGAAAUUGAAACACCAAUGCUCAUAGCAAUAGAUUAACCUUGAAAUUUAAAGCGGAACAAGCUUCAUGCAGCCAUCCAAGAGGUCAUCAUCGAAAGAAGAUGUUACACAAGAAGUUCCAACAAAAAUUACUUCCCAGCACUUUUUAUUCCCUCAAGUUCACUUCUUGUGAGAAACAAGUGAAAAAUGAAAAAGACAAAAACAGAGGUGUAUGAUACUUGAGGUUGCCUCAUGGCAGUCCUGCUGAUUUUAAUUAACGUUUUGCCCUUCUCUUUUUCUUUCAUUUAAAUACAAGAUUUACUAUUUUGCAGCACUUGCACAUAUUAGGAAACAGAUACUUACAUUUUGUUGACUAUUCUUUGCCGUGAACCAGGCUGCAAUUGAGUUCUCCAAUCACCUGUGUCCAUCACAGGUUUUCCGCCUAAUCAAAGUCAUGAAAAUUGGAAUAUCAGUUUAUUCAGACUUGAAUAGAUUUAAAGAGAACUUCCAUCUAAUAGCAUGUACUUUAUUAAAGAAUUCUCCCAAACAUGGAUGCAUAAAAUCUGAACAGCCAUAACAAAUAUACACGACCAUUCAGGGCAAGGUGCUAGGAUCUUGGGUAUUCGAGUAUUGUAAGCAAGAUUUGGGCCUGAAUCUUCAUGGUGCUUCUAAAACCAAGGAAGCAAAAAACUAGCCAGCUAGUUCAUAACUUGCCGCACCAACAGAACAUGAAGAGGCCACUAACAAUAACCCAUCCCAAAGAGAUUGUCUAGGAUGUUUUAAGCUAGGAAAAGCAAGAAGAAAAGGACGAGCAUUAACCAUGAAUAUUUCAUGUUAUCAUCAACUCUAAUGAGCAGACUGGUAAGAAUCAACUUAACAGCUCUAAUGAGCAUAUCUUUCUCGGAAUAGACAACACAAUAACCCUGACCAUGCUUGACCUUGAGGUGAGUUAUAAAAUGUUCUUCCUAACUAGAUGCACAGCUACGCCUUUGGGGUGAAGUGAACUAAGUCAUUUGUUUUACACUUCCACAUGCUCUCAAGCUUUCACCUCAUACUCAAGACCAGCUGAGCAGUCCUAAAAAGAAAGAUAUAUCAUGUAGGGUUAUCAAGGCAGACCUGUUAUUUUUAUUUUUUUCGCGUUAACAUGACCAAAUUAUAAAAUUUAAACUUCUUUUCUUUCUUUCUUUUUUCCAUGUGUGAGCGAGCACAAAACCCAAGGAAAUCGAUUUGUUGUUAAAAACACAAUAAUUUUGAAGAAUUCGGUAAAUUCCAAAAAAGAAGAAUCAACCAAACAGCUCAUUUUUCGGCCAUUCCGGCAGUAAUAUCUCUUCCACUCCAGCUGCUGCAUAAACUAAUUAACAAAUAUCGAUCGAGCCUAAAAGAUUUGAAUUGAUUUCAUUCUCAACUUUAAAAUAUAACUAAAAAAUAAAAUAAAAUAAAUUUGGGUUCAAGAAUUCAGGGCUUGAUUAUUACAACAAUAACUGUGAGAAAAAUCGGAUAAUAUCAUGUAAAUUGGGGGGUUUGAAAAAGAAAAUAUUAGAAUCGGCUGAUUGUGCGUUUCUUCGAGUUGCGUUCACGAGCAGCGAUUUCAUCGGAUCCGAUUAUAUAUUUUUUUAAUUUACUUAUUAAAAUCGAAUUGCGUUCACUAGCAGAGAUUUCAUCGGAUCGAUUUUUUUUUUUAAUUUACUAAUUAAAAUGGAUUUCUGUCUCUGAAUAAUAAUAACAAUAAAAUAAAUGAAAACACCCAUAAAUUUUAUAAACAAAAGCAUGAUAGAAAAGGAAGCACCUGGCAGAAAUCUGAAGCCUUAUUGGAUGCGGCGGUUUCCGGGAGGCGGAAGAGGGAGGGAGGGAGGGAGCUCCGGCGGGGAGAGGUGAGGAAUGGCUUGUCGAAGCUUUAUGUAAUGGCCAAUACCCAUCAUCAGAACAACUUCAGGAUCGUAUAUUCUUCGAUGCAAGAGUGCCCCACACUCUAUAAUGGGUGGCAAGCUCCUUGCUUUUCACGUGAUGAUGUGCUAAAAAGAAUCCUUUUUAUUCUUAAAAUCCACCCACUAAUGGGUCGAUGAAGUGGCCACUAACAACAACGCAGAUAAGAUGUUGCUUGUUCUUACAGGGAGAGGAAGCCCAGCUCCAGACAGCAGAAUGGAGAUCGUUUUCCCACAUCUUCUAUUUGAAAUAAAAUCGUGUACUUUUAAGCUAGAAAGUUGUAAUCUUUUAUCUUAAAGGUUAUGUUAAAAUUAAAUGUUAGAAUUGCCUAUAAAAAAGGUAAUUCUAACAUGGUUUUAAUUUAAAAUUCUUCUCUUUUACAUUUCUACAGUUAAAAUUUUUACAAAAAGUAACAUAUAAAUUUUAGUUCACUAUUUGUUCUUGAUUAUGCCAUCAAGAAUAAAAAAUUGAGUAAACUUGAAAAAUAGUAUUACAAUCACAUUACUAUCACCAAAAAGCAAGUAAUAAAUUGUUUUAUAAUAAUUUAUUGUCAAUUUAUUGAUUUUAAUUUAUGGCUAUCUACACAAAAUAGAUCUACUAGAUCUAUCAAAAUUGAAAAUAAUAUUGAAAUUUCUAAAACUAAAAGUUAAUAUACAAAAAUGAUAAAAAGUUAAUUUUUAUAGAUGUUAAAGCCAUGAAUAUUUUAUCGUAUACAUCCUGUAAAAGUUAAUUUGAUAGAAUUAUAAGGGCUUUGUUACCUUUUUAUAUUCACUUUUAUUUUCAAAACAUCACAAAAGUGUUGGGCAAAGAUCCAAAUCCCCCAACCUGCCCUGCUUUCUGAUUUUGUUUAUGUUUCUCCAUUAUAAUUUUUUAAAAAAAAAUUUACACUAUUAAAAAGCUAGCUUAGCUAUGAUUUAGUUAUUUUUUAUUCUUGGUUUUGACUUCUAUAGCUUGGGGUUUUAUAUUCGUGGAGGUGGUGGAAUGGGAAGGCAGUGGUCCAAGAAUCGGAAGUACUUGAAGAAAAAGAAUACUUUCACAGAUAUUAUUGCUUGUGCUGAGUAUUGAAUAGAACAGAGGUUCUGUCCAAAGGAAAAACUGUGUGUUGAAGGAAGGAAUGCAGGGGGGUUGCUUAUCGGCUCCGUCCUUAAUAUGAGUCCUGAUUUGUUUAAAGUUGCUUUUGCUUGAGUACCUUUUGUAGAUGCUUUGACUACAAUGCUUGAUCCAACCAUCCCUCUUACAACUUCAGAGUGGGAGGUAAGCCUUUAAAUCCAACCAUCCCUCUUACAACUUCCCUUGUAAAGAUAUGAAUUUUGAACUGUAUCCACCUUUAAAUCUGGCUUUCAGUGGAACGUGAUUUUCACUUCUUUGUUUACUGCAGGGUACAUUUAUGCUCCAACAAUAGUAUGUGUCGGUGGCUAGAUGCUAGUACUUGCGUAUCACUUUUUGUUUACUGCAGGAAUGGGGAGAUCCUAGGAAGGAGAUGUUCUCCCACUGCAUGAAAUCAUAUUCUCCUGUUGAUAACGUAAGUAUUCAGCUUUGAAUCGGUUCCUCAUGUUCAUGAUUAAUAGCUUUGAAUCGGUUCCUUCUCCUGUCAGCAUGGUAUUUGGUAUGACAACUUGACAGUAGUGGUUCGUGGAAGAUGCUGCCAGCAACCAUCAAUCAAUUGGGGAGGAAGGGACCCUCAUGCAACUAUGCUCUAAAGUUGAAUGUAUCUCAUCAUUUCAAACACUUCGUUUCAUCUUUUAUAUUUCACACCAUACUUCUCUCUCUUUUGUGCUCAAAAUAUCUUCUUUGAUUCCCCAAAAAAAAUAAAAAAUGGCUGCAGAGCUUCUUCUUACGUUUGCCAUGGAGGAGACUUUGAAAAGGCUGAGUUCCAUUGCUGCUGAAGGGAUCAGACUUGCUUGGGGAUUGGAGGGCCAGCUGCGAAAGCUCAACCAGUCCUUGACCAUGAUCAAAGAUGUGCUCCAAGACGCAGCCAGAAGAGCAGUGACAGAGGAGUCUGUGAAGCGUUGGCUGCAGAACCUACAGGUUGUAGCUUAUGAUGCUGAAGAUGUUCUAGACGAGUUUGCGUAUGAGAUUCUCCGCAAACAACAGAAGAAGGGAAAGGUACGUGACUGCUUUUCACUUCACAACCACGUUGCAUUCCGUUUAAUUAUGGGUCAAAAAGUUAAGAAGAUCAAUGAAGCCCUGGAUGAAAUCAGGAAAGAUGCAUCCGGAUUUGGGCUUGGAUUGACAUCUCUACAUGUAGAUAGUGCUCAAGAAGUUAGGUGGGCUCCAGAUCGAGAGACAGAUUCCUUCCUUGACAGCUCAGAAAUUGUAGGAAGGAAGGAUGAUGUCUCUAUAGUUAUGGAUACGCUGACUAGCUUGACCAAACACCAUGUCCUUUCGGUUGUCCCUAUAGUGGGGAUGGUUGGCCUUGGAAAGACUACUGUAGCAAAAAAGGUUUGUGAAGCAGUGAGGGAGAGAAAACAUUUUGAUGUGCCUCUAUGGGUUUGCGUUUCUAAUGAUUUUAAUAAAGUGAAGAUUUUAGGAGCAAUGUUGCAAAUGAUUGACAAAACUACGGGUGGGUUGAGCAACCUAAAUGCAAUUAUGGAAAACCUUAAGAAAAAGCUGGAAAAGAACACAUUUUUUCUUGUUCUUGAUGAUGUGUGGAAUGAAGACCAAGAUAAGUGGGAUGAUUUGAAGGAGCAACUGUUAAAAAUUAACAGCAAGAAUGGUAUAAAUGCUGUUGUUGUUACAACCCGCAGUAAGAAAGUAGCAGACAUGAUGGAGACUUCUCCUGGGAUUCAGCAUGAGCCAGGGAGACUAUCAGCUGAUCAAUGUUGGUCCAUUAUCAAGCAAAAGGUGAGCAGGAGUGGACGAGAAACAAUAGCUUCAGACUUGGAGGUUAUUGGAAAAGAUAUCGCAAAGACAUGUGGAGGGCUUCCGUUGCUUGCUACUGUUAUGGGAGGAACGCUGCGGCAAAAGGAGACAGGAGUGGAAGUCAAUUCUAAACAGUAGAAUUUGGGAUUCUCAUGAUGGAAAUAAAGCUUUCCGCGUAUUGAGAUUAAGUUUCGAUUACUUGUCAUCGCCAACAUUGAAAAAAUGUUUUGCAUACUGUUCCAUUUUUCCUAAAGAUUUUGAAAUUGAAAGGGAAGAUCUAAUUCAACCUUGGAUGGCUGAAGGUUUUCUAAGCUCAUCAAAUGGGAGGAUGGAAGACGAAGGCAACGAGUGUUUCAAUGACUUGCUUGCAAAUUCCUUUUUCCAAGAUGUUGAAAGGAAUGCGUAUGAGAUCGUAACAAGUUGCAAGAUGCAUGAUCUUGUGCAUGACCUUGCAUUUGAGGUGUCAAAAUCAGAAACGUUGAAUCUGGAGGCGGAUUCAGCUGUAGAUGGCGCAUCUCAUAUUCGUCAUCUCAAUCUCAUUUCUUGUGGGGAUGUUGAGUCAGCAUUAAAAGCGGUUAUGCUAGAAAAUUGCGUACUGUUUUCUCAAUGGUUGAUGUAUUAAAUGGGUCUUGGGAAUUCGACAGGUUGAGAACUCUCAAAUUGCGACGGUCUGAUAUCACAGAGUUACCAGAUUCAAUUUGCAAGCUGAGACAUUUGAGAUAUCUUGAUGUCUCCGAUUCUGCUAUUAAAAUAUUGCCAGAAUCCAUCACCAAGCUCUACCUUUUGGAAACAUUAAGAUUCACUGAUUGCAAGUCACUAGAAAAGCUUCCCAAGAAAAUGAGAAAUUUAGUCAGCUUGAGACAUCUUCAUUUUGAUGAUCCAAAGCUAGUGCCAGCUGAGGUGAGACUCUUAACAAGCCUUCGAACUCUGCCUUUUUUUGUUGUGGGUCCGAAUCAUAUGGUAGAAGAGCUGGGAUGUUUGAAUGAACUAAGAGGAGCAUUGAAGAUAUGCAAGCUUGAGCAAGUUAGAGACAAAGAAGAAGCUGAGAAGGCAAAACUGUGUGAAAAAAGAAUGAACAAAUUGGUGUUUGAAUGGAGUGAUAAUGGUAACAAUAGUGUUAACAACGAGGAUGCGCUGGAAGGCCUGCAACCUCACCCAGACAUAAGAAGCUUGACAAUUAAGGGUUAUUGUGGUGAGUAUUUCCCAUCAUGGAUGUCUACAUUGCAACUCAAUAAUCUGACGGUCCUAACGUUGAACGGUUGCAGCAAGAGCAGACAACUCCCAACACUUGGAUGUCUUCCUCGCCUUAAGAUUCUUCACAUAACUGGAAUGCCUAGUGUGAAAUGUAUAGGUAAUGAGUUCGAUAGUAGUAGUGGCAGGGCAGCAGUGCUGUUUCCAGCACUGAAAGAACUCACUCUAUCCAGUAUGGAUGGUCUUGAAGAAUGGAUGGUACUAGGUGGAGAAGGUGAUCAAGUAUUCCCUUGUCUUGAAAAGUUGUGCAUUGAGGGGUGUGGCAUGUUGAAAAGCAUUCCGAUAUGUCACCCUUCAUCUCUUGUACACUUUGUAAUUCGAAGAUGUGAUGAACUGAGAUAUUUAUGUGGUGAAUUUCAUGGCUUCACACCUCUUCGAAUUUUGAUGAUAAUUAAUUGUGAGAAGCUGGCAUCCAUUCCAAGCGUACAACACUCCACAGCUCUGGUGGAAUUGAUCAUAUGGAACUGCCCUGAGUUGAUCUCCAUUGCUGGUGAUUUCCGAGAAUUGAAAUAUUCUUUGAAGAAAUUGUUUAUUUAUAGAUGUAAAAUGGGAGCUCUUCCAAGCGAACUACAAUGUUGCGCAUCUCUAGAGGAAUUGCGGAUAGAGUAUUGCAAAGAGCUUAUCCAUAUCAGUGAUUUGCAAGAAUUGUCUUCGCUUCGAAGAUUAGUGAUUAGAGGUUGUUACAAGCUCAUCAGUUUUGAUUGGCAUGCUUUACGACAAUUACCUUCUCUUGUUCUUUUAGAAAUCAGUGGGUGUCGGAGUUUGAGUCAUUUCCCAGAGGAGGAUUGCUUAGGCGGCUUCACCCAACUAAAGGAAUUGAGCAUCGGUGGCUACUCAGAGAAGCUAGAGGCUUUUCCUGCCGGAGUUUUGAACUCAGUCCAACACCUCAACUUGAGUGGGUCCCUUGAAAGACUAUGGAUACGGGGAUGGGAUAAACUGAAGAGUGUACCACACGAACUACAACACAUCACUACCCUUGAGUCAUUGUGGAUAUGUGAUUUCAGGGGAGAUGAAUUUGAGGAAGCAUUGCCAGAAUGGUUGGCCAACCUUUCUUCUCUUCGAUCUCUCUGGAUUUGGGAUUGCAAGAAUCUCAAGUAUAUGCCAAGCUCAACAGCCAUUCAACGCCUCUCCAAAUUAAAGGAAUUGAGGAUUUCAGAAUGCCCACUACUAUCAGAAAAUUUUAGAAAGGAGAAUGGCUCCGAGUGGCCCAAGAUUUCUCAUAUCCCAUCAAUCAUCUUAGAGGGUACACGUGUACAGGGAAGUAGGGAUUAAAUUUUUAUGUUACUUUGUAUGCAGUGGAGGAGAAUUUAAUAAUAACUCAAGGAUAGUGGAAAUUAAACGUCGAUAAUCCAAGUCUCCAACUCACUAUGGCUCAUAUUUGAACCGCUGAACACUUGAUUUGUGCACUAAUUUUCAUUCACUUCAUUUUCGUUGAAUAAUUUUUUUUUAUUGCAUUCGUUGAAUAUAAUUACUGUACAUUCAUAGUUUAUAUAUACUACUUAUCAUACAUGCUUUGCUGCAUUACUUGAAAAUGGAUAGCACUCAUCUUGUGAAGACUGCAGAAACUAUGAAGCAGUCUCGUUUUUUUUUAAAAAAAUAUCCCUCUCUAUAUUGUUUUUGUUUCCAAGACUAAUAACAAAUUGGCUCUUUUAACAAUUGUAUAUGCAGUAGAAACUCCAAGACUGGAGAAAGCCGUGGAUUGGUCAUUUAAAGCUUCUGCAGAAUAGUGUUUGUCUUGCUGCAUUGUGGAUAAACGUGUGGUCUGCACAGUUUUCUGUUGUCUUUCGCCGAUAAAUAUACUCGUCAGAGAUCAAGAAAAUGGACGAAGCUCACAAAAAUAAUAGAGCUUAAUAUGGGAAUGGAUAUGAAUUAUUACUUGUUUAUAUGCAAUGUAACUUAACAAGUACAUUUGUCAGAAAGAAAGAAAAUGAAUGCAGGUGGCAGCUUAUUACCAAGAUAGUAGUGCUUUAAUAUAUAUGGGCAUGGAUGUGAAUUCUUACCUGAAUGUAAUGUAUCGUCUGCUAUUUUGUAUUGUAUUUCUUUCUUAACAUUUGAGAAUUCAAUUUUUAUGAAGUUAUGUAUAUUUCAGAGACUAAAUUGAAGUUCCCACCAUAUAUUUUAUGCCCAUAUUUGCAUCUUCUGAUGAGAUUGAUUUAUAUAUAAUUCUACAUCACAUUAGCAAACUACAAAGAAAAAAAAAAAAAAGAGAAAAGAACUGGGCAGGCUCGAGGUGUUAAUUAACAUAUUAAAGAAAGAAUAGUCCUGGAAAUACUAUAAUGAGCAUAGAUUAAUUAAUCCACAUAUUUUUUCAAAGAGAUAGGAUACAAACAAAUCAAUAUCCCUGACGAAUAAAUCCUUGCAAGUGUGGAUGUUAUUUGUUAUCUGGGCUUUGCACUUUCCUAAAUUAAUGAAUUUUGCUACUGUUUAAAAAAGAAUACAAAAAUAAAUAAAAAAUUAAUGGUAGCUUGACAUACUUAUGGCAUAGACUGAACCAUAUUCACCUAAUCCUCAGAAAAAAAUGUCGAAUUGUCAAGAACACCAGAGUGUUCUGCCUUUGGUGUCGUCUGCACUUGAUGAGAGAACAAAAAUGCCAGUUAUGGCUCUCAGAAAACAAAAAAGAAAACACCCAAAAACAUGCCAGCCAUUGGUUUCCUAACUGGUCAAAAUUCAUGUUUGACUUGCCCAAGACUCUUUUCCUUGUUGAGUUGGAAAUAGAUGGCAACUUCCUAUUAGUUAGGAAGCCUAUGGAGAACUUCUUUGGCUCAUCAUCACAGCAUUAUAUGUUCGUAAGAGAGUACAAUAAUCCUUCCAUCAUCAAGCCUCUGAUGAUAGCUCAACAAAACCAUGAUUUCUUAGCUUAGAUUUGACGUGUUCAUACUUGGCACUAAUCAAUGCAAGAUUGUCGUUUACAAUGUCUUUAAAAAUGUCCCUGAAAACAAUCUCGAUAAACUGCUAGGACCAUCUGGAGCAGCUGCUGCAUCAGACAUCCAUUACUCUUGUAAACAUCAUUUCACUUUUGAUGGGUCGUUGGUGAUUGUAUUAAUUUGGUUACAGCAUUGUAUUAAUUUGGCAAAUCUCGAUCCAGGGGUUUGUUACCAUUGCCAGUGGGUAUGGUAUUUUGAGACUUGAUCUCCAUUGCAAGCAUCUUCUGAGAUAUUUUACAUAGAUAAUCAGACUGAAAUUAGAUAUCAAUAACAAACCAUUAGAUCUCCGAGCAGUCCAUGUUACAGGAGAAGGGGGGGGAAAGGGAUAUAUGCUCGUUCUAAUAUGCUAGGCUUUCUGUAUUUGCAUCUUCUGUUAGGAAAUACUUCUGUGUCCUAUCUUUUCAUUUAAUUAUUUAUGUAUUGAUUCGUCAUUUGCAUUUUGCGCACUUCCCUUGUACUUGAAAACGAAAAGAUGUGAACUUGUACAGAAUGACCAGUGAUGAACUGUGGACACACUACACACACGUGUGUACAUGCAUAAAUCCACACACUUAUUCAUGCGUCGCCGACCUUGAGGUCCUUUGAACGAACAAAUACAAACCAAUCCCCAGAAAGGGCUGGUUUCGAACCCCCUCCUGUUGGGACUCUACAACGAAAUAUCCACACUUGGCCUCUCGGGAAAUCUCUUAUACAGUAUUGUUGAGUUUCUUCGUGAAGUUUUUUUUCCAUCGCUUAUCUCGAAGAAGUAGAUGGGCAAUUUACGAGGCAACUUGCCCCUUGCAAUAGGAUUGAUAUAGUGCCGCACUCUACAAAACUGUGAAAAGGAAACGAGCGUUAAGGUCCUCUUGUUCUAACCAGUGAAUGGUCGAUCCACAGACAGAAAGAAAAGCCAGAAUCAUGUCAUCACAUGUUCAUCUUUCUGACUCACUGUGAAUUGUGAUCGAAAUAAAAAUAAGAAAAGAAAAGAAAUAAUCAACAUUCGUUUGAUCGGUUAUUUUAAGAACCAAAAAAGAAAGCAAGAUUAAAGAUCCAAACUUUUUGCAAGAUAUCCCUUUCAUGGGUCCAUUAACAUCACUAUCAUUUCUUUCACUGUCAAACCCCUCCCCCUCCCCUGCUGUUCUUGUUAUUUAUGUCUGUAUUAACUUUUCUGAAAGAAUAAAUGUUGUAGGGAGCAAAUAGUGUGUAAAUAGAAAGAGGAGAACACCACAUCCCCAAAAGAAUAAAGAAAGAAGAAGAAAACAAAACAAAGUCAAAAAACAAAGCUUUUCAAUUAAAUAAAUGAAAACGCAGACGUAAAUUUUAAAAAUAAAAAACAUGAUAGAAAAGGAAGCACCUGGUGGAUAUUUGAAGCCUUAUUGGUUGAGGUGGCGGCGGAGGAAGGAAAGAGAGAGAGCUCAGGUGGGGAGAGGUGAGGAAAGUCGGACCAAAGUGAACAGAGCUUGAAAGAUGACUUUAUUCUUUUCCAGAUUCGCUAACAAACUAAAAGAAAUGUAUUCUUGUGUUGCUUCACUGAUCAUAACUAACAAACUAAUAGAAUUAUAAAAACCAAGAGUGCUUCACUGUGUGUGAAUCCUGUGGCUUCAGUCUUUACCGCGCUCCGUCUCCCGUUUUUCGCGUUUCUUCUCGGCUGCUGAGACUCCCUGGCGUCUUUUCAUCGACUUUGUGUGCUGCAUGUUCAGAUUGAGGCGGUUUGGCUGGUGCUAGGCGCGCGAGGAGAUGUCAGCCGACGGGUAAUCACCUGCCUUGGCUUCAUUGAAGCUGUCCUCUUGGUUCACUAAAAAAAAUAUGAAAAACCAAAAAAAACUUCACUAAUAAUAUCAGGCUUGACCCUAUAGCUUAUGUUUCAUCACAGCAGAUUAAAUAAGGUUCUAGAUAACAGGAUAUAGGAGUUUACUUGGCCAUUCUAGUUACGAGCUUCAUGGUUAAUUUUCUUGAACCAGAAGAACCUUCCAUUUAUGGCUAUGGCUAUGCUCCAAGAUAUGUAAGUGAAUUAGUUGCAAACCAGGGGAACUCUGUGAAAACAUUACAAUAGCAUUUACUCUGAGUUAGAAAACUUUUUAUGCAUGCACUGUAAUUGACAAAGAAAAGAAGAGAAAUCCCUUUAAUUUAUGAAAAUGCAACGAGUUAACCUUAUCUCACUCUGCAAUAUAUAUCAGUGCUCAUUGGCUACUGCAAGUGCCAGCAGUAGCUGUCUAUAUGAUUUUGGAUGUAGAGAGGUCAAGAAAACAUUCAACUUUAUACUGAGAAACUAGGAAACCAUACACUAUAUAUUGUGGCUAAUUGAUUUUUGUCUAAUGCUUUUGUACUUUUAAUAAGAUCACUAUCACCUCAACCCUGUACAAGUUAAAACAAAUAGAAGGCCCCAAAUCCAACACCAUUCAUUUAAGUUCAGUUGCAACUCAAGUUUCAAAUUGAAACACCAGUGUUCAUAGCAAUAGAUUAACCUUGAAAUUUAAAGCGGAACAAGCUUCAUGCAGCCAUCCAAGAGGUCAUCAUCGAAAGAUGUUACACAAGAAGUUCCAACAAAAAUUACUUCCCAGCACUUUUUAUUCCCUCGAGUUCCCAUCUUGUGAGAAACACGUGAAAAUAAAAAAGACAAAAACGAAAGAAGAUGACAUCCUGUCAUUGCUACCAAAUCCUCACCAGCUGCAGCUCUAGAUCCAUUACCAGCUGCAGAACCAGCAAUUCUGUCAAUCAUACUGACAACGGAGCCAAUGUCACCGACAGAUGCACUAAGUGCUUUGGGAGACAGAGAUUUCACCUGGGAAAAAAAAUUACAGCAUCACCAUCUCAUUAACAAAGAAGUUUUCUUUUUCAGAAACCUCCAAAAUAAGGGUGGGGUGGAGUAAAACCAAAAGGAGAGCAUCACUAACCGCUUCAAUCAAGUACUCAAGUGGUUGCUCUGUAACAUUUGACUUGCCAGAAACAGUUGUCAAAGCACUGCCAUGAGAACCAUCAGGACUGGUAAAGUCUGCAAGCAAAGGUGAUGCAGAUAUCCCAGGAGUGCCAAUUGCAAGGGAGGGAGCCAGUGCUUGUGCAACAGAUGGUUGGUGUACAAUAGGAGAUGGAGCUUGCUGGUGUAAUUGCUGCUGCUGCUGCAUCUGUCGAUUCUGCAUUAAAUUCUGGUGUUGCUGCAAUCGUUUAAGCUGUUGUGUUUGUAGCAUCUGUUGUUCAUGCUGCUGCUGCUGCUGUUUUAGAUGCUGGUGUUGAAUCAUAUUGGAAUUCGACUGAAGGGGAAUAUUUGACUGCAGCAUACUCGCCCCACUUUGUGUUGACAAUGUGUUAACAUUGGUUGGUUGGGAAAUGCUCACGAGAUUCUGUUGGACAGAUCCUACAGGUGUCUGCUGCAAUGAGCUCAGUGCAUUUCCUUGUCCAGAAUCUAAAUUGGAGCCUGGUUGUAUUGGAUUCAUCAUGUUUGAUUGUGACGUCGAAUCCCCAGAUAAAGUUGAAAGAGAAUUAUGCAGCAAGCUUGACAUAUUGUUCUGCUGCAUCUUUGGUACAGAACCUUGCAUAUUCAUUGAUUGCAACUGGGGAUUCAGUUGAUUUUCAUGGGACUGCAAUUGAGGAACUUGAGAUUGGGGUUGCUGCAUAGGUUGAAUAUGAGGUUGGGGAAGUUGUCCUUGCUGUAGAUUAGGAAUAGGCUUCCUGUAUCUGCUUGGGUUUAGAAAACCUACAAUCUGCUUCUCAUAGAAACCCAAUUUCUCCUUGAAAGUAGGUGUGAUGUUGUUUUUAGAGACCUGUAAGAAUGUAUCAAGCGCUCCAACAUGACCUUGAAUACCUUCAGCUUUUCAAGCUGUUCUGACUUCGGUUGUUGCGGAAGAGGGUCAUGCUGGAAAGCAAAGUUAACAUACACGAGAAUUAAAAAUUGCAUUGACCCUUUGUAGCAAAACUAGUAAAACAUAAGUGAAAAAAUGUUUCUAUUCCAAUUCUUCUGUGUCAAUGCAUGGUUGUGGGGUGGUUGGGGGCGGGGGUAAUUAGUGCAGAUGAUACAGUGACAAGCAAUGAUGAUGGGGAAAAUAAAUUAAUACAAAAGCUCAACUUUGGGGGUUUAUGAAUCAUGUGUGAGCAAAUAAAUCAGAAAAAAUUGCAAAGACAAUUUACCUGCUGUAACUUGGUAGCAAUUCUCUGGUACAUUUCAUUUAUUUCAGGCAAAUACGUUUCCUUCAUAACUUUGAUCUAGGAAGUACAUAUAACCAGCAAAACAUUAUCAAUCAUAUGCUUGAUUUCUUCAGGUGCCAGAGUCAGAAAGCAACAUAAGCAAACUUGAGAGAAUUGAUAGAUAAAUAAAUAAAAUGGCAGAGGACAGCAUAUAUUGUUUGAGAUAAAAAUAGCAGAGUGGAAUCAAUGCUGAAAACUCAAUAGAGAAUAUAGUUGAUUGCAUGCAAAGAUGCAAAGGAUUGUGUAGUUACCCCUUCAGACAAGAUUCAGGGGUUGGUCAAGUUCAGUUACUUUGUCUCACGGCAACCUACUCACCAUUGUUUUCUAUUGUUCUCACUCAAGUCAAUGGAUGUCACGACUUUGGUAAACACUUCUUAGCUUUAUAACUUUAGAUUUAUAACCCUUAUAUCCUAAUUACAACCACUCCUAUUCCCGUUUUAGUACCCUCCCAGGCACAAAAAAAUUGACCUCAUCAAAUAUGCAGUUAUGUUGCAACUACAGCCAUUAAACGAUUCAGAAUUUCAACCUCGUUUUCUAUAAAAUUCAACAAUACUGGACAUGGUCAUGAUUCAAUGGAUUAGGUCCACUUAUUUUCCUUUCUUCCAUUGUCACAUGUUUCAGAACAAAUUUGAUGUAAUCUUGAAAAUAACUGUUCACUUAACCAAAUUAAACGAUGACUAUUCAGAAACAGUUCACUCUUGUUUUCAAGUCUGUCUAUUAUAGUAAGAAGUAUUGUCAAUUGGACUUAUGGAAAUAAUAAAAUAAUAAUUCACACACAAUAAAUGUAUGGAAAUACAGGGAAAAAAAAAAGAGAUUUGCAAUAGAAAAAUUGUCGUGUCAGUACCAAGAAAAUAACCCUCUUGACCUAGAAAUCUGAAUAUUUACCUUUAAUCAUCUUAUCAGUAAUUUAUCGUUUCUUAGUUGCUGCAAUCAUGGAACUUACAAUGCUUCCUAACUAAUCACAACCAUAGCUGAAUAAAACUCCCUUGUACCAAAUUCCAGGAGACCUUUUCCAUUGAAAUCUUGCAAGACAAUGACAUACAUGAACAGUAAACUAAAGAAAUUACCUUUUGAUAGAUCUCCUCUUGCCAAUCAGCACCAUUUGCAUGUCCAGUCUCUGCUGUAGAAUCUAGGGAUGCUACAAAAAUUUUGAUACAGCCAACAAAAGAUUAGAAUGCAUGUAUGUUUUGAAUGUUUUCUGCACACAAGGGUAUUUCUGUAAUUUUCACACUUGCUGAAAAUUAUGGAAUAUUGUAGGUCUUGGUUUUAUUUCUAUUUAGUAUUUUAUUGUUCCUAAAGAAUAAGGAGCUUUAAUAGGUUUUCCCUAUCCUAGAUAGAACCAUUAGUAUUUUCUUACAUAGGAAUACAAGUCCUUUUUGGACUUGGAGUACUAGGGACUCCAUCUCAACGUUAUGUAAUCAUUCAAACAGACAGAGAGACCCCCCUCCAACAAGUGAUCAUUAUAUAUUAAAAAAAAAAAGGCUCAAACAAUUUAUCAUGGAAGAAAAGCACAAAAGUGACACUUUACCUCCUAACCAGGAAAAUCUUUAAAAUAAACCAUCUCAAUCAUAAAAAAUAGAUAGCCAUGCAUCACAGUCCUUGUUCCUUAACAAGUUAAGGAUGAAACACUUCACAUGCCUUACAGAAUUAGCAUCGAGGAGGUGAUCAUGAGAUUUUCCAGCAAGGUGAUGAUUUAUCAGCACACCAAACCUUAAGUGCCUCAGAGUUAGUCCACUUGCUAAUUUCUUUCUUCCCAUAAAAAUCAAUUGGCUGAUGAUUAGUUACCCUAGUGUCAAAUGCAUUGUCCAGUUAUGCAUAUAUUUUUAAAAUUGAUGUCCGUUAAAUUCAAAAUGAGAGGUGAACAAUUGGUGCGAUGAGCUGGAGGGUGUGAUGUGGCAACAAACGAGUGUGAUUGCAAGGGUUUCAAUAGCAGUGGCAUCAGUAGCACAUAAAGCUACCAAAAGAGCAUUGCUGACUUGAACCAUUAUGAGAGGUGAAGAGUUGUUGCAAUGCACUGUAUGGCAUUAUGUCGUAACAAAUAUAUGUGUGAUUGCAAUGGCUCCAAUAGCAGUGGCAUUUCUGAUGCCAUAAGUGGCAGCCAUAGCUCAUAAAGCUACCAAAAAGAGCAUUACUGACUUGAACCAUUAUUGUAUUUUCAAGAAAUUUAAAUAAAUAUGUUAUAAUCUAACAUGAAAGCAUAAAGCUGCAAAAUUAAAGUUGGAGCAAGGUUAGAAAGCUGCAAGGAUGAGAAAAACUUACUUGAGGACGUUUCUGGAAGGGCUCUUUGAGGUUGAUAUAACUGCCUUUGCUGAUCAAUCACAUUUGACUGUUGAAGCAAGGAGCCUGAUGCUUGAAGCCUUAGCUGCAGAUCAUGUUGUAAUGGAUUUGAUUGCUGUUGCUGAGCUCCAAGCAACUGCUGUUGCUGUAAACCAGUGACAUUACUUUGAGAGCCCAACUGUUGCUGAUGCAUGCUUGAGAGGUUAUUCUGUUGAGCCAUUAACUGCUGCUGCUGCUGCUGCAGAUUUUGAAGGUUAUUCUGCUGCCCUAGCAAUCUCUGCUGCUGCUGCUGCUGCUGCUGCUGCUGCAAGUCCCCAACAAUGUUUUGCUGUCCAAUUAACUGAUUUUGCGACAUGUUAGUCGUAUUGAUUGUUGCCCCAUUAGCUGCUGUUGUGGAGGCAAUAGUGGCUGCUGCAUCAUUGGUGUUUGCUGCUGAUGAAUACCAGCAGACUGUUGAGGUUGUUGCUGCUGCUGCCUAAGGACUGAUUGUGGAUGUUGCUGGUGCAUUGGUUGUGUUGACUGUUGAACAGAAGAUGGCUGGUUCUGUUGAAGGCCAGAGACAGUUUGCAUCAUUGAAGGCUGCAUAACAGUUGAUGUUGGCAAACCAGAUUGCUGAGAAGAUUGCAACUGAUUUGGCUGUAACAAGUUUUGCUGCUGCUGGUGGUGGAUGUGAGAUUGCACAAGUGAGUGUGGAUGAUUUCCCUGUUGAAGCUUCUGCUUUAAAAGCUGUUGUUGUAUCUGCUGCUGAUAAAGAUACUGCUGAGGAUUUUGGGACUGCUGCUGUUGCUGUGGAGGAACAACCUGUUGCCUGCCUGGCAUUUGUCUCUGAGAAUUGACAAACAUAUUGGAGGGAAUCCCUUGUCCCAUUGAAUUCCCCGCUGGGUUCUGUGAAACACCAGAGAUACUCUGCAUGUUAGCAUUCUGUCCAACAGUGUUUGAGAUAGUCUGGGUUAAACCGGAGACAAAAGGCAUUGUUGAUUGUAAACCAGCAGAACUUUGAACUCCAUUAGAUGACAUAAUAUUCUGCAUGUUCUGUGAUAACUGCUGACGUGCUUGAGACUGAUUAGUGGGCAAUGAGAUAGGGAGCGACUGCCCUUGGUUGUGAACUUGAGGCGGCAUACUAUGAGAUGCUGUUCAAGAUAAAAGGCAAAAAGGAAAACCAUGUCAAAGGAAAAAAAGAAGGCAUUGAGCAAGAAAAACAAAUGAAACAAUGACAGUUCACACGUAAAGCUAUGAGGUAAAUAAUUAAGGUGGUUUUACCUCAAAGCAUAAAAGUACAAAAAUAAUCUGUAAUUUUUUUGAAUAUUCAUCAAUUACUCAACUUUUUUAUUAAAGCAUGGUAUAUACAUAGCAAUAUGCAGCAAUAAAAUGUAAAAGAUUUUGAUAACAAUGCGAAUUAUAAAACAAAAGGUAAGGAUGUUUAGAAAUUCAAUGCUUGGCUGCAUUAUUACCUCCUGGAUCCAGGGGUUUGUUACCAUUGCCAGUGGGUAUGGUAUUUUGAGACUUGGUCUCCAUUGUAAGCAUCUUCAGAGAUAUUUUACGUAGAUAAUCAGACUGAAAUCAGAUAUCAAUAACAAAAGAUUAGAUCUCUGCACAAUCCAUGUUACAAGAGAAGGGGGAAAAGGGAUUUAUGCUCUUUCUAAUAUGCUAGGCUCUUUGUAUUUGCAUCUUCUGUGAGGAUAUACUUCUGUGUCCUCUCUUUUUAUUUAAUUAUUUAUGUAUUGAUUCGUUAUUUGCAUUUUGCACACUUCCCUUGUACUUGAAAAGAACCUUGGUCACUCUAAAUAAAACACUUGCCAAGAGAAUUAACGAAAAGAUGAGAACUUCUACAAAAUGACCAGUGAGGAAGUGUGGACACACUACACACACAUGUGUACAUGCAUAAAUCCACAAACUUAUGCAUGUGUAUAUUCAUGUCUAGAGAAUAUCCAAAUUAUUGAACCUAGCAUUAGCCGAAUACCUGAUUGGUAGCAGCAGUAUAAAUCUUUUCCUCAAACCGUACAGCAAUUUUCUUGAGUUCUUGUAAUCCCUCUUGACCAGAAAACGGAAGAUGCCUCUUUAAUGUCUCCAUUCUACACAUGUAAAACAUUACAUUUAGUUUUUAAUGACAAGGCAGGUAUAGAGAAGUUAGCAGCAGUGAGAAAGAACCGUGAACUCAUACACCACACCAAUAUCAGAAAUGUAUACAACGGAAUCAUUAGCAAAAAGUAAAAACAAAUAAUGAUAUAGCCGAGUGUCGAUCAAGUAAUAUAUGGCAUCAACAUACAGACAUCUAUUUUUACUUCCUUUCCCCGUGUUAUUGCAGAGGUACAGGGUAUAGGAGUUCACUUGGCCACCCUUCUGUCUAAAAUUCUAGUUACGAGCUUCAUGGUUAAUUUUCUUGAACUGGAAGAACCUUCCAUUUAUGGCUAUGGCUAUGCUCCACGGUAUAUAAGUGCAUUAGUUGCAAACCAGGGGAACUCUAUGAAAAAAUUACAAUAGCAUUUAGUCUGAGUAAGAAAACUUUUAUACAUGCACUGUAAUUGACAAAGAAAAGAAGAGAAAUCCUUUUAAUUUAUGAAAAUGCAAUGAGUUAAUCUUAUCUCACGCUGCAACAUAUACUCUACAGUGCUCAUUGGCUACUGCAAGUGCCAACAGUAGCUGUCUAUAUGAUUUUGGAUGUAGAGAUAUCACCAAAACAUUCAACUUUAUACUGAGAAACUAGGAAACCAUACACUAUUGUGGCUAAUUGAUUUUUGUCUGCUGCUUUUGUACUUUAAGAUCACUAUCAUUUCAAUCCUGUAGAAGUAAAGCAAAUAGAAGGUCCAAAUCCAACACUAUUCAUUUAAGUUCAGUUGCAACUCAAGGUUGAAAUUGAAACACCAAUGCUCAUAGCAAUAGAUUAACCUUGAAAUUUAAAGCGGAACAAGCUUCAUGCAGCCAUCCAAGAGGUCAUCAUCAAAAGAAGAUGUUACACAAGAAGUUCCAACAAAAAUUACUUCCCAGCACUUUUUAUUCCCUCAAGUUCACUUCUUGUGAGAAACAAGUGAAAAAUGAAAAACACAAAAACAGAGGUGUAUGAUACUUGAGGUUGCCUCAUGGCAGUCCUGCUGAUUUUAAUUAACCUUUUGCCCUUCUCUUUUUCUUUCAUUUAAACACAAGAUAUACUAAUUUUCAGCACUUGCACAUGUUAGCAAACAGAUACUUACAUUUUGUUGACUAUUCUUUGCCGUGAGUCAGGCUGCAAUUGAGUUCUCCAAUCACCAGUGUCCAUCACAGGUUCUCCGCCUGGGGCAGUGGGCCUCCAACUAUUGGCAUCCAUGGGGUUUUGGCCAACCAAAAAAAAUCACUUCUAUCACCACAAAAAAAAUUAAUUAUAUUGCACGUUAGAAUAGACCCUAAAAAGAAAGUCAGGAACAGCAGAAGAGUAAGAGCACAUCAAAGUCAUGAAAAUUGGAAUAUCAGUUUAUUCAGACUUGAAUAGAUUUAAAAAGAACUUCCAUCUAAUAGCAUGUACUUUAUUAAAGAAUUCUGCCAAAUAUGGAUGCAUAAAAUCUGAACAGCCAUAACAAAUAUACACGACCAUUCAGGGCAAGGUGCUAGGAUCUUGGGUAUUUGGGUAUUCAGGUAUUAUAAGCAAGAUUUGGGCCUGAAUCUUCAUGGUGCUUCUAAAACCAAGGAAGCAAAAAACUAGCCAGCUAGUUCAUAACUUGCCGCACCAACAGAUGGUGAGUGUUGGUAAACCAAGCCAUAGAGAAACUCAUGGUGCUUCAAUUUUAACUUGAUGUUUUCCAGCAACACUUGUGAUACAUCAUCGAUGCAAUGUUUACAAUGACAAACUUGCAUUUCUAUUCAUUGUGGUUUUAGGUUCACAGAUUCUGAUCCCAAAGAGAUUGUCUAGGAUGUUUUAAGCUAGGAAAAAGAAGAAGAAAAGGACGAGCAUUAACAAUGAAUAUUUCAUGUUAUCAUCAACUCUAAUGAGCAGACUGAUAAGAAUCAACUUAACAACCCUUGUUGAAAUAAGAUUAAAUUUACAGGCACAUCUUUCUCGGAAUAGACAACACAAUAACCCUGACCAUGCUCGACCUUGAGGUGAGUUAUAAAAUGUUCUUCCUAACUAGAUGCACAGCUACGCCUUUGGGGUGAAGUGAACUAAGUCAUUUGUUUUACACUUCCACAUGCUCUCAAGCUUUCACCUCAUACUCAAGACCAGCUGAGCAGUCCUAAAAAGAAAGAUAUAUCAUGUAGGGUUAUCAAGGCAGACCUGUUAUUUUUAUUUUUUUCGCGUUAACAUGACCAAAUUAUAAAAUUUAAACUUCUUUUCUUUCUUUUUUCCAUGUGUGAGCGAGCAUAAAACCCAAGGAAAUCGAUUUGUUGUUAAAAACACAAUAAUUUUGAAGAAUUCGGUAAAUUCCAAUAAAGAAGAAUCAACCAAACAGCACAUUUUUCGGCCAUUCCGGCAGUAAUAUCUCUUCCACUCCAGCUGCUGCAUAAACUAAUUAACAAAUUAUCGAUCGAGCCUAAAAGAUUUGAAUUGAUUUCUAUUCUCAACUUUAAAAUAAAACUAAAAAAUAAAAUAAAAAAAAUUGGGUUCAAGAAUUCACGGCUUGAUUAUUACAACAAUAACUGUGAGAAAAAUCGGAUAAUAUCAUGUAAAUUGGGGGGGGUUGAAAAAGAAAAUAUUAGAAUCGGCUGAUUGUGCGUUUCUUCAAGUUGCGUUCACGAGCAGCGAUUUCAUCGGAUCCGAAUAUAUAUUUUUUUAAUUUACUUAUUAAAAUCGAAUUGCGUUCACUAGCAGAGAUUUCAUCGGAUCGAUUAUUUGCUCUCUUUUUUUAAUUUACUAAUUAAAAUGGAUUUCUGUCUCUGAAUAAUAAUUACAAUAAAAUAAAUGAAAACACCCAUAAAUUUUAAAAACAAAAGCAUGAUAGAAAAGGAAGCACCUGGCAGAAAUCUGAAGCCUUGUUGGAUGCGGCGGUUUCCGAGAGGCGGAAGAGGGAGGGAGGGAGGGAGGGAGGGAGGGCGGGGAGAGGUGAGGAAUGGCUUGUCGAAGCUUUAUGUAAUGGCCAAUACCCAUCAUCAGAACAACCUCAGGAUCAUAUAUUCUUCGAUGCAAGAGGGCCCCACACUCUAUAAUGGGCGGCAAGCUCCUUGCUUUUCACGUGAUGAUGUGCUAAAAAGAAACCUUUUUAUUCUUAAAAUCCACCCACUAAUGGGUCGAUGAAGUGGCCACUAACAACAACGCAGUAGCUAAUUACCUGAGUGAAUCUAAUAGUUUUAAUACAAAAAUUUUAAGAUCAAAAGCUAUCUUACUUGAUGCAAUGACUUUCCGCUCCUAUUCUUUAUUUUCAUAACUACUCUGUAUUUUAUUCCGAUCAAACAAUUUUUAUCUUUGGGGGAUUGUUAGGGUGUAAAUAAAAAGUUAUAUUUGUUGAACCUCUAUUUAAAAUAAAAUUGUAUACUUUUAAGCUAGAAAGUUGUAAUUUUUUAUCUUAAAAGUUAUGUUAAAAUUAAAUGUUUGAAUUGCCUUUCAAUUCUAACAUGGUUUUAAUAAUGAAAAAAACUUCUAAUUUUUUUAAAAUUCUUAUCUUUUACAUUUUUGCGGUCAAAAUUCUUACAAAGAGUAUCAUACAAAUUUCUUACAAAGAGUAUCAUACAAAUUUUGGUUCACUAUUUAUUAUUGGUUAUGCCAUCAAGAAUAAGAGAUUGAGUAAACUUGAAAUACAAUAUUACAAUCACAUUGCUAUCACCAAAGAACGAGUAAUAAAUUGUUUUAUAAUAAUUUAUUGUCAAUUUAUUGAUUUUAAUUUAUAGCUAUUUGCACAAAAUAGAUCUCCCAGAACUAUCAAAAUUGAAAAUAAUAUUGAGAUUUCUAAAACUAAAAGUGAAAAUACAAAAAUGAUAAAAAAUUACUUGUUAUAGAUAUUAAAAACAUGAAUAUGUUAUAGUAUACAUCCGGUAAAAGUUAAUUUGAUAGAAUUAUAUUAUAUAAAAAUGCUUAGAGAUAUAUAUAGCAUGCUUUACAAGUACCUCAUGAAGAAACUAACAAGUCAAAAAAUCUAAAAUUGAGAUGUUAAUUCAUCAAUAUGAAUUGUUCUUUGGUGAAUUCAUAACUAAAAUGUUUAGUAAAAUGACUAUAAUAACUAAUAGUUUAUUAGUUUGGAUGUUUAUAGUAAUGCGGAAAUUAUAGAAAAUGGGUGCUGUAAAUUUGAGUCUGUAUUUUUCUCUACUUUCUUUUUUGUUUUUUCGUUUGUCCCUUCCUGAAAAUUUGUGCUCAGUUUUUGCCUUUUACCUGCUCCUUAGUUUAGGGUAUUAAAUUUCCUUGUUUCUUCAGAAGAUGCCUUACUCUUUGUUGAUUGACUUUCUGUUUCCAAGAUACAUAAGUGAAUUAGUUGCAAAACAUUCCAAUAGCGUGUACUCGGAGUAAGAAAACUUUUAUACAUGCACUGUAAUUGACAAAGAAAAGAAGAGAAAUCCCUUUUAAUUUAUGAAAAUACAAUGAGUUAACUUUGUUGAUUCCGUAGCACCGACUACAUCGCAGGCCAUGCCUGAUAAUCCAUUAAUCAUCUGAUCUAGAAGGAAAUGCAAAUUACUGUACUGAGAACUGCUAAGAUCAACCACAACAGGAAACAGAUGAACAUGCAAGAAGAAUGAAGAGCUCAAAAUUAACUCUCCUCUAGCUCGCAAAUUUAUGUCUCCGAGAUCCUUUGCAGCAGUUGCACUAGCAAAUUCAUAUCCUUUCACCUUGAUUUUUUUUCACAUCUUUAUAUAUAGUUUUUGUAGAAUAAAUUGGAACUUAUUAAGAUAAUAUUCUUUAAUUCUCAAUGCUAUUUGUAAUCAAUAAGAAAGAUAUGGACAAGUCGAUCGUGCGAUUCACAUGGAUUGAACCCCACAUUACACACGGAAUAGACAACACAAUAACCCUGACCAUGCUCGACCUUGAGGUAAGUUGUAAAAUGUUUUUCCUAACUAGAUGCAUAGCUACGCCUUUGGGAGGGAGGGAGGGAGAGAGAGAGCAAAGUGAAAUACAUGACUUUAUUCUUAUUUACUUUUUAAAUUUUUUUAAAAUUGAUUAUUUUAAUUUAAUAUAUUUGGUUUUUAUUUUUUUAAUUAAUAUUUAUUUUAUUUGUAAUAAUUUAUAAAAUUAUAAUUAUUUUUUUAAUUUUAUUAUCUUUUAAUUUUUUUUAUCUGUUAUGUGAAGCUAUAUCCCUAUAUAUAAAAAAUGAUUUGACUGUGCUUGGGAUUGGGUGUAUGCCUACAUACCUAGUUUUCUGAACAGGCCUUGAUCUUUAUUAAGGCAGAAAAUGAGCUGCGUAGCACUAACCUUCUAUUCAUGUUUUUUUCCAAAAAGACUUUGAAUUGUAAUCUACUUUUUAAUCUUGUUUGUUUUUUUUUAAAAAAAAGUAUUAUUCAAAAAAUUAAAAAAAAAUUAUUUUUUUUUACUUCAAAUUAAUAUAUUUUUUAUGUUUUUAGAUCAUUUUGAUAUGAUAAUAUUAGAAAUAAUUUUUAAAAAUUAAACAGAAUUUUAUUUUGAUGCAUUUUCAAACGAAAAAUACUCAGAAAAGCAACCACUACCAUACUCCUAAACACUAAUAGAAAGAAUACAAGUUUUUUGUUAUUUACUUUUAAAAAAAUUUAAAAAAUAGCGCAGCUCAGCCUCCUUCCACUCAGAGAUGCCUUCCUAACAAGAUGCACAGCUACGCCUUUGGGGUGAAGUGAACUAAGGCCUUGUUUGUUUCAAGGAAACUGAAUUUCAGGAAUUCAGUUUCCUUAUUUUUCAAUGUUUGGCAACCAUCCGGAAAGUUAGUCAAAGAAAAGUUAAUUCCUUAACUUUCCGGUCAACAAGGAAAUUACUUUCACCCGCAGGAAAGUGUUUUCCUUUCCUUAUCAAAAGGAAAACACUUUCCUUUAUUGAUAAAACACAUCUUCUCCUUUCUGUGACCGAAAAUAGUUGAAAAGCAAAGAAGAUCUGCUGGAGAAUCACACUUGCAUUUCAGGUAUUUUUUCCCUCAAAUUUCUCUAUUAUAUCUCUUUAUGUUUUUUUAUCUUCUUCGUAUUUUUUAGAUUUGUAAGAAUUAUAACAAAAAAACCUUGAUAUUGUUUAAUUUGUUGUCUGUUCUGAAAAACAAACAAUUUCUCUGUAUUUGUAUUUGUUGCGCAAACAAUACAUCAUGGUUGGGGAAGCUACCUGUCAAUUUUUUUCCCAUACCCAGUUUUCUUCUUCAUCUCCUCGUCACAUUCAAACAAGCUCACAGAAAAACCCAACCAAAUUUAUCACAAGCAACCCAUAAAAAAACACAAGUUUUCAUGCACAUUCGGCAGCUUCCCCAACCAGUCCUACCUUGUUUCCCGAACAAAGAGAACAAAAAGAGAGAGACGCAAACAGGAGGGAAACUGUCGGGGGGGGGGGUAGAGGGGAAAUGAGGGGAAACCGAAUGAGAGGGGAAAUGACAGCGGAUGACAGAAAAGUUUCUCAUCUUAAUUAAUUUGUCGGGAGAUUAUAGUGAUUUUUUUGUUGUUGUAGCUCGUAUGUGAUUUUCAAACCAAACAUCACAAUCUUCCUAGUUGUCCCGUUCUUCUUUCCCUGUCCCUCCCCAUGUGCCAUGUGGUUGGGGAAGACUGCAUGUGAUCGAACCAGCCUCAGACGCUAAUGCCAGUAGCUAGCACACAGCGAAAAAAACCUUAUCUCUCAUGGCUGAUCAUUCUUGCCACGACUCUUGACUUAAAAUCAAAUCCUCCUCAUUCCUCCUGACUUGAAACCGGCAGUGUGGGUCUAGAUCUAGAUGGAGCUUGCUGUGUCCGAGAACUUCGUCUGUUAUAGUAUUCCCUCCCGCUGCCUCCCUAUCUGAUGCUAGAUCAAGAAAAGAGCUCUUCAACAAUGAAGGGCAUAUGGCCCAUAACUAAUUUCACUAGUCUCAAGACUGAGUCUGCUCAAAUCUCUUUUUUCUUCAUAAGAAUGCCGAGUCCAGAGUGAGCGUCGAGAGGGUAAGCGUGUAGGGGGGAAAUCACGAAGACGGGCCACACAUACUUGGCUUUACGCGAUAGGGCGUUUUUUUAAGACUUUCACCUUUUGAAGCUCACUUGACAGAGGGGUAGCAGGGGCUUUGGAAUCAUGAAUGAGGGAAAUGAGGGAAACCGAAUGAGGGGAAUGACAGGGAAUUACAGUGGAAUGAGAGUGGAAUGUAGCGUGGACUCCAACAUUUGUAUCUAUUCUGUUUAACGAGAGGGGAAAUGAGGGAAACCGAAUGAGGGGAAUGACAGGGGAAUGAAGGGAAUUACAGUGGAAUGAGAGGAACCGGAAUGAGAGUGGAAUGAGAGGGAAAUGAGGGAAUUUGUGAGAAACCGAAUGAUGAUGUCCUAAUUAAGUUAUGGGAGAAACCGAAUGAUGAGGUCCUAAAUUAUUAGAGAUUUGCAAUGCAGUAGUUGGGAAUAGUGGGGUUUUUUAUAAAGCAAAUGUAUAGGCUGAACUAGUGCUUAAACUCAACAAUCUCCAUGUUUAUAACUAACAAAUCAAAAUAGAAUAGAAUUGAACCUAGCCAUGAACUCGAUCGUGUGUUGUGUUGCCGCAUAUGAGGUGAUUUUUGAAACUUAUGUUUAUUUAAUUAUUCGAUAAUGACAUUAUUUUUAAGAAUUAAAAUGAUUGAUCUUAUUGAUCAUUGUGAACUUAUGAAUUGUAUAUUGUCAGCUUCUUUGAACAUAAUUUAUUGUAUUGAUUGUGUAAGUAUUUUAUAUGCUUUUAUUAAUAUUUAUUUCCCUAUAUUUUUAGGUUUUGUUAUCAGAAAACUACACUUUCAUGUUAUGGAUAGUAAAAUAAUUAAUGCAGUAUGCAUGGGAGCAGCUGUAACUGUGAUAGCUACAGGGGUAACUAUUAUUGAAGAAGAAAGAAAUAGAAUUUAUAUACCAAGAGAACCACGUAUAAAUGCAAUUGCUCAACGAGAAUUCUAUAUUGACAGCAUUUUGAAUCGAGGUGAUCGACAUUGCGUUGAACAAAUUCGUAUGAAACCUAUUGUAUUAUAUAGAUUGUGUGAUGUUCUCACAAGUCGUAACCUAUUACGAUCAACUCAAAAUGUGUCUAUUAGGGAGCAAGUAAUUGUGUUCUUAUAAAUUGUAGGCCAAAACCAAAGAUUUCGGGUUAUUAGUGGUAUAUAUUAUAGGUCUGUUGAAACUAUCCAUCGUUACUUUAGAAUUGUUUUAAAAGCAAUUCUAAAGUUAUACAAACACCUUAUUAAAGAUCCAGAGGAUAUAGUUUCAGCAGAGAUAAUGAAUAAUAGAAGAUUCUAUCCUUAUUUUAAGGUAUGAAAACAAUACCAAUAUUUUUAUGAAUUAAUUAAUUACAUUAAGAAGAAAAGGUUAUAAAUUAUUUUUUCAUGUUUAUAUAGGAUUGUGUGGGAGCAAUUGAUGGUACCCAUGUUCCUGCAAAUGUUCCUGUUGAGAUUCAAGGAAAGUUUCGAGGACGAAAAGAAGGAACAACACACAAAAUGUUUUAGCAGCUAUAACUUUUGAUUUGAAGUUUAUAUAUGUUUUAGCUGGCUGGGAAGGAAGUGCUCAUGAUUCACGAGUUUUAGGUGAUGCAUUAUCAAGAUCUAAUGGUUUUAAAAUUCCAGAAGGUAUAUAAUAAAGUAUGUAUUAUAUGCAUAAACAUAUAAAAUGUAUUAUUACAUAAAGAUAGUAAUAGGUUUGUUUUUUUAAUUUGUAGGGAAAUAUUAUCUUGGUGAUGCUGGUUACGGUAUUCGAAAAGGAAUCAUUUCUCUUUUUCGUGGAGUUUGAUAUCACUUGAAUGAGUUUAUAGAACGUUCACCAGAAAAUGAAAAGGAGCUAUUUAAUCUUCGACACUCUUCAUUGAGAACCGCGAUUGAGCGAGGGUUUGGUAUUUUGAAGAGUCGUUUUAGAUCAAUUGAUGGAAAAUCUUUUUGGUCUUAUGAAACACAAGUAGAUGUUGUGCUUGCAUGUUGUAUUAUUCAUAAUCACAUAAUGGGGGUUGAUCCUUAUGACUUUCUUAUGGAAGAAAUAUGUCCGGAUAGUGAACUAAUUAGACGAACAAUCAACUUAAGUCAACGGGAGGAAAGGGAAGAGAAUAGGGAGUGGAUAACAAAAAGAAAAAUGAUUGUCUCAACCAUGUGGAAUGAUUAUAACACUCAAACAAACUAGUAAUUGAGUGAUAAUUAUAUGUGUUUGUUUUUAUUAUGUCUUGCUUGAGUUUUUAUAUGAAAUUUAUUAAAUCGAAAUAUUGUAUGAUUUUAUUUUGUAUAAAUUUGUAAUUUCUUUUUUGUAGAAAUGAGUUUCUCACAGAAUGAAAAAUGCAAGGGCAAGCACUUCACAUGGUCUAAGCCUAUGUCUCACAUGUUGCUUGAGAUAUUAGCUGAGGAGGCACUUAAAGGAAGUAAACCUUCUUCCACCUUUAAAGCAGAAUCUUUUGUUAAGGUGGCUACAGAAAUCAGUCAAAAGUUCAAUGUGCAAUGCGAGCAUAAACAUGUGGAAAAUCAUCUCAAGACUGUGAAAAAAGAAUGGGGAAUAAUAACCAAGCUUAAAAAUAAAAGUGGUUUUGGCUGGGAUGAUUGUUUGAAGAUGAUUACAGUUUUGAAAGAUGUAUAUGAUGAAGAAGUAAAGGUAUGAUAAAUAUUAUACUCUUUGUAAUUUUUAUAUUUACUUUUGUUUCUAAAAUGUUAUACAAUGAACUAAAAAAAUUGCAUAUUCUAUACUUUAUGAACAGGCACAUCCCAAUCAUGACAAGUAUCUCAAUAAAAAACUUGAUAUGUAUGAGAUAAUGAUAAUUGUUGUUGGAAAAGACAUGGCAACCGGAAAUUAUGCCAAAUCAUAUGAUGAUGUCAACUUGGAAGAGAACACUGAAGAGCAAUCAAUUUCAAUUGAAAAUGAAGGGGAAUAUGAAAAAACUUCAAAGGGAAAAGGGACAUCUUCCUCUAGUACACAAAAGAGGCAACAUAGAAAGAGAAAUUGCAUGUAUGAAGAUGAUGGUGUUGAAAAGUUGUUUAAACAGAUUGGAGAUGUAGCAUUUGCAAUUCAAAGUCUCAGCAAAAAUCAACUUGAUGUUAAUGCGUUGUAUGCGGAAGUGAAGAAAGUUGAAGGCUUUGAUGAGAUAACUCUUGGGGAUGCAUAUGAUCAUUUGGUCCAAAAUGAAAUGUUGGAAAAAGCAUUUAUGGCAAAAAAUGCUAAUUUGAGAAAAAUUUGGGUUCAGAACUUUGUGACCCAACACUACUACAGGCCUGCUUGCUAAGAUGGUUUGAAUAUGUUCAAAAUUUGGGUUCAGACUAUGUUUGUUAUUUGACAAGUAUGUUUACUUGUUUAAUUCGGUCUAGCAUAUUUAUGUUUCUAAUUUGAACUAAUAUGUAUGUAUAUGACAUCGAAACAUAAUAUUUAUGCAUGACUAUGUUUGAUGUUAGGUAUUAAUAUUUAUUUCUUGAUGUUUAUUUGAUAGAUAUUAAAGGGAUAAUUGCCUUUACCCAUAAAAAAAAUAUUUAUCCAAAAUACCCAUCAAAAUAUUUUUGUAUCUAUUUAUCUUUUAAAAAAUACUUCAUACCAAAAAAAAACCCAAAUAUAUAACUCUUAACAUAAACUAAUUUGGCUUUCUUCAUAUGAAAAAAAAAACUUAUUUUAAGCUUUUAAAAUUGAAAAAAAUAUAUAUUAAUAAGUUUUACUUAAAAAAUAUUUCACAAGCUUAUUUCUCUAUAAUAUGAUAUGACAUAUAUUGUUAUAUUUUAUAAAAUAAGCUAUGUAUGAAUAUAGGAUAUAAUAAAAAAAAUUCAUCAUUAUACUUUUUAGAUUUCAUUUUUUUAUUUUAAGUGAUUAAAUAUUUUAUAUAUAUAUAUUAGAUAAACUUGAAAAAAUAAUAAUUUAUUAAUAAAUUAUUUUCCAGUUCAUUUUUCAUAAUACAAACAAACACUGGAAAGUGUUUUCCAGUUCAUUUUCCAUAAUAUUGCCAAACAUCGGAAUUCACUUUCCCCGAAAUUCACUUUCCAAAAGAAAACCACUUUCCUGCAAACAAACAGAGCCUAAGUCAUUUGUUUUACACUUCCACAUGCUCUCAAGCUUUCACCUCAUACUCAAGACCAGCUGAGCAGUCCUAAAAAGAAAGAUAUAUCAUGUAGGGUUAUCAAGGAAGACCUAUUAUUUUUAUUUUUUUCGCGUUAACAUGACCAGAUUAUAAAAUUUAAAGUUCUUUUCUUUCUUUCUUUUUUCCAUGUGUGAGCGAGCAUAAAACCCAAGGAAAUCGAUUUGUUGUUAAAAAACACAAUAAUUUUAAAGAAUUCGGUAAAUUCCAAAAAAGAAGAAUCAACCAAACAGCUCAUUUUUCGGCCAUUCCGGCAGUAAUAUCUCUUCCACUCCAGCUGCUGCAUAAACUAAUUAACAAAUAUCGAUCGAGCCUAAAAGAUUUGAAUUGAUUUCUAUUCUCAACUUUAAAAUAAAACUAAAAAAUAAAAUAAAAUAAAAAUUGGUUUCAAGAAUUCACGGCUUGAUUAUUACAACAAUAACUGUGAGAAAAAUCGGAUAAUAUCAUGUAAAUUGGGGGGGUUGAAAAAGAAAAUAUUAGAAUCGGCUGAUUGUGCGUUUCUUCAAGUUGCGUUCACGAGCAGCGGUUUCAUCGGAUCAGAUUAUAUAUAUUUUUUAAUUUACUUAUUAAAAUCGAAUUGCGUUCACUAGCAGAGAUUUCAUCGGAUCGAUUUUUUUUUUUUAAUUUACUAAUUAAAAUGGAUUUCUGUCUCUGAAUAAUAAUUACAAUAAAAUAAAUGAAAACACCCAUAAAUUUUAAAAACAAAAGCAUGAUAGAAAAGGAAGCACCUGGCAGAAAUCUGAAGCCUUAUUGGAUGCGGCGGUUUCCGAGAGGCGGAAGAGGGAGGGAGGGAAGGAGGGAGGGAGAGAGCUCAGGCGGGGAGAGGUGAGGAAUGGUGUCCCAAAGUGAAAUAGAUGACUUUAUUCUUUUCCAGAUUCCUUCUAAAAAAAUUAACAAGUGAACACUCGCUCGUCAAGCAUCCGCGUUCAUUUUCACUUUUAGUAGUAUUGGCCAGUAGUGCUAUAAAGAAGACAAAGUACGUGGUAUAUCCACUUUUUCAUCACUUACUUUAAGAUUUUUGGAAGAUAUGACACAAGAGACAAAGAAAAUGAUUGCUAUUAUCGACAAUUUCUCUGUUACACACACACUUUGUCUUUAGCUGUAUUUUCUUACAAAGGAUCUUUAGCUAUGCAUUAGAGAUGAACACCUCCAACUUCUUGAUUUUCACUCGUUUUCAUCCCAUUUAAAGAAGUUUAAGUUUGAAUGCUCAUUAUACAAAUUCUAAUAACAGGCAGCUAAAAGGGCUUGUCGAAGCUUUAUGUAAUGGCCAAUACCCAUCGCCAGAACAACCUCAGGAUCAUAUAUUCUUAGAUGCAAGAGUGCCCCACACUCUAUAAUGGGUGGCAAGCUCCUUGCUUUUCACGUGAUGAUGCCCCCCCCCUCCCUUUCUUCCUUUUAAAAAAAAAAAUAUCCUUUUUAUGCUUAAAAUCCACCCACUAAUGGGUCGAUGAAGUGGCCACUAACAACAACGCAGAUAAGAUGUUGCUUGUUCUUACAGGGAGAGGAAGCCCAGCUCCAGACAGCAGAAGGGAGAUCGUUUUCCUACAUCUUCUAUUUGAAAUAAAAUCGUGUACUUUUAAGCUAGAAAUUAUCCUUCAGUGAAUCUUUCAUCGGUAAUUUUUUAUCCGUCAGUAAAUCCGUUGGUAAUAAAAAAAUAUUAUUACCGACGGAAUAGACAUGUCAGUAAUAAUAUUUUUUUUUAAUUACCGACGGAUAUACCGAUGGAAUUCCAUCGGUAAUUAUUUAAAAACAUUUUAAAAAUAUUUCAUUUUAUAAAAUUAUAAAAUUAUUAAAUUAACAUAAAUCAACACUCUAUAAUAUAUACUCAAAAUGCUUGGAAACAAAUAAUAAGAAAAUCAACUCAAACAUAUUUGCAACAAAUAAAUAAAAUGAAAAAAUAAAUUCAACUAAAAAAAUUCAUAUGAAAAAAAUGAAGUUGCAAUUGCUAAAAAUUUAAAAAUCCUAUAAAUAAAUCAACUAAAAAUUGAUCUCAUAUGAAAAAAAAAAUCUUGAAAAAAGAAGAAAAAAGAAAAAUCUUACCUUAAUAUAGUUGGAAGUGAAGCUAAGGAGAGAAAAACAAAUUCAUAAAGCAUAUUAAUUUUUUAAAAAAAACUAAGAGGAUAAAAGAAAAAAGAAGAAGAAGACAUACCCGAGCAUGGAGGAAAGGAGAAGGAGAUGAGGAGAGAAAAGAAGAGAAACAAAUAGAUAUUGAUAUUUUUUAUAUAUAGUGAAGAAGAAGAAGAAUAAGAAAUGAGUCUAUCUCUUGUGAAAUAAGGGGAUUCAUGCUUUUUAUUGGGGCGUGUUAGCGACGGAUUUACCGAUGGAAAAUUGAAUAUAUUUAAUUGUAAUUCUUAAUUUCAUAAAAUGUUUUCAGAAACUUGGUCUUGUUAUCAUAUCAUUAAAUAAAAAAUAAUUAAAAAUUAAAACUAGAUGGAGUCUAUUAUUCGAGUAGCGGGUUUGAAGAGUUAAACCAUGGAACUAGGAUUAAUCUUGUCACACCUAACAUUGCAGCAGCCUUAAAAAUAAAAAAAUGGAAAGAACGGAUUUUUGGCAUCUUAUUCUUUGAUGGAGAACGGUCUUGUUUAAGGAGUCGCCACCUAGUAUUAUGGUUACUAGGAACUCUAACUGGUCAAUAGAGAUUCUAUGGUUCGGGACUGGUUACGUAAAAGGAAAGAUAUUAUCACCCCUUAAAUGUUCUACCUGAGGCAAACUGCAUUAUUGGUUUUGUCUUAAAUUGUUAAAUAUUUAUUAGUUUAGGUUAUGAUAAUUUGCUUAUAACAGAUUGGGUUUGAUUAUCUUGGUCUGAAAUUGGCAAGAAAAAAAGAAAAAGGAACUUGCAUUGUCUGCUUUAGAUGGCUUGAGCAUUGUUAGCUAGAACAAGAGAGUAGGCCUGAUUAUCUUAGUCUGGAAUUGGCAGGAAAAAAAAAACAGAAACUUGCAUUGUCUGCUUUAGAUGGCUUGAACAUUGCUUGCUAGAUGUUCAUUAAUUUCUCUUUUCGCAAUGAACUCUUGCAUAUUUGACAUAUCAUGCUACAUUAUUCAUGCUAUUAUUGUUCUCUUUCAAACUGCCAAGAUUAUUGGUUGGGUAAUAGCCACUAUGAUUAGAGAAACUGAAAUAAUUUAUAGUCUGCAAGUCUGUUAAUUCAUUAUAGCAGUAAUGUUUUUAUCCAAACAUUGCCAAGAGUCAAGACCAAAGUUAAUCAAUAACAAAAAGAUGAAAAAAACCACUAAGAUAAAAGUGACAAAAUUCAUAAAACUCAAACGCCAAUAAUGUAAUUAAUGCCAAAUGAUAAGAUUAAAAAAAUCAAUUAAAAAAAAAAUUGAAUCAACCCAUGUUAACUUGACUUAACCAUGACCUAGGAUAUGAAAUAGAAAUAAUCUAACAAAAAAAAAAAACUAAAACAAAUAACACAAAGUUUAAGGCCUAAUAACUCAAGGUUGAUGAUAAAAAAAAUUAAUUUUCAAAAAGAACUUAAAAAAAUACCAUACUUAAAACGAGUUGAUAUUCAAAAUUGGUAGAGUGAGUUAUGAGACUAGGAUUAGUGUUUUCAUACAGUUUUGACUCGUCUUUUUUUAUUGUUUUUUAUUUUUAUUUUUUCAUUUAGUGUUGAAUAUCACUUAGUUAAGAAUAAUAGAAUGUGUUAGGUUGUGCCUUAGCCAACCUUCCUAUUUAUAUAGAGGCAGUAGAACACUGCAGUAACUGUAAUGAUUACAACAUCCUAUAUUAGAAUCCUAUUCUGAUAGAUACAUGAGUAACUGUAAUGAUUACAAUAUCCUAUAUUAGAAUCCUAUUCUAUAAUAUGCCCCCUCAAGCUGAGGGUGGGGGAUCAACCCGAAGCUUGAAUCGAAAAGCAGUAAAAGAUGCAACAGGAAGCGGUUUAGUGAAGACAUCGGCAAGUUGAUCUCGAGAGGGAAUAAAACGAAUCUGAAUUUCUUUCUUGGCAACACGGUCACGAACAAAGUGAUAAUCCACUUCAACAUGCUUAGUACGAGCAUGGAAGAUAGGAUUUGCUGAGAGAUAGGCAGCACCAAGAUUAUCACACCAAAUGGUAGGGGCAGAGACUGAGGGAACCUGCAAAUCUGUUAACAAGUAUUGAAGCCAAAUGACUUCAGCGGUACCAUCAGCAAGGGCUUUAUACUCAGCCUCAGUAGAGGAGCGAGCAACAGUGCGUUGCUUGCCGGAUUUCCAAGAAAUCGGCGUCUGACCAAAAAAGACAAGAUACCGCCCGUAGACUUGCGAUCAUCAAUACUACCAGCCCAAUCUGCAUCUGUAAAGCCAUGUAGAGCAAAAGAGGAGCCUCGAGUGAUAUGGAAACCAUAAGAUGUCGUACCUUUAAGAUACGUAAAAUACGUUUGACAGCGGCCCAAUGAGAAUCUGUAGGAGCAUGCAUAAACUGACAACUCUGUUAACAGCAAAGCAUAUAUCUGGACGGGUGAAGGUAAGAUAUUGAAGAGCACCCACGAUUUGACGAAAUCGUGUAGGAUCAGAGAAUGAAUGAUCCGGUAAUAAAAUGACUUUCGAAGGGGAGACUGGAGUAUCAACUGGUUUGCAGGAAGUCAUACCAGCUCGGGUGAGGAUGUCAAGAAUAUAUUUAUGUUGACGCAGCAUUAAACCCAUACUGGUAGACUGAACUUCAAUACCCAGAAAGUAGUGAACAACACCUAAGUCACGAAGCUUGAACUCAGAGCUGAGUAACUGUAUAAGGUGAUGGAGCAUAGCAGAGUUGCUACCCGUGAGCAGAAUAUCAUCAACAUACACCAGGAGAUAAAAGAUAUUAGUACCAUCAGAUAAGAUAAACAGGGAGGUGUCAACCUUGGAAGCUCGGAAACCGAUGGAGAGCAAAAAAUCACUUAGACGAGUGUACCAUGCUCUCGGUGCCUGUUUCAAACCAUACAAUGAUUUGUGCAAUCUGCACACAUGAGAUGGAAGAGAAGAGUCAACGAAACCUGGAGGCUGUUUCAUGUAGACCUCUUCAGUAAGAACACCAUUGAGGAAGGCAUUAUGAAUAUCAAGCUGAUGAAUCUUCCAAUUUCGCGAAACCGCGAUAGAGAAAACCAAUCGGACAGUGGCCUGCUUAAUAACUGGACUGAAGGUUUCAGAAUAAUCAAUACCUUCCUGCUGGGUAAAACCUCUAGCAACAAGGCGCUUUAUAGCGCUCAAUACUACCAUCAACACGACGUUUGAUCCGAUAUACCCAUCUACUGCCAACAACGUUCAUCGAAGGAUGAAAUGGAACCAAAGACCAAGUGCGAUUUUCGCGUAAAGCGGCGAUCUCAUCACACAUAGCAUUAUGCCAAACUGCAUACCGGUCAGCAUCAGAGAAUGCAAAAGGCUCAGAAGAGGGAGAAUACAGUACCCGUGUGGAGGUAGAAGUAGCGGCAGGAAGCAACCAGAUUAGCUGUCUUCGGCUGCCGCGGUCUAAGAGUCAUAGGAUGUCUGUGUGCUGGUGGAGACCAGGGGAAGACGGUUGUAGCGAGGAGACCUGUGGCAGCUGAUAAGAAGACAAAUCAACCAUAAGUUGCAGACCAGCGGGAGAGGAUGAUAAAGAAGCAGCCUCAAGCACAGGACUGUCAGUAGAGGAGGGGCUGGAAGUAGAGACUGAAGCUGCAGGAGUGCUGGCCAGGGAGGGCGAAGCAGAGGAGGGACUAGAAAGUGCCCCAAGACCAUGAGGAGAGGAGACCAAUUGACGAUCUGAACCUGCAUCAUAAGGGUUAGAUAAACAAGCAUGGGAUGAUGGCCAAGGGAUGGGUGGAGGCUGUGGUCGGGUGGCUGUUUGGAGUGGCAAAGUGGAGUGUUGUGGGCUGUUUGGGUGGCUAGUGAAAGUGGGUGCGGUGGGUGGUUUAGCAAAUUUGGGAGGGUGACAGUAGCGGGUGGGGUGGGGGUUGUGGUGGAGACCUUUGCAAUCUGUUCAGAAUUAUCAAAUGGAAACACAUGUUCAUGGAAGCGGACAUGAGGAAAUAUAAAUACGGUGAGAUGCAAUGUCAAGACAUCGAUAACCAAGAUGCGAGGAACUAUAUCCAAAAAACACACAUGGAGAGGAACGAAAAUCCAAUUUAUGAUUAUUAUAUGGACGCAGAAAAGGAAAACAGACACCCAAAGGUACGCAAAAAAUGAUAAUCAGGAGACCGUUGAAAUAAACAAUCAAACGGAGAGCGAUGGGCAAGAAUAGGAGUAGGCAUGCGAUUUAUAAGAUAAACAGAGGUUUCAAAAGCAUAAUUCCAGAAUCGAAAAGGUGCUUUACAUUGCCCUAAAAGAGUAAGACCUGUUUCCACAAUAUGCCUAUGACGACGCUCUACUGUUCCAUUUUGUUCAUGAGUGUGGGGACAAAUCAGACGAUGAUGAAUACCAAUGGUCUGAAAAAAUGUGGAUAGUUUUCGGUAUUCACCCCCCAAUCAGUUUGAACAGAUUUUAUUUUUAAUGAAAAUUGACGUUCGACAAGAGUCUGAAAUUGAUGAAAAACAGAGUAAACAUCAGACUUGGCAACGAGAGGAUAAUACCAUACAUAUUUAGUAUAAGCAUCAACAAAGAUAACAAAAUAACGAUAGCCAUCUGAAGAAAAAAGAGGAGCAGGGCCCCAUACAUCACUAAAAAUUAAUUCAAGUGGAGCAGAAGUUUUGUGACCGUAGGUCCUAAAGACAAACGCGAUGAUUUUCCUAAAGGACAACUUUGACAUUGAAAAUUAAGACGUUUGUUGUUACAAAUGAUCUUAUUUUUCGAGAUUAACAAUUGAAAAAUACGUGAAGUAGGAUGACCUAGUCGACGAUGCCAUAAAUCGGCAGAGGCAGAAGUGCAGGGAGACCAAUAGGCUUGAGGAACUGACGUGACGGAAGACUUGGUCAGGGCAUAGAGACCAUCUUUACUCUGACCUGAGAGAAGGACUUCAUGGGUGUUGAAAUCCUUGACAUAAAACACACGAGGGUGAAAUUCAAAAUAAACAUUAUUAUCAAGACAAAAUUUCUGAACAGAGAGCAGAGGUUUUGUGAUUGCAGGAACAUGAAGAACAUUAGAUAAGGUGAAAGAACGAUGUGGUGUAUAUAUUUUUGUAUGACCAAGAUGAGAUAUAGGAAGGCCCUUACCAUCACCAACAUGCAAAUUAUCAUUACCAAGGUACGGUUCUGAAGCGGUCAAGGUGGCAAGAUCAGGUGUGACGUGUUGAUUGGCACCGGUAUCUGGAAACCAAUCAACAGAACCGGUUGAGGAGAGAUUGCGCUGCACCAGGUUGGCAGUAGGUUGUUGGCCAUAACCUCGCUGCUGGAAUUGAGGGCAAUGGGGAGCUGUAUGGCCGAAAUUCUGACACAGUUGGCAGCGUGGAUUCUGCCCCCUAUUACGCUGCCAAGAGCCCUGCCUAUUGUCACCGAAGGAGGAGUUUUGGAAGCUGCGGUGAUCAGGUCUGGAGCCAGCAAAUCGGUUGCCUCUGCUGUUGGACUGGUUGGGACGCCAGCCACCGUUGAAGCGGCCCCUACUACGGCCAGAAUUGCCAAAAGUCUGGCGCUGUGCAACAAGAGCAGAAGAUGGAAUGCUGGGUGUGGGCAGCAGAGGAGCAUGUAUGGCAGCAGAAGAUUUGUGAAGAAAUUCAUGUGUGAGGAGAUGGCUGUGAAGAUCUGCAUAUGAUAAAGGUUCAGCCUUGGUAAUAAGACUGGUAACUAAGUCUUUAAACUCUCCCCGAAGACCACGAAACACAUAUAAAUUGAAAUCUUCAAGUGAAACUGGCCGACCAGCAGCGGCCAAUUCAUCAAAUAAGGCCUUCGCUUUUUGCAUAAAUUGAGUUACUGAUUCAUCACCCUGUCGAAGAUCCUGAAGAGAGCCGUGAAGUUGCAUAAUACGAGAGUUGGAGGUGGAAGCGAGAGCUCGCUCAAGAGUGCCCCAAGCUGAACAAGAACUUUGACAGCCAACAACAAGAUGCAAAACUUCCAUAGAUAGGGAGGAAAGAAGAGCACUUAGAAUGAGUUGGUCCUGUUGUUUCCAGGUUUGAAAAAGCGGAUUUACCUGAAGAGAGAUACCAUCAUGGGCAAGAACAUGUGUUGAUGGACAUGUGUUGGAGCCAUCAACAAAACCAAAAACUCCUUGGCCUAGGAGAUAAGGUAGCAUUUGCAUACGCCAAUAUAAAUAAUUGGUGUUUGUUAAUUUGAGGGAGAUGACUUGAUGAGUGUGAGAAAGAGAGAUAAUGCGUUCACCAGCUAUGGCAGAGGAGAAUCCAGGCGGUGACGUAGUAGAGGAAAGCAGAGGAGGCGCUGCAAGAGAAGAGGGCUGCACUGUCGAAGAAGAAGAAAGCUGGACUGCUGGUGCUGCAGAAUUUGAAGAUGUAUGUGGUGGUUGUUCCAUUGAAAAAGGGAGGUUGGGAGGCUAUGAGAAAAUUAGGUUUAAUUUAUUUUAGGGUUUUGUUGCUCUGAUACCAAGUUGAGAAUAAUAGAAUGUGUUAGGUUGUGCCUUAGCCAACCUUCCUAUUUAUAUAGAGGCAGUAGAACACUGCAGUAACUGUAAUGAUUACAACAUCCUAUAUUAGAAUCCUAUUCUGAUAGAUACAUGAGUAACUGUAAUGAUUACAAUAUUCUAUAUUAGAAUCAUAUUCUAUAAUAGACUUUUUUGUUACCUUUUAUCGGAGCAUAUGGUUGUUUCAUAAAAAAAAAAUAACUCUAGGAAACAUAGUUGUUAAACACAAGAAGCACAUGACCUAUGUCGUGAUAUCAAAUAUCUUAAUCUUAGUUAUUUAUUUAUCAAAUAUUGAUUUAGUUACUAAAUACAUGUAUAGACAUUUUGAUUUGUGAUUGAAAAAAAAUUAUAUUAAAAAGCACAUUGAAAGAGCCUAUUUAUUUUUUUUAAUUAAAAAGAUAAUCACCCCACCGCGGAGCGCCAAUACAAAACUAGUUACUUAUAGUAUAAAGUAUGUGGGGUGAACACUGUGUAGCCGCACUCUUCACCUCCUCCUGUUUUAUAGUGGACACAAUGUUCACUGGUUUUUUUAUUAGGUUUUGCUAUAAAUUUUAAGAGAAAACAUGUAAGGUGAACACUAUACAACCAUAUUGUUCAUCCCCUUAUGUUUGAUGUGCUAAGGAUAUAGAACCAAGUAAUUGUUUCUUCCUUGAGACUAAGAGUCAGUACGUAGCGGAAUGAGCCUUCCUUCUCUCAUUGUGAUCAAUCAUCUUGGACACCCCAUGUUCUUGCCUUGAUCAAGACUCCUAUCUUUGUUAUUCAACACAUAUGAAGAAAUUUUCCAAAAUCAUUUCUUGACAUAACAUCUUAGUUAUUCAACCGGUUGAAUUGAAUUUAUUUUUUAUUUGAUUUUUUAUUAUUGUUCAACAUUAGAUUGAUUAAGAAUUAGGCUUCAUGAUUUCUUUUUAUUUGCUUUCUAUCAAGAUUCUCCUAACAUAUUGUUAUAUCUCAGGUUAAAAUUAUAGGGCAAAUGGAGUUUAGAAAGGCCUUGCAAGAUUGCUAGUGACAUUUUCAUAAUUUUGUUUUGAAAGGUCAUUUUUUGUGUUCUUUGUUUAGAUUUUUUUUCCAUUUAACCAUCCAAUAAUAGGUUUAUUAAGAAUUGAGAUUUAGAAUUUGUUUUGAUUUGCUUUGUUUGGGGUUAUUAUGGUCUCAUAACCUGGAUUAUGGAUUUAGAAUGUUAACCUGAGUUGAUCCGGGUCAUUCCAAUAAGUUAUUAUCUUAGUAUUGUUUUUGAAAAUACAUCAUCUUAAACUAUUUUGAAUCAAACUCUAUUCUUACUAGUUGUUGUCUUUGGACCUAUAAGUCAAUCGGGUCAUAUCGCUUUAACUCUCACUUUUUUACUUGUGUUUGAAAUUUAAAUUGUAUAAUUUCAAGUUAGUUUAUAUUUAAAUUUGAAUUGAACUUAUGUUUAUUGAGUUUAAUCUUGAAUAUAUAUAUAUAUAUAUAUAUAUAUAUAUAUAGUAUAAUCUUGAAAUAGCAUGCUGAAAUGCUCUGAAACCAAAAUAUACAGUUUGAAUUAAAAAAUAAAACACUAUCCGGAACGAGAUUGAUAACCUGACGUGAUAUGUUUAAAAUGAGCAUCAUCGAAUCAUUUAGAGCAACCGUGUACAUAACAAGGGCGUCCCCUUCUCCGUCCAGAGAUUAGGCACUGAAUCUUUCGUUACAGUUAGAGUAGGCGAAGCUUGUCAAUCUUACAAAGGUGGUAGAAUUUGAGGAUUUUUAUUGUUCAUCAUUUUUUGAAUGAAACUGUACUAUCUUACAUAAAAUUUAAAACAACACUGAGAUUUAUACGUAUUCUCUGUUACUAUUACUUGCUUAAAUGGAAGGAGCAUGGAGAUUUGAAAUUACAAUGAUUGUUACAAACCAAACUUUUAAAACCGACAAUUGUUCGUUCCUUCCAUUAAGCCCACGUGAUUCAGAUGGAAUGCAAUCAAUCCAGUUUAUACCCAAAGGUGGAGCUUUUCUCUUUCAAUGGUAGUCUUCAGCGGGUGGAGGAUGAACGUGAGGUGGAAUCACCAGGUUCACUGGAUUCUAGAAUCAGAAAAGGGAGUCUUCGUUAUAUCAUAACUUAUAUAGAAAACUUCUACUAAAACUAACUCUUUCAACUUGUCUCAAGGUGUAUGCACUACAUAAAUAUCCUUUAAUGAUGAAAACCUGUUGCUCGGAUAAAAACUCCAUAAACAACAUUUUUUUUAUUAAAAGAUGUAUCAAUAAAAAGAUGAUAAAUUGUAUCUUGGUGGAUAAUGAUUCGACUAUUAAUAUACUAUAUUACCUCUUAAGAUUAUAAAAAAGUUCGAGAUUUAUAUUUAUGUUUAUAUAUAAAAAAUAAUAUUGUUUUGAUACACAUAAAAAAUUAGAUUGAUCCAAGUUAACCUGUAUCGUGAUAAAAAAGCAUGAUACAAAUCUUACUCUAGAUUAAACACCGAGCAGUGUCUAACGAGGAUUGUUUGGGAAAAGAUUCUGGAAGCCCACCAGUAUGCAUAAGAAAAUCACCAGGAAAUUACUCAUCUUGGCCAGUAGUGCUAUAAAGAAGAGAAAGUGGAUAUUCCACUUUCUCAUCAAUUACGACAAUAAUUGACUCCCAGUCAAUGUGGUCCACACAAAUUGUUUGGUGAGGUUACAUGCCAACAAAACUAAUCUGAAUAUUUUUAAUGUGGAAAAAAUUAUUAAAUGUUGUAAUGAGAUUAUGUUUUUUUUUUUCAAGAUAAUAAAAACAUUAUAUUUAGAAAGGUUUCAGAUUAAUUAAAUAGGUUAUGAAAAUAUAAUUGCUUAGCGGUAUAGAUCAUGAAAAUAUGAUUGCUUAGUGGUUGUUUAAUGGUAUAGAAGUAUUGGUUAACAAUUAGACAAUAAAGUUAGAAGUUGUUAGUUUAAGUAUUUUACAGGGGCUACUGUUUGAUCCAAAAAAUGAUUUGAAUAGAUACAAUUUUUAACCCAAAUUUUAUACAUAGGAAAAGCUUGUUCUCUCUGGUUUUUAAUACCAUAAACGGUGCAUUAAUCCAGUUUUCAUAGAAAUAGCUAUGAUGAAAAUAGUAAAGAAUACAAGGACGGACUAUCUGUCAAUAAUGCCCAGGAAUGAUUUUGAAACUUGUCGACAAUUUUCUUGAACGUGUUCAGCUAAUGGGUUCUUUAAGAGCCUAUUUAGAAGUGUAGUUGUGGUUGUUUUUCAUUCAGAAAUGUAUUAAAAUAAUAUAUUUUUUAUAAAAAAAAUUAUUUUUGAUAUUAACACAUCAAAAUGAUCUAAAAACACCAAAACAAUAUUAAUUCGAAGCAAAGAAAAAAAUUAAAAAAUUUUAAUUUUUUUUUAAAAACACUUUUGAAACAUCAAAACAAACAGGGAGACAAGUGUUGACCUCAUAGCUUAGCCUUAUUGUUGAUCGUUUCAAUAGAGAAGUGUUGUAACUAUAUUUAUCUGUGGAAUUCUAAGUCUGUCUUGUUUAAUUACUUUGUUUUUGCUAUUUUUUUAAAAAUAAUUGCCUUGACCAUCAUGUUGGAGUAUUCUGAUCAAGAAGUUAACAAUGAUGUAGUCCAUCUUCAAGUUCAGUUUCUCAUUGAUCUCUUCCUAAUUUAACAUAAAAAAUGAGAAAACUAUAAAGAAAACUCCUACUAAGCAUGUCAUGACUGACUCUUUCAACUUUUCUCAAGGUGUAUUCACCACAGUGAUAUCCUUUAACGAUCAAAACUCGAUAAACAACUUUUUUUAAUUAAAAGAUAUGUUGAUGGAAAGAUGAUGAAUUGUAUCUUGGUUGAUGAUGGUUCGACUAUUAAUAUACUACCUCUUAAUAUUAUAAAAGAGCUCGGGAUUCAUAUUUAUGUUUAUAUAUAAAACACAAUGUUGUUUUGACACACACACAUAAAUUUAAGGUUAAUCCAAGUUGAUCUGGGACCUGAUAAAAAAUCAUGAUAAAAAUCUUAUUCCAGGUUAGCCCCCGAACCGGGCUAACGAGGAUUGUUUGGAAAAAGAUUAUGGAAGACCACCAGUAUGCAUAAGGAAAUCACCAGGAAAUUACUCAUCUUGGCCAAUAGUGCUUUAAAGAAGAGAGAGUCGUAUAUCCACUUUCUCAUCAAUUACGACAAUAAUUGAUUCCCAGUCAAUACGGUCCACGCAAAUUGUUUGGUGAGGUUACAUGCCAGCAAAACUAAUUUGAAUAUUUUGAAUGUGGGUAAAACUUUUAAAUGUUAUAGUGAGGUAAUGUUAUGUUUUCUUUAUUUUGAGAUAAAAAAAAACAUUAUAUUUAGAAAGGUUUCGAAUUAAUUAAAUAGGUAAUGAAAAUAUAAUUGCUUAGUGGUACAGAUAAUAAAAAUAUGAUUGCUUAGUGGUUGUUUAAUGGUAUAGAAGUAUCAAGUUAAAAAUUAGAAAAAUAAAGUUAGAAGUUGUUAGUUUAAGUAUUUUACAGGUGCUGCUGUUUGAUCCAAAAAAUGAUUUGAAUAGAUACAGUUUUGUAUCCAAAUUUUAUACAUAGGAAAAGGUUGUUCUCUCUGGUUUUUAAUACCAUAAGCGGUGCAUUAAUCCUGUUUUUAUAGGAAUAGCUAUGAUGAAAAUAAUAAAGAAUACGUGGACUAUCGAAUGAUUUCGGGGAUUAUUAUAAAUUAUAUAAAAGGAAUUGCUAUCUGAAUUAUAUAUAUGAAUGAAAAGGUAAUGAGACUAGUUUACAACCCAAAAAGCAUAAUAGAAUUCUGAAUGUUAUAGGAGCUAUGAUUAGUUUAUUAGGUAGCAUGUAGUUAACAAAUUAUUGUAGUUAAGUGUUGAAGGGAUUUUAACAGGUUAUAUGCUUGUGAAUAGGUUUUUUGAGCUAAGAUUUCAGACCAGGCAAAGAAUAGAGAAGUUAGUAGCAGUUAGUAGCAGUGAGAACCCUGAACUUACAAACCAUACCACUAUAAAAAAUGUGAGGAAUCAUUAGCAAAAAAUAAAAACAAAUAAUGACAUAAGCAAGUGUCGGGCAAGUAAUAUACAACAUAAAGAUACAUAGACAUCAAAUAGUAAUUUUCUUGAACCGGAUUUAUGGGUAUGUUCCAAGAUAUAUAAGUGAAUUAGUUGCAAAACAGGGGAGUCUCUGUGAAAACAUUACAAUAGCAUUUACUCUGAGUAAGAACGCUUCUAUGCAUGUGCUGUAAUUGACAAAGAAAAGGAGAAAUCCUUUCAAUUUAUGAAAAUGCAAUGAGUUAACCUUAUCUCACACUGCAAUAUAUACUCUACAGUAUUCAUGUAUGAAAACAUUUGAACGGGAAUAAAUAAAAUAAUUCAUCAAACAAUAUGAGAGUUGUUUGGAAAAAGAUUCUGGAAGAGCACCAAUAUGCACAAGGAAAUUACUGCAUGGUUGUGUUUAAAAAUCAAAAGGGCACAUAGCAAGUCUAGCAUCCGCGUUCACAACCUUUUAAUGCUUUAACUCAUCUUCGCCAGUAGUGCUAUAAAGAAGAGAGUGAUAUAUCCACUUUCUAAUCAAUUACUUUAGAUUUGUGGAAGAUAUGAUACAAGAGAAAGUGGUAUAUCCAGACUCUAUAAUGGGUGGCAAGCUCCUUGCUUUUCACGUGAUGAUGCCCCCCCUCUUUCUUUCUUUCUUUUUUUUUAUAAAAAAAUCCCUUUUAUGCUUAAAAUCCACCCACUAAGGGGUCGAUGAAGUGGCCGCUAACAACAAUCCAGAUAAGAUGUUGCUUGUUCUUACAGGGAGAGGAAUCCCAGCACCAGACAGCAGAAGGGAGAUCGUUUCCCUACAUCUUCAUCAUUAGAGCACAGCAAUAACUCAAAGCUCUACCAUGUCACCAUCGCUUUUUUGAUUGCUAUCUUCGGUUGUUAUACCUACAAAUACAAGAACAAUAGACAACUUGAACGUUAAUCUUAUUAUUUUCUUUGGAGUUUUUUUUUUCUUUUGCAAAAUAGCACCUAGAAAAAAAUAAUAACACAAUUCAAAAUUUAUUUAAAGAAAUAAUAUAUACACUUUCUCAUCAAUUACUUAAGAUUUGUGGAAGAUAUGAAUGAUACAAGAGAUAAGAAAAUGAUUGCUAUUAUCGACAAUUUCUCUGUUAUAUAUAUAUAUAUAUAUAUAUAUAUAUAUAUAUAUUAUGCGGAGUUUCAUCCUUUCCAUUAGAUAAUAAAUAAUAUUGUAUAUAUUCUUUUUUGAGAAGUAACUCAUUUGCACACCCUUGUUGUAGUUUUCUAUUCAAUUUCACACCAGAGUGUAACAUAAAAAAACUUUUGAAAAGUAUUUUAUUUUCUUUCCAUUCACCCCAGCACUACGACAAUAAUUGACUCCCAGUCAAUAAGGCACAUAACUCAUUUGAAUAUUUUUCCCAACCUGGCGAAUAGACUAAGUGCUAAACAAUAAAAUAAAAUAAGAUAAUAUUCAAAUCCAAAAAUAUUCCAAAAAAAAAUGAAAUAAAGAAAACAUCUCAAAACAUAGAAUCUGCACAAGAUAUGCAGAUAAAGUCAUGGAAAUGGCCAUAGUGUAGUAUAAAUAGGACCUCUAUGGUUGCCCAAAGGCACAUAACAAACAACAAUAUUCUACGUAGUACGUAGUUCAUAGAAUUAUCUAAGAUGAUGAUGAAAAGAAUGGGGGCUUGGAUGUUGCUAGCAUUGUUGACUUUCGUUGGCGAAUGGCAUGGUCGUUGUUAUGGGUGUUUGGAGGAAGAGAGUAUUGGUCUCUUGGAGAUCAAAGCUUUGGAUGGCUUUUACUUGAGAGAUUGGGUGGACGGUAGUAAUUGUUGUGAGUGGGGUGGGAUCGAGUGUGAUCCGACUACAAGACGAGUGAUCCAAAUCUCUCUUGGUGGCGCAAGGGAUGAGAGCUUGGGCGAUUGGGUUCUCAACGCAUCUUUGUUUCUGCCUUUCAAAGAAUUGCAAAGUCUUGAAUUGGGAGAUAAUGGAUUGGUUGGUUGCAUGGAGAAUGAAGGUUAGUUCAAUGUUUCUGCACUUAAUUAUAAUCAUAAAAUAAAUCAAGGUUGGUUGAUGUUUAAUGUCAAUUAUCUUGCUUUGAUGAUUCUCUUUCCAGGCUUCGAAGUCCUAUCAUCAAAACUGAGGGAACUUGACCUAGGUGUCAACCGAUUUAAUAAUGAUAAAAGCAUUUUGUCAUGUUUCAAUGGUAACCUUUCCACUCUCGAGUCUUUGGAUCUAUCAGACAAUGGGUUGACAGCUGGAUCAGGUAGCUUCUAUGGUAACCUUUUAAUUAUUUAGCUUCGAAACCUUUUCUUUUCUCCUUCUCGUAUCAUUUUUUUCUACGCAUUUAAUUAUUUCCUUCCAAUAUGCUAUUGAGGAACAUCAUGCAGGUCUCAAAGUCUUGUCAUCAAGGUUGAAAAAGUUGGAGAACCUUCGUCUAUGGUGGAAUCAAUACAACGAUAGCAUUUUUCCAUCUCUUACUGGAUUUUCAUCCCUCAAGUCUUUGGAUCUUUCAGAAAAUCAGCUGACAGGAUCUAUCAAUAGUAAGUUACAUUCUCUUUAUCAAGAAAAUUGACUUCAUAUCUAUUUAAUAAUCAAUUGUUUCUAACUAGGAUCGACACUUGCUAUCUAUCUUCUUCCUUUAAAAAAAUUAUAUUUUUUUAUGUAUAAUUUGAGAAUUAUAUAUCUUGCAGGUUUUCAACUCCAACCGAUGAGGCUGGGAAAGUUAGAGAACCUUGACCUGAGUGCAAAUCAAUUGAACAGCAGCAUCUUAUCAAUUCUGAGUGGGCUUUCAUCCCUCAAGUCUUUGGAUCUAUCGUUUAAUAUGUUGACAGGAUCAGGUAUAAUACACAGUUUCUACCUAAAUGCUUCACAUGACAUUCUCUUAAUUAUAUUGUUUCUAUAUCAAGAAAAAUGAGGACGACUUUAUAUCUAUGUAAAGAGGCACUUGGAAUGAGGUCCAAGAGGCAUAUAUUUUGUUGUAACCCAUUUUUGGGUCCCCACAAAAAAAAUAUAAAUGAAAUAAAAUAAAUAGCCAAAGGACGUUAGAAAAAUAACAGGAGGCAGAAGCGCUCAGAAAGUGGUCAGAAAAAUCAGUCAAGGAGGAUAAAAAUACAAAGAUAGAUUUUUGACAAUAUAUUCAUGAAGGAUGAGAGCCCUGUUGAGAAGGAAAAUUUUGAAUUUUGAGGAGAAAAGCCCAAAUUUGGAUGUUUAUGGACUUAAUUGGAUUUUAUUUGAAUUUAUAGAGGAUUUGAGUGCAAGAAAAAUUGAUUUUUAAGUUAAUUUGGGCUUUAAUUAGAAGAAAUUUAAGUUCUGGGGCCAAAAUAUAUAUUUUUGGAAUUUAUUAGGUGAAAUCAGGGGCUUAAUUGCAUAAAUAUUGAAGUUUAAUGGCCAAUUAGGGACUUAAUUAAGAAAAUCCGAAACCAGGGACUAAAUUGGAAGAGGCGCGUAAAUGGAAGGGCUGCAAUUAUUCGGUUCAGGGGCCUAAUUGAAGAAAUUGAAAGUUUGUUAUCCAAUUGAGGGCUCAAUUGCAUAAAUCAGAGGCCAAGGACCAAGGUGAAAAACGCGGCCAACUAUGGGGGCAAGGACCGAAAUUGGCAGGGACGCAAUUGAAAGAAUCAAAAGAUAAUUGAGGGCUGAGUUGAAAUUUGACGCGUUCUGGCGCCAUUUUUUAAAUGAAACGACGCGUUUUCCCCAAAACGACGCCGUUUCAUAUAGAUUUAAAAAAAAAAAAAAAAGAAGGACCGAACGGUGCCGUUUUGAACGGCACUGUUCCCCUUUCUUCUUCCUCCCCGAACGUGCAACAUGGGAAGAAAGUUUGUUUAAUCAUUCGGCACUGUCAUGUUCCCCACGCAGGCCUGCUCAACCCACGCUGCCCUGCUCCCCACGAUGCCCUGCUCAACCCGCUGUCAUGCUCCCCACGCUGCCCUGCUCAGCCCAUGCAGCCCCGCUCCCUUUGCCCGCCUAUAAAAGAAGAGGAGAGACCAAAGAGAGAGAGGAGAGAGAACGAACGUGAGAGAAGGAAGAGAAGCAACAAACGAAAAAUAACAAAAGAACAGAACAAACCGGGGAAAAAAAAAGGAACCAGAGAAAAAGGAGACCGAAAGGGAAGGGAAGUUGAACGAGAGAAGAGAGAACGGAGAGAAAGGAAGGAAAGAAUACCGGGGGGGAGUUUUUUUGAACAAAGAGAGAACGAAAUAGAGAGAGGAGGGAAGAAGUCAGGGAAGUUUGAAACAGAAGGGGGAGCACAGACACACCAGUAUUGCCAAGGAUCGUCAUUUUUUAGCUCAUCAUUCUUCACACACGUUGCAGCACCAUAGAAGAAAAGGAAGAAGCCUGCACCUCGGUACAAACAGAGAAAACAGCGGCAGAACACCGCCCGCCACCGCCGAGAAGACCCACCGUCGCACUGCCAUCAUCAUCACCGCUAGCUGCCACUGUCUUCCCAUCCGACAACAACACCGUGAGGAACAGAAUGAGGAAGCAGAAGCAGAGGAGAACAUAGCUGAAGAAAAAAAAAACACAGAGAAGAAGGAAAAGCCGACCACCGUCCAAGCCACUCAUUAGGCCGCCGCCACCAGCACCUCCACGAAGCAGCUGCAGAGAGGGAAGAACAUUGUUGACAGAGGGAGCAAAGGAAAUAAAGAGAAGAACACAGAAGCAGCAGAGAAAAGGAAGAGCCAACCUUCGGUCAGCAACCACCAGCAAAACCGCCACCAGCACCACUGUCAGCUCCUCUACCCAAGCUCAUCGUCGCAGGUGCACAGUAACCACCUAAUUAAUUAACUGGUUACUGUGCAGGUGCACAGUAACCAGUCCAUGUUCAUUUCGGGCUGGAAUAUCAGCCCAGCCCAGGUAGUUGGACUGAGUCCAGCCCUGUAGAAAGUAGGCUUGUUUUAUUUCAGGCCAAUUUCGGCCCAGUCCCUUUUUUGGGCCGGGUCCGGUCUAGUAAAAAAAUUUUAAAUUAAAAAAAAAAAAUUUCAAAAAAUAUGUGAUUUUCCACAAUUUUGUUACUGUAUUUUGAUCAAUACCGGUUUGUAUUUUUAUACUGUAAAGAUACAAAUCCGGUAUUAAAAUACCCGGUUUUCGAAAAAAAAAAAUGUUUAUUAAAAAAUGUUUUGUUUUCAUGCAUACGGCUAGUCUCUCCAAUAUAUAAUAUAAAUAUUAUAACAUCAUAUUUUCACACAACAAAGAAAUUUUCAAAACAAUAUAUGUAUUAGCAUGCAUUUUGGCUUUAAUAACCAGUUUAUUUAAGCCAUGAGAACUAGGCCAAUAUUUCAAAAAUUCAAAAAAUUUUUGUUUUCUUUUAGUAUUUGGGAUUACGAAUUUAUACGUAAACGUAUUCCUAAAUAUUAAAUUUUGGUUAUUAACGUUAGGAAUUUUACCCGAUAAGAUAAAGACCUUCUUACCGAGGAGGAUUUUUCUUGAACCAUAGACAACCAACAACUAGGAAAACAUAAAAUACCUUAGUUUUUAUCAGACAAUAAAACAAUGCAGCUUACCUUAGGUAGGGCGUAUUUGGGGUGCUAAUACCUUCCCUUUACGCAACCAGUCCCCGUACCCAAUCUCUGAGACCAGUUAGGGUUCCUAGUGACCAAAAUACUAGGUGGCGACUCCCAUUCCAUUUUCUACCAAUAAAAGACAAUAUUUUCUUGUAUCCCCAUAGAUAUAGAUAGAUUUACAUUGUAGAUUAAGAAAAUGGAAAACUUAUUUUCGCCGCGACGCCGCACACGUGCGACAGAAUGGCGACUCCACUGGGGACCUUGUAGACUAAGCUUUGUUUUUGUCUGAUUUUUGUGUUUUGUGUUUAUUGUUAAUAUGCCUUCCUUUUAUUUGCGUAUUUAUUUUAUUUUAUUUACUCAUAUUAUUCAUGCAUUGUAUACAAUUGUCUCAUGCAUCACUUGCUUUAAUUUUGAAAAGCACACACAAGCUUUAAGUUAAGUGGGGAAUUAGCGAUUUACCCUAAGACUAUUGGUCAGGGUUUAAAUGCGUGAAACACCCAACUCAUAUCUGAGUGCCUGCUUGGUAAUGGUGGGCAUACGUGUCUUAACUGUUCCUUGCAACGCCCCCAUACUUCUUUACGAAGAACGUCACUGGGCAGAUAUGAGACCCUUCGAGACCAGAUAGAAAAACUACCCACUCUCACUUGAUAAUUAGAGCUUGUCCUUAGGUUGUGAAUCUUACUUUCAUUUUGCAUCACGAUUAAUAAUGUUGAAUUCAUCAACCCAGGUUUUGAGCUGAAAUCAUGACUAAGUACCUCUCUUUCCAAGAAUAUGGACAAGAGUCUGAGUUGGCUCAGAUUGCCGAAGGAAAAUGCCCAAGAAUCGAUACUAGUGGUUUACCAUGCAUUACCAAGGUAAAUCACAUGGUAAACGACUUAGGAAAGUUGCUGCCUAUCAUGGAAUAUGUUGACGAGACUUUGUUUGAAAGGCGAUAUGGGAGAAUUGCACAAAUAAUGAGGUUACCUGUACAAGCAGCGGCGAUCAAAGCCCUUCUGAAUUUUUGGGAUCCAAGUUAUCGGUGUUUUACCUUUGGAAACAUCGAUAUGACACCCACCUUGGAAGAAUAUGAGAGAAUUCUGGACUUUCCAAAUGACAGCCACAGAAUCUACCACCGACGCAGAUUUGAAGACACAGCUUCGGAAGUAGUCAAUUUAUUAGGCUUAGGAAAGAUCAGCCAGUGUAGAGUCGCCGAAGGGGGUUUUAAAUGGAAGGUCAUUGAAGCCGAUGAAGAAAAAUGCCGAAGAAGGCAAGUUGGGAGACGACGAUAUAGGUUGGUGGCCUUCGCCAUUUUUGGGCUAGUGUUGUUCCCUUCUGAAACUGGGGUCAUCAGUUUAGAAGCAGCAAGUGUCUUCGUCGAAUAUGAGCAUGACCGGAUCAAUCCUUCCUCAGCCAUCUUGGGGGAAACCAUGUUAUCUCUUAAUCACUGCCGAACACAUGGAAAAGGAGCUAUGAGAUGCUGCGUCCCUAUGUUGUACCUAUGGAUAAUCAGUCAUAUCGAAGCACCAAGAGACAUCUUCAACAACUUUUGGUGGUUUGACUUGCGACCGUUAAAGAUUACCAUAGAUGAGACUUGGAAGAAUUGGGAUGAGAAGGCAUGGAGGGAUAAGUAUGCAGCAUUGCCAAGUAGCAACUUCAAAUGGAAAGCACCGUGGAUGAACAACGCUAUUUGCACAAUGAGCUGCGGAAGCAAGAUAUGGGUUCCUUUAAUUGGUGUAACCGGUUACAUCAGCUAUGCGCCCGCCCUCGUAACAAGGCAGUUUGGCGGAAUGCAAUAUACGCCAAGAACCUUGGGUUUAGCUGAUUUCAUUGGGUUAUUCAAGCACCAACCGUUCAUCCAAGAAAUAGAGCUUAUCCGACAGGAUUGGGAAAGACCCGUGAAGGUGAAAAGAGAAGAAGGAAGCAGUUUUGAAACCUCAUUCAGCCAUAAUUAUAUAGUUUGGAGGAAUGAAGAUUUUUCUGAAGAGAAGGGUCUCUCUACACAAGAACAGUCUGAGGCAGCUAUGGAACCACAGAAAAGGAAAAGAAAGGAUGAUGAGGAAGAUCUAAGAAAGCAGUUAGAUCAAUGUAUAAUAGAAACAAAAGUAAGGGGCAACAACAACUGUUAGAGAACCAGCUAGAGGAGGAAAAUACGAUGAGAGUUUUUCUGAAUCAGCGGUUAGAAAAACAAGAGAAGCAACUAAUGUCUCUAAAGGAAUGGCAGAAAAGGGCUGAGGUAGCUGAAGAGAUAACAACAGGGGUCCAGGCUGAGUUGAGGAGUCGAAUAGCUGAUUAUGAUGAGUUGGUCAAGAAGUAUGGGAUAGCAGAAAAAGAAUUGGCUAAGGUUAAGAGGGCAACAAAAGGCGUGAAUGUUGAUAAGGAGACGAUGGAUUCUUUGAAGAAGGGAAGAAGCCUUCUUUUAAAGAAAGUAGAAGUGGAAAAAGAGAAGAAUCGUCUAGCCAAGCUCGACAUAGAAGAAGAAAGGAAGGUCAGAGCUCAAUACAUGGUCCAACUAGAGGAAGAAAGAAGUGCGAGAAGGGCCGCUGAGUCUGACAUGAGAGAUUACCAGAAGAGAGCUGAGUCUUCAAAAGGAAGGAUGAGGGCUUUACAAUCGGAGAUCGAGGUACGAGAAGAAGAGUUAAGGGAGUUGAGAAGACACUACUUCGAGAUAGAAGAGGAAAUGAGUAAGGCUAAGCAAGAGCGUCAAGAAUGCCAAGACUACGUGGACAGCUUUGCAGUUCAAAUCAAUUCACAAAUAGCAGAGCUGGAUAUCAAAAAGGAAGAGCUACAGAGGACAAGAGAUAAGUUGGCACAAUCAGAGGGUAUGGUGCGAGUAUUGGAAAGAAGCAACGAAGCCUUAGGAGCCAGCAACGCAGCAAUAAUCGGUUGAGCACGUAGCCCGUUGUGCGGAAAGGUUGCAACAGCAAGCCACCGAGGUUGGAAAUGACGCUUCAAAGUAUCGAGAAUACAUGGGGACCAUGGCCUGUUUUAUUAGGGAUUUAGCUAAUAGGGGAAAUGCCUUUUAGAAGUAGCAAUGUAUAGGACUUCUCUUUUCCAUUAUUGUUUUGUAGGAGCAAUUUUGUUAGAAGUCCAUGGCGUAUUUUCUUUCUUAAUGUGUUGAGUAAACCACCAUGAUAAGAACUUGGCAAACCUUCCUUUAUGGUAAUCAGGUCAACUCAGAAAUCUUGCUUAAAGGUUACGAAAGUCAUGAAUCAACUCAUAUAUAUAUAUAUAUACACACACACAUGCAUCACAUUCGCAUUACACAUUUUGUUUUUAAUUCAUCAUAUGCAUGCCAGAUCGUGAAACAUAGGUCCCAUAUCCAGAGUCCACCAAACACGGUCUAGAUCAAGAAUGGAAAACGAAGAAAGAGCUCAAUUAGAGUCGCACUACCAGACCGAGUUGGAAUCUGUGAAAAAUGAAGUUUCUCGACUGACCAAUCUGCUUGAGCAACUUUUAAGAACCAAGAACUAAGAGGGAACGUCUACCCAACCACCUAUAGGAGCACCGUCAGUUCAUGUCCCGGGGUUAUCUCAGAACUUGGGGGCAGAUUCAGCGACAGGGCAGCACUUUGCACCUGCUAUUCCCAUUCAGCCCCCUCAAACUCACAUCACUGUAGAUUUAACAGCUGAGGGGCCUUCCGAUAAUAGGUCCACUGGUUUUGUGAACGAUGACAAGAUAUCAGCAUUAGAAGAAAGGUUAAGAGCGGUCGAGGCAAAUGAUUGGUUUGACCCCAUGCGAGCGUCAGAAAUAUGCUUGGUACCAAACGUCACGGUACCAAAAGAUUUUAGGAUACCGGAGUUUAUAAGGUACACUGGGUUGGAAUGCCCAAACACUCACCUUCGAUCUUAUUGCAAUAAGAUGGCUGAGGUGAUUCAUGACGAUAAGUUAAUGAUCUACUUUUUCCAAGACAGUCUAUCGGGAUCUGCGCUAAGUUGGUACAUGAGGCUGGAUAAUGUCAAGAUUAAGAAAUGGAAGGACUUAGUGGAGGCUUUCCUAAAGCAAUACAAGUUCAAUUUGGAAAUUGCUCCAGAUCGAACGAGCCUCAUGUCAAUGGAAAAGAGAAGCCAAGAGUCAGUGAGGGCUUAUGCGCAAAGAUGGAGGGACGAGGCCACGCAUGUGCAACCCCCUUUGAUAGAAACAGAGAUGGUGACUUUGUUCGCCAAUACAUUCAAGGCACCAUAUUAUGAGCAUUUAAUGGGUAGCUCAGCUCAGCAUUUCUAUGAUGUUGUACGCAUAGCGGAAAGAAUAGAGCAAGGGAUUAAAGUUGGACGCAUAAUUGAGCCAUUGGAGAUAAAGGGUUUUAUUGGGAAAAAAAGGGAAGGUCCCAUUACCAACUUUGAAGAUGGGUCCAAUGGCAAGAUAACAGAUUCAUAUAACCUACAAAUACCUACCUCUCAUGUGGCCCACAUAAAACUUUAACAAACCUUUUUCCCCUAAUUGAGUAAAUAACCAGUCAAACAACCACAACAACCAUCAAAGACCAAAUACAAGAUACAUUUUAGAACAACUACCACCAUUACCCAUGCCUUUGAAGGACAUGUAUGCCAAACUACUAAGCAUUGGACAAAUAACUCCUAUCCCCACAUUACCACUACAACCACCAUUCCCUAUCUGGCACAAGCCUGAAUUGGCUUGCGAGUACCAUACUGGUAUCCCCGGGCAUGGUCUUGAAACGUGCUAUGCUCUCAAGAAAAGGUUGUUGGAGCUCAUCAAGAUAGGAUGGGUGUCAUUUGAAGACCCACCCAACAUCAAUUCAAAAUCAUUGCCUAGUCAUGACGCAAGCAAUAGUGGAUAAAGGAUUGGAAAACCUUGGUCAAGAAUUGUCAAUAAUGAAGAAGGUAAGAUCGAAAGAGAUGACAAGGAAACACACGUGGGGGAAGAAGAUGAAGCGCUGCUACGGUUGAUUGUCCACAUACUAGAAGAAGUCUCUGCCAAGACCUUUUUACGCGAGUAGAGAAGUUUCAGAAUGGGGUGACCCAAGAAGUUCCUGUAGUUAACCGACUUUAUUUGCCUUAGCAUGCUUUUGUCAUUGUUUUUAUUUGCUUUUAUUUUCUCUAGUUGACAAUUAGGGCUCAUGAUGUCAGCCAGAUUUUGUAUUUGUCUUUGAGCCUACCUUUUCUUUCUAUAAAUGAUGAGAUUAUGCACUUUUUAAACAAGGUUGAGUGGUUACAAAGAAAGUAUCAUAAAUCGAUCAAAAAUGAAAAUUUAAGAAAAGCUACCCUCGAAAUACAACCUUACCUCUGGAUAACAUAAUGAAUUGAUAAAUCACCUGUAAUUUUCUUUCAAGAUAAAAAUAGAGUUUAUCAAUCUUAACAAUGUGCAUUUUGAAAUGAGAAAAACUCAUUUUCCUUUCACUUUCUAAAGAGUUUAUCGUUGGUGAUCCCAUUUGAGCCAGAAUGAAUUUCUCCUUUAUAAAAACCCGGACUAGGAUCACACUCCACACUGGGGGCAAUAAAAGAUAUUUCAUGAAAAGUUUUACAUAUUUUUCAAAGCAAGAUGAGAGCCGUAGAUUUGAAAAAAAUAAAGCAUUUGACAAAAGCAUGACAAAAAGGCAAUAACAAGUCAUACAUUUUGAGAAAAGGACUACUUGAAGAAAGUCAAAGACUUCUUCUCCAAGAAUAUGAUCAGUAAAAAGAGGCAACACGAGAGAUGAAUCCAGCAUACGACUUCAAAAGCAAGCUCGUGUUAAGAAAGAGCUUCAUGAACUAGAAGAAGAUGAUGGGGCCUAUGUUUCAAACCAGGUACGAAUACAUGCAUUGCAUCUAAUCAUAAAUCAUUGCAUGUUUGUUUUUUUAUCGUUACAGGAGGAGAUCUUAGUGCAUUCCAACAAGAUUGUGGACGAAGAAAGAAUCAUUGAGUUGAUUCUAGAACAACAAGAAGAGAAGAUAAUAACUUCCAAACCCUGCCCGUAGGAAGAACGACAUCGAUAUCAGCUUUGGUAAUAAAGAAUCGCCUGAUGGGAUUCCAAGUUGUUUGAGAUCGCCAGAAGGGAUCUCGUAUUUUGCUAUUUUGGAGGUCGCCAGAUGGGACCUCAUAUUUCAUGUUGGUUAAAAGGAAUCGCCAGAUGGGAUUCCGAGUUGAUUAAAGGAGAUCGCCAGAAGGGAUCUCGUGUUCGCUAUUUGGAGGUCGCCAGAUGGGACCUCAUAUUUCAUGUUGGUAAUAAGGAAUCGCCAGAUGGGAUUCCAAGUGUUUGAGAUCGCCAGAAGGGAUCUCGUAUUUCACUAUUAUGGAGGUCGCCAGAUGGGACCUCAUAUUUCAUGUUUGUUAAAAGGAAUCGCCAGAUGGGAUUCCGAGUUGAUUAAAGGAGAUCGCCAGAAGGGAUCUCGUGUUUCGCUAUUUGGAGGUCGCCAGAUGGGACCUCAUAUUUCAUGUUGGUAAUAAGGAAUCGCCAGAUGGGAUUCCAAGUUGUUUGAGAUCGCCAGAAGGGAUCUCGUAUUUCACUAUUGUGGAGGUCGCCAGAUGGGACUUCAUAUUUCAUGUUUGUUAAAAGGAAUCGCCAGAUGGGAUUCCGAAGUUGAUUAAAGGAGAUCGCCAGAAGGGAUCUCGUGUUUCGCUAUUUGGAGGUCGCCAGAUGGGACCUCAUAUUUCAUGUUGGUAAUAAGGAAUCGCCAGAUGGGAUUCCAAGCUGUUUGAGAUCGCCAGAAGGGAUCUCGUAUUUCACUAUUUGGAGGUCGCCAGAUGGGACCUCGUAUUUCAUGUUUGUUAAAAGGAAUCGCCAGAUGGGAUUCCAAGUUGAUUAAAGGAGAUCGCCAGAAGGGAUCUCGGGUUUCACUAUUUGGAGGUCACCAGACGGGACCUUGUAUUUCAUGUUUGUUAAAAGGAAUCGCCAGAUGGGAUUCCAAGUUGAUUAAAGGAGAUCGCCAGAAGGGAUCUCGGGUUUCACUAUUUGGAGGUCGCCAGAUGGGACCUCAUACUUCAUGCUUGUUAAAAAGAAUCGCCAGAUGGGAUUCCAAGUUGGUUAAAAGAGAUCGCCAGGAGGGAUCUCAUAUUUCGAUAUUCAUCAAAGAAGGUCGCCAGAUGGGACCUCAUAUCUCAUAUUUCAUAUUGGAAUCGCCAGAUGGGGUUCCAAGUUGAUUAAAAAAGGGAUCGCCAGAAGGGAUCUCGUAUUUCGAUAGUUGUCAAAGGAGGUCGCCAGAGGAGACCACAUAUUUUUUCAUUUUCAGGGAAUCGCCAGAUGGGAUCCCAUUUUUUUAGGCCGAAGAGGAUUGCUGUAAAGAAAGAGUUUCAGAUCGAUCAAGCUUCGACCAGAUCAGUUUCAGGAGUUCAGACGGGAUUAUCUUUAUAAAACUUACUACGCCCUUGCUCCGUAAGCAUUAUAAAGAGGGGGCAUCUGUUGUAACCCAUUUUUGGGUCCCCACAAAAAAAAUAUAAAUGAAAUAAAAUAAAUAGCCAAAGGACGUUAGAAAAAUAACAGGAGGCAGAAGCGCUCAGAAAGUGGUCAGAAAAAUCAGUCAAGGAGGAUAAAAAUACAAAGAUAGAUUUUUGACAAUAUAUUCAUGAAGGAUGAGAGCCCUGUUGAGAAGGAAAAUUUUGAAUUUUGAGGAGAAAAGCCCAAAUUUGGAUGUUUAUGGACUUAAUUGGAUUUUAUUUGAAUUAUAGAGGAUUUGAGUGCAAGAAAAUUGAUUUUUAAGUUAAUUUGGGCUUUAAUUAGAAGAAAUUUAAGUUCUGGGGCCAAAAUAUAUAUUUUUGGAAUUUAUUAGGUGAAAUCAGGGGCUUAAUUGCAUAAAUAUUGAAGUUUAAUGGCCAAUUAGGGACUUAAAUUAAGAAAAUCCGAAACCAGGGACUAAAUUGGAAGAGGCGCGUAAAUGGAAGGGCUGCAAUUAUUCGGUUCAGGGGCCUAAUUGAAGAAAUUGAAAGUUUGUUAUCCAAUUGAGGGCUCAAUUGCAUAAAUCAGAGGCCAAGGACCAAGGUGAAAAACGCGGCAAACUAUGGGGCAAGGACCGAAUUGGCAGGGACGCAAUUGAAAGAAUCAAAAGAUAAUUGAGGGCUGAGUUGAAAUUUGACGCGUUCUGGCGCCAUUUUUUAAAUGAACGACGCGUUUUCCCCAAAAACGACGCCGUUUCAUAUAGAUUUAAAAAAAAAAAAAAAAAAAGGACCGAACGGUGCCGUUUUGAACGACACUGUUCCCUUUCUUCUUCCUCCCCGAACGUGCAGCAUGGGAAGAAAGUUUGUUUAAUCAUUCGGCACUGUCAUGUUCCCACGCAGGCCUGCUCAACCGCUGCCCUGCUCCCCACGAUGCCUGCUCAACCCGCUGUCAUGCUCCCCACGCUGCCCUGCUCAGCCAUGCAGCCCCGCUCCCUUUGCCGCGCCUAUAAAAGAAGAGGAGAGACCAAAGAGAGAGAGGAGAGAGAACGAACGUGAGAGAAGGAAGAGAAGCAACAAACGAAAAAUAACAAAAGAACAGAACAAACCGGGGAAAAAAAAAGGAACCAGAGAAAAAGGAGACCGAAAGGGAAGGGAAGUUGAACGAGAGAAGAGAGAACGGAGAGAAAGGAAGGAAAGAAUACCGGGGGGGAGUUUUUUUGAACAAAGAGAGAACGAAAUAGAGAGAGGAGAGAAGAAGUCAGGGAAGUUUGAAACAGAAGGGGGAGCACAGACACACCAGUAUUGCCAAGGAUCGUCAUUUUUUAGCUCAUCAUUCUUCACACACGUUGCAGCACCAUAGAAGAAAAGGAAGAAGCCUGCACCUCGGUACAAACAGAGAAAACAGCGGCAGAACACCGCCGCCACCGCCGAGAAGACCACCGUCGCACUGCCAUCAUCAUCACCGCUAGCUGCCACUGUCUUCCCAUCCGACAACAACACCGUGAGGAACAGAAUGAGGAAGCAGAAGCAGAGGAGAACAUAGCUGAAGAAAAAAAAACACAGAGAAGAAGGAAAGCCGACCACCGUCCAAGCCACUCAUUAGGUCGCCGCCACCAGCACCUCCACGAAGCAGCUGCAGAGAGGGAAGAACAUUGUUGACAGAGGGAGCAAAGGAAAUAAAGAGAAGAACACAGAAGCAGCAGAGAAAAGGAAGAGCCAACCUUCGGUCAGCAACCACCAGCAAAACCGCCACCAGCACCACUGUCAGCUCCUCUACCCAAGCUCAUCGUCGCAGGUGCACAGUAACCACCUAAUUAAUUAACUGGUUACUGUGCAGGUGCACAGUAACCAGUCCAUGUUCAUUUCGGGCUGGAAUAUCAGCCCAGCCCAGGUAGUUGGACUGAGUCCAGCCCUGUAGAAAGUAGGCUUGUUUUAUUUCAGGCCAAUUUCGGCCCAGUCCCUUUUUUGGGCCGGGUCCGGUCUAGUAAAAAAAUUUUAAAUUAAAAAAAAAACUUUCAAAAAAUAUGUGAUUUUCCACAAUUUUGUUACUGUAUUUUGAUCAAUACCGGUUUGUAUUUUUAUACUGUAAAGAUACAAAUCCGGUAUUAAAAUACCCGGUUUUCGUAAAAAAAAAAAUGUUUAUUAAAAAAUGUUUUGUUUUCAUGCAUACGGCCUAGUCUCUCCAAUAUAUAUAUAUAUAAAUAUUAUAACAUCAUAUUUUCACACAACAAAAGGAAAUUUCAAAACAAUAUAUACAUUAGCAUGCAUUUUGGCUUUAAUAACCAGUUUAUUCAAGCCAUGAGAACUAGGCCAAUAUUUCAAAAAUUCCAAAAAAAUUAUUGUGUUUUCUUUUAGUAUUUGGGGUUAUGAUCUUAUACGUAAGACGUAUUCCGAAUAUUAAAUUAUGUUAUUAACGUCAGAAUUACCCAAUAAGAUAAAGAUCUCCUUACCGAGGAGGAUUUUUCUUGAACCAUAGACAAACCAACAACUAGGAAAACAUGAAAAUACCUUAGAUUUUAUCAGACAAUAAAACAAUGCAGCUUACCUUAGGUAGGGCGUAUUUGGGGUGCUAAUACCUUCCCUUUACGCAACCAGUCCCCGUACCCGUUCUUUGAGACCAGUUAGGGUUCCUAGUGACCAAAAUACUAGGUGGCGACUCCCAUUCCAUUUUCUACCAAUAAAAGACAGUAUUUUCUUGUAUCCCCAUAGAUAUAGAUAGAUUUACAUUGCAGAUUAAGAAAAUGGAAACAAUUAUAUAAUUUUCGCCGCGACGCCGCACACGUGCGACAUAUUUUAUUCUUAUUUUGGCCCUUUUAUGCCAAAAGUGUUGUAAUAUUUAGAUUAAAUUAGCAAUCAGAAGUUCACUUCAAAACUCUCCUAUAAAUAUAUAUUUUAUAUUUAUCUUUUUAAAUAAAUAUAUUUUUAUAUAUGUUUUUUUUGUCUUGAGAUACUGAGUCGAACACAACUCUUAAGUAUUUUUUUUUAAUGCAUUUGAGUUUGAAUGAGUUUUGAAUAACAUAAUAAGAAGCUAUCUCCUAGAAUAUUAUAAUUAAGAAAAUUGUAAUUAUUAAAACUUGGAUUUUAACAUCUAUUAAAAAAAAAAAAAACUAUCCAAUACAAAUCACUCGUGUUUUAUCAAUAAAGAGAACAACAUAAAACCCACAUUUGAUAUUUAAUUCUUUUUUGUAGCCAUUUAUUAUUUCCUCUCUUUUUAAUCAUGGUUUUAUAUUAUUUAGGACCUUUUUUUAAUCAAAAUAUUAUUAUGCGGUGGAGGAUAUAUUGCCUUAUGGUUGUGGUGAAUAGUGAAAUAUUUGGGCUUUGAGAAAUAAAACGUGAAAAAGUUUAUAAUUCUUUAUAAAAAAAAUGAGGACUUUAUAUCUAUUUAAUAAAAACUAUCAAAAAAACUCUCUAAUACAAAUCUUUAGACAGCCAACGAGAGACUGUCGAUUUCUUUAUUAGAAAAACUCUCGACUGUUUUAUUAAUAAAGAGAACAACGUAAAACCCACAUAUUCUGUGGUGAAUGGUGAUGGGUGAUUUUAUGGUGAAAUAUUUGGAUUUGAGAAAUAAAACAAGAAAAAGUUUAUAAUUCUUUAAUGCCAUGGAUAAAAUUGAGAAAGUACUUGCUAGAAAACAGAGGCAGUUAGGAACAAAUUAUAAUUACUAAAUUAGUGACAACUAAGCAUCUUACAGAGGUAGUUAGGAACGAAUUAAGUUACGAACGGAUUUGAACUUACAUGGAUUAUGACUUACUCUUAGAAACAACUCUCCUGCAGGUUUUGAGAUCAUAUCAUCACAUUUGGGGAAAUUCGAGAACCUGGACCUGAGCUAUAAUAUAUUCAACGACAACAUUUUUUCACAUCUGCGUGGACUUUCUUCUAUCAAGUCUUUAAAUUUAUCAGGCAAUAUGUUGCUAGGAUCGACGACUGUCAAUGGUAACGUUGUGAAAUCUCUGGAUUUUUCAAUAAAUUUGUAGUUUAUAUCCAAAAAUCAUCUCACUAUUCAAUAUCAAUUCUUUAUCAUAGGUUUAAAAACUCGAUAAAGAUAACAUUUAAUUUCACAACUUACUUGAUUGCCUGUUUUCAAUUCUACACAUCAUAGGUUUAAAAAAGUUGGACUUCCUACAGUCAUUGCCAUCCCUGAAGACCCUUACUCUCAAGGAUACUAAUUUAAGUCAAGGUUAAUCAUAGUUUCUCUUCUUCUUUUAAUCAUAGUUUAGUUUCUUAAAAUCAUAAUUAAUAAUAUUGAAUGCAAUGGCCAUUCUAUACCACCACUAUUUUCAUCAUAUCUUUUUUCUUUUUCUUUCUUUUUCACAGGGACUUUCUUCAAUUCUAGCACCCUUGAAGAAUUGCAUCUAGAUAAUACUUCUCUCCCAAUAAACUUUCUCCAGAACACUGGAGCAUUGCCUGCUCUUAAAGUUUUGUCUGUUGCUGAAUGUGACUUCCAUGGCACCCUACCCGCUCAAGGUAAAUUAACAACUCUCCAUCCGCCUAUAAUUACAUCAUCAACACUAUUUUGACUGUUUUGAGAUAAAUUGUACAGGUUGGUGUGAAUUGAAGAAUCUGAAGCAGUUAGAUCUCGCUAGAAAUAAUUUAGGAGGUUCUCUCCCAGAUUGUUUGGGGAACUUGUCAUCUCUACAACUAUUAGAUGUUUCUGAAAACCAGUUUACUGGAAAUAUUGCAUUUGGUCCUCUUACCAACCUCGUAUCCCUUAAAUUCCUCUCAUUAUCAAAUAACCUCUUUGAUGUUCCCAUUUCAAUGAAGUCUUUUAUUAACCACUCAAGCCUCAAGUUCUUCUCUAGUGAGAACAACAGACUAGUAACAGAACCUGCUACCGUUGAUCAUUUGAUUCCAAAGUUCCAACUAGUCUUUCUUAGGUUAUCAAAAACAACGAAAGCAUUCCAUGUAGAAAUUCCUGACUUCCUCUAUUACCAAUACAACUUAAGAGUCCUUGAUCUCUCCCACAACAACAUCACCGGAAUGUUGCCAUCGUGGUUGCUUAAGAACAAUACACGAUUGGAGCAACUAUAUUUGAGCAAUAACUCCUUUGUUGGUACUUUGCAAUUGCCAUAUCACCCAUAUCCGAAUAUGAUAGAAUUAGAUAUAUCCAACAACAACUUGAACGGUCAAAUUCCAAAAGAUAUUUGUUUGAUCUUUCCAAAUCUGUGGACCUUAAGGAUGGCUAAGAAUGGAUUCAUAGGUUGUAUUCCUUCUUGUUUAGGAAAUAUUAGCUCUCUUUCAUUUUUAGAUUUAUCCAACAAUCAAUUGUCUACAGUAAAACUAGAACAACUAACAACAAUAAUGUAUCUUAAUCUAAGUGGUAACAACUUUUGGGGUCAGAUAUCAGAUUUUCCAUUAUAUAGGCUGAAAGAGUGUGGUGUAUUGGAUUUGAGUAACAAUCAAUUUUCAGGCAUGCUUCCAGGAUGGUUCGUCAAUUUUACAAGCCUUAUAGUACUUGAUUUGUCCAAAAACCAUUUUAAGGGUCCGAUCCCAAGAGACUUUUGCAAGCUUGACCGGCUUGAAUAUUUGGACCUUUCUAAGAACAACUUGUCUGGAUAUAUACCAUCUUGUUUCAGUCCACCGUCUCUAAUCCAUGUGCAUCUAUCUGAAAAUAGAUUGAACGGUCCAUUAACAUAUGGAUUUUAUAACAGCUCUUCCCUGGUUACGAUGGAUCUUCGAGAGAACAGCUUCACCUGCUCCAUUCCAAAUUGGAUUGGCAAUCUUUCAUCAUUGAGUGUUCUUCUUCUAAGGGCUAAUCACUUUGAUGGUGAGCUCCCUGUUGAGUUAUGCUUGUUAGAAGAAUUAAGCAUUUUGGAUGUUUCACAAAACCAGCUUUCUGGUCCACUGCCCUCCUGUUUGGGCAAUCUUACUUUCAAGGAAAGUUCCCAUAAAGCGUUCGAAGAUCUCAAAACUGGUUUUGGAUCAAGUUCCAUAGAAGAUGCUUAUUAUGAAACAAUAGGUCCACCACUAGUGGAUAGUAUUGACAACUUGGAAAAGGUUUUUAUACUUAACUUUACAGAAGUGAUACAAUUUACAACUAAAAAUAUGUAUUAUGGUUACAAGGGGAAAGUUCUUAGCUAUAUGUAUGGUAUUGAUCUCUCAAAUAACAGCUUUGUUGGAGCAAUACCACCAGAAUUUGGAAACUUAAGUGAGAUACUGUCAUUAAACUUAUCACACAACAAUCUCACUGGAUCUAUCCCUGCAACAUUCUCAAACCUAAAGCAUAUUGAGAGUUUGGAUCUUUCUUACAACAACUUGAAUGGUGCCAUCCCUCCACAACUUACUGAAAUUACCACACUGGAAGUUUUUAGUGUGGCGCACAAUAACUUGUCAGGCAAGACACCCGAGAGAAAAUUUCAGUUUGGGACCUUCGAUGAAAGCUGUUACGAAGAAAAUCCUUUCUUAUGUGGACCUCCAUUGCGAAACAAUUGUAGUGAAGAAGGAGUGCUCUCACAGCCAGUGCCUAAUGAUGAACAAGGAGAUGAUGGUUUCGUAGAUAUGGAGUUUUUCUACAUCAGUUUUGGUGUAUGUUACACAGUUGUGGUGAUGACGAUUGCAGCAGUUCUCUACAUCAAUCCAUAUUGGCGACGCAGGUGGUUGUACUUCAUCGACGACUGCAUAGAUACUUGCUACUAUUUUGUGGUGGCUAGUUUUCGAAAGUUCUCCACAUUCAGAAGGUGAAUUUGUAACUAGGGAGACGGUCGUUCCUAGUUUGUGAUGAUUGUUUGUCUAGCUAUUGGUAAUUUGUAGUGUACUGUCUCUAAGCUCAGCCUUUCUAUUUGAUUAGUUAUUUGGGCUAAAUAUAUAAGUUGUACUUCUCAUUGACUCAAGUGUGUUUACUCUUUCAACUCUCAAGACUUGUCUGAAAAUAAAUUGCCAAAACCACUACUAAAGUAUAAACAAAAUAUUCUAUGCCUUUUUUUGAAAGGCGACCCCACCUCAGUUAUUCAAUCAAAGCAUUGAAAUCGGAGCAAGAAGAUCCACCUUCUUCAACAGCCUUCCUGGCCGUUUCUUUGCUCCGCUACUCAUUUCCUCUACAGCUUCACUUUUAACAUGAUCUCCAUGCACUCUAAGCCAUUCCUUAACUCCAGUUCUUAAAACAUCAGUCACCAACUUUUCAUUAUAGAAUUGCUCAACAAAUAUUGGUCUCCUAAGCACACAAAAAAAAUUGUCCUUAUCAACAACCAUUCUUAUUCCCGUUUUAAUACUCUCCUAAGCACAAAAAAAAAUUGUCCUUAUCAAACAUGCAGCUAUGACUUGAGACAUUCAGAAUUUCAACCUCAUUUUCUAUCAAAUUCAACAAUAUUGGAUAUGGUCAUGAUUCAAUGGAAUAAGUCCCACUUCUUUUCUUGAGACCUUUUUCCAUUGAAAUCUUGCAAGACUAUGGCAUACAUGAACUCCAUCUAAUAAACAGUAAAUCACAGAAAUUACCUUCUGAUAGAUCUCCUCUUGCCAAUCAGCGCCUUUUGCAUGUCCAGUCUGUGCUGUAGAAUCUAGGGAUGCUACAAAAAUUUCAAUGCGGACAACAAAAUAUUAGAAUUCAUGUAUUUUUGUGUGUUUUCCAUGUACAAGGGUAUUUCUGUAAUUUUAACACCUGCUGACAAUUUUGAAAUAUUGCAAGGCUCAGUUUUAUUUUCCAUUUACUAUUUAAUUAUUCCCAAAGUAUAGCGAGCUUCAUUAGGUUUUUCCUAUUCUAGAUAGGACUCUUAGUAUUUUCCUAUAUAGGAAUACAAGUCCUUUCUGUAUUAGGAACUUCAUCUAAAUGUUAUGUGAUCAUAUAAAUGCAGAAUGAGAGGGUGAACAAAUGCGCUGGAGGGUAUGAUGUGAUAACAAAUGCGUGUGUGAUUACUAAUGCCACUAGUGGCAGCAGUGGCACAUAAAGCUACCUAAAAGAGCAUUGCUGACUUGAACCAUUAUGAGAGGUGAACAGUUGGUGCACCGCACUGUAGGGCAUCGUGUGGUUACAAAUGCAUGUGUGAUUACAAUAGUUCCAAUAUCAGUGGCACAUAAAGCUACCAAAAAGAGCAUUACCUGCAUGUUAGGAUUCUGGACAACAGUGUUGGGGAUAGUCUGGGUUACACCAGAGACAGGAGGCAGUGCCGCUUGUAAACCAGCAUAACUUUGAACUCCAUUAGAUGCCAUGCAAUUCUGCAUGUUCUGUGAUACCAACUGCUGAUGUGCAUACCCUUGAUUCUGAACUUCAGGGGGCAUACUAUGGGAUGCUGUUCAAGAUAAAAGGCAAAAGGGAAAAACAAAUGUAACAUCGGCAGUCCACACAUAAAGUUAUGAGCGAAAGAAUUGGGAUGGAUUUGAUUCAACCUGACAAUUUUCGGGGAUGGGGGAAGAAGAGGCGGCUGAAAACAAAAAUAAUAUGACAAUUUUCAGGGUGGGCGAAAGAAAAGGAGGAGGCAGAAAACAAAAACAAUCUGUAAUAUUCUUGCAUAACAUUCAUCAAUUACUCAACUUUUUGAUUAAAGCAUGCCAUACACAUAGCAAUAUGUUGCAAUAAAAUGCAAAAGAGUUUGAUAACAAUGCGACAAACAAAACAAAAGGUAAGAUGUUUAGAAAUUCAAUGCUCGGCAGCAUUAUUAUAUAUGAAAAAAGGAUCAAAUACUUUCUCUCGGAAGAAAAGCAAGAAAGUGACGUCUUACCUCCUAAACAGGAAAAUCUUUAAAAUCUACCAUCUCAGUCAUAAAAUAUAAAAUAGCCAUGCAUCACAGUCCUUGUUCCUUAACAAGUUAAGGAUGAAACACUUCACAUGCAUUAUAGAAUUAGCAUUGUGGAGGUGAUCAUGAGAUUUUUCCAGCAAGGCGAUAUACAUAGCAAUAUGCAGCAAUAAAAUGUAAAAGAGUUUGAUAACAAUGCUAGAAGAAAAACAAAAGGUAAGAUGUUUAGAAAUUCAAUGCUCCGCUGCAUUAUAACCUGCUGGAUCCAUGGGGGCAGUGGGCAUGGCUUUUUGAGACCUGAUCUCCAUUGAAAGCAUCUCCAGAGAUAUUUUACGCAGAUAAUCAUACUGAAAUCAGAUAUUAAUAACAAAACAUUAGAUCUCAUAGCAAUCCAUGUUACAAGAGGAGGAAAAUGGAUAUAUGCUCUAUCAUUUCAUCUUUUGUGAGGAUAUACUAUAUUUGAAGGGUAUAGCGAUACUAAUUAGAUAUCCAAUAUUAUUCAAAAUCCACAAAUAGAUUUAUCUUUGUUAUCGGAGAAGCUAUAGUCUUUUGAAAAUUCUUUAAACAAACAUGCAUAUCCAUAUCCAUGAAGGAGUUUGAGUUUACAACUUUAGAUAAAGAAAAGAAGUAGAAUAGCUUCUAAAACCUUACUGAGGAUAUUCCCUUUCAAUUGUAAAUUUGAAUAUCCUCAGUAAGGUUUUAGAAGCUAUUCUACUAUAUAUAUAUAUAUAUAUAUAUAUAUAUAUAUAACUGCAAGUAUUGACAUAAUUGUCAAUAUUUUAAGAUAGUUGAUCUAAAAUCAGUUUAAUUUUAUUGACCAUAUAAAAUAAAAUGAUAAUAUCAUGGAUUUGCUAAUAAAAUGCUUAACAAUAGAGCAAGCCAAUAAUCAUCGAGGGGAAUGAGAUUAAGACACAGUUCAAUGAAUUGUCAUGAUAGCGACCCAACCUAGUUUACUGGAGAUCCCAAAUUUAGGUUCAAAGAGGCAACCAAAUCUUGUGUCAAUUCAAUAAUAUCCCGUUUACCCAUUCAUAUGAUAUAAAGUGUUAUCUGUAGUGAAAAUAAGAUAAGCUAAGAUUUUAAUAACUUUUAUAGCUUGAGAAAUUCAAGUGAGGUAUUACAUGAUACUUUUAAUAAGAAUCACCUAUGUGAGUUUGAAACAAGGCCACUUCUAUGAGAAUUGAAAAUGCAAAUUCUCUAACGCUCUCUGAAAUGAAGACAUAUUUGAGGCUAAAAUGAACACAACCGUGAGAACCAAAAUUGUAAGAAAAUAAACUGUGUAAUCUCUAUUAUCUAGUUUCACACAAAAGGUUAAACAACUCAAGACAUCAUGUUCACUAGUUAGCCAAGUGAAUCCAAUAGUUUUAAUUAUGGAAGGUUAAAGGCUAAAAACUAUCAUGCUUGAUGCAAUACUUUUCGCUACUAGUCUCUAUUUUUUUGCCUACUUUGUAUUUUAUUCAGAUGUAAUGUUUUGAAAUAAAUGAGUUGGAAAAUACAAUAAAGCCCUUGAAGGCUUAAAAGUUGGAAUAAAUGAAUAAGUGGUAUAGUGGUAAUUCAACAAAACUUGAUAAAUAUAAAUAGGAAGUAAAAAAAGAAAAAAGAGAGAGAUCUGAAAUUAGAGAGUAGAACCGGCAGGAGUGAAGUGAGAAAGAUGAAGAAGAGAAAAGAGGGGAAAGUAAGGGAAAAAGGAAAGGAGUUUGAGGAAAUAAGUUAAAAGGGUAAGAUUUAUGCUUUAAUGUGUAUAAUAUGUUUUAAUUAAGCUUUAAUUUUGAUUUUGAUAAAUGUUAGGGUUUUGAAUAUUAUGUUUUGGGUUUAAUUGAUGAAUUAAUAUGGAUGUUAUGGGGUUGAUUAUUGUGGGUAAUGGAUUGUUAAGUUGAAUUUGAGAGAUUGUAGAUAAAAAUGAUGAUUUUGAGUUAUGGUUUUGUUUGAAUGGUGAAUUUAUGCUAUAAAUCAGGGAUAACAGUAGGUAAUCUGUUAAAAUUCUGGGUUGGAGGUUGAAGAUGACGAAAAUUCAAUUUGGUCCCUCAAUUUGCAAAAAUUACAGUUUAGUCCCCAAACUUUGGGAAAUUACAAAUUGGUCCCUGGAGCAUAUUCCGAGAUUCUGAACAGAAUAAAAUAUGAAUUAUGGGCAGAAUUACAGUAUAGUUAUGAAAUUUUAAACAGUUUUAAUUUGGUCCUUCAAUUUGACAAAAAUUACCAUUUGACCCUAAAAAUUUGGUAAAAUUCCAGAAUGGUCCCUGGAACAUAAUGAGAUAUUCUGGACAGAAUUGAGGAUGAAUUAUGGAAAUAAUUCCACUAUAGUCAUGAAUUUAUGAUAUGUUUAGUUUGGCCUCCAAUUAGAUGAAAAUUACAAUUUGGCCCUAAAAAUAUAAUAAAUUCCUGAUUAGUCCCUAUCUGUAAUAUUAGCUUUUCCAGAUUAGUUUGAUGAAUAAUUAAGGGUUAUUUAGUGAAUUAUUACCAAUUUUAUUAGUUAUUUUUAUUAUGGAUUAGAUUUCGAGAAAACCGUUAAAUUUUGGGUUUUUAAGAAAAUUGACUAGUUAGUUCAAAAACAUAUAGGGUUACAGAAUACAGCCUUAGUUAAGUGUAUUAAAUAGUUUAAAUGUUCUUUCGAGUCCUUUUUGAAUAUGUCUCCUUUGUAUUUAGAUAAUCCUGAUAUUCUACCGGCGGGACGUUAGUAGGAUUUCCUUCGGUAUCUGCUUUUGACUUCUGUUUGCUUUUGAGUCAGGUGAGUGGAUAAUUUUCCAUAUGCAUGAGAAAUAUUAUAAAUAUUUGAUUUGUUAAUAUGAAUUGAAUCACGCUUCUUAAUAAUAUAUAUGUUGAUUAUUAUCCUUGAUAUGAUAAAGCAUGAUCAAUUAUUGAAUUUGAAUUCUUGAUAUGAACCAACAUAUAUUUUGAAUUGACUUCUGAAUUGAUAGCUCCUUAUUUGAUUGAUGUCAUGAGUUGAGCUUUGAGAUAUGAAUAUGUUUGUUAGAUUAUGAUUAUGAAUCUAUGGCAUGUCAGUCAGAAUACCCAUGCUAACAGGGUAGUGUUAGUCUUUGUGCAAAUCGUAUCUGAACCCUAGUUGGUUGGGGGAGUCAUCAACUUGUGUGGACUGAUCAUCCCACAGUACGGAGCCUCAUGCUCAUUGCAUUUUGAUUUUCUGAUGAGUUUUACCAUAUGUUCUUGUUAUGGCCUACUUAAGAAACCUUUCCUAUAAGAACCUAGAGCCAUAAUUGUAUAUAUUUUUCAUUGUUGUAUUACCUCGUGUGUGUAUAUUGAACGUUAUCUACUCACUAAGUUGUUGAACUUGUUGUAACCCAUUUUUUGGUCCCCACAUAAAAAAUAAUAAAAAUUCAAAAAUUCAAAAAAUAUAUUAUAAAAAAAACGCAAAAUGGUGCCGUUUGGAAACGGCACCAUCGUCUUCUUCCCUGCACACGCAGAGAACAGGGGAGAAGAAUUUUUCUUCUCCACUUUUCGCCGAACUUCUUUCCCGGAUUUGGCGCAAUAAGACGCCUACCAUUCGACGCCCACUUGCCUCCUUUUUAUCCAUUGAACAGAUAGUGCAGGGGCGGCCAACAAUGGCCGCCCCACCAUUCGCCCCCCCUGUUUUUGCCUAUAAAAACAGGGGAGGAAGAAGAAAAAAAGAAAAAAAAAGAGAAGACCAAGAGAGGGGGAAGAGAAGAGAAGGGAGAGCAAAGAGAGGGAGAAGAGGGAGAAGAGAGGAGAGAAGGCAGAGAAGAGAAAGGAAGAAGCAGAGAAGAAAACAGAGGAGAGAGAGAAGGAAAACGCAGAGCCACCGCCGGCCACCCCACUGUCAGCGCCGCUUCCUGUCGCCACCAGCAGCUCCGCCAUCAACGACAGCCACCACAAGUCAGCCCUCAAACCCUUAUCUCGUUUUACUGUUCAUCUUCUUGCAUGCAGAACGUGCACUGUGCACGUUCUGCAAGCCAUGAAUUAAUUACCCGGUUACUGUGCAUGGGCACAGUAACUGGCUAAUUAAUUCACUGGUUACUGUGAACACAGUAACCCGGUUACUAUAUGCACAGUAACCAGCCCAUUUGGGCGUGGGCUGGGACGUCAGCCAGCCCAUGUAAAUGGGCCAGGUUUGGCCCAGCCCAUGCAAUUGGGCCUGAUCCGGCCCAUUUAAAAAAAAAAAUAUUAUUUUUUAAAAAAAUAUUUAUGAUGUUCCACUUUUGAUUUAUGUUAUUUUUAUUAAUAUCGGGUAGUAUUUUUAUGUAAAAAUACAAAUCUGGUAUUAAACUACCGGUUUUUCAUCAAAAACUUCCAAAAAUACAAAAAAAUUAAAAAAAAAAAGAGAAAAAAUGUUUUUGUGCAUACGGCCAAGUGUCUCAAAGCUAAAAAAUCAUAUUGUAUUUUUCAUACACCAAAAAACAAUGUUUUAGCAUGCAUUUUGGCUUUAAUAACCAGUUUAUUAAAGUCAAGAGAAUAUUGGCCAAAAUUUCAAAAACAACAAAAAAUUUAUUUUGUUUGUCUCUUAGUAUCCGGGUAUGACAUUACAUGUAAUGCAUAUUCCGGAUAUUAAUUCUUUUCGGACAAUCGAACCUGGGGUAUGACAUUACAUGUAAUGCGUAUUCCGAACAAUACAAACCACAACAGACUUAGAUUUUAUCAGACAAAACAAUGCAGCUACCUUAGGUAGGGCGUAGUUGGGGUUAAUACCUUCCCUUUACGCAACCAGUCUCCGUACCCGAUCUCUAAAGACCAGUUAAGGUUCCUAGUAACCAGAAUACUAGGUGGCGACUCCUAAUCCAUAUUUUCACAUUGUAGAGACAAGAAUUCCUUGUCUCUCCCUAUUUUUUCCAGGAAUGAAUAUUCCGUUUUUUCCUUGAGGGUGGACGAUCGCUGCGCCGCCGCACACGUGCGACAGAAUGGCGACUCCACUGGGGACUUUGUGGACUAAGCUUUGUUUUUGUCUGAUUUAUUGUGUUUUUUGUUGUGGUUUGCGUGUUUAUUUUUAAAUAUGCAUUUCCUGUAUUUAUUUCUUACGCGCUUUAAUUUCUAUACAUCUUUGUUCAUGCAUUGCAUAAAACUGCCUCAUGCAUCACAUGCUUUAUAUUUUUCAAGCACACACAAGCCUUUAAGUUAAGUGGGAAUUAGCGAUCUGCCCUAUGACUAUUGGUCGGGUUCAGAUGCGUGAAACACCCAACUCAUAUCUGAGAGCCUGCUUGGUAAUGGUGGGCAUACAUGCCUUAACUGUUCUUUGCAACGCCCCCAUACUGCCUUUACGAAGGACGUCACUGGGCAGAUAUGAGACCCUUUUGAGACCAGGUAGAAAACCUAUUCAUGAAUAGACCCUGUCUUUAGUUUGUAUGCGCUAUCUUUCUUUACAGAAUAUGUCAUACAAAAAAAAAAAAAUCAUGUCACCCCUUUGAGGGGCAAGUGCAUCAUAUAAAUUACAUGUUCAAACAUUUAACAUGCAUACAUGCCAGAUCGAAAUAUAGGUCCCCAAAAAGUCUACAACACCCGACUUCGAGCAAGAAACAUGGAAGAUGAAGAGCGUGCUCAACGUGAGGCCUAUUUGCACGACGAGUUGGAGUCUCUGAAAAUAAGUGUGGCUCACCUCACUAGCUUACUCAAGCAAACACUAAGAAAUACCUCUGAUGAAGGUCCUUCUAAUCAACCGAUCACCUUUGAUCCGGCUCCUACUACAGUUCAGCCUGAGGAAAGAAUGAGCGAACAUGGUCAAGAACCUCAGCAAAAUCCAACAUUUGUGCAGUCAACGACACCUGCACCAUCCCCAACAGUCGUGAAGGCAUCUGCUAAUGAGUCCCACAAGGCUAAGUCAUCUGAUAGCAUUGAUCAAGCUAAGAUAGAGGCGUUGGAAGCCAGACUCAAAGCCAUUGAAGGGAUAGACUUAUAUGACCCGGUACGGGCAGCAGAGAUGUGUUUGGUCCCAAAUGUGGUUAUCCCAAAGAAAUUUCGUGUUCCUGAAUUCAUCAAAUACAGUGGAACACAAUGCCCCAUGACUCAUCUCAGGUCCUACUGCAAUAAAAUGGCUGAGGUAGUACAUGAUGAAAAACUACUAAUGCACUUUUUCCAAGACAGUUUAAGUGGGGCAACUUUGAGUUGGUACAUGAGAUUGGAUAACACAAAAAUUCGCAACUGGAAAAAUCUUGUGGAUGCUUUCGUCAAGCAAUACAAUACAACAUGGACAUUGCGCCCGACAGAACCAGUUUGUCCAAUAUAGAGAAAAAGGAUAAAGAAAGCAUAAGGGAAUAUGCUCAAAGAUGGCGAGAAUUAGCUGCUCAAGUACAUCCCCCACUUCUGGACAAAGAGAUGGUCUCUUUAUUUGCCAACACACUCAAAGCACCAUAUUACGAACAUAUGAUGGGUAGUUCAGCCCAACAAUUCACUGAUGCUGUGAUAGUGUGUGAACGCAUAGAGCAAGGUGUCAAGAGUGGUAGAAUUGCUGCACCAACCGAGAAAAGAGGCGUCGAAAGAAAAGAGGUUCACCAUGUUGAAGAUGGCUACAUGGGUAAAACAAAUACAUCCCAAAAUUACCAUACUCCAUCCCAAAUUGCCAACAUCAAAAAACCUGAACCCCAAAACUUUCAAGCCAAAAGCCAAAUUGGAAAUUUCCAAAGGGUUCAAGAACAACUACCUCCACUACCGUUACCCCUGAAUGAGAUGUAUCAAAAGCUAUUGAGCAUCGGGCAAAUAGCUCCAGAACCUCUAACACCUCUGCAGCCACCUUAUCCUAAUUGGUACAAGCCAGAACUCAAUUGUGAAUACCAUGCCGGUAUUACUGGGCAUAGCAUCUAUACCUGCAACGCCUUCAAGAGAAAGCUUCUGCAAUUAAUCAAGGCUGGGUGGAUAGAAUUGGAAGAUGCCCCCAAUGUGAAUACGAACCCGUUACCUAAUCAUGCUUGAAGCAUAUUAGGAUGGAAAGUUUGGGGAAUUGGAAAGCAUCAAUGGUCCAACAUGAUAGCUCAACUUUUGACCGUGGUGUUGUUCCGCAUUGUCUUUGAGUCCUCUACGCAGAGCUUUUGAGAGGAGGUUUUAGCCUAUGAACAUAUUCACCAAAGCCUGCCUUGUUAUUGCCUUUUGUUAAUGCUUUUGAAUAAGACUUUCUCUGUUAAUGAGCUUCUCUUGUGAAAUAAGAUCAUGUGUUUUCUUGUGUUCACAUCACACUCUUCUUUGUUGUUAUUACAUGUAAAUAACAUUUUGAGCGCAACUUUGCUCACAACACUACAACAUGAAGAAUCCUUUUCUUUUUUUCUUUCUUCCAAACCCAUACAUUAAUCUCAUAUGUUUUCAAGGAUAUUUUUUUGGGACCUCCAAAGUGAGUACAAAAAAACAAAAAUCGUGUUGAUAUUUGUCCAAAACAAAUGCAUUUUGAAAAUUCAAGUGAUUCCUUAAAUAGGUACACAUAUACCUAGAAAACUUGAAAGAAAAAAAGACAACAAAGACAAACAACACUAUGAGGUGACUCAAAAGCUGAGUUUUAUUUGACUGAAUAAAUCAUUUGGCAUACGCGCAUGAAAGCAAGACCUAUCGAUCCUCAAUGCAUGAGUUUGAGAUGAGGAAAGGCCAUCUUUGAUAAUCCUUUCACAAGGCUAAAAAAUAUCCUUUGCAGUCCCAUUUUGAGCCUAGUAAUGUUUUUUGGAAAUAACCUUGACUAGGAUCACACCCCACACUGGGGGCAAAAUAAUAGAGUUUUUACCCAUCCAGACAAAGCAGUGAAGAUGGGUGCUGGAUUGAUCAUGUAAUUUUUAAUCUUUCAUUAUCAUCUAAAUGAAGCAGUGAUUGGUUAAGAAAAGAAAAGAAGAAGAUCUAAAGGAUCUAAAAGAUUUGAGCUUCUCAUACAAACAACUGAUAUGAUCGUGCUCAACCAAACAAAAAUGGAGAAAACAAAGAGAAAAGCCCAAACCCGACACUGGGGGGCAUGAAGACUAUUUUGAAAAAAAACAAAUCCAAAAGACAAAAGGUCAGGAAACAAGCACAAGUGAUCCCUAGUCUUGAAAUCCCUUAAACACCUUUUGAGCCUGCAACAUAUCCAUUUUCUUCGUAACCAAUAGCCAAAGCCUACAUUACAUACCUGAUAAAGCCCUUUCUGAUCAAAGGCAAGCAAUCUGGAUGGUAGGUAGUGCUUUCAUGUGCAAGUCAAAUCAUUAUUCAUGCAAAUAAAAUAAAUGCUUUGAAUCAAUUCGGUUCUCAAUAACCCUCAAAUUGAAAUUUAAACCUUUUGUGACCAACCAGAUGUCACUUCAUCUUUAAACCAAAAGCAAAAAGCUUUCAUCACUUCAAGAAACCUGUCCAUAGGAAUCGCUUGAAUUUUUUAGAACAAGUUUAUUUUGAACCAAUAUCAAAAUCAUUUUUGAGUUUGGAAUAACUUGGAAGUUCCAAAAAUUUUGCAUGAAAACAUUUCAUUGUACAAAAAACCCAAACUUACUUUCACAUAUCCUCACCCCAAACUAAACCCAAGUUGAACACUUGGGGGGCAUGAUCAAGCUGGGGGGCAAUCAAACACACAUGGUAGGGCUGUCUCCAUGAUUCCUUUUCUAAGGAAAAUGUCGGGCAAAAUUGGCAACUCUUGAGAUAAAGGGUGAAGGACAAAGAUGUAUGAUGACAUCAAACCCUUCCCAGAGGUCAAGAUCACAAUGUGUAACCCGAGUAAGCAAAGUGGAAAAGCCAUCGAAGUUUACUACCAACACUACAACUUUUGAGAGAAAACAAAGACACCAUGAAGAAAUGGGGGCCUAUAUUUCUCAGGUAAGUAUACAUGCAUAUCAAUCAUAAUGCAUUUUCUUACAACAUUCACAGAUCAGUGUUUCAACAUCAUCCCUUAGGUAGUGCGUUUUAUAACCCUACCUCCUUUUGAGUGCGCCUUUGAGCCCUCACCUCCAUUUUGAGUGCGCCUUUGAGCCCUCAUCCCUUUGGUAGUGCGUUUUCUAACCCUACCUCCUUUUGAGUGCGCCUUUGAGCCCUCACCUCCAUUUUGAGUGCGCCUUUGAGCCCUCAUCCCUUUGGUAGUGCGUUUUCUAACCCUACCUCCUUUUGAGUGCGCCUUUGAGCCCUCACCUCCAUUUUGAGUGCGCCUUUGAGCCCUCAUCCCUUGGUAGUGCGUUUUCUAACCCUACCUGCUUUUGAGUGCGCCUUUGAGCCCUCACCUCCAUUUUGAGUGCGCCUUUGAGCGCUCAUUCCCUUGGUAGUGCGUUUUCUAACCCUACCUUCUUUUGAGUGCGCCUUUGAGCCCUCACCUCCAUUUUGAGUGCGCUUUUGAGCCCUCGUCCCUUUGGUAGUGCGUUUUCUAACCCUACCUCCCUUUGAGUGCGCCUUUGAGCCCUCACCUCCUUUUGAGUGCGCCUUUGAGCCCUCAAUUCCUUUGGUUGUGUUUUUCUCACCCUACCUCUUUUAGAGUGUGCCUUUAAGCCCUCGCCAUCCAAUUCUUCAUAUUUUUUUCAUUUGGGUAGGUCACCCAUUACAAUGAGACCGUUUUUUUUUUAUCACAUUUUCUUUUGUUUUGGUUAAAUGAGGUUGCCAGAUGGGAUCUCAUGUAGCUUUGGUUAGAGGGAAUCUCCAUAUGGGAUUUUAGGUUGACCGAGCUACACACGCAGGAUUUUUUGGUUCUGGUUAGAGGGGAUUGCCGAAAGGAAUCUCAGUCUAUCCCAACCACACAAGAUUUUGGUUCUGGUUAGAGGGGAUUUCCGAAAGCAAUCUCAGUCUAUCCCAACCACACACAGGAUUUUGGUUCUGGCUAGAGGGGAUUGCCGAAAGGAAUCUCAGUCUAUCCCAACCACACAUAGGUUUUUUGGUUCUGGUUAGAGGGGAUUGCCGAAAGCAAUCUCAGUCUAUCCCAACCACACACGGGAUUUUGGUUCUGGUUAGAGGGGAUUGCCGAAAGGAAUCUUAGUCUAUCCCAACCACACAGGAUUUUGGUUCUGGCUAGAGGGGAUUGCCGAAAGGAAUCUCAGCCUAUCCCAACCACACAGAGGAUUUUGGUUCUGGUUAGAGGGGAUUGCCGAAAGGAAUCUCGGUCUAUCCCAACCACACAUAGGUUUUUUGGUUCUGGCUAGAGGGGAUUGCCGAAAGGAAUCUCAGUCUAUCCCAACCACACAGGAUUUUGGUUCUGGCUAGAGGGGAUUGCCGAAAGGAAUCUCAGUCUAUCCCAACCACACAGAGGAUUUUGGUUCUAGUUAGAGGGGAUUGCUGAAAGGAAUCUCAGUCUAUCCCAACCACACAGGAUUUUGGUUCUGGUUAGAGGGGAUUGCCGAAAGGAAUCUCAGUCUAUCCCAACCACACAGGAUUUUGCUUCUGGUUAGAGGGGAUUGGCGAAAGGAAUCUCAGUCUAUCCUAACCACACACACAUAGUAUUGAAGUUUCGGGUUAAAGGGGAUUGGCGAAAGGAAUCUCAAUUUAGCCCAACCACACACAGGACUUUGGGUCCGGUUGAAGUUUUAGGUCAAUCAAAUUUUGAGACGACCAGUUUCGAAAGACCAAUGUUAUUUUAUCUUUACAACACUUACUAUGCACAAAGUUUUGCUCCGUAAGCAUUGUAAAGAGGGGGGCAACUGUUGUAACCCAUUUUUUGGUCCCCACAUAAAAAAUAAUAAAAAUAAAAAAAUUCAAAAAAUAUAUUAUAAAAAAAAACGCAAAACAGUGCCGUUUGGAAACGGCACCAUCGUCUUUUUCCCUGCGCACGCAGAGAACAGGGGAGAAGAAUUUUUCUUCUCCACUUUUCGCUGAACUUCUUUCCCGGAUUUGGCGCAAUAAGACGCCUACCAUUAGACGCCCACUUGCCUCCUUUUUAUCCAUUGAACAGAUAGUGCAGGGGCGGCCAACAGUGGCCGCCCCACCAUUCGCCCCCCCUGUUUUUGCCUAUAAAAACAGGGGAGGAAGAAGAAAAAAAGAAAAAAAAAGAGAAGACCAAGAGAGGGGGAAGAGAAGAGAAGGGAGAGCAAAGAGAGGGAGAAGAGGGAGAAGAGAGGAGAGAAGGCAGAGAAGAAAACAAAGGAGAGAGAGAAGGAAAACGCAGAGCCACCGCCGGCCACCCCACUGUCAGCGCCGCUUCCUGUCGCCACCAGCAGCUCCGCCAUCAACGACAGCCACCACAAGUCAGCCCUCAAACCCUUAUCUCGUUUUACUGUUCAUCUUCUUGCAUGCAGAACGUGCACUGUGCACGUUCUGCAAGCCAUGAAUUAAUUACCCGGUUACUGUGCAUGGGCACAGUAACUGGCUAAUUAAUUCACUGGUUACUGUGAACACAGUAACCCGGUUACUAUAUGCACAGUAACCAGCCCAUUUGGGCGUGGGCUGGGACGUCAGCCAGCCCAUGUAAAUGGGCCAGGUUUGGCCCAGCCCAUGCAAUUGGGCCUGAUCUGGCCCAUUUAAAAAAAAAAAUUAUUGUUUUAAAAAAAUAUAUUUAUGAUGUUCCCACUUUUGAUUUAUGUUAUUUUUAUUAAUAUCGGGUAGUAUUUUUAUGUCGUAAAAAUAUAAAUCUGGUAUUAAACUACCCGGUUUUUCAUCAAAAACUUCCAAAAAUACAAAAAAAUUAAAAAAAAGGAGAAAAAAUGUUUUUGUGCAUACGGCCAAGUGUCUCAAAGCUAAAAAAUCAUAUUGUAUUUUUCAUACACCAAAAAAACAAUGUUUUAGCAUGCAUUUUGGCUUUAAUAACCAGUUUAUUAAAGUCAAGAGAAUAUUGGCCAAAAUUUCAAAAACAACAAAAAAAUUUAUUUUGUUUGUCUCUUAGUAUUCGAGGUAUGACAUUACAUGUAAUGCAUAUUCUGGAUAUUAAUUCUUUUUUUCCGGACAAUCGAACUUGGGGUAUGACAUUACAUGUAAUGCGUAUUCCGAACAAUUACAAACCACAACAAGACUUUAGAUUUUAUCAGACAAAACAAUGCAGCUUACCUUAGGUAGGGCGUAGUUGGGGUGUUAAUACCUUCCCUUUACGCAACCAGUCUCCGUACCCGAUCUCUAAAGACCAGUUAAGGUUCCUAGUAACCAGAAUACUAGGUGGCGACUCCCAGUCCAUAUUUUCACAUUGUAGAGACAAGAAUUCCUUGUCUCCCCCUAUUUUUGCCAGGAAUGAAUAUUCCGUUUUUUCCUUGAGGGUGGACGAUCGUCUCGCCGCCGCACACGUGCGACAGAACUCACCCUUUUAUUAUUUAUCCUUUUCAGGCUUAUAGCUUGAUAGCAGGUCACUUUUGUUGAAUCUUCCGAACCUGUUUUUUGGUUGUAAUUUGUACCUUCCUUUUAUGUCAAGUUAGUGCUCCAAAACUAUGAAUAUAUAUGAACUCUUGUAUUAAGACAAUCGAAUUAUGUUAUAAAGUUAGUUUUGUUGUUACUGCUGCGUUGAAUAACUCUGAUUGAAUUUUGAAGGAUAAGUUUGUAUGUAAGUUUGGGUUCGCAUAGGUAUGGAACCUUGAAGGGGAACCUUGCCUAUGUACCGGUCAUGGAUCCGGGAUUCGGGUCUUAACAUCAGAUCAAACAAUUUUUAUCAUGUGGGGGGAUUGUUAGGGUGUGAAUGAAAAGUUGUAUUUGUUAAAAACUCUACUUGAAAUAAAAUCUUGUACUUUUAAACUAGAAAGUUGUAACCUUUUGCCUUAAAAGUUAUGUUAAAAUUAAAUGUCAGAAUUACCUAUAAAAAGAGACAAUUCUAACAUGAUUUUGAUAAUGAAAAAACUUCUAGUCUUUUUAAAACUCUUAUCUUUUACAUUUUUUUAGUCAAAAUUCUUAUAGAGAGUAACAUACAAAUUGUGAUUCAUCAUUUAUUCUUGGUUGUGCUAUCAAGAAUUAGAGAUUGAGAAAGCUUGAAAAAUAAUAUUACAAUCACAUUGCUAGCACCAAAGAACAUGUAAUAAAUUGUUUUAUGAUAAUUUAUCGUUAAUUUAUUGAUUUUAAUUUGUGGCUAUCAGUUCAAAAUAAAUCUCAAAGACCUAUUAAAAUUGAAAAUGGUAAUGAGAUUUCUAAAAUUAUAAGUGAAUAUAUGGAAAAUAUUAAAAAAAUACUUUUUAUGAAUGUUAAAGCCAUGAAUAUUUUAUAUUAUACAUUGGAUAAAAGUGAAUUUGAUAGAACUAUAUUAUACAAAAACGCUUAGAGAUAUAUAACAUGCUUUACAAGUAAUUCAUGAAGGAACUAAGAAGUCAAAAAAUUUAAAAUUGACUUGUUAAUUUAUACUAAAAUAACUAAUAGUUUAUUAGUUUGGAUGUUUUUAGUAAUGCUGAAAUUAUAGAGAAUUGAUCAUUAAGUUGAUUUUUUAAUAUGCGUAGAAAUCAGAUCAUUAUAAAUUUAAUAAACUAUUUAAAGUGUUCCAAUGAAAAGAAAAUGGGUGUUGUGAAUUUUAGUCUGCAUUUUUCUCUACUUUCUUUUUGGUUUUUUUUGUUUGUCCCUUCUUGGAAAUUUGCGCUCAGUUUUUGCCUUUACUCUUUGUUGAUUGUCUUUCUGUUUUUAGUUGCAUUGUUAGGCUAUAUGUGUGUUUAUUCACUUGCACAGUGUAAAUGCCAAUUAACUGCAACAAUGUGAGAAGAAGAAGCUGCUUGCCUGGUCUGCUGGAGGCGAAGGCGCGCGGUUGCUGAUAAACCAGCCUAUUUCUUGCUUUCCCUGCCUCUAGUCUUUUCUGUCUAGUUCUCUGGAUUUCUUUUGAUUUUUCUGCGGGUGUGGUUCGUUUGUCAUAAAGCCAGAGAAGGUCGUGUGUUCAUGCCUUCAGAAAUGGCAAGCAUCGUGGAGGCGAGAGAUUGUGGGCGCAAGGUACUGGAAUUCCCCUGUUGAAUCGGCUUCAGCCAACAGAUGAUGAACAAUAGGAUCCAAAACGAUGUCAUUUAGCAUGAAAAAUGACAAAUUGUAGUUUGGUCCCUGGCAUUUUGAAAUGUAUCAAUUGGGCCCCUUAAUCAAAUAAAUUUGUAAUUUUACCCUUGGAUUAAUUUCAAAUAAAUCCCUGAAUUUAUUUAAUUAAUUAAAUCAAAGUUUAAUUAAGUCCACAAACUUAUUAAUUCUUCUAAUUUCAUUAAUUAAACUAAUUCAAAUUUUAAUUAAAUUUCCAAACUUAUUAAUUCUUCAAUUUUUGAUUAAUUUACUCUCAAAUCUGAUAAUUUCAUCCCUGAACUUUGAAUUUGUACUAUUGUUUUAACCACAUUCUCAAAUAUAUUUUUAUCCGUUCACUUUGUAUUAUUUAUUUGAAAAUUAGGUUAUGACAAAUCUAAUAUGUCAUUAUAAAUCUAUCAUAUUGACUGUAUCAUGUUAGAAUAAUUUUUAUGUUGGUUAAUUUUAAAUUUGAUACAGGGAAAGAAUCGGAUAAAAAAAAAUUAAAAUUAAUUUACUAGAAUUUAAGAUGCCAAAUAGUUACUUCAGCGUAUAUAAUUUUUUCGUGUUGCGCAAAACAUAAACUGGUUUCUUCUAAAAUAUUUACAAGUAAACAUUCACGCAUAUGAUGAUAAAAAUUUGAGUGAAAUUUAUAUAAAUAGUGUCUGUUUUUUGCGAAACAAACAAAUUAAUCCCUCAAGUUUUUUAAAUAAUUAAUUGAUUCUUUAAUCACAUUUUACGUCAAGUUAGUGGAACAAAUUGAGGAAAUAUUGAAAGAAAUUUGAGUAAAAUUUAUAUAACUAGUGUCUAUUAUUCGUGGAUGAAUUUGUCUCUCUCAUGAUUAUCUCUACAGCAUUUUUUGCUCUUGGUUCGUCUGGAUUCUUCUCUACAGUCUCGCGCUGGUCUGGAACAAGGCGAGCCUCUGUAUCAAUUAAUCUACAUUUCUUUCCCUUAAUUUUCUCUUUAAUUUCCUUAAUGGGUGUUUUGUAGGCUUCUUUCUCUGUAUGUUAAAUGCUUACUCUAAUCAUCUCUAUUCUACAGCCCAGCAUUUUAUUAUAGUUGUUGUUGCUGUGGACAAAAGUGCAUUUAUUUUCAUUUAACUUUUUAAACAAUUCAUUUAGUUUUUGUUUUAAAUGUUUAAUUUAUUGGUAUUGAACAAACCCCCUUAUAGAGAGCCUUAUGUAGUUUCAUGAAUUUUUGUGAUUUUGUGUCCUUUGGUAUUAGUUAAUAGAUAUUCUACCUCUUAUUCGUUUUUAAUAUUGUUGUUUGGCUCACUUUUAUAUUCUUUUUAUAGAUUUUUUGCUUGACUUAAUAUUCAAUAAGUAUGCAUCCAAUUUGCAAAAAUAGAUACAUACAUGACUUUCAUUAAUUAACAAGAUUGAUUACAUUAAUUCUUGCACUUGUUUUAUUUAAAUAAAUAUAUAGAAUUAUGAAAAUUCAUAAUUUAAUGAUUAGAUAAUAUUUGUAUAACCAGAAUACACAAUAUAUGUAUUAAGUUCAAUGUUUUUGAAAAAGAAUUUCUUUUAUUGAUUAAUGUAUAAGUAUAUAUUGUAUUAAUAAUAUCUUGAUUAAUUAAUAAAUUUCAUGGUCUCAAUGAUAUUAAUUUAUAGAUGUUUAACUGUAUAUUGUAUUAAUUUUUAAAAAAUAUAUAAAUUUUACAUGAUAAAAUUAAAAACACUUAACUCCAUAUAAGGAAAAUAUUUAUUUUUAAACGACAAUACAAAAUAUAUGAUAAUACUAAUAUGUAAAUUCAAAUCUAUCUCUAAUGAGGCAUAUGUAUUGCUUACUAGGGACAUCAUUAGCUUUUUAGCUUCCAUUGAUUUAGCCAUGCAUUGCCUCUUUCAUUUCUCAACUGAUUGUUUUUAACAUUCCAUGUUAAUUUUCUUUCUAGAUGAAGCUCUCAAAUGUACUCUUGGAAUCAACAACUUAGGUUACAAUUACAUGAACAUCGCCCUUUUUAUCUCACACAUACAUAUUAAAGAACUUUGGCAUGCUUAGCUUUCUUACUAUGGCUUUGUCUAAAAUAUGAUGAUUGAUCUUUCGUUUAAGAGUUACUUUUCAUUCCAUUGUUCAUUCUUCUCCCUUUCAAUUUGCCUAGCAUUUGUUGUUUCCUUUCAAGUCUUCUACUUUAAAUCUUAUGUUCAGAAGACAUUGGUUCAACUGUUACUUUUAGCCUGGAGUUCAUAAGGAAGCAAUGAGAUACUAGAUUUGCUUUUCCAACUUCCAUUAACAAUUUGAGUGGCUUGCACUUUGGUUGCUUAUGUUUAUUGAUGAUAGCUUUUAUUGUCUUUUUUCUUUUGGUUUGUAAUUCACAAUAAUAGAUUGGGUCUGAUUAUCUUGGUCUGGAAUUGACAUGAAAAAAAAAAAAAGAAACUGAUAAAACAAUGGAACAAUACAACAGUAGAGAAUGUAUGUUGCAGCCAAAAGCUUAAGGUCUGCGUGUAUUGUAUUAGGGUUUUAUAAUACCUAAAUGUCCACAAUUAAAGCCUAAAUACAUGCCUAAGAAUAUUCACAUUCCAUAAUAGGAUAAUAUUACAAUCAGCUCAUCCCAUAUUUAGAUAUUCCAUAAUAGAAACUUACAUUCUCUACUUUAGAUGGCUUGAGCACUGUUCGCUAGAACAACAGAUUGGGUUUGAUUAUCUUAGUCUGGAAUUGGCAGGAAAAAAAAAACAGAAACUUGCAUUGUCUGCUUUAGAUGGCUUGAACAUUGCUUGCUAGAUGUUCAUUAAUUUCUCUUUUUGCAAUGAACUCUUGCAUAUUUGACAGAUCAUGCUACUUUUUUCACGCUAUUAUUGUUCUCUAUUGAACUGCCAAGAUUAUUGGUUGGAUAAUGGCCACUGUGAUUAGAGAAACUGAAAUAAUUUAUAGUCUGCAAGUUUGUAAAUUCAUUACGGCAGUCAUGUUUUUAUCCAAACAUAUGCCAAGAGUCAAGACCAAAGUUAAAUCAACAACAAAAAGCUGGAAAAAAAACCCUGCGAUAAAAGUGACAAAAUUCAUAAAACUCAUUGGCCAAUAAUGUAAUGCCACAUGAUAAAAUUACAAAAAUUAAUUAAAAAAAUUGAAUCAAUUCAGAUUAACUUACUUAUCUGCAACCUGGAAUAUGAGAUAGGAAUAACCUUACAAAAAAAAAAAAAACCAAAACAAAUAACAAAAUUUAAGGCCCAAUAACUCAAGGUUGAUGAUAAAAAAAAAUAAAAAAAAACUUAAAAAAAUACCAUACUUAAAACGAGUUGAUAUUCAAAAUUGGUAGACUGAGUUAUGAGACCAGGACAACAAAAGAUAAUGAAGCAAAAUUUUCAAUCAUAAAAAAAUAAAAAUCCAAACAAUAAGGACAAAUUCUUAUACAGAAAAUCAUUAAAAGAAAAUAGUGAGGGAUUAAAUUGAAAAACAAAAUAAAUGAAGAAAAUGAUAAACAAAAGAUCAAUAAAAAAAAUAAGGACCGAAAUUGCAAACAAAAUAAAAUGAAAUAAAAUGCUAAAGGACAAAAUUAAAAAAUAUAAGUAAAUGAAAAAAAAUAGUAAUCAAAAGAUUGGAGACCAAGUUUAACAUAAUAAAUAAAUAAAAUAAAAUGCUGAGGGUUGAAAUUGAAAACACUUUUCUUCAAAAAACAUCAAAAUCAAAAUAAAUAGAAAUCAAAAUAAUAAGAAUCAAACUUAUUAUAAAUACAAUCUGAAGGAUACAAUUGAAAUUUUAAAGGCUUGGCAUGAAUAUUAAAGCCCAAGAGGGAGGGAGAAAAAAAAAAUUUAUCACCGUUGAACCACUACAAAUAUGACGACACGUCACUCCAUCAACUACACCUUCACAUUACACGUUGGACUAACACACACCUCUUGAAUGAUGUGGUGGACUAUCACGCGUUGACACGUGUUACAUACAUGUUAGCCUUUUUUAUUGAUUUAUUAAUAUAUCAAUACUUUAAAUUACUAAAUAGCCCCUAAGAGCAUCUAAAUAUUACAAAAAAAGCUAUAUUGCAAAGAUGAAAACCCUAUCCCAUUUCAACUUUAGAUUUUUUUUUUAUUCUACGGUUAACUUUGUCAUUUUACAUAUACAAAACAUGGAAAAGACUAAAAAAUGCCUCAUGUCAAGGUCAAUAUUUUUGAAUUCUCAAGGGUAUUGACAUUAUUUAACUAUGCAAAUAAAAUAGAAAAGACAAAAUGGACCUUAAGCAAAAGGCAAAUUGUUUUUUUGCUUACAAGGGCAAUGAUGUAGUUUUAAUGUACAAAAAAAGAGUAAACCUACUAAAUUAUCCCCAUUCAAUUUACAAAUAACCUUUAGAUCCAUUGAAAAAUACAACUUUACCCCGUUCGGAAGACAAUUGUUUUGUGUAGAGAAGGGCAAAAAGUAAAUAUAUUGUGUUAAUCCAUAGUGUUUUACCUCAUCGUCUAUAAUGAAUCAGUGAUCUUUUAGGAUUAUUUUUUUUGCUUUUUUUUUAAUUCCAUUUUGUUUUAGUUCAUGUUUAGAUUUUAAACAUGCAUUCUCAAACCAAAUCUCUUCUCUCUUGUACGCAUAUAUGUUUUUUAAAAAAUAUUUUUUCACAUCUGACAAUGUCGAAAUGUUUUUUUGCUUUAAAAAAAUUAGGAUAGCCCGUAGUGUAGAUCAUUUGUCUAGUUGGAUACUAUAGUGAUGUUUCAUUUUUAUAUUAAUAGUGAAGCACUUUAUUUUUUUUUAAAUUAGUUUUUUUUUCCUUUUUGAUUUGGUUCUGUUUUUUUUUUUUUUACAAAUUAGUCCUUAUUUUCUUGUUUAAUUUUUUUUUGGCCUAAUUAUAUGAGAUAAAUUUUUCAAUUUAAUUAGAAAUAAACUACUAUACUAAAAAAGUUAUGUUUCUCUACUUCCUUCACUCUUUAUAUAUUUUUUAUUUUUUUAAAUUGGUCUUUAUAUUUUUUUUGCUUCAUGAUUUGGUGUUUAUUCUUCUUCUUUUUUCCUUUCAUUUUUUUACAAAUCGGUCUUUAGAAAUUUUCUUUCCUUUUUUAUUUAACUCUUUUUCGGUCUAUGAGAUAAAGAUUUUAAUUUAAUUAAAAAUUAUUUAUUAAACUAAAAAAGUUAGGUUUUCCCUCCUACUUCACCAUUCAUAUCCUCCCCUUAAAAAAAAAAAAAAAAAAAAUUCUAUCUUCUAAUUUUUUUUUUCUUUUGAUUGAAUGAUUUUUGCCCUUUUUUUCCUUUCAAUUUCACUUUAAUAUUUUGUUGAUUUUAAAUUGAUUAUCAUAAUUUGUUUUUAAUUUCUUUAAAUGUAGUUAUCAUAGUCUCAAACAAAUAUCACUAAAUUUGUUAAGAUCUCAAUUUUAGAAGUUUCUAUUUUAGUUAUCGUAUCAUUAUAUAAAAGAUAGUUUUAAAGCCUAGUGAAGCUUAUGAUUUGGUUGCAUAAUUGAGUUAAAUCACGAAGCUCAAAUUGAUCUAGUAUAUCGUCAUCUUAAUAUUAAAAAAAAUUAUCAUCUUGAUUUUUUUUUUUUGAAUCCAAACCAUGCUUUUAUUGGUCAUUUGGGUUGCUUUAAUUUGCAUAUGUAAAGUCAACUAGGUCAUGUAUAAACAACUCCCUUAUGAAUUAAUUUUAAACCUAUACUAAGCAAGAAAUCAAGUCGAUAGUUCAGGAUCAAGUUUAAUAACAAAUGUCAUUGUUCUUUUGUUUUUAAACCCUACCUUCUAUUUUUAUUUUUAUUUCAAUUGAAUCCUUUUAGGCUUUUCUCUGUUUUAUCCUUUAACUUAUCAUAUUUCAGUUUACUUUCUAUAAUGUUUUUACAAUCUCAAACAUUUAAUUGAUACUUGAUUUUACAAGCAAUUGUUUUAUUAUAUUAUUAAGUAAAAUAUAAUUAAAAAACAUAAACCAGAUGAAAUCCAUUAUUCAUGUUGUGGUUUUGAAAAAUUAAGCUAUGAAAUUGAUCUAAUAUAUUGUUUUAUUAAUACUAAAAAAAGAUUAAAACCAAAUUAUGUUUUUUUACCGGUUAUAUGAAUUGACUUUGAACCCAUCACAUUGAUUCUAACUAUAUCAUGUUAGGACAACUUUCACGGUGGUGAAAUAGAUAAGAAGUCAAGAUGAGAGGAGAAUUUACUAUUAAUCCACUACUUUUUUUAUGUUGCGCAAAACAUAAACCAGAUCCUUCCAAAAUAUUUAUUUAACCAGUGUCUGUUUUAUGUGAAACAAACAAAUUAAUCCCUCAAGUUCUUUAAAUAAUUAAUUGAUUCUUUAAUCACAUUUUACCGUCAAGUUAGUGGAACAAAUUGAUAAAAUAUUGCUGACAGCUCUACAUUUGACCGACGAAAAACUAAUGAAGGGACCCGUUUAUUGCAUAAUGUAAAAGUACAGGGAAAAGAUUUAAAAGAUCUAGUUAUCAGCAACAAAACAACCAAAACAAAAAGCUAUUUCACUGUUCAGUGUCUCACUGUAGAAAUGGUACUUUGUAAUUCCAGGGAAGAUUAGUUUUCCCUUUGGGAAUGGCCAUCUGCAGAUAUCCCUGCAUUAUAUGUUUGAUUAAAGCAUGGUAUAUACAUAGCAAUAGAAAACAAAAGGUUAGGAUGUUUAGAAAUUCAAUGUUUGGCAGUGGGUAUGGUAUUUUGAGACUUGGUCUCCAUUGCAAGCAUCUUCAGAGAUAUUUUACGCAGAUAAUCAGACUGAAAUCUGUGAGCAGUCCAUGUUACAAGAGAAGGGGGAAGAGGGAUAUAUGCUCUUUCUAAUAUGCUAGGCUUUCUGUAUUUGCAUUGUCUGUGAGCAUAUACUGUAAACUAUGAAGAGAGAAUAGAAUUUGCUGGAAUGAAUUGUAUUAUUGAUCACAUCAUAUAUUUAUACAAGUGCAUUUACAGUCAUUCCCAUAGAUUAGGAAUCAAUUACUACCUUACAAUUUAUCAUCCUAUAGACUUAGUUUUACACUAGGAAAGCCAAUGUAUUCAGAUUAUCCAUUCCUAAUAAAUAGCUUACGAGAUUCCUAACAUAUACUUCGGUGUCCUCUCUUUUUAUUUAAUUAUUUAUGUAUUGAUUCGUUAUUUGCAUUUUGCACACUUCCCUUUGUACUUGAAAAUGACCUUGGUCACUCUAAAUAAAACACUUGUAAAGAGAACUAACGAAAAGAUGUGAACUUCUACAGAAUGACUAGUGAGGAAGUGUGGACACACUACACACACGUGUACAUGCAUAAAUCCACACACUUAUGCUUGUGUAUAUUCAUGUCUAGAGAAUAUCGAAAUUAUUGAACCUAACAUUAGCCGAAUACCUGAUUGGUGGCGGCAGUAUAAAUCUUUUCCUCAAACCGUACGGCAAUUUUCUUGAGUUCUUGUAAUCCCUCUUGACCAGAAAGCGGAAGAUGCCUCUUUAAUAUCUCUAUUCUGCACAUGUAAGACAUACAUCUAUUUUUACUUCCUUUCCCCGUGAUAUUCCAGAGGUACAGGGUAUAGGAGUUCACUUGGCCACCCUUCUGUCUAAAAUUCUAGUUACGAGCUUCAUGGUUAAUUUUCUUGAACUGGAAGAACCUUCCAUUUAUGGCUAUGCUCCAAGAUAUACAAGUGAAUUAGUUGCAAACCAGGGGAACUCUGUGAAAACAUUACAAUAGCAUUUACUCUGAGUAAGAAAACUUUUAUACAUGCACUAUAAUUGACAACAAAAGAAGAAGAAAAUCCCUUUAAUUUAUGAAAAUGUAAUGAGAUAACCUUAUCUCAUGCUGCAUAAUUAUAAAGAACUCUAAAACGCGUGGGGAAAGUACUGUAGCUUUCCCCACGGUUUUCCCUGCCAAGGCAUAUAUUGUCGUUGCAGAAGUUUGAAAAAACAUUAGAUUAUAAUACCAGUGUCUUAAAUGCUUUGAAAAAUUAGACUGUUAUUUUCCCCCUGUAACUGGGUCUUUUGAAUUAUCUACAUCUGAUCAUCUUUAGAAUAAUUAACUUACGUUUUCAGGUUUCAUUUGGACAAUGUCAAAUUAGCCGGUGUUUUUUUAAUGGUGCAUUAAUUGCUUUCAGCUUCAUUUAGAAUAAAGUCAAGCUGCCUAAUCUUCUUUGAUGGUGCAUUAAAUGGAUGUGGCGUUGGCAUCAUUAUACACAUAUUCUUGCCUCCGUUUUCAUUAUUUCCUGUUCAGUUUUCGUUGUAUUUCUAUUCUAGUUAGUCUGCUUUCUAAUUGUUUAAUUGCAUGGGAUGAUUCUUUUGAAAUAGUUUCUAGCGAGCCAGUUCUCUAGCUCCCGCCUCUCUUAUAAUAUUUGAAGGUAUGUUUUCCUGUAACUUUUGUUUGUUCCCUGCAACUUUUGUUUGUUCAGUAUGCGGGUGGCCAUGAUUUGUUAUGCUUUCCUUUGCAGUUCGUUGUUCCUUUAUCAUAUUGUCUUUCAGGAGAGAGUUUGGACUUCAAGGUUAGAAUAUUUUCUCUUAGUUGUUUUUAAGAUUGUGUUCUCGUGUGUGUGUGUGUGUAUAUAUAUAUAUAUAUAAAAACUAAUUCGUGGUGAUAUUACUUAUACACAGAGAGUAAACUCAUGUGGAUUUCAAUAGUGUGGUGUGUGUGGCUGGGAAUUUCAUUUUUUAUGGAUCGACGGGUCUUGGAUGAUCAGCUGUUGUUGAUUGGUGGAUCUAUCUUCUUUCUUGGGGGUUGUCUAGCUCUGNNNNNNNNNNNNNNNNNNNNNNNNNNNNNNNNNNNNNNNNNNNNNNNNNNNNNNNNNNNNNNNNNNNNNNNNNNNNNNNNNNNNNNNNNNNNNNNNNNNNUUAUUAGUUUGAUAGUCUUUUUAAAUUUAUCAAGGUUCAAGAAGCUUGAUAAAUGAUUUUGAAACCUACGAAAACCUUGAGUUAGGUAAAAAAUUUAGAAACUUGCACCUUUUAUUUUGUAAUUUAUUAAUUAAAUUGUUUGCAAACAUCUAACAUGUCUAAUUUUUUAUUUUGUAGAAUUUGGUGGAAAGUUACAUGUAGAAUCGGAUGAUAAUUAGUUCAGAAGUUACUUUGAUGGUAAAAUACUACUUUUUUAUUUUUACAUAUUCUAAUUUAUUUUAUUAUGUUAUAAUUUUUAGAUCUUGAUUUCCCAGGUUUUGAUGUCAAUGGUAUUACGGAAUCAAAGUGCAAUGUUCUUGUCAUCUUGAUGUGCUUUUUGAUUGGGAUGAUGUGCACAAUGAAAAUUUAUAUUUUUUGCAUGAAGUGUUUUAUUUUUAUGGCAAUGUUAUUUGUUGUUUUUUUAAGCCCUUUUGAAGGCAAAGCUUUGUAAUUUAAAUUUUAAUUUGGUGUGUUAUUUAAACUUUGAUGCAUGAGGAGUACAAACUCUAAAACACAAAUAUUAGAAAGAUUGCAACAUAUUAAACACAAUAUUAGCACUAAUAAUUUAAUAUAAAUGAAUAUUUAGUGAUAAAAAAUAUAAAUAUAUUAUAGAAUUUGUAACAAAAUUAGAUAAUAGUUACAUUAAUUACAAGCCUAUUAGAAAGCCCAUCAGAAAACCCAUUAGAAAGCCCAAAAAAACCCAAAAAACAAUAAUAGAAGUUUUCCAGUUUUUCUGUUAAAAAAACCGAACCGAAUGGAACCGAAACCGGUCGGUUUGAACCGGUUCUGGUUCGGUUUCGGUUUGAAUUUUUAAGUUUUUCAAAUUUUAAUUUUGUUAGUUUUUUAUAUAAAAACUGAACCGAACCGGUUUUACUCACCCCUGCACAAUGCUAAGGGAAUGUAAGAUAGUUGUUGACAGCUGGCGUCAACCAGAAAAUUCUAAAAUAUUCUCAUCAUUUCAAAGAAAAUUCUAUCAAGAGGAAUUCUUCAUCUAUUUGGGAGGCCACCAAAGUCAAAAAGGAGUGGUAACUCAUCAUUUUCAUUUAUUUCGUAUCGAACCAUCUUAAUGGUUGUGAGAAAAUCAAGGCACAGUCACAUACAUAUCUAAAGAAAAUACAAAGUUAAGUUUAAACUUGUUAAUUCACCUUAAAAAGAUACUGAGCACACAAGUUUAUUUUAAAUUUAGGUUUUGCUAUAAAUUUAAAAGAAAAUAUGUUAGGUGGACACUAUGCAGUUUCACUAUUUACCCCCUCAUGUUUUACCGUGGAUGACAAUAUUUACUUUCUUUUAGGUUUGCUAUAAAUUUAAAGGAAAAAUAUAAACCCGGUUAAGUUCAUAGUUUGGGUUCACCACACAAGUUUUACUGUGGACAACACUAUUUACUUUUUUCUUUUUUGCUUAAGAAAAAAUAUUUCUUUUUUUUUGUUUCUAUUUUUUAAAAAUAAUCUUAAUCUUAGUUAUAUUUAUAUUUAUAUUAAUAUCCCUUCUCUAUUUUAUGUUAUUUAGAAAGCCUAUUUGAAAUGAUGAUUAUUUUUUAAUUAUGCAUUUAAUUUUUGAGGAGGUUUUUCUAAUAAUCUAUAAUUUUUUUAAAAUAUUUUAUAGAUGAAUUUUAUUUUUGAAAAUAAAAAUAAAUUUAUUUUCAAAUAAUAUUUCUAAUAUGUAUAGCCUUGUAUAUUAUUUUCUCCUUUUAUUUUAUUCAAUCAAUUUAUAAUGUGUGUGUCUGUUUUUAUUAUCGUUUGAUCGAAUAAAAAAUUAUUUUAAUUAGAAAAUUUAGAAAACACUACUGCGUAAAUAUCACGUCUUGUGAAAUUAAAUAUCUUGAUGUACACCUUUCUCUUGAUUUCUCUUGUUUUUAUUUUGAGUUAUCGUUUAAGGUUUUUUUUUUUCACUUAUUUACACACAUAGUUCUUCAUUUAUUUGACUAUAUUUGCGUAUAGUUUUUUUAUUUCACUUAAAUUUUUGACUUUCUUAAACUAGUUGUAGUAUAUAGAAUUUUUUUUAAAAUAAAAAAAUAGAAAUAUAAUUCACAUUCGAGUAAAAACCUCCACAAAUAUAAUCUCAUUGAAAGUUGCAUCAUGUAUUAAUCUAAGGUCCGCUGUCCAUUAAUUAAUCGGUGGUUGCAUUCUAACACUUGAGAUUUAUAUUUUAUGCUUAAGCAUUUAAUUUUAUUUUUUUGUAAACUAAAUAGAAAUUAAAGCAUAUUAUCCAUUCCCAAGCUUACGGGUAAUGGCCUUAUGGACCCAUCUCGUAGAAAAAACACUUGAUAUAUAGCAAUGGUCUCAUGGACCAUCCCACUGACCUAUAUCAUGGAAAAAAACAGAUGGCAAUAUAUAAUCUCACAAACCCAUCUCACACUGCAAAUUCCCAUCCAUCUUACUUGUUGAUUGUGUUACAAAAAAUAGACUCUUUAGAAAGAAAAAGAAGAAGACUUAUUGUCAUGAUAUUGACAAGAAGUAUUUUAGAAAUAAUAUCAUUUGUGGUUUAUUUUAUCAACGAUAUUGUUUGAUUUUUCCAUCACCAUCAAAAUUAAAGCAUGAUUUUCCACACGUUAUUUCCAUGAAGAAAGUAGCAAGUCUUCCAUAUCCGUCAUUGUCAUUCAAAAUGAGCUACCUAGUGUUAACCUUUGAUUCAUAUUUUUCCAAAAAAAAAAAAAAAACAGACAUGGAUUCAACUUUAUAACAAGGAAUACAAUCAAUUACUUUUAUGCAAUUCAAUUUUUCCAAAGUUUUUUCACGAACCCAUCUCGUGGAAAAAAUACAUGAUUGUUGGAAGGGGUCUGACGACCUCUCCUCGAGGAAAAAUGCAUGAUGGCAACGGUCUCCGGACCAAUGUGCAGAUGGAAAUGGUCUCACAAACUCAUAAAUUCAUGAUGGAAAUGGUCUCACGAACUCAUAAAGUUGAAUUUUUCAAUUUUUCACAAAAGAUAUUUUCGGAGAAUAACAUUUAUAGUGGUACUUUUAUGCAAUUCAACUUUAUUAAGCUAGUUAUAGUAUAUAGAAUUGAUUUUUAAUGAAAAAUUAGAAAUAUAAUCCGCAUCCCAGUAAAUACCUUCACAAAUUAAUAAAUAUGUUUUAAUAUUUACUUUUAAUAUAUAUACAAUGAAAAGAUAUUAAGAGUUGAUUAAUAUUGUUAAGCCAUAUAUGUUUAUAAAAGUCAUUUCUUUUAAACCACAUGAUAUGUUUACAUAUUUGCAAUAUGUAUGUAUUUUGAAUUUAAUAUUAAUAAUUAUAAAAUUUAUAUAGUUAAUAAAAAUAGCUUCACUUUUGUUCUCUCUUUCUUUCUCACUAUUGUUCUUUUUUCUUCUUCUUGAAUUGCCUUGUCUCUCUUUCUUUUCCGUUUUUCAUCUUUCAAUCCUUCAAGAUUCAAAAUACAUUGCAAUUUACGUUGGGAAUAUUGAUGAAAAAAUAUAAAUAUAACUAGAAACAAAUAAAAAAAAAAUGAAAUUCUAGUAAAGCAUUUACAUAUCCAUUGAAAGAUGCGUCAUAUAUUAAUCUAAGGUCCGUUGUCCAUUAAUUAAUUGGCGGUUGCAUUUUAACACUUGAGAUUUAUUUUUUAUGCUUAAGCAUUUAAUUAUUAUUUUUUUGUAAACUAAAUUGAAAUUAAAGCAUAUUAAUUAUCCAUUCCCAAGCUUACGGGGCAAUGGUCUCAUGGACCCAUCUCAUAGAAAAAACGCUUGAUAGCAAUAGUCUCAUGGACUAUAUUGUGGAAAAAAUACAGAUGGCAAUAUAUAGUCUCAUAGACCCAUCUCACACUGUAAAUUCAUAUCCUUCUUACUUGUUGAUUGUGUUACAAAAAAUAGGCUCUUUAGAAAGAAAAAGAAAAGACUUGUUGCCAUGACAAUGACAAGAAGUCUCGUAAAAAUAAUAUCAUUUGUGGUUCAUUUUAUUAACGAAACUUUUUUAUUUUGUCAUCACCAUCAAAAUUAAGACAUGAUUUUCCACACGUUAUUUCCAUAAAAAAAGUAGCAAGUCUUCUAUAUUCGUCUUUGUUAUUCAAAGUGAGCUGCCUAGUGUUAACCUUUGAUUCAUAUUUUUUCUAAGAAAAAAAAAAACAAAACAGACACGGGUUCAACUUUACAAGAUGGAAUACAAGUUUUCAGUUAAUUACUUUUAUGCAAUUUAUUUUUUUCUACAAUGUGGUUUUAAUCAGCGUUGUUAAAUUUAAUUCAAGCCUAACAUUUUAAUCUAGAACCUAACCCGAUUUAGGUUUAGAAAAAUCAAUUGAAAGUUGACUCAAUCAAGCCUAGUUGACUAGAUAAAUCAACCCACAACUUAGUCAACUCAGUCAGAAACUAGUUUUACUUUUUUUAACUACGCAGUUUUGAUUUUUUCUAAAAACAAUCUUAAAAUGAUACAAUUUUAGAUUAACACCAUUCAACAUAAGCUAACUUGUCCGAUUUAUAACCCAAAUCUUGAUCGGAGUAUUAGGCCAAUCUAUGACCUAAACCCUCAUCUAGGUAUUAAACCUAAUCAUGUUAAAUAAUUUUAGUUUUAAUAAACAAGACAUUCUUAAGAAAAAUGUCAUAUAUAAAACAUUUAAUGGCAUCCAAAUUGAAACAUUCACAAAUUGAUAUAAUAGUUAUUAAUAUUUAUUUUUAAUAUAUAUAAAAUAAAAUAUUUUAAUAAUUGAUAAUAUUGUGAAAUCAUAUAUGUUUUUUGUGGUAUUUCUCUUUAAUUUAAUCUCUUAACAUUGAGUUUGUUUAUCCCGAUCUCAUGAUCCGGGUCGAAGACAUGAUGGGUUAACUCGAUUUGUUAUUACUUCCUCCCCCUGUCUUGCAUAUAUUGUCCUCUGUUUUUCUUUUAUGCUAGCUAGCCUCUAAUUUUGGCUCUAGCACCUUUCUAUAAUAAUACUCGACUAUUAUUAAAAAAAAAAAGAAAAAAAAAAAGCAGAAGCAGAAAUAACUCGACAAUUUCUCUAAUGUGCAAAGGAGUGUUUGACAGAGCCUUCCUUAUCUCCUUCUGGUAAAUCGUCUUGGAGAGCCUAUGUUCUUGCCUUGAUCAAGACUCCCAUCUUAUCUUAGUUAUUCAACAAAUAUGAAGAAAUUCUCCAAAAUCAUUUCUUGACAUAACAUCUCACCUACCCCUCAGCCCUUUGUCAAGUCCACCGUCACUCUCGGUAAAUUAUUCUAUAACAUCUCAUAUACAGUUUCCUAAAGGUCCUCCGUCACUCUCUGUCAUUGACAGCUAUGCAUUAAAAUUAUUCUAUAACUUUUGCCUUUUCAGUUUUUCCUCUUGCGCUCUUCAAUAAUGUGCAAAGGAGUGUUUGACGUGCUAAGGAUAUAGAGCCUUCCUUCUCUCCUUCUAGUAAAUCGUCUUGAAGAGCCCAUGUUCUUGCCUUGAUCAAGACUCCCAUCUUAUCUUAGUUAUUCAACAAAUAUGAAGAAAUUUUCCAAAAUCAUUUCUUGACAUAACAUCUCACCCACCCCUCAGCCCUUUCUCAAGUCCUCCGUCCCCUUAUGCCCGAUGGUUGGGCAUCAGCCUUGAAACCACAAUGAUCCGAUGGACGAGAGUGGAGAAGGAUUCAUGCAUCUGUGUAUUUCUCAUGCUCUUUUUCACUAUACAACAGAGCUUUUGCCUUUUCAGUUUUUUCUCUUAGACGCUCUUCAAUCAAUGGAAAGAGGAAACACCACAGAAAGGUGUAAACUGACAAGAAAUUCAAUGCUCACACUUUGAAUUUUAAUUUGCAUGUUUCAGGUCAUUGGCAGCUAUAUAUAUAUAUAUUAUGUAUUUGAAGUUUUUGUAUAUAAUACUGUAGCCACACAAUCCAUAGGGAUAAGAUUUAUAAUUAUUCCGAGUUUAUUAUUAUUGAUAAUUUAUGCAUUUAAUUAUAUAUAUGAUAGUGAUGAAACCAUGCAAAUACUCCUAAAUGAUUCUAAAUCAUGACAAGAGAACUACAAUUACUAAAGUCAAAAAGAUCAUACGCGAAAUCACAUGGAGUACGUACUGCAACAAUGUUAAUUUUGUUUUUAUUUUUUUAUAAAUUGGAUAAUUAGUAACCCUAAAUAAUAUUCAAAUCCUAGAAUAUUCUAAAAAAAAUAAAAUAAUAUUCAAAUCUCAAAACAUGGAACCCUAAAUUAUGACAAGAGAAGUAUAAUUAUAAAGUCAAAAAAAAAUACACGAAUAUCGAUAACAAUGCUGAAGUGCUACAAUAAUUUAUUUUAUUUUAUUUUAUUUAUAUAAAUUGGAUAAUUAAUAACCAAAAUAAAAUUAAAUGCAAAUAGACUAAGUGCUAAACAAUAAAUUAAAAUAAUAUUUAAAUCCAAGAAUAUUCUAAAAAGAAAUAAAAUAAUAUUCAAAUCUCAAAACAUGUAACCCUAAAUUAUUACCAGAGAAGUAUAAUUAUAAAGUCAUGAAAACAAUCUUACGAAUGUCUACAAUAUAAUUUUUUUAUAUAAAUUGAAUAAUUAGCAACCAAAAUAUAAUUAAAUACAAAUAGACUAAAGGCCGAACUGAACAAUAAAAUAAAAGCCAAACUGCACAAGAUAAUAUGCAAAUAUAUAUUAUUGACAAACAUACCAUAAAGGCCGAAGUGUCAGACUUUGAAUCAUGUUGAAUUGUCAACAAUGGUGCGAGGUACUCUAGGAUACUUAGACCUGAGUACUUGCACACAAGCCAACUGACGGACAAAGGUGAUGUUUACAGUUUUGGAGUGGUUCUUGUGGAACUACUAACUGGGAUGAAGGCAAUUUCCUUCGAUAAGCCUGAGGGCCUUUAAGUGCUAAACAAUAAAAUAAAAAAUAUUCAAAUCCAAGAAUAUUCUAAAAAAAAAAAAUUUCAAAUCCAAGAAUAUUCCAAAAAAAAAUAAAAUAUAUCAAAUCUCCAAACAUGUAACCUGCACACAAGAUAUGCAGAUAAAGUCAAGGAAAUUAAAUGGCCAAAGUGUAGUAUAAAUAGGACCUCUAUGGUUGCCCAAAGGCACAUAACAAACAACAAUAUUCUACGUAGGAGUUCAUAGAAUUAUCUAAGAUGAUGAUGAAAAGAAUUGGGGCUUGGAUGUUGCUAGCGUUAUUGACUUUGUUUGGCGAAUGGCAUGGUCGUUGUUAUGGAUGUUUGGAGGAAGAGAGGAUUGGUCUCUUGGAGAUCCAAUCUUUGAUCGACCCACAUGGCGUUUCCUUGAGAGAUUGGGUGGACAGUAGUAAUUGUUGUGAGUGGCGUGGGAUCGAGUGUGAUCCGACUACAAGGCGAGUGAUCCAACUCUCUCUUGUUGCAGCAAGGGAUGAGAGCUUGGGCGAUUGGGUUCUCAACGCAUCUUUGUUUCAGCCUUUCAAAGAAUUGCAAAGUCUUGAAUUGGUAUAUACUGGAUUGGUUGGUUGCAUGGAGAAUGAAGGUUAGUUCAAUGUUUCUGCACUUAAUUAUAAUCAUAAAAUAAAUGAAGGUCGGUUGGUGUUUAAUGUCAAUUAUCUUGCUUUGAUGAUUCUCUUUCCAGGCUUCGAAGUCCUAUCAUCAAAACUGAGGGAACUUUACCUAUGGAAUAACCGAUUUAAUAAUGAUAAAAGCAUUUUGUCAUGUUUCAAUGGUAACCUUUCCACUCUCAAGUCUUUGGAUCUAUCAGUCAAUGAUUUGACAGCUGGAUCAGGUAGCUUCUACGGUAACCUUUUAAUUAUUUAGCUGGGAAACCUUUUCUUUUCUCCUUCUCAUAUCAUUUUUUUCUACGCAUUUAAUUAUUUCCUUCCAAUAUGCUCUUGAGGAACAUCAUGCAGGUCUCAAAGUCUUGUCAUCAAGGUUGAAAAAGCUGGAGAACCUUUAUCUAAGUUGGAAUCAAUACAACGAUAGCAUUUUUCCAUUUCUUACUGGAUUUUCAUUUCUCAAGUCUUUGGAUCUAUCACAUAAUAAGUUGACAGGAUCAGGUAUAAUACACAGUUUCUACCUAAAUGCUUCACAUGACAUUCUCUUAAUUAUAUUGUUUCUUUAUCAACAAAAAUGAGGACUUUAUAUCUACUUAAUUAAAGAGGCACUUGGAAUUAGGUCCACGAGGCAUAUAUUUUAUUCUUAUUUUGGCCCUUUUAUGCCGAAAGUGUUGUAAUAUUUAGAUUAAAUUAGUAAUCAGAAGUUCACUUCAAAACUCUCCAAUAAAUAUAUAUUUUAUAUUUAUCUUUUUAAAUAAAUAUAUUUUUAUAAAUGUUUUUUCUGUCUUGAGAUACUUAGUCAAACACAACUCUAAGUUUUUUUUUUUAAAAUGCAUUCGAGUUUUAAUGGGUUUUGAAUAACAUAAUAAGAAGCUCUCUCCUAUAAUAUUAUGAUUGAGAAACUUGUAAUUAUUAAAACUUGGAUCUUAACAUCAAUUCAAAAAAAAACUAUCCAAUACAAAUUCACUAGACAACCAAUUUUUUUGUACCCACAUAAUUGAUAUUUAAUUCUUGUUUGUAGCCAUUUAUUAUUUCCUCUCUUUUUAAUCAUGGUUUUAUAUUAUUUUAUGGUGAAAUAUUUGGACUAUCAAUAGUAAGUUACAUUCUCUUUAUCAAGAAAAUUGAGGACUUUAUAUAUAUAUAUAAGUAUCAACGAUAGCAUUUCAUCAUGUUUGAUUGCGAUUUCAUCUAUGAAGAAUUAUAUCUAUGGAGCUUUGAUCUUAUCCAAUAAUUGUUUUUCUAAUAAGACAGGAACAGAUUAAAGAGAUCAAAACUAGGAUGAUUAAAACAUUACUUGCAAUCUAUCUUAAUCUAUGCACUGUAUAUUUUUUUAUGUAUAUCUUGUAGGUUUUCAAGUACUCCAACCGAUGAGGCUGGGAAAGUUAGAGAACCUUGACCUGAGUUCCAAUCGAUUGAACAGCAACAUCUUAUCAAUUUUGAGUGGGCUUUCAUCCCUCAAGUCUUUGGAUUUGUCAGAGAAUAUGUUGACAGGAUCAGGUAUAAUACAUAGGCUUUUUUUUUUUUUUAAAUGCAUUUGAGUUUGAAUGGGUUUUGAAUAACAUAAUAAGAAGCUCUCUCCUAUAAUAUUAUAAUUAAGAAAAUUGUAAUUAUUAAAACUCUCGACUGUUUUAUCAAUAGAGAGAACAAUAUAAAACCCAUAUUUGAUAUUUAAUUCUUGUUUGUAGCCAUUUCUUAUUCCCUCUCUUUUUUAAUCAAAAUAUUAUUAUGUGGUGGAGGAUAUUGUCUUAUGGUCGUGCUGAAUGGUGAAAUAUUUGGACAUAGAAAAAAUAAAACGUUAAAAAGUUUCUAAAUUUUUUUAAAACUAAUUAAUUAGUUUUGCAAAAUUAGGCAAUAUGUUGCUAUCUAGGUUCAAUUAUUAUUCUUGUUUUAAUUACCGUUGAGAUCAUAACCUGGCUUCCAUCUUUAAUGACUUUAUAUUCAUAAAUUGUUUUUUAUUUUUAUUUUAUUUUUCCAAUUAGAAAGAUAUUUAAAAAUUGUUUCUUAAUCUUUAACGACUUUAUAUAAUUAAAUAUGCCAUCAUUCAUGUAUCAUUUGUUUAUGUAUAAUUUGAGAAUCAUAUAUCAAUUGAAACAUUAACUUAUCAAUUCUAAUUAUCUUUAGUCUCUAUCUAAGACUUACUCUUAGAAACAUUAACUCUCUUGCAGGUUUCGAGAUCAAAUCAUCACAUUUAGUGAAACUCGAGAACCUGGACCUGAGCCGUAAUAAUAUAUUCAACAACAACAUUUUAUCAUAUCUGCGUGGACUUUCUUCUCUCAAGUCUUUAGAUCUAUCAUACAAUAUGUUGCUAGGAUCGACAACUGUCAAUGGUAAAGUUGUGAAUAUCUCUUGGCAUCUUCUAUUAUUAACUCUUUUUUAACAAUACCUUUUGAAAUCUCUAGAUUUUUCAGGCAAUUUGUUGUUUCUAUCCAAAAAUCAUCUACUAUUCAAUAUCAGUUCUCUCAGGAAUACUAAUUUAAGUCAAGGCUAAUCAUAGUUUAGGUUCUUAAAAUCUUAAUUAAUAAUAUUGAAUGGAAUGGCUAUUUUAUCAUGUCUCUUCUUUUUUCUUUUUCGGGACUUUCUUCAAUUCGAGCACCCUUGAAGAAUUGUAUCUAGAUAAUACUUCUCUCCCAAUAAACUUUCUUCAGACAUUGGAGCAUUGCCUGCUCUUAAAGUUUGUCUGUUGGUGAAUGUGACCUCCAUGCACCCUUCCCGCUCAAGGUAAUUAACAACUCUCCAUCCGCCUAUAUAAUACAUCACCAAUAAAAGAUUCUUUCAACACUAUUUUGAUUGUUUCGAGAUAAAUUGUACAGGUUGGUGUGAAUUGAAGAAUCUGAAGCAGUUAGAUCUCUUGGAAAUAAUUUAGGAGGUUCACUCCCAGAUUGUUUGGGGAACUUGUCAUCUUACAACUAUUAGAUGUUUCUGAAAACCAGUUUACUGGAAAUAUUGCCUCUAGUCCUCUUACCAACCUCAUAUCCCUUAAAUUCCUCUCACUAUCAAAUAACCUCUUUGAAGUUCCCAUUUCAAUGAAGCCUUUUAUGAACCACUCAAGCCUCAAGUUCUUCUCCAGUGAGAACAACAGACUAGUAACGGAACCUGCUGCCUUUGAUAAUUUGAUUCCAAAGUUCCAACUAGUCUUUU